CUUCCUUCCGUUUCCCUUGUGCAUUUGUUACUUAGUGACCUGUAUAGUAUAACAAAAAGAAGAUGCAUAAACAAUUGAAAGCACAAGUGAUAAAAGACACGAAAUUUCCCUUAAUGCAUUCAUAUUCUGGGAUUGGUUUCUACUUUUGUCCUCUUCAACCUCCAUUUAUGCAUGGCCAUCUCCAUUCUGUGAAGCAAGAGAAGUUAACUUCUUUGUUUGGGAGUCGGGAGAAACAAGAGCAUAAAGUGUAAAAACCUGCUGAAAUUGCGAGAGAACUCAAUUGGGUCAAGAGGAAUUAAAAGGAAACCCCCCCCCCCCCCCCGGCUUUAACCAUACACCAUUUAAACUUUUUAGUGUUGGUACAGAAGCAUGAACUUCUAAGUAAGUUGCAGUCAAGACAACUUAGGAGCGAGCAACUAAUUGAACUUAAUGUUUGAACUAGAUCGAGUGUUCAAAUGUAGUUGACCAAAUUAUGAUCCAACUAGCAUUCCAGAAGCAGUAAAAACGAAGUGGGAUAUUGUCGCUGACAGAUCAAUGUGGGAUGAGUAGUAGCUGCAGCAGGUUGGCCCAUUGGUCCGCUUUCUUCGAAGUCCUGACUCCUGACUUAACUAGAGCCUUGAAGCCAGUUCACCAUCCCAGAAAGCCUGUGACCAGUCACCAGUGGGACUUCUGGCUGGGGACUGACUGACUGACUGACUGAGACUCUCUGCUCUCGUACCAGAAACUAGAUAGGAACGAAUAGUAGCAGAAGUUCAUCUUGAAUUCCACUGCUACUAUAUUUAUUAUUAAUAAAAUAAUUUUUAUUGCUCAAUUAACUUCCUCUUAGUAUACUGCUAUCGUGUAUAACUAACUUCCUUUAGUUUCACAAACUUGUAUCAAAAUGGAACAAGUAAGAAUAGAUACACUACUGUCUAUCCCAGAUGUGUCACUUAAGAAUUAGCCAUGACAGUAUACCCCAGUCAAUUUGUUUUCAAUCUUUUUAUUUCAUUUGAUUCCCGUAUUGGAUUAAUUUCACUUUCCACUCUUCAAUUAUAUUUGAAUUCUUGUUUUGGUCCAUACAUAAAUUUUGAAGUGAAAUGCUAUAGUCCCUGAAGUACUAUAAAUUAUAUCCUGUUUAAGUAAAUAUGUGUUUCACUGAAAUAUAAAUUAAUAUAAAAUCUAUCCCACUAAAAUAUAAAUUACUCCAUUCUACUUUAGUUUCUAAAGUUGAAAUUUAUCCCACUUAGUUAAGGACAAAAUUUGUUUCACUUUCAUCUAUAAUCCUAAUUAAUAAAAGGAACAAUAUCAAAAACCUCCUCUGAGAUUUCUCUUAAUAUCACCUGACACCCUUAAGGUUUUUAAAAAUAUCACUUACCUUCCUUACUUUUGUUAUUUGUGCAACAAAAUUUUCAAAAAUCCUAAAUUACCCUUCUACUUGCUAAAUAAAAAUGCUCCUAAAUCACUUUAUUUACUUCAAGAAAAUCAUCAUUUAAAAAAUAAUUUAUAGUAGUGCUACUGCAUUAACAUUAAAAUGCUAUAGUCCAUAAAAAAAUAUAUUUGAAAAAUAAAAAAGAUAGUUGCAAAGAAAUACAGUUGACUAAUUUAACUCUACGUGCUCAAAAUCGAUUUCUUAUAAACUUUAUCUUUUUCUCCAACUUCUUUCUCAAUUUGUGCCUAAACUUUGAAAUUGUACUAACUAUUAUAAAAAAUAACUUAAAAUAAACAAAUAUAUCAUACCCCAUCAUCUAUCACAAUUAUAAAAAGUAAAAGAUAUCAAAAUUCAAUUUAUUAUAAUUUACAAAUAGAAAAUCGCAUAGUCGUCUAAGAAAUGAGCAAAAGAGGACAUUGGAGAAAAGGAAAAGAGAAGAGAGUAGUAACUUUUGUUUCCUUUUUGUGAAAAAUUUUUAGUUCCAUUUAUCUGAUACAUGAAUUUUGUUUCAAGUGAAGGUUAAUAUAUAGCCUUUUUGUAAUUACAUAAGUAAUACUUUUGAAAUCUUAGAAAUAUCAGGUGACAUUAGGGAAACCUCAAGGGAGGGAGGUAGGUGCUAUUAUCCCUUAAAUAAAUGGGAUAAAUUUUACAUCGUAGAUAUUAAAAGUGCUCCGCUUUGUACUUGAGAAAUUACGGUGGAAAUCAGAGCAUGGUUAAAAGAUGUAAAGUGGAACUAACCCUUCUUGCAUUGGUGCGAUUGGAUAAGAUCAUUUUUCAUGUCACCGUGUUUUUUUCUUGGGAAGGGGUCGCACGUAAUGAAGAGCACAGCACACUGAAAACUGAAUGAUGGAACCUUAAGCUAGGUCUCUAGAAUCGAAGUAGUACUUUGUUGACUAGGUUACAACUAUGGGCUAUCCUCCUAAGUAGUAACUAAAACCAAGAAAAUCAUUAUCAUUGUUGGUUUGUUAUUUUCCAUGUGGGAUAAACAUUGGAUCCGUUUUUGACAAUUCAUCAUCUAUGUGAUAGCUUUCGAGACAUGUAGGAACGAACUCUUUUUAAUUUUGUAAUGACAGCAUUAUAGCACUAAUAGUAAUAUAUAGGCAAGGCCUUAGAUUUGCCACCCAAGAAACAAAAGCAUAGGAAUGACCACCAAAGCUAUUUACCACUACUAUUCUAUUAGUACUAAUUAUUGUUUUUUUCACCUCAAAGGUGAGAAAAUUGAGAAUCAGCUUCCAUCCAUCAAGAACAGUGGUAGAAAUAGUGGGUCGUGGGUAUAUAUCAUUUGGCCCGAGUGAUAAAAGCCCCCUUAAUCCAAAUGGUCUGGCAUUUGGCUUUGAGAUUAUAUUAUUGUAUCAAGAAGUUCCUUCAAAAUAUAUAUAUAUAUAUAUAUAUAUAGAGUAUCUAGAAGAAGGCAAAUGACUGAUAGGAAAUGGUGCCCCCUCCCUCUGCUGCUGCUGUGUUUGGCCUCUCCGAUUAUGACUAGCCAGUUGACAUAGGCUUAAAAGUAUCCAAAUUGCAUUCUUGUAUGACUGGCCAUAAGAUUGAGAGGAUGUACACUCAUCCUUUCUUUAAAAUUGGACUUGUCACUAUUGUCGCCAAUUAUAAUAAUGUCCUACUGCCCUGUGAUUUUAUUAGAUAGAUGUCCUGAUUAUUCUGGGGAAAAAAAAAUACUUGAAAGAACCUUGUGUGCUCAGUUUAUCAUUCAAUGAAUAUUUUAGUUUCUCCUAUCCCUUUUGAUGGCGACAACGAUUGAAUAAUAGGCGGUUGACAAUGAGGCUGUGAUGAUGACGAUAUUGAACAAUGUCUAUUAACAAAAAUGCCGGUAGUUACAUGGGAGUGUGAGGAAAACGAAAUGAUAAAAUAGAAGGGAAUGAAGAUACAAACAGUUUUCCAUCCAUGGGAAAUUCAACCAAGCUGUCCUACAUGCUACACAUACAUUCAUAUAUAUAUAUAUAUAUAUAUAUAUAUAUAUAUAUAUAUAUAUGAGUUCUUGAUUUGUUGCCCAUUUUUCCUAGCAAAAGGCAGGAGAGGGACUAAUUAAAACAGGAGGGGCAUUAUGAGGCUGCAAUUUUCUCGAAGAGACCAAGUCUAUUAUCAGCCAAUCUUGACUUGUAUGCAGACUUUUUGUACUCAAACCAUGUAAACUCCUUGUACAAGCUGUCUUCGCCUUCCAUAAGUGAAGGCAAAGGAGCUAUCUUCUCACUCAAAGGUGGUCCUCCGAAAUAAAUCAUUGAGACCCUUGAUUUGGAACUGUUGGCCAAUACUCUAUGCCUCACACUUUUAAACCUCCCAUUUGUCAAAACCUGCAAAAAAAAUAAAAAAAAAACCGACCAUAGCAUGAAAAAAAAGGGCACCAAGAACAAGAUCGCCAUUAGAACAAGAUUCCAAGAUUGGCAUAUCCAUUUCGCAAAAUAAGGACUGGGUAGUUACAAAAGUGGGUGGUAGUAAAAGAAGAAGAAGAAAGAGAAAAAGGGGUUUUGUUCAAAAGAAAGAAUAAAAAAGUCUUCAGUCCUGAAAAGUAAAUUGUUCUGAUUAAGAAGGUUUCUUAAUGGUCAUCGAGAAAGUAAGUAAAACCAUGAGAAUUUUCUUAUCCCGCACGCAGCACUUAGCUGAAAGUGACAUGGAAAGCAUUUGAUGUUAAAGGCAUCCACGAAGAUUCGUUUCAUCUAUUUUAGUCAAAACCGCAUGUUUUGCGGAAGUCUACAGCAACAAAAUGCAUACGCGGAAGACACAACCAUCUGGCUUAAAAAUGAAAAAAGGUGUUGUCAAGAAGAAAAACUCAAUCCCAAUUUUUCAACAACUGAAUCGCUAACUCAUCUUGAAAAGCAUAUGAUGCCGGUUAGGAAGACCAUUAAUUUCCUACAUGGCACGUGCAAAACAGACAGAAAUAUCUUUGCAAUAUCACAACAGUGAAAUUCACACUAGUACCUGCAUUGAGUCACCAACGUUGAUAAAGAAAGAAUUUUGAUCAGGUGGAACUGAAAUCCAACUUCCAUCCUUCAAUGCGAUUUGAAGGCCAGAAGUGUUGUUGGAUCGCAAAACAGAUAUGAUUUGUGGGUCAGUGUGUUCUCCAAAUCCAAUUAAAUUCCUGCCAUGCAGUUCUUGAAGGUCAGGGCAGGGUGGGUAGUGAUUUAGCCUGAAAACAGAGUCACUCUGUUCAUCCAUCAACAGCUUGCUGAACACAGUCUGUGGCUGAAUAUUCAACCCUUCAGCCAAUUGUUCGAGAAUUGAACAGGCCAUGUUCUUCACUGCCGAUAUAUAAUCAUUUACAGCACCCCUGCAACAACAACAACAACAACAGCAAAUUCUCAUUAGAACAGAAGGUAACAGAACCCGAGAAAAAUUGACAUAUACGUAUCAUCUGCUUUGAGCACAACUUACUGAAACUUCUCUGGGGUGACGCCAAAAACUGAUUCGAACUUUUGGUAAUUGAAUCCAGGGUUGGUCGUUAAGAGGAUGUAUUCAACCCAACCCACGUCGCCAUUUGGCCCAAUCAUCUUGUUACCAUAGCCGAAAGGGUCAGGGGGCCCCGCUUUUUCCUUCUCAGACAGGGGCAAAGAGAAGAACUUGAUGGCUUCAGACUCAAGUUUGGAUAUGAAUUCAGUGGGAACACCAUGAUUGAUGACUUUACAGAAUCCAAAUUCUUCGCACGCCUUCACAAGAAGGUGCUUGGAGUCCGGUUUUGAGAGGUCUAUCAAUGGAAUCCCAGGGAAUAAUGUGGUAGCUUUACACGAGUUCUUGACUAAGCUGAACUGUUCCAUUGCUUGUGUAGGCAAUACCACCAUUUUCUUUCUUUAUAUUUUGCUUUCUUUGGUUUGCUUGUGGGGGAGGGUAGGGGGCGAGGGGGUGGCGUGAUAUAUAAGAGAUGGAAGUGUAGAAGAAAGCAAGGCACCGUGGACAAUGAACUGGGAAAACUAGAGAUUGGCUUUGGGUGAUAUGAUCAAUGAGACUUGUGCCGUUGCAGUUGGGGAAGGGCCAAGGAGGGAUGAGCUGUGCCUGUGUGUUGAGGGGGGCUGAGUAUGAGCAAGGCAAAUGAACACAUGGCUUCAAGCUGAUGCUGGUCUAUUUAUAGCGGUUUUUAUUCAACCUUAAGACGGGAGAGAGAGAGAGAAUGAGAGUCGAAGAUUUCAGCACUAUUUAAAUGUUCUGUGGAAUUUUCUCUCUCUUUCAUACUAUCGAAUAGAAUUACACAGGUGUAAACAGUCCAAUCAAACCACUUGGCCAAUGGCUUAGUGUUCGCCACGGAGGGACGGCUGUUCGUGAGAGUUGAAUCUUACCAGCAGCGGAAAAAAAUUUAAAGAUUGUGUCAUAAUAUUUCCUUGGUCUAGUUGGAUAUGUAUACUCAUUAAUCCCUACAAUAGCCUUUUUAGGCUCCCCUUCCCCCUAAAUUAGAAUAUAGUAGGUUAUACAAAUGUAUCCUUCUUAACAAAAAAAAAAAAGUAAACAAUCCAAUCAACGCCCACAAACUCAAAAUUAUUGCGUACAAUUUAUGUUGUAUAAAGACCUAAGCUCAAAAUUAUUGCGUACAAUUUAUGUUGCAAAAUCUAGAAGACCUAAGCUCAUUUGGUACCAAUGAUGUCACAUACUUAACUCAAUUGAUAGGGAUAUUAGUCAAGUAAUCACUUUUAUGUUUCUGAUUCGAUUUUGAAACCCUUUUUUUUCCCUCCUCCUCUCCUCCUCCUCUUCUGAUUGAAAGGUUUGAAGUUUCCGUUAAAUUAAAAAUAAAUGAAUAAAUAAAUGCAAAAGAUUAUAUGCUACAAAGUGUAAACAUGCACAUGCUUUUGAUGGAAAACGUGACACAAUCACUGAAUAUGAGGCACAUUAAUGGAUGAAAGUGAAAUACUACUAUAACACAGUUGUUUUCCUUCAUCUACAUAGUGAAAAACGUGAUACAAGGCAUCUGAUUGGAUCACAUCAACAGUUACUAAUCUAAAGUUUUUUUUUUUUUUUUUUGGGCCUUGGAUCUUUUGAUAUAUUGUGUAUUAAGAGAAGGAAUGGGUAAUCCAAAUUUAACCACACUAUAGUCUUCUUGCUUUCACACUUGAUUAACAAUCAAUGAACAAAUGAAAUUUCUGCGAAGCUGAAGUUGAAUGAAUCAUGCUUGACAGUUCUAAAACUUGACUAGGGAAAUUCAAGCAAGCAUUGAAAACUUUGGAAGUGGCUAGAUUAGCCCAAGCAAAGUCAUUGGGUGCCAAGUAACCCACUUAGUUACCUUUGGUUGCUCUUGGUCAAAGUGUAAUGAAGUUUCCUGAACAAAAAAAAGUUCAUUAGUUUCUUGAAAAGGAGUAUUUAUUUAUAUUAGCAGUAGUGAGCUGCACCUGUCCUCCACCCUCUUCCCCAAAAAAAAAAAAAGAAAAGGAAAUGACAAAUUCCCCCAGUUAGGGAAAUGAGAUCUAAAUUAUGAGGCUUCUGUUUCAGCAAGAACAAUUGGUUUCAGAAACUUGUUCUUUGAUUCCAAAUCUUCUCUUUUUGGAUCAAAACAAAUUUGGGAAGUCUUUUUGGGAAAAAGAAAGUUCAUUAAUUUCUUUGGAAGGAGCAUUGAUGCUAAAAGUAGCAGUGAGCUGCACCUGUCCUCCACCCUCUUCCCCAAAAAAAAAAAAAGAAAAGGAAAUGACAAAUUCCCCCAGUUAGGGAAAUGAGAUCUAAAUUAUGAGGCUUCUGUUUCAGCAAGAACAAUUGGUCUCAGAAACUUGUUCUUUGAUUCCAAAUCUUCUCUUUUUGGAUCAAAACAAAUCUGGGAGGAUAGGAAAAAGUCAAUGGCCAGAUUGAGUAUGUCAAUUUUUUCCCCUUAAAAGCUGGCUUGAUCAUUUUCACCAAUCAAUCGUACCGGACUCUGAAUGCAAUGAUUCCAAGCAUGCUGCUUUUAUGACUCUCUUUUUAUCUAUACAGAAAAUCCUAACGCUAUUUAGUGUAUGUUCUCUUUGAUCUGAUGAAAUAUACAGCUAGAUAGUUGUUGAUGCACCAAUGAGGUACGGGUGCCUAUGGCCCGGACAUUUUAAGUUCGAAAAUUUUCAAUUAUUCCUUGUCCAGCAGAAACCUGAAAUCUUUUGUAGGAUGUGUUUGAAUAUGCCAUUAUUUGAAAAAAGAAAUUAUUUAACUGCAUUGUAUAUAAAAAAAAAAAACUGCAUUAUGAACACAUUUUUUAACCAUUUUUUUAGCUGCGUGAUUUCUAAUUCUGGGAUUCAUUUCCUUUUUUCUUCUUCCUUUUUUGGUUUAAUACUUGAAAAAGUUUUUGAAAAAAAAAAAAAAGAAACUAUAUAAUGUAGAGAAGAUGCACGCUCGAGAUCACUAAUCUUCAGACAGACAUUUAUUCGAAUCUAAGUUAGAGGACGGCCAUUGUUGCAACGCAGUACUUCAACAUCUUGUUCAUAACACUUGUGCAAAAGCAACGAGCGAGUAAAAACUACAUCAACGGCAUGCCAAUUUUUCUCCUAAUUAACGGUUUAGGUUUGUAAAAGUUGACGUAAGCUCUUUGGACUUCGAAAGAAAAAAAAAUUAAUUGGGGAGGGGAGGAAGGGAGGGUUAAUUAAAUCAAAUCAAAUCAAAUCAACAGCAUGGUACAAAUUCAAUAAUUACGUAGGUGUGUCUUGAGAUUGCUUGCUCUUUUUGUUGAAUGUGUCCCAAAAUUGCUUGGAUUAUAUGAUGAUCAUGAGCGUGAAGUCAUCUAAUUAUGGAUUUGCUGUGGAAGAAGCUGUGUUGGCUAGUCACCGGGGUGGUGGGGGGGUAAUCAAGGUUAGAUAGUUCUCCUGUUCUAGUAACCGACCAUGUGGUGUGGGGCUUCAUCACUCUUGCACAUAAUUAUAUACUCUGUACAUCGACUUAUUGAGGCCCCCAUGGCCGUGGAUUGUGAACUUUAUAGGGCGGGAACAUUUCUCAUCUCUCCAGAAUUGAUUUUCUUUCAUUGCCCGAUUAUUUCAUCGAGUGUUAGAACCCAAGUACAAGUACUAUAAUUGAAGAAAGAUGGGGUGGUACAUAAUUCGAUGUAACCAAGAAAUUCAUGUACAGUUCUUAAAUAUCCCCACCACCUUCAGCUGCGAAAACAAGCGCCGAGGCCCUCGAAAACAGCUAAUUACUUCUUGGAUUCAUGGACAGAGGUCUUUCUAGAGCUCUUUCUGUUCCUCUAUCAAAAUAUAUAUAUAUAUAUAUAUAUUUGUGCAUUUGUUCAUCGAAAGGGAAGUACUGUAAUGCAUUACUGCUUCGCCAAGUUACAUGCAUGAAAAAGUACCAACAUUUCCAGUUGUACUACGGUUGUCAUCUCUUCUCAAAUUGAAUAAUCGGCAGUAUAAACCAACAGCAUCCACCGCAUUAAAAUUCCUCUUAAUCAUUAAAAUUUUCUAUCCCCGGCCGCAUAAUCCCCGACAAAUCACACCUGAAUUCAUGCUUUGUACUUGCGUUUAAGGAGGUAUUUAAAUGCCUCUGAUUUUCCCUUUUUUGUAUUCUCCUCUUGUUCCAUAUUCUUCUUUUUGUUCCAUGGAUCAAAGCAUAAUUUAUAUAAUCCUCCCGUUUUUUUUUUUUUCCUUUUUUUCUGUCCCAAUUUCAAUGCUAAGUAGUAAAUAUUUUCUGAUGGAGGGAGCCACACUGAAAAUCAGGAGUUGUCUAAAUCAUGGCUGACUAGACAGUCAGUCAGCCAACCUUUUCAGCCACGGCUGAUGCAGUGGGACCCUUUACACCCCAUGUUUCUAAAAUCCUUAAAAGACCUUUUUUUUUUUUUUUUUUCUUGAAACACCAAAAAUAAAAUAUUAUUACUACUUCAAUAAUAUAAGCAUUCAACCUUCAUCCCUUUUUUUUCUUUUUCUUUUUUUUUUGGGUUUUCUUGGCAAAUUCUAUUCUAUUCUUUUCUUAUAGUGGUAUGAUGAUUCUAUUCUGCCUUGCCAGUUUCUCCUUUCCCAUUCAUUUAUUUAUGCUGCUGAUGACAGUUCAGGAAUUUCUGGAUUCUGUUGGUGGCAUCAACACACGUGUUGAAAAACUAGCCUCCCCUUCCAUACUUACCUGUCGACGCGUGUAUGGCUGGGGACAACAUAGGCCUUAUCCCUGUGACGUGGCCUGAUGUUAUUCGUAGCUUUUUCCCAUGUCUGAUAUUGCACACAAGUCACAUACAAUGUCAGAAAAUUAUUGUUGACAAAAUAUGGUAGGUAGGGAAAAAAAUAUAUGUCCAGUUACAUCAAAAGUUUUUCAUGCAAUAAUAACAAUUAAUGUACUCAUGUAAGGAAUUUUGUCAUAAAACACGUUGAUCUGAAUACUAAAUUGGGUGUCGAAUGGAAUGACAUAAUCUCCAAAUUGGUCAUCAUCAAGCAAAAUUAUUAUGUUAAUCAUAUAUGCACUUGGUGUGUGUAAUUUCAAAAAAUAAUUUUUUUUUGAUGAAAAGAGAUAAAGGUUGAAUAACACGAUAAGUUGUCAAAUACAAAUAAUUUAGGAGCUAAAAUAAGAUUUCAGAGAUUUAGGCUUUGUUUGGAUUGCAUUUUUUUUUGAACCUUUUAUAGAAAAAUUAAUGUAACAAUUUGAUAUUUGUGAGAUAAAAAAAUAAUUACAAUCCAAACACACCAGUGUUCUAGAUUCGCAUCUCGUCUCUCCCUUCUCUUUUCUUAAAUUUCAUGCCAUCCCUGCUAUAUUUUUUUUUUUGAAAAAAAAUAAAAACACACGCACACACAGAGAUGAAAGAGGUUGUUAAAUGUGGAUGAGGACAUCAAGGGAGGUUAUUAGUUGACGGAUUGUACGUAGUCUUAGGAUGCCAUGUGUAACAUGAGGUUGACAAAAUUAUUAGAAACUGAAAAUGUAUUAUUACAUCAUGCACCCAAAAAGGAAAAGCCAUCAAAAUUUGGCUCUUGAUUUAUUAUAUAUAUAUAUAUAUAUAUAUAUAUUAUUUUCUUGGGAAACUGCUAACUCUCAGCUGUGUAAAGCAGACGGUCGUGAAAAUAACAAAUAAUAAUGGUCUUUAUUCAAAAAAAGAAGAAGAAGAAGAAGAAGAAAUGGCGGGAGGAUCUUUCUGAAAUCUAACAUAAGAGCAAAAGCCCACACCAUUCUUGCCGAAAUUGAGAGAAAAUUCGAAACUUGCGUUCGAGCCUCACCAAGAAAAAGAGGAUGUCCGUUCGACUCAUUCUGAAAAUGAUUGACAGGUUAAUGGCAUAAGAGUCGCUUUUGGUCCCAAUUCAGAAUUGGUUCAAUAAUUGGCCUCUUUUCCGAAUACAUGGAAUAACUAGUGUGUGUUUGGAUAACAAUUUUUUUUCCCUCAAAUACUAUUUUGCUUGCAUCAUGGUUAUAAUUUUCAAUUAAAUUUUUAUUUUCUUGAUAAUCUUUUUAUCUCGCAUACAUAAAAAUACUCCUCCGUAAUCAUUCUAAAUAGUAUUUCAAAUGAUCUCCUUUCUAAACACACUCUAUCCCAAUAAAAAUUUUUUUUUUAUCUCACACGCAUCACACCGUAAAACGUAUUACAACAAUUAUUUCAAAUAAUCUCCUGCCCUACAAUUUGUUCCCACAUUUUAGGGGAAGAAUGUGCCGCCAUCAACAGUAGUUGUUCCUACUGUAGUGAAAGCAACGUGACGGGUGCCCAACUAAGCCUUAGCUCUUUGAAGGACUAAGCAUCAACGGAUGGCAGAAAUAGCCUCUAAAGAGGGGCCUAUCGCAAGAUCUCUUAUGCUUUUGCGUUCAUGCAUGGUAUCAUCAACAAUAAUUUUACAUUACAACUUUGGAUCGUACAAAUAGCAUCAAGAUUUUUGUUCUUUUGAUGUGAUUUCUGAGUUGAGGGCUCACGUCCAAGGUCACCAAAUUGAAAAUUUACUUUUUAUCAAACAGGACAAAAAAUUUCUUGAUUUUACCGCAGGGGGGAUGGGGUGUAGUAUUAUAUAUUGGGAAGAUCUUCAAGCAAGGACUGAAGGAUUUCUAAGCGAAUGAAAUGAUCAAUCGUACAUAUCUUUAGGCAAUGGGGUGUCAACUUUAGGGCACAUCCAUACUCGUGGAUUGACCAUGUUGCAUUUGACUAGUGAACUCUUUUAAUUGCAUGAGUGAAGAUCAAGAUAUCGAAAUUUUAGCUUAAAACAAGUGUGCUUCACCUUGAAACUCAACUAGGGUUUGCCUUCUCACUUCUCACGGGAGUAGCUAGAAUCACAAAAUUUUCAAUUAGAUUCAAUGCACAUUUUGCUAUCUAGAGAUGUAUAAGUUGAAUAUGCAUUAUUUUAAAAUUGCAUAUAUGUAUGGGGUACAAACUGUAUCCUUCGUCGAAAGCGUUCUAGUCAUUACAAAGUAGUAUUGCUAAAAGUGGCUUGAGAAACAUACAGUGGAAAACGCAGCCCCCUUUUUUUUUUUUUUUGGGCAAGAAAACAUAGUGGAAACUGGAAAACACAGCUGAUUUGAGACGCCACUUGUGAGUAAUAGCAUGAUUUGACGGACACUAAGCAAUCUUUUGCUAGUGCACGACGCAAAGUAUAAGUACGUUUAUUCUCCGCAGGUAAGUCAAUAGUUAGGCAUAUCUUUCACACAAGUGGAAAAAGAAAUUUGUCUGAAUGGUGCCUUCAGGCGUUAAUUUUGUUUUUUUAAAAAAAAAAAUUGGCACGGUAUUUAAAUGCAGCGGUUCUAUUACAGCCCGUUUGAGGUUGCAAUGAGUUUACAAAAAAAAAAAAAAAGGUAUUUUUAAUCACUAAAAGUACAUCUAUGGUAUUUGAUAAUUAAUUUUUCAUAAUUUAAGCAGCCCAAGUUUGUGUAAUUAAAAGCACGUACGCUUGUUAUAAGUACUUGUGUCAGAAGUGGUUCUUUAUAAGUCAUCGCAGCAUCAAAUGGAGUUUGAAACUGACCCAUCUAUAACUACGUACCCACAAUAAUGUGAAAGCGUACGGGUAAUUAAAUGUUAAUCAAGUUGCGAAUCCACCGCGUAGUCGUACCCACAAUAAUGUGAAAGCGCACGUUUAAUUAAAUGUUAAUCAAGCUUGUGAAUCCAUCAUAUACCCGUUAGAAAAAUUCAAAGUAAAAGGAAUGGAAAAAGAAAGAGACUAUAUAUACCAUCACAAUCUUAAUCUGAUGAUGACUGGAAAGACUAUAUAGCUCGUCGAAUGACACAAAUCUUACGACUAAUUUAUUGGACGUCUUUAUAUAUUCAUAAGAGAGACAGUCAAAUAAACUUUCCUCCUUCUUGCUUUAUUGUUUAGUUAAUCACAACCAACUCAUCGUGAAAAUGACAACCUGCAUUUCUUUUUCUUUUUCGUUUCUAGAAGUGGGACUUUCCCUUUCGAAUUUUCGGUGCUGAUCGGAAAUAGAACAAAUAUCAACCAACCCAUCGUCCCCAUUAAUUUUUUUUUUUUUCCUGAUCAGAUAACGAUGCAAUACACUAGGGAAAAAAAUAUACACUAGUAAGAGAUCGAGUUGGCAUCCAGAAAUGAGAAUGAAAUAUGAAUCCUAAGACUUUCGAAUUUAUUCCCACUCAGGACCACAGAACAAUCUCUCAAUUAUCAAAGGCUGGCGAGUGUGUGAAAUUGGAUUGAGUCAAGCUGAUGGUUGAAUUAUAGUUAAUCAAAGUUGUUGUAUUUUCCAUUUUCCACCCCACCAAAGCGAAUUCAAAGUGUCUAGAAAAAUCUUGGACCAAAAAUGGGACAUAUAAUUAAUAUACAUGAGCUGCUCACAACCGCACGUGGCGCUGUAUGGAGUUGAACUGUGCUUUCGACAAAGAAAGGUCUUCGAAGAUCCUUCUUGGUUGUUAAUAGAAAGAAGAAUAGAUCAUUUUUUUAAAAAAAAAAAAAAAUUAAACAAGAAAGAAAGAAUGGACCACUUUCCCAGUCUGCUAUUUCGUCAAAAUUGGCCAUCAUCCAUCACUCAUUUUUCCAUUUGGUCAGUUUUCUACAUUUCUCCAUAACCCUUUACUUUCAGGGCUUGAUACACAUUAUUAUUACGAGCAAUUCAUAUACAUGGAUGGAUUCGUUUAUCCAUUCCAUCAUUUUGCUUAGGUAUGAAGUCAAAUCUGUGAAUACUAAUGCUAGUCCCAGUGAACAGCGAGGCCCUUCACAUCUCGUGCAAGUUCUAUCCAAUGAAAGUUUCCUGGCGACAAAAAAACUUUUGAGGGUAUUAAGGCUCCUGUCUACUUUGUGUCUUCCCAUGUGUGAUCUCUAAUUCUUGGAAUGUGGAUUUAAGCCAUAGUUUUUUUUUUUUUUUUGUGAUCUCUAAUAGUAGUAGUUGAUUUGAAAGAUGACUGAUCGAUCCAAGGUUUAUUAAAAAUAGCAAAGAUUCUUUUCAUGGUCACGGGUGGUUUUGUCAGAAAGUUUUAAUUGUCAGAAAUGACUUUCAGAAGAUUUUCCUAGUCAGAAAUAGGAAUGAAAAUCAUCAAUCUUCUUCCAAUCACUUGAGUUGUGUCUGAUUGAUUCUUAUUAUUGUAAUCCGGAACCAAAACUGAACCAGCGGUAUUGUGCAAAAUUUUGAGACCAAUAAUUUUGUAGAUUGCGAUUUUUUUGACCAUGUAAAAUUCAGCUGACUGUACUAUAGUCUAAAGCCGCCGCGCGUGUGGCCAGUACUGUAGUAGUAGCCGCAUUAUUAUUAUUAGUUUACACCCUUACCGUGUAGAAUUAGUCAAAUUAUUCCUUUUCUUGUGCCUUGAGAAAGCAAGACAUGAUUAAAAUCAGAAGAACAAAAAGCUGCAACUGCAGCUGACCCUGAUUGGGAUUGUUGUUCAUCUGAUCAAUGAUAAAGUGUCAUGGAUGGAUGGAUGGGUGGGUGGCUUCUGGGGCUACUAUUAAUUUAUACUACUCUACAAGACUAGAUAAACGAAAAACAUGUCCAUUCAAACUAGCAUUCAAUUGGGGGUCCGAAAAAGUGCUACCGCCGGCACCGCAUGCCAUCUUCUAUUACUAAUUUUUAGUCUCUAUUCUACGUGGUAGGGUGCAAAGGGGGCUGAAGAUUCUUCUACAAAAUGAGGAGCCAAGAAACAAAAGCUUUGAGACGGCCGAAGCUUGUUGGCUAGGGUCCCUGGCCGACAUGAGUCGGUCAAAAAACUGGAGACAACUUCUGCCAUGCGGACUUCUUUUACAUGCUCUUAUUUACUAUUCAUCUUGUUGGGAUAGAGUCUGCUGCAACCUUAUCCACGCACGCAUUCCCCUUUUGAUAAAGACAUAUUAUUAUUGAAAAUAGCAGCUCUUCAGGAAGUCUGAAGUAGGGAAAAAGAACUCGCCAGACAUUCGGAUGGGAUUGAUUGGGAGGUGGCAAGUUAGCUUGAAAACUGAAAGGGCGUGCGUGCGCAUAAUGAGUCGAGGGAACCUGCAAUAAUUUUUCUUUUUUUGCUUCGCAUGCAGAGAUUACAUUCAUGAACAUUCCACCAAUAUGUAGUACGCGAAUGGAUUGACGGGUCUCUCGUUGGUGCUAGCUUCAAGCCGCUAGCUUGAUAAUGAUGGACAGCGACUAUCUAACAACGGGAGAUUAAUCUAUCUACAGUGCUGCUGCUGUACAAAUUGAAGGAAUGGUUCGAGAGAUACAUCCACAAAUCAAUCAUGCUAUAGUCAUAAAUAAAUAGAACCAGUGACGAAAACGGUGGCAUAGCACUAAGGGACGAUAGUGGACUGGAAAUAAAAUAUGUCGAGCAAGGAUGUGUUGCGGGUCGAUUCGGAGGAUCGCUUCUAUUGCAAGAAAAAUUACCAAGAGAAGUUACAAUUGAACACGUUUAUUCGAAAUUUUGGGAUUGCCUGCUCUUCAAAGUGAACCCAGAAAAAGGUGGCAACGAUAAUGGGAGUCUUACGACAAUAAUCCCAAGAAUCCGCUUUUUCUGGUACUUAUGGAACUCUUUCCACGUUCUGUUUGAGUUUGAAAAGAAUUGAGGAUAAGAACUCCAUCCCAUCCUCAAAUCUCUCCUCUGAUUUGGUCACCAAAAGCACAGGAGGACUUUCUUUCACUAUAAGUAAUAAUUCUCUGACCUAUCAGCGAUUGGAACGCAACGGCAGGUCUUUGCCGUUUCAUUCAGAGAAAGGGAGAAGUCCGUAUACUUUCCACUUGAUUACCAACCGACGAGUACUACACCAAAAUGACAUUAGAUUUGAUGGCAAAGGCCAGAGAAAAAGUACCAUUUUCCUGAGGUGAAAAAUGAGUAGUUGGAUAACCCUCAACUCACUUUUCAACAUAUCUGCAGGCGGGCAGCCUACGCGUGAUGAUGACCCUCAACAUGCCAAUACAUUUGCUCUCUAUGCUAGCUACUAGCAUAAAAUGCAAAUUUUCAUCUCAGAAGAUAAACGUGUACAUAUAUCUGCUUUGCAUGCUCCAUACUUCCACAGCAGAUUGGCACAAUAAUUGGUCAUACGCUAUAGUAAUCAAUUCCAAUAAUUUCAACCUUCCUUGAACUUGAAUCUGUAUGCAGCAUACAAAUGAUGGCUCCUUACGUUUUAUCAUUCAUCAAGCAUGCGUAUAACUAGUUUGCCACCAACAAUUCCAGAAUCCAUAAUUCCACAUCUAGGACAAAAAUCGGGCAGGGGGAGUUGGUCUUCUCUCUAUCCAACAAGGAGAUAGCUGCUACUUGCUUGAUAAGGGAUACUGCAGCUUGGGGCAGAGGCAAGCCAUGAUACGGGGAAGAAACAUCUUUCAACCCGGAUUGAUGGGCUGGAAAAUGUUGGAACUCAAAAAUUCGAGAGCUGAGCCAAUGUUGAAGUGGCCAAGUCCAUACACAGAUUCAUUUAUGCACAAGCAAACGAGAGAAAAAAGAGCAGAAAGGUUCCCCUGACAAACCGGAAAAUACUACGUUCACAAGGAAAGAAAAAAUAACAUCAGGUGGCUUUGACGAGAUGGAUCUACGUUUCGUAAAAUCUAAUGACACAACAUUCUGUGUUGCCACAGGCAAAAACUACUAUGAAAUACAUGAUAUACAAGACAUUAUUAAUUGAAGCAAUUUGACUAUGGUCAUAGUGCAACAUAUUAAAAGAGACUUGUGUGGUCAAUGAAGUGGCACUAAGAACAUCUACUCUAUCAUGCAAACAACUACAUAUCAAGUUUGUAGCAACUGUAUUUCACAUCAAUCAGCCAUAUGUAGCAUUGCAUCUAAGAGCAGGUGGAAAUCCAUUAUAAUCCUUGAUCACCACAUGGAUGUAAAAGUUCCACAAUGAACAUCUCACCACAACCCUCAACGUUAUAAUAACAAUUGCAAUUUGCAUAAAUGAAGUCAGCGCAAGGAAAUGGCAGCCUGAGGUUUUCACAAUCAUUAAGACCACAUUGUUCAUCGAUAAAUAACACUAAAUGUACUCCCUAUUCCGCAUUUGCAGCACAAUGACCACAUUUGGACUGGGAAGUUUCUUUCACUUGAAAGUGAAAUGGAGAAAGGUCCUUCUGAAAUCAUAAAAAUGCUUCGUAUACAUGUGUGUUUUUAUUUGGCCUUAUCUCUGUUUGUGACUGUUUCUUGAGCCAGACAACAUAUUACUAAGGGUAAGUGUACUGACUUAAAAAAUGAGUUCAAGAGUCAAGACCAUCAGACAACUGAGCUUGUUGAUCCACUACUCCUGGAUUACCAAGCCACCAAAUGCUUUGGCAUAUUGUCUACCAUUAAGCAUAAAAUUCAUCAGUGAGGGUGGACAAAAUUUUAAAGAUAUGUACAACUUUCUGAUCCUACAAUUUGUUAAGCAGAACAGGCUUGACAAAAUUUGUUUCAGAGAUGCAAAGUGAGACAACUGAAUCUAGCUAAUUCCUAUUAAGUUGAUAUUGGCUACUAUCAAGUAAUUUCAAGUUAGUAAUCUAAUGGUAAGCUUCAGCAAGCCAAAAAGGUGAACUUACAGUCACAAAAAAAGAAAAGUUCAAGCAAGAACAGCCAAAUCAGCACAUCGCCAUUAAUUUCAACUGCUGAGAGAAGGAUAAUCUAUCCCAGCUCCUUACUUCAAUUCAGAAACUUGAUAAACAUUUGGAAAUUGGAAGCACAGAAUUAGGUCAACACUUCUGGAGCACAUUCCGCUGUGUGCUAAAUCAUCUCAUAGAAAAAGUACAUAGUGCCUCACAAUAAACAUACUAAAGAAAAGCAUCUUCACAGGGAAAAGAAAUGAUAACUGCACCACUGAUUGUGGCCAAUAAAAGGUCCGAGUCUCUCAUGAAAAAGUGAAAUAAAGCAUUCAUGAAAUUCAAAAGUGGUGCCAUUAAAUUGAAAUUGGCCUGAGUUAUGGAUUGAAAAUCUAAUCACAUAGAGAAAUUCAACGUGCGCCCUGAAUAAUCAAAUAAUUCAGUUUUAAUAUCACUCCAUUUCCCCAAGUACAAUGACAGAUAGAACAGUCAACACCUAUUUGGUGUAGACAGCAAGAUGCUAUCUGUAACAAGUGGAUUUGUUCGGUGAUUAACAAUGAGAAUUUUCUAAGAAAAUGGAUACACAACAGACUUCUUUAGGGUACACAAAUUUAAGCAAGCAUGGCUAUACACUUCAAAGUCUAAGCACUAAAAUGUAGCACUAUGCGUUAUGCAUAUCAAAUGGAUGAACGUGCCUCUAAUCAAAUGGAUGAGUACACAAAUCAUCAGUCUAUGAACUACAAUGAACAAUGCACGUAAAAUUCUACAGCAUCAUACCCACUACGAGGUUCCUUGAUUCUCAUUUGCCUUACCCUCUUCAAUUUUCAAUUCUGGUUCCUCCGGAUGAGACACAUCAUAAGUUGUGUGUACACCAACUAAAACAUAGUAAACUAGCAUUACUGCACUUGCUAUGACGAACCGCCAGAUAGCCACUACACCAAGAGAUCCUAUGAGAAAGAUAUUUAUGAAAAUUGACAAAGAUGGCAACCAUGGAACAAGGGGAACACCCCAAACUUUAGGAGACCGCUUUCUUGGAAGAAAUGCCAUUCCUAAGGUGCCUAUCAACCAGAACACACCAGUCACAACAUACCCAAUCCAUCCACCCUUGUUCAAACACCAAAAAACUGUGACCCCGAUUGAUGAGCCAAAUAUGACAAACAGGCAACCAAGGAAUUUGACAUGAUCGUUCCUUGGAGUGACAUCCUUAACAUAAUACCGCCUAACGAGCACUGCAACAGCCAUAAGCAUGAAAAUGAAAAGUGUGCUGAAUGAAAACACGCUUGACAAGACAUCCAAACUUGAGAACAAAGAAAGAAUGCAACUAAGUGUAGUCACCAAAAGUGUGGCAUAAAUUGGUGUCCUAGUUUUUGGAUGAACUAGAGCAAAAUAAGGUGGAAUCAUAUGUGAUCGCGCAAUCUGGGUCGUAUACCUAGCCUGCCCCAUAGAUCCCACAAGCAAACUUGUAGUCAUUCCCUUAAGAGCACAAAUUCCCACCAAAUACUUAGCCCAUUUCAUCCCAAUCUUCUCAAAUGCAACCGAAUACGCCGCAUUAACAUCCACCUCCGUAUAUUUCACCAUCAUUGCCAGUGCCAACGCCAUCAAACAAUAAAUAAUAGUAAUCAUAGACAUUGAACCAACCAACCCCAAAGGUAUAUCCCUUGAGGGCUUCUUGGUUUCCUCAGCCAUUGUAGCUACCAUAUCAAAACCAGUAUAAGACCAAUACACAACAGCAGCAGCAGUGAACAUCCCCUUAGGUCCAUAUGGGAAAAACGGCACCAAAUUUGAAGUAUCGGCAUGAAUAAAACCAACAAUGAUAAUAAAAAUAAUCACGCCUGCGCUGAUUAAGGAACUCACCCAUGUCAAAAUAGAAGUCCUCCUAGACCCAGACAUGGCUAUCCCAUUACACAGUGCCAAAAUCCCAACAGCAAGAGGGUCCAACAAAUUAAACCCUUCAGGAAAAGAAUCAAUCUUUAUCCUUAAAAGAUCAGGAUUACUACUAAUAACGCUAGCAAAAUAUGAUGACCAUGAACGGCCUAAUCCAGCAGCACCCACAAUUGCUUCUAACAGAAUAUUCCCAGCAGCAAUAUAAGCAAGAAAAUCACCCAACUCAAUCCUAAGAAAAGAAAACGACCCGCCAGCAGUUGGGAUAUCCACAGAAAAUUCAGUAUAACAAAAUACUGAAAGCAAAGCAGAAAGCCCAGAAAUUGCAUAGGACAAAACAAUAGCGGGGCCAGCAUGAUCAUGAAUUUCUUGGCCAGUGAGGCUAAAAAUACCUGAGCCCACAACAGAGCCAAAACCAAGCCACAUCAGAUCCCACCAGGUGAGGCAUUGGUGCAUUGAAUUCUCUGACUGUUUCUUGAGAACCACCAGCUCGGUAUCGUCUGAGGAGCGGCUCAAAAGGCGAUCUUUCAGCCUCUGAGGCGUCUUGGCCACGGCGGAGCGGUAGGUGGAGAAAUUCUCGAAUGUGGGUUCUGGGAAGAAAUCUUCUUUGCUGAAUCUCCAGUACGAUCUUUUGGCAGUUGGCUCCGGUGGUUGCUCCAUCUUGGCGGCGGCGGCGAAGGGAAGUAUUAAAGGGCUUUUGAGAUGUUCUUGGGAGAAAUUUUGAUGAGAGGCAGAAGCAUUAUUAUUAUUCAUAGCUCCGGAAGUAUGGAGUCGACUCCAGGGAUUCUAGCUCGGCAAGUGUCAGUAAAAGUCUUUGGAUUUCUUUCCUAAGUCCGGAAUUCGGAGACUGAUGAUGAAUUUUUCCGAUAACUUGGGUAAAAUUCAUAGUCUUAUUACAAGCUGCGGCUGUAUUCGUCUUUUGGGUAGUUGAAAUAUGAUUGCUGCCAAUAAAUCCUUAACAUGUGUUUAACGUGGAUUUUAUUUAUUUAUUUAUUUACGCUUUUCUUGUUGGGGACGAGGUUUCAUCUAUUGCUUGCAUAUUUACCAACAGCGCAUUUGUUCAGAACUGAUGUGCCGAUUCAACUUCUUGAAAUUAAAACAUUUUAGUCACAUAUAAAAAAGAGUUAAUCUAAUGGCCCCACAGGGCAUUUAUAUAAUUUUUUAAUUUAAUUUUACCUAUCCUCAUUCGUUUUUAUUUUUUUAAUUAAUUUUCAAUUUAAAAAUAUAUGACAUUUAAAAUAUAUUUUAGUGAGUGUCUAUAGAACACUCAUUAGACAGACCCUAUAAAAAAUGGCUCCAAUUCUGUAUGACAAGUGAGUGUUAUUGCUAGUUAAUGUUGAUUUGAGCAUAUAAUCUUUAAGCUCGUUAAGCAAAUCAAAGUUCAAUAGUAAUCUAAUGCACUAAGUCGACAUGACUAGGGGCUUAUGAAGAUUAUAGGAACUAAAGACUUUUAUUUUCUUUUUAAUUUUGAAAGUAACUUCAAAUUAUUCAAUUGAUCUUCUGGAUUAGAAGCAGCUAAUGGCAUUGUUUUUUUUUUUUUUUUUGUUGAGGUUUUGGGGUUCCAAGAGGAAAACAAAAUAAAAAUUUGCUAUCUUAUAGUAAUAACUAAAGGUACGUUUAAUGAAACUAAAAUUUGAAAUUUGAAAUCUAAAAUCUGAAUCUAUUAAGUUAUUAAAUUGUUAAGUAUUAAAUCUAAUACAUUUAAGUACAUAUCAUAUUCAAUGAUAAGUGAAUACUUAUCACUUAAUUUUGGAUACAAGUUUUGCCUAAGAAUUCAGUGUCACUUAAUUAAUUCAUAUGUUCAAUUUUUUAUUAUCAAACGGUCUGAAUAUGUUAAGAUUUGAUUUCGUUAAAUUUAAGUGCGGAAUUGGGUUAUCAAACAAGCCUAACUAAAAAUGCCUAUGAAAAUUGUCCUCACGCCUUGUCAUACAAAGUAUUGAUCCCAUCAAAAUAUGAGAAGAAAUUGUAACUAAGUCUACCGCGGCAAAGACAGUUUUAGUUACUUACAAUUGUAACAGUUCCUCCUCCAUAUUUUGAAAACCACUUAAUCAAUUCAACCCCCUUUAUGUCUUAAUUUUGACACAGUGGACUCCUGAUGGUUUCAAUAUCAUACUCUCUAAUGGCAUUAGUGAGCUCACUAGGAGAAAGAUUAGGGAUAGAGUUGGAAAUUUCCACACUUAAUGACCAACGUUCAGAGUAAACAUGAGGCACUAGAUUAAUUAGUUCAAGAAAUAAAGGACGAAAUUGUUAUUAUUCUCUGAAUCUCACUGGUCUUAUGGGCUAUUUAGGAUGUUAAGAACCUCUACUCAGAAAGGCCCACAGCUAGUAUGCCUUCCUUAAGCCACUGGGCCUUUGGUCCAGUAGUGCGGAAGGUCAAGGGUUCGACCCUUGGCUCACACAAAAAAAUUGUCACAAUAUGUGACAGUUCUCAGUGGUCAUUUUCGAUGGAGUCCCCCCUUUCUCCUAGAUUAGACUAGAUUAGGUUAUAGCAAUCCUAUCGUUGCGACAAAAAAAAAAAGUAUGCCUUCCUUAAUAAAGCGAGUAAUGGUGAUGGCAGCUGUAAAUUGUUGAAAUCAUCGCAAUUUAGUGUUCUUUGGUGUAUUUUUCUCUCUCCCUUGCUCUAUCUCUUUUUUUUCCCCCAGAUGUCUCAGAAUUUUAAUGAGCUAGUAAUACUAUUUUGACUGAUUUUAUUUUCAAUUUUCUGUGUUUGUCUUUGAGAACUUACUUGGUUAUUAUCUUGUCAAGAACCCAGAAUUAACCAACCAAAUCGCAUCUUAUCUUUUAGGUCUACAGUCGUUUGGCAAUUCAAUACUACAUUCUAUAACGUAGUAUUGUUUAUUUAUUAGUUCUUUUGUGAUAUUAAGAAGAAGAAAUCAUUCACACAGCAUAGAGGUAAGUUUCAGUUUCCUGUGUCUCAACUCAUUUCAUCCAUCUAAUAAAUGAUGCAGACUCCCGUUUCUGUCAUGGAAAGCCAUGUAUGCAAAUAACUGGAACUAGACGGAUUAAUAAUCCUACAAUCGAUUGCAUGAAUUAAAAAUGUAAAAUUUUUUCAUUGGGCCAUGCUUGACAGUAAUUUUUCUUUUCUUCAAUCGUCAACUCUUUCAAAUCAUAGUUGAUUAUACAUUAAUGCGUACCCUAAAAUAUAGUUCAUUUCCAAACUUCUAUCUCCAUUGAUAUAUAUAUAUAUAUAUAGGGUUGGUUUUGGCCACUUUCGAGACUUGAAUUCUCGAAUAUUUACCAAAGGAAAUCAUCGCAUUUUUCCUUACCUGCCAAACAAGCAUGAUUCUGGUGGAAACAUUUAGCCGCGUAAAUAUAAUCAAUCAGAAGCCCGCGAUCUUUUCAUAAUCUUUUGGACUUGGUAAAACAUUUGUUUGAUACUUGCUCCAAUAAGGUAGCAUUAAGUAGUUAAUCCAAAGUACAAGUCAACUAAUGUGAUCAGGUGAGAUUUUAGAACAUACCCAGGGUCUGCAUCAACUCUCUGGUCCCAUGACUUGCCUUCCCAUCAUUAGCAAUGGAUUAAAGAGGAAAGAUUCAGUCGCUUGUACAACGACUCCAUCACCUAAUGUGGCAAUCAACUUGGUCCUUUUCAAUGGACUUAUCUGGCCAUUGUUUAAUAGAAACACAUGCAUAUGGUGGAAAACUAGAGGUUAGUGAAGCAUGAGAAGAUAUACAUUAGUAAUUUUGGGUGGAGACGUAAUGGAGAGUGGAAUGAAAAGAUGGAUGGUAGCCAAAAGGGCUGCAGUCAUAUAAUUGGACCAUGUGAAUCAAGGGUACGAACAAGAAAAAGAAAAAAAAGUUGUUUUGUCAAAGUUGGUUUCGCACUGUUACAAUCUAAGGUAAUAAUAAUGUUUGGGUUGCUCGCACUUUUAAGGCUUCUCUGUGCAUCAUGAGUUGAAUCAUUGCAAAGUAGUUUUUUUUUUUUUUUGAAAAACAAUACUUUCUUAGCAAUUUAUUGUUUUCAUUUGCAUGCAGUGACCAAAAAUAAAAAAAAAAAUGCAUACCCACAUUCUGUUACUCCUCCUUGGAAUAAUUAGAUUGGUCACUAAAAAAGAUGGAAUAUAGGUACUAUGAACUCGAAAAUUAUGGCUAAAUAUGAGUCUGUAACAUCGAGAAUCAUGACACAAAAUAAAGCCUGAAUAAAACAUUCUAAAAACAUAUGAAAAAUGGAGCUCAUAACUUUGAAAGUCAUGAACUCAUCAUACCUUCUGGCAUUAGAAUGCAAACGAUAAAUUUUUUUUUUUUUUUUUUUUUUUUGGUGUUGGCUUUCUCUAUAGAUCAUAUGAUAUGUGAUAUGUGCAAUAGUUGAUACAUAAUGGAACAAGAAAAAUGAAAACGAGUGUGUAUGGCGAUGAAAGAAAAUUUACGUCACUAUUAUAUAUAUAUAUAUACCACAUGAUCUAAAGUGAUUCCGUAAAAUAGUUUUUGCCAAAAGAUAAAGCCAAUGUGCAAUAAGUUUUAAAAACGAACAAAAAAACCGAGCUCAACUCAAAGAUUGUGGCAAGAAAAAAUGGAACCUAUUCAACAUAACGCAGGAUCAAGACAUUAUUGUUAAGCUCAACUAGAAAUUUAUUAUUUGGCCAUUGUUUAAUAGAAAUACAUGGUGGAGAACUGGUUUAGUGAAGCAUAAGAACACAUACGCUGGUAAUUUUGGGUGGAGAGUGGAAUGAAAAGAUACUGUCCAAAAGAAAAGGGCUGUAGUCAUAAAAUCGGACCAUGUGAAUCAAGGUACAAAAAAAGAAAAAGAAAACAGUUGUUCAUUUAAGGACUUCCAAAAGAAUUGUUAGCUUAAAGCCACAAUCUAAGGUGAUAAUAUAUGGCUUGCUCGUACUUUUUAACUUCUCCGUGCAUCAUAAAUUAUCAAAGUUGGAUCAUUGCAAAGUAUUUUUUUAAUUAUUUCCUUACCUAUUUAUUGUUUUAAUUUGCAUGCAGUGACCAAAAAUGAAAAAAAAAAAAGAAAGAAAGAAAAGGAAACGCAUACCCACAGUCUGUUACUCCUUGUUGGAAUAAUAUAUUGGUUGCUGAAAAAGAUGGAAUAUAGGUACCAUAAACUGGAAAAUUAUGACUAAAGAUUAAGCUAAAAGAUGAGUCUCCACUCUCUAACAUCCAAUGCUUUUUAACUUGUGACGGAGAGUGACUGGAAAACCUUUUGGUUCGGGGUUUGAUCAGUUCAACCGAUUCAAUUUCGGUUCAAAGGUUUAAUAAUUUUUUAAAUUUAUUUUAGUAUUAAAAACUUUGAAUAAAAUUAAAAUAUUUAUUUUAGAAAUACAAAUUUAAUAAAAACCUGUUGAACCUCCUGUUUUAUCGAUUUUUAUCGGUUGAAUCGAUUUUUGACUGAAUUUGACGAGUUUAAUUCAUUUUUUUUUGAUUAUUUAUUGAAUCGGGCCGAAAGCAAGACCAGUUCACGGCUCGACCGAUCGAACCAUCCAAUUUGAUCCGAUUUUCAAAACAUUGAUCACAUCGAGAACUAUGACACAAAAUGGAGCCUAAAUACAACAUUCUAAAAACAUAUGAAAAAUGGAGCUCAUAACUUUGAAAGUCACGAACUCAUGCCUUCUGGCAUUAAAACACGUGCAAGUGAUAAAAAAAAAAAAAUUGCGUUCGCUUGAUCUAUAAAAUUACUUAUAGACUGUACGAUAUAUACACUAGCUGAUACAUAAUGAUAUAAGAAAAAUGAGAACGAAAAUGGUGCAUGACCACGAAAAGAAAGUUCCCCUAACUAUUGUAUACAUCACACGAUGGAAAAGUGAUUCCUGUAAAUAAGUUUUUGCUAAAAGAUAAAGCCAACAAGUUUAAAAACCAGCAAAAAAGCCAAGCUCAACUCAAAGAUUGUGACAUGAAAAAUGGAACCUAUUCAACGUAACUCAUGAUCAGGACAAAAGAUGAUGUCUGUAACCGCAAGGGCGAGAGGUCCCUUUUUACCUCACACUUCAUACGUUACAACUCUCGAGUUUUGGCUGUAUAGCACUCUAAUCCUACCAUUAUCAUGUGAUCAGUUCACAUAGAAAAGUGCAAGAAAGAACAACAAAAGAGUAGUCAAAUAAAUGCCAUCUUUUUUUUUUUUUUUGGGCAAGAAAUCCUUGAAAAGUACUGAAUUAAUCAACAAUUACUCGUUUCUGACUUGUACAAUUAAAAUACUUCAAAGCCAAAAGAAAGAGCCAUAAAUGCUGCAUUAAUCCAUCCUAUUCCUCGUUAAAUCUUCCAAUAAAUUCAUUUGAAUGUAGCAAUAAAAGCAAAAGAUUUAUUUGUGAUGGAUCCUCGUCUAGCAAUUAAGGCAGCCAUUCAUGUUCUUAUUAAUGAAUCAAGAAUUAUCAAAAAAAUGAAAACCUUAAAAUUGCUUUUUACCAAAAUGGGACUAGGCAUCAUGCAAUUAUGUACUACUAUAGAAGAUUAGAACAGUGAUAGAGCAUCUUAUUUAUUGGGAAUAGUUCCAGAAGAAAACAUACUCUGUAAUCUUUAGUGCUACUGUUACAUGUUUGUCACAUGCUCCCUCCAUCACCCACAACCACCCCCCAAAAAAAAAAAAAGGAGGAGAAAAAUCCAAGAAGGUGAAAAACCCAUCACUCAGUAUCUCACAGAGGGGAGGGGAGGGGAGGGGAGACGUCACUGGUCAAACAGAGUCCAUGAGGGAUCACGCUCAUUACCCACUUUAUUCACUUCCUUUCGAAAUCAAUGUGCAUUUAACAACAAAAUCAUGCAAUGUCAUUACAUAAUCAUGGCCGUACACGUGGCACCCGCUUAAAUUAUUGGAAAUCCCGAACAUCUGAUGACCGAUGGACCCCACCGCGAAGACCCCCCACCAUAGAUAAUCCACAAAUUUUUCUUGCAUCAGUAAGUAGCAGCAGCAGCAGUAGUAAGAGGGAGAGUAGUGUACUGGUACUAGUACUUCUCUGCAUCACGUUUUCUAAUUCCCCGGAUGCACACGGUCAAAUCUAACGCUCCAGAUGAUGAAAUCUCCGACUGGGUUCUUUCCAACUAAUGGGGUUGUGCCACGUAUGAUGGGAUUCUGGUGGGUUUUGUGCGAGUGUGUAGAGGGGAAUAUUACCAUGUCUUAGAGGGAACAAGAGAGAGUGAUGUGAAUAAGGCCAACCUUGUAGAGAGAGAAAGGAAGAAGAGAAGCAGAAGAAGCUGAGAGAAGUGUAACCGUUUUGUUUCUUACCAUCUGAGGAACCGAGGGAAUCUUUUGUUUUUUUCUUGGUGGGUUUAAGAUUAAAAGGAAGAGGAGAGGAGGAGGAAAUGUUGUUGGGUUUUUCUUGGUGUUGUGGGAAAACUAAGGUAUAUGCUCAAGAGUCCCAACCCAACAACUUUUCUAUAUUCCAUCGUAUUCACUUGUGUGUAUUACGUACGGAUAUAUGUUCAGCCUUUUGUUGUUGUUGUUGUUGUUGUUGUCAAUUCUUUAAUUUAAUCUUUGAUUCCAUCUGGGUUUGGUGAAUUUAUGUAGCUUUUGGUAGAAAUGAUUUGAUUUUUAUUAUAUCUGUGCAGAGUAUUUCAGCUGUUCUUUUUUUUUUUUUGGGGCGGGGGGUGGCGGGGGACGGGCGGGCAAUGGGGAACGCAAUGUUGUACUUGAUUUUUCUUACCUUUUUUUAAAUUGUACCAGGAAUUGGUAGAAUGUGAUGAGUUUUAGGUGGGGGUUUAAUUGAAUUAGAUGUGAGAAUGUGGAAAAAGAAAGGAUUUUGUCCCUCCAGUGUUCUCAUUGUCAUACAUGUUUUUAAUUGGUAAUAUUAGGGCGAGUCUUUUGUUUUUCCCUUUUUGAAUCUUUUCAUCCUUUCUCUUUGUUUUUUCGACAAAAAUUUGUUCUUGGUAGGGUUAUGAUGGAGUAAUUUUGCACUCAUUGUGUGUUGCUUCUUUCAUUAGCAAAUGUAGCUAAUCAUCAGCUGAUCAUUUGUGGAUUUGCGUUAUUGAUCAUAUUAUCUCUUCUUUUAAUUUCAUUGAAUAAAGUUCAAUUCUUGAAAUUUUCUUCAUGCAGUUCUAUACGUUGAUGCAUGAAAGUUACUAAGGUGGAAUGAAUUGAAUCAUUAGUAUCCAAUGGUUAGUUAUUUCAGUGCGGUAGUUUCAUUUAAAAUUGCAUUGGAUGUGUCAUCGGCAUGAGAGAAAUGAGAGCUACAAGGUUCUUUUAAAGUUAAGGAAAGAAAUGUAGAAACAAACAGUUUGUUUGAUGUCUUGCAGUUGCUGUAAGUGUUGAAGCAGUUAAUAGAAUGUACUCUUCCUCGUGCCGAUUAUAUUCUCUUAAUGGCUUUUCGUUCCAGGUUAUUGGACUGGCAGCGUGUUAUCAAAAUUAAUGCCAGGGUCGUCCUGUUGGAUCUGUAUACUAAUUGAGCUACUUAUCAAUUUACAUCUGCCAAAUUGGAAGCAAAAACGUAAUUUGGAAACUCUCUUUUAUUCUGGCAUUCUUUAUUGAACUAGUAACAAAUUUGCUCAGGCACUUCAGAACGUGGAUCAUGUCUUCCAUAGACAAUAGGGUUAGUUAUGUGCCCACAUGAAUCAAGACCUUCAGAAAUUUGAUAUAUCUGGAUGUUCACUUUGGUUACAUAGAAUUUAGUCACAGAAAGGAUGAGUCAUGCCCAUGAAGCUUUCAAGAUAACUGGACCUCUAUGUUUUUUGUUGUUGAUGAGAUGUAUACUCUGUCUAAAGAACUAAUAAUUUAGCAUAGCCUUUAACUGUGAUGGUUGGUUGAUAAUCACUUAUAUAAUGAUGUGCAGCAGAUUAGUCAAUUGAGUUGAAUGAUGAAGUUGAUGAUGUUGUCUACUUAGCUGAUGUCUGUGUUGUUUCUAUAAUUCUUACAUGUAGUUAAGUGCGAUCUGCCAUGCCAAAGAGGUUUUAGAGGAAAACGGGACAUGAUUGUUUUGGUGAGGACAUGCUUGAGCCAAGGGAAACUGAUAUACCAGCUUUGUUUCUGGUCUUUGUUGUGCUUCCCCUGGUUGCAUAUAUCUUGCUAGGAAAAUGGAGCGAGUCAACGAAAAAAAAAGAGAGGGUUAGUUUGCUUACUCAACAGGCAGCUGAAGAAUCUCUUAGAGUUGAAGCAAUGACUGCUACUACUGUUGCCCCUGUGUUAUGCUUGCCAAACAAUUCGACUCAUCAGUGUGCAAGAUGCUUUGGUCAAAGUACAACUCGCUGUAAACGGUGCAAGUCUGUUUGGUACUGGUAUGAUCUUAGUGUUGGUUUUGAACACAUUUGCAUGUAAUUUGUAUCUGCAUAUACUGUAGGAAUAUAAAACUUAUCUUCGGUAUGUGAACUGUGGUUAACUGCGGUAUUCUAUAAUUCUUACUGAACAAGUUUUGCUAGAAUGCAUAACAAAAUUACAGUGAUUUAAAAUAAAGGAUUUGGAAAGAUAUAUCUAAUUGUUCUUAGUUUUAUUUCUAAAAAAUGUAUCUAGCUGUUCUCUUCUGAGGCUUAAGAGUAAUUGUUAUUUGUUAACUUGAUAUUUGUUAGUCUAAACUUUUGAGCUACUGUGUUUGCAGUUCCGGAAAGUGUCAGAUUAUUCAUUGGAGGGAAGUGCACAAGCAUGAGUGCCAGGAAUUGGAUAGCAAUUGCAGCAUUUCAUCUCCUAAACUCACCCUAGCCAAUGAGUUUCCUGGUGGAGUAUCACUUGAUGGCAGUGUAGAUUUCCAAUCCUUUGAGUACAAUAACAACCAACCUAUGCUUGAAGAAACUCCUUCAGGGAAUACUAGUUGUUCUCCCUUGCUGCCCAUAGCUGUUACAGCUUGUGCGGAAGUGGAUACAUCUGGGACCCCUUUGACAGAGAGAAGAUCCGUGGACAAGCGACCUUCUUGUAAAAGCAACAGAGAAACGUUAAAUAAUGGUCUUGAGCACCUACCAGAUUGCUCUGAUAGAGCAAAUCCUAAUGGGGUUUCUUGUUCACCCUUGUCUUGUAAUAUGCCGGUGAAGGAAGCUUCUAUGGGACACAAGGUUCUUAGCCUUGCCAACUGUGACAUUAUAAAGUUUUUAUGUAGAUAUUUGUUAUAUCCUGAAAACUGCUCUUACUUUUGGUUGCAGUCAAGAGAAAGUGAUUCUUUGCUAGACCAUGAUGUCAGCAUUCCUAUGGGAGUGAGCUAUGGAAAUGCAAAUGCAAAUGCAAGAAGCACACAGGAAGAACAUCAUAUGAUUCGACGACAGAGCAAGCAUAUUUCUGACAUGAGAAAUAAUUAUGCCACCUCAAACUCGUCAAAUAAUGAAACGAGUUUAUGUAAUACUCCCUAUUCAAUGAAUGGAGAAAACUUGCAGAAGAAGGAAACUACAUCUCAUGAUGAAGUAGCAGAGGCUUGUUGUUCAACUCAAAGGGCUACAAAUAAGAGAAGCAAUAAGGCUAGAAGUGCAUCUCAAUCUCCAAAGCUCCAUAAAUCACCAAAAUCAGUGAUUAAAGCGUCCAGAGAACAAACAUGUUCAGAUCUGGAUCUUAAGGGUGUAACAGCGUAUGAGUCUAGUAAGUCUGAAAGAAGCAUCAUUUUCUGAUUUGUCCCUGCUGAUCUGUGAUGUUUACUUAAGAAUUGGUUAUGAAACAGAAAUUAAUCGAACAAAGGAUGCUGGCCCUUCACAAGGAAGUAAUGGUGUUACUGGCAUGGGAAUUAUGAAGAUGAUUGGCUUCAUGAAGCCUUCAAAACUUGAGAGACUAGAGACUUCAGAAGUAAAUUCUGACCAGCAUAAGAAAGUUAAGGUCUGAAUUAUAGGAUCAGUUCUAUUAUCAUUUAAACAGAUAGAGCAAAAAUAUUAAAUAGGAGUAAUGCAUCUGUUUGAAACAUUUCAGCAAAGAUUUUGUUUGCCAGUUCUUAAGCUGCUUGAUUGAUGAAUCUAAAUGGUGUAUUCUGGGCCUAGUCAUUCAUGAAAGUUUAUGGAUAAAUUUUUUUCUUUUAUUUCACAGAUGCUAUUUCCGUAUGAAGAUUUUGUGAAGUUCUUUCAGUAUGAAGUUUUCAACAUGUCUCCAAGAGGUCUUAUAAAUUGUGGAAACAGGUAUUUCUUCAAAAUUUUUCAUGCUUUUCUUGUGCUUUUACAUAUCAAUAGCUCUAGAAAUAUUUUAUAGAUAUAGGAAAUGUACAGACUCUUAAUGCAAUAAUGUACUGAAACAAAUCUCAUAGGAUUUUUUAUUAUUUGUCAAGUAUUUUCAAGAUUUCUUUCAUUUUACUGUGCAGUUGUUAUGCCAAUGCUGUAUUGCAGUGUCUGACCUGCACAAAGCCUCUCCUUGUGUUUCUGCUUCAGAGAUUGCAUUCUAGAGCUUGUAAGUGAUUGUACUUUUAUUUCUUUCUCUUCAUUGCCAUUUGAAACCUUUGCCUACGUCUUGUACACAUGUAUACAUGCGUGAGUCUGCUUCAUUUGUAUAUUUACUUGGAUAUGUGUCUAGAUGUAUGUAAGUGUGUGUAUUUUUCUUUGGAUUUUGAAUAACGAUCUCACUAACCGUUAACUAAUUACCAGCUUGUAUCAGAGAUUGGUGCCUCAUGUGUGAACUUGAGCAACAUGUAAUGAAGUUAAGAGAAAGUGGAGAUCCAAUUUCUCCAAGCAGGAUCCUAUCACACAUACGUGGUAUCAAUUGCCAGAUUGGUGAUGGAAGUCAAGAAGAUGCUCAUGAAUUUUUGCGGUCAGUGAUUGAUGCUUGUUUAGCUUGGCUUGUCUCAGGAUGAACUCAUGUUUGAAGGAAAAUACAAACAAUCGUUCAAAAUGUGUACUAACCUUACAUCCUUCUUCAUGGUAUGUCUCUUUAAUGCAGGCUUCUUAUUGCAUCAAUGCAAUCGAUAUGCUUGGAAGGAUUAGGCGGUGAGAAUGUGGUUGAUCCCAGAUUGCAGGAAACAACUUUUGUACAACAUACAUUCGGUGGGCGCCUGAGAUCAAAGGUCCUUAUUUACUUCUAUUUUCCAUUAGAAUCUUUCUCACUUUUGGAUGCCAUGCAUCUUUGUUACUUCCUGUUGUUUUUAUUAUUUGCAAUAGUUGCUAAGUUUAACCUUCUUACUGUCAGGUGAAAUGUUUAAGAUGUCAUCAUGAGUCUGAGAGGUCAGAGAACAUAAUGGAUCUGACACUGGAGAUAUUUGGUUGGGUGCAGUCUUUGGAAGAUGCAUUAACGCAAUUUACAAGUCCAGAAGAACUUGAUGGAGAAAAUAUGUAUAGAUGUGGCAGGUCUGUUGAAUUUGUAUUUCUGAUUCACAACCUGGUUAUAAUGCUUCUGAUGGUGAUUCUACUGUUAAAAAUUGAAGUGGUUGACUUGUGGUUCACUGGUGGUUAAAAUUUUUCACCAAAACAGGUGCGCCGCCUAUGUUCGAGCUCGAAAGCAAUUGAGCAUACAGGAGGCUCCAAAUAUACUAACUAUUGUGUUGAAGAGAUUUCAGGUACGCUUUUUUUUUUUAUUAAGUCAAUGCACUGUCAUCUGGUGGAAAUGGCUCACAGAAAUGGAUAUUGUACCUGAAUAGAUUAGAUCUGGACUUUUUGCACAUUAAACUGGCGGUAGUCUUGACUUGUUCAUUUAUAGAAGGUAAUCAUGGGUAUGACUUGAGCUGGUGACCUCCCUUGAAUUGGUCACCAACUUUGAUGGACUUCCAGGGCCGUUUAGCUCAUGGCUUUGAUGAUUUUAAAUCUGAAGCAUUAGAAGGAAUGAAAUUACACUUGCAAUGAAACCAGUACAAGGGUCGAGUCUGGCAAGCUAGUAACAUUGUGGGCUCAUAAGAUGCUUAACAUUAAGGAACUGUUCGCAUUCAGAUAUCUUGGUUUUUGUUUACUUAUCCUGGGAUAUGGUUACAUAUGUCCCUUUCCAUCUAAAUUGCUUUGUUUCUUAAGUUUUAUUGGUCUAAUUUUUAUGAUAAUAUUCAGGAAGGCCGUUAUGGGAAGAUAAAUAAAUGUAUCACUUUCCCGGAUAUGCUAGAUAUGGUCCCUUUUAUGACUGGGACAGAUGACAUACCUCCACUUUACAUGCUUUAUGCUGUUGUUGUGCACCUGGAUACACUAAAUGCAUCCUUUUCUGGGCACUAUAUCACAUAUAUCAAAGAUCUGCAAGGAAAUUGGUUCAGGAUUGACGACACUGAGGUAAAUCCCUAUCAUCUUAGUGUAAUUAUUAUCAGGAGUAUCCGAUACAAUUGACUGAUAUGAUGAUUGGAUGAUGCAUUAUGGAGCUGAAGUAGCUGCGAUUUUGUUCUGCCGUCUGAUUGGAAAAUGACAAGUUUGAAUUUUAUACCCCUCUCCCUUCCUUUCUUGAGUAGUUGUAGAAAAAAGAUUCCUUCUUCAGAAUGCUUGCUAAUAAUUGCUUUAGGUGCUCCAAAAUCCUAGGUUUACUGUGUAGCUAUACCAUUCAAAUGCAGAAUUGUUACUUCCUGAACUCGAAUCUGUGUUUAAGAGAAUAAAUGCUGUUUUUCUUCUUUUGUGCUAUACUUCUGCUUUUACUGGACAAUUUUAGAUCUUUUGGAUCAUUUAGAGGUCUCCACUCUGAAGUAUCUGUCUUUCUUUCAUAUUUUUAUUUUUUAAAUUAUUAUCUCAAACUUUUUGACUUCCAUCUUAAAUGUCUUCAUUAUUUUGUCAAAGUCUUCUCAUUGUCUCAUGUAUUCUUCAUUUAUCAUCUUAAAUAGUUUCUGCCCUUUGUCAUGAUCUUCUAAUGAUCUUAUAUGUGUUCUGUCCUCCAUGUCAUGCUAAAAUGGCAGGUACAGCAAUACUUCCUAAAAAUCUUUUCUAUUCUAGGAUGAUUAAAAACAGGGGAUUUUAAGCAUCAAACAGAAUUGAAAUGCUGAACAUAACUAGACGAGGGAAGAUGGGUAUCCUGCAUAAGAAUAAGUGAAGAGAUAUGUUCACCAUCCUAUGCUAAACAAUGUAUUAGGUGAUGUUGUAUUUCGGUGGUUCUUUUGGACUGGAGAUAUUUGAUUGAAUUGUAAGCACUGCAGCUACUUGUUAAAUUAGCGCUCUGGUUUGGUGAAAAAAUGUGCUAGAAGUUGCAAUUCUCUUGGCAGGUAAUGUCAAAUCAAGAGGCAGUCGACUGUGUGAAAGACAAAAAGGAAGCUCGGGCUGCAGCAAAGCACCUUACUGAGGAAGCUGUAGCAAGGAAAAGUAGUGAUGAUAUAUCAUGUAUAGUCAUCAAGUUCAAAUGAUAAUUCUGGCCUACUAUUCUCAUUCUGUAGUUUUCUGAUCUGUUCCCUCAAUUGUCCAGUCAAUUGGCCUUGGACCUCUUGGUUUUUGUACGGGUUUUUAAAGUGCUUGUUGUCUUGGAAAAAAAAUGUGCAGAGAAAGUACAGUGGCGUAUGUAUAAGCUCCCAAGUAAAUUGAACUCUGUUCAUCAUUUGUCUGUCUCAGCAUGUUGAUUAUUCGUGAUGGUUUACAACACAAUCCCCCCCUCCUUUUUUUGUCUCUGUACUUGCCAUCGUCUCGAAAGCUUAAAUGUACAAUAUACUGGUUAAGGUUGCUGUCGUGCUGUUGUACACAGCAGUAAAGUUUUGCCGUUAGCACAUUUGUUCUCUGAAAUGUAGCUGUCUGGAAUUUCGCUGAAUUUUUACUGAUUGUUCUUUCAUAUAUGAAACAUCCCUCGUCUUUGUUCACUUUCUGAGCAAUCACUCAUACUGAUUCAGAUUCUUCAUAUGUCAUCUUAAAGUGAUUUUUGAGAUUGAGAAGACAAAUUUGGGAAAGAACCGUGGUCUUAUUUUUCAAGCAAAUACACUAUGCGAGUCCCAAGAGUCCAGGACUCUGCUAGUUCCUCGUUCCCUAGGGGCUUUCAUUUGAAAGGUGCAGAACAUAGCUUCUUCCUAAAUGAGGACCGUAAUUGCCAUGAUUGUAUUUAUGCGCUGAGAGUGUAUGUAAGAGCGAAGAGAGACCGCUUAAGGUAUGCAAUAGGGAUAAUCAACAAACUGCCCCUUUGGAGCAUCUCAUAAAAGAAUUCAGAGUGCAAUUUCAGAGGGUAGUCUCCAUGCAAGUUGGUACGCUCGAAACUAUAAGCUAAAAACCAAAGGUGAUGAAACUGUAAAAGAAAUCCUUGUUCGGAUUUGCAGUUUUCUAAAGUAAUUUUUUUUUUUGUUUUUCGUGAACACAUUUUCUAAUAAUCUUUUUAUAUCUUUUCUUUUCACACAUAUUAAAUUGAUACGAUACAUUUUUUUUUACAAAAAUUCUUAAAAAUAACAAUCCAAACGGGAUGUUUCUUUUUCAUUUUCCCUUUUUUUUGCUCUCUCUCUCUCUCUCUAAUAGAAGCUCUAAUUCAUAAUAUCUUGAAAAGAUAUUUCAACUUAUGAACCAGCUUCCGCUCAUCACUAGACAGAUCUUCCCAAAAAUAUGUCUUAAGAAUGUCAAUUGACUCCCUAGUGAUAUGGUUGACAAGCUCAUCUUCAAUACCAAAAUGCCUUCCAAACUACUUCUGCUGCUCCUCAGGACAACGAUCAAUGAUCUUAAUGGUCACCCUUUGACCUUUCUUGGCAUCAUCAACUGGUAUGUCACUGCUAUUGAUUAAUUCAAUAUGGCCAAUAUCAAUGAACUCCUUUCGAGGAAUACAUAGUGGAGUUCCAAUCUUUGCAACGCCAUCAAGACGUCCAUCCCCAAAAGAAUGGGACCCUUCUUUUUGAAAACGGUGUUUGGUAUGGUCUCAAGAACACGGGGGAAUGCUGCAUCUCCAGCAGUUCUCUUCUACUCCUCCUCCUUGAGAUAAUCAAUAUGAGGCUUAAACUGAUCAAACAGCUGAUAAAUAACAUCUGCGCAGAACAAUUCGAUACCCAGUUUAUCUGCCAAGUUCCAAAUUUCCAGCGUGACCUCGACAUCAAAAGGCAAAAUGGAAGCAUAUUCUCUCUUCUUCUCAAGCAUGAUGCUCCUUUCUUUGCAUCUUUUUCAUCCACAGGGCCAAUGCUUAUAAUGCUGAAAGGUAUAUUAACUGCAGGAUUCUUCAAGAAUUCCAAGAGGGCUUCCAAGGAGCCAAGAGAGGCAGCUUUAACAUAUACUCCCUCCCCUUUUUUCCAAUCCUAUUCAUGGCUGAUGUGAUAUCCUCCAUUGCUUCUUUCUUAAUACGUUUCACAUCGUCAUUUGGCUUCACAACAAAAAUCCCAGAGCGAGCAAUAGCAUUCUCAAGACCUUGUGCUGCAAUUUUGAUACUCUAUGCAGCAUUGAUUUCUAUACAAACACAAACAAUUGUCCUUCACUCGGAGCUCUUUCAGUGGGUGGGGUGUCAGACUCAAUACUAUUCGAAUUCCAUUAACAAUAGGACCCUGCGUGCCACAAAUAACUAUUUGAUCUCCUUCAUGGAGCAGACUAUUUACUAAGACCACUGCAAUGGUUGUCCCAAGUCCUUUAACAACCUUAACCUCCAAAACAAAUGCACUGCACUUGGUUCUGAUAAGUAAGUUCCCGAACCAAGGUCCUUUGAGCCCCCUGCACCAGUAAGAGUAACAAGUCUGGGACCCCUUCACCACUAAUUGCACUAGUAGGCACAAUGUUGAAUGUCUCCCCCAUAUAAUUGUUUUCGUAGUACAAUGCAGCGUUUAUUCCUUGCUCCUGGAACUGUAUGAUAACCUGAGUCAGCCUCUUGUUGAAUUCAUUUUGCACACCUUCGGACUGUUGCUUCAUUGCCUUCACCAUGGGUGCAUUGUAGCAUAUUUUCCAUCCAUAAGGUUUGUCAACCUUGUUGAGCGCGACUAUGAAUUGCGUGCCCAUCAAGUUCAAAAUAAUGAGGGAUUCGCCUGUUUGGGGCUUCAAGCCAUGCACGAUAUCAACAAAGAGAACUGGAAUGUCACACAAACCUGACAAUUUGUUGAGUAAUGCCUCCUACAUGAUCUUCCUGAACAUUAGUGGCACGAGGUUAAUGAAGUAACAUGGUUUUCCCAGCAUCAACAUGACCCAUAACGCAGCAGAUUGGAGAACGGAGAUGACAUUCUAAUUUUCCUACUUCUUUAAAGGAAUUACCUUUUAGUUCUACAACCUCAGCUUCCGGAUGAAUCUGAGAUUUCAAAUGUGGGAUUGCCUUGAACUCCUUAAUGGCCAUUGGAGGUUUAGGCUCCUGAUCACCAGAAUCAACAUCUACUUCAGCAUCUGGACUUCUCCUGAGCAGUUUAAGAUCAGCACCAUCAUCCCAAGUAGUAUGCGUUCUCUAUGUGCCUCCAAUCUACGAGAUUCUACCUUUUGCUUACUCGUCAAGAGUUUCCGUUCUUGCUUUUUCUUCAACCGUUUUUCUUUUUCCCUUUCCUUCUUCAAACUUUUCUGCUCUUGUGCCAAUCUUUCAAGCUCUUCUUCGCUGAUCCUCUCCUCUUCUUCUUCCCUCAAUCUCUCCUCCUCUUCCCUUUUUCUCCACUCUUCAGCUUGUGUUAAAGUAAAGCGAGCUUCUCAUGGAUCUCCGUCACAUGCUUUGGAACUUUCCAUCUUUUCAUUCUUGUUCUUACAUCCUUGCUCUCUCCUUGUGCAGUGCUACUACAAUUCUUCAUACAAGGCUUGGACGGCUUCUUCUUCUUGUCUAUCUGAUUUAUUAUGCAAAAAUAACAAGGGGAUACUACUGCUAUUCGUUUUUUGGUUUAUGAAAGAGUUUAAAUCUGACAAGAAGAAACCUGAGUGUCAAGGUCUACUGAUUAAUGUCCUUAAUUACCACUUGGCCUUUUUUUUUUGGGACAGUAAAUGAGGCUGUAAUUAAUCCAGAUAACAACAUUUGUGUUUCCAGUUAAUCAGAAGUAUCUUUCAUCUUCUCCUACUCUUCCUACGUCUAUCAUCAUUUUUGCUAUCGCUUUCACUUUCUUCCAAGCUCGAGGAUGAUUCAGACGAAUCUGAAUCAUGAGAACUAGAAGUACCUGAUUCAUCAGAUUCAGAAAGAGGCUUCUGCUGUUGCAUGAUAAGGCGAGGCAUGUUCUUCGCGACCGUGACUUUGAACCAUGAUACCAAGGUGCACAGACGAUUCCUGGAAGAGAAUCUGGAUGAAAUACGGGAAGAAGAUGUUGUCUCCUCUCCGUCAAUCGUAUGUAAGACAAAACGUGCCAAGGUGCUAAGCAAGUAGGCAAAAAAUUUGGCCACAUUACGUAGGUUACUUGUCUCGAGUCGAUGGAUCAUAGAGUACUGUUAGACAAAGCAUUUUUCAAAAUUUUCUUGAUGAAUCUUGUUGAUCAUGCAAAACCGUUGGCCAAGAAGUCCAUAUUACUGAAGGUUAGUCCUCUUCUGGCUGCAGCACUCCAACGACAUAAUACACAAUUCCAUCUCCUGACCAGGCUCUAGCUUGAUUUUCAGUAGGUUAUGACCAGCUUCUUCAUAAUGGGCCAACACAAAACCACAAUGUGUGUCAAAACUAUGUGUGUCAAAACAAUUCCAUAGUACACAUUAUGGGUUUGUUUUGGAAAGAAAAAGGAAUAAAAGAAAAGAAAAUAACAAGGUGUGGCAGAGGCAAGGGAACAAGAUUAGGAGAAGAAUCAGUAUCUCAUAGUAAUAGUAGCUGAUGGCAAAAGAAGUCCAUGGAUUCUGAGUAUAAUCUUCUGAUCUUGCAGGCAAUUUUGGCUGAAUUUCGAACAUGCUGUUAUUUACACUACUUCCCAGCCCCUAGAUAGGCAGAGCUUUCCAAAGCAUUUAUAUUUAGGGUACAAAACUGACGUGCAGCCUUGGUUUCUUACGUUUUAUUGAAAUAGUGAAACGCUGAAUCUAUUGUUGUUCCGUUUAUGAUCGUAUUUUAAGUCUGGUCUUAACGAAGGAAGCACUGUAGAGAGCAGGUAAAUUUCUUUGCAGAAAAUGAUGGAUUAUCCAUGACAAAUGUUAAUAGGCCUUGAGAAAGAAAUGACGAGAUUCUAAUAUACUCAACUGAUUAAUCUGCUGAAUUUAAAAUUAACCAUGCCCUUUGUUUUGAUGAUAAGGUCCGUGGAGCAGGUAAGUGGUGAAAUCAUGAAUCAUGGAUCCGGCCAUCCUGGAAAGCCGACAAGAGAAAUGGUAAUCCAUUUCGUGUUCAAGUUCAGAAUGUUACUGCUAUUACCAAAAUUGUCUCUCCGCUUUGGAAAUUGAAGAGCGUUCUUCAGCUGCACACAAGCUGGAAACAGAAACCUUUGCAUGUAAGUUUCAUAAUUGUUUUGAUAUUGCAUCUUAGUGCUUUAUAAUGUAAUGAAUAAUGAAUCCACAUUGCUUAGAUUUUAAUCAAAGAAACAGAAAAGAGGGAAAACAAGAUUCCCUGGACAGUACAUUUGCCACACAAUUGGAGUAAACAAUGUAGAUCUGUGCGCUAGAACUUAAGAGACAAAGAACUGGGGUGUAAAUGAGCAUAAUCAAACUGAAUAUCCUAAUAUUCAAACUUAUUGAAUUAUUUUAACGAAUUUCAAAUUUUAUUUAAAUUUGACUUGUUAUUUGCCGAAAAUAACUUGAAUGAGUUUUUAAUCAAAUUUAAAAAUUGCCGAACAUAAAAUGUUGUUCAACCUUGGGUUGACUAAUUGACAAAUCAAGCUCAACCAAGUUCAAGCGAGCUCUUACCAAGCCAAGCUCGAUUUGAGUAUUGAGAAGCAUGGUUCAUCUUUCAGCCAUACGAAGAACAAAAAUUUACGCCUCACAGGGGAGUUGAAGGCAGAUUCAACACUGAAAUAGUCUGGACUAACUGCUAAAGUUAGGCCAAUACUACCCAUUACAGACCGCAUGGAGGUGAAAAGUGAAACAAUUGCGAGUAAAAGUUAUCAAAAGUUGUGCAAACUAACUAGGCUCGAAGCUAUGUCAUAAAUGGCAUAAAUAUUCCAUAGGAUGACAGAAGAGAGUAAGCAACUAAUGAAUGCCUAAUGGAUGUGGAGUUUUUGGUGGUUCUCUGGUAAAACAAUUGGGGUUCUUCCUCUUUCAUCAACCUGCCUGCAUUGAUCUUUCUUGGUACCCGGAUUCGAUCCUCGUCGUCCUGAUCCUUCUCACGAGAUUCAGUAAAGUGCUUGCGGCGUCGCUCAUUGUGUCCUGCUAAGCGUCGGCGACAACUUCUCUUUGCCUCAUCAAAUUCUGAGAGGUCGUGGAAUCUGGAUAGACAAUAUAACCAAGUCUUGGACCUUGCAAAUUUGAGAACUUACGCGAUAACAAAAGCAAAAGAUUGUCAAGAGGAAGAUAACUGGCAGAAAAUAGCCAAAAGUCCAUCAACUGGCAUUUGUUUUUCCUAAUAAAGAUCAAAUAAGAUAGAAGCUAUCAUGAUAGGAUAAAUUUGCGAAGAAAAAAGCCCGGAGAUACUAGGACUUCUAAAGAAUAUUUAUGAUCUGAACUAACUGAAGUACCAGAGUAUGGUCAAAUUUCUGCAUCACCGCAAAUGGAAAUUGUUUAGGGCUUGCUUGAUCCAUUUUUAGUCAGGAGUUCCUUGUACACAGCUUUUGUCAAACAUGAUUCUCAGAAAGCUAAAGUUCUCCAUUACGUAUCACUGGAAGUGAUGUUUAGACCAGCUGGAAUUUUAGUUUGGAAGACUUAACAGUUAUCUAAAGAAGCUACACCAUAUAAUUUUCCCAACUUGUUCAGUAAUGCACAAGUAUAGUGAUACAAAUCAAGAUGCUCUUUAAACAUUAUCUGAAGGAUUGUUCUUUAAUCUUCAUCUGAAGCAUUUUAGGAUGUAGUAUUCCUAGUUGAUAAUCAGUAGUUCAUUCGAGCCCUGAAGGACACUUGAUCUAUCGACAAAGAAGGCCACGGUUGCGUACUUCAUUGCAUGUUUAGUCACAGCUUUGACACAUUUGCGUAUCUUAUUUCCUAAUUAUGGGUUUGUUUUUUCCCAUUUUUUCCCUGUGACAAGACAACAGAAACUUAAUUUAUGAAUUUAAUCACAUUAAUAUUUUCCUAAUCAUGGUUAAUUCUUCCAGAGGAGGUACGAUGAGAUAAACAGCUCGUAACUAUGUUUCUAUUAAUUCGGAAAUAAGCAUAGAGGAUUUGGGAAAGCAGGAAAAGAAAAAAUUGUCUUAAUGAGUCGAGUUCUACAAACCUGCUGCACUGCUGACAGAACCUCUGCUUCAGUCCUUCAACCACGACAACUUCAGCCUUAGCAUGAUACUCACACACCUUGUGCCUCUUGUGGUAGCUCUUUGAAUCAGUAAGAUCAGCCUUACAAUUCUCCGCCCGGCAGCCCGGCGGUGGUGCCACUGCCACCCCUCCACCACCACCACCACCACACCAGCACCUUCAGCAGCAGCAGCAGCAGUUCUUGAACCCCUCUUCCUUGGACCCUCAUCAAAAUUCAUUCUUUUCUUCUUAAGCCCAGGCUCCACCUCAAUUUCUGCUCCAAAACCACCAUUACCAUCUUCUUCUUCCUCCUCCUCCUCGUCCACCUCUUCCUCUUCCUCCUCCUCCUCCUCCUCUGUGUCAGUCUCUGCCUCUUCCGUCACUUUCUUGGUUGGAGCAAACGGGGAAUGCACGGCUGAUGAUGAUUGCCUAAGGUGGUGCAUGUGAGGCUCCAUGAUGAUAGCGACCUUGUGGAGGGCUCUUUCUUUCUUAUAAUUCAAUUCAGAAACUAGAGUGAGAAGACUACAAGAGGAGGAUGAGAAAGACUUGAAAGAUAUGGGGUGUGGGGAAGAGUAAUCAAUGGAACUGAAGGCAUGCUGAGAGAAAGCUUAAAAAGUAGUACUAGUACAAUACUACAACAUUAGAGAAAGAGAGUGAGAUGGAGAAAAGAGAACUGAGGGAGUGAGGACCACUACAAUUUCUCCGCACUCUUCUUAGCUCCUUUUGUCUGCAUCCUUCUUCUUCUUUUCAUUUUUUUCUUUUUGGGGUUACAAGGCCCCUUUGUCUGCUUGUAUAGUUGCUCUUGUAUUUGUAUAGGCAAUAUGCAAUCAUGCAUGCCCUUCUGCGAUUGUUAGUGUGUGUGAGUUUUUUUUUUCUUUUUUUUUGGGAAUAAUGAAUUGGGAUAAGUACUUGGGUAGUUUGAGAAAUAUGUAGCUUAACAGAUGGAGGAGGGGAAGGCUUUGGCUUGCUCUUAUAGACUUAGGCUGAGGCUGAGGCUGAGGCUGAGGCUAACAGUAGUUGGCGUAGGUGGUCAAAUUAUAGUUAUUUGUGUUAUAAAUUGUAUUGCCUUGUUCUAGUUGAACAGGGUAAAUCCCCAUUCUCAGUCUUGUCGCGUGGAUACACGCUCAAUGAUUGGAUUACUUGGUGGAUUCAGGUGACAUGUGGUGAGCGGGGAAGGAUCAUUUGCAACUGCAAUGGGAUAUUUUUCAGGGGUGAGCACAGUUCGGGUGCCGUCCUGGAACCCGACUCUAAAAUAUUGGAUCAGUUAUUUUGUGACUCUAACCUGCUUUUAAUAUUUUUGAGUACCCGAAAAAAAGGAGCGGGUCAUAGGAUACUCGUCCCUAAAAAAAAAUUAUUUUUCAAUAAAAAAAUAUUUUUUACUUAAUAUCAAUAUGUUUUUCAAUAAAAAAAAAAGUAUGCUUUCCAAUUAACAUUGGUAGAUAUAUUAUAAUCAAAAUUCAUGCAUCACCAUUCUCAUACAUUUCAUCCAAUAAUCAAACCAAUUUCAUAAAUUUAGUACAUAUUAGAAUUAUAAUAUCUAAUAGAUAAAACGAAAUUUUAUAAUAAUUUUGAGUACAUCACCAUUCUCACAUAUUUCAUCCUUCUAUAACAUAACAAACACAAGGAUAAUAAGUAUAUGGCAACUUUUUCAAGUAUAACAAAUACAAGGAUAAAACGAAAUUUUAUAAUAAUUUUGAAUACAUCACCAUUCUCACGCAUUUUAUCUUUUUACAACAUAACAAACACAAGAAUAAUAAGUAUAUGACAAUUUUUCCAACUUCCUUAAGGAUAUUAUGGUACAAGAUUGCAUCCAAAAUGAGUCAAUUGUGGAAUCAAGUUCGGAAAAGAAUUGAACAGAGUUAAUAAUUUUUGAAGAAAGUAUAACCAAAGUAAUUUUGAAAAAUUUUCCCCAACUUUCUUACAUCUUUGGAAUAGACCUUGUUGCAUUAAAGGUGAUGAAAAAGAAAAAUAAAUUUCUUGCACUAAAAUAAAGGAAACAAAUUUAAGAGACACAAUUGCAAUAAAAUAAAUAAAUAAAUGUAAGACACAAAUGUUUUAAUUAUCCAACUAACAGAAAAUUGGAGCUCCAAACACAAAUUUUUGAUUGAAUUGAUCAAAAUUUUGCAGAAAAGAUCGAUGGAAGUAGAAUAGAAAGAAAAUGAUGAAAGGGAUGAACAAUUUUUAUGAUAGAAUUUCACAAAUGUUUCUUUGUUUUAUUCAUUCGGUUCAGGUUUCACCAAGAAUAUUCACUUUUUUUAGACAAGAUGAGGAGAGGCGAAUCAUAUGAGAUUAAAAUAUGAGGUUGUAAACCACUUUACUUACACUUAGGAUUAAAAAUUAUAAAAUUAUAUAAUGAACCCUUAUUUUUUAAUAUUUAUAUAAUAUACCCUGCGGGUCAAGUACCCGUGGGUUUUUAUUUUGUUAAUCUGUAUCCGUAUCCAUUUUUACGGGUACCCAACCCGCAUCUGCCCUCGCCAAGAAAAAUCGGAUCGGAUCAGAUCGGAUUUUUUGCCCUCCCCUAAUAUUUUUAGAUAUAUCCCCCCUAUUUUUUUCCUCCCAGUCUUUCCUAAUCAGACUAUAAUUUGUUAAAUUUUUACUUAGUUGAUGCAUGUUUUCAUCUGCACACUUCAUACAUUAGCAUCUUGUGCAUGAAAUUUCUUCAUAAAGAAACGAACGGCCAAUAUAAUUGCAAUUCAAUUGCAGCAACUAGCGCCCUUGCGGGUAGUUCGACCGAUUCCGUCGUCUAGUAGUUGCUAGCAGGUCUCAUGAUCGAUACCCGUGUAUUACCUCGCUUGGUAUCCUUGGGGCCAAAGUCUAUACCGUUUCAGGGGAUUAAUCUGGUUGAAAAGUUGAAAUACUCCUAAAUGGAAAAUAAUAAUAAUAAUUUUGCAGCAACUAGCGACUAGCAAGGUACUAUAAAUGCAGAUGCGGCUGCAUGAAAACGUCCGUCGAGUGUAUCAGAGUUGUGCUCUAAUUAUAAAGAGGUUAGAUUUUGAGAUAGGCAUGACUGUUAAGGGUUUCAAUUCUUUAAAAUUCUGCUAAGUUUUGCUUCCCUAGAUCUCACACUAUUUGAGUAUUUUUCCCUUUUAGCAUUAAAACAAACAAGGGGAAACUUGAAGCAGAUGGCAUUCAAGUUUUAACUGAAUUUGAUGUCAUUGUUUUCAUUUUGGAGUUGUAUCAUCUCUCGGGAACAGGGGGCCAUUAUGUUGGUUAACAAACAGCCAAUCAAGUCCCAUGUGUUCGAAUUGCAACUAGCAAAGAGUCAGCAAAAAUCAAGAGGGAAAUUGUGUUCCGUGAAAAUUUACAGUUGAAUAUAAGGAUUAUUUUGUCUUGAAUAACUAGGGUAGCACACAGGUUUCUCUUGAGAUUUUUCCAGAGUUGCAAAACUAUAUGUAGUCUUAUCAUUUUCUUGCAGAGGUAACCUUGGAAUAAGGUGUUGUAACUAUAACAAGUUUCCCUAAAAUCCAGUGCUUAAUUUAUCAUAAUAUUUUCUUUGGCUGGCGUCUCAAUAUUACUAAAGAAACAAUGAAAUUAAACUAUGGUUAAGAUUCUAGAUGCAAAAGCCAACAGCCAUAAAAGCUUUUAAGCACAGCGCUCGGUUAAUGCAGGUGUGCAUUAUUCAACUGCACAAAUGACAGUUGAGAAUCUCCAGCCAGAACCCAGAAUGAUAAACUAGUGUGACUAAAUAUUUCACCAGCCAGAGCCCAGAAUGAUAAAUUGGCUGGUGGCCAGGCAAACUGAGGAAAGCCUGCCUGUUCUUCUGCUGCUUCUCCCUUUUGGAGGACUUGUUGCAUCCCUUUCCAACUCAUUAUGCAGCGCAGGAAUUGAAACAAGGUUGAAGUGUCCGGUCUCUCCAGCCUGCGUACAAUUUCUGUACAAGUUGUUCGUAAUCAGCUAAACAAUUUCUGGCUGCAUUCGGGAAUCUGUACGUGCCUCACUACAACCAGAGAUUCAAAGUUGAUACUUUAUUACUUCCAAAUUCAAUGACAUGCGCAAUAAUUCAAUGAUCCUUGUUUGUUUACGAGAAGCAAAACGUUUCCCAUCGCUUUCGUAUUCAUGUAUCAGAUAUGGCCCUCAAGCCCUGAACAACAAUAAUGCUUUCUUACAAAAAAAGUUAAAAAAUAAUAAUAAUGCUUCUUUUUUCUUUCUUUUUUCAUGAAUAUAUGUUUAUAUGUAUCUAUCUAUGCAUACACGUUAUAUAUGUCAAAAUUUAUUUUUACUGAUAAGGAGUGGAAGUGGAUUUUCUUGAAGAUUACUAUGACCUGACCUCUUGAGAUGAACGUGUCGCUAAUUGCACUUAUUUCCUUAAAUUUUGUCAUAAUCGUGGGACCACCUUUGUGCUUUAAUUUUAAUUGGUAUUCAAUACAAAUACACAGUCUCUCUCAAACAUAUAAAUUUUUUAUUACUCCAUAAAUUUCUAGGAAAAAAAAAGAGAAAAGCAAACGUUUAAAGCUAUGUACAAAAAAUCUUUUCACUAAAUGGGAAGUCAAAAAAUUCAUCCAGCUAAUUCUGUCUCCACUUUCGCGGUUCGGGCUGUGUUUGGUCAGAUCUGAUGCGGCUAACUGAUAUAUAUAUAUAUAUGAAAUUAACUAUUUUAAUCAGAGUUGUUUCUCACUCCUCUGUGUCAUGCCUAAUUGAAGAAAAUUAAUGGGUAUGGGUCAUUUGGAUUUUACCCAUAUUGAAUCCUAUUUGGAUUGUAGUAUAUGUUUCAAAAUUAUCUAUAAUUUUAAAAUAACUUUAAAAAAUAACUAAUCUUGUUAAUGAUAUUUCUUUAAAAACAACUAAUCUUAUCUUAAUGAUUUUGCUUUCUAUCAAAUUAUUACAUAUAGAACUAUAGUAAAAUUUUUUCAAACCACAAUUAUUGAAAUCUUACAUAUUCCAAAUUACUUCCUUAAUCAUAAUUACUAAAAUCUUACAUACCCAAAUUACUUCCUUUUACCACCAUUUCGUUGAUUAGUAUUCAUAUUGUUUAUCAUUUCUUCCCUUAAUUUUGAAUUAAUUUAGUGUAAAAAAGAGAAUUAACUAUUAUACGAUAGAUUUACCAAUAUUGUUAGAAACUGAAUAUUUAUUGAUAAAGAAAAAUGAAUUGUUGGUGUUUUUUCUACUUAAUUAAAUAUAAAUAUAUAGUUCUAGAUUCAUGAUCAUUAUAAAAAUUUAAAUUGUCUAAAAGAACAUUUGUAAAAGAAAAAGAUCUACCAAAUUUUUGAUAUAUAUAUUAUAUAUAUAUAUAUAUCUGUGUGUGUGUGUGUGUGUGUAAAAAGUAGAUAUUUUAACAAGAGUUGUUUUUCACCCCUAUUUGGCAUGCUAAAUUAGGAAUGGCAAUGGGGCAGAGCCCGCCGGCUCCCACCCAGCCCCGCUUCCCCCGCAUAACUAAUAAAAAGUUGUCAUAUAAUUUUUUAUAGUUAAAUUUUAGCAAAUAAUUAAGUACUAAAAUAUCAACACAUCACCAAGUUGUUAUUCAUUGUAAUUUCACAAUUGAAACCCAAAAAAACAAUCAAACAAGAGUUAUUCGAAUACAAUCCAACAUUAUGAAACAAAUAUAACUAAAGUAGUCAAGUUUUCACUUUUGAUACAAAUAUAAUUAUUAAGUCAUUAUUGAGUUUUUUUUGAGAAAAAAAGUGUUAUUGUGUUAAGUAUAAUUAAUAAUUUAGUAUAAAUUUAUUAGUUAAUUUAAUAUAACUAAUCAAUAAUUUCUAUUAGUAGACAUGCAUAAUUAUUAGUAUAAUUGAUAAUAUCAAUUAUAUUACAUAUACUAAAAUCCAUUUUAUAAACAUAUAAUUAAUAAUAUCAUUAUUAUAAAUUUAUAACUAAUUAAAUUAAAUAUUAUAUAUAAUUAUACAUAUAUAUUAUUAUUUUUUAACGGGUGGCGGGGGGGAAUGAGGCAGGGGUAUACUCUCGCCCUUGCCCCAUUUCUAAACAGGGGAAAAAAUUACCCUUGCCCCGCCCCACCACCUGCCCCAUUAGCCCCCAUGACACCUAUCCCAAUUGCCAUCCCUAAUGCUAAUUAAAGAUAAUUAACGGGUUAUAAGUCACUUGGAUUUUACCAAUAUUGAAUCCUAUUUGGAUUAUAUUAUUUGUUUAAAAAUUGUCUCUAAUUUUAAACUAACUUUAAAAAUUGGAUUUUACCAAUAUUGAAUCCUAUUUGGAUUAUAUUAUUUGUUUAAAAAUUAUCUCUAAUUUUGAACUAACUUUAAAAAUAACUAAUUUUAUCUUAGUGAUAUGGCUUUGAAAACAACUAAUCUUAUUUUAAUGAUUCUGCUUUCUGUCAAAUUAUUACAUAUAGAACUAUAGUAAAAAAAUUUUCAAAUCACAAUUAUUGAAAUCUUACAUAUUUCAAAUUACUUUCUUAAUCGCAAUUAUUGAAAUCGUAUAUAGCCAAAUUACUUCCUUUCACUACAAUUCUGCUGAUUAGUAUUCAAAUUGUUCAUUAUUUCUUUCCUUAAUUUUGAAUGAACUUAGUGUUAAAAAAAGAAUUGACUAUUACAAUGACAGAUUUACUAAUAUUGUUGGAAACUGAAUAUUUAUUGAUGAAGAAAAAUGAAUUGCUAGAUUUUUUCUACUUAAUUAAUAUGAAUGUAUAGUUCUAGGUUUAAGGUCAUUAUAAAAAUUUAAAUUGUGUAAAAGAACAUUUGUAAAAAAAAAAAGAAGAAAAUCUACCAAAAUUUUGAUAUGAGGUACAUUAUUUGAAGUAUACCAUCAUAUUAUUGUGAAAGUAUGUAUACAAAAUUUAAAAAUUAGUAAAUAAUUGAACAUUUAGAAUGCAUUAAUUUUUUUAAAGUUAGUGGAUGAACAUAUAGGAUUGUUGUUAAUUUUUGCAUCUAAAUUAUUUAUAUUUGUAUAAAUUCACAAUAAAUAAAAAAAAAGACCUUAAGGCAUGGAAAAAAUUCAAGUAAUACUUGAAAAUUAUCUGCAGUCUUUUGACUGCAAGUACAGAAAUCUCCCGAAAUUAAUCAAUCUAAUCAUGCAAUUCAUAAGAAAGAUGAAUAGAGCCUGCUAUUAAACCUUGACCACCAAAAAGAUCUUUAAAAAAAAAAAAAGAUUCUUGUUACUGGUCUCAUUAUUUCUUAAUGUUUGAAUAAAUCUUUUCUAGCUAGAACUAAUUUAACAACUACCAACUGCUUGUAACUAAACUCGCUAUUUGCAGAGACGCUAAUACUAAACCCCACCUGCCCAGAUUGCUAGUGCUGUAAAUCGUGACCUGGAACGCGUUUCCUCAACCUUCCAACAUCACUGUCAGUUGGUGCAUUAGGUUCGUGUGGUGUCCUGCCUUUAGCAUCAUGAUGUCGAUCGCCAGCCACGACACCUUUGACAUUCUUGGCAGUCUCCUUAGCAGCAUCCCCAUGCAAUCAAUAUACAUCCUCUGCUUCGCCUUUUCUCCCAAGCCCAGCCCCGUCUCCACUGCCUUUGCUGGAGCUUCUCUUGCCAUAUCCGCCACAGCAUCCGCCGGGGCCCUCGUCCUUUCCUUUGCCCUGUCCACGCCAUCUUUCGUUGUAUACUUUGCUCUAUCAGAAACUCUUGCCGUCUCAUCUGCACCUGCCCUUAUAUCAUCCCUCCAGUUCCUAGUUCCUACUACCCUGUGGAGUACAUAUAUAAAUAAUUUGUUGCACUUGAUUCCGUCUUUCUUCUUCCUUUUAUUUUCCCCCUAAACCAUUGCCAUGUCAAGUACUUAAUCAUAGCGUUUUUGGAUAGUAAGUUCAUUUGAAAAAAAAAAACCUUUCUUACAUUACAACUCUAUACAUUUUUUUAAAUUAUCUUUUUAUUUCACAUAUAUCAGGUAACGAAAAUGCUACGCUAUUAUUCUAAAUAUUCUUCCAAUUAAUCUUCAAUAAGAACAACUAAUAUUUGCCUAACCUACGAAAUAGUAUUCAAACACCAUGUAAGGACUUCCCUUUUCAUUUUAAUUUUUUGGGUGGGGGUGGCUAGGGUGGUAGUCCAGCUACAAGAUUAAUGAUUAGUACCUGGGAAUUGUGCAAAGAGGAAAAGCAAUACUUGAUCCCGGACGACCUGAAAUGGCAAUAAGAUGGAGGAUGGGGGGGCAAGAAGUCCAUUACGGAAAGUGAGAAUAAGCUCUUCUGCUGCAGACGUGGUUGCCAAUGUGUGUCGAUCAACUCCACUAGUGAACCAACGGUAUGCUAGGCUGUUGGUCACCAUAAAAAUUGAAAUGCUUUUGUGGAUUGGGAGAUUAAGAAUUCGAACUUAACCUCCUAUAAAUUAUCACUUAAUGUGUGGAUUCUUCUAACCCUGAUGCGUGUUUAAUGAAUCAGUACAUCCAUUUGAUCGAUAAUAGUUCCGUCACCGUCGGUCUCAUUAGUCCGCUUGAACGUGCCCCGUUCUCAUACCUGCCGGUGUAAUGUCAAAAACCCACUAGUGCUGCUGUUCUAAAUUCCAAUGAAAUGGGGUAAUCCCUUUAGUUCGGCAAACUUUUGGGUAAAAUCAUAGUAAUCAUGACUUUAAACUUACGAGACGCAUAUGUAAAAUGUAGUGCAUAAUUCCAGGACCAUCCAUACACAGCAGAUCGAGUGACAAGUCUUGACACUUUGUUAAUUAAAGGUCGCGUGCCUAAGUCCAGCUGCUGCUACAUUCCUACGCUUCGUUCAUCCUUUAGGCUUUUCUUUAGCCACGCAUGGCGUUUCAUACCUUGCAUCAUAUCAAACCCACUCCUUUUGUGUGUGUCCACUCCAAGAUCAUACCAUGCUCCUGCUGUCACUGCUAUACUUCCAAUCUCAGUCCUCGUAAACCAUUAGCCCCUUCUUGGUGUGUCGAAUAUUGAACAUUUCAUAUAUACAAGUCUUUGAAUGAAAUGGACGUUGCCAAAGAACAAAGGUUAUGAUAAAACACAUGUCGCAAUCCAUAGUGUUUCAAAUCUUAAAUCAUCCAAUCAGAAUAUCCUGGCAGGCAUUGGUGCUCAUAAGUUGUCAGAAUUGAUUUAUUUUCGGAUGGGAUUCGAACUUUAUCCCAUUCAUUCGUAGUGAGUCUCAAAAUCAGCCAGUCAUGUCUGUGUUCUUUGUGAAAGGACAGGACCAAGACAUAACGAUUGGUGAGUCUCCCUUUCAAAUGCCACUUAGGAAGUUGAGAAUGGAUAAUGGUUUGCCAUUUCCACCCUAAAAUGAAACAGAAACAGUCGUCGAAGUGCAAUAAAGGAAUUAAUCAACCAGAAACAUGCCACGAUUCCAACACGCCUUAAAGAAAGCAUAUAUCCCCAGUCAACUUGACAAACAUGUCCGCUUCAACAGAGCCAAAGGUUACGUAACAUCCACUAAUCUGGAAAUCGAAAAGGCAGAAAAAGAACUGUUGCAUGGAACUCAUUAAAGAGCAAGAAGAAGAAAAAAAAUCUUGCAGGAUUGCUUGUACGUUCUACCCAUUUCUCCAAUUCAAUCUAGCAUGUCCUCAUUUAAUGAAAAAGAAUGAGAAUCCAAGAAAGCACAUGAAGCGUAUUGUGUUCAGGAACAGCAUCGAAUAACCGUAUGUAUGAGCAAGAAAGUGAUUUUAAGGUCUAAAAUCAUUUAAUUUGCGCAUUUCAUGCGAAAGACCAUGCGAGCGAGGCUAAAAGCGCUAUACGUUAAUAGUAUUAUAUUUAUGUAAAAGAGACAGAAAUAUUCAAGACUAGAAGGCACAUUAAAUUUCUUUAUUUUCUAGCUCUUCCAGUCUCAAUUGCAUCAAGCCAAGAAACAACUUGAUCGAUGGAGGGUCUGCGUCUAGGCUCCUGGUCUAUACAUUUACAGGCUAUAGCAAGCACCUCUAAUAGCUGCUUUUCAAAAUCUUUAUCCCAUAUAGAUGAAUCAAAUAUCUCCUCCUCUCUCCUCUCAGAUUUCAUCUGAAACACCCAUGAAACCAAGUCUCUGCAAUUCUUCCCCUUGCAAACUUCAACAGGUCUCCUUCCGGUAAGAAGCUCAAGCAGAACAACACCAAAACUGUAAACAUCUCCCCUGAAAGUUGCCGUCAAUGUUUGGCUGUACUCCGGAGGUAUAUACCCCAGGGUGCCGACCAAAUCGGUAGUGACAUGGGUGUCAUAAGGAUGAAGUAACCUAGACAACCCAAAAUCAGCUAAAUGAGCUUCAAACCUCUCAUCCAGAAGAAUGUUGCUAGUUUUAAUGUCUCGAUGAAUUAUAUUUGGCUCCUUAUGCAGAUAAGCUAAUCCACGAGCAGCCCCUUGAGCAAUCUUUAGCCUUGUUUCCCAUCUAAGAAAGGAACUCCCAUCGAUCCUUUCAUGCAACCAAUAAUCUAAGCUUCCAUUCUCCAUGUAGGAGUAAAUGAGAAGCCUGUCAUUUCCAUGCCUGCAGUACCCUUGCAGAGAAACAAGGUUCUUGUGCUGAGCUCUUGAGAGUGCUUCUACUUCAGCUUGGAAUUCACGUUCCAUCUGCCCGCAAUCACCAGAUAGUCUCUUGAUUGCAGCUUUUGUGCCAUUAGGUAGGUCAGCCUUGAAAACAAGACCAAAACCUCCACAGCCAACAAUAUUUGUUUGGCCGAAAUUGCUCGUUCCCUUCAGAAUGUCUGCAACUGUGAGAUCCUUGCAGUCAGCAUUCUGGAAGAGCACCAACUUUGAAGGUCCAAAUGCAUCAGACAAUCUCGGGGGCCUACUGAUUUCAUCCUCCAGGUCAUCAAUUGGAUUUCCCAUAUCUCUUCUUGAAAUUUUAAGCAGAACUAGGGCCAGGAGAAUGGCAAUUCCCACCCCUAUACUAAUUGUCAAUCCAAGGAUACUGCUCCGACCAAACUUGUUGUUUGAAGUUGCAGGAAUAACAGGUUGAAGCCCAACAUUAUUAACUGCACAAGGAGAGAUGAUUUUCCCACAAAGUCCAGGGUUACCAUCAAAGCUUGAGCUGGGGAAACUAAAAAACUGGCCACCAAUUGGGAUUGCUCCCUGCAAGUGAUUAUAAGCCACACUAAACUUUGAUAGGAAUGUUAGCUUAUUGAAUGAUGAAGGAAUUGAUCCGUAGAGAUCAUUGAAUGACAAAUCCAGGACCUCCAGAUUUCCCAUAUCAGAAAUGGAUGGAGGGAUGGUUCCAGUAAUAUUAUUCCUGCUGAGAUCAAGGACAUGGACUUGCUUCAACCGUCCAAUUUCAGGCCAAAUUGUUCCAUUUAGUUUAUUGUUGCUCAAUAAUAUUGAUGGAGGGAAACUUGAAGCUUGAUUAUACUGUAAACCACUAGAACUCUGAUUUCGUUUGACAAAGAGAGGAAUGCUGGUUGAUGAGUUGAGACUUGGUGGAUUGCUUUUUGCAGUUAUGUGUCCCUUCAGCUCUGUUAUACUUUUUGGAAUUUCUCCCGUCAAUGAGUUAUUAGAAAAUCCAAGUAGAAUAAGUUGUCCAUCUGGCCAAUCCAUGGAGGAAUACUUCCGUUCAAAUGAUUCCAGGACAAGUCAAGAACUUCCAACUUGCUGCAAUUCAAUAACCAACUUGGAAUUUGGCCAUUCAGGCCACAGUUCCCAAGUGCAAAAACCAUCAAGUUCUGAAAACCACCUACAUUUGUUGGAAUUUUUUCACCAUGGAAAUUCUUGGUGAGGAUGAGGGUAGUGAGGUUUCUGCAAUUCUGCAGAACUGACAAUGCUCCAGAUAAACUUGUAAGACUGUUGUUGGACAAAGAUAAGAACACAAGAGAUGUGAGAUUUGCAUAACACUCAGGUACGUGGCCAGUUAGUUCAUUCUUGGCAAGACUCAAAAUUUUCAGCUCCUGGGAAGUAGAUAGUGAGUCUGGUAGGGGACCGUAAAAGUGAUUACUAGCAAGAUCAAGAGUAUACAGAUUCGGUAAUCCAGUGAAGUUAAGAUCAAUGACACCAGAUAAAGAAUUUUUUCCAAGAUCAAGCACUCUUAGCUUAGAGCAUUGGGCCAGGCUAGAAGGCAAUGGCCCAGAGAACGAAUUAGAAUGUGCAACCAACUGCUCUAGUUUUGUCAAAUUGCCAAAUACAUUAGGAAGUGUACCAGAAAACACGUUCCCGGAUAAAACCAAAGAUUUCAGAUUGGAAAGCUUACUGAGUUGAGGGCUAAGCUGGCCAGAGAAAUUGUUGGCAGAAAAUGAUAGCUGCUCCAAGGAAGUCACUGAAUACAGGGACUCGGGAAGGGGGCCUGAAAAAGAAUUUUCAUCUAGAUGUAGCUGCUGAAGAGAAGUGCUGCAAUUGUCCAAGCCUUCAAGUCCACCAGAGAAACGGUUCAACGAUAAAUCAACAACCUGAAUUUUCCUCGAGAUACUGCAGAGCUGAGAGUCCAACUCCCCAGAAAAGGAGUUGUUGCUAAUGAUAAAUUCAACAAGAUUGGGAAAUUUACCAAAAUCAGUGAAGUUUCCAGUGAAUAGAUUGCUAGACAGAUUCAGUGAUUGGAUUGACCUUAAUAUAAUAAGUGCUGCCACCACUUGUCCAGAUAACUUGUUAUGGCUAAGAUCAAGAGAUUCCAGCAGCUGCAAAUUGGAAAGAUCAGAAGGCAAUCCACCUUCGAGAUCAUUGUGUGAAAGAUCAAGCAGCCUCAACUGAUCCAAAUUUCCCAAAGACUCUGAAAUCACCCCUUUCAGCCCGUUUCUUGACAAAUUUAACAUGAUCACUCUGCUUCCACCACAGACAACACCAUCCCAGUUACAGCAACUGAGAUCAUUCGACCAUGCUGAGAUAAUGGAGCCGUUUGUUAGAUUUCCUGCAAAUUCCUUCAAUGCCGCAAGGUCAUUUGGAUGACAACCCUGGCUUUGGGCUUCAAGUCCCGAAAGCAAGCACAUAAAACAAGCCAAUAAUAGUAAAUUCAUGAUAGUCAUGGGGAAAAGUUCCCUGACCACCAUUAGUGAAACAACAGAACUUCACUGAGUAAUCAAAGCCAACAUCACCAUCUAUCCACUUAGUUCGAGCUGCCCAUUAUUGCUGGUGCAUCGCUUUUCAGAUUUUCGAAGGUAAAAGAACCAAUCAGUACCACAAAGAUCAAAUGAAAUCCUAAGGUAGUACGACAACGGAUAACUAUCUGAGAGCAACAAAUUGCCCAAUUUACAGGGGGAUUGAUAGACAGAAGUGAGGAAACCCAGAUACAGAUAUAUAAGUACACUUCAUGCCUCUAGAAAAAGGUACUGAGCUACCAUCCCCGGCCCCAAAAAAACUGGACUUUCAUUGCAUUGAUUUCCCAAAUGAAGAGAAAUUCAACAUCUCAAUCCCAAAAAGAACCCAAAGAUCACAAAAAAAAAAAGGGGGUUUAAGAAACAAAAACCAACAACACCAACUUAGUGCUGAAGCAAGAAAUGUCACUACUUGGACAAAAAUAAAAAAUGUCACUACAAUUUAGGAACCCCACUUGGUUUCAGAUCCCUAGAUCAGAAACUAACAAGCAAACAUUAAAAUUCAAGUCAAAUCAAUAGGUUGAAAUGGGGAGAGAACCUUCUUUUGCUCCAAAAGGGCACCGAUAUUUCAACGCUCCAUCACUUCAGAGUGAAGCAAUUGUCACUUGUGAACACAACCCUCGACAGUGAAGAGGCACAGUUCCUUCUUUUAGAAGUACAAUCAAGCAAUGAAUCAGGGGGAAGAGGGACAAUGAAAAAGAACAGAGCCCCACUUUGUCUCUUGAGUCAGUAAAUAGUGAAAUUGAGAAAUCUCAACUCAAGCGAAGAAAAAAUAGGGAAAGUACACUGUAGUUUUAUAAGGGUGAGAAAAUCCAAGUUAAUAAAUGGACAGAAAACUGGUGGACUGAUUUGAAACGAUGACACGGGAGCUGACUUUUAAUGCAGCACGGCAAAUUUGUUUAAGUACCCCAUGGUUCAGAGUUUCCACAGAUCACAAGUCUGAGUCAAUUGUCAAUACCCACAUUUGUCCCCAGUCCACAGUCUCACAUAAGAAAAUGCGUGUGAUUGUGUGGGAGUUCUGAGUGGGAGAUUUGAUUGAUGGAUGGAUGGAUGGAUGAGGUUGGAAUUAAUUGGUGCAUUCUUACGAGGACAGGCGUGAGAUUUUAGUACGACUUAUUUUUCGUCCUCUCCCCCACAGCCCGCACUGCGCGUGUACCGUAAAACUGGCAACCAAAUCAUGAAAGGUGUUUUUUUACCUUGAUUUUCUCCUCCUUCUUCCUUUUUCCCUCUAUAGAAUCACCAAAUUUUCUUUAAAAUUGUGAGAUUUGAAGAAGAUAGUCCAGCUAAGUAAAGUUUCAACGUACUCUGCAUGGUUUUUUUUAACAAUAAGGCUUAAUUCGAUGGUCAAGUUAUAAUUAACUUUUAUGAAUCCGUUAAGAUUAAAAUCCUCAGGUGUAAUUUUUUUUUUUUUAAAAAAUGUUGCAGCACGCGCGUUGAGGUAGAGACUAGAGAGUGCGAAUGUUUUAUAAACAGCUGGCAGCGAGACCGAAAAGUCAAAGAAGUGAGAUUCGAUGAUGACCGGGAAGCAGGAAAGGAUGGGCGGCAGUAGCCGGUAGCAUGGAGCGGCGGGGCUGGCGGAAGUCACGGGGUUUGGGAGGUGAUUUGUUUGUGAAGUUAAGGAGAUCCAUUCCCAAAGGGGUUGUCGGGUCAACUACUCAAAACCUACUUCUUAUGUAUGAUGCGAGAGUAGGACAUGUGAACGUACCAUAAAUGUAAGACUCGGUUGCUGAUUGCUGGAUUGGAUUGCGACAAUAAUAAUACUCCGUCCUCUUCCAACUUUAGUGGUUAGUCAAGAAGGGCUUUUGCCAGCAUUGAUUGAUGAUUUGAUUCUGGUAAGGUGCAAGAAUUUUUGUGGGAAGUAAUUGCCUAAAUUGGUAAUGACCAUACAAAUCAAUUCGUCCAAUUGCAUACCGAAUACGAGUAAUUAUUUAUGUAGAUUAGGUAGGUUCACAUGUUUAAUCACGUCCAAGUGUUUUAACUUUUUUAUGGAACUUUGUGAUAAACAAACAUCCUUCAUUCAUUAUCCACUGCAUUAAAAAAAAAAAAAAUCUAUAGCAUAUUGCAUGGUGCUUAUCGUGUUGUGGAAUAAAGAUUUUCAAGAAUAUAAUGAUAUUAUUGUGUCCUUACUUAGGAGCCAUAGGGUGUUUGUUAUCGUAGUAGAGUGGUCAAUAGUAAUAACUUUUGAUGAAAAUUUAUAGUGUGUGUGUUUUUAACGUGGAAUGGAUUUUACAAUUUAUUAUUUCUUUUCUUUUCUUUUCCAUUUGUUGAAACCAACUGAAACGGUGGUGGCAUUUUGUUUUCUUAUUUUUACAUUUAAGGAGAAUAAGAUGGGGUGAUUAAGAUGAUUUCCUAAUAGCAAGUAAUUAAUCAGAAAACCCAUCCAUAGAAGAGACCUAUCAUUCCUCUUGAUUUAUUUCCAUUGGCCCCAAGAAAAUAUCAUGUAUGGAUAUAAUUGAAUUUGAAACCCCGCCGUAGGGUUGAAAUCCAUUUAAUUACAAGGCUGAGGACAAUUGCUUUCCUGAAACCUUCUUUAGUCGUGGUUAGAGGUGUUAUCGAGUCGAAUCGAGCUCGAGUAGCACCAUACUCGAGUUCGAGCUCAAUCAAAAUUUGUGCUACUCGAUCGAGUAAAAAAAUUUGGACUCGAGCUCGACUCGAUAAAAUAAAACUAAACUUGAGCUCGACUCGUUUGAGCUCGAAUAAGCUCAAGUAAAUAUCAAGCCCGAGCUACUCGAGCUCGAGCUCGAGUUUUGAAAUAAAUCUAUAAUUUUUUUUAAAUAUAUAAUAUAUAAUAUAAUAUAAAUAUAUAAUAUAAAUAAAAUAUGAAAGUUCGAUUAAGCUCGACGAGCACUUGAGCUACUCGCGAGCAGCUUGACUUGCUAGCACCCCUAGUCGUGGUAGAAUGGUUAACAAUUUUGGGAAGUGUUAAUAGCACUUUACUUUCUAUUAUUCACAUUCUCAUCAUUUGUAUUAUCACAUAGUCUAAUAAAUGAAAAAGUAUAUGAUAAAAAUAAUGGCAGAAUUGCGAUAAACAAAAAGGGGAUUACAAUUAACAAUUCCCCAUAACUUUCAUGUUCCAUCAUUCUAUUGCUCUCUGUGUUUGAUCCAUCGAAUUAGAGCAGCACACCAUGUUAAAAGGAUAGAAGGAAGCUUGCUUUUAAUUAAGGCCAAGAAAUUAAGUAGCUGCUUUCAUAUUUCGAGGGAUUAAGAGUCCGUCUCGAUUACUACUAUUUUUAGGAGUUAUCGUAAAAAAACAAAAAAGUAUUAUAACAAUUUAAUAUAUAAAUAUAUAUGUACGAGGUAAUAAGUGAUACCGGCGUUCCUAAAAAAAAAACCCGAGGUACUGUCACCGAACAUUUUUUCUCUCCGUUUCCUCUUUCUCAUUUCUUGCUUGAUAAUGAUGUAAGAAAACAAAUAGUUCAGCAGCAGGUAAGCGAAGUUUUGACAUAAUAAGGUGCUAUCGUUGUCAUUCGAUCAAAAGCAGAAAAAAAAAAUUGGGUAUGCUACUAUAAAAAGAAUAAUAACUAAUGUCCUCCCAUGACAUUGAGGUCCACUCGUCAAAACAAAUUUUUAUUAGUGUGUUCGAAUGCGUGUGGGCAUAUAUGACAUGAUUGCAUUAUUAAGCUUGCUUGGCAAGCUUUUUAGAGUGCUACAAAGUAGUAGUGUAAUUAGUGGGACUGCCAAUUUACAAUGAUGAUAUCAACUCUAUCAUCAGUGACAGUUGUGAGUUUUGCUGGGAAGCUUUCUGCUUUCUGACUUUUUGGGCGCUGAACUGUUGAACCAGAACUUUUUCAUAGAGUACAGCAAUGGACACCUGCACUUUUUUUUUUUUUUUUUUUUUUUUUUUAGUGGCACCCAAUAAAAAAAAUUAUUUAACACUAACACAGAUUGAGUCAGUUUAAUGUGGGCUAGCAAUUGGUCCUCUUCCUGUACGACUUAGCAUAUUAUUAUUAUUUGCCAAUGCUGGCCUCUAGUGGCGUGUUGUCGAUGCUCGACAGCAACCUUUGACAAGAUUUAGUCCUAAAUUAAGCAUUAUUGAUGCCAAAAGUAGCAGGCUUUGAGUUCUGCUCAAGAGUCAAACCAAUUAGAAGUGAGAGAAACUUUUUAGCCUCGAAAAUUUCGGGAGUAACACAAAGAAGGGCCGGGGUAGGGUAACACAAAUUUUAUUCCUCGAGUAAAAUUUACGACAUCAUCCCCAGUUCAAAAAUUCACCGAGCCAUUGCUCCUCAACAUACUAACGAUAACAAAGUUCAUUCGUAUUCGGUUCUAUUGACUUUGAUGAAUAUAUUUAAAAUAAAUAAAAUCCAAGAACUAUUACUAAAGGUUAUUAUUCGAAACAACCCCAUCAAAUGAAUAUUGGGACAUGCUUGUCUCUUUUUCUUUAAGAAAAAAAAAAAAAACUUAAAGAGAGAGAGACUCUAAGCAUGCCCAUGUCAAAGGGUCAUUGAAAUGCUAUCACAUUUCUGCUUGGGCUCAUUGGGUGGGUCUUCUUUCUAUACGUCUACUUCAAUCUGGAAAACCAUAGACAGACCAGGGCUAUAUCGGGCUGGUCCAUGAACUACCAACACUUGCCUUUGGGCUGGAAGCAGGUAGUUGGGUGGAUAAAAUCCAGUCGAACAUUUAUUCCUCGUUUGGAUUGUAGGGAAUGGUGGGAGCGGAUCAAUUAUCAAGUACGCCUGAGAAGAAUCAAGCCUGAGCUCGUCAAUUGUCAGGGGAGUCGAAAGAGUUGCUGACAUGGCUGAAAUCAAGUGCAUAGGAGUGGUUGGAGCCGGCCAAAUGGGUUCCGGAAUCGCCCAACUAGCUGUCGUCAACGGCGUCGACGUCUGGCUUCAUGAUACCGAGGCUGAAGCUCUCUCCAGAGCCCACAAUUCAAUUUCUAAAAACAUUGAACGCCUGGUCUCGAAGGGUCACCUUUCUCAGGUUCCCACCACCCAUAUAUCUAUUUCUUUUGGUGUAAAAAAUGAACUUUCCAUCUUCGUUUUUCGUUUUUUGAAGUUCUUUGUAGAAAACUCGGCAUCUUUAUGUAAUUCGAUGCUUAAUUUAAGUGGAGUUAGAGCAACACUAAUGUCUCAUUCGUAACGAGCUUGCAUGUUUUCCCCCUCUUCUAAUUGUUGUUGGCGGGGUGUAUUUGUCCUUAUAGUAUUAGAUUCUGUGCUGCAACGAUAGAAGGCCGGAGAUACUAAUCCCUUUAAGAGAAUAACCCAUGUGACAAACUUAAUUGAAUAAUUAAAUCGAAACGGGGUUCAUAAUCAUGGCUUGGAACUGGUUAGUACUAGCAUUUUGGAAUAAUACCUGGAUUAGCUGUUGCAGAUUAAUCAAAGUCAACUACUUAAAUACUGUGUUUGGUUAUCUAUCAGAAUUGGAAUUCAAUGGGGAAUUGGAAUUGCAUCCUAGGGCCAUGUAGCGAAACAAGCAAGUAGGAAGCACUUCUAAUUUCAAUUGGAAUCCUUAUGGAGAACCGAAGACAGCCCAAGUGUUUAAAAAGUAAGCUAUAAUGUCUCUUCUUCCCCCUGCUGUAACUUUUUAACAGGCUGUAGAGGCUGAUGCUGCAAGGCGUUUACGCUGUACUUCCAAUCUGGAUGAUCUUAUUUCAGUUGAUAUGGUGAUUGAGGCUGUUGUUGAGUCUGAGGAUGUGAAGAAGAAGUUAUUUGUUCAAUUGGAUACAAUUCUAAAAGGCUCUGCAAUCUUGGCAUCAAAUACAAGUUCCAUUUCCAUUACUCGUUUAGCAUCAGCAACAAGCAGACCCAGCCAGGUUACCUUUGAAGUGCUUGAUACUUGAUGAAUCAAUUUGCAUUUGUGUCAUUGUUUACAGUUAUAGGUUUAGGUAAGAGUGAAAAAUGAAGGUCCAGAUAACUUCUGAGUAUUUGUGCUUGGUUGCCUUUAAUCUUGCGUUGUUGGUCAGGUUGGUUAUAUGAGCUCCCCUCAUUUACUUUAUCAUGUUGCAGGUGAUUGGCAUGCAUUUUAUGAACCCUCCACCUAUUAUGAAACUAGUUGAGAUUAUCAAGGGGCAGAUACAUCAGAUGAUACUUAUAAUGCCACUAGAUGCUUGGCUGAGAGGUGAUUUAAUGUUAAAUCUUAUAUUUAUCAACACUAAAACAAACAUACUCCGUGCCUUUUACACACUUUGAUUGAUUUCAAUGUUCAUCUGUCAUCGAUAUGCUAGUGACGUUAGCAAAAUUUGCAUCCUUUCUGCCUCAAAAAAUUUUUAAGUACUAUAAAAAUUAAUAUAAAAACUUAAUCCAAAAAUUUUGAACCCCUAACAUUUUUUUCAUAUAUAAAUUUAAAAUUUCAUUUUAUAAAGAUAAGAAAAUAGGCUAAAAUUUAUCAUAAAUUGGUAAUGCUAAAAAAUAAGCAAGUUAACAAAUUAAGAAAAAAUAAAAUAAUAAGAUAAAACCAACAAAUAAUAAUAAUAAUGUUAACAUCAUGACAAAAUGAAAAAUUUGAAAAAAAAACAAGUAGGGGAAAAGAAGAGACUUGGGGAGAAGAGAAUUUUAAAUGGGUUAAUUGGGUUUGAUGGGCUACCCAAUAAUACCCAUUUAUUAAAUGGGUAUUAUUGGGUAACCCAUUUAUACCCAUAUACAAAAAUUUAAGAUACCCAUACCCAUCUAUUCAUGGACGGGUAUGGGUAAAUCUAGUUAAGUGGGUUGAUUUGCCGCCUCUACUUCUAGCAUUGGAAUACAUUUUUGGUUGUGGCAUAGUGCUAGAGUUAUGUGAGUUCAACUUCUUGCCAAAGUAUGCACAUUUGGGAGUGAAUUCGGUCUGUAUGAUAGAGAUGGGUGGAAGUAUAGGGCUAUAUUACAAAUCCUGAAACUCUUAACAGUAACCCUGCACAAAGGCUUGUCAACUAUUGAAGUUUGAAAUAUAAUUUUCUGACAUGUCUAUUGUAGAUGAAUAGAUAUGUACUUGUAUAAUUUCGUAUAUGUGCUUUUACAUAAUAAAGUCAUUGGAGCCACUGGAUUUGUAGGAUGGGAAAGACAGUCAUUUGCUCCAAUGACUAUCCUGGCUUCAUUGUAAACCGAAUUCUGAUGCCAAUGAUAAACGAAGCAUUUCAUGCACUGCAUACUGGAGUAGCAACAAAGGAAGACAUCGAUACGGGAAUGAAGCUGGGGACAAACCAUCCAAUGGGUCCUCUAGAGCUUGCUGAUUUGAUUGGGCUCGAUGUUUGCUUGUCAAUAAUGAAAGUUCUUCAGGCUGGCCUUGGUGACAGUAAAUAUGCUCCGUGUCCUCUUCUUGUGCAGUAUGUUGAUGCUGGUCGACUUGGCAGAAAACGCGGUGUUGGGGUUUAUGACUAUAAUACGAGGCCCAAAGAAAAAAAACCAUUGGCUCAACUUUAAUAUUCUUCAAGUAUGAAAAUAACGAGAAUCUCAAUUAUGCAUUUUCCACAUGACAUGUCUGAAACAUGACUUUGACUGUUGAGGUAAGAUUAAGAGUGCUCUACUACGGAGUCCUGGAAGCUUGAAAGUUCCAUAAUCUUGUUGUAGCGUCUUCCUGGAGCCCAAGCUGUGGUAGAUUUAGUCUGGUUGUUCAUUUCAAAAUAAACAUGUAAGUUACUGAAAUAGGAUUAUGCAUGUUUGUAAAAUUGAUAAUAGAAGAGAAAAUGAAAACUCUCUUAUCUGGCAUACAGCAGGAAAGAUGGCUUGUGAAAGUUUAUGAAAUAUGUGAAGAUCCAGUGAUUAAUGCUUUUACGCUGUUUGCCUCCUUUUGCUACUAGAUACAGAGUGUGUGAAUACUACUAUAAUCUGUUGAAUUGAAUACCAUAAUAAUGGUUGGUGAUGGAAAUCCUUUAUCUCUUUGGUAAGAAUCAAUCGAGAAUGCUAAUCAGCACUUGGACAUCAGGUCAAUCUAUUGCAUUCUAGACUGCCAUGUAAUUGUCGCGCGCAUCGUUGUUCACAGGGUAAAUAAUAGAGGAUUUUACAGAUGAAACUACUCUAGGCUUUCCCUAUAUAUGAUGAUCUUCCAAAAGGGUUUUGGUUUUCUGAUAGUCCCACGGGUGAAUCUAAGCAUAUCGGGUCCUUCAAGCUCUGUGCAAUCAACCAGGCAUAUGCAAAGACUCUAGCUGCCCUUAUCAGUUAUCACAACCGACACACUCUCUCAGGAAUCUGUUAACCAUCCGCUAGUAGGAGAAAGGAGUGAUUUGAGUUUGCUUUAAUAGCUAUUGAGCGCUGUUAUACUUCUUAUUGCUCCUUCAAUGAUGGAUUUACCCACCGCUCGUUUACAUGUUCUGUUGUUGAAUGAUGUCUUUCAACAGUAGUUGGUAUGGUGUUCAAGAAAGCUCUCUUAUAGAAGUCUGUUCUCUAUAAUGCUUGCCAGUUGCCUGCCCAAAAUAUCUUAUAUUGAGUUGAUUAAACCACAAAGUAGUCCCUUCUUUUCAAAGUUGAUGGCCCACCAAAGUUCCCUAUUUGUAGGGUACCCCAAAUUCCCUCAUUGUCAUUGCCCACCCAAAGCAAUUUCAUGCCAGCAUAUAGUUUGUCUUAUUGAUAGCAUGGCCACUCAUCAUGAAAGCGAUUGAAAUGGAAUCCAACAGUAAAAGGUGUACUAUUCUCCCAAAGAAUUCUAGUGAAAACGGAAGAUAAAAAGAAACAAGAAGGGCUAAAGCACAAAAAACUUUCCCGUGUGCACCAUUUGGGAUAGUGGGGAAGAGAGAAGCAUGAAGUUCUUAUUCCAGUGCCCCUGUUGCUCCUGUUUCUGCUUCAUGAAACCCAAGGCAGGCAAACCAAAGCCAAAAGAGGAGCCAAAGCCAAAGGAGCAGCCAAAGCCGAAGGAAGAGAAGAAGGAAGCCAAGGGAGAGUAACCUUAUCGAGCAACGACUCUUUUUAAGUAAUUUAUUCUCUUUAUUUACCCUUAUGAUUUUAUUUGCGACCAUUCAACAGGCGAAUGGUGGUAGAAGCAAUUGUAUGUUUUUCCUAAAUCUGUAUCGAGUUACGACGUACUCGGGUUACCAGGCAUGUUGCUUGUCCAAGUGUACUCAAAUGGGAAUUAAUUCUCGCAUAACCAUUUCAGCAUUGUAAAUUGUUCUGCUAGUUCUCUUUUCUGCUUGAGUUUGCUUUCUCUGGAUGCUUUAAAAUUUGUUGUUUUUUGUGUGGGUUGUUGUUGGGGGGGGGGGGGGGGGGGGGAUAAGAAACGGGCAGUGCCCUUGUUUGCUUUCAACAACAGCGAUGAAUAUAUGUACUGAAUAUGCCAGAAUUGCCUGAGAAAGUUUUAUGCUUAGAUCCAGGUUAUCGUUGUCAGUGUGCAUUUCUCUAGACGUUUGAUGAUGAUGCUGAUGAUUUAGCAGGUUAUAGGGUCAUAUCAUUUGUUUUUGGAUUUAAACGCGAAUACGAGGAUUUCUACCACAAAUUUGAGAACUUCAGUUCGCAUCUUAAACAUCUCUGGGAGAAAUUAACUUGAAAACUUUAAACCUAAACUCUUUAUAGAAGUGCCAGGCGAUGAUUUUCAACUAGUAUUCAUCACUGGGUAGCAAGCAUGUGCAAUAUUCCGAGGAGUUAAAAAUCUGGAAAAUCCUUAAACUAUUGUGGUUAUCUACUUUUAACCCCUUAUUUAAAUUUUGUUUUCGAUUGGCCCUGAACAUUUAAAAUCGCAUACUUUAAAAUCGCAUACUUUAAGGACUUCCGGUGAUUUUAGGCACAAGUCUAGCCAGAUUUAAAGGGUUUUUUUUUUGUCCGUUUACAAUUAAAGUAUCGGGACCAGCAUUAGAAACCCUAAAAAAAGGCAUCCCUUCAACGACCGCUGAAGAAGUAGAAGAACAAGGUGUAAGAGUGAAACUUGAAAAUGCAUAGCCAACAGAUUGUACAUAUGGAUAUUGGAGUGUCUCUUUUGUUAUUGGAUUAAAGGUAGCAAUGGAUGUUUCUUUGUCCAUUAGCAACGAACCCUCUUCGGAACGGCAGAUUGCAUGAUCUUUUAGUGCCUCGGGAAUUGACAAAGUACUUGGCAUUCCGCUUGUAAUCAACAAAGCUGUAGAAUCCUCUUGAUCUUUCCAGAAAUAUUAGACAUGGAAAGAAUGUGUUGGUGGUCCUCAUCGGAACGGUGGAGUUUCCGAUGAAGGCGUAGAGUCUGUUGACACAUCAAAAGUCUAUGCAGUCAGCAAAAGAAAGUUUUCCAGCCGUGAUAGCAAGUAUUUUUGAAGGGACAUCACACAGCAAUUUCCUUUGUUUUGUUUCUCCUGAUUUAUUCUCCACCAAACUCUUCACCUUGAUUUCCUUUUGUUCCACCUCCAUUCGUCCUCUUAGUUGUUGUUCUUCCUCUUCUAAUUUUCCGGAGAUUCUAACAAUUUCUUGCUGAUGAUUACUAGUGUCUCCCCUGUGAUGAUUAUCCUAAAAAGAGGCAAUCCUCGACUUUUCAGAGGAUUUUUUUUGAAGAAAAUCUAAUGGUGUUUUGAAGAAAUUGAAGGGCUACCUCUUUUUAGGGAUACUAGUCCUGAUGCUUCAAUUGUGAAUGGGCAAAAAUGCCCUUUAAAUUGAGUUCGAUUUAUGCCUAAAAUCACCAAAAGUUCUUAAAGAAUGCAGUCUUAAUUAUUUAAGAACUAAUCAAAAAAAAUUUUAGACGAGGAGCCAAAGUAAACAAAUUUUAAGGACUCCACAGGCUUUUUACUUUAUUCUGAGAAGCUAGCUUCCCUAUUAUUUUAGGAGAAUGUUAACGGCACUCCCUAUUUUGUUAUCCACACUUUCCCUAUAUAGGUUUGUUUGGAUUGUAAAUUAUUUGAGAUAUUUUUACUGUAGCACUUUUUAUAAUGUGAUAUAUGUGAGAUAAAAAGAUAAUUAGAAAGAUAAAAAACUGUAUUAAAAAUUAUAAUGGUGAUGUAAGCAAAUAUAUUUAGAAAAAUAACCCACUAUCCAAACAAAACCGCCCUAUAACUUUUUUUCUCCUCGUGACCACAGAUUGCCCUUGCAAAACGAAAGCUUUGAUAGAUUGAAGUGACAAUUGAAACUUUCUUCUUUUCUACAAAAAAUCAAUUAUGGAAGACAGUCCUCUAAUAGAGGAUAUAUUAUAAACUGAGCAAGAUAUGUGGUCUGAUGAAAUCCAAUUUGUAGAAAAUUUCACCUUUUUAUCAGCAUUUUUAUUCCCCAAAGCCUGCUAAUCAUGGUACGGUAUGAAAAUUCUUUUGGUGCAUGCACUUUUGUGGCUCAUGUGAGUUGAAUAUUUUGGUUGCUUUUUUUUUGGAAUUCUUUAAAGAUCUACCAUUGUUCUGUUUUUUUUUUAUACGGUAUAGCAUAAAGACCUAUUAAAAAUUUAAAUCUUGAAAGAGUAAUAUAUGGUUCGUCAAGUUUAAGGAAUUAUAUUUUAAGUUUUGAACUUGCAUUGUAAAGAUUAAUUUUUAGCAUUCUGUGGUUUUAUUAAUUUUUAUUCGUAUUUUAGUUGAAAUUUUUGAACAAAAUUGCACAAGCUAUGCUAUUAGAAAAUUUCAAAACGACCAUUUGUCAAUCUACGGCCACGAGAAGGAAAAUAUUGCAAGGAUAUUGUAAUAGCCUCUUCUUGAUAAGAAAGAUGAGAUAGUAAGAGCGUGACCAAUAGAAAAGGGUGUACUAACAAUAUUUGUGGUCAUUUUAUCUUUUCAACAGUCUUUUUAUCUUAAAUACAUCGUGAGUCAUCAUAAAAAAGUUACUAUAAUUAUUUCAAUGGUUAUUAUCACCUUACCCGUUUAAACUAUAUCACUACUAUCGAUUUAUCCCCUAACAUUAUCUUUUAGUCACUUCAUCCCAGAAGUAAUUCAACUCAGCAUGUAAAGAAAUUUUGGACAAAAAUACCCUUUUAUUCUAUAGCAUUACUACAUUGUUAUUAUUACUUUAUUCCUAUAAAUUAUAGUGAUAUAAUCGAUUUAAUUCCUAACAUCAUUUUCUUGGCAUUUUACUUCAUUGUUAAUCUAACUACUAUAGUAAAAAAAUUUUAAAUAUAUUUACCCUUAUAUAUAUAAUUAAAAAUAAAAAAUUUAGAAUAAUUAUUCUUUUUUUUUCAAUUUAAGAGAUCCAAAAAUAUAAAAAUAAAAGGAUUUUUUCAAAUUUCUUUUUUCACACUUAUUAAUACUAUGAAAAGAAAAAGGAUAGGAAUGAAGGAGACAGAAAAUUAGAUUUUGCAAAGAAAAAAAAAAGGUCUAACAUUAUCAUAUUAAUUUAAGGUUGUUGAAAUUAGAAUUGAAAUCUGGUGGUAAACGGUAAACUGAAAUAAUUUUAAAAUAAUAAAAGUAUUUGAUUCUUUCUUAUUUUGUAUUUUCUAAAAAAAGAAUUGACCUCUCUCUCUCUAUCUAUCUCUCUCUCCGUCUCUCCCUCUCCCUCCCCUUCCAAUCUUUCUAUUUUUUUAAUAUCAAUAAGAUUGUCAACAAGAAAUAAAUUAAUACUUUGACUUUUUUCUUGAUACUAAAGAGGAGAAGAACCAUUCUAAAUUUUUUAUUAUUUUUAUUAUACAAAGAGGAGGGUACUUUCUUUUAAAGUUUUUUAACUUGCUAAGUUGAUUUAAUAGUGGGAUAAAUUACCUAAAAAAUAACUCUAUGGGAUAAAUUGAUAAUGAGACUAUAGUUUAUGGGGGUAAAAUGAUAAUAACUUUAAGGGCUAACUUGUCUUUUUACUUUAAUUAACAAACUCCGUUAAAUUUGACCGUUAGUCUUGGAAGUAAAAUAACUAAAAGAUAACGUUAAGAGGGAAAUGAGUAAUGUGUGUUGUCCAUAAAUUAUACUCCUUAAAAUUUAUUAAUUGUUAAUUGAUUUAUAGUACACAAAGGGCAAAUCUGGUACAAAAUUCUAAUUUCACUCCCUAAAAUAAUAUUUUAAUCAUUUGGACUAAAUUUGCAAAGGACUAGUAACCUCAGGGGAGGUCAGUGUAAUUUUUCAAAUCACAGGGAAGGUCAGUGCAAAUGUCAGAAACUUCAUGGGAGGUUUUUGCAAUUAUCCCUUGUUUUAUUAAUAGAAUUUGACAAAAUGGCCUUGUUAGCCAAUUCCGUGUCAUAUUUAAUAGUUUAGUGAGUUUUUGGGCCGUUCACUUCUCUAAUAUUAAUUAAUAAGAGUCUGAUUGAGUUUGUACUAAUACUGUGGACAGAAGAUGUUCAUGGACUGGAUUGCAUUUUUCUGAAAUUUUUGUAAAAAAAAUUACUAUAAUGAUUGGAUAUAUAUGAGAUAAAAAAGUGAUUAAAAAAUAUAUUCACGGAAACGUAACAAUUUUUCAAUGCAAUUUUUUAAAAAAAAAGUGAUUUGAAAAAUUGCUUUCCAAACAAGUGUUAAACGGUGCCUUAACUAUUGGAUUUGAGUUCUAAAUUUGAAUUUGAACUUUCAGGAUUCGCUAUUUCUACGCAUACGGCUCCAGCAGGCGGUUGCGUGAUUUCCUGCAAUAUUCCGUUGACCACCCGCCUACCAGUCAAAUUUUCUUUUCCACCUGUUGUAUAGAGUACUAGUCGUGGAUUUGUUUUGUUCAUUGUUGGACCGUGAUGCUACCUACCGACUGUCAGUUCAUUUACUUUGCUUAGGGAUAAUAUCAGAAACCUCCUUUGGAGUUUCUCUUAAUAUCAUUUGACAGCCCUCAUAUUUUAGAAAUAAUCACUUACCUCCCUUACUGAUAAUACACUCAUUCGGCACAUAAUUCACAAUAUAUCAAAUAAAUGGAGCUCAAAAAUAAAAAAAUAAAAAUCACCUUUCUUCUUUUUCCCUUUUCUCCAUCAUUCUCUUUUACUCAUAUUUUUUGGAUGAUUAUGCAAUAUUUUUUUUGUAAAUUAUAAUAAACUAAAUUUUGUUUAUCUUUUAGUUUUUGUGAUUGUGAUAAAGUGAGGUAUGAUUUAUUUGCUUAUUUUAAGUUGAUUUUUAAAAUGACUGGUAUAGUUUAAUGGUUUGAACAAAGGUUGGAAAGAUGUUGGAAAAAAAUAGAAAUUCAUAAGAAAUCAGUUUUAAACAUAUAUAAUAAAAUUGAUGCAAGCGUAUUUAUUUUUGAAUAUAUUUUUAUUUUUUCAAAUUUAUAUUUUUAUGGAGUAUAGUAUUGUGAUGUGGUAAUACUACAAGAGAUUAUUUUUGAGGUAAAAAAAAUACAAUCAUAUUGAUUUUGAAAAAAUAUAGGCCUAAGAAUCAAUUUAUUUUUGAAGUUCGAUAUAUAUAAAAGCACACUUCCUUGCAGGACUCUUCUUGUCUGGAUGGAUAAGGAUGGAAUUAUGACAUUUUCCAUGGACCAGGGCAACAUGGCUGUGUUUCGUCCGGUUGCGUAUAAUUAUUGUAUUUCUUUCCAAAUUCGGUAUUGUUAUAUAUAUAUAUAUAUAUAUAUAUAUAUAUAUAUAUGUAUAGUGAGAAUAUACCAAAUUAGAUAGGUGCAUGGCAUGAGAAUACACCAAAUUUAGUAGACAAUACAACUUGGAUAUAAGCCACUUGGAUAUAUAUAUAUAUAUAUAUAUAUGUAUGUAUAGACAACUUGGAUUACAAAAAAUUUUCCAGUACAAUUUACUGUGUAAUAACUAGUGAACCAUAAAGGACUGGCGACUAACCACAUUCAAAACGUGGCCGUAUCGAAGUAAAUAACUAGUGAACAAUAAAGGGCUGGCGACUUAACUACUGUGUAAUAACGGGUGAACCAUAAAGGACUGGCGACUUACCGCAUUCAAAACGUGGCCAUAUCGAAGUAAAUAAGCCACUGACGAGACGGAUGGUUAUAUAGUGGAGACAGUACGGAUGUCUCCGGGAAGAGUAUAGCAACGGUUUGGAAGGAUGUGGUGUGCAAUGAGCCAACGCAGCAGCAUUGAUGGAAGGGCCAGCACGUGCUAUUUGGUUGCAGCCCAACAGUAUUGGUUUCUUACCGGUUUGACAGUGAGUUAGGUGUUAUCCAUGGGACCUGUGAAUGCUUAGUGGGCGGUCGAGGUGUUAGCGGGUAAUGAAAAUAAUUGAAAUGAAUCAGCACCACGUACUGUUUUGCAAACUAAAAGUACAAAUAUUACAUAUAUAUUCGAUUCAUCCUUCAUAAUUAUAUCACAUCCCAUAUUUAAUAAAAUAAGAUGAAUUGAAAUGGUAUUUUGUAAAGACAUAAGUACCUUCAAUAUAUUUUUUCGAUUGCCUAGAAAGGACAAAAGGAAUAUCUUGUUGUUUUUUCAACAAUUUUUUUAACUCUAAAUUAUUGUACCUCUCAGUACGAUUCAAACCCAGAUGAAAUUAUGACCAUUUAUCAGAGACAUAAUAAUGAACCUAUCUUGUAAGAUUCCCAACCAAUUCUUGGAUUGCUUUGGCAAGAAUCCUUAUUUUAAUGUCCUCACCGUUGGCUAUUUUAGACUAAGGUAAAUUAUAUAAGUACAAACUACAAACACAUUUCCAGACAAUUAGUUAUUUCAUUUUUAACAUUCACAUUUUAAAUUAUCUUAAUUAUGUGAAUACUAUUUUGUACGAUAGGCAUUCAAAAAAAGUACAUACAAAUGAGAUGCAUUGACACCUAUGAUAAAUAUUAUUAAUGUUAUAUUCGUUGACCGAUUUUAAUCUUUUUGGGACUUCAUUAAAGCAACAUAUAGCAUCACUAAGUUCUCUCAAAAUUGUUCCCAUUUAAGAGGUUAACAACACAACUCGGCAAUUUUCUCAUUUUUUUAAUCGAUAAGCUCAUUUCUAUGCAACGUUGUAACUACAUCGAGCAUAUAGUCUUAACUAGGUUUUAAAGCAUUGCUAAUAUCUUGUGCAUUUUGCUCUCUGCCAAAUUACCCAAAACAAAUGUUUUCCCUUUUUUCUACUUAGCAAUCGAUCAUUCAUCUACUUUCUAUUCACUUUUUCUACCAUUUAAUUUUACUAGGUUCACAGAUUUUCUUACCUUUAUUAUACUUGUAUAAUAUGUUUUCCACGAGCCAAAUCCAUUAUAUUUCAUGAUGUUCAACAUAUAUUCACAUAUUAUAUGAACAUAAUUUGACCUUGAUUGAAUAUUAAACGACCUAUAAAUGUUGCUCGAAUUCGCUUCAAUAAUUUGUAUAUAUGUUCGACUUCAAAUUCGAUGUCAAUUUGUUAAAAUAUCCUGGAAUCAAAUUCAACCUUGAGCUCUAACUCCAAUUUCAGUUUGAAAACUAUUUCAUUAUGCAUUUAAAAAUCAUUCAUGAUUUAGAAUAAAUUUAAUUACGCUUCUUUUUUUUACAAAUUAAAUAAUAUUCAUUUCAUGUAUAAUUACUUUUUUAAUGAAACAAGACAUAUAUAUCCUAUAUUUAAAUAUAUACGCAUAUUGCUAUUCAUUUAUUCUUUGUCAUUAUAUAUGUGUUCACGAACUAUUUGAAUAGUUUGUAAAUAGGAUCGUGCUCGUCUCGACUAUUAAAUGAACUUAACAUCGUGUUCAAGUUUGAUUCGUUUAUUACACAAUCAAUCUUUUUUGUCACUCAAAUGAACCGAACUCGAACAUGUUCAUGACACCUUUACUUGUACUAUGCACGAAACUUAGAGAGGAAUUGAUGAUUUAGAUGGUACGUGGAAUGGAGUGUAUGAACCUAUUUCUAAGUUCGAGAUCUGCCACUUAUACUAAAAAAACGUAACAAUACUUAACUUUUUUUUGCUUCCAUCAUAUAACUUUUAAUCACAUCCUUUUUAUGGACCAUAAAUCUCACUUUUCAUAUCCGCCAAAAGUGCGCCUAUAUGGAAUGUUCGACUUCAUCGUGGUUACUAAUACAUACACAUAUACACAUGUAUGCAUGCAUACACACAUAUACCAUAUUUAUUAUUUCAAGAAUUGAUUGUAUAACAACUAAUUUGUUCUACUUGAUUUUUGCUUAUUUUUUCAUCUAACUCUCUUCCAACUAAUUUCAUUUAUAAUUUGUCUCUUCUAAUAACCUCUAUCACACCUAAUGCAUUUGAGUUAUUCUUUUAUCCUUGCCUUCUAAUUUUAUUCAUCCAUUUUCAAUACACUUGCAUUAUCAUACAGAGUACUUUGCGUGUACAUUUAUUAAUUCAUUUUUUAUAUUCGUUAACUUAUUAAUCUGUUACAUAGUAAUACGCAACUAAUGCACAAAUGUAUUAUGCUAUCUUUCCUUUUAUUUCUACUUAAAAUGACUACCGAUGUCAAUAUAAUCGCAUACAUCAUAAAUUUAAUUACCACCCCAGAGAAUACAUUUCAUCUAUUGUAUGAAUUGUAGUAUUUAGCAUAUAUGAUUGCACCACACUAUUUUUGUAUACAUAAAUUUUUAAAGACUACUAUGGUACAUAAAUACUUCAAAUGCAAUUAUUUCAUCAUACAACUAUGAAUACUUUGACAAAAGAUUAUUAUAGAUUUAUUUACACCUUGGAUCAAUUCAUAAUUAAUCAUUGAGCAAAAAAAAAAAAAAUUGCACUCGCAAAAUAAAAGUUGUUAUUCAUGAACAUACUAAACCUGCGACAAAUUACUUGCAUCUAUACUAUGCUUUUUGUUUGGGGAUGAUUUCGGAAACCUCUCAUGAGGUUUUUGACAAUUUCAUUGAACUCUCGUGAAAUUUGAAAAAUUACACUUACCUCCAUUAAUUCAAUAGUUUUAGUAACAAUAUAUUAAAAUAAUAUUGAUUUUGACAAAUUUAAAUAAAUACCCAUAAAUGCCCUUGUAUAAUGAGUUUAAAUUGUUUUCUAUACAAUUAUAAGAUUAUUUAGUACAAUUAUACGGAAUAGGUGCCAAAUUUUUUUAUGUCCAUAUCUACUAUUUUAUAAAAAACUAUAAUAAUAAUUUUAUUAUUAUGAUUGGAAACUUUUUCAUGAUAUUUUAUUAUGGAUUUAGAUUUAUAAGCUAGAAAAAAUAUGUUAAAAAAUCAUUUAGACUUUAUUAAUUUUUCAAGUAAUGGAAUUAUCAUAAAUUAAUAAUGGUUUUGGCCUAUUUCUUUUUCAUUUUUUGUCGGUUAAAAAAAUGGAAACAAGACAAAUAAAAACAUUGAAUUACAUAUAAAAUUAACUCAUACAAAAAUUACUAAUUCGACAUUUAAUUACAAUAGAAACUAGAGACAAUAGUGACCGUUCUACAGCUUAAUUGACGAAAAAAUAACAACAACAAAUAAGGAGGAAAAAGAAUUAACAAAUAAUUUGGAAACUCAUUAUAAAUAUACGUAUACCAAAUAAGAGAAUUUCAUUACAAUAUUUAACCGUUCAAUUAUCUUUUUUAAAUCUCAACAGAGGUAUGUGUACUUGUUAAAAAUUGUGGGGGAUGUUUCUGAAAUUACCCCUUUUACUAGCAAGCCUAUUUUAGGGGCCACUUGCAAUUUAGUGUUCCGUUGGUCUCCGUUCUUAACUUAAUCAUCUUUCCACGUUUGCAAUGAUACGGACGUCCAACUGGAACAUCACAGAUUUCUCGCCAUCUGCUUUGACGUGGACGUCCAGCUAGAACAUGUGCCGCCUGCAACAACACCGGCUCAGCACGCAAUGGAUCUUCUGUCCCAUAUCCUGUGCCACUCUCUAUCCCACUUUUUAUUAUAUUGCUAUUUCUCAUUCAUAAACAUCAUGUUUUAAUUCUUUUUUACUUCCUUAAGAUCCAAUAACUAUUAAUUCAGUAAUACACAAAAUUUAACAUACUCAAAAAAUCAAAAUGCAUAAAAAAUGAGAUUUUUUAUGAAUUUUCUGCUGUAUUUUUUAAUUUUCUAUUAUAUAUUGCUUUUUUGAAGAUGUUAUAUUUAUUUUUUACUGAAUUAAUAGUUAUUGGAUCUUAAGGAAGCAAAAAAGAAUUAAAACAUGAUAUUUAUGAAUGAGAAAUAACAAUAUAAUAAAAAGUGAGACAGAGUGGCACAGGGUGUGGGACAGAAGAUCCGUUGCGGGCUCCGCAAUUCUCCUUUCCGUUUCCAUGCAGCCUUGAUUUCCGUGGCUGGACAGGUGUCAAUGGAUCCUUCAUCUGGCCAGCUUUUCUCUUGGUGGAGACAUCCGUACUGUCUUCGUUAUAGAAAAAUCCCUGACGAGACCAACUAAAACAAGACGAGGAAGAAACGAAAGCAGCAGAGUGAGAAGCCAGGAAAACAGGCGAUCGCCAAGACGGGCAGAAAGAGUAGAGGGCAAAAUAUUAGUAUUACCAUAAAAAAGAUGCAAUCAAAUAUUACUGGUUCAGAAUCAGAGGCAAAUACUAGCCCCUUGCUAGUAGGAAGAACAGAGUCAAGGAGUAUUAAUAACGAAGGUGAAGCAGCAGCAGCAAGAGACAGGUGUUGGAACAAGAUCUUGGACGUGGGAGAAAGCAAGAACCAGAUAUUGUUUUCUCUACCUAUGAUUCUGACUAAUGUUUCAUACUACUUGAUCCCUCUAGUCUCCGUCAUGUUCGCCGGCCAUCUUGGACAACUUGAACUCGCUGCCUCCACCCUCGCAAAUUCUUGGCGCCGUCACCGGCCUCGCCCUCAUGGUACAUGUAUAUAUAUUUAUAUAUUUUUCACUCACUCUUCGUACCAAUUUAUCUUCUGCUUCUAUCCAAGAUACUUGGCCUUAAAAAAUUCAAUUAACAGUCGUAUGCAUGGACUUUAUGUUGUUCUUUUUCCUGAGGUUCAAUCUGACGCCUUCGUUUGCCUCCAUUAUCUGCCCAAGCCACUAAUAUGUCGUUGAAUCAAGAUUUGUUUCCACUUUUCACAGACCCACUUGAGCUAGAUUCUUAGGAAUGGAAUUACGGCUCGCAACCUGACGAGUGACAAUAAAAAGAUGUGAGCAUUUGACCCCAAAAAAAAAAAAAAAAAGAAAAGAGAAAAAGAGAGGUGCCGUUUUCAGGACUCAUCUGUUAAUAUCCUUUAUUCAAUUGUAUACUGGCCUACCAAGACUCGGGAUUAGGUCUAUUUUGGCGAUUUUCUUUGCCUCCUGCUCAUAAAUUCUCUGAUAAAGCCGAAGGCAGGUGUGAGGACCAUGUGGCCCUCCUCGCAUUUAGCACAAAUUAAAUAAUUUUGUGGCAGCCCAUGGAUUUGCUCGUCCUUUUCCAUCUAUAUUUGUAGGCUGUUUGAUGCUUUUGGUUGUUGACCAUUUUAAGUAGCGCUGGAGCUGUAAACAAUAAGGGAUGCAAAUUUUCAAUAGAAAACUAGAGAGCAAAUCAGGAAACUUAAUUGCAUUCUUCCACCAAAGUGAUGUAAUUAGUGAUUAAAUAGUCAUCGACCUCAUAUUCAUUUGGUGAUAUGAUAUGCUUGCGCCCCCCUGUAACAUGCUUCACUUCCUUCUUUUGCUCCUGAACCUUGUUAGUGGUUACACUUUAUCACUUUCAACUUUAGAAAUAUACAUUUCACUAUCUAUGAAAACUAGUCACACAUAAAAAUGAAAAAAAAAAAAUAGUACAAUGAUGUGAUUGCCUCUUAUUUAUGAGAUUAUGUGUAACUUGCAUAUUAUUUCCCUUUUAUUGCUAAAAAAAUAUACAUCUUCUUUGCUCUAUCUAGUUUAUAAAAAUUCAAGUUGAUAAAAGCUAAAAUAUCCUUAAAAUUUCUCCUAUUGGAUUCGUGCACACUUAUUACUUUGUUCAAUUUUUUGGAUUUUAAAUCAAACAGUAAGGAUAAAUAACACGCUAAUAAUAAAUGAGUUCAAAAAUUUUAAAAAAAAGAUAAUAUCAAACUUGUUAUUUUUUAAUUUUUUUAUUGUAUUAGUUUAUAUAUGUUAAAAUUAUAGUAGUAUCAUUUUCUGUUUUCCAAAUUAGUCCAAUAUUAAAUACUUAACCAAAAUUGUUAAAAAUGACUGGGAUGUCUUAUUUCUAAACUUGGUGAAGGAAGAAAAGAAAAGAUCAGAACAAAUUUCAACUUUUUUUGUUCCAAAAAAGGGCAAUAAUUGUAAACCAUUAACAAUUUUGGGCCAAUGUUGUUAUAACACUUUUUUUUUGGUCUUAAUAUGGAGUUAAGAUUUUUAAGGUUGACUAGCCUUUUGGGGUGAAGUGUAAGACUACCCCCAAAGUUCAAGGGGACAAAGUGUUACUAAUAUUAAUCCUUGGCACUAUAGAUGAAAUUAACGGAUGGGAGUUAAUUUCUCACUUACCAUUUCAGGUGGGCCUGAGUGGUGCACUUGAAACCUUGUGUGGGCAAGGCUAUGGCGCAAAGCUGUAUAGAUUGCUGGGAAUACAUCUACAAGCAACUUGCACAAUAUCGCUAUCAUUUUCUGUUCUUGUAUCAAUACUCUGGUGGUUCUCCGACAUAAUCUUGAUAUUUUUUCGUCAAGAUUCGGAAAUAUCAAGAGCAGCUGGUCUGUACCUGAAGUUUCUAAUACCAGGAUUAUUUGCAUACGGGAUUCUGCAAAAUAUUCUGAGGUUUCUUCAGACUCAAUCAGUUGUGGCACCACUGGUUGUGUGCUCAGUCGUUCCAUUGGUUAUCCACAUCGGGAUUACCUUCAUUCUGGUUAAAUGGACACCCCUUGCUUUUACUGGAGCACCAUUAGCCGCCUCAAUAUCAUUGUGGAUCUCCCUUCUCAUGUUGGGCAUGUACGUUCUUCGCGCAAAUAAAUUUAAGCAUACUUGGGAUGGAUUUUCAGCGGAGUCAUUUCAUUAUAUCCUUGUAGACUUGAAGCUGGCACUGCCCUGUGCUGCAAUGGUUUGGUAAGUGUUUAAUCAGCAAUUCUUAAAGUCCAAGCAUGCAUUUCACAAACAGAAAAAAUGUGAUAUUUUGAUUGGAUUCUAGUAGCAUCACAGGCACCGUACAUAUAAAGGUAUUUCCAUGGACAGAGAGAUAAAGAUAGGCAUACACAUAUAAAACUUCUCAAUCAUUCCUUUGAUUGCUUGGAAUUUUAAAGAUUCGCGAGGGUGUGCUCUAAAAGACAGGGGUAGAGAUAUCUGAAACAUUGGGAUAAGGAGAUAAAAUCACAUGGCCAACAACUUUCAAAAGUCACAACAUUUUGUAAAAUUCUUGUUUUGAGAUCAAAUUGGCACUUAAUUUCUUGAGAUUCAACGCAUAAGGAAGUAUGUAGCGCUUUGACAGGCGGAUCAAGUUGAAAUGUAUAUUCUUGUUUAGUUAAUUAUAGUUGUUUCGCGCUGUAUUAACUGAUACAGAAGGGCUACAUUGCUUUUGGAUUGUGACAUCCUGUAUUACAGUUUGGAGUACUGGGCUUUUGAGCUUCUUGUCCUACUAGCUGGACUCAUGCCAAAUCCAGAAAUUACUACUUCAGUGAUUGCAAUGUGGUAAGUGCUUCGUUGCCUUGAACCAGCACCCUCUUACAAUUUGAACAGUUGAGUACGCACUUUCAUAUAGUUAAUUGCCUUGCCAAGUUUCAUUUAUGGGGUGUCUGCUUCCACAGUGUAAAUACAGAAGCCAUUGCCUACAUGAUUGCUUAUGGCCUCAGUGCAGCUGCAAGGUACAAGUAAAGUUGUUGGUUUGAUUUUGAUGUGUCCAUUUUAACGCUUUUUCUUCCCAUUUGGACCACUGAGCAACGAAAAAUCCAACUGGAUCUUGCAGCACCAGGGUGUCAAAUGAAUUAGGUGCCGGAAAUCCAGAAAGAGCCAAGCAUGCCAUGAUUGUGACUCUCAAGCUCACUGUUGUUUUUGGACUUAUCGUGGUUUCGGCAUUAUAUCUUGGUCGCAAUAUUUGGGCUGGCUUCUUCAGUAGUAGCUCAGUAAUAAUUAGCAAGUUUGCUUCCCUGACACCUUUGCUAGUGAUCUCCAUUCUAUUUGAUUUCAUCCAAGGAAUCUUAUCUGGUAGAGGCUUUCUACUCCACCCUUUACUUUUUAACUCCCUUAAUUAUAAAUCUCUACUUUAACAAGAAUUUCCAGUCUUAACCAGAAAGCAUGAUUUGAUUAUAUUCUUGAUCAGGUGUGGCCAGAGGUUGUGGUUGGCAGCAUUUGGCAGCGAUCGUUAACUUGGGAACCUUUUAUUUCAUCGGCAUGACUAUUGCAGCCGUCCUCGGUUUCAAGCUCAAACUAUAUGCCAAGGUAUAUAAACCCAAAACACGCAUCUCAAAGUAUCUACUGGGGCAACUUUUGUUCAAGGGAUAAUUUCAGAAAACUCCCCUGUGGUUUCUUUCUGAAAUGGGAGGUUUCUGAAAUUUCACUUGACUCCCUUGAUAUUUAUAUAUAAGUACGGAACCUCCUUGAUAUGAUAAAAAGAUAAUAAUACCUUUCAUUAAUUGUCUGCUCAUUGAAAAAUUCUAUCAAAAAAUUAAAUCUCUCUCAUUUAUCGUCAACCACAGGCUCAAAUUAUAGCUUUCAUCAUUUAACUCUCUUAUCAUCUUUCUCCUACAUUUUCUUUUCUUUUAAAUAUAUUUAUUUAUUCCCGUCGGUCAAAUGUGUACUAUAUAAUACCAACAAAAAUACCAUGUACACCAACCACUGGUGCUUACAUAUCUUAGUGUCCGUUUCCAAUUCUCUUUCUUUCAUUGCUACUAAAUAGUUUCUUUGUACCUCUUGGGUUUGGAUUUUAUCCCACCAACCAUUAUUUCGUUAGGUUUGAGUUUUAUUCCACUAACAUGGGACAAUAUCUAAGCCCAACGAAAUAACGGUUGGUGUAAUAAAACCCAAGCUUAACAAUGCCCAUUUUUGUUUUCAAUUUUUGACAAGUAUUAGCAAAUUAAAAUUGUCAAACAACAAGUUGAGUGAUGGUUUCGUUAUCAAAAUUAGAUGGAGAUGAAGAUAGUGGUAAUGAUAAAAAAAAUUAAGAAUGGGAAGUGGGAGGACUAAAUAAAGAUUAUUUAUAACUGCAUCAUAUUUCUAUUUUUGAUAAAAAAAAAUGUUCCACCAAUUGUUAUAUUAUAUAGUCUAAUAAAUAAAAACUAUAUAAUAAAAAUGAUAGUGAAAGUCCAAAUAACAAAAUAGGGAGUGUAAAGAACAUUUAUCCUUUUGAUUUGCAAUUAUUAUUGAUGGUAUUCCUGCAAAGAGAGUUUGAUGGAUUUUAAAACUCUCUGUUGACGCAGUAUAUUGGGAGUUGGUAUUAGUGGUGAUUAGUUGGACUGUUUUGUAUUAGAGAGUUUUGCAUUUGUAAAUGAUUUUCUGAUUUCCUGGUUCAGGGAUUAUGGAUGGGCUUGAUAUGUGGCCUGUGCUGCCAAGCUAUUGGGCUACUUCUGCUUUCUUCAUUUAUUAAAUGGACUCGAGUGGAACUCACCCCAAGCAAUGACAGACAAAAUUCAGCAUAGGCUUUAAGGAGGAUGAUUGAAUAGACUGAGAUCCCUCAAGUGGAGAUUUAGAUAGGAGUUGAAGGCACGGGCAGCUCGUAAGUCUGACAUAUGGUUAUGUGCAAUUCCGGACUCUGGAUGUUGGGCCAAAAGCUUCGCAAUAUUAGCACACUGACUCGUUGAAUAAACAAAUACAUUUUCACGCUAAUCCAAUCCUCCAUUGUAUAAAGUCCUGUGCAAAUAUAAAAUGACCAUUUGGUCUCAUUUUUGAAUUUGUGAUGACGACAACGAAGGAUUUUCUUCUUACGUUCUCGUUCCGAUUGGGAAAGAAAAAAUAGAUUGGCUUAGCUUAAGGUACACAAGGAAAGUUUGGGGCCAUUACAUCGACUGAAAACAGGUUUAAAAAACAAGAUGGGGUUGUUGAUCAAAAACAAAUUAUUGUCUCUACAGAAAAACUCCCGAUUCAAAAAUAAUAAAAGUAAAUUUUACGUGCGCUGACGGGAUAUACAUUAUCACGAUUGAAUAUACUGUAUAUAUAUACAAAAUUUGAAUUUCAAAGUUAAAUUCAGAUAAAGCGGAAAUGGAAGAUUUCAAAUCAAAGAGUUAAAUCACUACCUGACGGUUAUGUGACUAAUUUCUUCACGAGAUGGAGUGAUAAUGGGGAGUCCAAACUAAUAUUGCAUACGUUUUGGUCCACCAAGCAAUCAGUGGGCUUUAACAUUUUGAUGUUCAUGAAAUUUUUUUUCCGGUCAGUGGUCAACUCUGACGUUACUAUUCCUACUCCUACUCCUAAUCCUGCUCUAAGCUGUAAGAAAACCUGUCCAAGUAAUUCACGUACUCUUUCAGGAAGAACCGAAUAAAAUGUAAAACCUGGCCAAGUAAGCCAUCAUGAUGAACACCGUUAAGUCUCUAACUUCUUCACCACGUGUACAGUGGAUGCUUCUGUCUCUGGUCAGCUACAUAGUUAAUUCACGGACGUUAGAGGUCAAUUCCUUCCUCUCUCUCUCUCUCUCUCUCUCUAUAUAUAUAUAUUAUAUAUAUAUAUAUAUAUAUAUAUAUAUUCCCAUUUCCAGUCUUCCACCGUAAACUGUAGCUCCUAUUUCUUUCUCUUCUUGUCUGGAUCAUUCAUUGGAUUUCUAUAUGUUUCUUCCUAGACAACUUAUAUAUCCCAUUUCAAGUUUCUAUCCUAACAUUUCCACACAAAACAUUUUCCUCUGAAUUUCUUUUUCUUCAUUUUCAGUGGAAUCAUAAUCAAAUACCAAAAAAUAGAGCACACCACUCAGCCAAUUGGUCAUGGCUGAUCAUAAGAGACAUCCCUCUGUUUUCCUACUUUGCAUGGCUUCUUUCAUUAUUAGUUCGUACGCUUACCAGUUCAGUGUUGGUGGUAGAGAUGGAUGGGUAGUCAAACCUUCCGAAGAUUAUAACCAUUGGGCUGGUAGAAUGAGAUUUCAAGUUAAUGACACUCUUUGUAAGUUGUUCUGCAUUCGCCACUGUUUUUAUAUUUAUUUUCUUAAUUACCAGUGCAUCAAGUCUGUAAUUUUUUUCCCCCUUUUUUUUGAAGAGACUAUUGAUCAAAUCCCAUUUAAUCAGUUGAGUCUGGCUCUCAAAUGAUCAAAAUAUCUUGAGAGUAAAUUUCUUCUAAGUUCAUUGACACAUUAGUGAUUUUUAUUUUUUUAAAAAAAUUCGGAUGUAGUUUUCAAGUACAAGAAAGGAUCAAACUCGGUUUUGGUGGUGAACAAAGAUGAUUAUGACAAGUGCAACGUUGACAAACCAAUUAUCAAAUUAGAAGAUGGCAAUUCAAUCUUCAAGUUUGAUCGAUCAGGCCCUUUCUACUUCAUCAGUGGCAACAAGACGUAUUGUGACCAGGGACAAAAGAUGAUCGUCCAUGUUUUAGCUGUGAGGACCCCACCUAAACCUCCGGCAUCACCACCUUCACCUUCACCUCGACCUGCACCGGCUGUAUCGCCCAUAUCUCCACCUUCAACAGCUCCUACACCUGCAGGUUCACCAAGCCUGUCGCCGCCUUCUUCGGCUCCUACACCUGCAGGUUCACCAAGCCUGUCACCGUCUUCUUCGGCUCCUACACCUGCAGGUUCACCUAGCUUGUCACCGCCUUCUUCGGCUCCUACACCUGCAGCAGCAGGCUCACCUUCUUCAGCGCCCACAUCACCCACUGCACCGGGAUCGCCGGGACCGGCCGGUGCGAACUCACCUCCGGGGCCGGCUGGUGGGAACUCGCCUCCAGGGCCGGCUGGUGCGAACUCACCUCCGGGGCCAGGGUCAUCAUCGCGGAAGGCCAGCGGUUACUACUUCCACUGUAUUGGCGUCAACAAUUUCUUUACUUGUCUUAAGCGUGACUUUUGGAGCAUCCAUUAUUUCGGUCUAGAUUGACUAGUGAGAUGUACAAAAUACCCAAGUAGUACUACAAGCCAAAUUUAAUUUUGGUAAAUUGUUGUAGGAUUAGUUGAUUGUGUGGUUUUUCAUUUCUUGAAAUUUUUGGAGUGGACUGGAUCGUUAAUUAUUUGCAUAGUUUAUUUGGAAAAGUGGGCAGGGGAUAGUUUUUUUUUUUUUCUGGUUCUGUGAGUCGGUUUGAAAUUACGAGUAUCCAGACUCGAUAAUAAAGGGUGAACUUUGUAUUAACUCCUGUCAUUUUACGGUUUCUUGCUUUUCUGAGGUUGCAUUUUGUCCUUCGCACUUGUCCGUCCAUUAAUAUUUUAUCUUCCAGGUCCCACGUUUUUUUUUUUUAAUUCCCUAAUAAUUGGACUAAAGUCUAAUACACUAUCUAAUGCUGUUGCUCUUACCGUCAAUAUAUAGGACAAGUCAUACGGUAGAUUUUUUUUAAAUGAACGUUCAUAGGGCACUCGUUAAAAUAUAUUUUAGAUAUUUAUUUUUUAAAAUAUAAUAUUAAUUAAAAAAAUAUAAAUAAAUAUAAGAAAGAAUAGGUAAAAAUAAAUAAAAAUAAUUAUUAUUAAUAUAUAUAUACACAUAUAUACAUACGAUAGAUUGGAUAAAUACUAAAUGUGUACUGAUUUACCUACAAAAUCACUUACAUGGAGUUUUAGUUGAUAUAUGAUCGACAUGACUAUAAACUUGCAAGAGCUGAAAGUGGAGGUCUGGAUGCGACCGGACUUGAAUAGAUAUUAGACCAUAAUUGAGUAGAAAUUCGGUAUUUAUUUGUCUGUCUUCGCACGGGCACGGCGAUGAAUAUUUUGAUUGAAAACGUUAUCCUUCGUACCUUAACAAACACCCCCGGAAUAAAAGUAGCAGUUUCAGUAUGUCAAGACUCGAAAAAUAUAUUGGUAAUGGUUAUUUCUCCCAAAGGUACGUGUCCAUAUUUCCCUUGGGACAAAUGGAUGGGUGAAACCAACCCCUAAAUUUAAUGGCUGUUUGAGCAUGAUUCUCUUGUGAUGAAUAUACCAAACUAAGAGGGAAAAAGUUUUUUUCAGGUGCGUGUAUUCCUUUUUUUUUUUCUUGAUUUUUGAUAAGCAAUGUUGUUGUCUUUGCACGCCCUUUUACCUUAAUUUUGAUCUGAAAAUAUGGGGUUUCUCGAAAUCAAUCUGAUUCUUUGAAGCUCAAGUUUUCUAACAGAUUCUUCUUCCAUCCUACCUAACUGGUAUUCUUCGUAAAAUGAAUAAUAACUCUUUUUUUUUUUGAAAAAAAAAAAGGACUUUCACUGUUCCAUUUUAUUUUUUUUUCUAUGUCAUUACUUGAGAUCAUCAACUCAGAUACGUUACCGAGCUAAAUCCGCAAAACAUUUAUGUUUGUAAAUUGAAUAAAUAAAUAAAUAAAAGCAUGGAUAUUGCCAAGUUUAAUUGUUAAAAUCAACUCAACUUGGUGUACGACCUCACACUGUGCACCUGUACUUGACGUAUUAAACAGCGCUCAGACGUGUAACUUGUUCAUAUGCACCAAAUGGUGUGAUUGUCGGUGCUUGACCUUGUGAUAGAUAAUAGUAGUAUUGGUGUAAUUAAUGCGAUGGAAGCAAAUUGUACUAUUUGACUUGUAUUGCAAGUUGCUGCAACAUUAAUAAAAAAUAGAGGAGACUGCAUUUUAUGCGAACUUGUCGCCAUGGAGCCGUGAUUUUCCACGCCAUGAGUGGCAUACACCAAUACUACAUUUUUUUUUCCCACGCCACGGAACCAAAAGAGAACUGAUGAUUUUAGAUUUGAAAUUCUUUUAGAUACUGGCAUCGUCAGUGCAUAAAAUAUCACUAUUGAUUGAAUAUUUGAUACAUGCAUAAAAAUUUAAAUUUUAAAUUUGAUAAUGUGUAUACUGUUAGUGUAUCGAGCAUUAAUCUUUUUAAAAGAAACGGAUGAUUUGCAAUUAUUCCGAGUAGUUAUAGGGGUGACAAUUCGGGUCCAAAUCAGGUUUGUGGGCCGGGUCUGACCCGACCCGUCAGGAAAUAUGUUGAUCCGAACCCGACCCGUCAACCCGUGACGGGUCAGGUAUACUGACCCGAACCCGAAAAUUUCAGGUUGACGGGUUGGCGGGUCGAUCCGAAAUGACCCGAAACUUAAUUUUAAUUUAUUAAUUUAUCACUGUAAUUUCUAAUAAAAUUAAUUUCUCACAAAACUAAUUACAUAAUCAAGUAAUACAAAUUUAAAUAAAUAAUUCCAAACCAAAUCUAAAAUAAAUUAAACACCGUAAAAGUGUUUUAUCCCAAACAAAAUAUAAAAUAAAUUAAAACAGUAUAAAAGUAAAAAAUAAUAUAAUAUAUUAUUUGUCCAAAUAUAAUAAUUUCAACUUCACACAAAUUAAAUAAAUUCAUUUAGGAUUAAGUAAUUAAUGCCUUUGAAAAAAAGAAUAACUUAGUUUAGUUAGAUAAAAUUAUUUUUAUGUUUAUUAAAUUAUUUUUAAUUCGUAAACGAGUCAUAUCGGGUCAUAUUAGGUCACCACGGGUUGAUCCGAAAUCGAUCUGUUUUCUUUUUGGGUUCAUCGGGGUUCAACCCUAUUCUGACCCGAAUUUCCGAAACCUCAACCCAAACCCAUUAAUUUCGUGAUAGGUUCGUGUCGUAUUUUCAGGUCGUGUCGAAAAUUGCCACCCCUAAGUAGUUAUAUCCAUCCCUAGCAUUACUUGUUUGCCUUUUUUUUUUUUUUUGAAGUUACCCCUCAUUUACACUUGCUUCUUGUAUAGAUGGAUUCAUCGAUGCCCCGUUCAAAUAUGGGAUAAUGAUCACAAAUUACUACGGUCACUACGCAAGCAGUCAUGAUCACUGAUUGAACGAUGGGAGAGGAAACUUCAAGAGAGCACUCACACUAGACUUUGAAAGGCGAAAUAGCGGGUACAAAAACAACACGUAGCAAGCAAGGAGUUACAUAAAAAGAAGAAAAAAAAAAUGCAUCUAGAACCUAACAAUUACUCAAAUGUUAGACAAAGAAGAGAUCGAUGAAGUGAUGAGUUUCUCGUUGGCAUGAAAAACGAGUCAAUCCUAACAAUUAUUUACCAAAUCCCUGUGAUUAUCAGUGACAGCCACAAAUUGGAUAUGAUCAAUUACAAGAGUUUUGCAGGGCAAUUUUGUAAGGUAAAGAGCAGAUUUCCAUUUUUCGCUUUCUUCCACCAACCAGAUAAAUGAACGAGGAGACCGUUGAACAUUCAAGCUAAGGGAUCAUCUCAAAAUAUGACACGAGACGCAGAUUGAUGACUCCCUACCGUGGUGUCCAUUCUGGAAAUCAAGAACCAGAGGAAAUUUCCUGCAUCGCUUUCUACACCCUGUAACUUUGUACACGUUGAGCAGUAGUACGAGGCUGAUUUUGACUAAACAUAAAAUCCGCCCCCUACCUCUUGCCUUGGUGUCGGCAAUAUGAGAUUCAUUGGCCAAAAAAAAAAAAUUAAGACGUAUAACUUGGAGCAGGGGGUGACUGACUAAGGAACUCAAGAAUGUUAAAAAAUGCCAGACUCAAGUAGUGUGUGAAACGGUAUUGAUCAAUGACAAGAUUGACAUUCCUUGGAUUAUUUAAAAAUAGGAUGAGGAUGAGAGGAAUCAAGAGAUGGCGUUGCCAUAAGCCAAAUGGGCAUCUGGUCCAAUUAGAUUGGUCUCAUUCUGCCCGUAUCACAAUCCUUCCUACUGCCGGUUGAAUUAUUUGUAAUGUAGGGCGGAACUUGAAUUGCCAUUCUGCGAGGAUCACCCAACGUUCUUGAAGGGAAUGAGAAUCUUAUCACUAAUCUCAGACAACAAAAUGUGCUGCUUUGGCAGCAAAGUCACGGCAAAAUGACAGCCGUGUCUGAAAUUAAUUUUAGAAAAUCCUACUCCAAGUAACAUACGACUCAAAAGGCGAAUGUGAAGUAAAAGAUGGCCGACAUGCUGUUUUUUUUAGAAUUCACAUAUUUAUGAUAUAGGAUAUCACGUUUUUAAAGUCUUAAUUUUAUUCCAAACGGCUCAGCCGGACAAAAAAAAAAAAAAAGUGUCAACUUCAUCACGAAAUCAGUCAAAAUAAAGAGCAAUUUUAUUUAGAGGGAGAAAAUGUUCCUUAAUGAAUUAAAGAUGCGUAGAUUUCGUAGCAAUUCAAUGCUUUCGAUCACCAUACAUUUUACACUUCUUUUCCUCGUGGAGUCAAUUGCUUAGUCAAAGUGAACAAUUAUGAUUAGCGCCAGCCUGCUCUGACGUUGAUUUGCUGCUGCCUUAGCCAAGCAGAGGAAUAAGAAAGAGAAUUUCAGUUUUUUUUUUUAAAAACAAACGUUUUUUUUUUACUUGGGGUUUGGGAGGGAUUUGAUGUCAAAUUGUUCAUACACUAAAUUACCUUAAAUUAUUUUUUUAGUGUGAGUGAGGAUUUGAAUUUGAGACUUUUCGUUUACACUCUCUCUCUUGAACCAUCCAACCCAUCACACCUUCCAAAAUUGUUAGUAUCUUAAAAAAAAAUCCCGAAUUCGCAAUAAAAUCACCACACUAAUUAAGAAUUGGUUUUGGUUGGAAUUUACUCUAAGUUCUUCGAUUACGAUCGCUUUCUUGGCUUGGCGAACCCAUAGUAUUGUACAAAACUGAUAUAAGUUAAAACCUUAUUUUGGUGAAAAAGCUGAUCAUAGAGGAACAGAUACAAAAAUGUUGUGGAAUGUAGAAACAUAGAAACACACCUGUUGGGCCCAAACCGUCAACACUUUUUGCUUUAGAGGGUUUCAUGGAUUGGAGCUUCGUGUUGCAACAUUCACUACUCCAUUCAAAUAUAUAGAUAGCUCCAUUACACUUUUUGGAGGAUUUACACCUAUGUAUUUAUUUAUAUUUUUCUUAAUUUCUGGGACACAACACUUUGACUCAUUAUCUCCAAACUAGAAAGGCUGGGGAGUAGAAGUAAUUGGUUUUAAUGAAAUUGUAUUCCGAAUUUCAUUUUAAAAGGUGCGACUUUCGGCCUCAUGGGCUCUAGCCCUCAACUCUUGCUUUAGUGUUGCCCUUCUACAACUGAUGUCAAUAAUGUUGUAUUGAGCCUUCGAAUGCUAGUACUAGCCAGAAGUAUUAUUUGGAAUAAUCAUUUAUAUUAUAUUUUUUUUUGUGAUAUGAUGCGUGAGAUAAAAAUGUGAUAAAAGUAAAAGAACAUGUUGGAAAAUGCGUUUGUAAUACAAGUAAAUAAAAGAAAUUAUCCAAAUACAGCCAAUUGAAACUUGAACCGAGCUUUGGGUUCCUUUUUUUUUUUUUUUUCGUCUCUUUUUUGAGCUAGGUCCUUGAUUUUAGUAGCCCUUCUUUUUUUUUUUAAGGAGAAAAGAGGGAAAAAAAAACUUGACCCUUAAUGUUAUGUACAAAUAAAAGAGAAAGAAACGAGAAGCAAAGAAUGGACAUCAACCUCACUGGUUUGAGCAAAAUUCCCUAUAAUGUAACUGAUCCAUAGAGAAACCAUGCAUAUUAAUUGUCAAGGUGGCAACCUUGUAGAACAGAAAAACUAGGAGGAAGAAACGGGCCUUCAAAUAGUCAGCACGCACAUUUUCCAUCUACGUAAAUUACGUUAAAUCACACAAGCACAGAGGACACAAAACAAGAACCAAAAACUCUUGAAUAUUCAUCAUAUUCUUCUCUCCUCCAAUCCCACAACCUCCUCCAUUUUAGCACCAACAAAAUUCCUUCCCCUCCUCUCUCCCUCCUUUAGCAGGCAGGGCAGAGAAACCGAAGAGAACUUGAUAUUCAAACCCUCCUUCUCCUUAUUCCCUUCAUUUCUUUCUCUUUUCUCCUCGUGUUCCCGCAUUUCGGUAAAAAUGAAAAUGGCUAUUCGACUAGGGGCAGCCAUCCUCCUCCUGGCCAUGGCUUUGGCUGUGCUUGCUGAUUCAUCACCCACACUUGACACCGUCUUUGGCCUCACCAGCCUGGCAGGAUCCAAAGGCGGAUGGCCUCGGCGGACUCGUUGCGGACUUCAUUGAUGAGGAUGAGGAGAUGUCUGUGGAGUCUGAACAGCCAGAAGAACUCUUGCAGGUCGGCCAAGGUAUAUCAGUUAUGAUGCCAUGAGAAGAGGCAAUGUCCCAUGCAGCAGGCGUGGUAACUCCUACUAUGCUUGCAAUGCUCAUGGUAGGGCUAACCCUUACCAGCGCAGCUGCACCAGGAUCUCUAGGUGCCCAAGGAACACUCGUUGAGGACCCUCUUUGAAUCCGAUGUGCUAUCGAUGAAAAUGGAGAAAGAGACGAAGCUAAGAAUGGUUUCAAGUAAGUCAAAAUGGUGUUCUAGGAAUAAUAUAGCAAAUAAGAUUGUGGGCUGGCUAAUUAAUCUCAAUUGUUCUGAUUUCUCCACCCCAGUUCACUGCAAAUGUAGAUUUUUGCAAUUUUCGUUCUGCAGCCCCUUGUUUUACUUCUGUGAUCAUUGUAGACGAUUGGUUGUCGGAUAUUGUAAAAUAAAACAAUUAUUACUAUUCCCUAUUCUAUUUUCUAUGAGAGAAUGAGGAGUUUUAUGCAUUUUUGGUUCCUCAUCAUCAAAUGUAAGUAUAUGGAAGACAUUUAAUAUAAGUUAAGGUUUGUGCGUUUGUAGGCAAUAAUCGUGAAUCAAUAAUAUUUCUUUGAUUAUGGGGAGAGAAAAAUCAUGUCGACAGGAGCACAGUGGUAGUUGAUACAAGUAUAUCACAGACUCUGUUUUGGAGUGGAUGUAGAAAAUGAGAGAAUUUUCAAUCAUCUUCCCCUUUUUGUCUGGCAUUUUAUGCAGAAGACACAUAGCUAUAUAAUACUUUUGACAGAAAUCUAGAUUUUUCAGGGUCGCGUUUGAUGCAUCUGGAUUGAAAAUACGAAUUGCUAAAUUCAGUCCAACUAAAUUUUGGCUCCACAACUCAUUUGUUAUUUACCUAUUGAUUCAGCAAAGCACAGGCAGCUUUUCAGCAGAAUCAGUAGUAUGGCAUUUCAUCAAAAAAAAUUGAAGCAAAGCUUCUUUCGGACACAAUUGCAUAUUGAGCGGGUACAUUUCGAUAGUAAGUGUAUCUUAGUAGCUGAUUUGCCUUUAAAUACCAAUUACAUGUGGAUUAAGUCAGAGGCAGAAAGAGAAAGUUCCCAGAAUAGUCAAUAUAAGCGAACCUGAAGGAAGAUAUGCAAUAGGAGGCCUUCAGCCAACAAAAUGGCGUAGAAGUAGAGAGAAUUUACCCACUCAUCCAAAAUCUAGCGACAAAAGGAACCAAGUUUAAGACCACUUGGAUUAACAUACUAACAAAAAUCAUAUCGACCCGAUGGCCAUCAGAAAAAGAACCACCUUCGUCGCUUUGUCUGCAGCAAACCACCAAAAAAAAAAGGGUUACACAACUUCAUGCAUGCUAUUACACCAGAUAUGCGGGAAGAAAAAUAAUGACACUUGCUGAAGUAUUUCUAAUGCAGGCCAUAAAACAUGCAUAUAAUGCCUGGCCGUCUAGAUUUCUUGACGCAGAAAACUAUAGCCCGGGGUAGUGACUAGUCUGUCGUUCUACAACAGACAAAUAGUUAAUCAUCACCAUUCACCAUAACUCCUUUCAAUUGAUACAAUCAAGGUCAAAGAAAAUGCAGUAUUACUAAAGUUUUCAGUCUUGGCCAGCAACUUAGCCCCAAGAAAGCCUUUUGUUCUGCAAGUUCGGCACUUUUGAGAAGAUGAUCAUUAUUGGCUUAUAUUAACAUAAAUCUGAUGAAUUCAUUCUGACAAGUUCUUGGCAAGCUAAUUUAGGUGUCUUAAAGAGAACAAAUAAGUACUUGCUUUGAUAGUUUUUUUAUUUUCAUUAACUACUACAUGUCCAUGCAAUCCAACAGAAAUAGGUAACAAUCAGUACAAAAGAAAAGAGAAACAUACCUUUUGAUCCUGAUUUCUGGGUUGAAUUACAAUUGGCUGAGGGAGAACUCCAUUGUCAAUGUAUGCAAGUAGGGUUGAAUCUUCUCUUGCAGCAUUUCAUUCAACUACAAUUUCCAAGAAUAGCAUGCCAGUUUCAGAAUAAUUUUUAUCCUUCUGGAAAAUUCAGAAUGAAUACUUAAUGCAAACUUUCUCUCAGCUUCCUAAAUAGAUUAGGUGUGACAGUUUGUAGUGUUCUUUGGCUAUGUUCCCCUUUAUCCUCUCAUGGGUAAAUAUUGUGGCAUAACUAACUAUAUUAAGAGAAUCAUCAAAAGACUCAGGAAUUGGUAAGAACAGUUCAUAAUUUCUGAGGAAUUAUGGCAGAAUGUGAUACUGGAGAACCAAAGGUGUAAAAAAGAAUAAACUAUGUAUGAGACUUUCCAUAUCAUUGUUUUGGUGAACAAGAGAAGAGUGUAAUAUCAUGUAAAAAUCAUACGCACAUCAUUUUGACAAAGAGAUGGCAAUGUGAAAAAUAUGAAACAUACACCAUAUCACCAGCAACAAAAUGUCUAGUCAGACCUGUAGAACUUGUCAAAUGACUAACCUUGUCUUGACGCCAUUUUCUUUCCCACUGAACAUCUAGCAUUUGAUCAGCAAUUUCUCGUUGUGCUUUAAGAAGGACUGUCAUUUCAUAUAACUUCUUCGGAUCUUUGAGGUCUUCCUCACUCCAAGAUGAUGCAUUCAAUGGCAGAUUCAGUUCCUGCAACACUUAUAUUAGAAAAUAAGGAGCACAAAGGACUUGUUUUAAAAUGUACAACAUAUGAUGACAGCCCACAAAGAAAUCGGACAUACUAGCAGAAUAGCAGGUCCAAAAAAUAUUAAUAUCUUCAGUUCCGAUAGAAAGCACCAGCCAGAGAAUAGACUACAGUCGAAAAGUACUUGCAAUUUCCGCAAAAACAAUGAUAUUUGCACAUGGUGACUUACAAAGGUCCAAAGAAAUACUAAAGCUACACAUUACUGACAUUUUAACCCAUGUUCUGACUAACUUUCUGAGACCAUUAAGUUAUCCUUCAUUACUCAACCAUCAAGAAACUGCAAAACUUGGCAAGUUGCAGUAUCAAAGUCAAGGAAGACAUUUACCCCCCAAUUCUGUGGUCGCCGUGGAGGAUCAAGCUUCAUCACUUCUGCUUCUAGUGCCUUUUUGGCCUUGUGGUAAGGUACAUUUUUUACAAUAAUUGGAUCAUCUCUAGCACGCUCUGGAUCUAUUGAGAAAAGGCCUGCCAAAAAAAUUAUACAAGACUGAGGAUUCGAUUAAAAAUUUUCCAAACUUUGUUUCUGUUUGAAGGUUCUCCUGCAUACAUAAAUUAAUUGAAAGAUCUUUACAGCAGAACAAAGAUAUGAUGAAUCACAACAGCGUGCAAGGUGAUCCUAAUAGAAGUUUGAUAAAAGGAGAAUUAAGAUGUAAAUUUCAGGUUUUCAACCCUAGCUUCUUGCAACUAAAAAGUGGUGAAGAAACUUUGUAAGAUUACAGCCCCAAGGAUAAGCUUAUGCAACUAGCUACAUAAGCUAAGAGCCCGUAGGCUAACCAAUAGCUCAAAACAUUCCAAUUUAUACUGGAGAAGCAUUUAAAAAUCAAUUUAAAGUUUUUGGUGCUCAAAAUGAUGAUCUAUGACAAGAAAAUGUUCUUACCUCUUGUAAGUACUCCCACCCUGGUUUUCGCUUAGCUACUGCAUCUUGGAGUACAUCAUACCUCAUAGAUUCCUAGAAGGAGAGAAUGAAAACAUUAGGCCUACACACAUGCACGACAUAAUGAAAAGCAUCAUAUUAGGGCCAGGAGAAUAUCAAACUGACAGCUAAAGCAUGUUACUCAACAGAAAUAGUAGAAGAACUUACACCUGAUUGCUUCUUACCAUUUUAGAAGGUUAAGUAUAAUUCCAUAUCAAUCUACAACACUUUGAUAUAAGUUAGACUUUCAAGUAAAUGCCCAAAUUCAAUUGAGUUUGAAGUUUGAACCAUAGACCCAAAAUAUAUCAUAGAGCAUGAGCAAAACCCAAGAGUACGUGAAAGCACCACGUAUUAUAAAUGAAGUGAGCAGGAGUCAUAUGACCCUUUAAGCUUCAUAAAUGAGUAAAACUCCUACAUUCUCACCAUAUUUUACAAUUUUCAGUAUGAAUAUAAGCAAAGCCGUGCAAACAAGCAUGAGGACCGACAAAUUAAGAAGUUAAAGAGGACAAACCUUGUAUUGCCACCAAAUCUUCUGCUUGACAUCGUCAUCAUAUUCAAAUCCUCCCACAACCUGAGGUAGGGUAAUCAACCAAAAUGCAGCAAUACUGGGGUCUUUCAUACUAUGAAUAAUAUGCUGCACAUGAACCAGAUUGGCAACGUCAAAAGGUGUUCAAAUUACUGAGGCUUGAGGUACACAGACCACUGAUACAAGUGUUACUAGAAACAUAUAGACACACAUUGUGUCUGCUUGUUUGUAUUCCUAGUAAAAUUCUCAAUGAGCAAGAAAACAAUAAUAAAUAAAAGAGCAAGGAAUCAUUAAUAAAAGGAAAGAGAACAAAAUUGAUAACAUGCAACUAAAAAUUCUCGUUGAUCUCCAAGAUGGACCAUUAAGUUUCAGAUUCUACCUCAAAACACAGAUGCAUCAAUAAAUAUAUUAACAAGAGCAGCAGAAACUGUGAAAAGCAACACUUUUGUUAUGUAAGAAAGCAGAAGGCAUUGCACUAGCCUCAUAAGGGUAGUUCAUCUUUCUCAUUAUAUUAUAGGCUUUCCAUGGAGGCUCCAUUAUCUGCAAUAAAAAAAAAGGCAAGUUUAACUCAAGUAGAAAGCAGAUAUAAAAGCAUACUUGUGUAUAUGUUCUCCCUGUGGUAAGGGAAAUAGGGAAAACUGUUAACACCUAAAAGCUUUGUUUUUUGAAUUGAAGCAGACAGAACAAGAAAUUGUCUGGAGCCCAGACAAAAUAACUUCAGAAUUGUCAAAUAGCUCCACAGGAAUUAUGCAGUACCAUGUUAAAAAAAUAUGUAUGACGUCAGAAAUUCCCAAGCCUUUUUCCACUACAUAAACUGACUGACAUGUUUUACCCAAACGCACCCUCAGGUAUCCGCAGCCCAAAACAAGAAGCUUAAAUUACAUUAGUAAAGUCUCAGAAAACUCAUCCAACCAGUCAAUGGGACCCAACCAGUAAUAUGAGUAUCAGAGAUGACAAACUGAAUCUAAGAAAUGGGCAAAGAUGAGAUCAGAAACUCACAUCAUCAGCAGAAAUCCUGAUCUGCAACUUGUUUUUGCACUCUGGACAUUUCAUUACACCCUGCAAAAUCAUACAGUCUGCAAUAAUCAUUGGAAAUGCCUUACAAUGUUUAAUCAACACCAAAAUGCAAGUAAAUGGGUAGAAUUCCUGUAAAGCAUUAUCAGUCACUUGAGAGAAAAUUGUCACAAGAAAUCUUAAACAAGAAAUCAGAACUGACAUGCUUCAGUGUCCAAAUGAAGUGUUAGAGAGGUACUUUAAUGAAGGUUCAAAUCAAGCAACUGAAGGUAUCAUCAAUAGGAAAAGUUAUAAUAGCACUUAGUUCUUACUGAUCCAUCACAAUUUGGACAAUCCUUCGUCGGCAAGGGUACAUGAAGGUCCAUGGUAGAAGGAAGAUGUGUCAACUCAGCUCGAUUUUCAGCAAUGGCAUUCGCAAUGGAUUCAGCUGUUGCCUUUUCUCCACUAAAAGUCAUUUUAGAAAAUCAUAAACAUAAGAAAGUGGCUGUAUGGAUACAUAAAUGAGAAGGUGGAAAAGAGGUGGAGGAUGGAAGACUGCUAUGAUUGAGUGGGAGACAUUUUGAUUUUUAGAAGUUUUCCAGAGGUUGAAAUUCAGAAUGCUGUUUAUCCGUGUCAGCAUGCAGAGUAAGAUUGCAAUAAGUCAUUUUACAAUUAGCGAUUAGAUGAAGGAAGGGAGAAUUGAAUGGUAGUCUGAACGUUUAUGACCUUCAGAAACUCAAAUCGAAGGAGUAAGCACCUACCUUUUCAAAGUGUAGCUUCUCACCUGGUAUUGCACCUUUCCUGAACCUUUACACAUAGUACAUUGUAAUGCAUUCCAUCCAUUGCAUGUCCAGCAGUUCCUACAGUUCAAAAUCGUGUCAAGCUUGGUAGCUAAGAAAUAGAUGCACACCUCAGGUAAAAGCAACUACACACAACUUUAGGCAGUCAAGCCCUCAGAUAUCGUAAAUCGGACAAUGAGAUAUAUAUGUACAUUGAUACGGAUAUAAUGCAUGUCUUAGCUUAAUGCAACAGCAAGGAACUCAAGUCAUGAGAGGGGCUAACAUCAGCAGAUACAGAAAAAAUCACUUGAAAUUCACUAAUGCCACAGUUAUCAUCAAAUAAGCAUUGAGAUGCACCUCUGACACAACACCUUCUUCCCUAGUUCCAUUGCAAUGUCAUAAGUCCCAACAGUAGCAACAACCUGCAAUCAGCCCAUAGAAAUAUCACGAAAAUUCAACCAACACCACGGAAUUUCAGCUGUGUUGUUCUCUUAACAUUUAAAGGCAUAAAAACACUUUCUUAUUCAACAAGUAACAAAGAAGUAAAUGUGCGAGUUAGAGCAGCCACUCCACUCUUUUCAAUUAGUAAAAAUAUGAACAGAAGAUAUGCCUGCCUUCCAUUACCACAGGUCAAAGUUUUUGUUUUUAUUCCUCUCAUAGAGAAUGCCAUAAUUUCUACCAAUAAAAAAGCCGGUUGUUGAAAUCAUGCAUGUGCUUAAUAAAGGUAACCCAAAGGGAAGAAGGAUCAAACUUCAAUCCUUAUGCCAGCAAACUAAGUAUACCAUUUUGUCAAAUUCUAAAUUUAAACCACAAAAUUCAGAACUUGCAAUUUCUAAUGGGAACUGAAAAAGGAUCCAACCAAACACAUAAAAUUCAAGCCAGCUAAUCCAUUACAGGCGAUUCUCCUCCCUAUCCGUAGGCAUAUAAUUCAAGCCCAUCCAUCAUAUCUAAUCCAGAUUAAGCUUAAUUGCUCUAAGAAAGCCACAGAGCCCAGCUCAAACGGAGCAUAUCAAUCAUUGUACAAGAAAAAAACGAAACACGCGGUGGAUACUCAUGCCUAAGCCCCCGCAGUAUUAUCAUUUUUCUUUUUAGCAAAAACUCCACAAAAAAACCAGUUAAAAUUGAACUAAAUAAAGACAGGCCAUUUCAAGAAACGAGAAUUACUAAUCAAACCAACUUGAAAGGACCAACCUUCCCAGCCAGAAAAUAUAUGCACUUAACAAGCAUGGAAUGGAACGGUACACUGCAUAAGAAACCUACUUACACAAAAAAAAAGAAAGACAGCCCAUCUCACGAAAUGCCAGGUAUUAACAGAAGAAUAAAGCCAAGUACAGAAAGUUACCAGCUUUUCAACUUCGAAAGCAUAUAGACAUUCAAAGGAAAAAUGAUGUGGAAGAAAGGAGAGAGAAUUACGAAAAUUGCAGAGUAAGAGAGCUUGGAGAUGAACUCUGGGAUGCCAAAGCCACGAGGGGCAGAGCCAGCUAUGUCAUAGGCAAGAGUAAAAGGGGAUAGGACCAGCUUAACAGGGAAAUCCAAGAUAUCAAUGAUUUGUUGGCCAUAACGCCGGGUGAAGAGCUUGUAUUGAAGGUCUGCUUUCUGCUGUAGGCUCUUCAGAAGAGGAUUGAUUCCUCUCGACAUAUUAGUCGUUGAAUUCCCAGUGAAGAGGAUAAAGCUUCGGUUUUUCCUAUACUGCUGCUACUCCCACAUUGCCCUUUGUUUGUGGGCAAUUGCGACUCUGUAGAACAGCAGAAGGUUGCAGAUAGCGGAACUGAUCGGUGAUGGGCUCGCGUUUGUUUGUUUUGUAGGCUCCAUUGGGCCUCAUGUGACACCCAAGCCCAUCUCGACUCACAUUUAAUUCACACAUUCAAGCCAGCCAAGUUGAUUUGUUCAAGGAAGGGCCCAUCUUGGCAACUUCAGCCCUGCACACAGGACCAAAAGGUCCAAACUACUUACCAGAUGCCCAUGUUAAUAUUCACAGCCCAAAAACAAAAAAAACCAAAUUACUAACACUCAAAUUUUGUGUGCGCGCCCGUGUUGAGAGGAGAUUUUAAAUCCAAUAUUUCUUACAAUCCCUUCCAUCAUACAAUCCAACCCAAGUCAACCAUCAAGGCAUCAACCCCAAUUUCAAUAUAUUUGAUUAAGUAUUUUUUGAAAUUGGUUUCCUAAUUAAUUAACAAUAAUACAUAUCUAGAUUUUAUUAUUCGAUUUGGGCAACGAUAUAGGCACUUGAGUUUAAGUGUUAAUUUUUUGAAAAAGUAUAAUUAAUUCUGAAAAGUUUCACAAUUCAUAAGGGACAAUAAAUAGGAGUAUGUGUAUUUAUAUGAUAAUGAUAAUUUAAGCGUAAUUUAAGUGUGUUAAUGAGCGUUCUUGAAAAAUCCUUUAUUAUUAAACAUGAAAUGUGAGGCUUAGAUGUAAAUAAAUUUAGUUGCCAAAUCUCAAGUGGUGAGAUUUGACUUGACAAAAAAACACAUCAUUUGAUUUAUUAUAAACCAAGCGAAGCCUCAAAUAAAAUUAUUCUGUCGUCUCCGGAAAAAAAGAACAAAUAAAAUUAAAAUGAGUUCCAUCCAUCAAAGUGACAUUAUUGAAUACAACAUGUGUAACCACUGGGUCAUUGCCUCCCACCAAAAUGUCACAUUUAAGUGGUUUGUUUUCAAAAAAAUUCAGACGGAUGUGUUAUGCAUCCGUCUGGUCCGAUAGUGAUUCAGCGGGUUAUUUCUAGGCAUUCUUAGAUCCGUUCUCUUUCCUUAAUAAUAGGAUAGAUUUUGUUUAUCGUCUUGAGAAAAAAAAAAAAGAAUACAACAUGUGUGAUUUGAUUGGCCUCACGAGUCAUGCCUGCGGCAGACGGCCCAAAUUGCCAGUUUUGCCCAUGACGCCAUUGCCACGAAGGUCGAGUUGACGAUAGAGUCUCCUGCCUUCGGCAAUCGGAAGUAAAAUUAGGCGACAAAAGAAUAAAGCUCGAAUUUUAGUCCAAGUGCUGGAUCGAUGAACUGUAGUACCAAGUUAAGCCGCCGUUGUCAUAAGUCAUAACCGGAAACGUCUUUUUAAAAUUUUAGGAAAAAAUUAAAAUAAAUCUUAUCUAUAUUAUAUUAACAGUGUAUUACCGUUUGAUUCAUAAUAUAUGUAUAAAAAAGUUAAAUUUUAAAUUUAAAUUUUAUAUAGUUGUCAUUCAUUUGAAAAUGACAAUAUAUACACUAUCAGUACACUGUCAGUUUAGAAAAAAUUAAUCCAAAAAAUUAUAAAGACAUGAUUUCAGAAUCUUUUUAAUUCAUUCCUUUUUUUUCUUUUUGGAUAAAUUGGAGAUCUUGAAUCCAAGACUUCGUAAUUACAAUCUCUCUCAGCAUACAUGAUAUGAUAAUUGCAUAUGGAUAUAAAGAAAAUAUAGUGAUAUUCUCGUAGAUUUGCGCAUGCUAAAAUAAAUUAAUCCGUCUCCUGGCAAUCAAAAUAAAUAAAACAGUGGGGUGCUAGUUACUACGAUCCUAAAAAUGCUACUGGGCUGAUUUAAAUCAGUACAAUACUAUCAAAGACUGGUUGAGUUUUUUUUUUUUUUCUUCUUUUAUGAUAUUGCAAGAAACUCAACGAUGGAGAAGAGUAAUUUAAGCAAAUUACCACUCAAUAAAUAUCAUAACUAAAUCUACAAGUACAUGUGGUGAGACUUGAAUUUUUAAUUUUAGUUAAGUCUAGUAAGGCCAAAAAUAUAUAGAAAAAAAAAUCAAGAUAUCACUGCUUAAUUAAUGUGUGUAUCCGUCUAAUUCUAGUGAUUAUAAAGAAAACCAUUUGCGUAUAUGGAAAUUUGGACGAUUAAUACCCAAACUUUCCUUCGUUUAAUUUACCAAAGCUCGGGGAUUUACCUUUCCAAGAAAAAAUAAACCUGACCAACAAAGUCAAAAUCAAAAAUCAAAGAUGAGGUUUGAACAAUUUAAUGACGCAUUUAACAAAAAAAAUAAAUGUGUCAAAAAAUUUAAUGCCACACCAAUAAUAAGCUCGGACCUUAGGAUAAUAAACAUACAGAUGACGUGGCCCAAUCAUCUGCCAGACUUCACUGUGCUUCGCCAAAUUUAAUAAUCACCCCUCCACUAAAUGGACAGAAUACUUCUGACUGGAACAAAAAAAAAAAGAAGAAAGAAAGAAAGAAAGAAAGACCACUAUCCACCAAAGAUUCUAGUACUAAAGCAAUGGCUGCAGCUUUAGCGACCCCAUUAGCAUUAAACGGAGCUGUAAAAAUGGCGAAUUCAGCUAUUACAUCACAGGCAUAUCUUGAGGGCUCUAGAGUCAAAGAAACAAAGGCCUUGAUUGCAGAGCUCUGCCGCCACUUUUACAAUCUGGGUUGGGUUUCUGGAACUGGUGGCAGCAUCACCAUUAAAGUCCAUGAUGAUUCCGUCCCUAAACCCAACAGCUCAUUGUCAUGUCCCCUUCAGGUGCACCAGAGUCCUGUUUUUUAUCCAAUAUUUCGGUUUCUAAAGCAUGAAAUUUUUGUGGGUUCUAAAUAAAGCCCACAAAAAUCAUAUUUGUAUGUUAAAGAUACGAUUUUUAUGGGUUUAAGCUUGUUGUUUUUUCUCCCUCCUUGAUUUUUAUUUGGUGGUUUGUUCAUGUUGGUUUUGGGUUGUUUUGAUAGGUGUUCAGAAGGAAAGAAUGGUGGAGGAGGAUAUGUAUUUGUUAUCCCCAGAAGGGUCUAUUUUGUCUGCGCCAUUGGCAAAGCCUUACCCCAUAAGCCUCCUAAAUGCUCUGAUUGUGGUCCUCUUUUCUUGAAGGUAUCAAUAUUACUGAUUCUCAGCUGUGGCAUCGGUUAGCUAUAUGGAUUUAAAGUUGAGUAUUCAAAUGUAAGGGAGUUGUAUUCUUUUUUUUUUUUAAUCAGGCUUCUGGUCUUACCUUCUGUUUCUAUGUCCUAAUGCAGAGUACUAUUGUAGCUCCACCAAAAAAAAAAUAAAAAAUUGUAAACCGGUUAGACCGGGGUGAAAAAAGAAUACAACUCUUUUUUUUUUUGGGGUGGAGCUACAAUAGUACUCUGUAUUAGGACAUAGAAACAGAAGGUAACACCAGAAGCCUGAUAUCUAACAUAUAUCACAAUAAAUCAACAAACUGCUACUGAUUACAACUCUGCUAGUCUGCUAGUCUUCAAUAGUAGAUAAAGUGCAUAUAAUUGGAAUAUUAGUAGUCAUCACAACCUUUGCUUUUUCUCCGUGCUUACAUGUAAUUUUGUGAGUCCUUGGUUGCCAUUUAUUUUCUUUUUUUUUUCUCCUUUUUUUGGGUGCUUAAGAAGUGUUAAUACUUUGGUUCUGGUAGGAGAUAAACCUUUAUGCUGUUAUUCACGUGUGUAUUGUGAAGAAUUGUUUAGCUUUUUGGUUAAAGAGCUUCUACCAACCUCAUUUCAACCAUUGAUGGCAUCCUAAUCAAUGAGUGCUGUAAAUUGAUGGCGUUGUUUCUGGAAUAUGCCACUUUUUUUUCUCAGCCUUUUAUCAUUUUUUUUUUGAAAGAAGAACACAUCUUGUGGUUUUUCCAGGCAUAUGAUAUGCGAAAUGCUGGUGCUGUAAUCCAUAGUCAUGGAAUGGAAUCAUGUCUUGUGACGAUGAUCAAUCCAUUUUCAAAAGAAUUUCGGGUAAAAAUAUUACUUCGUCAUCCCCUCUGAUCACAGAGUUAUUCAAUCUUACAUCAGCAUUUAUUGUCUUUAUUAGUCCUGUUAGAACUAGUCUUACUGCUUUGUUUCCUCUGAUACUAUAUACAUAUUUUUCUAACUUUUUCCAUGUUAUUAUACAGAUUACUCACAUGGAAAUGAUCAAAGGAAUUCAAGGACAUGGUUAUUAUGAUGAACUGGUUGUCCCAAUCAUUGAGAACACAGCCCAUGAGAGGGAGCUCACAGAUUCUCUUGCAGAAGCUGUAUAUCUCUCUUUUAUGUCUUUAUAUUCUUUAACCCCCAUUUUCUGGUAUUUAGUUGUAUUGCAGUUGCCCCUUCAUAGCUGACUCAUGGCUGCAUACAUGUACAUGCAGUGUUGCAGAAAGAUUUUUUUUUUUUGAAAAAAGAAAGGUGUGGCGUUUUAUGAUGGCACUUGAGGAAAAGUUAUAUAGAUGGAGAUGUUUUCAUUACAAUGCAUAUGUAUUGGAACCAUAUUGGUAAAAAUAGUUUGCUCAUUCAGACUUAAGUUUCAAUUCACUGCAGAACUUGGUAUUGAAAAUUAUAAGCAGCUGUUUUAUUAUGCUAGCAUUGAAUUUCUUUUGCAUUGUUUUUUAGGUGUUUUAGAUCUAUAGUGUACGUCUUUAUAGUUUACAAUUUGUGUCAUUCCUGCUUCUAUUGAUUAAUAGUGUAAAACUCUUACUAUUCUAUCAAUUCAGUAACUGUACUUUCUUGUUAAUUUUGGUGUUACCUAGAUUAAAGCAUACCCCAAAACAACAGCUGUGCUAGUGCGAAACCAUGGAAUCUAUGUAUGGGGAGAUAAUUGGAUCAGUGCUAAAACCCAGGUUUGUAUUGUGCAAUGCGGAUAUAAUCUUCGUGGACCUCACUCGAUUUGUACUUAAUUGCAGUGAGACUUUUAAUCUAAUUAUUACUUCUCUUUGUUUAGUUUCAUAUUUUAAUAGCUGUCUCAUCAUUACAUAAAUGACUCUGCUUUUAGCAUGUAUCAUGAUUUUCAUGAUGUAAAUUUUGUUUGUAAAAUGUUAAAGAGAUAUGAGAGAGAGGCAUGCGAGAUUGCAGGUUAAAGUUUGGAAAAUGGAAAUACGCAAUUAUGCUGCUGAAGCUGCAAGAUUGAACCCUCUGUUUUCUUAUUCAGAGUCUCACCGGUAUAGAUGAAUAAAUAUAUUUGGAAAUAAGAAGUAAAAUAGCUAGAAGUAAAACAGUUGCUUAUGGGCGGAGCAUAUUAUUUUGAGUUGCUAAUAUUCAGAUAGUGAUUCUUGGGAAUUUACGUAGGAGACAUUCUGAUAUGAUAAUAUUCUUCAUUUAUAGCAUAUGUGCUGCAUUAUUACAUCUUAGAUAAACAUUUCUGUUGUGUCCUUUGAAUUGGUUGAACACUAUGUCAUAUAGAUGUUGUUUGCACCAGUCACUUGUGCUUACAUGGGUGAACUUACCUGGGCUUUCCAUGGCAAUGCAUCAAUACUGUUCCUUUCAGCAGUUCUGAAUUCAAACUUGAUCUUGCAGGCUGAGUGUUACCACUAUCUGUUUGACGCUGCAAUUAAACUUCACCAAUUAGGAUUGGAUUGGUCAACUCCUAGCCAUGGUCCUAUUCAUAGUGUAAAUGGGGCUCUGGGGAAUGUUCGGAGUGCAAACACCCCAGUAAAGGCAAGAAAACUGGCUUCAGAUAAUGGCAUUGAGCCAUUAAGAGUAAGUUUAUCAACUAUUUAUAUAUCUUAAAUGGAUUUUGAGUCCAUGGUAAUAGGGUUUACCAUCGCAACUCUUGAAUUUGGGUAUUAAUAUGCUGCAGCGCUGCAUUGUUCUGGACAUUGAGGGGACCACUACACCGAUAUCAUUUGUCACAGAUGUUCUCUUCCCAUAUGCUCGUGAGAGUGUAGGGAAGCAUUUAGAUGCAACAUAUGACACAGAAGAGACACAAGAUGAUAUUAAGUUACUGCGAGCUCAAGUAGGUUGACAAUUCAUGCAACUGUGUAACUCUCUGUUUAAAGGAUAUGGUACUCUUUUGAGAUAUCAUGCUUUGCUAAAGCAUGCCAUCCAAAAUGUUUUCCCUUUAUGAUCUUCGGCUGAACAACAAUUUGAUAAUAGAAGUCUUUGCAGUGAGAGGUCCACAUUAUGUGCCUGUUGGUGCUGUUAUCAGGAAUUGCUUCCUCACUCAGCAUUGUCCUAGCAGGUACAAGAAGAUUUAGAAAAGGGCAUUGUUGGUGCUGUUCCUAUCCCCGACGAUGAUGCAGGGAAGCAGGAGGUAAUUGCAGCUUUGGUUGCCAAUGUGGAGGCAAUGAUUAAAGCUGACAGGAAGAUCACCGCUUUAAAGCAAUUACAGGUGAGUGGAGAGAUAAUUUGAGAUCAGUUUCACCAUGCCCACCUUCUCCCCGUAUUUUACAUUAAUCUCAAAUUUGAAAGUAAAAUGAUUAUCUUGAGACCAACUUGUAGACUUGGCUAACAUUUAAUAUCCAGGGUCACGUAUGGCGCACUGGAUUUGACAAUAGCGAGUUAGAAGCAACUGUUUUUGAUGAUGUACCUGAAGCUCUUGAGAGGUGGCACGCUUUGGGCAUCAAGGUUACUUCCCCAGUUCUCUAUUUUGCCUUAGUUUUUAACCUCUUGAGAUUGUUCUAGCUACUUCAAUCUUCACUCACAGUACCUGCAAAAGUGCAAAAUUAGUUAAACAAUAAUUGUCUAUCCCUAUUAUACUGCUUUAAACAAUCAUCUUUGGUUGGAAAGAAGAAUAUGUUGCUUGUAUACGUACAUUUCGAUUUUUAACACUUUCUGAUCAUUCGAAUCCUCUUUUUGGAAAUCAGUGGUAGAUUGAUCUGGUUAUUGAUUCCUAUUAUUGCCUAAAAUGAGCAUAAUAACCUUUUCGCAUGCCUCAGGUAUACAUAUAUUCCAGUGGAAGCAGAUUGGCACAGAGACUUUUAUUCGGUAACACGAAUUACGGGGACCUGCGAAAGUACUUGUGCGGUUAUUUUGACACUACUGUGGGGUAAACAUAUGCCUGCCAAACGCUUUUUCGACUCAAUUGCUGUGCGUUUCAUCUUUAUUUGAAAGCUGUCUGAUUUGCAUCUCCUGUUCUUGAUGCAGAAACAAGAGGGAAACAAAAAGUUACCUUGAAAUUACAGAGUCAGUCGGAGUUGAUAAACCUUCUGAGAUUUUGUUCGUUACUGAUGUCUAUCAAGAAGCGACAGCUGCCAAAGCAGCAGGUACUUUUUGCUUCUAGUAUCUAUUUGGGAUCAUUUGAUACUUUUUUUUGUUGUAAAAAAAAAAAAAAGAUAAAUUUAGAACUUCUCCCUACACAAACAAAAGAACGCUCAAAUAGCAAAUUUAAAAUUUGCUGCAUUGGACCUCAAGAACAGCUGGAUGCCUGCGCAGUUGCACAAAGACACGUGCAUUUCCGCACAACAAAACAAGAAACUGAGAUUCUUAGGCUUUUUGCUGCACUGUUUUGAUUAAGCUUUUUGUAUCAGGUUUGAACGUGAUAAUAUCUAUCCGGCCAGGAAAUGGACCUCUUCCAGAGAAUCAUGGGUUCAGGACGGUGAAGUCAUUUUCAGAAAUAUAAGAUGGAUCUAAAAAUUCUGUAAUAAGGUUGGAGGUGAUCGAGUGUGUUCUCCAGGAUAAUCUUCUCAUUCUGAAGCGAAGUUAUGAUGUAGACAUUUUUGCUUCAGGGGCUUGCAGCUUAAAUCUGGGUUUAUGAUCGUGUUAAGUUAUCAUGAAUAAAGCUGUCGGAAUUAAGCAAGAAAUUGAAUUUCCUAACAUCCCUUGUACACGAGUGCAGAUCGAUAAAAGGACAAUAAUACUAUCUAUAUUUUAGGAUUCAUCUUACAAAAAGUCAAAAUCAAGAAACAGACUGCAUCGAAUAUUAUUUCAUCAGAUAAUAUUUUGCCUGCGUCAUAUAAUCACAAUUUUUAAUAAAUGUAUUAUUUUUUUUCAAUUAACAUUUUAUCUCGGAUACAUUACAUCCAAAAGUUUCAGGCGAUAUUUUAUUAUAGGCAUCCGAUAAAAUCGAUAAUGUCCUCGUUAGUGUGCUUCGUGUCUGGGAUUCGUUACAUCAAGUCAAUAACAGAAAUGAAUACUGUCGUCAAGAAAAAGGGGAAAACGGGAAGGGGUAUUGAAAAAGAGUCGCAUUUUCUCCGCUUUUAGUAAACUAAUUAUGGUUUGUUUUACUUCUUUCUCAAGCAUCAUGGCAUCCCCCACUUUCUUCCCCAUCUUCCAGCCCAUGUGUUCUCAUAUAUCACCCUACAGCUGGUCACCGCCUGAGUCAAAAGACAUGGUACCUAUAAUUUAAACAGGAAAAUCGAGCUUGUGCGCCUGUCACUUGAACCAUCAAUAUCUUUUCUUUUCCUUUCUUCUCUUUUCUUUAUAUCUUUUUUUUUUUCCGGUAACCAUAAUAAUUAUAUAAUCUAUUCUAUCUUAAUUUACAGAAAGGGGGAGGAUAAGGAGAUUUAUGUGUUAGGAACCAGUAGGUAUAUAGACCUAACAAGAUCAAGAGAGUGCUAUAACACCACCUUUAAAAUUUUUUUUGUUACAGGUGAAAUUUGAAUCAUUCACUUACAGCCCAAAGAAGAACUGAACUUAAGUCACUCCUGAUGACCGCUAAGCUGAACUUAAGUCCCUCCCGGUGACUACUGGGCUAUGCUCGGUGGUUUCUUUUCUUUAUAUCAAACACAACAAAUGCAGCCCCAAAUCAAAAAGUUGAACAAAAAGUAGAAAGUAGAAACAAACUCUUUACCAUUUGUGACUUCAGUUGAGCUCUGCCUUCCCUUCCCUUUCACUUUCCAAAUGUCAUCCUGGAGAAAAGGUAAUUACUGACAGUUUAAAAAAAAGUGAAGCCAAUUUUUCCUAGCAGCAAGCAUUUAAUAGUUUGAUUUGCACCAUGAAACCUCACUUGUCAAUUCUUGAAAAGAACAUUUUUGUAGCACUUUUGAAAUAUUUGAAAUAUUUUUACUGUAGCACUUUUUGUGAUGUGAUGUAUGUGAGAUAAAAAGGUAAUUGGGAAGAUAAAAAGGUGCGUUGGAAAUUGUAAUGAUGAUGUAAGCAGAUAUAAUUUGGCAAAUAAUUCACAAUCCAAACAAAGCUUAAUGAACUCCUUAGAAUUGCUUCUCUUAAAUAGAAUAGGCUGGUCUUGACGUUAUCAGAUAGAUGAAUGAUGUAAUAAUAAAAUAUCUGCAGAAGUGGGGCCAUUCCUAGAGCUUAGUACCUCAAUUAACUUCCAAACUCCCAGAAGAUGCCUUAUGGCCAAUCUUGAACCAUACAUCCAAUCAUAAGGGGCAAAACAGAUUCUACUAAUUGCAAGUUUUUAGCCUAUCUUGGGAAAUAUCUAUCGUAACACUCAUACAAAAAACUGUGAGUUAUGAAAGGGAAAUAUCUAUCGUAGGGUGUGUGAAAUUGACUCUCUAGCAAGAUGGGACCCCUUAGGCCUUUGUCCCUCCUUUUUUUUCUUUCAUAAUAUACACUGGAUUUCGUUUCAGGGACCUGUAUAGAUUUUCUCCAGUUGUAUGCAUAUGUACAUCCUCACACAGUAAAAAGGGUGCUACUGUUGGCCCAGUGAAAGCAGCACAGAAACUCUUGCACUCUCCCUCACUUCUAAUCAUGUCAUACUCACAAGUCGUAAAUCACAAUCCAUGCCACCCUCCUUACCUGCUCACUUUCUGCACGAGGCUUACAAUUUUUUUUCCCCACUAACUCGAGAGAGUUGGAGUGGGAUUUAAAUGAAAAACCUUUCGAAUUCUUCUGAAAUUUUAACUUUAGUCACUGGAUCAAAUCAAACGCUCCUCCCCGAUACUCAAGAAGGUUUACAAGUUAGUGCACAUAGCUGAAAACAUUAUCCGAGGAUUCCUGUGUUAAGUACUAAUUUGGACAUGAAACCUUUUUAUCGAACACUGGAUGAUACGGUGGUACUACCAAGUUUCGUUACAAGUCCAAAGUCCCACUACAAUGCUUAUGGUCUGUCUCUACUUUAAAAGUGUUUUGGGAGUGGAUAUAUGCCUGUACAAAAUGUGGCAUUUGGGGCAUUUAUCUUUGAUGUGAUAGUGUUUAGAAGAGUAUAAGAAUCUGAAUUUGAUCCUGCCCAUUAACAUAAUUUUCCAAUGGUCUAGCGCAUAUAUGCGAAGAAUAUGAAUUUGAUCCUUUCCAUUAUGAUUUUCCCGAUGAAAGCCUGUUGUAACAGCAUACGUCAACUGCCUUUUUCUUGGUUGGAAAAUUUUACUAGCAGUUUGUAACACCAGAAUGGUUUUAAUUUAGCCUGCCAUUUACACAAAAAAAAAAAAAAAAAAUGCUGCCGUGCAACCAAUGUUGGUAAUAUAACCAAAUAAAAAAUUAUUAUCUCAGAAGAUGGACAUUAUUGUCAUCCUAGCAAUUUACUCAGUUCGAGAGAGAAAUUAAAGAAGGUAAGUAGUGAACAGAGGAAAAGAAGAAAGAUGAAAGCAACGAAAAUGAGGUGCCUUUCCUUUCUUGUCUCGAGACAAUGGAAGAAGAGAGAUCAAAUUGUACAUUUGGAAGCAAUGGUCGAUCUCUGUCUACCUGUUUGUUUACACCCCGAACAAUUUUCAACGAUAUUGUUCAAGAAGAAGAGCCUGAUACUCGAGGAGAAGUGACAGGAAACAGGGGCAACAGCUGGGGUGGCUCAGAAUCUCUAGUAGUUGUUCUUGGAGAUGGAUGCAAAUAAAAUUUCUUUUCAGCUAUGGCCUUUUCCUCUUCUGAUGAAUUUCCCAUUGAAGGUGAAGACUUGUUAAAGGGGUCUUCAUUCAAGGGUGUGACGGGGCUGAGAACAAGCGAGGGAAAAUCAAGAAUACUUGGGGACAAGAUCUCAGGCUUUCGCGGCGAGAAGCUUGUAGGAUUAUUUUGAGGAAAACCAGAGAUCAGAGGGCUGAUCAUGAGGCCAUUCUUGAGCGAAUUCCUUCUUUCAUAAAGCUUAAACCCUUGUUUCUUCUGCCCCGUCCUGAUAGGGGGAUGCUGCAGCCUCUGUUGGUGGCGGUUGUAUUGGUGGUGGUGGGAAGUGGAUCUGGUUUUGAGGCUUGUUUAGCAGUUUCUGAUGCUCCGGUCAGCAUCUGAACUACUUGCUUGAAUGUUGUGUGUCCGCUUGAACAAAAGUCGUAGGAUAUGGAUUGGGUUCAGAUCUAGAAACGGGUUUUGGGGUGACUGGAGGAGUUGGGACUUGGAGUGAUCAUUGCUGUUGGUUGCAACUCCCAUUGCUGUUUGGGGAGUUAGUGGGAGAAGUUCUCUCUGUCUUGAGGUUUAGAGGCACUUUCCAUUUUUCUUUUUUCAAACAGCCUGAAUCAGACUUUUGUUGUUUUAUAAACCUAAUCCCAGAAUUAACCUCAAAAGCCGGCAAACCUCAAGUAUGGCGAAAACUAUCACAACCCUCUUCUGGACUCCGGAGAGCCAAAAAAAUAAUGAAAAGGCUAAAAAGGGAGAGAGGAGAAGAUGAGGAGAGAAACUCUUUGAGGUUGGUUUGGGUGGAGAAGAAGAGAUGAAUGAGUGAAAAACAAGGCUUCGGCAAGAAUGGGAUUGCUUAUUUGCUUUUGUUUUGUUGUGCACUUGAGGUCUAAGAGCCACACUUUCUCUCUCCCUUCCCAAACCCCUUCUCUUUCUCUCUCUCUCUCUCUCGACUUAUUUUCUUCUGUGUCUUUCUUUUCUCUCUCAUUUGUUUUCUUGGUCUUUUUUUUUUUUUCUUUUGUAUAUUUUGGCUUUUGGUGGUGGGGUUAGAGGGAUUGAUUGGCUGCCGAGGAAAAAAAAAAUGCAGCCAACGGUCUUUAAGAUAAGAGAAGAAGAAAAGGGUGAAUGUGAAAUGAGGGGGCAUUGGCUUAGUAUGGAAUUUUGGGGCAUCGGCAUCAUCAUCAACAUCAUCAUCACUCAAUUCAAUUGGCCUUGAAUUGAAUGAAGAGGCUUUUUGAGCUUUUUGCCCCUCGUGCUUAUUUGCUUACAUUCAUCAGCCCACCUCUUAUUGCCUUUUUGGCUCUUUGGGUGGGAAUUUUUUCAAUUUCAAUUUCAACACGACUGACUUUCACGCAUAUUUGAGCAUUGACUUCAGAGCCUGACCUGCACAGACUGUGGGGUGUGUGUCUGUUUGAUUGGGAUCGGAGAUGCUAACCUUUGAUCAGUAAAUAGUUGUAGUAGUCGUAGCAGCUGUACGUAACAAUACCAAUUCCUCCGCGCACCCAGCGCGUGAGCUGUAUGUGCCCUUGAACCAAAUGAUGAGAAAUCACAUCCAUGCCAUGGCCGACCCUUCUACCACUGCUCUCUCUUCCUCAUUUAUAUAUAUAUAUAUAUAAAAUUCACAGUGUGUCUGCAUCCAUUUUACGGUUUGCGAUUAAUUCUGUUCGAAAUGAAAUCGAAUCAAACCCUUUAUAUAGAAAGAAACUAUCUCAACAUUGUUCUUUUUAUUUCAAUGAAUUUCAAAUACGAAACCUUAUAGUUAAGAGAUAUAAGCUCCUUCUGCUUGCUCAUUAAUCUCUCGUCACAUUCUAACUAGUAUUAGUUAUUGUUACCGGCCACCUUGGCUUUCUCCUGCCCCAUUUCCCAUCCUAUGUUCGUUUGUUUGUUUGUUUGUUUGUUUUAGCAGUGGUAGUACUAACUCUUAAGCAAUUAAUCUUCUCCUCUUAUUCUACACCAACGACUAAACUUACCAACCCCUUAAUUGGAUAAUAUCGUAUGAGUGCAUUUCAAGGUGUCGCAAGAACCAACCUAAUUAAGGUCCUAAUCUAGGUUGUGCGGAGGCCACAAGCUCAGAAAUUCUGGGAUUCUAUAAUUACAUUAGUGUGUUUGGAUAGGAGACUAUUUGAUAUAAUUUUUUGACAAAAAGUUUUGUAAUAAUGUAAAGCAGUCGUUUCAAACGUACUUUCCAUGUUAGUAUUUUAGAUAAAAUCCCCACUAGAAGAACUAAACAUAUAUAUACAUAUAUAUAUAUAUAUAUAUAUGAGUGCGCGCGCGCGCGCGCCAAUUGCCGUCUAACUAAUAAGUCCGUGUAUAUUGAGGAGGUUCCACAGCCUGUCCAUUUUUGUAUUUGUUAGGCGCAAAUUAUCAGUUCUCAUGCGUUCGAAGCCAAAUGACAAACUUUGCUACCCACGACGAAGUCCGGGGAGAAAAAAAUAACGAAUGUUUAAAUUUGGGGUUUGAGGGGGGGAGGAAAAUCUUUAUGAGGGCCUCUCUUAUUUAUCAGGUUAAGGUUGGAGGAGGAGAAAUGGUGGCACAGUUACUUCACGUCAUAGAAUCCAAUUGUCAAGAAGAAUUUGGAAUUGAAGAAUCUUAAAAGCAGUUAAAGAAAGUACCUGUGACGAUUGAUUGAACGUCCCUCAUUCACAAAACUGACGGCUGGGGAAUUAAGUUUGAGUAGUAGGAUGUAUCAGAGGUGUCCUAUUUGCUCUACGUUGCUUUCUUGGUGGAUUUGUGGAAGUGCUCGAAUCUGCUGUUUCCAUUUUCAAUCGCUUUAAGCGGCUUCAGUUCUAUUCAUCAAUCUCUUAGGCUUAGUUUGGGAGUUUAGGAUAGAAAAGAAAAGAAGGGAAAGCUUAAGUUAUGAAAGAAGAGAAGAGAAGGGAAGAGAUUGUUACGUUGUUUGGAAGUUUUGAAAAUUAGUGGAAUGAUUUUGGACAUAGAAGUCAUUAAAUAUUUGUUUAAAACCUUUUUAAGGACAAAAUAGGUAUUUUAAAAAAAAUAUCAAGCCUUCUCCAAACUUUCUUCCCAUUUCUUUCCGAUUUGGAAGGAAGCAUUUUCUUAACUAUUCAUCUUUCCAUUUAUUUCCUACUUAAAACUAACAAAUGAAGCAAAAGUAAACUUUCUCUUUUUUCCCUUUCUUUUCUAUCCAAAUCUUCCACUCCCAAACGAACCUUAUUGUCACUCGAAGCCAAAAUGCUGUUUGGAUAGAAUGUUAUUUGAAAAUCUUUUUAGAAUCAUUAAUGUAUGUAGUUUUCGUUUAAUUAUUGUAUUGAUGAUAUUUAUGUUAGUUGAUUGGAUAAAAGCGUAUUUGAAAAGUGAAAAGAUGAUUAAAAAAACGUAUUUGUGAUGCAAGAUUUUUUUUUUUAUUUUUUUGGGACAAAGAAUGGCCAAUUCAAACAAGCAUAUGUUCCCAAAGGAAUAUAUUGGACAGUAAAUUGCAUUCCUUUCAUUUCAAUUCAACUCUGCCAUUCAUGGUAGUUUUGAGUUUUUUUUUUUUUUUUUUUUUGUCAUUUUACGGCAGAAAUGUAGUGUUAGUACUUGUCUGACAAAAGUCUGAAAAAAAGACUACCCAAGAGCAAAAUUUAACAGUAGAAAUGAUUCUGCUGCAAAAUUCCUCGAUUCUUCCUGUUCUCUAGCUAGUAGCUGCUCGUACUUUUCUUCCUUUGCUUAUCAACAGUGGCGACAUGGACCAAAAUAAAGAGCAAAGGCAGCAAAGUACAAUCGUCAUUUUCUUUUAAAGGUUCAAUGAACAAACAGAGCUUUGUAAUAAGUGCUUUGUUGCUGUUUGUUAAAAGUCCACUCACGGGAUUGCACUCAGCAUUCGUUUCCGAGGCGAAAAGCAUAUAUAAAGAGAAGAAGAAUCGAAUUCCCAUUUAAUUGGAAUAUGCUUCAAAAGAACGGCCAAGAGCCCGUUAUCAAUUUGUCCUUGUUGCACUAACGUUACUCUAUUACUUCCAAUUUUAGAGAUGCAAUCAUUUUUUUUUAAAUCUACUCACACUAUAUUAAUAUAUUUUCUCGUUAUUUUUCAAUUUCGUAACUUAGUUAACAGAGACAUUAACCGAUAUAUUUGCUCGUUAUUUUUUAAUUAAUUUCACAAUUUAAUUAAUAGAGACAUUAGUCAAGUGACUAUCUUGUUUUGAUUGCUAUUUUUUUUCAAAGAAAAAAUAUAUUUUUCAUCAACACGUUUCAUAAUUAUCUUUUUAUCUCAUAUCCAUCAAAUCAUUAUAAUAUAUUUUUUUUAACAAAAACUCUAGAAAAUAACUGUCGGGAUUUCUAAUUCGAUUUUCAGCUCCUCCCCUUUUCUCUAGUAGGGUGUUUUGAUUCGAUUUCCAGCUCCUCUCCUUUCCUCCUUUCUCCUUAUAAGACCUGGUAUUUCCUCUCUGAACCUACAAAACAUAUAACGUAAGUAUGCUGAUUGACAACCUUUUACGAUACCAUAUUGUAUUCAUACAAUACAACACAGCACAAGACUUUUCUUUACUGGGAAGUAUAUGAUACUUAGGAUUUCUCUAGAAUUCGAUUUGAGAGUUUUUAACCGUCAAGGAUGCCUAUGGCUGUUGGGAAAUCUUCAGACAUUACGAUACCAAAAAUCUUUGUGAUGCUGAAUGUGGAGGAUAAUAAUUCAAACCAUUUAAUAUAAGUAGCAAAAUCAUCCGAGCCCCUUGAGGUUGGUUCGGAUGGUUUCGGGGUAGUCUAGGUAGGUUUCGAGAUCGUGUGUUCGAGUCACAUUUUUACCGCUUGUGUAUCCUUGAGGGACGGAUGUACAGAUGCAGGGAGAUUAGUCUGGCAAAGUUGGUAUACGCUUGGUGUUAGAAAAAAAAAAAAUAUAAGCACCAAAACCAAAAAGAUUUGGCCAAAAAAACAGACACUAGCUCGAAGAGUGGCUACGACAUGCAUGGAGGGAGAACAGUAGCUCGCCGGCUAGAAUAAUGGAAGUUGUAAACAAGGUCUGCUAAUCAGGAAAAAUCUCCUAUUUUGUAAUGGCACUUUUUAUGAUUGUAAUACUGACAAUAUAAGGUGAAUCCUCCUGCGACAUUAGUUACAUAUAUAUAUAUAUAUAUAUAUAUAUACACACACACACACUAGUAUUGUCCGUCUAGAAAUAUUGGAAAAUUAAAGACCCCAUCAAUUUUAUGUUUGGGGCCUUUGGACAUUUUUAGCUGCUCAUACCGCCUGGCAGAUACACUCAUUUUAGUUAAGUUCCUAAAUAAAGUUUUUUUUUUUUUUUGAAGGAAGUUCCUAAAUAAAGUUGAACGCAGAAUCAGACCGUGGACCAAGUCUAAUGCUAUCGGUUUGCGGACGAGUCCAAGACUGCUGGCUGGCCUAAACGGGAAAUGGUCCCAAAAUUACCGGUUUAGUUUACUCCUCAUUGAACCGUUCUGGAUUUGACAAUGGAGAAAUUUUUUAUAAUGCUUGGAGGAAUGGGAUAAUUGGAUCCUUCCAAACGUUAAGUUUCAAGCAUCUUCGUUUGGAUUGCUAUGUUUAACAGUUUUUUUUUUAAAUAUACUAUAAUAAUUUAAUAGAUAUAUAAGAUAAAAAAAAGUGAUCGAUAAAUAUAUUUAUAAAUAACAUUAAAAAAUCUUACGAAAAAUUGUAAUUCAAACAAAGCUAGUCAUUCUUUUGACCGUACACACGUAUAAACAAUACUCACUAUCCUUCUGACGUCAUUAAUCAUUGUAACAACUUUUCGUCGAGCCAUUUAAGGAUGCGAUGACAUUCUGUGAUCUUUUCUGUUGUGUUGAAUUAACAUUUUUCUGUUUGACUGAGACAGACAUGCAGCUCCCAAAUAACCAUUAUGAACAAUACAAAGAGGCGUUGCAUUGCAUUUACGAUUUCACAACGUGAAUGAAAAAGACAUAAACCCAAACACGUACUCGGAAUUCCAUGUAAUAUCCUUAUUAUUCAAUGUAAGUAGUUGUUACUAUAAAUCUAUCUCAUUUAACGAGAGUUGAUUCUUUUUUUACCAUCAAUUCAAGUUUUCAUAAAAUUAUACCAUAUUUAAUGUGAGGGUAUUUUAGGAAAAUAGCAAUCUAAAUUUACUUUUCCAACAAAGUUAACUACUUUUUCUUAAACUGUGUGAAAAAAGAAAUAGAACUAGCAAAGUGGGACGGAGGGAGUAUUAAAAACUAGCUUAACAAUUUAUGUUGAUUUUUUAGGUGCGGUGCGCUCUGAGAUGCAGUUCUUUAAUUACAAGUGAGAGGUAUAAGUUAGCAGUAGGAGUAACGCACAUGUUGUCAAUUAAUUAGCACAUAUAAAAAAAGAAAAUGUGCCUAGAUUCAAAAAAAUAAUAAUAGAGCUAAAUGAAUUUGCCCUUAUGCAUGCCAUUAUUGCCAAUAUCCAUUGAAUACGUAGUGACUCUGAUAAUGAUUCUGUUAACGUUUUCGACCAAAAAAAAAGAAAAAAAAAGACGGUGAUAAUUAAUGACAGAAAAGCACCGCGAAUGAGGUUAAAACUUUAUUGUCAAUAUUGGUACCACACCAAAUGUAUAUUAUGUACAAGUUAGUGUAUUCUUUCUUGUUUAACAGAUGAGAAUAAGAAGGUACCUAAGUUAAUCCCAAAUUUCUUCAAACAAAAGAUUACGCCUUUGACAGAUGCGCACUUGCAUCCAACAUUCUCUUGCAACAUAAGAACAGCAACAACAACGACAGCAACCCCAAAAAAAAAAAAAAAAAAAUUUUUUUUUUUUAACCAAAAGGAGGAUAAGAAGACCUAUCAAACUUAGGUCUUCUAAUCCUAUUUCUCAUAGAUUAACCCCAUUUACAUCAAAGUCAGAUUCCGGUGUUGGAACAAUGAUCCCCAGCUAAAUGGUACGGUCCAAAUUGUAACCGGAAAAAGAAAAGGCUUAACUUUCCUGUACAGAUAGAUAGUUUAUGGUAUAAACGUUAAUGAAUUUUAAUAUAUACACUGUGAAUGUAUAAAAAAAAAAUUAAAUUUUAUAGAAAAACUUCUUUUUUUUUGGGCUGGUUUUCUUUAACCACCAUCCUCUUGUGACUUAAACUCCAGGCCCUUGAGAACACAACUGGCUAAAACGAGAGAAGCAUAAAGAGUUUUUUUUUUUUUUUUUUUUUUUGGAAACUAGAGAACCAUAAAGAGUUAACCUCAAAGGAAGUCAGCAAUUAUGUCAACCUCAACCUUGAUGAUAUUAUAGCACUCUCCACUCACACAAUUGAAUUUGAUUACUGGAUUAUCUUUCUACGUUGGAUCAUCUCCUUAAAAACGAAUAAGAGGGUUUGGUCAUCAAUAAGACCCAAAACAAUUUACUUCUGGUUUAGUUUAGCUUUCUGCCAAACUAUCCUACUUUAUCAAACUCUUUUACCAGAAAAUUAUUGAGCUAGUCAACAAACAAGAAAUUCAAUACGAUAAUGACAGAGUAAUCUUUGACCACAUUCAUUAUUUUUUUUUCAGAAGAGGGUCCCUUGUUAGUGUAUUUUUAUGGGACAUUUCACAUUUGAUAUGGGAUAGGGCAGUCGGAGGACCGGCUUUGGCUUGGGGUACCACUGCCAGGGAUCCAUCCAGGUUCAUGAAUUUUGAUUAGUUCGCAGGAAAGGGCAUAUGCUGAUGUAGCUGGCACUCUUGUUUAUUUUCUCACAUAUUAUUGUUUUCUUUUGGUCAUAAUAAAAAUAUACUAUAAGGUUAGAUUGCACUGACUCUCCUUCAAGUUAAAAAUUAAAUAGUGGAUGGCAAGAGGUCUUCCUUCUAGUUAAAGUAGUAAUCUCACCCCUUGAUUUUAAAAUAACAUGAACCCCCCCCCCCUUUUAUCAAUACUUUCGAUUAAGCCAACAUUUGUACUAGUUUUGAUUUUACUUAUUUAUUAUUUAGCUUUCUUGUUCAUGUCCUUUGCAUUGAACAAAAAAAAAAAUUUGUCAAAAUGAAGAAGAAAAAACUAGAUCCAUCUUUUUUAUUAAUUUCUUUUGGAAACAAUUAUUUAUACCACAACAAGAGGAUAGUUUGGCGAUGUUUUAGUGAGUUCAUUAAAACUGGCUAAUUUCCCUCCAUCAAAUUCAAUUAAGAUAGGGGAUUUUUUUUUUUUUGGGAUGCUGUCAUCCUAUACUAUCUCACUUGUGCAAAAACUAGAGGGAAGGUUGUCACUUUUGCUAUUUCAUAAUGCUUUUUUCAAUCUUCUUCGGAGAUUGCUAAUUAGCCCUCAACACCAGAUUUCACCACAAUCAUUCUUGACCCACUUUAAUCAUCAUCAGUAAGAAAUUUUGUUUUUAUUCUAAUAGUUGGUGGGAGGUUGUGGAGAAUUUAUUUUUCACCUCAGAAUUAAACUAAUAUCUUCACUUGGGGCCAAAAAAAAAAAAAAUUUCACUUGUUACUUCUUGGGAAACUUGGCCCGUAUUAUUCUCCUUGCCCUUUACAUUAUGAUAAACAGCAAGAAAAUAAAAAGUUUGUAUGGGCCACUCUAAAGUAUGUGUGCCUAAUUUUUUUUUCCCCCCCAAAACUGCAGACAUAUUAAUUUGUAUAAAUUGUACAAUUGUGUGAGCAAAGGUCCAAUUCUAGCAAAAGUUGUUUCUUUUUCCUCUAAAAUUUUUAAUUUAAUUGUUUUCUAGCAAUUAACUUUAUUUGUCCCAAUAAGAAUAAGGCAUUGAUCUAAUGGUUAAAAUUGAAAUGUUAAGGGUCCAUCCGGGUUCAAAUCCCACCAAAUAUGUGUUUCCUCUUCCGCUUUAUGUAAGUCGCUUUAUAGUGAUUAAUAUUGAAGUGUUAUUCUCACUCACUAUUCGUGGGUCAGUUCAAGUUGUUUUAUUUGUACUGCUAACUAUUACUCUUGCGAUUGUGAGUUGUUGUAAUCUUAUAUCCAUCAAUUCAUCCUAUCACAUCCGAAGUGCAAUUUCUUGAGCAUUUGACACUUCCGGCAGAGAGAAGAUUAUUCUAUGGACAACCGCCAGUCAGACGCCAUAAGCAAUGGCAGAUCUCCAACUCAAAUAAUGGUUGGUCCGUUUGGAUCCCUUGUUUUUGGAGCUGUUUUUGAAAAACUGUUUUUCACAUUCCAAAUGCUACAGUAAAUGUGUAUUUCCAAAACAACUCAAAAAACACCAUAUCCAAACAUUAUAUCAAAAACAACUCCAUAUGUAUAUUUCAAUUUGUAUAUUUCAAUUAUGUAUAUUAUAUAUAUAUUAUAUUAAUAUAAAUUGAAAUAUACAAAUUGAAAUUAUAUAUAUUAUAUAUUAUAUAAAUAUUUAUAUACAUUAAUAUUAUACAUAAUAUUGUAUAUUAUACAUAAUAUAAUAUAAUAUACAUAAUAUGUAAUAUUGUAUACAUAAAUGGGUAAAUAUUUAUACAUAAUAUAUUAUGUACAUUAUAUUAUAAUAUAUACAUUAUUAAUGUAUAAUAUUAUUAUGUACAUUAUUGUGUAUAAUAAUGUAUAAUAAUGUUAUGUAUAAUAUAUAAUAUACAUUAUAUGUAAUAAUGUAUAUUACGUAUAAAUAUAUUAUAUUAUGUAUAUUAUAUUAUAUAUAUACAAUAUUAUGUAUAUUAUAAAAUAAAAAAUACAUAUUAUAUAUUAUAUAAAUAUUUAUAUAAUGAAAUAUACAAUAAAUAUUACAAAUUGAAAUAUUAUAUAAACACCACAUUUAUAAUAUUAUAAUAUUUAUAAUUAAUAUUAAUGUAUAUUAUAUAUAUUAAAUAUUUAUAUAUUUAUUUAUACAUAUUAUAAAUAUUUUUUUAAUUUAAAAAAUAUAAAUAUUUAUAUAUUUAUAUAUUUAUUUAUACAUAUUAUAAAUAUUUAAAUAUUUAAAUAUUUAUUUAUAUAUUUAAAUAUUUAUUUAUACAUAUUAUAAAUAUUUAUAUAUUUAUAUGAAUAUUAUAUAUUAUAUAAAUUAUUUAUAAUAUAAUAUAUAUUAAAUAUUAAAUAUAUUAUACAUUUAUAUAAAUGUACAUUUAUACACAAUAUAUAUUAAUGUAUAUUGAUAAUAUACAUUUAUAUUAUGUAUUUUACAUUUAUACAUAAUAUUAAUACAUUUGUACAUUUAUAUUAAAUAUAUUAAUACAUUUACAUAAUAUUAAUAUAUAUUAAUAAAAUUAUAAUUUAUACAUUUACAUAAUAUUCAUUUAUAAUUUAUACAUUUAUAAUAAUAUACACUUAUACAUUUAUAAAUAUAUUUAUAUUAUGUAUCAUAUAUAAUAUAAUACAUUUAUUUAUUUUUAUAUAAAUACAUAAAUAUAUUUAUUUGUAAAUAUUUAUAAAUGUAUUAUAAAUGCAUAAAUGUAUAUUUAUAUAAAAAUAUAAAAUAUAAAAUUUAUAAGUUAUACAUUUAUAUAAUAUGCAUUUAUAAUUUAUACAUUUACAAUAAUAUACACUUAUACAUUUAUACAUAUAUUGAUAUUAUGUAUUAUAUAUAAUAUAAUAAAUUUAUAAUACAUUUAUAUAUUUUUAUAUAAAUAUAUAAAUAUAUUUAUUUAUUAAUAUUUAUAAAUGUAUUAUAAAUGCAUAAAUGUAUAUUUAUAUAAAAAUUUAAAAAUUUAAAAUUAUAGUUUAUACACUUAUAUAAUAUAAUUUAUAAUUUAUACAUUUAUAAUAAUAUACACUUAUACAUUUAUAAAUAUAUUUAUAUUAUGUAUUAUAUACAAUAUAAUAUAUUUAUCUAUUUUUAUAUAAAUAUAUAAAUAUAUUUAUUUAUAAAUAUUUAUAAAUGUAUUAUAAAUGCAUAGAUGUAUGUAAAAAUAAAAAUAUAAAAUUAUAAAUUAUAAAAAUACCCAAAAAUAUGUUUUAAAAUUACCUCUAAAAAUAAUCCAAAAAACAUCUACAAUAAAAGUUUUUCAUAUAGUUUUUGAAAAACAACCCCAAAAACAACCAAUCCAAACGGAUUUGUAUUUCAAAAACGAAAUGCUACAGUGCUGUUUUUGAAAAACAACUCCAAAAACAGCUAAUCCAAACGGAGCCGGUGUUUCAGAGAACAAUAAUAUAAAAUCGACACUGACCAAAAGCCACACCGAACUCCAUGAUGCAAUUUUGGCAUUUCUGUCAAAGUGCUCUGGCCACACUUUUGAACUCAUUCAAACAAGAAUGGAGUAUUUUCUGACGUUUCUGAAGAGAUUCUCUUUCAUUCUGAAGUACAUCAAUUGCUCCGGGAGCAACAAACAUGUCCAUAAACUUGUCAUCAUUCACCGCAAAUAAUUCUACUCCAAGUGCUACCACAAGCCUAUCCCGACUGUGCAAAUGGCAAAAAAAAAAAAAAAAAAAAAAAUCAUCACUAACUGCAACCCAGAGGUUAUAGAUAGAUAGAUAGAUAAAAAGCACGAGCAGCAUCUCAGAUUAUAUUCAUGGGAAGUAUAGACGUACAUCACCAUACUCGUGAGCAAAAGUAGCAAGUCUCAAUUUUGCGGAUUAGUCAAAUAAACAGCAUUUUUAGCAAAGCCAUAUUUAGUCACUUCAAUUGCAAGAUUUAAGCGUGUGUGCAAUGGAGUGGGCGCGGAGUAAACCAGGGACCAGAGUUUAGAUUGAAAGGUGUUUGUAACUUACCAACAGAUUGAUUCAUUUGUCUACAUAGAAACAGCUAAUGACUUACCAGGGAGUCAAGAAGCUCGAAUUUAAAGUUGAUGUCACACUACGCUCUACCAGAACUUCUCGCAUUCGAGCAAAAUGCAGUGCAGCAGAUGAGCAUAUAUCUGAAUAGGCUGAGCCUGAUUUUGAAACUGUAUCUCCAUUGCCAAACAAAAGGCUAUCAUUCUUAUGGCCUCUCAAUUGGUCACAAUUUCUGUUGUUGCCUGCUAUUCUUGAAUGGCGUUUCCUUGCUCCAAUCUCAAUGCAGUUUCCAAGCUCCUUUUUCACUGCAAAAACUUCACAUGGCUGGUCAGGUGAUGGGGUCUCGGGCACAGUCAUCUGGCAUUCUCGAAGAGCUUCUCUAGCUUCGUCACUUUUUCCUGGUGGAGUUUCCUGUGCGUUCUUUUCUGGUGGUAUGUUUUCUUGAUCUUUGCAAGUGAGUUGCGCAAUGAAGGUGCGGCAUCAGAUAGCUCAAGGAAAAAAGAACCGGCUGAAACUUGGUUAAAUUGGCAGAUUGAAUUUAUGCCUGAUCUAGAAUUCCCAAAGAAGUCAUUCUCAUAGCAGACUUGAGAGUAUGGGCUUGUAACUGCAUCGAGAUGGUGUCUAACCAAUUGCUUGCACUGUUUGGCAAGAUCAUGUACAAAACGAUUGUACGAGUGCCUCAAAGCAGCAUGAAAACCGACAUAUCCAUCCAUUUCACCAGCUUUCACGCCAUCUGCAGAAUAAAAUGGCACUUAGAAGUCCAACAAUUAUAUUAUAAAUCAUUAUGGAGCCGUUAAUUUCUGUUAUCACAUUUCCAGCAUAUAAAACAGCAGACUAAAGUUUAAGAAUAGAGACACUAUUGAAUAGCAGGCGCAGAUAACAUAAUCUUCCAGCACAAAUAUGCAUUCAUGACCUCAAUUCAGACUUCAACGAUUUUAUAACCUGGUAUUCCUUUCAAGUGAAACAGCAAAUAUGGGUAGAAAGGCUGUGCGUGCUGGGAAAUUUACUAUCACUGACAACUUGUAAUGAACCGUGUGCAAAUUUUGCUAGUAAGACAUCAACUCUUCAAUUAGGCUUUACAGGAAGCAAAUUGUGAGCACAUUUACAAGAUUUUUGCACUAAACCGGUAAGGCCUCCUUAAGCAAUGCUGUAAGGAGAAAUUAACAGAAAAAGGGAUCGUGAUUUGUUGCGUUGACUGUCCGAGUGGCUACUCAGAAUAAAUUCUAAGGCAUUAAUUCAUACUGAGCUACAGAUUAUACCAAAGAAAUCUGAGAUAGCCAGCUCAGAGGCUAACGCAGACAAGUCAAACUAUACGUCCUAAGAAAGAAAAGACAAUCUAAACGAAGUAUAACAUAAUUUUGAACAACUUCUUACAUGUAAUGUCAAAGAUGUAAAACUCUUACAUUCAGUGUCACGAUGGUGAUUUCUCUCAAUAGCGAGAUCAAAAAGCUUGCUCAAAACAAAAGCAAGCCGAUCACAUGCUGUGUCAAGAAGAGGAGCUAGCCAUGAUCGUGCAGCAGCACGUGCAAUCUCUGCAGCUGCCUCUGUAACUCCUCUAUUUCCACCUCUACCAGCAUGAGCAAGUAAUAUGUUUGCUACCUGUUACAUAUAUUUUAAAAUCAAAACCUUGUUCCCCAUUGGAGUUUUAGUUACUGUUGACAAACAGUUACCUUUUCCCUAGAUACAGUAGGGCAUUCAAUGGAAUAUGUAGCGCAUCGAAAUUCAUGCACCACCCUCUCAAAAGCAGCACCUCCAUACAGGCGUAAAGUAGCAUUGGGGGCUUUACAUCAGCUACAACACCAGGCCAACAACCAAUGCUACUCUCUGAACGUUCCUCCUCUGUUGUUUUCCCCCAUAGCUCAGGGUCAGGAUCUGCUGCUCCAUCAAUAAGUGCUCCCUGUGACCAAUUACGCAUGAAAUACCAUGCUCCAAGUAAACUCACAAUCCUAAAAUUCAAUUUCUCUUCGAAGCAUUCGGUGAGGCUCGAACCUCAAAUAACACAAACAAGAAAAGUUGAACGGAAAUGCUCAUUAAAAAACAAUAAAACUUUAUUGCAUACCACAUGGCCGCAUAUGGAAGCAGCAUGCAACAUGGCAGAUCUCCGAAGAUGAGCAACAUCAGAAGUGGAUUGUAUUUUGGAAUCCAUUCUUGCUAAUUCAGCUGUGACUUCACUGCAGCGUUGUUCAAGCAAAGCCAGUGUAGCUGGUGCAGCUUCUUUGUAUCUCUUUUGGAGUUCAGAUUCCAAAAAGUCUCUGAGACAACCAAAACCAAUGUGGGGCCGGUACUUCUCUUCAUCGAACCCCCCUUUAACGCCAUCACGUAGAUAGCGUAAUAUUUCUGAAUCCACCUGUGAUAUUUGCUUGCGGAAUUCAUCAUUUGAAACUGAGCUCCUCUCUUUUGGCAAGGCCACAAAAAAUGGUCGAGUAUUCUCCCCAAGGUAACCACUUGCACUCAGGUAGCGAUCAACUUCCCAACGGUCACUGAACUCCUAGAUGAUUAAUAUUCACUAUACAUGAAUCAUAUCCCAGACGAGAAUGCUCAUUUAUGAGAUAAGCUCAUAAUCUACCAAAAGAUACUUGUGAAAGGAUUACAAAGGACAUUCACAGUAUCAGACGUCUGCAUGUUCAAAUAAAGAAAAUACUAGUACUGUUUCCCAGCACAAAUAGAAGAUGUUCCUGUGUAGUAUAAUAUAUUCCUAUUCAGCACUUAAGUCAUAUUGGUCCUUAUAAGCAAAAAAAUGUCUAGAACUAGUUCUACUAAGAAAUUGCUCCACAUUUCUUCAGCCCUUGAGUAAAUUUCAGCAGCUUCAGUAAACAAUCAAAACUUUGUUAAACUGUUAAAGAAAUAAAGCAAUGGUUCCACUUAACAGCAUAGAUGGGUGAUCAUGUAUGUUUUCAUUGGCAGAGUAAGCUUUUGGUAUGAAUACCCAAACAUGCAUAGAGACAUACCCGUUCACAAUUCUGCAUAUUGCAUCUUUUUCUCAUCUAUAUAAAGAGUUCUGAGCAUGAUCUUUUCUUUUUCUAUUUUUCCUCAUUUAGCAUGUACUUAAAUGUAUACAACAAAUGCUAGCUUCUGUUUGCUACUCUUUGUAAACUUUUUACCAUAAGAUUGCAGGAGACAGAAAAAGCUUCAGGAUGGAAACAUAACCAAGCUCCUGUAGCAGUUAGCUUAUGUACCUUUAGGCGGUUAUCAAAUUUAGAUACAACAAUCACAGUCCUUCGAAAAGUUGGAUCAAUUUCUCGAAUAGCAUCCAACCACAAUGAAGAGCACCAUUCAACACUACUCUGUUGAAGGAACAAAAGAAUGCGAUGAGGAGGACUAGCUAGUGCCUUCACCAUUGAUAGAAUCUCAUCCGGUGUACUUUCUGGUUCACCCUUUUUUGCCUGUUAACCAAUUCAUUCAACAACCGAGAAGUGCAGAAAACCAAAAUUCACAUACUCAGAACCAUGAAAUGUUCCUUUAUUUUCCCGAAUGCAUGCGUGUCCAUUUAACUAACCUUGAGAACAAAGCCCGGGGUGUCGAUGAUGGUGAGAUUGGGACAGUGAGCAUAUUCUGCUCUCAUCACAAUAGGUUUAGAAGAAACAGCAGUUCUGUUCUUCUUCAAAAGUUCCUCUGUACGAAGCUUAAUGGUAUCCGCUAUGGCAGAUGCUGAACUUAAGGAAUUUCCAUAUUCUUCUGAAUCCUCCUCCUAAAAUUUAUAGCCAUGAUAAUUCAGCUCUCCCUUUACUUAUAUUCCAAUAUAAUUGACAUCGUUAUAAUUAAAGAAAAAUAUGAGCUUUGAUCGCUUGUUGGAUUGGAAUAGAAGCACUAGAAUACAAAUCCAGAAAAUGCAUGGACAGUAAUUUCUUCUUUAAAUAUCUCUGAAGUCUCAAGCAAAAUUUCCCAAAUAUGUAAAAACCACUGUCAUAAUUGCUUCCAAAUUAUCAGUUGUUUUGCAGCCCAUACAACAAAUUUGGCACGUAUCAAACUUAAAUCAAGAGUUCCUAUGCAAAGUUUAACUCUUUUAUUUUUAUUUUUUUUUAAAUUUCGACUGUUCCUACCAAUUUUAAAAGAUAAAAACCACAACGGUCAUAAACUAUGAUAAGAAAUAAGCUUGUACUGUACUACGCUUAUUUGAUUGCUCCAAUAACCUGAAAGCGGCAACGGGGCUCCAAAGCUGUCGGAUCAUGGACCAUUUGGAGAAUGAGGGGGCGCCGGGUCCCCAUCUCCACUUCCCGGACAUUGAACCGAAACCCGAGGAGUGCUUCAAGAAGAGAGCUUUUCCCAUCUGACUGACCGCCUAGGGCAACAAUUUCGGGGAUCGGGAGUUUCUCGCCGAAGGCAACGGCGGCGGACUGGAGCCUAUUGUAGGCCUCGAAUCGGGUCUUGAAGUCCGACGAUCGGGUGGUGCUGCGGUCGGAUAAUUGAUGGUGCUGCCUUUUGGAUACGGAGGAGGUAACGGUAGACUUUUCGGCUGUAGGGGUUUUUUGGGGUUGGGGAGGUUAGAAAGGUUGAUGUAUUGGUGGUGUUCGCCAUUGGAGAGGGUGGAUGGGUUUCUCAGAGUCUCGACAGUGAAAUGGGCGGGGGUUUGAAGGAUUUGAAUUUGAAUUCUCAGCACAUUUUAGAUUCUAAGAGACGUUAAGGAAACUAAUGGGCUGGACUAGUUCUGCCCCCCCAAGACACAAGAACCUUGGGCCUUCUGCUCAGCUGCUGGGUUCCGCCCUGCGGUGGUUAGUAAAUCCUCAACACCCUUGUGGACGAGGGUAGGUUAACUACCCAGUUUUAGGGCCCAACCAACCACCCACAAAGUUGAGUUGUCCUCUUUUUGACUUCUUGUUUUUGUUUUUGUUCUAUUUGAAUUUACAAUUAUUUUUCUGAAAGCAAUAAGCAUUACAUGUAGAGUAAGCUCAUUGAGCUGAUAGAAGCAAUAAGUUAAUUGUUAGUUUAACGAUGCAUUGACACUUCUAAUUAGUCGAUUAAGUUAAUUAUGUGCAUGAUCUAAUCUCCACCGAAUACGAAAAAACCACUAACCAACAAAGUAAUGUGCAUGAUUAGCAGUCGUUUCCCCUUCAAUUAUGAGCACAUAAAAUGUACAAGUCUUAGGCCUAAUGAUCUUUCCAGCCAAUCAUUUUCACAACCCUCUCUAUCUUAAUAAGUCUUUUCAGAAAUAAUAAUGCUUAGUUUCCUCUGAGAAAAUCGAUCAAAAGACUGAAACUUCAAAGCAUGAUACUAAAAUUUUUUGACUUUAAAUUUGUCCCUCCUCCUUUAAAAAAAAAAAAGAAAAAGGAAAAAAAUUUGUUUGAUCAUUCGUGCAAGAGAUUAUAAGAGGUGUAGAACAAUAAUAUACUACUUAAUAAUAUCAUAGAGACUUGGUAGCAUGUUGUACAGCUUGACCACUUAUCACCACAAUCCCUUCCUAUGUUUCUAAUAAAACCAACCAACUAGUACAGUGGUAUAUUAGGUUCAUUGAACGAGCUCUUCAACAUAUUUAUUUAAAAACUUGGCAUUUGCCUCCAAAGUCAUAGUCAAGUUUCUAUAUUGUUUUUUUUUUGGGGGGAGGGGUCCCUUCCCUUCUUUUUAUUGGUUUCUCAUGUUGACUUCUUAUAUAUAUAUAUAUAUAUAUAUAUAUAUAUAUAUAUAUAUAUAUAUAUAUAUAUAUAUGUAUAUAUAUAAAAAGAGAAUGUGUGUGUGUGUGUUACUGCUAAACAAGAAAAAAAUGUACAACUAACUUGUUACUCGUAGGGGCUGGACGGACGCUUGCAGCUGGUUACAGGUAUUUGGAAACAUGUGCAGCUUAAUCAGCACUAAGGGUCCGUUUGUUUCAGGUGAAAAUAUUUUGAGGAAAAUAUUUUUCUAAUUUCCCGUGUUUGGUUGCACAAAAAUUAUUGAAAACAUUUUCCUAUGUAAAAUAUUUUCACUCAUCUUAUGGAAAACAAUUUCCCUUCCAAACUUACUGAAGUUGUUUUCCGAAAUGCAUGCAUCCCACCUAGGGUUGCAAACGAGUCGAGCCGAAUCGAAUUUUGAACCAAUCGAGCCGAGUCUCGACUAAAUUUUACCAAACUCGAGCUCGAGUUCGACGAGCUGGCAAUUUUCGAGCUCGAGCCGAGCUCGAGCUCGAACUCGAAAAAAAUAAAAAAAAAUAUUUUAUUUUUUAAAAAAUAAAAAAAAUAAUAUUUUUUCUGAAUAAAUAAUAAAAUAUUAAGGAUAUAUACGUAAUUUCACUAUGAAAAUAAAAAAUAAAAAAUAUAUAUAUAAUAUACGUAAUGUUAUUAUUAAAUAAAAUAAAAAAAAAUAUAUAUAUAUAUAUACUUAAACUUGCGAGCCGGCUCGCGAGCUAACGAACUUAAUAUUCUGAGCUCGAGUUCGAGCUCGAAUUUGACUCGAACUGGCUCGAGCUCGAUUAAUAUCGAGCUCGACUCAAGCCGCUCGUGAGCGGCCCCGCUCGCGAGCGGCUCGAUUCGUUUGCAACCCUAAUCCCACCUGUAGUAUGUUCCAAACUUACUGAAAGCAUCUUGUAGUAUGUUCUUUUUUUUUUUUUAGUGUAAACAGGAGGACUCGAACCCAAGACCUCUUCCUUGCACUCCCUUCCCCGUACCACCCAAUCCAACCCUCCCCCUAGUAUAUUCAAAAUAAAAAAAAAAUUCAUCAUGCUCAUCCUAUGCUAAUAAUUAAUUAUGUAUAAUAGGGACAUUCUUUUCUAGAGAAACUUUUAGCAGUGAAAGUGCAAGAUAUAUGUUACAAUAAGCAUUGCAUGUGAUUGAUAUUUGAUACUAAAUGGCCAGCAAUUUGUUUAUUGCUUAAGGAAAUAUUUUUUAUUCAUAUAUACAUUUCUCCAAGAUUUUUUAAAGUUAAACAAUGAGAUAAAUUUUCUUAUUUUGCAUGGGAAGAAGUAUGUAGUUAUAAUGUGUAGAAAGUAAAGAUAGAGAUAAAAGUAAAAAUAUUUCAAAAGGGAAACAAACACCAGAAAAAUGAAGUAGAAAAUAUUUUUAAUAAACUAACCAAACACCUGAAAAUGAUGAAAGGGAAAUGAUUUUCAUGAAAAAUUACUUCCACAGAAAAUAUUUUUCCAAAGAAAAUAUUUUACUUUCAACCAAACAGACCCUAAGUCUCGUAUCGAAAUAUCAUUUAUUCACAACAACAAAGUUACCAAAUUUUGUUAGUAAGUACAAAAUUGUCUAGCAUGCCUUUUCUUUUCUUUUUUUUUUCCCCUUUUUUCUGCUCAUGAUCAUGUUGUUCUUUCAGAGUAGAAUUUUACUGAAUAAUCAGAAAAGAAAAGGGACGAAAGUUCAACAGUUAGACUUUUUCUUUUUUACAUUCUUUAUUUCUUUCAAGUAUCAAACAAAAUAAAAAGGUUAAAGAAUAAACAUUUCCUUGGAUCUGCACCUAUGGUAUUGUGGCAUGUGAUCUAGCCGAAGUCAACCAUGUGAUCUCCAGACCAAACCAUGGCUUAGUUCAGUUGAUAGGGAAGAAAACUCACUGAUUAAUCAAGACUAAAAAAAAAAAAAAAGGUCUGACAAACGAUUAAUUUUUAAAAAAACCCAAAUAGUUACACGUAGCCGCUGCCCCUGACGGCUUGGAUCUAGCAUUGAACACUAAGACCAAUCGCUACUUCCCCGUAUUGCCCGCCGGGUUGUGGGGAUCCACCGCUCUUCCGCGUGUCGGACUUUUCAUCUUCUGAUAGGUCAAAGCGUAGCCAAUAAUCUCUCCGGUGCCCUUAUGAUCAUCCGGCACCGACUAGGCAAAGUAAAAAUUGCCCACCACUAUUCAUUAGUAUUGCCAUCGAAAAAAGGCAGUUCUUGAAUGAUGUGCACAUUUUAUCAUAUUUUAAACUAUUAUUAGAUAGAUAUUAUAUUUUAAUUGUGUUGGUACAAUUUUUAAACUUUUUUUAUUCACCAUUUUAUUUUUACUUUUUCAAUAAUGCCAGCACCGUGCAUAGCACGGGUAUUCACACUAGUUGUCACACUAAAAUUCAAGAAAUUUGAAAUUCUUACGUGCGCAUGUGUGUGUGUGUGAUAUAUAUAUAUAUAUAUUUAAAUGAAUUCGACUCCAAUCACCAUCACGAAUCAUGACAUGCUAUUAAAAUUACAAGUCGUUUAUCGAGAUAUUUAUAAAAUUAUUCAUGAAUAUGAGCAGCCAAAAUUAUAUGAUUCCCUCUAUAACAUUUGCUUAUAAUCACUACAUUGUAAGUCUGAUUUUCCAUGAUUAAAGAAGAAAAAAAAAUCUGUUGUGUAUUUUCAACUUGUUACGAAGUUAGGAUAGACCAAUAAUUAUGUUCUUUUUUAACAUUGCUCUCUUACAAGAAAUUUAACGGCAAGAAGGAUACUGUAGAUUCAAAAGUUCAGAGACAAUAAUGUUUCCAUUAUCAGCCAUGUUUCGAAAACAAAGCGUGCAUAUAUUACUCAAUAAUGAUAUUGUUGGAGAUGGAAACUUUUCGAGUUCCAAACUGAAAAUGCAUUUAUUUUUCUUUCCCUGCAUCAUAGAAUUUCAUUAGUUUAAUUGUAAUCAGUUGGUAUUCGUGGGUCACAUAAUUAAUUGAAUUCCAACCUCAAAUAUAUUCAAACUCUCCUCUAAAGGUCAAAACCAAGAAGCUCCUGAUUUCUUACUACUAACACGAGUAAACCAGGCGGGAAUCUAGAGCUGCACAGAACCUCGUAGUAAUUACUAGGAAAUUUUCUUCCAAUCACACAUGCCAUGCAAUUAAUUCUCUUCUAAAGAAAUGGAUUUCUUUAAUCACAAAUGACAAAAAACCCUGAUUUAAAUUCCAAUGUCUUGUUGCCUUAGUUUGCAAGCUUGUGCAUGAACAUCCCUUGCUUGUGCUGCCAAGAAGAUCAAUGGCCACCAAGUUACUCAAGCUCCUCACCGUUCUCUCUCUAUCCCUCGCCUUACUGCACUCUCAAACGUCGGUUUCUUCCUCCUCAGCCACCAUUCUGGAAGACGACGAUGAUCAGGAAGAGUACAUCCUAGACGCACCAUUUGCACACACUCAUUUGAGAAGCCGGUUCUUGGCCAGCGUCAAGAAAGGCUCAAGUUGCAACUCUCAAAAGAAGAACAAAUGCAAUGGUGUGUGGGCAAAUGGAGGAACAAGUCUUCUCUACUGCUGCAAAAAUCAUUGCAGGAAUGUGCUCGGAGACGCAAACAACUGCGGCCGAUGUGGGAGCAAGUGCAAGUUAAACGAGAAGUGCUGUGGCGGAAGAUGCAUUAAUGUCAUGUACGACCGUUACAACUGCGGCAAGUGUGGUGGAAGGUGCAAAAAGGGCCUAAAAUGUGGCCAUGGAUACUGUGGCUACGCUUAAUCACGGAUUCACACCCCAAUAAUGCAUGUGCAUGGGUGCAUGCAUGAAAUGAUUUGGGGAAGAAUUUGGAGUCUUUUCCCUUGGAAGGGGACUUGUCACCUUAAAGGGAUCGACCAUAUUGGACUGGAGAGUAAGACAUGGAUCUCUUCAGCUUUUCUCUAUUGCAUUAAGAUGACAUGAACGACCAGUUCAUGAACGGUCAUACAGACGGUAGAUUUUUGCAGAUGCUGGAAUUUUGAUGAUUUUUUGUAUGUAAUACUCUUUUGCUUGCAUACAUAGUGGUUGAAUAAUGGGGGUUUUGAUUUUUCUUUUUAUAAUUUUGUUUAUUCCCGUUGCAUUUGUUUGUUUCUUCUACCUCACUUCAGAUUUGAGCACAUGAUGAUAACUGAAGGAGUGGAUGAAAAGAGCAACGAUAACGAGGUUCCAUGGUCGGGCAUUUCAUUUCACUGUUACGAUCAUUUUCGUCGAGAGACUUCUUUUCUGUUUUAUGGAUGUAUGUUGCGGUAUUUUGAUCAUUUGGUUGCUCAAAAUGUUACUUCUCCAGCUAACUUAGCCAGGAGUUAUAUCCAACUUGAUUGCUCAAGCAAAUUGGGCAUUUCUUUCUUCGGUAACGAUAUUGGUGCAGCUCUAAUGUUUCUUGGACCAAAUCAAUCCCAAGAUCUCAAGUCUCUCCUUGGGCUACAGGCGAGGAUUCAAAUUCCACCUGCAGCGAAACAAAUUCAAAGGUGGUGCCGGAACACCCUUUUGGUCUAGUAAGAUUUAUACACUUAAAUAAAAUAGGUUAUUGACCCACCCAUCCCCACCACCUCGAAUUAUAUUCCUUUUCCUUUUCCUCUCCAAGUAAUUCAUUUUGGCAGAAACAUUUUAUUCCACACAAAGCAUAUCAACAAGCUGUACAAGCCCUGAAUCCAUAGUAUGACUUUCCUCCAUAGUUUGAAUACAUUUUAUGACUUUCCUCUUUUCCCCAAAUCCAUAGUAUCCAGACAUUUCAACUGCACGAAUGUGCUCUUUUGGGGAAAAAAAAUACUAAUAAUAAGCCCAUUUGCAUGAAGGAGAAUUAUCUAAGGUUUACAACUUGGCAACAUGAACGGGUAGAUCUAAAACUAUAAUAGCUUCUCGACAUUUUCUCCACAGGCAAAAAUGAUUGAAGCACAAAGUGUUGCAUUCACAUUUUCCGCCAAGAAAAGCAAACAAAUCAUACAAGAACGGCCAUAAAUGACCUUUUUUUUCCUCUUUUGUUAUGAAAUUUGUACACUACACGAUGUCCGUCUAUGAGAAAAAAUACCAUAACGCUUGCGAGUCAAAAGUUCAUGGAAAAGUACAUUGUAAAGCUUUGUCAUUUUUAUAGCUGAAUGAAUUGGAGAUAUAAACUCACCCUCUUCCCCCAAUUCUUUCCAUUCUACUAACGAAUUUUCUAGAAUAAUUCGCAAAUCUAGAUCUGCUAAUUGUUCUCGGAUAGCAACCGCACCAGUGUAAUACAGCUUAGAGUUUUUUUAUAGCUGGAUCUGAAAUAAGUUCGAUGCUGAAGAUAAUAAUAGAGCAGCAUCUAGUGAUGAAUCCGAAUCAAGAUACUUUGACUUUUGCUGCUCACAUAUAUCGAAUCAGUUCAACCACGAACUUACCUUUUUUUGUUGAGUUUAUUUCUCCUAUCUGAUGAUAAAAAGAACAUUUGAUGGUUAACAGAAGGUGACAGGACAGUACUCAAUUCACACUUCACAAAUAUUUGAGAUGAUUUUUUAGUAUUCUAAGUUUAUAAUUGACGACCAUUCAAAAAUAGUUUUGACACACAAUCUCACCUUCAAUCUUCCUCUUCCGCUGACUGAGAUGAUGUCUCCGGUCUUAACAUUAGUAUUGCUUUUCAACACACCGGUCCAAUUCACACGAACAUCUCCAUUACUGUAAAUUAAGAUUAAGUUUUUUAGUUCGUUGUGCUAGCUAAUAGUACAACUGAGUUUUAAGAGACUUUUCUAAAAGUUGAGGCCAACAAAAGCCAUAAAAGACAUCUUCAAUAACCAGAUGCUCACCAUCAUAUCUUUGUUGCUACAUCUUACAGGGUAACAGAACGUGAAAAAAAAUGAAGAAGAACUGUAGUGUUUCUGUUAUUCCAUACCUGAUUAAAGCGCCAUUUUUGUUCGUGAAAUUUUGUACCCAGCACUAGAAAUGGCAUCAAGCCUGAGCGAUGAUUCUACAGUUUUAAAAGCCUUGGUUCUAUAAUAAGGAAAAAUGGAUUUUAGUCUACAGACGGAGCCAAACAAAAACUUUUCAUUCAAUAAUUAAAACAAAAAUCACAUAUGGAACAGCUUGAACCUGGGCGGUUCAUAUUCAAUAGCCAGCAAUGGUAUCUUUUUACAGGUGACUGAAACAUUUCCAACCUGCAAAUGAUAAUAGAAAUUAUUAAAAUGCUGAUUAUUUACUUCAGUUUCUUAACUCCUCUGGAAUUUAGACACUAGAUGUUUACCAAUUAUACCAUGCAAUGAUUAGACAAUCAUCUUUUUACUCUCAAACAUUCAAGACUGUAAAAUAUAUAUAGAACAAUUUGUGCCUUUUAAACCUUUCAGGUUUUAUAUAUAAAAGCAUACCUGCAGCUCAACAAAAUUUUUAGGAUUUGAUGCACUCUAGAAUAAUUGAAACUAUUAUAUGCCAAGAUGAUCUAAUUUAUCAAACCAUAAGCAAAGAUAAAGUUUCUUUUUUUUUUUAAAUUGAAACACAAUUGGCAGAGAAUGUAUAGCUAGGAAGCAAUCUAUAGGACAGGCCUACCUUGUCCAAGGAUGACGUGAGGUAGUCAGCAAGCUCUGGAACCACAAGAAUGUAAGCCCCCUUCUCUCCCUAAAUAUCAGAAAGAAAAAAAUUCAAAAUGUAAUAAUUAUGUGAUCAAAGCUAGGAAGUGAUAAAAUUAUUCAAAUCUGAAGUGAACAGUAACUGAAUUUGACCAUGUACAAAUUCUAUAGAAAUUAGAAAAAAAAAAUGCCAAGUAUACUGUCUACAAAUCAAAUUCAGUUAAUACAUCCUAUAACUUGUGUGUUCAUCAUCACAAUUGACAGACUGUCAAAUAUUCAGACUGUUAGACGAUAUAUCACAUAUUAAACAGAUUUAGAAAAUUUAAAUAAACAGUGAAAUUAGAUCUAGAGGGAUAGAAACAUAAGGACUCGUUACAGAUAUAUACGAAGUUUACUGCUUCAACUGAUGUAAGACUGUAUCAUAAAGAAAUUUCUACUGAGGCGUUUGCUUAUAUGUAAAGGACAAGAAAGAGAAGAACCCUGCUGCAAAACAGAGAUUUCAAUGGUGGAAGGUUUUCAAAUGAAUUUUCCCUAUAGUUCAAGAAGCAUAAUGUGUAACAGCAGUUAAAUGAAGAACCUACCUGCAAAAUAAUAUCACCCAGCUUAUCUCUCGUAAUCCCUGUACCAAGGAUUGCACCAAGGAAGUCACCAUGCGAGCAAGGCUGGAAUCCAAAGUUACCUAAAACACUGGAAACAGGAGCCAGUUCACAAUUUACUAACAAUUCUAGAUCUAACUCAACCAACAAAAUGGAGGACUGGUCACAUGAAUACCUUAAAGCUGCAACAAUAUCAGGAUCACUUGUCAAAACUUCUGGAUGUCCGACUGAGAGUCGGCAGCGUUCAGCCUAGCAUAAUUGACAGGAAUAAAAAUCAUAAAUAAUUUGAGAGAAAAUACUUGACAUAUGGCGACAAAAAUCCUUCGUAUCAAACCUCUGGAUAUCCUCCUUGAGCAACUGUUUUAAUGUCAACCAAAUCUUUCAAAGCUUGCAUUGACUCCUUUAGUACAGGUGGUGUAAGAAAGCCAGUAUGUAGAAUUUCGCACCUAGUUGCUGCUCGUUUUGCCUAAUAUAUCCAUGAGGAUGAUGGAUAAAUACAAACCGAUUCCAAAUGUAGAACUCUUACAAAAUUAUCUAGUCAAAUCUAGAGAAAGUCUAUGUGCUUUGCCAACUACUGGGGAACAAGGUGUUUGGAGACAAAUAGAAAGAAACAAAAAAGACACAGCAAGGAAACUGGGUAAAUCAACGUUUGCAAACUUUAAAUGAGUAUGUACCAUUUCAAGCACACGCUUGACAUCUUCAUUUGUGUCCUUGUCUCCCACUCCUUUCAGUAAAAAAUCUGUAUCACUCUUUAUAGCCUGUGAUAGCUGGCAUAGACCCAAAGCUGCGUUGCAAGAGCAUGAAGAACUGUGCAAGUCAUCAGCCAUGAUAGUAGCAUUUUUAGCAUAAAAAAUGAAUCACCCCAUUGAGACAGCAAGUAGAGAAAUAGAUGUCUCCAAGCAAUGAACAUUAGGAAGCCACUUAAAGAACUUGGGUCAUUCAUACAAGAUGCAUAUAGCCCUUUCCAUCAAAGGAACAAUCUCUUUCCAGCGAUCAGAUUGCUCAAGACUAAAAUUGGCAGAGUGCAUUUACUAAAGGGACACACACUACCAACUAAGAGUUGCUAGAUUAUGUAACAUUCAGUAUUUGGGUGACAACCGUGUAUGAAUUCCAAGUGGGCAUACGCACUAGAUUCUCAGAACAAGUUUAAUCACCCUACUUUCCACAAAACAAGACUCCCAGAGCCAAAAAAAUUCUUAUUUCUUAUUCCACCAGCUAUUCUAAACACCCGAACAAAUACCAUGAAAAGAAAAAGUACAUUUCAACAAAACAUACUAGCAGUACGUUUUAUCUUAGAAACUCCCACAUACACAGCAAGACCGACCCUGAAGAUUCAACCUUUCCGGCUACAAAGUUGAUAAAAAAAAAUAAUAAUAAUAAUAAGGUCCAUUUGUUGCAUUUACCAUUAAAAGGCAUAACACUGGAGUUGACCAUCACUCCUCGGUCCUCCUUUUAGAUAACACUAUAGAGAGAAGCUAAUCAAGUGCUCCACAAUUGAAGCUGUUUCGUACGAUUCAGCCAAUCGGGUCAUGAAAAAUUGUAAAAUCGGACAAGAUAAACCGUAAAGCAAAAAAUAAAAAAAUUAUACCAUCCACAAGGGAAAAGAAAGGUAGGGGAAGAUAAGAUUGACGGACCUGACGAUGAAUGGAGAGGAGUUGCAAAAGGAAGAGGCCUGGAGUAGUAGAACUUGUCUUUGAAGCCAAUGGCACGAGGAGGAAGGAAUUCAAGUGAGUGAAGAGCUCUUCUCAGAGCAGCUGAAGCCACGCUGGUGGCAGCCAUAGCCAGUAUCAACGGACCCUUACUCUCUCAGAAGUUAUUGACGCAUUGUUUGUUUCGAGAGCAGCAACUAGGAUAAAAUUUUUUAGGUUUGUUUGGACUAAGGGGAAGGAAGGGAAAAGAAAGAAGGAUAGGAGGGAAAAGAGGGAGCAGAUCCAUGGUACUUAAUCAGACUGCUUUCCAUUUAUAAGUGGCGAAAACUAAGAGAAAUAAUAGUAAUAAAAAUUUUAAGAGCCUAUCAUAUUCAUAUCAUAUGUUUAUCUUUAAUUUUUAUGAAUAAAAAAUAUAAUUAACGUGUAAUAGGCAGUUACCUUUGGUUCUACAAUUCAAACACUAUUAUUAUUCUUAUUUUCUAAUCCAGAUUAAAUUAAACAUCGGCGGCUGGCUGCAAUUCAUGACCAUAAAUUCUCUAACUCGUUCACUGAGUAAAGAAAAGCUAUAAAAGCAGCUGUUAAAACUCAAAUAAACACAUUACAAAAUGGAUGGAUGGAUGGCUGGCACCACCAUUAUCAGUUUUGCGUCCAUCAGUAGGACUACAGGAUGCGAAAAAGGAACGAAAAAACAUGAAGAACUAAUAAUAAUAAAUAACAAAAAGGGAUAAUAUAUGUAUGUCUACUUAAUACAGACAGCCCUAAUCACUCGCAAUCACCCAAACAAAAUCCUUCCUUCGCUCAAAGACUCGGAUAACUUAGAGAAGAUAGUUAUAUCCAAUUCCUAUCAGCAGAAGCAGCGCUAGAGCAGCAGCCGGAGCAGCCCACAACCAGUAGUUCGUCGCCUUUUUGCGUCUGAGAAAAGCUUUUGGCAGUGAAUCCGCCGCACCCCUGGGCCGAUUUCUGUGUCUAACAGCGUUCUCCUUCCGGUCUUUACUUUUCGGAGAGCCGGAGUUUCAACAGCUUCCUCCCCCUUCUCCACUCAACUACCUCGGCAGGCGCUUCAGUUUGUUCCUCAGUCUCCUGAGUAGCAGCAACGUUAGCCCCGGCCUUUUUCUUUGCCCUCUUCUCACGCUCCUGCAAUACAUAAAUGCCAAUUUUGGAUCAGUACACAUUUUAUAUAUAUAUAUAUAUAUAUACAUCAAUUCAACUCAUCAUUUUCAACAGAACAAUAUCAUGAAUGAAGAAUAAUUUCCUUAAUUUUCUUCUCAGCUUCCUUUUGUGCUUUGAUUGCAGCUUUGGCAGCUGCUUUUUCUGACAACUUUUUCUUCCUUUCCAUCGCCUGCUUAGCUUUUGCGAUCUCCUCUUCUCUUUUCACUUCCUUCAAUUUCAACUCAUCAAUUUCAUUCACCUUUGGAGGAGCAUCGUUUUGCUUCUUCUCAGGCAUAACAAAUUCCUCUCCAUCUCCCGCAUCUUUCUGCUGCUUAGUACUCUUCUCCUUCUGAACUUUCUGGACAGGGGUCGCAUCAAGUUUUGAAGUACUGGAAUCUUCUUUUGGUUGUUUUACAUUUGUCUUGGGUACCACAUCGGUUACAGCUGCAGGUGCUACCUCAACGACUACUAGAGGCUUCUCAUCAGGGUUUCUCAUCCGCCCAUCGCUACUCAAUUGACGACCAUCCAGAGACGCUAAUAUCCUCCUCUCAUAAUCUUCUCUGAAGCCCUCGCUCCGCUCCACGAGGAAAUAAAUUUAUCUACCUAACCAAGAAAAAGAUGAAAGAAUCAGCAAGGUUAAAACCACGACAACUCUAGAACAUAUACAGGCAGCACAAGUUCCUACCAACCUCUGUUUCUGAAAGUUCCUUUAGGCCUUCAACAUCCUUCUUUUCUGCAAGGCCUCUAGCUUUGUUCAACAGAGAACGAUUUUGGUAAAAGGCGGAGUUCUGAAAAUUUAAAACUUCAACAUCAUCACAAAAUUCCAAAAGUAUGAGAAAAUGGAAAAUUCAAUGUGUACAGGGAUGAAAGGUUAUUCACAUUUACUAAAUUCGUGAAACAUUAACAACUAGGUUAUGGUAUAAUCUAUUUCUCUUUUGUUGACACAUUGGUUCUUACUCCAAAAAAAAUUAAGCUGCAAUUUCAGGAACGGGGAAGUAAACCUCCACCAACUUCAGUGGACAUCCAACUGGACAAAAAUUAGGAAAAUUGAGGAAAAGCAAUUAGAAUUUCUCAAGAAUGUUUUCUUUUUGGUAUGACAUAAGACCUAUCAGAAGACAUCAGAAAAAGACUACCACUACCAGGUGUCACAUUGCAGAUUUUCCUCUGUACAACAUAUUCAACAUGCCUUCUGGUGGCUAUUUCUAUGCCCUGCUUAUUGGCAGAUCUGAUCCUCAGGCUGGAUUGGAUGUUAAGCCAGAUGGCUGGUGCAAUACCAUUUAGAUUCACGAGCUAUGAUCAGAACACGUGAAACUCAUUUUCCAUUAAUGUGAAGAUUAGAAUCUAAUAGUAAUUGAAAUUUUCCCGCAUGCUUAUGAGAAAGCUCAAUUCUCAGCAAGAUGCAAAAAGGGGAGCAGUGGUAUCUUUGGGCAUCAUGAAUUACAGAAUACCUCUAAGUUCUUUCUUGUACAAGUAAUCAUAAAAUUUUGUCAUCACUGGAAACCUACAGUAACGAUACAAUUUCAAUCAUGUAAAUCUAUUUGGCAUCUUGUCUACAUCUUCACUUUAAGCCUGUUAGUACAUAAUACAAGCACUUCCUGAACAAGAAUGCAUGUCCACCACUAUUUGUUUUAAGACUUUCAAAAACAUAAUAGGAAUUUCAACAGACUAUCAAGUAAUGCGCAAAAUACUUACCAUGACAGACAUUAGCACAAAAUCAGAGCCUUGCAAAACCAAAAUGUUGUAAAACACAGAGGCAAUUAGUUGCAAAAGUGUAUCAUAUGCUCUCACUAGCAAAUUGCAUGAUGUGGGAGAAAUACAGUAUCUAACUUGAAAAUGUCAAUACCCCUUCUUCACGUUGUUUCCUUAAUUCCUGAAUAUUUUCAAAAGUUUUGUCUCUUUUCUGUGUCACAGCUGUCAAUUCCUCCUCCAAGGACUUGAUCUCCUUUUCAAUAGCCUCCUUCUCUUCUUCAAGUUGUUUACGCUUAGCCAAAACCAGUUGCUGGUCCUUUCGCACUCCAUCCAUAUCAACUCUUAUAAGCUAUAAAAGAGUUGCAGUAAUGAGUACAACUAAGUAAAAUGCUAUAUUAGUAAAGAGCUGUAUAAAGCAAUCUGCAAAAUAGAAGUAUAAGUUACUUUCAUCUGGUCUUCAAGGGCUUCUUUUUCACCCAUUGACUCUUGAAUUUUUGCCCUCAAAGCAGCAUUAGCUAUAACCUUCUCCCUUGUCCCUUCAAGCUGUUUAAUUUCCCGAAGGAUUUGCUUCUCCUCAUUAAGGGUGAUACUUUCAUGUUGAAUGUGGUACUGCAAACUUUUGAUCUGUGACAUAAAAGAAAAACAAAAAGUUAAGCACACGAUUUCUUGUUCUUUCACAAUUAUAGUUUGAAGAUUCAAGUAUAAGACAUGUUAAGUUUCCGAAAACACCAAAACAUUGAAAAGCAAAGGAUUGCAGACAAAGAAGGAAACAAGUUGGUGGAUACGGAAAAAGUAGCAUAUAUAUUGCACUUGAAAAAUAUAAAACAUCAAAGCUUACGCGAUGAUUAAGUUCUUCCUCAGACGAACAUAUACCAGAUCCCCUGUCUCUGCCUCCAUGUAAUUGGCCCAAAGCCUGCUGCAAGGGUUCCCUUUCCUUUUUCUUCUCAUCUAUCAACUCCCUGUACUGCUUAUUCUCUUUAUUUAAAUCCUUUAAGAAAGCAAUCUUUUGUGCUCGAUCAGCCUGCAAAAGAUGAACAGACUCGAUUAGAAUCUUAUCUUCAUUUAAAGACAAGAAGCAUGCAAAAAAGAUAACAAUACCAUGACAAAUUCAUUGAUGGAUGCAAAAGAAAACACUAACCUUCAGUUUCCUUAGUUUUUCAAUGAGCUGGGAUCGGGCUUGAUUCUUCUUCUGUAGCUCAGUGUCAGCCUGAUCCAAUUUGGCUUUGAGUUUCUGAUCUUCAUGUAACCUAUACCUUACAAAAUAAAAAGAAUGUAUCUGCUUAGGUGCAGGCCAUUCAUCAACUGCAUCCUUGGGGAAGUUGACUUCAGCAGCUUUAUUUUUUUCCCCUUUCACCGGUUCAUCCAUACCAUGGGAUCCAAAUGUUAUUGGUUCGCUAAGCCCCAUUACGUUGCUUAUUUUCCCGUUUUCCUUCAACAAACUGUUUUCUUCACCUGCAGUUUCCCCAGAAACAUGGGGCAACUUAGAUUCCACAACUUCCACGCCCAUUAUUUCAACAGAAGGUAAGCACACAAAAGUGCGUUAAAAUCUCGAAUCCUGACAAAAUGGGAACAUAAGUUACCAAAGGAAUGUUCACAUUUUACAGGUAUCAGACAAACAAGGGAUUAGAGUCAAAUUGUUUAGUGGAGGUAUCAUGUCAAAAUCAAUCAUCUAAAAGUACCAACAUCAAUAAAUAAGUGAAAAUCGAAAAAGUUUUAACCCGAGCUUCCUUGCAAAAGAUUUUUAUCGAUCCAAAACACCCUUCCAUUACGGGCACGGAACUGCCAAAUUCUUUGAACCAGUUGACUCGCAAGUUAUUAACCUUAGUGGAAGCUUUAAUACAGAAGAGGAUUAAAGUGCAAUGAAUACCAAAUUUCUCACUUUACUAAUCCCCAUCGAAUAGAUCUUUGAACCAGAGACCCGAAAUACAGAAAAGAUAAAUAAAAAUGAGCCAUGCAACCUAUUUGAAACAGCAAAAACAUGUAAGAUCAGUCUAAGAUAUCAAUUAAAUAACACACAACCAAUAGCGGAAGAUCGAAUUUAGCGACAGAAGAAAGCUUCAAAGGUCAUGGAAACUUCUAAUUUAUGAACGAGAAAAAGCCAUCAACGAAAGAUCAAAAACAUAAAACUGAACGAUACAGGCGGGGAUGUAUCAAAUAAUGAAUUACUCAACCAAUAGAGAUGCCAUGCAAAUUACCUACGGAUACAAUUCAUGAAACAAAGACCAAAGAUUUCAAUUUUUUCCUCAAAUUCUUACUCUUACUCUUCGUUCAUUAAAAGAUCAAAUUUUUGAAUCAGAAGCACCAAGAAUACACGAAAGAGAACCAUCCCACUUCAUUUUCCCCCAAUUCUUUCUAUUUCACAAGUCAAAAGAUCAAAUUUUUAAACUAAAAAAAUAAGCUAUUUUACCAAACACAACCACUCCUAUAUACUUCUACCCAAAAAGACCAAAAAUCAAUCAAAACAAAACAGGACUACCUUCUAGGACUGAGAUCAAUACGGAUCAAAUAAUUGAUCAUGAAACAGAAAUGACAAAAAGAAGUAAAGAAUCCACACUCGAAAAAAUAGACAAAGGCAAUAAGACGGAGAAAAAUGCGGGCUUGUAUCAACGAGGUAAGGAGUUUACUUACCAGAGAUGGAAGCGAAAAUGAAGAAGGAACCGAGAGAGACAGAUAUUUCCGAGGAGACCCCUUGUUUGACAAUAGAGGGCUCUUUCAAGACCAAGAAACUUGAGAGAUACAAAGAAGAGAAAAAGAAGUCAGACCCCAGAUCUCUCUCCCUCUAUAUCGUUCCCUCAAUAUGAAGAGAGAGGAAAAAAUAGAGAAAUGCUCUAUGAGUAUUCAGUACUAGCUAGCAGUUACAGAUUUUAAGGAUUUGUGGGGAAAGAUAAUGAGGGGUAGAUAUGGAGAGAGCGAAUUACAACUGAAUAUUUUCUUUUCUUUCUUUUUUUUUAACAGAGAGCAGGAAAACUCGUUUUUACAUGGAACAUCUUGGUUUAAAAAAAAAAAUUUUCUUUAAAUGGCAUUUCCAAUUUCCCUGAAGUAAUUGGUAACUAUAUAUAUUUUUAUAUAAAUCGCAUUUCUAAAUCUAAAGAAUUUAUUGCCAAAAUACUUUUCUUCCAAAACAUAUAUCCAAAGUAACCUAAUUUUAAAAUUUAUUACCUUUAUGAUCUUUUUUCUGUCACUUAAGCUACAUAUAUGCCACGAUGGAGAUAAAUGCGUCCUUCAUUUCUCCAAUUUUCUCUCUAUACCUUCCUGCAUUUUUUUCUUUGGUUAUCUUUCUCUUGUCAAAUGGAAUUCUAAGAAACUAAUAUUUAUAUUAAUAGUGUCUAAAAAAAUAUGUUUCUCGAGUCGAUAAUCUCAAGGCAAAUGAAAAUUAUUCUCUAGUCUUUUCAACGAGUAGGAAGGAUAACAUAACAAAUAUGACAACCUUGAAGUUUUUGUAAUUGCUUACAAUUUUCGUUGCAAUUUUUGUAUUUUUAAGAUUUAUUUUUUGAAAAAAUAUAUGCAAUAGGUUUGAUACAUUUAAAAAAAAAUCAAAGACCAAUAAUAGCAAGGUCAAUAAUGGUAGAAAUUAUUUUAAGUAAUUAUAAGGAAAUUAUAAAAGUUAUGCAAUCUUCUUGUGCCUUUAUAAUAAAAAAAUUUAAAAUUUUUAGUUUAUGUUGGAAACUAUAAACUACAUUAGAACUUUCCUUUCUUGUUAUCUUAUAUAGCAAUCAAGAUAACUAGAUGUCAAUAAUAACAUCAUUAUGGGAAUAAAUUUUGAAAGUGAAUCACAUUGCGAAUAUUUUUUAGCAAGAGUGUUAUUUUGGCAAAAAACUCAAUUCUAAAACCAAUAAACGUUUGGGUUUUGCAUGACAUGCAGAGAAGAUUACAAAUUGAUUAAAUUACUCAAAGGCAAUUCCUCUUACUUUUACAGCUUUACUAUUGGCCGAAGGCGUGAGGCCUAAUCAAAAGAUUCAAGACUCUUCCCUUUCCUACACGCUAGUGUGACUGAAGUCGUGGUUCCAGGCACUGCUACAGCUCACGGCUCUAAGCUGAUUGCUAGCGUGAUCUGAUGUUGCAUUAUUGGGCCGACAGAAUGGGAGGAAGAAAAUAAAAAGGAUGGACGAGAAGAAAAGAAUGUUUGGGCGAGCCGGGCCGAUUCCAACGAUGGUUUUGAAGCCCGAACUUGGAAUUAGGCCCACAAAAUCAUGUCACAGCAACUCAUUUCAGCCCAAAAUGGGCCCGUUCCAAUCAAUGAUCUUCAACUAGGGUUUCCAGAUUCUAGUUUAAUCGUUAGCAUUUGCUACCACCCAACGUAUCUGUACCAGUUCUCCCGGAUUGACCUCGGUGGCGGCAGGCUGCUGCGGUGGCUUCUCCUCCUACUCCGGCAAGUGCUUCGCCUUUCAUUUUUAGCUUCGGUCGAGCUUUAUUUUGUUUCAAUUUCUUUAUUUUGUUCAAAUGUUCGGCAAUCUUUUAUCAUGCAAUCACUAUUGUUGAAGAAAAAUUAGGGCAACUUUUUGCUGCUGAUUGCUCAUCCUUCUAAGCAUGAUCACCUUAAAAAUCAGAAAAGAUAGCUCCUUUUGUCCCACUUUAUUUAUUUAUGGUCUAGCUUAUUUUGUGGUAGCCUUUAGUUUCUGUGUUCUGCAGGUUAGGAUAAUUGCAGCUGUACAGUCUUAGAAUAGAAGAAAAAUGAAAAAUGAGAGGAUUUCUUUCUUUCUUUUAUGCCUUUUUUGGAAUGUCUUUGUAUAGCUUAUAGAAUGUCAAGUUGAAGACAAAUCAUAGGUUAUCAUGUUGAAAUAGAUUUUAACCAUAACUUGCUGAAGUGUGUUAUAUGGUCUAUAUGUAGUUAUGCUAGUCUUAACUCAACAGAAAUUUGCAUGCCCACGACUGUUAACCACGUAGUUAUCACAAAAGGGAUCUCUGCAAUUUAUACGUCCAGUAACGUCCUAGAUUAAAAAGAUUGCUUUUGUGCUGAUGUUAAAACAGAAAGUGAAAAUGCUUCGACAUUGUGCAUUCUAUUCCGGGCUGAGUUUGGUCAAAACAUGGUGGUUGGCCUUACUAGUUAGUUGGUCACAACAUGCAUCAGAAACCUGGUUUCUUUUUGGAUCAACUCAUCAAAGCCAGGCUAUAUGUUUGCAUUUUAAAGGACUGUGUGAAGUUAAGGUAUCAUAUACUACAAGCGUACUGGCAUGGACAUUAAGCUGCUUCACUUCUUUCUUGUUCAGUGGUUCUACUGAACAUCUUAAACUAUAUUUGUGAUUUGUUGAAUUCUUUCAAUUAGAUGUCAGAUGCAAAUAAUGAGCUCUCUGUGGAUGUCAACGACCUAUCUGAAGCAAGCACUGGAGAAAAACGGAAAAGAGAAGUAAAGUUAAGAUCUAAAGCUUGGGAGCAUUUCACCAAACUCAUAAAGGAGGAUGGAACGUAUGAAAAAUGCCAGUGCAAUCAUUGCAACAAGCUCUUUACAUGUUCGAGUAGAAGUGGGACAACCCAUCUGCUUCGUCACAUAACAGAAGGAAUAUGUCCCGUGUAUAAUAGAGGGAAGAAAGAUAGGCCGCCAACCAUUUUAAAUUAUAUGAGAGGGAGCUCAGAGCCAAGAAAUAACAUGACGUCGUGGAAAUUUAACCAAGGAUUGGACCAGGCUGGGCAUGAAUCUGUUGAUAUGCGGGAUGAGUUGUUAUCAGCGGGUUUAGAAGAUCUUGAACGUCAAACCCGUGAAGUCUUGGAGGAUGAUUAUGUAGGCCAACCGUCACCACCUGUGAGUGUCAAAUAUCCUCAACAAUCUGCUUUAAAACGUCAAUCGAGAGGAGAUUCAUGGAUGACUGAGUUGCGUGCCUGUGUAAGUAAACUUGUUGAUCUCACAACUGAAAGGAUGCCAAACGGUAGUUCCAUCAAAUCUAGUUUAGCUGUUACUGCUCCUGAUUACUCCAUUGCUGCUGCUCUAAGGUGCCUGAAUGAAAUGGAAGAUAUUCCACAAUCCAGCGAAAUGUACCUAGAUGCUUUUGAACUACUCAAGGAUGAUGGUGAGAGAGAGUGUUUUAUAUGUUUGCCAGCAGAACCGCGUAGGAGAUGGCUCCAAAGGAUGUUGCAUCGACGUUAUCCUUUGCGCUACAAUUGUAAUUUUUGAAGGACUUCUGGGUAUAUAUUAGACGUUUACUGAUGACAAUCUUGUCUGAGUUUGUGAAUGAUUUCCAGUAGUAGACUACUAAACUUGGCUUGUUGCUUGAAAUGGAUGGUGUAAGCUCUGGCCCCUGCAUUGGAUGAUAAUGAUUCUUGUGUUAUUGUAGACUUUUGAGUGACAAGCAACGCAUUAUACUCCCAGCUAAUGUUUCCCGUCCAUUUGUUCUCCCUCCCUCCCAAGCAAGCUGCUGAUGUUGUUGAUAUCUGUCUAAUUGUCUUCCUUAUUAUUGUCUUGUGGCUUGAGAGGGAUGAGUAUUCACCUGAUGGGGAAGGUUAAUGACUUGUGAGUAGUGUCUAUUUACUUGUAACAGAGCCAAUUGGGGCUGAUCCAAAAAAUCUAAUUUAUAUCUUGGUUGGAUUGCUAUUUUAGUCUAAAAAAAAAUAUUUAGAACUUUUCGCGAGCAUAUUUUUUAAUUAUUUUUUUACCUCAGAUGUCAUACUUCUAAAUUCUAAUUGUGUUGUGAAAAUAGAAAGUCAUUUUUAAUUUGGGAAAACUUUCAAGAACUUUUCAACUCACACGUGUAAACAAAAGCAACAGAAAGAGAAAUAAAAAAAAGAAGAUAUUUAUGUCAUUUUGUCAAAGUCCAGGGGCAAUCUGAGAAUUCUCGCUCUAUAUAAAUAACAAAACCCUAAACCCUCGUUUCCCCUUCUCAUACCCCUUUCUCCUUAUCUCACUCUCUUCGUUUCCGCUGAGUUGAGGGCUUCUACAGAAAUGGCGACUCGGUUCUUCACUCGGUCGUCUCUACUCACUCCCACCAAACAAACCCUAACUUCCUUCUUCUCUCGGUCCUUCGCUUCACUUUCUCUAUCUAAACCUUCGCAAUCUCUGUCCACUACUGCUUCCUCCUUCUCCCUUCUCCGUCUCCGCCCUCUCGUUGCCGUCGCGAGCAGCCUCCGCAGCAGCACCUCUGUCGCGACUGGCCUUCGAGGUUUUGCGACUCGUCACACAUCGUCGUCUCUCAACGACCCAAACCCUAACUGGUCCAAUCGCCCACCUAAAGAGACGAUUUUGCUUGAUGGAUGUGAUUUUGAACACUGGCUUGUGGUUAUGGAGAAGCCUGAAGGGGAUCCCACCAGAGAUGAGAUCAUCGAUAGCUAUAUCAAAACCCUAGCAGAAGUUGUUGGAAGGUCUGUGACGAGAAUUUUCUGAAUUGAAUUACUUGUUUGUUAAAUUUUUUUUUUUCGUUUAACUGAAGUUAGUAUUAGUUUGUGAGUGUUUGAUAGAUACUCAGUAUUUAUUUUAUUAGUAGAUUUUCGAGAAACUCCUACCUCUAUAUCUAGGUCUGAGAUGUUUAGAUUUUUCAUAACUCCAUAGAUGUAUGUUGACCUAAAGCAUAUACUUCUGUUUUUUUUUUCUCUUUUUUAGCACAAAGUUGCCUCCUAUUAUAUAUUAAAUUAAAUUAAUAUUAAUGAAUUCUCAUAAGCGUCAUUUUAUAUUUAAUAUGAACGACGAGGUCUAUUAUCGCUUUUUGCAUGUCCUCGGAAAUUUAAAGUAGGAGAGUUAUAGCUAUUAGUUUAGGAAAAUUUUUGACUUUAUUGUUUCCGAUGAGCCAUGGACAAUUAAAAGUGAUGUUUUUCGGGAGAAACUAGGAUUGGAAAUGAUUUCGGUUGGUUGUCUUUGUCUAAUUGCUUAAGAUGUUUGGAGAUACUUGACUCUGAAGUUCUGAUGACAUUGAUUGUGAAAUUUUUUCAUCCGAUGGGCAUUUCUGGAGUAUGGAGUUCAAGGGACAUUGACUGAAGGGUGGUGUAGUUCUUACUUGCUGUUUGUAAUGCUAAAUUAGACACAUACUUUUGGGGCUUAUUAUCUUUCUUUUUCCCAGUAACGUGGCCUGUUCUUCUUUACUGUUGUACAAAUUUCUGACGGAUAAUGUGUAUCUGUUUAGCCAUUAAAAAAUUGCAACUAACAUUUAAAAAAUGAGGAACUGCUCUAGAACACUGAUGAUAGUGAAAUUUCUACUAUGUUUUAUGGGAUAAUCCUAGACGAGGUAGCCCUCAUUGAGGAGUGUCCUUGGGUUUGUGCCACAUGGAUUAGUGUGUAGGAGUGCCUAUGCUUUUUGGUGUAUGUGCCACCAACCUAUGUGGUCCAUAGAAUAUCUUGGUCUGUGUGAUUAUCUGAAAAUUCAUUCAAACAAGCCCUUUGUCUGUGUUAGAUACGCUGCUGUUUUUGGGUAUCUGUUUGUGAAUUGAGCAAAUCUACCCUCAUAUGUUAUUUCAGUGAUUGGUACAAUUGGAAAUAAUUGAAUUUUCAAUUGGCUAGCAUUUCGUUUUGGUGGUUAUUUACUUGCACUUGUUGCUACAGUGAGGAGGAAGCAAGGAUGAAGAUCUAUUCAGUCUCCACUAGACACUACUUUGCAUUUGGAGCCCUUGUGUCUGAAGAGCUUUCUUAUAAGCUGAAAGGUAACUGAAUUAUGUGGCUUCUUGUUAAGCUUUGAUGAAUAUGGUAUCCUUAACAAUUUUGUUGCCAAAAUUUGAGAAAGAAUCUAAUUCCUAAGCAUUUUCUUUCUUUUGUUCAUGUGUAGAACUGCCUCGUGUCCGCUGGGUCCUUCCAGAUUCUUACUUGGACGUUAGGAACAAGGAUUAUGGAGGUACUAGUGUCUGUGUUUGGUUGCUGAGCCAUUUGAAUCUUCAACAGUGAAACUUUGUUCUUUUGGCAGUUUGGUUGAUUAUUAUGUUAUUGAAUUAACUGACUUGUGAGGGAAUGAUUUUCUUUUCUAUUUUCUUUUCUUAAACUAUUUUCUUAUCUGGUUUCUUUUAAUUUUACCUUUUACAUUUACUAGUAGUUUGGAAAACAAUUAUUUGAAGUGACUGCUAUACUUAGACUUUCUCUGCUAGUUGGUUUGAUCUAUUCAAGAGUUACUUCCCUAUGAUUACUUUUGGCAUGCAUGGUUCGAUCUAUUCAAGUUAUAUAUGUGCUUUUCUUCUAGUGUUAUUUGCAAAUUUAGUUCCUUGUGACAGCAAGUUUGCUCCAGCUGUUCGAUACCGCUAUGCUGUGAUGUGACAAUUCAGCAGUCCCAACUUGUUUUCUUGGUUUCUAUUUCAUUUCACCUACAUAUGUUCUGCUACUAUGAUUUUGAUGAUUUGUGAGUUUGGGAUGCUUUGCUCUUCUGAUUCAAGCUUGCUUGCUUGGUUUCUGAUAGAUAAACAUAUUUUUAACCAUUUACCAUCCAACUGCUAUGAUGCUCGGACUCAUUCAGCAUCUGCAUGAUCUGUUACCUUGUCCAUUCAUGCGGCAUCCUGGUUUGCCUGUUACAUUAAUGUUUACCUGUUUAUAAUGUUAGACUGCCAAUGCUACUGGAUAUUGCAGGGGAACCUUUCAUUAAUGGUCAGGCUGUUCCAUAUGACCCCAAGUAUCAUGAGGAGUGGGUGAGAAACAAUGCUAGGGCAAAUGAGCGAAAUAGACGCAAUGACAGACCACGCAACCAUGACCGUAGCAGAAACUUUGAGAGAAGAAACAUGGGCCAAGGGGGGCCUGGAGGGCCUAGGAACUUUGGUCCCACCAAUACAGGGGACAUACCCCCCAAUAACAUGGGAGGUGGUGCCCCCAAUAGGGGUGGCAUGCCACCCAACAACCUUGGUGGCAUGCCAUCCAAUAACAUGGGAGGACAACAAGCACCGGGCUGCAUGGGACAGCAACCGUCAAACUACAACAUGGGACAACAGCCACCAAACUACAACAUGGGACAACAGCCACCACAUUAUGGGGGACAACAGCCACCAAACUAUGGGGGACAACAGCCCCCAUCAAGCUAUAUGGGCGGAAAUCAGCACAACAUGGGAGGUGUGCCCAACAAUGCACAAAAUUUCCAGUAUGAGAAUGCACCGAAGAGUGGAGGAGCACCUUAUCAACCUGGUCCUGGGCCGAAUCAGAACAAUUAUGCACCAAACGUGGCUGGUGGAAAUCCUUACCAGAACCAGAACAUGCCUGGAAGGGAUAUUCCACCACCUCAAAACUAUCAAUAGGCAGACUCUGGAUGUAAAUGAAAUUUGUUAUCUAUAGGAUUUUGUCUUGAAAGCCUAAGCUUAUAUGGUAACCAGUGAGAUGAUGUUUAGUUUGGUGAUAAUGUUUGUUUUUGGUUGAAUGGAAAUGGUUUAACAGUUGGGAGGAGAAUGGCAAGAAUAUUUUGCUCCUGCUGCCUUGAAUGUGAUGUACAAUUGGUAUAUCAUUGGCAGGCAACUUACCCGAACCUGUAUUUUUCAUGUCCGUGGGAGCUCAGGUGAAACUUGUUAGCCUAUCAUGCUUGUUUAACCAAUACUAGUUUCUCAUCAUGAUCUGAUAUUCGAAAUACAGCGCAAAAUGUUACUGUGUGUGAAGCGCUAAGCUAUCUGCAUACUUGUCCAACAUGGCUUACCAGCUGUUCACGAGAGUUCUGUAUAUCAAUGGAGAGGUUACUGGUGGAGUGAGGAUGUUAAACCAGUGACGUGUCCAUGUCUCCUCUAUCUUAGGUUACAUUAAAAGUUAUUUAAAAGAGAGUUAAACAUUGACAAUGGAAAUGAGUUCCCCUUCUUUGUCGAUUUCUUUACCACCUUAAUUCAUUAAUUUAACUGCUCGCAGUUCCUGCUUCUCUGAGAAAUAUGGAGAAAAAUAGGGAGAGCGGCGGGAACAAAUCAAAUGGAGCAAAAAUAGGGACAUGGGAAUGAGUCAGGCAGGAAUAUAACGCACUCUAACCCCUAAUUCAGAAUGAGAAUCGUCGGUUACAAAGCAGAAUUCUAAAAGAUUACAGUAAUCUAUUUCAUUUUCAAGUUCACUUAUUGGAGAAUGACAACAUUCAUAUAUUGAGCUAAAGAUCAUAUUUAUAAUGCGUAAAAGUGCUCCAUUCUCAUUGACGGAUUAGGAUCUUAGUUUACUCUACCAACCCUCUGUUUUGGUCUGUAACCAGGAAUUAUUUUCGGAGUUGUCUUGAGUUGCAGAUUCAGCUCUUUUGAUUUUGGCUAGACGGAUUUGAUCCGCUAGAGAGACUUGGUGUUGUUCUGUUCUUGUGAACAAUGCGUCCAACUUUCCUACAUCCACGUUCUUCCAGGUUCGUUGGUGAUGACUGCUGACAUGACUGAUAGCAGGUUUCAGUUUGUGGAUCUGAAAACAGCCAAAACAACCUCUAUGAACCACUACACUGAUAACACGAUCUAAGAUUUGAAACAAAAAGAAAAAGAGUACAGACAACAGCAUCCAGUUCUGACUGAAAUUUGAUACAACCCAACUAGAGAGUUCAUCAUAGGUAACUCCAAAGCAUGGGUCCUCUUCAAAGGAAACAAAUCAGUACAAAUAAUCUGCUCCUAAACGCAACAUAUGUACUAAAUUAUGAACCCCUCAUUUAAAUUCUUCUAAACAGCAAAAUGUAUCAGUAACUAAAACAUCAGCACCGUAAGAAGGCAUAGAGUGGUGUCCUUUUCAAAACCUAAAGUGCAAACGAAUUGUCAUUUAUUUUUAGCAAAUUCAUGUCUAGAGAACAAAAUUAAAACUAUAUCUAGCUUCAUUCACGUGGGGUUUCAAAGGUUUGUACCUUCGUCAGUUUUGCCUUCAAUUUAGAUUCUUGAUUGGCAGCAACUUCUUCUCUCUCUUCCUUUGACCUUUUCCUUUUUCUAACUUUUGCCUUCUGCGCUAGUUCCUUUUUCCUUUGAGCAAGUAUUUUCUUUCUUUCAUCUCUUUCCUUUGCUGCUCUUUCUGCUAGUACAUGUGCCAUUUCCUUUUCCUUUGCCAUUUGUGCUGCACGCUCAAGAUGUUGGACAGCUAUUGCUCUUUUCAUCUUCUCGUAGCUAUCCCAAUCUAGUUCUUGUUGGUCACUACCCCCUGUCUUAGCAACUCUAGCAAUGUUUUCAGCCCAUAACUGCAAAAGUUUUUCCUCUGACCUUUUCCAUUUCAAACGUUGUCCCCACAGCUUCUGCAGUGACCUGCUUAUUCUUGUCUUAGUCCGAUUACUGCAAAACAGAAUAACACUUUAGUUGUAAAUCUCCCAAGCUCAAGAGUCUUAAGUGUCAAUGUUGAACAUGGUAUGUCAAGCAUCCAUGCAAUGGUACAAACAGUUAGAGAGCUCAUGCUGUGUAUGAAAAGGGUGAAUUUUGGGGUCAAAUACAAGGAAAAACAGGGUAAUUGAAAAAUGGAGAAACAAAGUAUUUGUGAUGUGAAUGAUGCAUCUCAAUUCAAAAGGUCUAAGUUAUGAAAUAUCUUGGCAGUGGAUCUUACAUAAAAUUGUAGGCACUAGAACACGUUAAGCUGAAUAUAAAUCAUGCAAAGUUGCACCAUACAUUCAAUUAGUUCUCUUCGGUGAGUCAACUGCAGCUAUAGGCCAUUCACAAUCUUUCUAUGGCAGGUUCUAGCUCUUAUAUGUAGCCCCAUGUUAAAUUAAGAAGGAAGUUUGUCAACCACCGGAUAACAAAAGAAUUACAUCUUUAAUCCAGUCAAAGACAAGAAAGCACAAUACUGAUGCCUAAUGACUAUUCACCUGAAGUAGUGUUCCAGGAUUUUAGCAGCUCCUGACUAUAUUGGACUACAAGUUUGGGAAUAAUGCACAACAAAUUUCAUACUUGUAUAAUCUGCAUUUUAAAUUUAAAGAAGAGAAAAAAAAAGCAAAUAUACUGCAUAAGUAUCAAAAAAGCAAAUUGACUAUUUAGAGAGAGAGAGAAAACAGAAAGUACCUAUGCGAGCGAGGGCAUUCAGACAUCUUCGCUCUUACCUGAUAAUUUUUACAGAGUAGGAAAAUGUUACAGAAAAUUAUAGCAGUAAAAGAAAGUGGUUUCACGGACCUUUGCUGCUAAUAAUAUACGGGAAGAGUUAGUGCAAAAUGUAACAGUAUGACCAGAGGAGCAGCCAUCUGAUGUCAAACACAUACUUUAUUGGCAGACUGUAAUCAUGAAGUAAUAAAUAUUUUCUAAAUUAGUAGGUUCUUACAUGACUUCACCUUGGGAUCUCUCAAGGCUUCUUUUGUCCUUCGGCUGAUUAUCUCCCGUGUCUCUGCAUAUGUAGUAAGAGAAUUUAGAGUGACAAAAGCUUGAAGGAGAAAUAUUUCUAAUGCUGUCAAGGAGUUAAACAUGGUACCUUCACUGUGUUUUCUGCCUUUGUUCCAUGGGACUUUUCCUUUAUUUGCUAGUCCAAUCCUUUUUCUUCUUUGCAUUUCCCUUUCGUUCUCAGAGUUAGAAUUCUUUGCCAGAUUGGAAAGAUUAUCCUGUCGAGUAUCUUCAGUUAAAGGUUGGUCCUUUAAUAAACUAGAACAGUUUUUUUGACAAGAAUCCACAACGUGAAAUGUCUCCGCGAUACUAAUGCUGGCCGGAAAACUUCUACAAUGAUAAGGCACCAAGCACGAACUAACACAGGUAACCAAGGAAGAGACCUUCUUCACACGAGACACACCAACAAUCAACACUGUUGUGCUUGAUCGUGCUCGUAUGUGUUCAACUGCAUAACCAGAAUUUGGUACUAGUAGACUGUUGUCCUUGUGAAUAGGAGGGGAGAGCUUCCUGAGAGCAAUGUUGUGUCACUAAUAAACUAAACAUUCAUCAGGGCACAAAUUUUCUCUAUCUGGCUACGUCAUAACAUAAAUGACAGUACAGAAACAAGUGACGAGAAAAGCUUUAUUAGCAAGUUCAGAUGGGAAACGAAUCUUUUGACAAUUUAAGCUUCAUAUCAACCAAUAUUCAGCGCCACCAAGACCUACUUUUUAUUUUCCCAAGUAAAUGUCCCUAAUUAUCUGAAUAAACACAAAACAGGGAAAAGGUUGUAUUCAACUACUUACAUCCUAUUUAAUACCGUCACCACACAUGCUAGUAUGUUAGCCAUAAUCUUCAAGCAGAAAAGCAAAUUUCCAAACUGGUUUUCCAAUAUUUUCUGCAUUUGUAUAAAUAGGUAUCAGUAAUUGCACUAAAACCAUCCAUACCACUCUAUUUUGCCGGGGAAAAGAGCACAUAAAAUCUACUUGGAGUUCUAUAACUUGAAAUGCACAAUGUGGGAUUAAAUUAGCAAGCAAAUUCUGGAAAGUGGAGGAAACAUGACAGGAGAUCAUGAAAGAUUGCAACUUGGGGAGCUAAAUUGCAAAAACCCACAUCAAGAAUUUGACAGAAAAUACAGAGGCAAGUGAUGGGGAGCCUUACCAGGGAGACAAGAGCAUUGCAGUAAAGAAAAUGUACUACGAAUAGUUAUCUUAUUGAAUAGCCCCCAGAAUUCCAAAAGCAAUCGUCAGAUGGAGGAGGGGAGAACUGGCAGUGGUUGAGUGAACAGUUUAGAUGCUCGAUGCAAGCAAUGAGGAAAAUCCUACGAUUGUCUUACACGCGCACCACGUAGCGGGUGUUGGAAAUCAUUAUCUAAUUUUUACACGCAAGCAUGACAAUUGCCCUUGUUUUUGCCCUUUUUAACCUGUGUGUGUGUGUAACAUUUCAUGCAUUUUGGGUCGCUAGUUGUAGCUUUAUCUGCUAAGCAACAUGAACAACCCAUCGGCUGAAAAAUCUUAAUCCAGAAUUUCGUCUUCCAACAAGCCCAGCCCAACCCAAUUCAAUUGGAUUCUUCUCCGCCGCUCCACGUCAUCUUCGAUCCGUAUAAAUGGAAACGCCCGUCUAAUUUCCACUUCAAUUCUCGGUCCUGACUCUGUCUAGGAUUAGGGUUUUAACAUCUCCUUUUUUUCACUUUCCCUUCCUAUUACAUCAGCAAUGGAUCCGAUUAAGAAGAGGAAGCUCGAUGAAAACGGCGUUCUAUUACACGAUCCAGACGGCGCCGUCGCCGCAGGAAUGGUACCUUUCAAGCUUUCCGUCGAAGACGCGCGUAAAAUCCUCGAACCCUUUUCCCGCGAACAGCUACUUGAGAUCGUCCAAUCAGCCAUCCUUCACCACGUGGACGUUCUCGACCUAGUACGAUCCAUCGCCGACCGGGACCCAGCACAGAGGAAGCUCUUCAUCCGCGGCCUUGGUUGGGAAACCACGACGGACAAGCUGCGAGCUCUCUUCUCCCAAUACGGUGAUCUCGAAGAAGCUGUUGUAAUUCUCGACAAAGUCACUGGAAAAUCCAAAGGUUAUGGCUUUAUCACUUUCAAGCAUAUUGAUGGGGCUAUGGCAGCUCUUAAGGAACCUAGUAAGAAAAUUGAUGGUCGGAUGACGGUUACUCAGCUAGCGGCUGCUGGUGUGUCUGGUGGGCCGGGUGGCGGAGGGGGGAAUAAUCAGGUGGAUGUUUCGGAUAGGAAGAUUUAUGUGGCAAAUGUACCUUAUGAUAUGCCGGCUGAGAGGCUAUUAGCUCAUUUUUCCAUGUAUGGCGAAAUAGAAGAGGGACCAUUAGGCUUUGAUAAGGCAACGGGGAAAUCGAGAGGGUUUGCUUUAUUUGUGUAUAAAACUGCCAAUGCUGCGAGGGCGUCUUUGGUGGAUUCUGUAAAGAAUAUAGAUGGGCAUCAGUUGAACUGUAAACUUGCUAUUGAUGGGAAGAAGAAGCCAGGUCCUGGAGGGCCUCAGGGUGGUAAUGAAGGGAACAAUGAUGGUAUUGGGGUGGGGAUGCCUGGUGGGAUUGCUGCGCAAUAUGGUGGGCACGGUGGAGUUGGUGGUGUUACUGGAUAUAGUGGAUUUUCUGUGCCUUCUGUGGGUGGGAAUCAAUUGAAUUCGUCAUUAGGUAGUGGUGGUGGCGGCGUUGGUGUUGGUGGUCCAGGGAUGCCCGGUAUUGGCAGCCAAGGGAUGGGGUCUAAUUUAGGUGUUAGUGGUGGACUUGGUCCUUAUGGUGGCGGGACGCAUUACGGUGGGCCUGGUUCUACUGGAUAUGGUGGGUUGGGUGGAGCUGGUGGAGGAUUGAGUGGUGUUGGGAGUGGAGUUGGCGGUGCUGGUCGUGGUUCUUUUUAUGGAUUGCCACCAAGCUCAGGUGGUAUGCCAACUGGAGAUUAUCAACAGGGGGCACACUAUGGCUUAUCUUCGUCUGGAUAUCAAAGCCAGCAUCAUCAGACAGCAGGAACCUCACCAGCUCCCAGAGUUCCAACUGGGGGAAUCUACCAAGGGGUGCCUCCUUAUUAUUGAGGUAGAUUUUCUAAUUUAUUCAAAUAUUGCAUCAUUUUUUGAACAAAUGUGUCACUCCUUUCUACCUACAUUCUGCUGGUUCACCGUUCUCUCGUUGUACUCUCUUUUUGUGGUUUGUUUUAGGGAUUCUUGUCAAUUUUGGUGAUUGUUUAACCAUUCAUCACGUGAUCUGGAGUGAAUAUGUUCUAUUGUAUUUUUUUAGUUGGAGUUAUAACUUGUUUGACAGUGAAUUCUUUCAUGGAUUUCUGCAUGAUUUGGGAGGUUGCAUGUUUUUGGUUUUGUUAUGGUGUUCAUUAAUAUGUCUGGUCAGUACCAUGCAUUUUUUGUUUUGUUUCAUUUUUUAUUACACUGUCCCAUUUUCAUACUUGUAUGUGAUGAACUGGUGCUUCAUACAAAGUGCAUCAUGGAUGGUUUAGUGCUUAUCGUUGUGUUUGUUGUUACCUUUCUUCCCCACUCUGUAUUAUUUGAACUUAUUGCUGAAUGAUACAUCGUAGAAGACUUUCCUAUAAUAAUUUCCAGAAUUAAGAAAGUGUUACCUCUGAGUUCUACCAGCUUUUUCUUUGCAUGCUGAGUUAAUAUCGUACGCCAAUGUGCCUUAAAAGAUUUCAUUUUUUUUGAAUUUUGAGAAACUUGUUACCAUUUGAAUUGGUUGCAUGGUUCAAUUUGUUUCGGAUAAUAGUUGGAAGUAAUUGGUGGAGAUAUGUUUUUUUCAUGUAGUGUAAAUGAGUCAGAAUUGAUGAUUGCAAUGUGCCGCAUUAGUAAGAAUAACAGUAUUGCUCUAUCUUUGCGUAACAUAGACCAUAUUUACGGGGGUUGACCUGUUUAUGUGCUUUUGUUCAUCCUGAUCGUUUUUGUUAUGUAAUUUUGGAGUUAGCCUCUGAUUUGGUCCUCAUGCUUGUGGGUUCAUUUAGCGAUCCUCUUUUGUUAGUCUACGCAGCCAGAAAGUCUUCUUUUGUUGUAGUCUGUUGUAUUUUUCUUUGUGCUGGUUCAUAUGAAGUCAUACAUCCUAUGAGAUGUUUUAUUUAUCUACUAUUCUAAAUUAAUGGGCAAGUUCUUUUUUGGAGGCUUCUGCUUCAUUUUUCUUAUGCACCAUCUACGGAUGAGAAUUAUGCUUUUACAACAUUUGGAUUGUAAACUAAAGAAAGGGGUAAUCGACAGUAAAUCUUCAAAUUCUCUUCCUGGUUCGACCUGUGUUUGAUAUGUAUUUUAUGUGCAUCUACUUUGAUCACAUGAACCUAUGCUAUUCAUGUGAAUCUUCAAUAAUGCAUGAUUUACAUAUUUUUAACCUUCGUUCUCUUUGUAACAACAGCAGUAGUUUUUCUCACCUUUAUUGUCGUAUUCUAGAAAUUAUAAUUCCUUUUUUAUUUUUCCUUCUUGCGCUUGGUUGUUGGUUGUCUGAAUUUUGUCACUACUCAUUGUUGUUUUGCUCUGUGACAAGACCCUUUUUUUUGGGUGUAUCAUCUCUAGUGUUGGAGAGAAUUAUGGUGCGUUUGGUUACUUCUAUAUUGUCAUGGUGCUGCUGCUUCUUGGCUUAAAUUCUUGCCUUUUCUUUCUUGAGUUUUUAUGAUGUUUGAGCUUUGUUUUGCAAGGUGUAUGUGGAUUGACAUUUUAAGUUGUGAAUGGAUGUUUGGUUCAGGUGUGUGAAAGCUUGUUGGCGCAGUUGCUUUUUAUGGUUCUGGUGAUUUCGUGCAGACAAUAUGAACUCUGGCUUCAUGAUUUUGAUUUGCUGUGUAGUUUGGCUCUUCGAUACAUCUGCGCUUCAUGAUGUCAUCAAGUGAAAUGCUAGUAAUCUAAGUGACUGAGUUUUUUGUAUUUCUGAUCUAGAGCUUCUAUGCAAUUUGAGUCUGUACGAACUUAUUUAGAUUGCUAUGUGUUUUUAGGGAAAAAGAUAUGAAUUGGACUGACUUUAGUUGUUUGUUUUGCUGCUGGUGCAGCUGACUUUUGCUUAUGGCAUUUGACUUUAAUUGGUUCUGAUCUGUCUUUGGAGCAUCUGCCAUAUUUUUAGAUGCUAUGUUAUUUUUUAUGUGUUUGUUUGCCUUUUUUGGUUUCCUUGUGUAGUAUUCUGUCAAUUAGACAUUGCAUUUACAGUUGUCACCUUCCAGGCGUAAUCUAGAAUCCACCACAAAUACAAAUCCUUGAUAAUUUUCUUUGAAGUGAGUUAGAGUGUGCAUUAGGUGAAUUAGACUAAAAGAGCAUUUUUUUGGUUUCUCUCUUUGGGGCAAAAAGAAUGGAGGAAAUGAAAACAGAGGCACGAUAAGGAAAAUUGUCUACAUUAAAUUUUGAAAAUUUCAGUUGGAAGCUAAAUGUUAGGUAAGUGAAUUAUCUUCAUCUAGUGAAAAAACAUACAAUUAUGUGUUGCACUUGGAAAGACAACCAUUUAUGUGUUGCACUGACAUUUGAACUCUGAUUGCUUGACGGUAUCAUUUAUCGUGGAAAAAUUGGAUGAAAGUUUUCUUGUUAAUCAGGUAUUUUUUGCACUCCGAUUCUUGUGGAAAAUUCUUGUAGUUCUUGAGUUGUGUCUUCUUGGAGUGGUCAACCAACCCCUGAUUGGCUUGUCCUACGUCUCAACACGAGUAUAAAUCAUGCAGUGUUCUAGCAAGCUAGUCAAAUUGAAUUGUUACCAUUGGACACAAUAUUUUGCUAAUAGUUUUUGUUUUCUAUAUACAAUUUAGGCAUCAGAAGAUAUUUCUGUGAGUAGAUUUUGUGGCUUAGCCUGAGCACCGAUGCAUCUUUUUGAUGCUUUAGCACGAGAGGUGGUGUAUCUUAAUGCCUGGCCUUAAGAAUUUGCUUUCUUAAUCGGGCUAUUUAUUCUUCGAUUCUGAAGAAUUUUGGAUUUUUAGUAAAUAAACUAUGGUCUAAUUGUUAUGUGUUCCUGUUGACUUGUUUUUAGAAAUUGAAGUGGCGCAUGUAGGUAUUUUGUUUUACUGAAGUUCUGCUCUCUCAUCUGUCUCCUUCAAUGGAACCUUAAGCUCUUAGUCUUAUGUUCUUUUGGUGAAAUGUGUUGGUUGGUAUGCAUUCUCUGUUUUAGAAAAUUUUCUAUUGAAAGCGGAUGAGAUUGAACUGGUAAUCAUUUGGAGAAGUUCUUUAGAUGCCCAAGUUGGAAAGAAGAUGACACAUCAGCAAACCUGUUUGGUAAGCCAAUAGUCGUAUGUAGACUUUAUCUAAGACCGAGAACUCAUAUCUAUAUGGCAGAAACUGCUGGAAAAAUGAUCAACAAAAAUCAGAACAGGAAGAGCAAAGAGAAAGCAGAGAAAAUUUGAGAUUGAUAAUAAGAAUGAAUUAGAAAUUUUAGAGUCACUUCUUUGUCCAUUAGUCAUUUUAUCACACUAACCCUAAAAAGACGUCAAAUCUGCAGGAAUUCAAGAGAGUAAUAAAUAUUUGCACCCUGUCAUUUGUCUUUAGGUUGACUGGUUUGUGAUUCCAUUUGUGGCCAAAACUCUCCUCCCUAGUUUCCAGUGACAUCAAUAAUGGACAUGUCAGAGGGUACAUUAUAGUCUUUUCAGUUUGUGAGCCUUGUAGUUCGGUCUAGUGCCUUUUUUGGGUGAACGGGGAAUUCUGCCAUGUUGCUUUAUUUGUUGAUUUACUCUCAUGACAGUGUUCCUAUGACUGAAUCGUCAAUUGUCCGGAGUGUGCUACUCCCUUCUUGAUGACUUGAUGAUGCCGUUGUCUAUAAUAAUAAGCUGUAAAUGUCCUUCGGAAUCACCCUUUGGUCAUAUAACUGACUUGGGGUGGCUAACAAUGGCUAAUGCUAUAUUGGCCCCAUCUGGGUAUGUUUGAAAUUGCCAUCCUAUAAGGUUCAGAAGUCCCUUUCCUCUUUGAGAUUGUGAAACAGUGUCCGCAUAAAUCUGCUGGAGCAAUCAAGGUUGCGGCAACUUGCCAAUCAUCUGGGCGACAGACAUGUUUGCCCGAAGAAAACAUACUAUCACAUCAUGGGGCGGUUAUAGAGGAAGUCUGGUUGAAUGUAAUGUACAUUUCGAUAAAUUCUUGGGCGGAUGUAAUCUGUUACCAUGUAUGAAAAUGUUCCCAGAUUGUUGCCUCUUUGGAAUAUCUUCCAGUCGAUUGUACGGAUGUUGAAUUUUUGUGUGGUCGCAUCAUGUUUUGAUUGAAGAAAUAAAGGAGCAGCAGAAGCAGCAAUGCUGUUAACUGGAUGGAUGACUAGAAAGGCUCCUUCCUAAUGAUGCGGGAUAAAAGUUCUCCAGUUGGAUAAGAGAGGAAGUGGGGAUAAAGAGGGCUGUGUAAAAAUUAAAUCACGGUAGUGUCGUGCAGGUCAUGACAAAAGGUUAAAGCAUGAUGCUACGUUACAUUAUAAACAAAAUAGCAAAAAAAAAUUGACAAUAUGUUUAAAUUAUUGUUCAACGCUGCAUUAUUUAUCAUUAUUUAAAUUAACAUUAACAUUAAAAAUUUCAAAAAUAUGACUUAGGCAAAUUUUAUUAGUAUUUUAAUAGCAUGUUUGAUUAUCAUCUAAAUUUAUAAAGUUAACAUAGUAUUGCAUAUUAAAUUUUUGACAAUUCUGGUUUAUAAUAGGAUUUUAGUAAUGGAGUUUUCAGUAAUACGGUUUAAGGAUUUUGAUUUUAAGAUUACGGUUAAAGGGUUUAUGUUUAUAUUAAGGGUUACAUUGUGAGUAUCUGGAAAUUAGGAUUUCAUGGUAGGUAAAACGUUAAACUCUAAACCUUAAUUAAAAAAAAAAAGGUUGCGUUAUAUGAAAAAAAAAAAAGCUUCCUUGCUGGUUAGUUUUAUUAAAAAAAAAAAAAAAGAAUCUAUCGAUACUCAGGAGUGGCGAUACAAAAAAAAAAAAUUGCCACUCAUUUGAUGAGUGGCGAUGAAAAAAAAAAAAAAGAAGAAAAACCUUUCAUGAGCGGCGAAGCUUUUGCAAAAAAUAAAAAAAAAAAGAAAACUAAAGCAAUCAAAAAUAAAUGAAAAUUAAAAGCAUUUUUAUUGGAAAUCUCACCCACCCUCAAACAGCACCAAUUUUGUGACAAUUUUUAUUUUUGACAAUAUUGCAAGAAAUUCGCGGUGGUAUAAAAAUAAUACUACAGUUUUUAAAAUAUAAACCCAUAAAUCCUAGAAUACGCUUUUUCGUUUACACACUACUGAAAUGGGUUUUGGUCUUGGGUUAAGCUGAAACAUACCGCUCGUUUAUAGGAGAAUGAAAGUAUUUUAAAUUAAGGUCGAGUGUCCUUAAUAUCUAGUAGAUUCAGGAGGAUACCGCUCGUUUAUAGGAUAUGAUCUGAUCAGUACUACUUGACGGGCUAUGGCACUUAACCGGCAAGCGUUUUAACAGCAGUUCUCGUGAUUUCUGAAUCAGUAGUGUCAGUUCCACCGAAAAUAAAAUGCCCUCGCUGGCCUCCUGAGCGAAGAACGGCAACCAGAUAGGUUCGAAUUUGCAAAAAACUUGGAGACCAAGAAUACCCCCCCGCCCCAACCCCGGCUCCAGAACCUGCCAAUUUCACCAUAUACUACGAGCACAUUAGUCGUCCCAAUUCGGCCAUCUACUCCAUCCAUGGUUUUACGUUUCCACUGUCAGUAAUACACACACCUCAGGCAGGCUGAAGUGAACUUGUCCAUUUUCUCACAAAGAUCAACACUUGAUUUCUGAUUUCUUACUGUCCUUCGGCAAACUGCAAAAAAUGAACCAAAUCAAGGUUUCCAAGGGUUUAGACUCUGAAAGAAAGAGAAUAUUCUCUUCUAAGCUCAAGCUCUCCAAUGGCUGCUCUUCCGUCACUCCACCCACUCCUCCUAGGGUCAAUCUUGAGUCAUUUUCCCUGCACCGACUCCAUCAGAUGCAUUCCACCGUUACCGCUAACCCAAAUCCUGAUGAUCUCAAGGAAACCAGAAAACUUGAAGCUUCAUUGAACGUCGAAAACCAAGAAAAACAAAUCCUUCACAACAUUUUGCACUCCUUCACGAAAUCCCGAUUAGUUGAAAUCCUUCAGGAAGCUGCCGUUGCCCACCCCGCCAUUCUCCAUGCCGUUCUUUCCAUCGUUGAUGACAACCCAUCCCACCGCAAGAUCUUUAUCAGAAAUCUUGGCCCUAAAACCACCCCUGAAAAUCUCCACAGCUUCUUCUCAAAUUACGGAGAAGUUGAAGAAGCUAAAGUCAUCUUUGACAGGACCACUGGAUAUAGUAAGGGCUAUGGUUUUGUUACUUUCAAGAAUGCCGAGUCUUUCUUGCUUGCCCUGGAAAACCCCAGCAAGAAAAUUGAUGGAUUCGUCAGUUUUACCAGCAUUUGCGUUGGGCCCGAUCAUUCAUCAGGGAAGACUGAUGAUAGUAGUAUCAGUAGCGAUGAGAUGGAGAAAAUGAGAAUGAAAAGGAAAAUUCGGGUGGAGAAUGUGCCAGCCGAGAUGAGUUCUGAGACUCUGUUGAGUUUUUUUGAGAAGUACGGUGAAAUUGAAGAAGGGCCUUGGGGGUUUGAUAUGGGGACAGGGAAAUCAAGAGGGUUCGCUUAUCUUUUGUAUAAGAAUGAGGAAAGUGCAAAAGCUGCUUUGGCUGAGAGGGUGAAAUUUGUCGAUGGUUUCCGGCUGGUUUGCAAAAUGGUGUUGAGGCGGGAAAGGGAGAGAAGUAAUACUAAUAGGAACCCAACGGGUUUAGUGGAGUCACUGCCUUCGCCUCCGAGAACUUUGGUUUUGCCUGUUUCCUAUUACUAUUGUUGUGUCUAUUAUUCUCGUCGAUUGGUUCCCUACAAUUAUUACUAUCAGAAUGAGCUUGCUAUGGGCGGCAGCAGCGGACAAUUGGGGCCUGGGACUCGAGGGCAAUCAUCAUCAGCUUUACGUCCUCCUGCUCCUUCUGGUAGAUAGAGUCCGUGCUGCAGAUUUUGAAGGACUAAAAUGUUGAGGCUGGUUUGUUGUUGUCAAUCUUGUACAGCAGAAUGAGUUGAGAGCACUGUUUCUAAUCUUUACUUGGUGACAGCGUUAAAGAUGUGAUUAAGAGAUAGUAGUAGUAGUAUAUUAGUAUUAGCUAUUGACAUUUUAAGGAGGAAGAGGUACACAACCAGGUUAUUUUGGAUUUUGUAGUAGGUUGAAGCACUGGAUAGCCCUCUUUUUUUUACCUUUGUUUAGCAUUGAGGGUAUGUAUUGCUUAAGAGAUAGCAUGCACAAAUGAGAGGGAUUUUUUUUUCCCUGGCUUAAAAUCCUUGUUCAAUAUUAUUUCAUUAAGUAAGAGUGUGUGUGUGUGUAUAUAUAUAUAUAUAUAUAUAUAUAUAUAUAUAUAUAACUAUAUAUAUACACACACAUACACACAUAUGUGUUGGCCUAGUAAGGUUUUACAAAGGGAGAUAUACUGCGUUUAAAUGAUAAUUGGAUCAAGUAUAUCUUCUACUUGUGUUGUUCUUGUUCUCGUAUUAUAUGUUGUACAUGCAUCCUGGUUUCUCUGCAUUAAUUGUUAGCUUGGAGGAUGACAAAAGAGACAAAAAAUAUAGGAGCAAAUGCGAGGAGGAAAUGUCACCAGAAUGUGUAAUGGAAGACAGGGUAUGAUAAAUUGUAGCUACGACUUGUAUCAUUGAAAGGCAGACUGAUUAAAGAAAGAGAGGAAAUCUAAAACUUAUUUUCUUUCUCUAUCUUCAAAUUUCCAAACAUGAUUUGUUGCAACUUAUGCAAAAAUCACACCUAAUUUAGAUGAAUUAUAGACAUCACAUCAGCUAGUCAAAUCUAUUGGAUUCGUGAUGGAAAGUUGGCCUUCUUUGGAUCGUGACUUUUUGUAAAAAAAAAGUUUUUUUUUUGUUUUCGGUGAACACAUAUUUUUACUAGGUUUUCUGUGAAGGGAAAAAAUUAAGAAUAACAUGAAGGAAAAAUAUUAGAAAGAUGAAAAAUAAUCUAGAAGACAAAAAAAAAAAAAAAAAAAGGCAGGGUAGGUCCUUAGCCUCUGCUUGACCCAAAUUAAAGGUCAAAAGAACAUUCCCAAAGGCCAAAAGCAAAUUCAAAAAAAAAAAAAGAAAAAAGAAAGAGUCCAGUCUACCCCUAUAUGGUAUAUAUAUACCACGACAAGGUAAUUAAAAGCAAAGGAAAACAGCAAAAGCCUAAUCCAAUAGAGUAUCAAUUUCCAGUUCCAAAUGAUUAGACUGAUUAACCUAUUGAGGAAUUGAUAAUGACCCUCUAAAACCUACAUUCAUAUCUAAAGAAUUUUAUCCUUUUGCAACUUGUUCCUAUCAUAUUCGCCUUUAUGUUACUACUUAUUUCCCAUAAAUAUUUUGGCAUCAUAAAAAUUCUUUUUUUUAAAAAAAAAAAAUCUUAGCUGACUCCAUCUGAUAAAUAUAUGGUUAAUUUAGAGAUUAGUAGUUGCUAAAUUGAUUCAAAUCACUCCUACUCAAUAAUUCAUUGGGCCACAAUAAACUUACCACCCACCCCCCCCAUACCCAAAAAAAAAAAAGGGAGCCUUUUGACCAGAACUAAAAAUGGAAACGAAAUAUACAAUGGUGAAUAUCAGUACAAAUAAUUGAUACGCCGGCAGCCCAAAAAGUCCCCUAUUUUAUUAUUAUUUUUUUGUCAGAACAAAAAGUCCCCUAUUAACUUCUCAGCUUUGUCCCUCAAGCUCUCCUGCCCAACAAACAAAGCAACUCCGCCUCCCCCCACCAUCAUCAUCGUCAUCGUCGUCGUCUCUCAGCUUAUCAUCAUAACCACCCGCCGACCGGCAGCCGCCUCGGUAGCCGGUAAGUUUUAGAAUAUCUAGAAUGUCUUCAGAGUUAUAAUACUAUUCCUAUGAAAGUUGUAUAUGUAUGUCCGCCUGGCUGCUGAUCGUGUGUGCUAGUAUAUAGGUUGAUCAAAAGCUUAAUUUAGCUGAAAAUAAACAUAAAAUAAAGUAAAUUCUGGGUUCUAAAAGCUUAAACGAUCUUUAGUACUUCAGUGGUUCUUCAUGUUAAUUAUUCAUUGAUGUUCAAAAAUUGGAGCUUUCCUUGAAUAUUGUGGAUGAUACUAUAAAUUAGUUGAAUUUGUUAAAUUUCUGAAAUAGGGUAUAGAAUGACAUAAAGGCCGGUUCAAUUCAACUCAGGUUCUUGAUAUCCUUGAUUCCAUUUAGUUGAUCGUCAUACUGUUAUUGCCCAACUUUGACAAAGACUUCUUUUUUAUCCCUCUUGUUUGUUCUUCUUCCAACUAGUAUAGAGCGUAUCUUUGAGGCAUCUUUAUCCGUGCAUGCCUGUGCUAAUGGGAAUUAUUAAGCAGAUGCCUUGAUUGUAGAUUUUUAACAGCAGAUUGAGGGUUGUAGGUUUGCUGGAGCUAAGUAACUGUAUGGGAAAAAUUUUUUAAUUGCAAACUUGUUAUAUUGUGUUAAUGACAUCUCGAAAAAAUAUUUCCAGGCUGUAUCCUCAUUGAAUUGGGUGAUGGUAUCUUUUCAAAACACAGAAUUUUCAUCCCUGUUUGAGGAAGGUAGCAUAUAUGCACUAUGGAUCUAAAAUCCAAAGGUAGAACAUGGGUUGGUAACAUAUACCACAAGUUUGAGGCUAUCUGCCAGGAGGUUGAUGAUUUUGUGAAUAAGGUAUUCAUUCCCUUUCUGUUUUUAUUUGUCAUACCCAAUUUUUAUGAUUGCUUCAAUCUGAAAAUCAUAAUCAUAAUUUGGCUUAUUAAUGAUGGACUCCUUGGAAUACUAGGAUUAAAAUCAGUAUUUACGUGUUUGUCACUCAUUCUAAUCCUUCUGGUCCCCCUGUUUCAUGUGAGACAUAUGAUUAUCUAUUUGGAGUUUUCUCUCAUCGUUGAAUUGCUUGCUUUUACAGGAUACCAGUAAAUAUGUGGAGAAUGAAGUGCAAACAGUUGGUGAAAGUGUGAAUAAAAUAUGUCCUAAUGUGGUGCAUGAUUUUCACCCUUAUUUGGAGGAUAAUAAACAAGCAAAAGCUCAAGGAGGGACCAGAACGCAAAAUGAUGUCGAAAGGACCAGUUUUAAAUCUAGGGUAGCCUUCAAAGAAAAGCAUAGACAUGUCAGUGAAAAGAAAUCAUCUAAGGAGCAGGACAGGUUUGAUGUUAAAGGUUGUGAUCCAAAUGAAGUGGACCAUCUAGGGCAAUUCAGCCCUCCUCCUGCUUCAGAUUCUGCUCAAGUUGCAGAAAAAGACUCACACUGGAAAGAAACUAGUGAUGCAGCUAUCUGUAGUAACACGGAGUUGGUUCUUCAGGAGAAUGUGAGAUGGGAGGAUUACUCUGCAAGUAGUUAUCUAAAUUUUCCUAGAGCAGAAUAUUCAUCUAAAUUGCCAUUAUGUCCAAGAGAUAAUCUACUUAUUGAUAAUUUGGAGUCUCCUGUUGAUGGAAUUUUAUAUGGGCCAUCAGAAAUUUCUAAUGAAGAAUACUUGAGAAAUAGUAUCCUGGAUGAGGUUUCUUCAAGAAUUUUUGUUCAGGGUGUGGGUCUUAGGACUUCGGAGAUGGACAGGAUGACAUGCAAUAGCACAGAUCUUUCUAAGGAAUCAGAAACUGGCUUGUUUCUUGAACAAGACGGUGAAUCUACAAUAUACAAGAAGUUGGAGAUAGGGGCUGAAGAGAAUGCCAAAGUUAAGGAGCAUUAUGCUUCUGAACUUGCAAGUUCUCUUGAGGGUAAGAAUUCGUGGGAGCUAUUAUGGACACAGGAACAGCAUCCAGUGGGUUUGGAAGACAAAAAUUCAUCUUUUAGGUCUUCAGCUGAUGAGGAUCAUAAAAUUCCUGAUCUAGAGAAAUGUUCUCCAGAAACUUUGGUUCCUAGAGUUGUUCCAGUCAAACAGGUAGCUGAUGAUAAUGCAGAACCUGCUGAUGAAGCAGUAGUGAACCUGUCUUCACAACAUGAUGAUCAUGUAGAAUUCAUAAAAUGUGGUACGGGUCUUGAAGCAAAUGUUAGAAAGGAGCAUUUGGUGGUUGAUAAUAGAGGUUACCUUAGUCAUGAAAGUUCGUCUGAUUUGUCAUUACAUCCAAGGAAGAAGCAUCCUGAUGCUGAGGAUUCAAAUUUGCUGCAGGACAAAAGUUUGUAUAAAUCUUUACCUAUUUCUACAAAUGAAGAUUAUUGGUCAACCAUUCCAGCCAAGUUAUCACCGGAAACUUCAGUUAAUGACGAAACUCUCAGACCUUUCCAACAGAAAGAGGGAGAAUGUAAUAGCCCACAAUGUUCUAAUGAAACUAAAACUGACUUGUCUUUAGAUUGUUACCGUUCAUGCAUGUCCUCGGAUUUCAGUUUUGACAAGAAUUGCUUGGUGGAGAAACAUGCAUCUUCAGAACAUUUAAGGUUUCCUGAAUGUUCAAGGAAGCUCCACGUGGAGACUGAUGAGCUGAGUUCUCUAAAUAGUGGAUAUUCAUCUGGAUUAUCACUAAUAUAUAGGACUGAAGAUCAUAGAAAUACCAUGCCCACUAAGAUGUCACCAGUUAAUUCAGUUAAUGAUGCAGGGUUAAGUGCCUCCCAGAAGGAUAAGACGAUGUGCAAUAACCUUUCGGAUGUUUUGAGUACUAACCCAUCAUCUGAACUAGUGUCUUCAGGAAUUUCUUGGAAGCAUAAAUUAGCUGAGACAGAAGCUUCAAGUUCUUCCAUGUCGACAGAACUUUUAGACCCGCCAGAAUUUUCACAUGGAAAUUGUACUAAGAAGACAGAGGAAGUCUGUUGUGAUUAUACUGAUUCCGGUGGUUGUGCGUCAACACUAUCCAGCAGUUCUUGUGCAUCCUUAUUUGGUUUGACCUCUAGUAACAAGGAUGUAAACCUGGUUCCUGCAUUCCUGGGGACUUCCUCAUCUGCAGGUGGGUGUUACAAGCUUUUGGUGUUCUUCAGGAAUUGUGAAAUCUUCUCCAGUUCACCUACUUUUUUCUUUUCUUUUUUCCUUUCUUUCACCCUUCUUUUGUUUUCCUCAAAUUGACUGAUGACCAUUUUAAGUGCAGAUUCCUCCAGUACUGAUAAAUCUAUGCUUGAUUCUUUUGGGAAUAAGCUUCAACAAUCCUUCAAAGGUGGUCAAUUAGAAGCUGAUGUCUUCAUUGAGGAUUCUAAUGCAUUCAAACUAUUCACAGUUUUGUUCUUUUUUCAUUGUUCUAUUUUUAGAAGGGGAGGAAGGUUGUGGUUUGAAUAGUUUUUAUGAAACUUCUAGUUAGUGGCUAAUUAUAACAUCAUCCAAAUGGACCUUAUUUGUUGUUUGUGAAACUGCAAACACUAGUUUGGAUACAACUGUACUUUCUUUACGAAGUGUCUAUAUCAGGAAUAUGUAUCACAUGGUUCCUGACUUUCAAAUGCUUUUGACAGGGAUAGUGGAUGACUCUGUUAGUGAUAUUUCCGAUGCUGACAUGGAGACUAUCGAUCUCUCUGAUAAAGCAAAACUUGAGGAAAGCUGUGUUAUUGUGGAUAAUGAGCUACUGUAUGCCGCCUCCUGCAGACCAAGAAAAUUUAGAUCAUACAAGGUAUUUUGUCUGUCUCUAUCUGUCUCUUUCUGGGUUGGUGGGUUCUAUGUUUGUGUGCAGCUUGAGAUGGUGUGGUGUUUUGUGCUCAUGCUGAUCAAAGAUCUUUUAGAUCUGACAGAGCAUGCUUUGUUUCGUGGCUUAUAGUAUUUGUUGAAGUUUGAAAUAUGCAGUGCCUUACUCUUAUUUUAAUUGUUGUCAUGCGUGCCAUCUUAAGAGUUAGUUAAAGCAAAAGUUGUACAUUAAGCUGAAAGUUGAUUAAAGUAUUCUUUUAAAACAUGUAGCUGAGUACGAUUUUGAUGAAUCACUGCUUGAUUUUUGAUAAGCACACACUUAUUGUAUGUUCUUAUUGGAAGUUUUCAAUACUUUUUCUAGAAGAGUUCCAUGUCAUGAAUUUUAAAGUUAUUACUACAACAAGCUUCAUUGUCAUAAUUGUUAUGAUUAGUUAUGCUCCAAGAAACAAGCUUACCACAUUAUAAAAAGAAUAAAAGGUGAAUUCUUUUAUCAAGUAGGAGUUUCAAUGUUGUACUGAGUAGUUCAUUUUUUCAUUUUUCCUUCGUUAGUUUGUAUGUAUAUCGAGUCAUCUGGUUCUGUAUAUUGUUAAUGCUUUCAAAUUGCAGCAUCGUUAGUCAUUCCUUAAGCAUGUGAUGAUGGGCUUGAUGCUUUUGAUCCUUUUGACCUCCCUGCUUGAAGAGAAAUAGCAGUUUAUUGUAGAUUGAUCUGCUGAACAGGUGGAAACGAGCAUAACUAAUCCUUUUUUUUAUCUUGUCCUGCAUUUUUUCCCAACCUUCCCAACCCCAGAAACUGAUACAGGAGGCUUUUGCUUCAAGAAAGAGAAUAAUAAAGGAGUAUGAGCAGUUGUCAAUUUGGUAUGGAGACAUUGAUUCAGAUACCAGCUUCCAUUCAGAUCAGCAUCUUUCACCCCAUAUGACAUCUGCAUCAAGACCCUCACAAGCACGUGAUUUGGGUGAGUCAGAAUGGGAGCUUCUCUAAGUUCCUUUGCUCCUCAGUGAAGAUGCAGCCAAACGAGUUCGGAGCUUUCUUUCCUGGGCUGAUGAAUCUCCGGCUAUCCUACGUCUUGAGGCGGUUCAAUUUCUUGUAAGGUCUUUUGUAGCAACUGAGAGUAAACAGGUCUUUUGUAGCAACUGAGAGUAAACAACUCAAAAAAACUUCUUCUUUAAACCAUGAGAUGAUGGUUCUUCUUUUGCCAGUCCAGCAUUGGCAGCGACUGGAUUGUAAAUAAAUGUUAAGAUCACACACAUUCACACACCAAAAUAUAAUACAAAAAGUUCUUCUAAUCCUUGAAGUGGUUUCUUCUAUUGUUUCUUUCAGUCAAGCAUUCAAAUUGACCAUGUUUAAAUACACUAUUUUCUGAAGUGUAAGUUAGAAUUUGCCGCCAAUUAAAUUGCAUUAGAUGAAAUUAGUGCAACAGUUGAACUUCCGUUCAAAAUGCAGCCUUUAGAACGAUAUACAUGCUUUAUUGGUGCGUCCUACAGCUAAAAAGGUUACACGAUUUCUGCUACAGCAAGCAUCUCAAUAGUGUUCUUGCAGAGACUUGCAAGUCUGUUCAAUGAUGUUAAACGUGAAAAUCUGCUAUGUAUGUGGCAUACUCAUUUCUAGCAUAACUGAGAAAGCUCCCGGUUGAAUAUUUCUGGUCUUACUACUAGGAUAUCCAUAUGUUAAUGUUGAAAUACCUGAGAAGUUGGUCAAAGCAAGAUGGAAAAAUUCGAGGACAAAUCAUGCAAUUCCUGAAUUAUUACGGUAAUCCUGCAAAAGAACUGCAUAGAAAAUCUCAUUCCAUACAUCUGGGAUGCCUGGCAAGCACCAGUGAAUGCAAUCAGCAUACGUUUUUGGAUCAGACCUCUGUUCUUUGGUCAAGAGCUUCCCUUUACGUUCGCCAAAUACUGAAGUAUGGCCGUCUUUCCUGUACUCUGAUAGCUGUGUAAUGUUUAACAAUCUAACAUUCACUUUCAAUUUUCCUAAAACAUCUUUCACUGAUCCCAUGAUGUCAAGAUUGGAACCAGUGCCCCAGUAUGGCCCUUCAAUGGGGUGUGACUCAUUGAAGCAGUUACCAUCGCUUCCAGCCUUCCACUCCCAGUUCCUACAAUAAAAGUCAGGAAAAAAGCAUGAAAUGACAAUUGAUCUUAUGUUACAUGCUGAUUUUUGUAAAGUUUUAAUUUUGCUGUGAUUGUGCAUUAACUGCCCCUUGAUAUGUUUAUGUCAGGCUUAUAAAACUAUGGAUCUUCAGUAGAUUAAGACUCACCACAGAUGCGUCGGGGACAUGGUCAUGAAAAAGAUCUUUUGAUUGCGAGGGUUGAUUCCGGUCUCUAUCCAAUUUGCCCAAGUUUCCAUUGCCAGCUUAUACGCAGUUGUUACAUUGUAUUCUCUAACAUCGUCUGGAGAUCCAUAUCUAAACGAAGAUGGUCUGAAAGUUUUAGCUGGAAUCCAUAGCCAUAACUCUGAAUAAUGAUGUGAGUCAAAUGAAUAGGAAAUAUGGGAGUACGUACGUUGCAUUGAUCAAAGGUUUGUACAUCCACCAUACAUAGCUCUCAAAAACCAAAAUGUCAACUCCCUCCCACUCUUUGCUGUGCUUAGCUAUGGAAUCAAGCCUGACCAUUCGUUUUAGUACAGUGUGAUUCGUAGCAUGAUCUGAAAUAGACUCAACAAUGAAGGGUGCCCAAUAGUACUCGAUCGAUGCAUUAAACUCCUGGAAUCAGAUGAGGGAUUAAUCAAUUUCACUUGUUGCAAGCGAUGCACUAAAAAGAGAUUGUUUCAUUUCAAUCAGCAAACCCCCUGAAGCAAAUGCAUUAAACAAAUUCAACUGACUAGUCCUGUUAAGGUAUGCCAUGCUCUUUAUUGUCCUUUUCUUCUAUUUUCAUUCUCAUCUUUUAGGCAUUAUGAUUGAAUGAAGAAUCGAGUCGUACCUCAAUAACGAAAAUUUUUCGGGGAGGAAUCCUUUUAAGAGACUUCAUUCCUUCUGGAAUUACAGAUUGUACUAAACAGACCAUCGACUCAAACAUUCCUCUCUGUAUUGAGUCCCCUAUGAACAUCAGCCUUUUGUCCCUCAAAAUCUCUAGCAACUUCAAUGCAUCAAACCUGAAAUUUUUAACGGUGAAACAGUUAUACGCAGGGGUAAUUUAAAAGAAAAAUGCCCAGAAUCAUAGCAGGUCCUGUCAUAACAUAUAUAGUUUCAACUGUUUUCAAGAACAACUGUUAUUUAUCUCAAUGAUAGUGUUGAAAUCUCCUACAUUACUUUGUGGUUUCACAUUCUCUUUCCCCACCUAUUAAUAGGCAAGUGAAUGCUACGAUGCAGUGGGAGCGGAAAAGGUUGUACGACAGAACAACGUGGUUCAGAAGAUAACCAGUUCGAUUUUACCUAGGCAGGUUGCAUCCAUUAGGCUGCCAUCUCCAAUUUUGAUACAAAGAAUCAGGCCUUCCAUUUUUAAGGCAGGUAACCUGUUUAACCAAGUAAGGGCAACUGUCUUCUCUAUAAAGCGGGUAGCUUAAAUUAUCCCAUACCCAUUUUCCUUCAAACACAUUGCAGCCAUCUUCGAUCACCUCAUCUUCAGAAACAAUAAUUGGAAGUCCAGGCCCUCUGCUUCCUGCCAAACGGGAUUGCCAAAGAAAAUACAACUCGUUGUUCUUCAAACUAUCGAGUGCAACUCGUACGCCUCCUAGCACAAGCAGAGAAGCCAAUGCAACCGGGAAAACCAGCUGCAUUCGGCGAUGAUAUUGAAUGGGCUGAGUAGUCAUUGGGAGCUAAAUUCUCUAGAAGAUCAUCAUCCUUUGCUAUUCUUCUGGAAGUCAUUCUUGAAGACGAGUAUUGUACCAUUAGCUGAGGUGCAAUAUCUUGGAAUAAAAGCAUAGUUGAGGUAUUCUGCGCAACUAAUAUGCAACAGCAAGUUGGUAUGUUAUGAAGUUUAGGUGUGUCUCAAGCAAACUUGUGUACUGUAAUUGAGCUGUGGAAUUUGGUUGUCAAUGUCAGCUUCAAAAAUAUAAACAAUUGCUGGAGAUGUGUCAAAUAUCAAUAAUAAUGUUCCUUAAUUCUGUGAGGAAAAACGACUGUCUCAUUAAGUCAAAAACUUGGACUAGCUCUAUUGCUCAUAGUUCUUGGUUUGGUAACCGCAAGGUCUUACGCAAACCUUUUCUUCAACUUUGGCAGCCAAGUUUUUUGCCAAGUCAAGUUUUUGUCUCCUACAAAUUUUUUAAAAACUUUAGUUACAGUAAUCUUAAAAAAAUUUUCAAAGUUUUUAAACUAUACACGUUUCAAAAUAUUCAAAAAUUUUUUAAAAAAUUUUUACAGUAAGUUACAGUAAAAUUUUAGACAAACACUCAAAAAUCUCACUUGACAAACGGGCAGAGGAGAUUUCUGAAAUUAUCCCCCGUACUUCUAACUACAUGCCGUAAAUAAAACAAAAUUACAGGAGUAGCAUCUUAAUAAAACAAAAUGGUAGGGAUUAGAAGGUAUACCGAUGAUGAUGAUAAUUUGAUAUCCCCUGUGGAUUGAGGAUAAUCAAUUUUCUUUUUUCUAUUUUUUACGUAAGAAAAAUAAAUGAAAAAAAUCCAAAAAAAGGAAAAAGAAAAAAUAUAAAGAAAACAGACAAGAAAAAGAAAGAAUCUGUAAAACUGCAACGUCGUCUCACUAUGCGUUAUCCCGUUUCUUUCUCCUGACUACAAUGAUUGGCGGCGUCGGAGUUCGAAUGAGUUGCCUCCUUCUCCCGUACUUGGCGGGGACGCCGCUUCACCUCCCCUGCUUUCGUCCCUUUCAUUACCACCGCCGCAUCGGGCGACUCUUCAGCACCUCCUGCUCCUCCUCCUCCGUGGAUAAGAGGGAGAAAGUGAUUGUCAUCUCCGGCCCCACCGGUGCCGGCAAAAGUAAGCUGGCUUUAGAGCUUGCUAAGCUUCUCAAUGGGGAAAUCAUCAGUGCCGACUCUGUUCAGGUCCAAGUAAAACAACCAUACUCAAGAAUUUCAUUUUAUUUACUCAUAAAGGAGAAAAAUUCUCUUUUUAUGUCCCUAUUUGCUGCUUUGAAGCUCGGCAGGGUUGAAAACGAUCCCUCCAUCAGAGACAAGGACGAAAACCGCUAAAUUUAUUUUGCUGCAUUGGGUUCUUGUUGAGGAGAAGAAAUUAAUUUUGAUAAACUCAAUUUUUAAAUGAUUCAUGUUAAGUUGAUAAACCUCAGAGUUUCUGUAUUGAGCUAUUCGGCUUUUAUUUUAACCAGGUUUAUCAAGGACUCGAUGUUGGAUCAGCGAAGCCUUCAUUAAGUGAAAGAAAGGUAUUGAAUUCUUAUAAUGCAACUCCUGGAUAAACUUCUCAUUUGCAUAUUCAGUUUUUUGUUGCUCAUUUUUGGUUUUUUUGCUCCAGCAUUGUUCUUACCUUUUUUUCCCUUGGGAUUAGUUAGUCAUUUCAUUAGGCUGUAUCAUGUCAAGUUUAUUCUGAUUGUGAUUCUUUUAUAUGUAACAGGAAGUUCCACACCAUCUGAUUGACAUAUUGCAUCCAUCUGAAGGUAUUGCAUAUCAAUAUUGAUGGUACAAAAUAUAUUUCCAUGGAUGUUAUUUUCUAUUAUCUUGGAGUAAAAUAGAGAUGAGGCAUAAUGCAUGAAAUGAUUGAACUUCUCGAAAAGCUGAUUGCUAUAGCUUUGUUGUUUUAAAUCAAUAUGAGUUUGUAAUGGAAUUUAAAUAAGAGCACUCAUUGAGUUAAUGAUUUUGCACAUGUUUUUUGAUAUGUCUAGUACUGCAGUUACUAGUUAUAUUCUUAUCUCUAAUGUUAUUUGUUUUAUGUUUGCAUAAUUAGAUUAUUCCGUUGGGCAAUUUUUCAUGGAUGCAAGGCAAGCUACAAGAGAUGUCCUUAAUGCUGGCCGUGUUCCAAUAGUUGUUGGCGGUACUGGACUCUACUUGCGAUGGUAUGUUUAUUACUUGUACCAAAAGCUUUACUUGAUUACCUCAUCUGAGAGUAAAAGGAAUCGGAAGCAGGUGUUGAUUUGUUUAUUCUUGGGCUUAAAAAUAAUGGUUUAUGGGAGAUAGAAAUUAGAAUCUGAGAUUGGAAAGCUGAGGAUCUGAUUCCUCAAACCAUCUCAUUUUUCUUGGUUGACCUACAUAUUUAUGAGACCUAAGUGAGGAAAUUCUGGUCCUUUACAACUAUUUGUUAGCCCUCCUUGCCAGACUUCACUGUGUUGAUUCAAAGGUCAAGAUAGAUGUACAUGGAUGUUGCAUUAGCAAUUCUCAGCUAGCUUCUAAAAUCAGGCUAAUUGGUUAGAUUUUAGUACACUCCAGUCUGAAAUUAUUUAGUGACACCCAUAGCACCCAUUAUGUUAAUUUAAGUGUAAUUGUGGCGCCUAGAUCUCCAUAUGGAAAAGAAACAUGACAGUUAUUCCCCAGCUGCUGUGGCUAUUGACAUUGGAUGGUGUGGUUUAACUGGAUUUGGUACUACAGAUUCUACUGCUUGCUGCUUAUGUGGUUCAUAAUGAUAAAUUUCUCUCUUUGAUAUAUAAGGUUCAUAUAUGGAAAGCCAGAUGUUCCCAAAGCCUCUCGUGAGAUUACCUCUGAAGUUUAUUCAGAACUUGCAGAUCUAGAGAGAGAUGGUGAUUGGGAUGCAGCUGUCCGGUUAGUAAUUGAAUCAGGAGAUCCAAGUGUUAAACUUUUAGCACCAAAUGAUUGGUAUCGCUUACGUCGCAGACUUGAGAUCAUUAAGGUUGGUUUCCAAGCUUAUUAGUUUUGUGUGAGAUCUCUGUAAUGUGAAUCUAGAACUUGCUGUUUCAUCUGUUUCACAAUGCUAGAAUAGAUAUUUCCGAGUAGGUUUAGCCACCAUAUUUACAUGUAUGGUUGUGUACACACAGUCUAGUGGUUCACCUACAUCAGCUUUUCAAGUGCCGUAUGAUUCAUUCAGGGAAAGCUUGGAUUUUCAUCUGACUGACUCUUCAGACAUCAAGUCUUCUGUUGAUGGACUUCAGGAAGAUAACUCGAAGAAAUUGGACUAUGGCUUCCUUUGUUUUUUCCUUUCCACCCAAAGGCUGGACCUUUACAGAUCAAUUGAUUUCCGGUGUGAAGAUAUGCUUUCAGGUGCAAAUGAAACUUCAUAGUUACCCUGCCUUUUGAACUUGAGGUGUCUCAAAAUUUAAUUGUGUAGCUUUCCUUGUCUAUUGGGACAUAGGAACUUUCCUCUGCUACUUCCGUUUGGUUGAUUUUGUGAACUGUUUGUGUGUUUUGUUGAUUAUCUAUUUUAUUCAUUUCUGCCUUUGUGUAAUCUAUUUAUUCCCGGAAAUUCUAGAAAAUACUUGAUGUUGAUCUAGUUUUAAAAAUAAAUCUUUAUUGCCUUUUCAAACAGUUUGAAGUUUGACGGCAACUUGUAAAUAGCUCUACUAAUGAUCCUCAACCUGUGGUGCACAAUGUGAGGUGCAAAGUUCAACAAUCCAGACACAUACUAUUUGAUUGUGAUUGUAGUUACUCUUCAAAUUGAUCAAAUUGACAGUCUCAGCUUCUACUCUUGCCAGUGGCUUUUCUUAGUAUCUAUUCUGACGAGGGCUUUUCAUCACAGGAGAUGAUGGAUUACUAUCUGAAGCAAGUUGGCUUCUUGACUUGGGUCUCUUGCCUAAUUCUAAUUCUGCAACUCGAGCUAUUGGUUACCGACAAGUAUACUCUUUUUCAAGAUUGUUAUGAUAAAUUCGUAAAAAUCAUGCUUUUUAAGCUAAUCCUGAAUUAUGAACUGACAAAAAAAUGAGACCCUUGAUCUUUAUUUGACUCUUCAGGCAAUGGAGUACCUUUUGUGCUGUAGAGAGCAAGAUGGUCAGAGUUCUGCUCGAGAUUUUUAUACCUUCCUAUCUGCAUUUCAGAAAGCAUCUAGGUACUUCAUAUCUUUAUCGGAACUUAACCAGCAUGUUAGUCAUGAGUCCUCUCAAAAGUUACUGCCUUAAUUUUGCACCAGAACAUUUGCUGGAUCUUUCUUUUUUAUUUUGCUCAUAAAAGCUUUUGCUGCUUAAAUAUUUGUAUCUCUUAACCUGAGUUUGUUUAUGUUACAUGGGAUGUGCAUUGUUCUUUGCGCCACAGUCCUUAGCCACAUGUUUUCUUCUGUUUCCCAAUGCAGAAACUUUGCGAAAAGGCAGUUAACAUGGUUCCGCAAUGAACAUAUUUAUCAAUGGAUUGAUGCAUCUAAGUCUCUGGUAUGUCAUCUGUAUUUCCUAACUUCUUGUUUAUCAUUUCACUAAUUAUCUAACUUUGCUUAACAUAAACUUCUUUACAAUACUUAGCAGUAAAAAAUUGGAUUCCUGAGCAAGAUACUAGAAAAGCAUACUUCUUGGAGCCGCGCUAAAAAAAGAAUGUUUUUCCAACCAAAUACAUUUUAGAUUGUUAAGAUUGUAGCAGACAGAGCCAAUCAUCAAUGGGGAGUGGAUUUGAGGACCUGGAUAUUUGACCCGUACAGCCUUGUGAAACUUUUAGUAUCUCCAUCCUUAUCAACUUGAAAGGCCUUGAUGCCUGGGAUCUCUUUCAUCUGAUUGGGCCAAUGUUGAGGGCAGACCAAUAAUGUCUUACCCAGGGAGUUCUUACUAGAGUUUCUCAUAAGAUAUACAUUUCUAGCUCUUUCCUUAAAGUUUUAACAGCUUCUCUAAAUUAGAUUACUUUCUAAGUGGCAAUGAAGCUGCUUUUGGUUGACUGUUUAUGAUGAACCUGACCAGCCAAAUUGGGAAUCCUCCUGUAGCCUUUAAGAAAAGCAUUACUUGGUUAGCAAAUUCAAGCACAGGAACGAUGUUCACGGGUCUUGAACCUUGAUAUUUCAUUAAGGUUGAAUCUUUGAAGUUAGUUUCAUAUUGUCCUCAUGGUUCAACAUGAUUUCAUACUAACUUGGUUGGCUUUCUCUUUCCUUCUUAUGCCUGAAGUAACAUCACAAUGCUUUGUUGUGAACGGAAGUAAGAGUGAAACAGCUUUAUUGCAGUCUUAACUUCUGGCAUUUGAAAUGUAAUUAGAAGAUUGUCACUGGUGGAGAAGGAAAGAUUUUUAGAGAUAAAAACAAAAAGGGAGGAUGGGGAUCCCAUAGUGAAGAGGCUUUCUAUCUGCUGUAAGAGAGAUGAGAUGGGCCGUAAAGGAGUUGCCAUCAAUGUAGGAUGUCACAUAAAUUCUGUGGAAUAGCAGUAACUCUGCCUAGCUUGGAAGGACAAUGUGAUCAACCUUUACUAAUUGUGGCUUUUAUUUGCACUGGACUUUUUCCUUUCAGCACUCUUUGGAACUUGCGCUUAUGGAGGCUGAUGCUAUAUUCAAAAUUGGAUAGCUAGUCCCUCCAUCUUUUUUCUCUCCCCCCCCCCCCAAAAAAAAAACAGGAGCACUUUCAUAUCCCUAUGCUACGUGUUAAAUAUCAGCAUGUUUGCAGGAAAAGGUUUUAAAAUUGAUACAUGAUUCAUAUCAUGAUGAAACCGGGAACUUGAAGGUGCCUGACUCACUUGCAAUGCAUAAGGAUGUAUCAAAUCGGAAGGCAGCUUCACAGUUGAAGGCAUAUCGAACAAAAAAUAGGUAUGUGCUGUCUGUAUAUGAUCGUCCUACUGCAAAUGAGGAAUGGGUUUUUACCUUUAAUUCCCAUGUGAAGGCAAUACAUUCAACGUGAAGAUUGUUCGCAUAUUCUAGACUGGAUAAGGAGGACUCAACGGCAACCAAGUCUGUCUGUUUGUUAAAUGAUAUACAAAAGUGCCUCAUCUCUGACCUUUGGCCGUUGGACAUCUCAAAACCUUUUAGAUUCUUGUGAAGGUUAGCUUUCAAGUUCCAAUAAGGACAACAAAUGGUUGGUUUGGGACUUCUUUUUCUUAUUUCUUAUCCCUCUAUGUUUAGGUCAGCCUCCUUUUAAAAAAAAAAAAAAAAAAAAAUUGCAUAUCCUCCUAGUGAAGGUUGUUUAAACUUAUUUGUGCAGAAGGGUUGAAGACCUCCAUUUGGCAAAGCUUUUCAAGAGGAUUUUUUUUGUCUGUAAUGCCUGGGCCUUGAAGAUUUUGUCAAGUACAGCUUCCGUGGAAAGGCUGGAUUUGAAGGUAAAAAAAAUCAAAAACUAAUUGAUGCUAGACCAAGUGUGAACUAUUACAAUAUACAAGAUGUAGUCUCUGUAGAUAUUCUAUUGAGCCUCCCCAAGAAAUGAGCAAUCUCUAUGCUUCCUUAGUUGAGAAAUUGGAAGAAAAGAAAGUGGAAUGGAAAGUAUCAAUUUGCCAUUCUGUUCUGUCUCUCUUAAGAGGGAAGACAGGUAGAAAUGGAGGGAAUGAAGUAACUGGAAACUCAAUUGCUAACAGCCACUGCGAGUCCCACGUCACUGCCGUCUUGUCUCAUGGUCUUGCGAAGACCAAAGCAUUGCCAUGGAUGGUGUUCAAAAGUGGAUCAUUCCAGAUCACAGAGCAGACUAGCAAUAGGUGCAAAAACAGCAAGUGACUUUGUUAAAUCCGCGAACAGUAACUGUUAAAUGCGUGAUUUAAGAAAGAUAAGGAUGCCAAGUUUCUAUCACUUCCCAUUUCAUUAACCCACCAACGCAUUCGAGUUUGUCAAAAUCUUCGAAAUUUUGGUGAACAGGAUUUUGCAUAUUGCUUUGGAAACUACGCACUCUAUAAAAGGCUCCUUCAGAACAACUGAACCUCAAUCCUGUCGAGUCCUACAACACAUUUUACCAAUCUGAUCCUCUGCAAUUUCAGCAACGCAAAACUUUCUGGACCUUCAAAAUCAUGGCACCAACAAAGCGGCAAUACCUCCAUCCCGGGACACCCUCUUAAUCAGAUAGCUGAUUGUCAGCAUAUGUCCCUCGGCAAAUACAACUCCCGCAAAGAAUCAAAAUGUUAUCUCCCAGUUGGAACCCAGUCACGUCAAGCUUGGUUUAACCCCAAGGAAGGACAAAAUAUGUUGCAAAAUUGGGUCUGGUAAUUGCGAAAUUCAGUCCACUGUAGCAGCUGCUGUAAUGCUCUCUUCCAUUUCAUCAGAAGAUCAAGACCUUCAAGGCCUCAUUCAACUUGCAUAGAUGGUUGGCGCUUUCCUGAGGACUCUAUUACUGGCCUGAAAACCACUCUCGACAAAAUCAUAAUAGCAACAAAUCAAUCAAGCACACCCAGAAAAAAACUAGGGGAGUGUUUCUCAUAAAAAAGAAGCGCAACUAAAGAGUGCCAAGAAACAGUAGUGCUGUAUAUUAAGCAGGAGUAAUCUACACUUAUGAGUACCUUUUUGCUUCGCGAUUCUUGUUGGUACUUCUUUUUUGUCGUAUAGUUGUUUGUAUGCUAAUUUAUCUCACAUAUUCCAGAUUGCUAUUUGUGCACAUCACGAGCUAACAUAAUAUAAUCAUCAUGAACAUGACUCUUAGCAAAGCUAAUAAAGUUUGCACCACCCUGUGAGUGAAUAUCUUUCAUAAACUUGAUCUUCGCAGAAUUAAUUAACCAAAUGCUGUCUUUAAUUAAUUAUAUCAAAGAGAAUGGACAGGAUUGAGCAAAGGUAUUUAACUUGCUUGUUACAUAUGAAACAGACAUAAAGCAGUUCAACAUAAUUCUUCCCUUUUUUUGCCCUUUUGGUAGGAAUUUUUACCUUGAACUAAAUAAAGUAGUGUGUGUACUACUCACAUUUAAGACUUCGUUGGCAAAUUUUGGAUGACUAUCAAUCAAAUCAAAAGUAGAGUGGAGAAGAAAAGGCGGACUCGUCGAAGUCGAAAGCCGAGUACUUUCCGGCCCAGGUCCCCUCCUCUACUUUAUCUUCCUAAUAACAAAUAAAGACCCCCAAGCCCCCAUUCAAGUAUCAAAAGCCACCCCCACUUGCUCGCUCGAUAAAGCGCGCUCCUUUUUCACUUUCUCUCCGCCACUGCACAAUUUGGAGCUGAGAUUCUGCUUUCAUUUUGAAUCAGACAGUGAAAAUGAGGACAGCAAUGUUGAGAUCCGUACUCAAGAGAAGUUCAUCUAAUCUGAUGAACUCUACGACGUCAGCCUACGGAGUUCGCCGUGGAUUCGCAUCGGAAUCUGCUCCCGAGAGGAAAGUCGCCGUCUUGGGUGCCGCCGGAGGGAUCGGCCAGCCUCUGGCUUUGCUUAUGAAGCUUAAUCCUCUCGUCUCCAAGCUCGCCCUCUACGAUAUCGCUGGCACUCCUGGUGUCGCCGCCGAUGUUAGCCACAUCAAUACCAGAUCUGAGGUCCUUUUAUCCCUCUUCAUUUUCAAACUCGAUUUACCAGUUUCUCAAUUUCGAUUGUUUGAAUUAUGGAAAUUCCUUAACUGUUGUAUUUGAACGCUAGGGUUUAAGAUUUUGUACAAUUUGGGGAUUUAGAGUUUUAUUUGUCGCACAUUUCCGUUCAUUGCCACGCCACUCUAAUAAUAUACGCCAUGCUAGCUUUGCUGGAUUUUAUUCAUUUGGUUGCAGUCGGUGCGGUUUUCAGAUGAAUUCAGAUGACUGCUGAGGUAGUAUAGUAGCUUCUAGUUACCUUACUCGUGGCACAUAGAAUUGGUAAUUUCAAUUAGAUAUGGAUCAAAUUUCGUCUCUAACUUGUUGCUUGCAUGAUGUUGAGGGGAUGUUUAGAAGUCGCGAAAGAGGAUUUCACUUUCUUGCAUGAUAAGUAAUUUGGAUGUGCGACUGUAUUUUUCUUUUGACUGAAGUUCUGAGUUUGCUUCCUAUUAAAUUUUUCCAAAGUUUAUAGUUGGCUGCUGAGGCUGAUUGGGUUGUAUUUCAUGCAGGUUGUUGGUUUUAUGGGAGAAGAGCAACUAGGACAGGCACUGGAGGGAUCUGACGUUGUGAUCAUUCCAGCUGGUGUGCCCAGGAAGCCUGGUAUGACUCGCGAUGAUCUCUUUAACAUCAAUGCUGGGAUUGUGAAAUCUCUCUGCACUGCCAUUGCCAAGUACUGCCCGCAUGUGAGUAUGAUCUAUCUGGCUUCAUGAUUGAUUUAAUACUUGAGUGCAAAGCUGCUACGGUCCUAACCUUUUUGGGUUCUGUACGAAUCAGGCACUUGUUAAUAUGAUUAGCAAUCCUGUAAACUCUACUGUCCCCAUAGCUUCUGAGGUCUUCAAGAAAGCAGGGACUUAUGAUGAAAAAAAGUUGUUUGGCGUCACUACACUCGAUGUUGUCAGGGCGAAGACAUUCUAUGCUGGGAAGGCCAAAGUCAAUGUUGCAGGUAUAUCUGCUAGGCCUUGGAUUAUAGUGUGGUGUAUGUAAAAGAGUCUUUACUCGUUCUUUGUCAUGUUUUGGUUUUGGGAAGUAGUCUAUUCUGGCCUUAUCUUACCUUUUAAUGCUUGCUCCUUUCCUCCAGAGGUUAACGUACCUGUUGUUGGAGGUCACGCUGGUAUAACAAUUCUACCAUUGUUCUCACAGGUGCCAUCAUGCUGCUUCUAUCACUGAUUUUCUUUUUGUUAUUUUUUCUUUGUUUUUACAUAUGAUGUUUUCAUUGUCAUUGUCUGAGCCAUGUGUGGCUGAUUUGCAUCACAACUAUAGGCAACUCCUAAAGCUAAUUUGCCAGAUGAGGAUAUAAAGGCUUUGACAAAAAGAACACAGGAUGGUGGAACGGAGGUGGUUGAAGCUAAGGCUGGAAAGGGUUCAGCUACCCUUUCAAUGGCGUAAGUUGCCUUUCAUUCUUCUGUUGUUUCAAGUCUUCAUGAUGCUGUGUUUCAAUGGAAGAUAUCGAUAUGAUGUUUGACGGAUUUACGGAGGUUGGUUUUCUUUGGUUGUAUGGUGAAGAAAGUGUACAAGAAUUCUUUUGAAAUUAUAAUAUCAGGUCUAAAUUCUUGCAUGAUUCGAAAAUCCUGCUGUAGCUUGGUCAUGCACAUGGUUCAUGGUGGCUAAGUGGUAGUUGUGUGUUCAAGUGCUAUUUCUUCCCACAUCCUUGCUUCUUGUAAUUGUUUCAAACCAUCAGCUUAGUUGCACUAGAAUGCUCAUAGAUAUAAGCAUGCUGAUCUUAUGUAUAAUGAGCAUAAUAUUUCUAUUCUAAAGAAGGAUAAUUUUUUCUCUUAAGCUUGCGUGCUAGAUCUGCUUGCAAACAUGAGGUAGUUAUUAUUAUCUUGCCACAGUUAUUAUUGAAAUGUGUGUUGGAAGACUAUUAAAGAGCAUAUCCCCUGCAGGUUGUGGUACUAAAGAUCAGUGGCAGUGUGUGCAUCUUGAUAAAUCCCUUUAUUGCAGCUUCAUGCUUGAUCUCAUAUUUUUUUUGUCAAAUGUGGCAUGUGAUUCAUGUUACACCUAAUUGGCAAUGUUUUAAGAGAUUUAUGAUUUGUCCUUUACCUAACUAGUAUAUUUCUGCAGCUAUGCUGGUGCCAUAUUUGCCGAUGCCUGCUUGAAGGGCCUUAAUGGCGUUCCAGAUGUUGUGGAGUGUUCAUUUGUGCAGUCAAGUGUCACUGAACUACCUUUCUUUGCAUCCAAGGUACAUACAUUGAUGUCCUUUGUGGUCAUGCCCCUCUUUAACUUUUCAUUUGUUGACACUAGCCCUCUUAACUUGGAAAGAGAAGCUUUAUGUGUCUAGCCUGACCUACCUCUUUAGGCAACCUUGCUUCAUUUGGAGAUAUAUGCCUUUUGAUUUAAUUCUUCUAGUCAUAGUCGCGUUAGAGUCUGUAGGUAGGUUACAACCUGUUUUUACUUGUCUGUGAAAUGCUUCUGAUAAAUAAAGGGGAAACUCUGAGUCUCCUCAUCAGUCAGAGAGUCUCACCACUUAUAGUUAUAGGCCCAAGGGAAUAGUUUAAAUUGUUGUUCACUUGGAAGGGGAAGCUUAAUGUAUCUAGCCUGACCUGCCUGUUUAGGCAAACUUCCUUCUUUUGGAGAUAUAUGCUUUUUCAUUAGACGUGUUUUGAGUCUGUAGGUAGGCUACAACCCAUUUUUACUUCUGUGAAAUGCUUCUGAUAAUAACGGGGAAAUUCUGAGUCUCCUCAUCAGUCAGAGAAUCUCACCAGUUAUAGGCCAAAGGGAGUAGUUUCAAAUUGUUGUUUCUUGUCUUUCUUUACACUGGUCUAUCAGAUGUUUAUGGUGCUUUUGCAUUAUCUUGUGUUCUUCUUAUGUGGAUAUUGUGAAAUGAUUGCUUGUUCUAUCAGGUGAGACUUGGUAAGAAUGGUGUGGAGGAAGUGCUUGGGUUAGGCCCACUUUCAGACUAUGAGAAAGAAGGCCUCGAGGCUUUGAAGCCAGAGCUUAAAUCAUCCAUUGAGAAGGGAAUCAAGUUCGCCAACCAGAGUUGAAAUGACCUUUUUAAUGCUUUAUUAUGACAAUUUUGCCAUUUUUGUGCCAAAUGUUGUAUCCAUUUGGAGUGCCCUGUUUGCUGCUGAAGACAUGCGGGCAUAGUUGAUGUAGGGAAUCAGAGUAGACAGAAUAAUACCCCUAGCAAACUCGAUGCGGAUGUGCCUCUUGUUUUACAUUAUUGGACACUUAUGUCCAAUACCAUACAAUUUACAAUGGUAAGCCAAAUUUCGAUCUAUGCAUUUAUAUUAAUUGAAGGUCAUGCAUGAUCAACUUUUGGUUUAGUAUGCUGUAUCAUUAGCUAACAUGUUGCCCCUUUAGACUACCCCUGACAAAAUCUCACCUGCUGCCAAUGUCUCCUGAUAUAAGGCUAGCAAGAAGUUUGUGAGCAAUUUCAUUUUUGAGUCGUUACCAAGUGAAAUGAAGUUUUAUGAUUAAAAUUCUCAAGUCUUACAUGCAACUUAGUUCGUAAUUUCAUUACGACCGGCAUCCUAAAUUUGAAUUUUGUGCAAGUGCAAAAAGCUGGUAAUUCUGAAUCCACAACCAAAUUAAAAUCUCCUCCCAGACGUUUCUGGACUUUUUACAUAUUUUUGGUGGCUUAUGAAACUUUGUGAAGUUUUUUUCCAGUCGAGGAAUUAAAAUUCGAAGCAUCCAUUUUUAACCAUCUUUCCAGACAAUAUGGCAACAAGCUGCGCGAUAUCCGUCUUGACCAUCUCCUAGACAACAAUAUAUGCUAGCAUAAUAAUUGAAUGCAUGCAACAUAUGUAAAUUUCAAAUUUUAAAUUUAAAUUAUUUAUCAUAUAUUUAACGAUGAAAAUAUAAAUACUGUCAAUGUAUAACAAAUUAAUUCUUUUUUUAAUUGUUUUCUUUUGUUUUUGGCAUGAGAAACUUCUUUUGUUUCUCUUGUUCCUAAACCCGAACCAAAUACGAAGGAGUAUUUUCCUGAGAAUCACGAGGACAGUUCAGCCACACAAAUUGAACAUAAACACCGCACAUAAAUGUUUUCACCCCGCUCAAUAUACUGAUGAUGCAAAUAUAAUUUACAUAAGGGUUUUGAGGCUAGACGUGCUUUCGAGUUGAAAUCUGUACAAAGAUAACAUAAAAACUAUUUUUUCUACUUUAACAGCUUGGUAGUAUGAUACAAUACGCAAUAACACGUCCGAGCAGGCAAUACAGUCUACACAUCAAACUACUCUAAAAGUAGCCCUGAAACGUUCCUCCAUCCAGGUCUAGCUCUAAUGAUCCUAAACUAGCCAUAUCACUAGCCCCCCUAAAUAAAUCAAACAGUAACCAAACUCCGAAUAUAUAAGAUAAAUCCUACCUUGAGACUUGAUAAGUGAAACUGGUAGCAGUGUUGGCAACCUGUAUCUCGAUAUAUUUCCAUGGCACCACUCUCAAUUAAAAACAUCAGACAAUCUUCUUAACUGAAGAGACCGGUUUAACAGAUCAACGUUGGAAAAUGCCAAGAACAAAAAGAAACCCACUUCAGCUAUAUGUCUCAACAAUGCGGCACCAUUUCUGCCAGCCAAGAUAUAUCAUCUAACAGAUCUUGGACAAAAUCACCAAAACAGAGGCAGAAGUAGUUUUAGAAGUAUUCAUCAGAUAGAUUCCAGCCCCGAUAAACACCCAUAUAUGAAAUUUUCUGCAAAAACAUGAAAUGCAUAAUUCGAUACAUAUUUGAACCAAGCUUUCUCAGGGAAAGAGAAAAAUAAUCAGAUCAUCUUCCAUCUCAAGUUGAAUCUCAAAGACUACAGAAAGAUGUAUCUUGAGAAAAGCAAUACAAAGCAACAAGACCUCAAAAUCCAAUAUGCAACAGCUAGUAGGAAUUCACACUUUUGAAAUUGACUCAACUCACAAGAGAAUGCAGGUAUACAAACUACCUUCUUCAUCACACCUUGGUUACCCUCUUGGACAAGGAUGGACACCUACACCAAGGUACGACUAAUGCAGUUUGAUAAUGGCACUCCAGAAUUCAACACAAAGUUGUUUCUCACAAAUCAACCUAGUCUGACCACGAAAGCAUUUCUUAAUUGCUCCUAAUCUUGUGCAAGGAGUUACUAGGGGCCACACACAACCAAAAAUAAUCAAAUAUUUCCUGUAAUAAAAAAUGUAUCUCUGGCAUUGUCCAACCAAAAUGUAGAGAAACAUAAAAUAAUAUUUAAAUCACUAACCCAUUAAGAGAUGGAAGAGUGCAUCAAAUCAAGCUACACAUUGCAGGAAAGCCAUAAAUUUCAAAACAAUAUUUAUUAAACACUUCAGAAUUCACCCUAGUGGUUUUAUCUUCCCCCAGCUCCUUCUGCACCCAACAUCUCAACUGAGCGUGCCAACCCUAUAUGAGACACUCAAUGGUAUAGGAGCCUUCUCAUACCAACCCCUGGGGAUGAAAAUAUCCAUCAACUUAGAAGCACGCUGUAAUUCAAAAUGUGAAAAGCAGAACCCGUCAGGUAAAACUUUUUGGCUGUUUUGACUUUACUGUCUUGAUAUCCCUUGCACUAAUUUUCACAAUAUAAGUACACUUAUAUACUAAAUUUGAGGCAGCUACUACCCAGUGUCAGAGAGUCAAACAACUUCAAUACACACAUCCUUCAACAAACUCUACACCUAUGCAUGUGGAGAUGAUUUGCAAACAAAAUAUGAGAUCCCCUUCACCUUCUAAUUGAUAUCCAUUCACAAGAUUAUGGAAGUUUAAAUGCAUUCACAAGCCAAGAGUCUUGAUCCCAAGAGGAAAUAAUAACCAAUUAGAACGUAUACAUUCCUGAUUAACACAAGCUACAUACAACCUAGCCCCAUCAACAGCCUCAUGAAUUGUGCUUACACUCUUAAAUUAAUAAAUUACCUAACUUGAGCAACUGGUCUUACCAUUGCAGAAAGCAAGAACAAAUCUGCAACCUAAAGCAAGCUUUGUGCAACAAUAAACCCUACUUACAAUAGACAACAAAUGUGAGAUUCCUAUGGACACAAUUCCUGGUACACAUAGGCUGUGGUUCGUCCAUGCUGAAAAAGCUUCAGCCACAACAAACCAACUCAAGCUUGCGUAGAGUAGACAUGUUUUGAACAUGGAAGAAUACUUAUUUCCUGGUACAAUUACCAAUCACAAAAUAUUACAAAGAAAGGAAAAGGAAGUGGGAGAACAAGGAAAAAAGUAGAGCAAACUACCAAACUUUUGCAACAAAUGCUUCCAAAGUUUAUAAAAAACAGACAAUUGGCUUGUUCUUACCAGCUAGGUACCAUUCAAGUUUUGGGCGAGUGGCCUGCAUCUGAUCCAUAGGCAGAGGAACUAUCACUGUCAGAAUCUGCAGGCAGGAUACCAUAAUACCUCAAUACAUACAUAGUCAAAAGCCAAGCACAAAAUGUUAUGACACCAAAAGUAUCAAACACAAAAACAAGUAACAGAAUGGAGCAAUAAAGAUAGCAAGAGGAAAUUAAAUCAUCAGUACCACUUGAAGUUGAGCCGGAGUCACUGCUAGAACUGCUUGAACUACUAGAUCCACUGGCAUUGUCACCUUGCUUUUCGACUUCAACAACAGGACUACUAUUCUUCUCAUCUGUGUUAAUAAGCGAACAUUCAAAUGCAAUAUCUUUACUGAUUAGACAUUUGACACAAGCCAUGUUAUACUAAUUUUGACUAGAAAAGUAGAUAAGAUGAUACCUCCUUUACUUUCUUUCUGUGGUUCCACAACUGCUGGGAUUGGAUUCUGCAAUGCCAGAAAAGCGAGUUUUCAGGGACGGCAUAGAAAAUCAAGGGAAAAAAAAUGCUAGAAAGGGGAGUUACAAUUCCUCAAUCCUCUACACAUGUCAAGGAAUCUUGAAGACCUAGUUUCUGCCAGGAAUUAUGGGAGAUAUAAAUCAAAAGCUGUAAAAACAAUAAACUUUAUUGAACAAACUGUUCACAUGCCUUCCUCUACCUACAGCAUUCAUGAUGUGAACAAGAAAAUAAGAGACAAAAACAAAUAAGACUUAUAUUCCUUACUGUUGUUGGAACAGCCUGUGCAGCUUCAGCUCUUCUUUUCAGAGCAAGUUCAGCUUUUCUCUUGUUCUUACUUAGACUCUUCUUGUAGUUGGUGACAAAUCUAUCAAGCUCCCAUAGUGUUUCUGCAUCAACACUGUCAAUGUCCACCUCAAUCUCAUCAUCAUGCUGACUAAGGGUUGUGUUCCUUUUCUUGAUAAUCUGAACAAUAGCAUCUAGCUUUUCUGAGGGCAAGCUCUGGAGGUUUGUACUAAGCUUCUGCUUCUCCUCAUAAGUCAUAUCCCGUUUGUUUGGAUCCUUGGCUUUAGGUUUCUUUGGAACCGGUGUUCUACCUGUGUGAGGAAGAUUUGAAUAGGUGGGCUUUAAUCUGGAAUCAACAGGCACAGUCAUCGACUCUGACCUAUCCAAUGUCCUCAUUGGAGGGGCAGGAGGGAUUGAAAAAGGAGCGAGAAUGGGGGCAGGAAUAUGAGUAAAGGAAGGAGGAGGGGCCUUUCUUGGUGUGGGAAUAGGCAAUCCUGCAUCAUAAUACAUCUGAUAGGGAAAAUGUUCCUUCUCUAUAGCUAUCCACCUAUCUUCAAAUAUCUUUGACAACUCUUCUGCCAUUGUGUGGACAUCUUGUCCCUUCGGAUUGUAUGUCAUAGCAUUACGAAAUACAAGCCUCACAUCCUCAGCAAACUCCCUGGCAGACUUGUACCAAUUCUGACCUAACCUAGUCUUGAUUGUACCAAAAUCCAUUGGGUGUUUAAUAAUAAUAUGAUAAUCAGGUAUAUUAAGCUUCUUGGCAUCCACUGGUUCAUUAAACACCCAGGCAUGCUUGUGCUUCAUCAACCUCUGAAGCAAAUUACUACAGCUCUUGAACACCUUAUCUCUAUUCCUAUCAAAACCAAAGCCAUACCCAUAUUCUGAGUCACCUCCAUGUUUCUUUGCAGUGAGCUUCAACUUCUUAUUGCUUUCUGGAGGCAAUCUAUCCUUCCCCAAAAGAAACUCUGAAUUUCUAUAAUACUGAUUAGCCUUAGGCGUCCUCUUCUCCUUCUCAACAAAUUCAGCCGCCCCAUGAUUAUUCUCCAUCACAGAAACAUUCAAGUGUCGAAACGGUCUUGUUUCUUGAUAUCCCCCAGAACCUGCCUCAGAAUUCACCCUCAGUAACUGUGGCCGACUAUAUUGAUGUCCCAAUGUACCAACCUCCGAAUUUGCCCUCAACAACUGUGGCUGAUUAUAACCGCCAAAAUUACCAACACUGCCACCGACAUACCUAGAGUUAGUGUUAACAUUACUUGUACUGUAAGCAGUAAGCUGAUGCUCCUUGGCUUCAACCUUCCCAACUAAAGUUCUAACCUGAUCAAGCUCGCUUUCUAGCUUCCUCUUAAGCUUCCUCAUCUCAUCCUUCGAUCUCGAUCUUGUUAUAUUAAUCCUAACCCUAUCAUCAACCCUAGUAAUAACGGGCUUCCGAAACCCAUUCACCAAAGCCCCAGAGGCAGCACCAUUCACCGGCCCAUGACUGCCAGUAACCUCUGGUACUUCAUCAACUGGCGCUGCCACCUCUGAUUGCUCUCGCUCAGGAGGGUCUUCUCUAGCAGUAUUCGGCAGGGCUUCUUGCUCAGCUUCUGGGCCAUUGCACCGGGGCGGCUCUUCUUCUCCACCAUUAGGCAAUACUUGUUCCUGUCCACCAGUAGGUUGCAUCUCAGGCAGAGCUUCACGGCCACUGCUCGGGGAAGGCUCUUCUCUACCACCACUGGGCACGGCUUCUGGCACGUCAGGCAGAACCUCUUGGUCUUCUCUGUCACCAUUAGAUAUCGGGUCUUCUCCACCACUGGGCAACAACUCUUGGCCACUGGUGCCUUCCUCCGGCAGCGGUCGAACAACGUCUGAGGUCGAGGGCUCGCCCUCGGAUCUCGACUGCGGCUGCUCUUGCGAACAAAUUCCAUUUUGGGCAGCUAAGGUUUCUGCCGAGGAAAGCUCUAAAGUCGCGUUCUUGCCAAAAGAUUCAUUUUUGGCGGGGCUCGAAGAGGUGGGCUCUGUGUCACCGGCGGUGGAGGCUGCUGCUGCGGCGGUGGAGGUCGGCUCGGCAGCAGCGGUGGUGGAAGUGGUGGCAGAAUCGUUAUUUGCAGAUUCUAAUUGGGCCUUUUUUCUGAAAUUUCUUCGGGUAUAGACUUUGCUAUUAUCCCCCCACCGAACCCUCUCUCGAACAUUCAAAUCGGAAUUACUAUCAUUAGUCCCUAAAGUCCCUGAAUCCAUACAAACAUCUAAAUCAAGAAAAAAAAGCCCUAAUCUUUCAACCCUCAAAACCCUAGAUAUUAAGAAAUCACAUAAAUUCCCAAACAGCUAGGGUUUCAAUAAAAAUGUCAAAAUCAGAUUCCCAAAAACCCUAGUUCGAUUGACGCACCAUCAAAGUAACAAAAAUAAAAAACUAUUAUAAUUAUAACCAAACAAAAAUCGGAAUCCUACGGGCUAGGGUUUUGUUUUAAAUAGUUGAAACCGAAAGAAGAUGAAAUUUUUUGAAGACAGGAGGAUCUGCAAGUUUUUUUUUCCUUUAGAAAAUAUUUUUAAAAAAUAAAAAUAAAAUAAAAACAGGGGUGAAAAAUCGAAAUAAAAAUUGGAAUUUUAGGGUUUGUUUUCAGGAAACAGAGGAGAGGGGCAAAUAGAGAGAGAAAGAGAGAAGGCGAAGAGAGAGAGUGCGCUUGAGAAGUGAGGUGGUGGUAGAUCCGAACGCUACUCGCCCGGUUUUUAAUUUUCCAUUUUUGUUGGGGUUAAAACUCCUAAUUUUGGAAAAAUAUUUAUUAGACGCGCUCACGAUUCGCGAUAUUUCUAGCGGUCGGGUGGCUGGGAUCGCUGAGUGACGUCAGCUGUGAGGGUGGAGUCUCAGUUGUGGUGAUUCACAAGCGCUGGUUGUGCGAUUGUUUUUCGUUCUCCACGUGCGAAGGGUUAUCGACAAUUUGUUCUUAUUUAUAUUUAUUUAUAGGAAAAAAAAAAUUUUUUGGGGAUUGUAACUGUUUUGUUCUGGCGUUGGCUGUUCCCCUCCGACGCACUUUUGUUGUACGGAAUAGUUUUUCAAUCAACUUUAACUUCGUCUCAUAAUAUAUACGAUAUGAUUUACUACGUGACUUGAUCUAAAGUCCGUUUGAGAUUUGAAAAAUUACGUUGUGUUUGGAUUGCAUUUUUCAUGAUUUUUCAUAAAAAAAUUACUGUAUCGAUUUGAUGUAUGUAAGGAAAAAAGAUAAUAGGAAAAUGUGAUCACGGAAAAUAACGUAAUUUUCCGACGAAAAACUGCAAUCCAAGCAAGGCUUUAUUUUAACUCUUUUUAAAGUUAAUUUAUAUAAAACUAGAAUUUUGUGUUUGGAUGGAAGUUAUUUGUCUUUAACUUGGUAACAUAAUAUGAUUUACUAAAUUACUUAACCUUAAGUCUAUUUGAAAUUUGAAAAAUUAUUUCGACACUUUUAAGCGUCUUUAAAAAUUGAUUCAUAUAAAAUUAAAGUUUUGUAUUUGAAUAGGAAUUAUUUGUCCUUAAUCUCGUCUCGUAAUAUGAUUUACUAUUAUAUGACUUGAUCUUAAAUUCCAUUUAGGAUUUGAAAGAUUAUUUCAACACUUCUAAGCAUUUUUUCAAGUUGAUUUAUCUAACAUUAGAACUUUGUGUUUGGACAGGAAUUGUUUAUCCAAAAAAUUAUUUAUUUACAUUACAAGUAUAUUUUUUAAUCUAUCUUUUUAUCUUUUCAUAGUAGUUUAGGGCCUAUUUGUCAAUUCAUUUUCUUUCACAACUGACAACUCCAAAAGUCAAAACGACGAGCUUAGAAAUUGAAAAGUUUCUUUUUUUUUUUUGUUCAAAACAAAAAAAGAAACGAAUUUUAGGGAAAAAAGUUAUAUACUAGCCCGUUCUUUUCUGUACUGAAGCCCGAGUGCCCGGCGUUUUCGCUUCCCAAAUCUCUUUCUUUUCACCCCAAAAUUUAAACUCCCCGUUGUAGAUUAGCGCAGCCAGAGAAUUAGAGCGCGUACAACGUCUUUGGCUGAAGGUACUGCUUUUAUCUCUUGUUAUAAUAGUUUGUUUACCUUGUCAUGCCUUGUUCUGUUCCUGUUAAUUCCACGCUUCUAUGUUUCUCAUUUUUCACUAUCAAGUUAAUCAAUCACACCCUUUCUUUUCUCGCUCAUGGUAGUUGAAAUUUGAGUGAAUAAUUUUUCAGCAAUUUUUACCAUUUUCAUAUACUAUGCGUUGGAUUAUGGAUACUGUUUAUGUAGAUAAAGGUAUAGAUUCCUGAUUCAUUCUUAAUUUUUUUGGUGAAUUGAGAAAUUAGAGUUUAUUUUCAGCAAUAAAAUUACUGUAAUGGAAUAAUGGGAUGGAAUUUAAUUAUGUAGAUUUCUGUAUUGAAGAAGUAAUGGAAGAAGGGAUAUUUGAUGAUGCGACGGAUCAAAUUUCGCAAUUGCCUGAACUCAUUUUGCAGCAUAUUUUGUCUUUCCUUGAGGUUAAAGAAGCAAUUCGAAUGUCUGUUGUGUCGAAGACUUGGAAUAAUGCAGUUGCCAUGCUCCACUCAUUGAAUUAUGGAGAUGGGAGCCUUUUCCCCGUUGCAAAAAGAAACGAAAAUGAGGAAGUUGUAUUCGACAAAAUAAGAGAGCUACUGAAUGGUGUUGAAUCCAUGAUUCGGAAAAGGCAGGAGCAGAAUGUAGGCGUGCAAAAGUUCUGUCUUCGACUGUCGCAUAGCUACAAGUUGUUAGAUUUGACACCUUACAUUACCAGAUUGACGAAAGAACUUAGUGCCUGCAACAUAAAGGAACUGGUAUUUAAGGUCGGAAUGUAUCGGGGCAAGCCGUGUUAUACCUUGCCCAAAGAUGUGUAUACUUGGUGUUCAUUGCAUAAGCUUGAGUUAGGAGGAUUCAAACUCAAAUUGCCUUCACGUGGUGGUAUAAUAAGCCUUUCGUCUUUGCGUGAGUUGCGAUUGUAUAAGACUGAUAUGGAUCAUCGAGUAUUUCAGCUUCUGAUCAUGAGCUGUCCUGAGCUAGAGUUUCUGAGUGUUGAUUAUUGCUUUGGUUUGGAUCGUCUAGAAAUUUUUGGGUUACUGAAAUUGAAAGAGAUCAGAAUGCGUAACUGCCUCCAGAAUUUUGACAAAAUUCAGAUUCAAGCACCAAAUCUUGAGUGCCUCAAUCACCAUGGUCUGGGCACAUUAUCCCUGGUUGAUGUGAAUUCUUGCAAAAGUCUGAAGGUUUUAGUUUUAUAUUCUCUAACCUGCGAUAAUAAGUGGGUAGAGGACCUUCUUUGCAAUCUUCCCCUCCUUGAGGUUUUCAGGUUGAUUGGUUGUGAGGGACUGGAAAUGGUUAAGAUCUCAAGUAAUCAUCUUAAAGUAUUGGAGCUUGACUCAUGCAAGAACCUUGUUAAGACUGAAGUGCAUGCCCCUCUUUUAUCUGAAUUCCAUUAUUGUGGCAGCCUUUCAGUAUCUCUUUCCGUAGAAGCUGUAGCUAAAGAGUUGGUUUCCCUGGAUAUAGAGCAGAGAACUGAUGAGGUUCUAUUGAAUAAUGAACUUGUGGAGUUUCUCCAAAACUUCAAUCAUUCAAAGGUCAUUAGAUUGAUUACUGGCGAGCUACAUAAGGUAUUAGUUACAUUUGUUUGACAUACAAUAUCUUGAAUGACAUGCUUAUAUAUACACUAUCUUUUGUUGUUAUUUUUGGUUAAGAUAACGAGGUUGAUAUCCUCAAGGGACAGCCUAUUGCAACCGUUAAUCUUGCUAAUUCUCUAGUAGUGCAAUUAAUCUGAUGCCAUUAUUUGCUUUUAUAUUGCAGUUGUCCCUCGCAAAAGACCUGUGUCCGCCACUCUAUGAUGUCAAGCAUUUGACUGUUAAUUCAGAUGGAGUGGAUAAAUCAAAGAUUUUGGACCUUUUGGAUUCUCUUCUUUGGAUGGCUCCUUGUUUGGAUACUCUAGACCUUAAUCUUGCUUGUGAUGAGAAAACUGUCAAGGUAUGCAAUUUCCCUUCCAAAGUAUGGUCUUAUGUCCAUAUGUUUCCUAUUGAUGAAGCAUCUUAUCUCUCUCUUGGAAGUGAGUGGUGGAUGAUUAUUGGUUUUUAAUUACUGUUUCUUUCAGGAAAAAAAAUAUAUGUUCGACUUUGAUUUUUUUGGUGAAUUUAUGCUAAUACCCGAAAAUUACCUAAAUUUGAAAUUCUUAUUGGUCAUUAGUGCUAAUACUAGAAGGUAUGGGUACACAGUAGUAUGAACCUUCUAUUUUUGAAAACAUAUAGUACCUUGUCCUUAAAACUCACGAAGGUAGAAUCUUGGCAAACAUACAUCUUCUGUUUUUUUUCUUUUGGUUUAAUGUUUGCCCUCUCUUAGAAAACUUCUUAUAAUUAGCCUUGUCAUAAAUUCAUUCUUUAGACUGGCUGCUGGUUCUGAUUUUCAUUUGCUUUUCUGAUUCAGUUCACUCGUGAAUCUCCCCUGAUAGUGGAGGGUGUCCCCUGUUGCCCAUCCGUACCCUUCAAAUGUUGGCACCAUACCCUAAAAAAAGUCGAAUUUGAUAACUUUGAAAAUGUUGAAGAUCAUUGGAAGCUGCGGAAUUAUUUCGUUGAGAACGCAAAGAUAUUAGAAAGUAUUGAUGGUCUCAUACAAUGUGACAGAGCUUGAAUCAUGCAUGAACCUGCUUUCCCGCACGCUACUUGGAGAAUAACAUUUAAGUUGGUUCUUGGAUAUUCACGCUGUAACUUGAGCUAAGUGUCAUUGACCUUGUUUUGUACUAGCUUGAAUUAGAAGUGUCAUCUUGCUCAUUGUGCAUUUCACAUUUAAACGAGAUAUGCAUAGUGCAUGUGUUGAUGAUACAAGACUGAUUGACACCAAGUUAUGCUACGAUCAUAAGAACAGCUUACACGCGUGAUACACUGUGAGAACUAAUUGUUGAUAACUGUGAGAACUAAUUGUCAUUGAGCCAUCCUCCUUCGCCAUCUUUCACAUACUAAAAAUAGAACUGCAGAGGUCACACAUGAAUGAACACCGUGUAGUGUUGAAAAAAGGAUUAAAAAAGACACACACACACACACACACACAGAGCAAAAAGGGUACUACUACUUUUGUUUCACACACUAAAUUACGACUCUGAGCAAACAAAAGAUUUGGGUUGGUCCGAAUUGUAGCUUGAAUUGCAGUGAUAAUUACGACAAUGCUGGUGGUACUCCAGAAUGAUGUUGAGGGUCUGGUCCUCCUGGUGCCAUUCUCAUGGUGGCACCAUCCGGGAUUUUCCUCCUCCGAUAGCACUCCAACUUGGCUUCAUCAAUCCCAAGCUCACGCCAUGUCAAAUGAGGGUUGCCUCCAGGCCUUUGUGCAGUAGAUUCGAAUCCAGGAGAAAGACGAGCCCCUGAAGUCGCAAAAAACAUGAAGGAUACGAUCAUACCAAGCAACAGAAAUCUCACAGUUCCAUGCAACUUCGACAUACUUUCGAGGUUCUGUCUGUACAUCACAAUGAAAAGAUCAGCACAAGCAAAUUUUGAUUCCUAUAGUUAUCAAGUAGGCCAAGAGAGUUGGCAAUGUCUAAAUAACAAGUGAACUGAGUAGUUAUCGAGUGACCCAAUCCUCCCAUAUAUAGGACAAAGCUGGACAGACAAAUGAAGUUGGAAGAUCAGGUGAUGCGACAUUCUUCCACCAGGUUCAAUUUUAAAGGCUGCUUUGUUAAAAAUUGGCUAAGCGGAUAACUCCGACAGGAAAAAAGUUUGUCGUCUCCCUACAUUUAUAUGCAAUUUUCUGCUUUUUCCCAAAGUCAUCCGCAUUUCCAUAAAUCCUCGAACCAUACAUGUGAAUACAAUAUAAUGUCUGUUAUUCGUCCCAAAAACUUUAGUGCUGCCCCUUAAACUUAAACCUUUCCCCUGACAGUAUGGCCGCCGACUUUAGUCAAUCAUCCAGUCAUGGGUUUGCUCUCAUAGUUUCGCGCCAUUAGCAUAAGCUUAGACUGGAUUGACCAACAAAAGCAAAACAGGGCAACGAACCCUUUAUUCCACCCUACCCUAAUUAAGGAAUUGCAUCAUCUGCAACUCAUCUUUCUGUUUUCGGUAUUGGAAGAUGCUUCCUAAAAUCGUCAUCGUCGUCGUGUAUAGAAAGUGGGAAAAAAUGGUUGCUGAUCAUUCUUCGUUUCUGAUGAUUUUAAUUGCUUCUCAAUUCGCUUUUUUUGCGUUUUUUCAACCUUUUUGUUUUCGAUACAUUUGGAAAAAGGAUAUGUGAAGAACUUAAAUCGGAACCAAUCCACAAAGCGUUUACAUAUUUCUCAUAUUUUUAUUCUCGCACAUAGAUACAUUCUUCGAGGAUAGCUUAAGAGCUAAUCAAUCAUACAGUACCACCACGUAAGCCAGAUAGACAAGGAUCAUGCAACAUUACUGUGUAAGAAGUCAAAAGAAGCAUGAUCAUGUCGUUUAGGAUAACGUCGGCCAGGUAUCUAUCUGAAUCUGAAUCUGAUGGUGGUUUUGCAAUCACCAAAUCUACUUGGUUGGUUGGUUGGUUCAACUCCUCCAUCGUCCGCUCCGCGCCACCAUCUGGUCUGGAUCGUUGUUAUGGAAUUUCUGGGCCUUAUACGGAUAGGUUAACCUUUUCGUAACAGUGGUAUCAGAGCCAGGCAACGAACCCAACAUCCCAGGUUCGAAUCUCGCAGAGGCUCUGCCUCCAUGAAGGUGGAGUCCCAAAAUUACCAGGCCGUCCCUCUAAGGAGGGGCGUUUGUUAUGAAAUUUCUGGGCCUUGUACGGAUAGAUUAACCUUUUCGUAACAAUCGUGCCAAUAUUAGUAGUAUUAUCCCAAGACUCGAAUGGAUAAGUACGUCAUGUCGCUUUUCCAGUAUGCACCACUAGAAUGACCUUUGAUUAUGGAGCUCGGAGAAUUUAUGUACUUCUAGAAAUUUGGCCGUAUCAUUUAAAAUUAAUUUAGACACUUGCCCGUAAGUUGUUUAUAUUCAUAGGGAAAAAUUCAAAAUUAAAUUCAUUAUGGUUUUAGAGGAUACUUAAAUGUGGAAAAUGUUACUCGUAUUUAUUGUGAAAACGUGACGCAUUGAUCAGUUCAUGUAAAUUGCUUUCUCCUCCUCAUGAUUUGAAGCUGGCGGGGAUGCUAUUACACAAGCUUGGCCUAUAUCAGAAAACCAAUGUAUUGGCUGUCCACUCAACCAAUUACUCUUGGAGUAACUGGCUACCAAAAAAGGUUUAAAAUUUUAUUAUUUGAGUGUGCAUUUUAAAAUCCAAAACUUUUUGAAAUAUUUCGCCAGCGGGUGCGUAAGCAUUCAUCUAAACCGAUGAUAGUUCAGUCCCCCCGAAUCUCCCUCUUGGCCUCGUUGAACCACCUCCUUCCCCAUAGUAUAGAAUAGGAAUAUGUCUAUCGCAUCCGAAAAAAAAAAAAAAAAAAAAGGCUAUCCAGUCCAACUUAGCAAAAAAUAAUUGGCAAACGUAGUAGGUCACUGUCUGACCGAGAAACAACAAUCUUGCCAGUGAGUAAAUUUUUAGCCAAAAGAAAAGGAUACUUAGGGUGAUGUGGCCAUUGCAUCGACGGCCUUUAGUUUAUUUAACAGAUCGAUUACUACAAAGUCCACCAUUGCAAUUAGAUUCAGAUGCCAAAGAACACGAAGAAAGAAUUAGUAUUUUAGCAUCCAUUUUCAUUUUGUAUCUUCAUGAAGGACCGACCACAAAGUAAUAUUAGUGCUAAUAUAUAAAGCCUUAAUAUAGCGCAUCGUAUGUAUGGGAGAUCGAUCAAAGAUAUACAUAUCCUCUGAUUCGUCAUCCCUUGUGUAACAGCUCAACAUCAAAGUUGAAAAGUGUAGAAUCCUUUAUUGCCCGCAAAUGAUGAGCUACAUCUCAAUCCAGCCUAAAGAUGGCCAGUACAUCGGACCAUGCAUGCAUUUACGUAAAGCCAAAAAAAAAAAAAGAAGACUAAGAAAACAGUAAAAAGUAGAAUGGAGAUAAGAGGAGAAAAAUCGAAUGCAAGAGAGAUGGAUAAUUGAUUUCCCCUAAUUCAAAGCUUUGAGUACCCUCUUCACUUGUAUCUUCUCGAGUGCAUUGGAGAUUAAGGGCGGUAGGCCAAGAUGAAGACCCUAUAUAUGAUGUGAUGAAUCAAUGAUGAUGGGGAUCAGGUCCUCCAGGGGCAAAACGAUUGGCAUCGGACAUGCCUCGACGUGGAAAUGUACCUUGUUUUCUUGAACUCGCUUUGAGAAUUUCUUGUGCUUUCUCCAUCGACGUUUCUUUCCCAUUACUAUAUGAAAAUACAUGAGGAGCACUACUACGACUUUCUGAGGUCGAAAGCGAGAUCAGUAGGACAAGAAUGAAGCAGAAGCAGAACCUCAGUUUAGCCAUCCUUGGAAGUAUAUGACUAAUUAUUGGUAAUGCAUGUGGAGAUUAUAAUGGGUGAUGGGGGUUUAUAUAAGCCUCCAUUGACAAGACUUUAAUGAUAUUUAAUCCAUGAAACAGGUCAAAUAGACACUAAUUCAUAUUGAGGGUUACUGGACACCACUUGGGAGAGUGAUGAAAGUGGGAGCACAUUCAUUCAUAAUGCUUGCUUAAGUAAAAUGAAAGUUUGUUUUUCUAUCUUUCUUGAAUUAAAUUUUCUUUGUGCUGAUGAUUCUAUUUGACCUCCAACAAUCACAUAUUCAAUGACCGACGUGGGUUGAAAACUUUGUUUGAUUUCUUUAGUUCUUGGAUGUGGGAUUGCCAAAUGUAUGCAGUGCAGAUUUAUUUGCCGCCUUUAAUUUCUUCAUAUUCAAAGAAAGCCAUUGCACCAAUGUAUCCUCUUCUAAGUGAUAAUAUAAUCACGCAUCAUAAUCCUAAAGAUAUGCAGACGAAUACUUCUCCGCUCCAUCGCUUUAAUUUUGCUUUGAAGCUGCUAGAAGAGUUAACUUCUGCCUAGUCACAAGGGUCUGGACAUAUGUUGCUGCUGAUGUUUUCUUUUCCUCUGAAGUCUCAAUUUGAUCGCUUUUGCUAAUAGACCAAUUGAGACAAUAUGUCUCACAAUAUUCUAAUUUUUCCGUUCAACCUAGCUAGAUGAAAUUGAAGGUCAUAUAUACUACCAGGCAAUCUUCCCCUAAAGCAAGGAUUCAAUAAAGUAACUUAUCCAUUGUCGGUUUCUACAUGAAAUUGAAGGUCAUAUCUUCUUGUUUGGAUUGUGAUUCUCCGCGAAAAAAUUUUUAGAUUUUUUGCGAACAUAUUUUUUAACCGCAUCUUUAUCUCAUAUACGUCAAAUCGUUACAUUUCAUUUUUUCUACAAAAACUUUUAAAAAUAGCAAUCCACACGGGCAAGCUUUCUGUAGAGCCUAAAUUCAUACUCUUUCAUUCUAAAGUCGCCUGACCAUGAAAUGUUUCGAUUAAGUGCGUACCAAGGUAAGGCCACAUACAUGUUGCUAAUGAAUGUCCAAAGUAGGAGUUUAUCCUAACGAUUGGUUGAUGAUAUAUCAAAUCCUGGUUAUGAACUAAAAAAUGUUCAGCCAGCUUUGAAAACCAUUUGUGAUGGACAAACUGCAAAUUAGGUCAUGCAGUGUGCUGUACCACAAGAGCUUAGACUGAACCGGAAAAUGUUGGUUGAGUUUGGAAGUCAUUGGACAAUGGUGAUCGACACAAGCAAUCAUUAACACAGAAGUUGACCUGUGUAGAACACACUAGCUUUAAUGAUCAAAUUAAGAUUUGUUUAGGAGUUGAUCGUACUAAGUGGUCGAACAACGGUCCAGCCAAAAAGUGCCCGACCAACCAAUAUUUAUAUCAGCCCAGAAACCUUUCAUGAUUUGAAACGUUACUUUCAGUUUCAUAUUAUCCUACUGGAUGGUAAAUUUUUAUCUCCUGAUUGCUUUCUUCUCGUGCGCCCUUUCUGUGUUCAUUUGGGUAGACAAACAACUAACUAGGGCCGUUUGGAGGGUGAAUUUUUUUAAAAAUUUAUCUAAAACUUUACUGUAACGCACCGUAGAAGUUUUUUAAAAAUAUUUUGAAAUGCGUAAAUUUUGAAAUAUUUCGAAGUGUAUAAUUUAAAAUUUUUGAAAAUUUUUUUGAGGUUAUUGUAAUUAAAGUUUUCAAAAAACUUGUAGCAAAUAAACUUGGUAAAAAAAACUCAAGUGCUAGAAUUUGCUUACUGGCUAGAAGUCGGUCGGACUCAAGUGGAUUUUCAGGUACAAUAAUUUACAAGGCACAACCUUUUAUUCUGUUUGUGGGACAUUUACUGUCACAAAUCAUCACAUUUCAAAGCAGAAAGUAGUGGUGGGUUUCGGAUAAUAAUAAUUGAUAAUGUCCCGAAACCAACCAAAUUCACCACUCAACGACAAACGAAGUGAUCACUAGAAAACAAUCCAAAAGGUUUGUGCAGCUUUCCAUGCUAAAUUUGAAGAACUGCGAAAUGAUUUGCUUUAGCAGAAAAAUGACGGGGAGAAAAAAAGUGUUCCAUCUUCCACAAGUGCAAUCUGCUUUCGGAUAUACAUACAUAAAAUGUUGUGGUCAACCUCAGUGCACAAAAGGACCAAGUCACUCAUCUUUCGGCCUGUGUAUGAUUUUAUAUUUCUUUAGUGCAUUUCAGAGAUUUAUUGUUUGUACAAUUUUUUUGUCGUAUGGAGAAUAUUCGUAUUUCCUCAACAAACACAGCAAUUUCAACCAAACACCACCUCGUCCUUCUUCAACAAUGCAUGUUGAAAUUGCUUGUACUGUAUAUAGUUAGUUAUUCUUGUGCAAAUUCUCCAUCGAUCCAAGGAAUGGCCAAGAACUGUAGUAGUUUUGUACGUGAGUUUUCAGAAACGGCCACAAAUGUCGAAUGUCCACGAAUUAAAUGGAAGAAUAAAUGUUGCGAAAUCUAUUCCAAUUCCGGUUGCUUAUGUAUCUCAUGACAAUUAGAUAGAUAUGAUGAUCUUUAAGCCCUUGCUUCUGGGCAUCAUUUUUAAUGGUUUGACAUGGAGAGAUUAAUAGUCGGUUAAGCACUACAUUAAUGCUUAAAGGGUAAAAAAGAGCACUGACAUGGACGAAAGAUAACGAUUGAUCCAUGGUUUUUUGGCGGCACUAUCUUAUUAUGAUCGAGCAAAUCCAGUUUAAUCAGCCACAAAUCAUAUAGUGUAUGUUUAUCUUAGCCUCUUUGAGAGUAAAAGUGCCUUCUCAGGCCAUCCAUCAUAAAAUCAAUAUGGUUUCACGUCAACGCCAUUAACAUAUCAGUCAAAAUCCCCCCCCCCCCCCCACACCAACGUGUUAAUCCACUGGAACAAUUUGGACCCCAAAUGAAUAAAAAGAAUCGCCAAAAGAUGGGAACUUGAUUAUUCUCUUGGUCAGGAUUAUAUGAAUGUGACUGCUAAAAAGUGUCAGAAUUUUAUUGUAAAUUGGCAUCAAGCAAGGCCAGUUGUUAACGAUUUUUUGUGCUAAUUUAAAGGGGCUGGGGCUUGAAUGAAAAAGAAUUAUUUGAAAAUAACGAGGUCCAUUUCACUAGACAGAUUUGAAGAAAUCAACCAACGAAAAUGAUGGUCUCUGUAUUCUACAGUGCCUCAGUUUCCAAAGAUGGCAGCCCUCCUGUUCUUUCCCCUUCUCCAAAGAUAGAUAAAUGCACAUAUCUGAUCGUUUCUACCCUUUACAAAAUUCCACAGCCAGCCAAUUGAUACAGUGUAUGGUUUGAUUCGGGGUAGAAGCAUUGCAUCCCGCAAGACAAUGUACCAUAAAUUUGGGAAGCAUGAACCCACCGGUCAACCCGAAUAUCUGGGGCGAAGAAGAAAAUGAUAUCCUGCCGGGAGCAAAAAUAUAGUGGGGCGGUUCCAAGUAAUUAUGCAUAAAAAGAUGCGUAAACCCAACAAGAAGAAAAAGUGAGAAAUAUGCCGGACGGCAAUUAAAAAGAAUAGGGCGGAUGAACAUUAGGAACUGCAAUGAGAAGGACGGGAUCCAGUAUUGGAGAAGAAAGUGAUUCCGUCACUCUCUAUCACCCCAUUUCGAUAAUACAAAAACUUGAUUGAUAUUGUAAGGGCCUUUCUAUGCUAUAUAACUCAAUCUGACUUGAAUAUAGAAUAUCAUGGAGACAAUGUGAUGUAAACUAGGAAUUGGUCAUUGUAAAGAGUCUGGGGAUUGUAUGCCCUGUUCAGAAACAGAAACAGGAUAUGGGCACCAACAAAUGUCAAAGUCUGCUCUAAGAUAAAGAGAAACUUGUGAUAGGUAAUAUGAUGCCUAGUUAUCAGGCAGGAGAGGCAGCCUAUCCAUAGUAUAAGGCGAACCAUUUGUUUCAGCAGCGGGCUUUAGUAAUUCAUCAUCUUCAUCCAAACCGUCAUCAGAAUGCCCGUCUUCAUGUCUUGCGCUUUGAAAGGGAAGAAUUCGAAGCCUCGCGUUAGGUUCACCAACUCUCUCUGAAUUUAGUUUGUAUUUACGGAUAAGAUCCUUCUGGAGCAGCAAUAUAUUCAGUGGCCUAGGGAGUAGCUCCACUGCUUCCCCUUUUGGGAUUACAACUGUUUCUAUAGCUGUUCUUGCCUCCUGUAAAUAAGUAAAAACUAAAAACUUGACUGAUGAAAUCUGAAUCCAGGCAUCAACUUCGUUUAAACUAAAUGUGAAAGUGGAAGUGGAUGCAUCCGCAAGGCACCAUUUAGUUUCAGACUGCAGCUUUGUAAUAUUACACGAGUUUAAUAAGCCCAUUUUUCAUGUCACAGCAAUUCUGGGCUAUGUCAAAUGCACUUCAAUUAUGUCUUGUGCAACUCCAUCUCUGCCAUUUGCCUACUGAGGCACACCGCCUAAACUGGAUAGCUUCUUUUCAUGGAUGUACUCAUUGAACCAAUCAAAAAGAUACAAGAUCCUCAUUAGACCUCUAACGUGAUUGCAGAGAGGCUAAUUAUAGAAUUCAAGAAUGUAGUUUUAUGCAAUCUUACAUCAUCUUAGUAAUGCAGUGAAUACAUUUUAAGAAACCAGAACAAGUUAAUUGGUGGACCAAAUAGUGAAGCAUCUAAAAAGCUUCCUGAUAACUAACAGAUCCUAGUUUUGAAACAGGUAAACUUGUAAAUAUUUUUACGUAUCGUCUCACCAAAACCAGUGAGAACAACACCCCCUCCCCACCAGUGCAGGGAAAAGAUUAAUGUGAAGAGAAAACCCUUACUGAUUCAGGAUGUUUUCAAUCAAUGAUGGAAUCCUCAAUUAUUCCCAUAAGCAUUAACAAGAAGUCAAAAACUUUACCUCCAGCGCAUCAAUCUUUUCUGACUCAUUCACCGUAGCUUGAGAUUCAGCAAAGCGAAAACCAUCUUUAUAGUCAGUUAUUAACGCCUGAAUAGCCUUUGUUAACUGUGCAAAUGAGCUUGCCUGUGAGAAAAAUAAAACUUAAGUGUCGCGCAUGGAGGAAGAGAGAGAAAUCCAAACUCAAGUAGUCGAAAUCAGUAUAUUACCAACUUAACACUGAAAACACAUCAAGCAUUCUAUUGGAACACGUACUUUCGUGACAUAAAUAGGAAUGCCAUGAGAAUGUGCAGCAGCUUGAAUUCGAGAAUUCUUUUUAAGCUUGGACUGCAAGGCUAGCAUUGCAUCUGCUUCACUGAUAUUAUCUGUGAACUCAAUGGCAUCAUCUAUUUUUAAUUGCUUCAUCCCUUGUAUCAUAGUCGCCUCAGAGACCUACAACACCUGCUUACUAUAUGAGUUUCACAUGCUACUGCUUUCAAAAAACAGCUAUCACAACUUUUGCCAUAUUUCAGAUGUUAAACUGAUUAAAAUACAGAUCAACAGGCGAUGUGUGGCAUAAAAAAUGGGACAGCUCCGUUUCAACCUACUUUUAUCCCCUGAAAACAUGAGUAACAUAAGAAUAAGAAAAGAAGUUUCAGGACAAGGUGUUGCAGAGUGCUUAUUACAGUUAAACUAGUUCCCUUGCUCUGCUGAAUCUAAUCAAAUCACGAGCUUGAAAAUGUUAUAAUUUCAUGAACAUGAUUUCAAAUUCAAAAUACUCCAUCUACAAACUUGCAAGGAAACAAAAAAGUCACUAGAUCUUCAUGUUCUUUUUUUUUCCCCCCAAUUAUGGUUUUUUGGAUGGCACUAAAAUAAUUUAUGACAGACAGAUCACUUCUAUUGAAAAAUGAAAGCAGCAAAUUAGUAAGCAAUAAGCAAUUGGUGAAUGAAACUUUAGUGGGAAAGCAAAAGAAAUGAUCCAAAGUGGACAGGCGCGUUGUACUUUGUAAUUUACUCUACUGUGGCAAAGAGAUGAUAUCUUACCCCAUACAGAAAUAAACAAAGGGCUUCCUUAUCUUCAGAGGAGUUCUCCUCAGUGCUUUGAUGAGAUUCUAAUGACCUCUCAUCAUGAUCAGAUAGGUCAUUAUCAUCCAUCAAUGCAUUAUCAUCAAGCAUACUGUCAAUUUUCAAGUCUAAAGGAUCAUGAUACAAUGAAUUAUCUUCUCCUCCAUCUUCUAUUCCCUUGAUCUUGCAAACUUGAAAAGUUGGGUGGCGACCUUCUCCAACAUAAUGAUACAAUGCCAAGCUACAUUUAAUCCCACUACCCAAAUUUAUAGAAAGCUGGAAAACAACAUCAUCAUCUUUUGCAGGAAGAGGAAGGAAACUAAACCUGAAAGAAUGGCAUCAACCGUUGCCUCUAGACUACGAUGAACUCGCAAUUCUGUCUUGGAAAUUAUCUCCACUGCACUGCUAAAGGUUGAUGGUCCUCUUCUCUCUUGAACUGUUUUCUGAACACCCCUACGACUUGCCUCUUCAUCCCCUAGGGUCACACUCUGAGAAAUAUAUUAAUGUCAUUAUUUGGUGAAGCUCACAAUAUUGGUGACCAUACAAUCAAACUAAUCUCCUAUUAGUAACACAAUAAUGAAAAAAUUUAUUCAGUAAUUAUAAACCGCCAACCCACCACUCCUUCCCAACACACUCACACACAAUCUCACAGAGAGAGAGAGAGAGAGAGAGAGAGAGGUGCUCUCUUUGGCAAGAAACCAAGUUGCAGAUUAAACCAUACCUGUACUCCACCAACAAGCAUGUCUAGUGCAGGAUUCAUUACCAAAUUAUCUAUUGUUACUCCAUGAGCUGUCGCAACUAACUGAAUUCCACGCUGUGCAAUUGUACUUGCAGCCACUGCUUCAAGCUUUGUACCAAUUUCAUCAAUCACAAUCACUUGUGGCAUGUGAUUUUCGACUGCUUCUAUCAACACCUGGAUAUCAAGAGCUAUAACAGCAUAAGUGUAAAGAAACGUUAAGUGUAACAGCAAAAGUUUUUACACUGAAACACCUGGAUAUCGAGAGUUAUAACAGCAAAAGUUUUUACACUGAAAUACCAAAAUCAAUGUUCUUACCAAUUUUUAGAAUGAGUUCACAAACAUUAAGUGUAAAGAAACGUACUGUGGCGUGUUAUGGUGCAUGAAAGACAAACAAUUCUAAAUUUGUCUAAUCCAUGAUGAUUGUCUUACCUUGAAGCCAGACCAAAAUUUUGCUUUGCCUAUUGUUUGGGUAAGAGAAACUUUGUCUCUUUCAACUACAAAACUCAUCUUUUUUAGAUGUGGACAUCUUGCAACUCUACGUUCUUAGCGAAUCACUAUUAUUUCAUCCUUGGGUUGUUAUCUACUUAAUUCAUAUUUUUCUUAUCCUCUGUUUACAUAAGUAGAUAGGGAUUACAAGAUCAACAUCAUACUUUGUGCUGCAUAUCAGCAUGAGGAACUUGCAACCUCCGAGCAUUUCCAAUCCCUGCAUGAGGAAUAUCACCAUCACCACCAAUUUCAUUUGAGGUAUCAACAAUCAUGACACGUUUAUCGUAAUCAUCUGCAAGCAUCCGUGCUAUGUCCCUUGCAUACACAGAAGUAACGCAAAGAGCAAUCAGAUACUCUUAUAUAUAACAACCAAGAAGGUAAAUGAGCCUAUAAAAAUAUUUAAAAGCAUUAACUUAUGAACCCCACUCUACCUCCAACUAAGGCAUUUAUUAAAAUAGCAUAAACAAGCAUGUAUAUUCUCAUAAACCUUAAUCAACCUCAAAUACGAAGAUAAUUACUCUGUCUUUCCAUACCUUGAAUACCCUACUAAGUAAGGAUCACAUAGCAGUAAACCAUAAAACUUAAGAAGCAGAAUGAACAUUCAUAUACCUAAUAAUCGUGGUUUUUCCAACUCCUGGAGGGCCAAUAAGCAAUAAGGAAGCUCCAUCUUUAACUAAAUCCCUGAGUAAAUUAGCACUUCCAGAUAAAGCUCGGCCAACUCGACAGGUUAGACCGAUAAUAGAACCUUUCCUAUUCUUAAUAGCACUAAUUCGAUGCAAAGUUCUGCUAACUCCUGCUCUAUUAUCAACUGCAAAGUCCCCAACCUGCAACAAUUUUUUUUUUAAUUUAAAAAAAAAUCCCAAAACUGCCAGCAACAUGAAAAAGCAAAUAUAAAAACAAAUUAGUAAUGUUUAGAAUAGGAAUAAAGUGUAAAACUUUUCACCUGAGAAACAGCAUAAUCAAGGUCUUCCAUAGUAAUGGGAUGAUCCCAUAAGAUAAAGUCACCCGAAGGAAAGCGGGCUAGCGGUUUCCGACCCAAAUCCAUGACCACCUCAAUUAGGUGGUGGAGCUCCUGAUGUUCACUAAUUCUCCGACGCAUUUCCUCCGGCAACAGUGCCAAUAAGCGACCCAAUUCCACAUCGAAAUCAUCGUCACUCAAGUAACAAUAACCCGUAGAAGAUGAUGAUGAUGGCGGCGAAGAUUUCACCGAAGAAAGGACCCGAAAAUUUCUGGGUCGGUUCAACGCCGACCCGGUAAGCUUUUGGUCCGGAUUACCAUUGAGAUGGAGGAAAAUGAAGGGUUUUAAUGGGUUUUCAACUUGGUAGUAGAAAAGGGCGUUGUGGAGAUGAGGAGUCGAAGAAAACAGCAUUUUUUUUUCUUUUCUUUUCUUUUUUUGUGGGGUGGGGGGUCUGUUCUGGCGGUAAAUUUCGGUUCAUGGGUUCUUUGGGGAAAUGGAUAAUAUGAUGUAUUUUCAGUUUAGUUCGUUUAGAAUAUUCUUUUACUUCUACAUUUUUCUUUUUUUCUUUUUUUUUUGUUGUCCCUUUCCGUUUGUGGCCUAAAAUUUUUUGGGCCUGAUUUUAAAAACAAAGACGUAAACUUCAUGGGCUUCUUUACAUGAGAUUAGUGGCCCGAGUACUCUGAACUGUCUAAGACACAUAAUAUGUUUCCUUGGGCUGAUGGGAGCCUAAUUUUGUUUCUUUAUUUUUCUUGGACAAAUUUGAGCAGAUUAAAUUCAAUUACUGCCAGGCAGAUUUUUCCAAAAGGAAAGACCGAAGAUAUUUCACCAAAAAGGGCGAAUUUGGUAGCAGUUAGUAAAUGAUUAAGACUUCAAGUGGGGUUAAAUGAUCUGUAAUUGAAGUAUUGUCUACAAAAUGGGGGUUUUGCCCGUAUCUGGUCAUGAUUUGAUAAUGAAAUUGAUCAGAAAUGGGAGACCUAAAUCGUGGCCCAGUUUUGGAAUUAUUUAUUGCACUGCUCAACAGAUCAUUUACUACUUGAAUGCUUUGGCACCAAGUCUUACGCGUCCAUGCUUGCCUAAAAAUUGAAACAGGUGUCUGCUUUUAAAUUUGGACAGGGGAGUGAACUAGAACGGCUUUCGGUUCGUAGUUUGAUCGGUUCAUUUGAUACAAUUCCAGUUUAAAGGUUUAAUCAUUUUUUUUUAUUUUAAUAUUAAAAAUUUUGAAUAAUUUGCAAUAUUUGUUUUAGAAAAUUAAAAAGUAGUGAAACCAGUUGAACCCUUCGAUUUUUAUCGACUCAAUUAGUUCUUGACCGAAUUUAACGGAUUUAAUUGAAUUUUUUGGGCUAAUCAUUGAAUCGGACCGAAAGAAUGACCAGUCAAAUCGAUCGAUCCGGUCUGAUUUUUUUUAGAACAUGGGUGUCAAGUGCCAAACUACCAAUCAUCCGUGGACAAAUGAUUAAUGUUAAACAAUUUCACGAGAACAAGAUAUUUAUAAUGAGAGACAUAAUAAAGCAUUAAAUCAUGGUGUAGUUUGUUCCCUUUAGUUGCAUGCAGAUAAUUAAUGACCGAAUGACUAUUCCACAGAAUCAACGGGAGGAAGGUCUAUCCCGAUCACGAAACCCGCCAUCCCACGAGUUGGCACGCAGCUGCUAAUUUUGAAUGCUGGCCAUCUUUUGCUUUUUUCGUCGUUAUAAUGGGGAAGUGAUAACGGAUGAGUUGGUCAGUAAUCCAAACUCGAAUCACUUUCUUGGUCAAGUCGGAUUCCCAUGCGUAAUCUAAUUCCUUUGAAGUCAGACCGAAUAGCCGCGUUGUAGUAGUCGUAUUUUGAGAAGUGACUUUUGAUUUUUAAGAUCGAUGCUUCUUCUUCGUUCAUUCGCGUGUGCAGGAUUUUCAAACUGCCAAUGUCAAUAGGAAAAGAACUAUUGGCCUUGUUUGGAUUGCUGUUUUCCGUCAAAAAAUUAUGUCAUUUUUCGUAAAUAUAUUUCUUUUUUAUUUUUUUUCCUCACAUACAUUAAACUGCUAUAAUAAUUUUUUUAUGAAAAAUGAUAAAAAAUGCAAUUCAAACGGGGCCGAAGAUUGCUUGGCAAAUGAUACACAGGCCAGGAGCUGAUUUGCUAAGCACUGACCUCACCACUUUUUUCUUGCCUUCAGUGCUUCCAACAAGGAAAAAUCUUAACGAAAUGCUUACCACCAAGUCACCCUCGUAGUCUUAGGCGAGACUACCAAUUUGAAGGCCUCAGAACCAAGAUUAGUUCGUAGGUUUAAUGAAUCCAAGAAUUUGGCUGCGAUCAUUAGUUCAUUCUCAUGCCAUGGCAUUGAUAGAUACUGGCAUGCUUGUACAUGUGCAUGUAAUAUAGGGCUGUUCGAACAGUUAGAAAACUCGAUUCAACUCGAUUCGAUAAGACUCGACUCGCCAAUUUUAGUAAACGAGUCAAGUUCGAAUUAGAAAUUUAUUCGAUUAACUAAUGAGUCGAAUAAGCUUGAGUCUUUUGUUAUUCGAAUAGCUCACUUGGGCUCAAUAAGGAAGAAUAUAUAUAUCAUUUUACAUAUCAAAAGAAUAGAAACUAAAAUUUAUAGGUUUUUGUUGUGAUCAAUUCACGAACUCGAAGUCGGGUCACGUGUCUCAUUUGGCGAGCCAAAUUCGAGCACACUUCAAGUCUCGUCCGCUUGGUCGAGCGAGCUCGAGCCUGGCUUGAACUAAGCAUGAGUUGAGUUCGGUAGUUAAAUAUUCGGCUCGAUUUGACUUGAUUAAUAGCACUAAUGUAAUAGUUGCAGUCUAGUCGAAUGCUCCAACAACUUAAUUUGGAUUCAAUUCUUUCUGACCAUGCAUGCCAUCAUCCGUUUAGAUUGCUAAUUUUUCAAAAUUUUUUAAAAAAAAUAUAAUAUAACAAUUUGAUAUAUGUACGGUAAAAAAGUUGAUUGAAAAAUAUUUUCACUGAAAAAGUUAAAAUUUUUCCUUUAGUUAACUAUUUAUCACUGUCAAUAUCUCUCUCAAUUGGAACUAUUUAUCACUGUCAAUAUCUCUUUCAAUUGGAAUUUACCUAAAAGGGUAAAUGUUACCUGAGAGACUAACUGAUUAUUUCACCACCACUCCCAUUAAAUUACACUUUCUUCGCAUCAACACAAAAACAAUCAAUUAUUGCAUGUCUAUCUGCGAUGGCAGACUGCAAUUGGUUUCACAAAUAUGACAGUAACUUAUGUGGCCAAAUCUCUUCAGAGUUUGAUUAUUUCAUUUUUUUUUUUCCUUGGACAAAAUUCAACACCUCAUCAAUAACCCUUCAUUUCUUAGUUGAGCCGCUAAUUGUCCUCUACAUGAUUAUUCUUGUCAAUUGCUCCUAUCACUUUCACAAAGAAUACACAAUGUGGACUCCAGGUUGUGUGGGAAGUGGGGCAGCAUAUCAAUAUCAAUGGGCACAACGUAGCAAGAAACAACAACAUAUGCCAAUGAAGCAAAAGAGGAUGGAUAACCUUGAAGGGAAGGAUCUAUAGUAUUUCUUUUCUUUUCUUUUUUUCAGUCCCACACGGCCACACAGCACAUGAAUGAUUCAAGACCCUUCAAAGGCCUUGAAUACAGUUGAUGAUGGCGCCAUGAACAACCGAACAUGAAGGACUACUAUCAAGCAACUAACUAGGCAUAACACUACCGUCAUCUUCAGAAAAGCUACAAUUAGUCUACGAGCUUGUUCAUCUACGUAAAGACCAGCUAAUCCUGAUGAGCAACACUGUCUGUAUAAUGAUGUGAUGUCCCAGUAAUUAAUGUACUUAUAAUAGAUUUGUUGUAGUAUAAUUUAAGCAUAUCAAUGGCCGUUUUGCAUUUGUUAUCUACAAACUGUUUGUGUAAUCCUUGUCCCUUGAUAGCGUAGUCUGGUCUUAGUACAGCGUAGUGGUGAUGCUGGCUGUGGCCCCGAUAUGGAUACUUCAUGGUCGUACAAAACUCACCAUGUGUCUUGGGUUUAUUAUGCUAUGCUGCUCCUGGUCUGAGGGUUCAAUUAUCUAGCAGCAGCAGGACAUGGUUUGAGCUUGACAUGGUACGAACCAUUACCCAGAAAGCUGCAAAUUGGAGUAAUUGCUAGUACCAGUACAGUGUUUGGGACCAUUCAUGUGAAAUUCAAAGGCCUCUUGAAUCAUAUGGGAGAAAAGUAUCUAGUACCAAGUUUUUAUGUAGAUUACGUUUUUCUUUUGGUAGAUUUGUACAUGAGGUCAUAAUCAAUUAAAUUGGGACAAGGGGCUGCAACCGUUUGUGCCGGUUUGUACAUUUUUCAACAGCGUAUAAUAUUUUUUGCACAUCGCGUAAUUUUUUUACACACGAAGUAAUUUUAGAACAAUUUUUUGUGGGCCCCACACAUGACGUGAAAAUCGAGUUACAUGCUAUAAUAUGAGCCGCACAAAUUUUUGAGGUCACAUCGUGACCGUGAACUUUCAGGAACGGUUGUCUCUGCCCCAUUUCCAUUAAAUCGUGGAUCUCGUUUCCGCCUUAGUCUGAUGUCUGUGACAGAAACCAAAAAAUGGUCAAAUUAUGACUUGUGAUUAGGCAAAUUGCAUCAUUUUUCUGCAACAACUGAUUGAUCACACCUGCGUAUGAAUGAUGAUGCACGAAAGCGAGAGCAUGCGACUCCAGAGGUAUAAUAAUUACGUUAAUUUCAUAGUAAUCAGCAGUAAACCAAUUAUAGCCGCCUCGGUUAGUAAAUGCUAACCAGUAACAGCUCCCACUUUGUUUUUUUUUCUUUUAUAUUAAUUGAAAGGUAAAUUUCAUUAACGGAUUAUUGAAAAUCAUCCAACACGAUUUGAUUUACAUUACUGCUCUGCUCUAACGAAGGUUAAACAUGCACUAGAAAUAACAGAUUGACAAUUUAACAUAUAUCAUAUAAUUAAAAAAUUAGGAACAGACUUUAAAAAAAAAAAAAAAGUACUAAAUUUUCAAAAUAUUCUUCUAAUGAGAUAAACCGCUGCCAUUUUUUUUUGUAAAUGAUUGCAAUUAAAUAAUGUGCAAAAUUUUGCAUCCAUUUGUUUUUGCAUGCCAUCCACGUCAUUCCAUCACAAUGCGAGAUUAUUAUAGUGCAGCCUCCGGCUUAAAAGCAAGUCACUAAUUGGGCGUCGACCUAAUAAAUUAAUGCUUAACAGACUUUAAUAAUCAAAUGCUUGGUGUACUAUGAGCGGAAAACAACGAGUCAACGCAUUAUGUUAUGAAAAUGAUCAAGAGAUCCCCACCUUUCCGAUCCCUUCACCGGUCAAUUUUCGCUGGCCUUUCUUACGUUAGUAACUUCGUACAUAUACUAGUAAACAAAUACUCCCUCCGUCCCACUUUGAUAGUCCUGUUUCUUUUUUCACACAGUUUAAGAAAAAGUAGUUAACUUUGUUGGAAAAGUAAAUUUAGAUUGCUAUUUUCCUAAAAUACCCUCACAUUAAAUAUGGUACAAUUUUAUGGGAAUUUGAAUUGAUGGUAAAAAAAGAAUCAACUCUCAUUAAGUGGAGUAGGUUUAUAGUAGCAACUACUUACAUUGAAUAAGGGUAUUUUGGGAAAAUUAAAAUACAACCACAUUCUUCAAUUGGAAAGUGGACUACAAAUUGGAACAGAUGAAAAAGGAAUACAGGACUAUUAAAGUAGGACGGAGGGAGUAGCAUAUUAUAAUUAGUAUCGGCGUGUCGUCAACGUAAGUACCUGCCUGCAGAUGAAACCUACUCCUUAACGAAUUCCAUCGAGCAGAUUGAUACUAUACAAGGUAGUUUAUACUAAAGCGGGAUGCAAUACUUUCGACGGAGUUCACGAGCUAAAGGUUGUUUUCAACUAGUAAUGGACAUAUAUAUUACACUUCUGGCUAGUCAUGUUAAUGGCGGGUCAUGGAUGGUUACAUGGUGAAUAAACAAAUGACAAUGCGAUGUGUUGAUGGAGAAUUAAAUUUUGACAAGAACGCAAGAGAGAAUUCUCCGGAAGAGAAAAUUUUAUGUGUAUAUCUUUCACUAAUCAAAGGAAACGGAUAGAUUCGUUACUUUCAAAAAGAUUACAAAUCUAUUUUAUGAUCUAUUAUAGAAAAACAAAUUAAAACACCAUUCACAAUAAUACUCUAGAACACUCGUAAAUAGAGCUGCAAACAAAUCGAAUCGAGUCGAACUUUAACCUAAUCGAGCCGAACAUUGCCUUAGUUUUAUGGAACGUGAACUCGAGUUCGAACUCAAUGAGCUGGCAAUUUUGAAAUUCGAACUCGGCUUCGACUCCAAAAAAAAAAAUAAUUAUUUUUAUAUUUUAAAAAAAAUAAAUAAAAUAAUAUUUUUUCUUAAUAAAUAAUAAAAUAUUAAGAAUAUAUAUUUAAUUUUAUUAUUAAAAUAAUAUAUAUAUAUAUAUUCAAUCUUGCGAAUCGAGUUUAAUAUUUUGAGCUCGAGUUCAAUUCGGCCAGAUCGAGCUUGACUCAAGCCGCUCGCGAACGACUCGAUUAAUUUGCACCCCUAUUCAUAAGUUUAAAAUAUACACACAUAUAUAUUAAAUAGGAUACUGAUGGUAAAGAUUGCCGGUGGUGUGUCUCGAGUGGUAAAGAGAGAGAAAAGAGAGCCUUUUAAAAGAUCGAAGAUGUUUUGGAAUAUUUCAAAAAAUAAUUAUUAUUAUAAUAAGUUGGUCCCUAAACAUGUAGGAAGAAGCCAGAAACAUUUGGAAGAUGGUUUAAGCUAGGAGUGGCAAUCGAUUCAGAAACGGGUUGACGGAUCGAGUUGAGAUUUGGGUAUAACAGGAAAUCUGCUGAUCCGAGUAUGACCCCCCAACCCCGAAACGGGUCAGGAUACUUGACCCGAACUCGAAAUUUUCGAGUUGGCGGGUCGAUUCGAAUAACCUGAAACAUAAUUUUAAUUUAUUAAUUUAUCACUGUAAUUUCUAAUAAAAUCAAUUUUGCACGAGGCUAAUUACAUGAUUAAGUAAUAAAAAUUUCAAUAAAAUAAUCCCAAACCUGAUCUAAAAUAAAUUAAAACACCGUAAAAGUGUUUUAUCCUAAACCAAAUCUAAAAUAAAUUAAAAAGAAUAAAAGUAGAAAAUAAUGCAAUACAUUAUUUGUCCAAAUACAAUAAUUUCAACUUUACACAAGUUAAAUAAAUUCAUUUAGGAUUAAGUGGUUAAUGCCUUUGGCAAAAAAAGAAUAACCUAAUUUAGUUAGAUAAAAUAAAUUAUUUUUAUUUUGUAAACGGGUUAUCAGGUCAUCUAUGGGUCGACCCGAAUUCGGCCUGUUUUCCUUUUGGGUUCAACUCGAUUUUGACCCGAACCCACAAAAUCUCAAUUCAAACUCAUUAAUUUUAUAUUAUAUUCGUAUCGUAUUAUCAUGUCGUGUCAGAAAUUGUCACCCCUAGUUCAAGCUCGAUCAAAGAUUAGUCAUAUACGGUGGGAAUUUGAGAAUGUUCGGAGGUUAUGAUGCAUUAAGAACUAACAAAUUACAAAACUCAUGUCGGCUCUAGCUAGGGGUGGGCAAAAAAACCCGCCGAUCCGAAAACCCGAUGAACCAGAUCCGAUCCGAUCCGAAAAAUAGGAUACCCGAUCCGAUUUUUCUUAGCGGGGCAGAUGAGGGUCGGGUACCCGAAAAAUCGGGUACGGAUACGGAUCAGAAAAAUAAAAACCCGUGGGUACCCGACCCGCAGGGUAUAUUUUAUAAAUAUUAAAAAAGUAGGGAUCAUUUUAUAAUUUUGUAAUUUUUAAUCCUAAGUGCAAGUGAAGUGGCUCGCAGUCUCAUAUUCUAAUCGUAUAUGAUCUACUCUUCUCAUUUUUUUUUGAAGAAAGUGAAUAUUCUCGGUGAAACAUGAACAAAAUGAAAAAAAAAAAUUUGUGAAACUCUGUUAUAAAAAUUGUUCAUCCCUUUCAUCUUUUUUAUUUUUAUUCUACCUCCAUCGAUCUUUCCUGCAAAUCUUGCAUCAAUUCAAUCAAAGAUUUUUGUUUGGAGUCUCAAUUUUCUGUUAGCUAGAUAAUUAAAAUAUUUGUAUCAUUCAUUUGCAAUUAUAUCUCUUAAAUUUGUCUCUUUUAUUUAGUGUAAGAAAUUUAUUUUUCUUUUUCAUCACCUUAAUACCAUAAGGUCUAUUCCAAAGAUGUAAAGAAGUUGGGGAAGAUUUUUAACAUUAUUUUGGUUAUAUUUUUUUUCAAAAAUAAUUAGUUCUAUUCAAUUCUUUUCCGAACUUGAUUUCACAAUUGACUUAUUUGAGAUGCGGUCUUGUACCAUAAUAUCCUUGGGGAAGUUACCAAAUACUUAUUAUCCUUGUGUUUGUUGUGUUGUAGAAGUAUGAAAUGUGUGAAAAUGGUGAUGUACUCAAAAUUAUUAUGAAACUUCGUUUUGUCCAUUAGAUAUUCUAAUAUGUACUAAAUUUAUGAGAUCGAUUUGAUUAUUGGAUGAAAUGUGUGAAAAUGGUGAUGUAUGGACUUUAAUUACAAUAUCUCUACCAAUAUUAAUUGGAAAAGCAUGUUUUUUUAUUGAAAAACAUGUUGAUAUUAAGUAGAAAAUAAAUUUUUUUUUGAAAAAUAGUUUUUUUUAGGGACGGGUACCCUAUGACCCGCCCCUUUUUUUCGGGUACCCGAAAAUAUUAGGAGCGGGUUAGGGUCGCAAAAUGACUGAUCCGAUAUAUUAGGGUCGGAUCAGCCAAAUCAUGUUAGGGACGGGUACCCGACCCGUGCCCAUCCCUAGCUCUAGCUGGUCCAGCGCAGCUAGAAAAGAGAUUUAAAAAAAUAAUAAUAAAAAGACUCUUACCCUCCCCAAGUCAUUUAAUUUAAUGUAGUUCCGUUCAGGACCUGGGAAGAUGGCUUCAAAUGCAAAACGGCUUAUGAAAAUGAUGCACUUUACAAUUUACGUACGCGUGCGGGCGGGUCAAUUGAUUGAUGCAAAUGAAUGAAUUCCUUCAUUUCUGAUUAUUAUUCCUGUGCUAUGGUCUGAAAAUUUCACCAUCUCACGGUCAUGGCGUCGCUGUCAUUUACAAAACUUGAUGCCAUUACUUUUAACUUCUUUUGCAUUGUUCUUUCUUUUUUAUUUUGUUUGGUCGGAAAUCUUUAGUACAGCAAUAACUCAUUUUAUUGGUGGUCGGACAGUACACAAUAAUAUGUGAUGUUUUUUUUUUUAAGGGUGAUAUGUGAUGUAUUUGUUUAUUAAGUAAAUCUUAUAUAUGUUGACAGUCUAAACACUAUUUAUGAUUGGAUGUACAAUAUAUAUAUAUAUAUAAUUUAGCUUUAAAUUCAAAUUCGAAUUAUGUGUCAUGCAUCUAAUAAUGAAAAUAUAUAUACUGUCAGUGUAUAUAAAAUUAAUCACUAUUUACUUCAUACAUGUAAUAUAUCUUAUAACCAAUAACUUAAGAAUCGUGGUGGAUCGUUUUUGCUAGAAAGCUUAAACGUUGAUGGGUAUUUUUACGUUCUUUAAUAUAUAUAUAUAUAUAUAUAUAUAUAUAUAUAUAUCAUAUAUAUAUAUAUAUAUGAGGGUGACUUGUCACUGUUGAUUGAUUAUAAAUUCUAAUUUUAGAUAAUCAAUCAAGUCUUUGAUGUCCUUGUUCGUUUUUAUAUCUAAUGUAAUCAAUACAUAUGAAAGGUGUUUAUGAAAUUAAACACCUAACUAGUGAAUUAAACGGAGGACAUGCUAUAUCAUAGUCACACAAAAGCGUUUUAUCUUGUAUGCUUAAUCAAUUGGACGAAGGGUUAAAAAUGUGAUAUAUAUAUACUCAUAAAGCCUAGGAAGGCAGUACCUUAUAUAGUAUUUAGGUUUUUUCAGCUAACGAUUCAUAGAGGACAACUAGUAUCACACAAUUAGAUCAAGUAUGUGUCAUUAUCUGAUCAAUCAUGUGGACUCCUCCGUAGAUUAAGUAGGUCCAAUUUGUUUGGAGGUGAGACAAAAUUUGAUAAUAAGGACGGCACUCAAUUGGGAACAACGCAAAUCGCAUGCGUGGCAAAAAUUGACCUGUCAAUUUACAACUCAAAAAUUGAAAAAGAAGAAAAAAAAAAAAAGAAGAAGAGGGGUGAGUAUAUUAUCAAUGCUACAUAUAAUCCUUGAAGCAAUAAAAGGUGAGAAAAUCCCUUAAAGAAACAAAGGAAAUAGGAAUCAAAACGUACGCAGGCUUCAAUGAAUGUACGUUAUCAUGCAUUGGAGAAUUGUCCAAACAUCUAAAUUGCCAUUAGGUCGCAAAUCAACGAGUGCUGUAAUUAAAUAGGCGAUGUUUGUUUAAGAAAUUCUCCACUGACUUAAGCAUGAUCGAUUAUUAUCGUUGACGUCUUUAUCAAAUGAAUUAGUACGUAAGUAUCAUGCAGGUCUCAAUUCUCUCACACGGCGGCCAUCGGCGAGGCGAAACCCAAAAAUAUUGGGCUCAUUUGGAUUGCUAUCUUCUGGGAUUUUUAUAAAAAAUAUAUAUAUACUGUAAUUAUUUUGAUGUAUGCGAGAUAAAAAAAAUAAUUGAAAAAUGUGUUUACGAAUAAUAUAGAAAUUCUUUGAGAAAAAAAAAAAAAAAAGGCAAUCAACUCUCCCUAUGCUUGCGUGAAUGGAAUGUUUGUCGAUCCAAAGUAGUAGUACUACUAGUAUUUAAUUUCAACGCUCCAAGCAAAUCCAUUGAAGACAAGGGCCUCAAAAUUCGGUCAUGCAGGAUGGCAAUUUCCAAUCAAGAGGCAUGGGAAAGUGGGCAACCUCAAUCUUAAAACGUAGUACCAAGUAAAUCUGGAAAUACACAGGAUUUGCAGGACAAUUGUCGACCAAAUCCUAAUGGUUGAGAAAACCUUGGCUAGGAUAGGGUAGACAAUUUAUUGAAUCAUAGCCAUAGGGAACAACACAGUUCUUUUGGAGAUUUCUAAGUUGUGCUAAAGGUAACACGUUCACCAACAUUUGUUUUGACCAAUUCCCGUACUAUACUGGCACGCAUUGAUCUUAAUUAAUUAAAGAGCAUUUCUCACUUGUACCUCAUCCUCAAACACUUGUUAAUUACUGCUCCCUCCGUCCCACUUUAAUAGUCCUGUUUCUUUUUUCACACAGUUUAAGAAAAAGUAGUUAACUUUAUUGGAAAAGUAAAUUUAGAUUGCUAUUUUCCUAAAAUACCCUCACAUUAAAUAGAGUACAACUUUAUGGGAACUUGAAUUGAUGGUAAAAAAAGAAUCAACUCUCAUUAAAUGGGGUAGGUUUAUAGCAACAACAACUUGUAUUGAAUAAGGGUAUUUUAGGAAAAUGAAAAUAUAACUACAUUCUUCAAUUGGAAAGUGGACUGCAAUUUGGGACAGACAAAAAAGGAAAACAGGACUAUUAAAGUGGGACGGAGGGAGUAAUAUGUUUCUGUCUCCUUAAUUACCAACCCUCAAGUACAAGAUGACAGCUUUGUGAAUUGUUACUACUACUUGUUAGUGAGAGCAAAUGUAAAAAAUAUAAGCUAACAUGUUUUAAUUGUAUCUAAAAAAAAUUGUUGCGCUAAAAUAAUAUGCCAUAUGUUUUUCUAAUAAAAUUCAAUCAAUUUAGAUGGUAAUAUUGUACUAGAUUAUUAGUUAGUAUUCAGUAGUCAACUAAUUACUUAUUCAUUACUAAUUAAUAUUUAGUAAUAAUAUGUGUGUAUGUGUACAUAUAACUAAUAUAUAUAAUAUGAUAUUAUAAAAGUUUCAAAAAUUUGAUUGGUAAUCGAUAAUUUGGUAACGUAUUUUUAAUAUUUAUUCCCGAACUUUUUUUGAUUAAACAUUAUAAUUUAAUAUAUUUUGAUAUUACCAAAUUCCGUCUUACCGAAUUUCGAAAUCCAAUCUAUAUCCAAUUUUCUUUUUUCUUUUCCAAAAUUUAAACAACCCCUGAGGCUAGAUAAUAAUCUGCAGUAGUGUUCCCUUUAGAACUGCACGGAGGGUUCGCGGUGGCGGUGAUAGCGGACAUUACAAUUCAAGUGCUCGAGGAUUGUCAGCGCCCAGCGUUUUUCAGUGAAAAUUUAAUGGACUGUUCUAAAUUGUCCCAAAUCCAUCAUACAAAAAUUCAGUAAAAUUAAAAAUAAAAAAAUCAUGCAUCUAUAACAUGCUUCUUUUUUACUUCGUUGCCAUUUGCAUUUUCUGCUAGUUGGUAUGCCAAAAAACAAGAGGUUUUUUUUCUUGAUAUGUUCGGAUUUUUCUACUAUUUAAUCGAAGUAAAAGAGGUCAAAAAAUGGAAUGAAUAUUAAAUUAUGGAUUAAUUUUUUCUACACUGACAAUGUAUACGAUGUCAGUAUUUGAUGAAUAACAACUACGCGAAAUUUGAAUUUAAAAUUUAACUUUUAAACACAUGUCAUGAAUCUAACAAUUACAGCAUAUAUAUUGUCAGUGUAUAUAAAAUUUAUUCUAUUAAUUUAUUGACCGGAAAUUAUUUUGGAGAGUUGGGAUAGGAAAUUGGGCAGCGGUGAUUUUUGAAGCGCGUUGGCAGUUUUUGGAAUCUAUAAACAAUACUCCUGUUCUUAUCUGUUUAAUAAUAAUCCAAAACUGAUGAAAUAUUUGUCAGACGCUAUAAAGUACAAAUCCUGUGGAUGUAAAGCAUGGAGUUAAAUUCCACUCUUAUCUUGUUUGCAAGACUGACUGUCUGUCAUGCAGAGCUACUGCAGUGGUUUAUUACUGCUAUCAAAGACAAUGCCGUGACCCUUGGGGAGUCCGUAAAUUCUGCAUUCGAAGGUUGCCUACAAUUUUUCUUCAUUCACGUAUUGGCGAUGAUGUUUUAAUUUAGUAAUCUAAAGUUGGGAUUUUAGAAUUUAUAAGUUUUGAAUUCAAAUUUUUGCAUUUUCCUCCCUUGCUCUCCAAUAUAUAUAUAUAUAUAUAUAUAUAUAUAUAUAUAUUGUGACAGUCCCACCUCCUUCCGAGGCGAAUCAAAAGGUUCGGCAGACCGCCUAGCCAACUCUCGCCAGAACUAUGGAGUCGAAUCUAACAAAUUCUAUAGUACGCGCGAUAGGACCAAAAGAAAACGAACAAUCAGAGACUACUAAAGUGAGAACAUGCUUACCAAAUCAUAAAAUCAUAAUAUCUCAAACGAAUACACUUAAUAGACAAGAUUAAACACUUAUACAUAUAUUUACAUCGAAAUUUUUAACAAAUUAACUAAACUAAAGUACAAGCCAAAAUAUUCAUACAAUUAAAAAUACGAUUCGAGUUUCGGUUGUAAAAGAGCUUAACAAAAUAAUAAUUACACUAACUCGACCCCUUUCUUCCAAAAUCAUGGAUUCAAAAUUUGCCCCUUAAAGGAAAAUAAAGAUAAUGGAAAGGGGGUGAGUUUAUGCUCAAUAAAGUACCAAAAUAAUAGCAGUCAAGAAUCAUAGAACUUCAUGCUCAAUUAGUCACAUAGGCAUAUCAAAUAGAGAAAUGAACAAACACCUUAAAUAGAAAGGAUACAGGCGGUUCUCAAGAGCCAAAAUUUUUAUUGCCGUACUUGAACCAAACUAGUUGACUCUCGGUCAACGUAUAAAGAACAACCAUGUCCGUAGAUCCUACUUUACACCAAAUUUCGUUCACCAAAUAUACCCCUUACUGGGCCCGAACAUCUCAACAAAAACAGAAGUGGUAAUACUCAAGUAUACCGGAAUCAAGAGUUUCAAUACCCAAAAAUUCCCAUAAAUAGACUACUGUGGUUCGUUAAGACAUAUACCUAUAUUUCAUAUGAAGACCUUCAAAGUCAAAUCAUACAUUUUCAUGGUCAAAAAAUCGAAAUCUUAGAGAAAACAGAAAACUGUCCACGAAAUAAAACUUGUGGGGCAGUCAAGGGUAUUUCGAUUAUUUCACAUGCUACAAUACUCCGAUUGAGAUGAAAUUUUACAGGCAAAUAGCUAACUCAAUUACCUACAAUUUUUAUGUUUUGAACAAGGGUUGAUUCAGUUUCUAUCCUAGACGAACAUCCAGUGCAAAAACAGGGCAGAUUGAAAUCCUAAAACUGAAAUUUUUGCACCCUAACUGAAAUUUCUUUAGGCAACCAAAUCUAGCAUACCAAAGCUUCAUUUUAUACCAUAUAAAGCUAUCAUUUUAUGACCAACCAUUACUCAUCACAUGACGGCAGAAAUUCACCAUAAAAUUAAAAAUUACCAUAAUACUACUUUAAACCAAGAAAUCUCCCACAAAACUACAUAUUUAACAACUAUAAACCAUUACUAUACAAUUAUUAGAAGUAAAUGAGGGGUUUUUUGACAAGUUAUCUUAGAAACACCAGAAAGAUGAUAGUUUAGUACUUCCCCCUAAAAAAUCACUCCACCAACACCUCUAAUCCUUCCUAGUAAGAAGUUUUUAUGGAGUAAUUUGAGAUACUAGUGGUUGGAACUCAAGAUUUGGGUUAGAAAUUGAAGUUGAAGAUGAGGAACUCUCUUGGUUUUUCCUCUCCCUUUGUUCGGCCAAGCCAAGAAGAAAUAAAAAGGGUUCUUUGUCAAAAUUGGUUAAAUAAAAGAUAAGACGGUCUUAAGUCAAAAUCCAACUUCCAAUGAUUUUGUAACAAAUGGCACCUUAGGGUUUCAUUCUCAUCCUUUGUCUAUCAAUGGUAAUUUAUCUAAAUAACCUCUAAUUGUAUUCUAACGCAUUGUAAAAUAAUAUUAUUUGAUACAAAACUCCAACAAGUUGUCAAAAAUAUAUCGCAUUUACCGCACUAGCGGAUCCUAUGUCAAUAAUACACUUCAAACUUAUCAUGAACUAACUUAAAUUAGAAAAAUGAUUUAAAAACUAUAUUCACUUAUAAAAUCUCUGGAAAAAUCGAAAUAGUAGGAUAUAAUGAAGAAAAAUGCACACAAGGAAAUAAAAUAAAUAAUAUAAAAUUAGAGAAAUUUACGGAUCCUCACAUAUAUUUAUGAUUUAAUUUGAUUAAUUUGAAGUCCUUUAAGCUCUAUUUGAUUCUAUUUAGUCCUAGCUAAUGCCCUGCUAACGUGAUGAUGACCGGCACACAAAAAAGCGCGUAAUUUGAAUAGCCUUAGGGUACAAAAAAACCUUUCAAGUAAUUAGAAUUCAUAAUUUUUCAGAUAAUAACUCUAGUUAAUUCGGCUAGUAAGGCUAUUAGGGGUGGGCAAAAUACCCGUUGACUCAAAACCCUUGAGAUCCAAUAUGAUUUCCUCCAAAAGAUAGGAUACCCAAUCCACAUAAUUUGAUCGGAUCAGAAUGGGAUCCAAUGCCAAUUUAUGUGUGAGCUGAGCUAGCGUUAGAAGUAGAAUUGCAUAUGAGUUAAGUCGCUCGCAACCUAAUUUGAGUUAAAAGCUCGACUCGAGUUCGAUCUAAUCAAAUCGAGUUCUAACUCGCGAGUUGACUCGAUAUCAUAUAUAUUAUUUUAAUAGUAAAAUUACAUAUAUAUUCAUAAUAUUUUAUUAUUUAUUAAAAAAAUUACUAUUUUAUUUAUUUUUUUAAAUCGAACUCGAGCUUGACUUGAAUUUGAAGGCGAAUUCAAAUUCAAAUUUUAUAUUGAGAGCUUGAUGAGUUUGAAUUCAAUUUCAAGUUUGUUAAAAUUAAGUCGAAAUCCAGUUCAAUCAGACCAAAAAUUUGCAAUUGUAGUUAGAAGAAUAAAAAUUUGCAGGUACUUAAUCUAUCCCUCCCCCUCGGCCCCCUCCCCAACACACACAAUAAAAACGCACAUAUACACCAUUUUGCUUUUUAAAAAAAUUUUUUUUAACAUGCCAAGAAAAGUGAAAAAAGGAUUAGGGAGGUGGAGGGGGAGGAGGGGCGAUGCCAAUAAAGACUCUCGACGAUUGCUAGUUUCCGUCAUUGUGACGACGAGCUAGUUGAUAUUUUUCUGGUUUACUUGACUUGACUUCGGUCUUCAGCUUCAUUUCUUCACGCGAAUCUGCUCAACCACUUAGUCAACACCUCUCUGAAGAUCAUUUUAUUCCGAUACUUUAAUAGAGUACUUUACUGUUUUUUCUUCCCUCUCCAUCCCAACUUUAGAACAGCACUGAAGGGGCAGCCAACUGGAUACUUGAAGUCGUUGCAUGUGAAAAGUAUUUGUCGCAGGCAUAGUGCUAAUUGCAGUAAAAGAGCUGCUUAAAAGGUGGAUGGAAGUUUAGCCAUCAUGAUGAAGAUAGAUAAGUACACUGAUUCGCUGAAAAAGAUUGUACUGCCAAAAAAGAAGGAAAAAAAAAAAGAAAAAAAGAGGUCGUGACAUAUAGUUGUAUGGCCAUGGUGAUGAUUUUGCCAAAACCCCGCCAGACAAAUCUGAGCCCUCAGCCAAAAGCUGAUCAUUACUGGUUAUUUUUGGCCUCCUCCUUUCAUUUCUCAUUUUAUCUGCCAACAACUUCUUCUUCUUCUUUUUUUUUCAAAAAAAGGUGAAAUAGGAAAAGUGUAGUCAAUUUUUUUUAAUACAGGGAAUAUUUUAAUUUUAUCGGAUUAAUUUUUCUGUAUCUGUGCACCGCGACCCUAAGAAUAUACAAGCGAUAGAAAGAUAACUCGAACACACGACCUGAUUAGACUAUUUCAAAACCAUCCGAUCCAACCCCGAAGUGCAGGAAAGGUGCAGUCAAUUGCUAUCAGGAUUUGGGAAUGGGAAAUAAAUACUAAUAAACAAUUUGUUCAUCAAUCUUAAAAUAUGCUUACUCGAAAAGUGAAGCUAAAAUAAAGAGACAGGCUGAAAGAGAUGCCAGAUACAGUAAUCCAGUAAACGAGAAAAAGGUCGGUCGGUUGGGAGAGUGAAAUUUGAGAGGAGGGAUGGAUGAUUUUGUUUCUUUUAAGUGAAGCAAUAAAGGGGGAGAGAGAAGAAAGGAAAAAAAAAAAAAAAAAAGGAAAGGGAGCCAGAGAAACCACAAAAGCUGUACGAGGUCAUUUUCAGGAAGGGGGUGGUGGUGGCAUUUGAAGUAAUCCAUCCCUCUCUAUCUAUCUUAACAAGAUAGAAUAAUUUAGUCGGACAAGUAAGUAAGUAGAAUCUAACAAAAACCAAAGCACACAUCCCUUUGAACUAACUAUAAACAAUUCUAUAACCAAAACCAAACCCCCAAAACCCCACCAUAUAAAAUUCCAGCCUAAGACAUCCAUCCUCUUCUGUAUUUAACUAAUUAAGCUGAACAAGUUAAAAAUAAUAGUAGAUUACUACUACUGGACACCAGAGAAGGUGCCAGAGACAUGAGGAAAUUAGUAGUGUAAAGUAAAAACUAAUAAGCCCAUUUCAGUUUUAACUAGAAAAAAAAAUGAAAUGAAAAAUUGGAAGUCUGGUACUUGUUGUAUAGGCUGUACAAAAACAAGGGGGGAGCAGCACAGCACAGCAAAGCAAAAACAGCAGAGGAGGACAGUGAUGAGAUCACCAAUAUCUUUAAUCUCCUUUCUGACCAAACGCUGCCACUCUUCCCAGUGGCAUCAAGAAAGGCUCUUAUAGCCAAAAAAACAAGUCACCUUUUUUUUUUUCCCCCUUUUUCAUAUCCUUCACAGCCCUCCCAUUUGCUUAUACAGCUGUGUGCCCUGCCCUGCCCUGCCCUGGUCUCUCUCUUCUAUCAAAAAAAAAAAAAUGAAAAUUUUGCAGGAAAAUUACUGGGAGGGUUCCUGAAUUUGGACUCUCUGCUUCUUCAACCGAAAGGUACAAAAGCAAAAUUAUCAGUUCUCUUACUCGGUACUAUCUCUCCAUAAGUACUUCUUUACAGUUGCAGUAGUUGUAAUAGUUGUUGUACUAGCAGUAGAGAUAGAGCAAAUAGAGCAGGAGCAGCAGAGCAGGAGCAGCAGCAGCCUAUAUAAAUAAAGGCUCUCUGGAAAGGGGAAAAGAAAUAUAGAGAGAUGGGUUAGGCUAAGUGGGAGGGUAGCUUAGCCUUUUGGGUCUAGUAUUUUUGAGUUUUUCUUGUGUGGUUGAGGGGUGAUGGAAUUAGGAAGGUUGAAUGGCAGGGCCUUUUGGAAGAGGCAGCAGCAGUAUCAGAUUUCAGAAUUGUGGCAGCAGAAGCAGCAUAACAAAGAAGAGGAAAGUAGUGGAGAACAGAGUGAGCAAACAACAACAGCCCACUAAGAAUAAAAAGUUUUCUCACCAUCAAUCAAAAGCUGGAACAUCAACAAAAGCAUCACAAGGGUCUGAGUCUGGAUCCUCAGAGGAAUCAUCAUCCUCAUCAUUAUCCGAACCCAAACCAACCAUCCCAAGUCCCUAUCUCUGCAGGACGCCAAGAAGAAGACGUGGAAGAAGAGGAAGAACAAGAACAAGAACAAGAACAAGACCAAGCCCACCAACAAUCCCAACUGCUCCUAAACCAUCAGCUGCUCUAUUUAUCAGCAGCACCGCCAGAAACAUCCCAGCCACCAAAGAAACGCUCCUACUUCCCUUCUUCGUCUUCAACCGAACCGGAAGACUACGAACAUGCGAGAUUGCGAGAGAAAAUGGGAGAAAAUUUUCACCACCACCACCAACUUCAACAGCAGCAGCAGCAGCAACCCACAACCCGCCAAAGUUCUUCAAGACUAAGCGGUUUAAGGAACAGCACUGGGGCCGGCGAGAUCGUGGAAGUCCAAGGCGGGCACAUUGUGAGGUCUACGGGGCGCAAAGACCGCCACAGCAAGGUCUGCACUGCCAAAGGCCCAAGGGACCGCCGUGUGAGGCUAUCUGCCCACACUGCCAUUCAAUUCUACGAUGUCCAAGACCGCCUUGGCUACGACCGCCCCAGUAAAGCUGUCGAUUGGCUCAUCAAGAAAGCCAAGUCUGCUAUUGAUGAGCUUGCCGAACUACCUGCUUGGCAUCCCACAACUGGUUCAGCGGCAGCAAACACCAGUUUUGAGCAAGACCAACAAGCCCAAAAAAGUCGAGCUGAUAAUCUUCAAAACCAGCAGCAGCAACAUUUAGGCGUCACCCACCAUGAUGAUGUGGUGGGCGCUGCUAUUGCUGCUGGCCCUUCUAGUAAAAGGGUAAUGCCAAUGUUGGGCAGUGAAAAUGCCCAACAGGGCUUGCACCAAACUGAUAGUGCUGCAAAUCCAAGUGGAAAUAGCUCGAGUUUUCUGCCUCCUUCUCUGGACUCGGACUCAAUUGCUGAUACUAUCAAGUCCUUUUUCCCAAUGGGGGCUUCUGCUGAGGCUAAUUCCUCAGCUAUGCAAUUUCAGAGCUUUCCACCUCCAGAUUUGCUCUCAAGAACCAGUAGUCACCCCCAAGAUCUGCAGCUUUCUUUGCAGUCAUUUCAAGAUCCCAUUUUGCUCCACCAUCACAACCAACAACAAGCUCAGCAUCAUCAGAACCAUCCCACAAGCCAACACCCUGAACAAGCUGAGGCCCUUUUCUCUGGAAAUACUCAACUUGGUGGGUAUGAUGCUGCAGCCUGGUCUGAACACCACCAGCAGCCUGCAGAAUUAGGCCGGUUUCAUCAGAGACUGAGUGCUUGGAAUGCCAGUGGAGACGGUGGUGGUGCAGGAGCAGGAGGAUACUUGUUCAAUUCGCAGGCGACGCCUCAGCCUUUCCUGCAGCAAUUGUUCGGCCAAAACCAGCUUUUUUCUCAGAGGGGACCCCUUCAGUCCAUUAAUACACCUUCAAUUCGUGCUUGGAUGGAUCCAUCAGCUAUAUCCAUCGCCACUGCAGAUCAUCACAUUCCACACCAUCAGGCAGUGCUGCCAAUUUAUCCAUCAUCGAUAUCUGGCAUUGGAUUUGCCCCUGGAGUAGGCGGAUUCUCAGGGUUCCGCAUUCCUGCACGAAUUCAAGGUGAAGAAGAGGAGCACGAUGGCAUAUCAGACAAGCCAUCCUCUGCUUCCUCAGAUUCUCGCCAUUGAGUUAGCUCAAAACAACUGCAAUUUCCCUCUCUUUUUGCAUUACAGGUAAAUUUUCCUCGAAUUCAAUAAUUUGAUUGCAGAUAAUGCUGAUUAAGUUGAUAUAAAGAUUGAAUCUUUUUGAAAAGGUUAUACUGCUACAUUAAGCUUAAUUUGCAGGAGUUAAAUUGCCGUUGCGGUGGGCAAUCUUGGAGUUCCAAGUUUUCAGCUUUGUCGCUGCUAGAGCUUCAAAAUUGCUGCAAUUGGAGCAGAGAGAAUUCAGUGAGUUUAACUCAAUAAUGGCGCCUACCACGGGAAGAAGAAUUCUGAGUGUAGUUUCAGGUUUUUCAAUCCCGGUUUAGCAUGCUAUGUUAAAUUUGUUUAACUUCCCAGCUUUGGCUUCAUGUUUAAACGAGCUCUUGUAGCUCAACUUUGUUAAGUUAUUUGGAAUUUGCUUUGUGUCUGUUGGUUUUGUGGUCAUGUUUGCUUCAGUUUCUCUUUAUGAACUAGAAUUGCUGAAAAUGUUCCAAUGUGUUCGAUGAAUAUGUUCAUGUGACGCCUUAGAGCGAAUUUCAGAUUGCUGUUGCUGUCAUGUUUGUCACUGUUUGCUUAAAUUUCUGUUUAUGAAUUAGACCUGCUGAACAAGUUCUACUGUCUUUGAUGAAUACGUUCAUGUCACACCCUAGAGCAUAUCCGACUACCAUAACUAGCAUUUUGUUUUCUAUGAUAACAAGGCAAUCCAAGAGAGGUGAAAGGAUGGAUGAGUUUGCAUGUAUUUGGGCUUGUUCUUGCUUUCUCAACUCGAAAAAGGUGGACAAUUAACGAAUGGGGUUGGUCAAUUCAUCAUGCAGAUGAAACAGUCCUUUCUAUUAAAAAAAAAAAGGUUCUUUCUUGGCAAUUUGAUGCAAUACAGCUUUGUAAUGCAUUAUUUCAUGCUCCAGCAACUUCCUUAACCCACAAAGAGAAUUGAUAGAAUGACUGAUCUUUUACAUCUCUAUCGAUGCUGGAAGUUUUGGGAGCAUUGCAAGACAGGUCAUUUUCAAUGCACAGCGGAGUCAUUAAGAGUCAAGAGUACCUGGCUACUGCAGAUAGCUGAGCAUACAAUUCAAUUUGCUUCGAAGUUUUGUAUCUUUUACAGUCAUUCUGGCACAAUGAUUCUCAUUAAUUUCGUCUUACAAGCCAUUGAGCCUUUCUGGUAUAGAUUGACCGCAUUGAAUGAGUCCCAAAAUAUCCUUUUUAGCAGCAAGUGAUUUGAGGAGAGGUGUUGAAAGCCUUUAAUUUGUCGAGUCCAUUUACGAUUACUCGAAAAAGUGAAUAUUAAUUUAGACGUUUUAGCUGUUGCUUUCACUGCAGGAUCUGCAGGAUCUAGAUUGUGUAAGAGGGAGGUGGAUUUGAAUCAUAGUUGUAGGUCCGUCAAGGUUGGUUUAGCAUCAAAGUCAGAUUAUUGAGGAAUCUAAGGUAAUGUUCUGUAAUUAAAGGGUGCGGUAGAUGGAUGAAAUGAGGGAACAGAAGCUGUGGGGCCAAGUGAAGGUCAGCUGCAUGAGGAAUUGAGGAACCUAGCAAUUAUUAUGGGUGAAAUGAGGUGACGAAGCUCAAUUAUGGAAAGAUAUAGAGAUGGAUGCCACCAAAUUGUAGUAUUUGGCACGGUUCAUGGUCCCCUACAUCUGCCAAAUCUCUGUGCCUCAUAAAAAUCUCAAAAUUUCGCUGGAAUUUCGUUUUCUUUUGGGGAAAAGGAAGAAAAAUGUAGGACUUGGCUGCUGUUAAGAUGGUGACAAUUGCUCAUGGUUGUUGGUACUUCUUUAUGGUCGAUGAGUACUAUACAGGAGGGUGUGUACCUCAUUUGGAUUUGCAGAAUAUAUGUGAUUAUGUAGAUUGAGAUAUUAUUUGAGAGAUUAUGUAGAUUGAGAAAAGGGCAGUUCGUAUUAGCAAAGACCCUCAAAUGUUAUUAGUUCUUCUUCAUAAAAUACCCUCAAACGCUGUUGGAGAGGUGAUGUUUGGUACUCGUUUGCAGCCACUGAAUGGAAACGCGACAGUAAGUGGUACGGGAUUCUAUGUGCUGAAUUUAUUAGUCGGAUCGUACUGCUUUUAGGUUCUUAAAUGAAAUAUGGACAACAUAAAUAAUGCGAAAAGAGCUAUCUUUUCCAUUGGGUUGGACCAUUAAUCAGGUAAAAACAGGGCAUGAAAUUAAUUUAUCCAUCCUCCCACGGACCCAAAACACCUGAUUAUUGCAGAAGUAUCUAUCAGUCGAACAAAUGUUUGUACGCUAGUACACACUUAUUGUAUACUCGAUCCAGGUCAUGUAUGAAUAUCUCACAAAACGACGUAAAAUAUCAUCAUCGACAUAAUUAGCAAUAUAGUAGUAUAUAAUAGUAAUGUAGGAUUAUCUCAACAGGUCUUCCCUUUGUUCUGUACAGAAAUGAUGGGCCGUUUUCUUCAAUUUCGUCGCACACCAAGCCAGAAUAGAAUAAUUUACGCAGAACCGGUAUUGUAACUUCUUCUUCUUCUUCUUUUUUUGGUUUUUUGGCCCCCUGUUCUGAAUCAUUGAUUGGCUCUUUUAAGUUUUUUGGCUAGCUUGCUUCUCGAUAAUAUGGUCAGGGAGUUGUCUUGCCUGAUGCAAACCUUUCCCGUUGAAUAAAGAGGGUUUAACUGCGACAACGAGUUUCAUGGCAGCAGGGCUUGUGGUUUUCCAUACUUUGUCUCCCUGCUUGGAAUGAACUUUCUUUGAGUUGGCUGGAACUCUGGUUUCCCAUGGACGAACUGCUAUCCACCUCUCUUUCCAGCUCCAUCCCCAGCUAUCUUUUCCGAGAUCAUAAUAAGCCUGGCCAAAGUAGUGGCUAGAAUUCGCCCUCCACUACAAAAUGAGAUAAUAGUUUUGUUGUUAUUAACUCGAGCCAAUGCCGUUCAGGAACAAAGAUCAUUUUGAUGGAUUUUAGCAGCUUGCCUGAUGAGAAAAGGCAUAAGCCAUGGCACGUUCCCUUUUAACAGCUGCAACUUCUCUUUGUUGUAUCCUUUGGAGAAUUUCUUCCAUGGUUUCAGAGCCACCACACCAGUCAACCUGUUAUUAUUAGAAUGAUACAACCAUUACUGGUAGAUAAUGUCAAGUUACUAUUCCUAUCAGGUGGCAUUGGUGAUGCAUAUUUCGCAAGCAUCGUCAACAGCAUUCUCUUGGCUCCUCAAAAGCAAAGCACAUAGUACAUGGUUGCCAAAUUUCGGGACUCGAAAUUCAAAAUAUGCAUAAGGGUCCCUUUAUUAGGCCGUUAUAUAACACAAGCAAGACAUGAUGAUAAUGGAUUCAGGGCCUUCUGUUCUGGCAAGAGACAAGAGACACAGAUCACAUUGAUUCACAAUUUAAUGAGCUCUGCAGUCCGUACUGGAAACAAUGAAUAAGGGGCCAUUCAAAUUCAAUUGGAUGGCAACUGAUAGUUAGCUGGACUGAGAACUGUGUUCGUUACCUCUAGUUCCUGAAGCUUAGCCUCAAGUUUCAGCCUGUUUUCUUGCUUCUUCUGCUGUAUUCGGUUUUCGUUGACCAUCCCUUGUCUACGAGCUUUAAUCUCAGCUUGCAUUUUGUUCCAAAAAUGUAUAUGGAUCAGAGCCGAAGAUGCUUGCUUUUCGGCGGUCAAAGCAGCUAUAGCACCUCUGCAUCUUCCUAUUGCUCUUAGUCGAUGUACCGCUUUCCUUGCCUACAUUACAUUGUAAAGUUGAAAAGGGUUAAUAGCAAAAUGCACCCCAAAGCAUGCAUAAUUUUCCGAUUGCUUUCCUCAUUCUCAUUGUCUAGUUGGAUCAACACACGUCUGCUGAACCUUUCAAUUUUGCUAAUAUGAUACAAUUAACCUUUGCAAAACCAAAUUGAAUUGAGAUGUAUCGUUUUAGAGAUGCACACGUCACAAAAAUAUGUACCCGUUGAGGGUGUGUUUCAUAAUUAAUUUACAAAUAGAAACAAAAGUUCACUACAAUUAUAGCCUCAAAUUGUCGCCAAUGAUGCAAUCACGAUUGAUUAUUAGGGAUGUAAACGAGUCUAAUUAAGCCAAAUACUCUAGCGUUCAAGUUUAUUUAAUUAUUUUAAUGAACUUGAAAUUUUGUUCAUUUCCAUGAUAGAGAGAAAAAGAAAUAUAAUGAUAAUAAUAAGGCUUUAAAGUACACUUGCCACAUAUCUCCUGAAGGCAGUCUGAAUUCUAGUGGCCGCAGUAUCCUCUGUAAUUCCCCUCCUUCUGGACCUCUUACUUGACGAUCCAUUUGUGAUAGCCAGAGCCGUGGACUCUUUACCAGAGAGAUACCUCCACAUGGACCCAUUUGCUUUUCGGGCCGACGCAGAUUUUCCCUGUUUCAAACAAUUUCAUAUUCUAGAUGUGAGAAAAGAAUAUAGAGUCCAAGACCCAAAGGGAGUGAGCCCAAUAAGCAGCCAAUUAAAGGACUUUUUUACUCAUGUGGGGUGUUUGGGGGGGUUUGGAGAAGUAAUUUUAUGGGAUGGUGUUGAAAAAUUUUACUAUAGCAGCACAUAUAAAUUACUUUUAUUAUAAAUAUUUUUUGAAAUAUUGUAUGGAUGUGAUAUUUUUUGAAUUAUUUUUAUUUAUGUAUUACUGUAAUAUAGUACUUAAAAAUUUUAUUUUUGAAAAAAUGGCCAAUCCAAACAGUAGUUUUGUUUUUCUAGUGAAGAAAGUACCUCGCUAAUAGUGAGGGAAAAAAAAUUAUGGGUAUUUUUUGAAAUAAUAGUAGUAUAGUACUUUUUUAGGUUCUAAACAAGAAGUUCCAACUUGUUUGGAGAUAUAGAACAAUAAUGAUUGGGUAGAAAAGUUACCUUUCCGUGUUUAGAUCCGUCUUCCUUCACUUUCUUUAAGCUAAUAAAUGUUUUAAACCAAUCACCUGAUCCCAUACUUGACUUGAUCAGAGGCUUCUCAAUCCCUGAAUUCAGUUUCGGAUUGUUCCCACUACGAAGCAGGAAAAAAAGGGAAGAUUUUGUUGCUGUUGAGAAGCAACAAAAUUAGAUGGGGAAAAAAAAAUGAUGCAAUUUGAUGGGAAGUUAGAAGCAGGACGGAGUUAAGCUAGCUGCAAGAGUAUUUUUACUCUCCAGAAAGAAGUAAAGAAUGGUGAGUUAUAAGAAAAAUAUGCUGAUGCGAGAGGAGAAACAUUGAAUGAAUACUUGGCAAAAAGAAGAAGAAAAAAAUUAGAACUGCAUGGGGUAAAAUUUGACAAGCCAACUAGAUUGAAGGUGUUGUGUGACCUGUAAGAAGCUCAGCUGUCACCAAAGAGGGUGGCCGGAAUAAGGUAGCACAUAGUAUUCAGUUGGCAGUCCAGUUCAAUCAAUUAUGUGAUUCAAUUGCUUCCGAUGGCCUUUCUUCUUCUUCUUCUUUUGUCAUUGACCUACCCAAAAGUGGUAGUAGGAUCAGAGUUUUGGUGACAAAAUCAUACAGAUCGUUAUUUGGUAUCCGGACCAAACUAGCAAAUAAAAUGAAGGAAGCAAUCUUCUGAGCCUUAUAAAAAACUAUCUAUUUUUUUCCUUGCAACUUCUUGGAGAAAACCAAGAGACCAACAAAUUUGGUUCCAAUGGACCUCAAUCAAAAUUGGUCACGCUAUGGUCCCGGCGAGGCUCGAACUCGCGACCUCCGGCUCAUAAGACCAGCGCUCUAACCAACUGAGCUACGGGACCACGUGUUGUCAGAUGUGUAAUGUCCAAAAUUAAAUGAGUGAUAUAUCAUGUCCAAAAUUUAAAUUGAACGCCAACCAAAGAUGAGGAAAACCGUGUUGGUUCAUGACAUGGUAGCACACAGAUCAUAUUAUUAUGCUCCAACCCCCCCCAAAAAAAAAGAAGACAAAUAAAAGUUAGCCCACAGAUUGAUAAAGUUAAGGCUUUUUUUUGCAAAAAAAAAAAAAAAAAACUUAAAUUAGCACCCAAGUAACCUAUGCCAAAAAAGUUGCCUCAAAGAAAGCCAAAGGCGUUACAUCAAGACGAUAUAUUCAAAACCAAAACUUACACUACAAAGAUCUGAUAUUUAUUUGUGCACUUACCAUAAUUUCCCUUUUAGGAGGGACAAUGAGGAGAGGAGGUGAAGGUUGCACAAAAGGGUAAGUGCAUUUGUUUGGCCAAGUUUCAAAGAUUUCAGAUUUGUCAAAGAGGAAUGGCCAACAAAUUGAAAUCCUAAUCCAAGUCGUUGAAAAAGAUGGAUUGGCCUUCUUCAAUUGCUUUCGUUCUAGCCCUUCUUCUUCAAUAAUUUUCUUCUUCUUCUUCUUUUCUUUUCCUUGUGUGUGUGUGUGUGUGUGAUUUCCCACACAUGACUUUAAUGAAUGUAGCAUAAUAUAAUAACUAUUCUUUUUUUUUUUCCCCUUGCAUCAUUAGAUUUUGAAUUUAAAAAAAAAAAUCAAAUCUAAGUGAUUUUCUACUAAAAUCGCAUCUAAGCCAUAAUAGAUGAUGGUCCAUGCUCUUUGUUUUAGUAGUAGAGUAUCUGGUUUUUCCCUUUCGUGUAUAUUUCUUUCCAUGUUCUUCCAAGUGAUUUUACUCAGAGCCUUUUAUUUAACUGAGAAAAGGAAUGGCAAUCAAAUUAUACUAGUUUGUGACCAGGCAUGCUCCUUAAUUUCCUCAAAAAAAAACCCUGAAGGGAUUUCAUCCUCAUCAUUGGAUCCCCUCAUAAAAAGUUUUUGCAGUAUUCAAAACCUACCAAACAAGAGAAAUUGUAUAGGAAACAAAAUAAGAGAAUGGCAAAAAUCCCACUAAAGAUUUGCCACUGUUCUAAUCAAUUGUUCAAGAAAACUAACAUGAAGAACAGCCAAAAAAAAAAAAGAGAGAGACAGAGAAUCUUCAGAAAUAGAUGCUCUUUAAAUCUUGUACAUGUAACAAGAUCUUGGAUGCACAAAUGACAAUGGAGUUGGUGUCAAUGUCAUGGAGGCUCCACCGUCCUGUCCUGGUGGCGAUGGAUGGCCCUCUUCCGGAUGCUACAAAUUAAAAUGUUUUCUUUUCUUUUCUUUUCUUUUCAAUAAGUUAGAGGCAGUUUGUUGAGACUAAGGUGGGACCAUUCUGAAAGCCAAAUCCAUUGGCACAUAAAAGCUAGCGGAGAUUUGGUGAUGUUUUCAGUUAUCUUGACCUCUGAAAUGAUUCCUUCUUUUUUUUUUUUUCCAAAAAAAAAAGAUUGAUAAUACUCAAGUAAAACUGCUGAAUCUAAAGCCAGUUGUUGUUGUCACUCACCAGGAUUUUGUUGCAGGAACAUAUAGAUUGGACCAGGGAUAAAUAUUUGAUAACUCGGGUUUAAAUGCUAAUGUAGGUUCUUAUACUUAUUAGCCCUUUUGUCUACGAUCUUUUCUUUUUAGACUUGUCUAGGCCAAAAAUUUUCACAUCCCACAACCACAAUCCUGAUUCAGAAAUUCAAGGGGUGUAUAUUUGUAUGAAAUAGCAGUUUGGAUUCUUUUCUAAAGAGAAUGGAUUUUUUUUUUCUUUGUAUGAACCUGGCAAAAAUCAAGAAGAAGAUUUUCAUUCUCAAGGCGUUAGAUUAUAUCCAACCCUUUUUUGACUUAGAUAAACCACAAUCAAAUACUACUAUAUCUCGUUGGACAACGUAGAGAUCGCAUGAAUCUCCUUUUGGGCUGUCGCUUUUAAGUUCGACCUUUUUUUGAAAUGUUAGCAAACUUAUCAUACUCUUAUCAACCAGAAAAAAAAAAGCCGGAGAAAAGUACAAAUGAAUGCGCUCGUCCCCAAUCCCCACCGAUGAUGUAAUGGCUAUAUGAUUUCCGGAAAAUCCAACCUCUUUUCUAGAAAGACUUGAAAACUUUUAAUCAAUUCCAGUAAAUUUGCGACAUGCCAACUGUUGAUUCAAAGCAUUCUAAGAAAGAAAAUCAAUUAAUAUUUAUUCCGACUAUUGAUGACAGCAAAAAUGUUCCAACUUACCAAAAAAUUUGUACCAUGUAAAAUAAAUUUACAGCCGGACGAUUAUUUCUUAAUUCUAGCUUUAAUUAAAGAAUUAUGGCUUCAGAACUCAACCUAUCUAGAUACUUGCCCCCGGGGGGGGGGGGGAAUUAAAUCUUGUAAAUACUAGAGAUUUUGUAAUUAUGAACAUAAUAAGUUUUCUCUUGUUGGUGAAUUGCACUGCAUGCAUAGAUUUUAGAUUUAUAAUAGUGUGUGUGUAUAUAUAUAUAUGAUUACCCACUCGAAUAUGGACCCACAUUUUGACGUGUAGGAUGGAAAGUAAAUUUAAAAAAAAAAAAAACAAAGGGUAAAGGAAUGUGGAAGAAUUACAAAUUGGAAGGAAAGUCUUAAGAUAGGAAGAUCCAGCGAGCACAAUUAAGUGGCUGCUGCAGUGGUGUGGUAUCUAUAGCUCAGAGAAAGUACCUUCUUGAGAGUCGGUCUAGGAACAAAAGGAGGAGUGGAGCGAGGAUUUGGGCGACUAAUUAGACUAAGAAUGUGAAAAGAGACCAUGCAUUAGAUUUGGCAUUAUUAUUAUUUUCUCCUCUGUGAAACGAGCAAAAGAAAAUAUCGACAAAUAUGGGUUCUUUUGUUGUUGUUGUAGUAGUAGCAGUUGUAGUCCCAGUAGUACUCGACUUUUUGUUAAAAAUCCCAGAAACAUAUUUAGCUAAAUUGUCUUUGAGAUCUGUCUCUCAGACACUACCAACUGGGUUUUGAGAAAAAUCCGAAGCUUUCAGAUUCUCUCCGUUCUCAAAAAGCCUUUUUCUCUCUCUGUCUACGCACAUAAAGGGAAGAUGUGCUGUAAGUAAAUAGAAAAACAUUUCAUUUUUUUUUUUUCAAAAAAGUUGUGAUCUUUGCUGAAUUUUGGGGAAGUUCUUGUUUCCAUAUAAGUAGCCGGUCAUAACUCCAUGACCUGCGAGAUUAUAUGCAAUCUAUUUAUGCAGAUUUUGUUUCUUUCUUGGUUCUUCUCACUGUUUGUGGGUUUGUUUUAAUUUGUCAAGAUUUUCCAUUUUCUCUGCUCUCUCUCUCUCUCUCUUUUUUCUUUCUAAGAUUCUGUGUAUCUCAAGAAUAUGGGGCGUUGAUUUAUAUGCCAAAUGGGGAUUGGAUGGUCUAUGUAUAAAAGGGGAUGGGUUUUUUUUUCUUUUUUUAUUUUGUGGGUUCUCUUUAAAAUUUGCUCAGUACUACUACUAUCAAUGACUCUGAAAUGAUCUUUUGUAUGGCUGACCACAACCAUGGCUCAAGAAGACCAUGGCCAAAAGUAUAGCAAUAGUAGUAGUGGUGGUGGGGCAAGUGGCAGUGGUAAUAUUGGUGGUGGUGGUGGUACUAGCGGUAGAUCUCAGAAGAAGAUGAAACAGAAGAAAGUCCCACAAAGAGGGUUAGGUGUUGCCCAGCUCGAGAAGAUUAGAUUGGAGGAACAGCAGAAAAAAGGGGCAGUUUUACAAGCUGCCAAUGUAUUGCCACCUAAUCAGAUUAUAUCGCCUAGUAAUUCUUCUCCAUGUUUAGCUGCUCAAUGCCCCGCAUUUAGGCCUAGUAUUUCUUCUUGUCAUUCGGUGCCUUUGCCACCGCCAUCACCCAGUGAUCUUCCUUCGCCGAAUUCUUUGUUUAGGCCAACCCCAUCAAUCCCGAGUGUUGAUAUUAUGCAUACAAACUCUGUUCCACUGCCGAAACCGUUCAACGUUGAAGGAGGAGGUGAGAUAGGAUGGUCCGCUGUCCCUGCUCUGCCUAAAGUGUGGAACGGUGAAUUUAGUACUGAUGGGGAGAGUCAGAGGUUGGAUCAUCUUGGAUUCGUGUACCGGUCCAAUGCGAAUUUGCCUUUUGAUUCCAGCAAUCCCACUCCCUUUUUGUCCCUCCCAAAUGUGUUGCAAAGAUCACAACAAUUUCAGCCACCAUCUUCUUCAUCGAUGGUUGGUGAAGCUCUUUGUUGUUUUUUUUGACAUCUGCGUUAGUAAUCAGCUGUUGUAUUUGUCUUUGGAGGGAUCAUUUAGGAAAAUGAUUUGUUGGUAAUUGCAGGUGAAUAUCUCAUCAGCGAUUUCAUCAUCACCUAUACUGAAUUUCCAGAUGGAGCCCCCUUCAAACCAAAAUUUUUGUGCGAGCAACUACACACCUUUGUGGCCAGAUGAAGAGAAGGUAAUAGUUUUCUUUCCUUUAUUCAAUGAACUGUUGAAAAUAGAUUCUUUGGGUUUUUGAAAUCAAGCGGAAUAUGUCAACAUCUAGUAAUGAGAUUCCCAGGACAGCUUUCUUAGUUGUUCUAGAUUUUUAGUUUGUUUUGCUACUGAAAUUCUGUAUUUUAGUGUUGAUUGCACCUGUGAUGUGUGAACAAAUUGAGUAAAGUUUUCCUCUUUUGCCAAAUUGAGUAACUGAAUGUAAUGUUCCUCCUGUUUGCACAUUAGAAUCAUUCCGUCUAGGUUUAUGGCGUUUCUGUUUUGCUAUUACUUUUCUUAGUUCAGUCCUAUGUUUCAUAUGUAGAUGAUUGUAAUCCUUUUAUGAUGUAAUUAAUGUAGAUGAUUGGCAUGAAGAGGCCAUAUCCCUUCUCUAUGGAAACUCCACCAGCCCCUGCUUUUCACUUCAGAUAUCCUCCUUGCUACGUUGCUCCCAUACCACGAUUAGAUGAACCUGCUUCAUGCAGCAACAGGUGCACCGCCACUACUGAACCAGAAUUUCCAGUUACCAGGUCUACCUUGAUCUAGCAUAAUAUUUCCUGCGUCAGUCAAAAGUUACUACUAUAUUCUGACAGUAUCCUUGUAUCAGUUUCAGAGAAGGCCCUUCAAGAUCAAGCACCCAGGCUGAAACAACCCAUAAGGAAGUGAACAUCAGACAAAAUGGAGGCCUGGAUGGAGAUUUUCUUACAUUGGCGCCUCCAGCAGCUGUUGCCCCAAAUUUGAAUUCACAGUACAGGCAUUUUUUAUCGAAUUCAGGGCCCCAGAGCUUAUCUGAAUUGGGAUCUCAGCCAAGCCAAGUAAGAAACCCGAGGACCUAGAUCAUACUACUUAGUGGCUUCUUUUGGGUUUCUCCUUCAGUUUUUAUGGUCUCAAGUUGAUCGUCUUUGAAUAGUUUGCGUUCGUCAUAUAUUGCAGGGAAGCAGUGACGAUACCAUCCAAGGCCAAGGGUCGAGCAAAUCAAUGCGGCCGCCUUUCUUUAGCUUCUUCCCUGCAGCUAAGAAGCAGGUUGGCCAGGUGGCAGCCCCAGCAGACAACUGCAAUGGUGAAGUAGGAGAAAAUGUUGAUCUUAGUUUGAGGCUAUAGAUGCCAUCCCUGGUUUUUUGCUGAAUCGCAACUGUAGGCCAUUUUGCCCUGCUCUGCUCUUUGAUAUGGCUAUUCAUUUCUUGCAGCGAUUGUUAGUGCCUUGUUGAUGGAUCACCUGGUACAGAAGAAAUCUACUCUUCCAAGUAGUAAUUCGACUUCCAUAUGUUUAAGGCACGUUGAUAGACAAAAGAAUGAAGAUAGUUUUGCAUGUGGUUCCACAUCUCGAGUUUUUAAUUUCUACGCAAUGGAAGUUUGGUGGUUCUGCUGACUUGGAUCUUUUUUGGGGGGGCUUUUGGUGGGGUGGAAGUUUGGAUGGCUUCCAAGUUGUUUUAUCCCACCAGCUCCUCCAAUGAAGUGAAAACAGAUGAAAGUAAUUUUAAAUAGGAGAAAAAGAGAGUAUCAUGCCUUCUACUGUUCUACAGAAAGCUUUUAAUCAACUUCUUCCCCCGCCCCCCAUCCCUUCUUCCGACCUCCCCAAGGCCAAAAUUAUCCAAUUAGGUUGUAGUAGAAAGUGUCGAGGAUAUAUUUGAGGUCAUAUGAAAACAUUGAGCCUGUAAGUUACUACUCAUUCUCAUAAUCAUUGUGUUUUUACUCUUCUCAGAUUGCAGUGCUUUGACUCUAGCUAGUGUUUAUAAUUACAUUAAACCAAAGGUUUAGCGUUCUCUGUACUAUAAAUUAUAAUAGUUUACAAUAGUAGGAAUAUGGUAAAGACGUUUAAAAACAUCCUAAAAGCACAUUAUACUACUACUUCUCCAAAUCGACUUUUUCAGCUUAGAAUAUGUUGAAAUACUUGGAAGGCAAAACCAAGAGCGAUACCUCAAAAUAUCUUACAACUUUAAUACAAAAGGUCAAAACUCAGUCUACACGACCGAAAAAUGCCAAUAAAAAGUAGGCAAUCCAAAUACAAAGAGGGGAGGAGGCAAUGCCGGUACAGCUGUUCAUAUAGAGAGUAAAAAAGACAUUCCUACAUCAUCAUAUUAAUUCCCGGUGUGUGUGUUUGUGAUCAGGAUCCAAAAAAAGUCACUCAGGUAGUACAAUAUUUAAACCCAGACUUCUCGUCAAUUUAAGAGCCAAACGAGGGUACCAGCCCGACAAUCUAUGACCAACCGAAAACAUAGUCAAGAACGUAAACAAGUGCCAGGGAAAAUGGGUACAGCAGGAAAGCUAUCAGACUGGUCCAAAGAGGAAAUGUAGUGCGAAGACUGCCGAAGAUUCCCAUGACGAUGCAAACGAUCAAGAUAACCAACACUUCAGAUGAGAAGUCCCACGUCAGGCCUCUAGCGUAUACAAGGGCCAAAAAGACUGAUAGACACAACACGUUGUUCAUAGUCACAGCUCCAUACAACUGCAAGGACAGAAUAAGUUUGAGAUCAGAAUUAUCAAGUAGGAUCUGAAAUAAAAGAGCUGCACAUAAAGCCGAAUUUCGGUCAGAAGAUAUUUGGACAACUUUUGUAGGGGCGUGCUACCAAAAGGAAAAUGAAAUACCAGAGACAGGUCACAAAGAAGGGAAUAAGAUAAAAAAAAACCAAGAAAGAUCAACGAAGUCAACUUCAGCACCCACAAAAGUAUCAAGAAUAGACUUGGGAUUGAUCUACCAGUAAUAGACUUGUAAGUAUCAAAAAUACCAUGAAAAGUUUUUCAGCAAGACAGCACGCAACUUUUCAGCAAGACAGCAACAGUUGCGUGCUUGGGAUUCAAAAACAAAUAAAUAAAUAAAUAAAUAAUAAAGGAAAGGAGGGGGAAGAAGAAGAAAGAGGUGACUGUUGUGAGGUUGGUGAGCAUUUGUUCCAAUAUUGAACCCUCUUUUCACCUUUUGGAGACCCCCCCCCCCUCUCACCAAAAACAGAAAAAUCAAGAAGAAAAGCUUGAAGCUUGAAGGAAUACACUAUCAGUAGGGAUGGCCAUGCAUUUGAUGCAAUAUAAACUAUCUGCUUGCAAUGGCUGCCUGUAUCUAGCAUUCAUAGCCUCAUAAUGUCUGAAGCCUGGUGCGAGAAUAGACAGGACUAUCCUUAAUCAUUAGAAUUUAAUAGAAAGCACUCUUUUCUAAAAAAUUGUAGAGAAUGUCCAUACUGAUUGAGCCACUUCGAAAACAAAACCAUAAACCAGACACAAGCUGGCAAGGAGCCCCGCCCCCAUCCCAUUAAUCAAUCCCUUUUCCAGCACCUCAGUUUUUAACCUUGUAAUUGCCCAGAGCAUGUUAUGGGUAUGCUAGGAAACAUCUGCAAUUAAUUGCUCUUCUUCUUUUAUGGGGGAGGAAGAGGGGUAGGUCGGGGAGGGACGUAAGAAUGCACCUUCAUAUAGGACAAAAGUUGUAAAAUAUCAAAAUAAGAAACAACAAAUGGAAAAUCAGACCUCUGAAAAUGUCAAAGAAGCAGAUCUUAGCUUCUUGCGGGUGGCAAAUAUAAUUGCUGAUACUGCCUCACUAGAGUUGGUUGCCAGUGGCAGUGCAAUGAAUGAGAUGAAAAAAGAAGGAAUACUUGUAGCACUUGAAAAAUUAUCAACAGCGUCAACCAAGGGAUCCGCAAAUACAGCGGCAAUAACAGUCCCCAAUAACAACAGUAAUACAGCCUUAAUUGUGGUCCACCGGGGGUUGUCAACACCCUCAACAAUUUCAUCACUCUGCUCCCCUAAAAAGUAAUGUUCUCUCUUUGUUUGCUGCAAAAAUGUCUCAAUAGUGUCAUAAUCAUUUUGGAGAUCAAGCUCCCUGGUCAAAGCCGGAAAAAGCACAUACCUCAUGAAAAUCUUCCAAAUACUUCAUUGUACCAGGACCAGCCUGAGAAGCUCUGGAACCCUUGGCUUCAUCAAGCCAUCUUGAAAUACCAUAAGAAAAUUCAUCGAAACUAAUUAGAGAAUCUCGAGACGUGUCAAAAUCCUUCAUCACCUUCUCUACGGCAUCAUUCUCAUCCAGAUUUAUCUCUUCAAAGCGGAUUCCUAUGACCAGUGCUCUUAAUUCAGAAGAAGAGAGGUAUCCAUCUUUAUCCUCAUCAAUUGUGUUAAAAAGCCUGGUUCAUAAAUCAAGCCAGAAAGAAAAUGGACAAUGAAUCAAAGAUGUUUAGCCAUUGAAAGGUGUACAGAAUGCUGAAUAACUAAAAAUCAGCUGCAGCAGAAGCAUCACAUACUUUUCUAAGACCUCCAUAUUAAUUGUCCCGUCAUCAUUACAAAGCCUCCCUAAGGCUCGCAUUUUCAAAUGGUUCAGAAUGCCUGAAAUCACACGCUUAUGCUUUGUGAAUGCUAGCCGUCUCCUCUGUAUCCAAGGCUGAAACACCUGCAAAGCUCCGUUUGAGGAAAAAGGAAAUAGAAUCAGGUAUUCAAGAUAAAGACAUCAUUUCAAAGUGGAGAGAGAGAGAGACAGAGAGACAAAGAGACAGACAGACUGAAGCAGCAAUGAUGAAGACUAUCUCAAGUGUCAUUAAACAUGCAGCAAAAGCAAUUGAGUACUGCUCUCCAAAGAGUCAGAGAUUCCUACCUUCCAGUAAUGUUUCAAGUUAAAAUAAAAAGGGGCUGAUACUAGCAUUUGUAAGCUACAAUUUCAUUUAAAAUAUCUUUCUUCGCUUUUCAAAUAUGAUUUUACCUUAACUUCUACUGACGCAUUUUCAUUAAAUUUUCCUUUUUUUUUAAUAAAAUAAACACCCUUGAAUGCUUUCACACCAUAUAUGUAUGUAUGUAUGUAACAAUGACUUAUUUACACUUCUCUCGAAUAAUAUAUAAAUAUAAAUCACCCGAGAACAGACGAUAUCUUGGCUACAACUAUCAUACUGAUGCACUACUGCAGAAUUAUUAAAUUCAAGACACAAAUUGCUCCUAACAUACAAUUUCAUUGCGUAGCGUUAGGAUAUACCAAGUCUCCAAUAGCAUAGCAUCCUAAAAGAAAUCAGUAUGUUGGGAAAGCCUACUGUAUAGAGACAAGAAGCUGCUAAUAUGCACUGUGGUCUUAGGCAUGUUAAGCUUGCUUUGCACCCAAUCCAGAGUAUUAAUUACUAUGCACUCACAACAAGGGUGACCAUCGAAUGCAUUCAUGACAAGGGUGACAAUUAAGUUUUUUUGCAUCAUAAGACAAUUCAAAGUGUAAAGUUUGCACAAAAGUUCAAGAUUUUUGCACUCUCAAGUACACACAAAGAUGCACUAUCUUUCUUGACCAAGCAAGGAUGUAGAGGAGAACUGCUAGCAUGCAGUCAUACCCCAACCCUCUCCUGCCAUAGAAAAUAGGAAGAAGAAAACUACCUGAUAUAGGCAAUAGGAAAUCAGAAGUGCAACGGAGACAAUAAGAGCAAUCAAGACCGCUAAGUGUCUUCCAGAAUUUGACUUGAGCAUUUGAGGUAGUUGGACUACUAAAAAUGGGAGCACAGAAACAGCCAUGAUGAUUGCAGCAUAGCAUGUCCAGAUAUCAGUACUGACACCAGAGCCUGCAUGUAUAAAUAAAUUCAAAGAAAAUCAAAUACAGCACCAUCUCACACUCAAUGACCUAUUUGGGAGGAUUACUUCUGAAGCCACAUCAAAGCUGAUGAAAUGAUACUAGAGGAGCAUAACAGCUGCUAAUUUUGACAAAAAGUCGCAUUAUAGCAAGCCUAAAGAGUCAGGAAAACUAUUGAAAACAUACUCCUUAUAGACCUUAACUACAUUUCUGUUUUCACAUAUGAGUUCAAAUUUCCAAAAUACAGCAAAAUCAAAUGUAGUUAAAAUAAGCCAAAAACAGAAAACAACAUAUCAUCUUCCAAACCUCACUUCAACAUAAUUUGCUACAUUUGAUGUUAAACACGCCCAAUAAGGCAAUCCACAAGAAAAAAGAAACUCCUAUUUCGACACCAACUCUUCCUCCACUUUAUGGAAAAAGUUCAAUGUACAUAACAUUUAGAGCAGCUAAUGAAUGGCUCAAGCAAACAUGAAUCCCUCCACAGGCUCAUUGGAAUGGACAUGCACAAAUGGACUCUCUCUCGAUCUCACUCACACACUGAGACAAGCAGCUUUAUAGUUACAAAUGUGUAAACACCCCCCCCCCCCGGGAGGGGGGGUGUAAUCUGGCGCAGCAAAAUGCUAAUCAAAUUAACAAUCUUGAAUGAGUGCAGAUUCUAGCUUAGCAUUACAAACUUCUGCAUGCAUUGCCUGCGAUUCAGUAACUUAGUCUAAUUUACUUAUCAAGAAAAUAAAUACAACAUAGCAUUCUUCAAAAGUAAGUAGGAAGCCUUCCUUAACAUGCCAGUAGAAGGAAAGCAUGAGAGCCCAAGAGACAUACCAGUCAAGCUGAAUCCUUUUGUAUCCUGUAAAUCUUUGGCAACAUGGUUCUCUAUGUCACACUUGCCUACAGUAACACACGCACCCCAUAUAACCGUGAGAAGCAUGACUGUUGAGCCAGCUAGCAAGCCUAUUCCAACUGAGACCUGGCUUUGAGCAGUUUCAGCGCUUCCAGAUAGCCCAGAUACUUAAAAAGGCAAAAAAAAAAAAAAAAAAAAAAACAAAAGGAGAUUGACAAGAAAAAAGUAUAAAUCAAUACAGGUAUGAAUUAAUAAUGGCUUUUGGAAGACAUGAAUAGUGUCACAAUAAUUGACAAGGAAAAGGUGCUGUAGAGAUCACAAAUACUUAUGCAGCACUUAUUGGUGGAAGACCUGAAAGCUCAAAACAUAACAUGAAGGACUUUUCAUUAGUUAAAGACACCAAGAGAAAACAAUGUUCAGUGAUUACUUGAGACAGUUGAGGUAAGAAGCGCAACAACCCUUGUAAUCAAAAAAUAACCAUGGCAAUUAAGUUCUUAUCCACUUCAUCAUGAUUACCUCUGUUUACACGCUUAUCAGAUUUUUCAAACUAUCCUUCAACUUUGCAAAUGUUUUGCACCAAUAUCCAAGAUGCAAUUUCAAUAAGAAAGAGAAACCUCCAUUUAUUAAUGAGUGCAUCUAAAGAAUUCACUUCAGAACUUCCUUCAACCUGAAAUCUAAGUUUCACAUCUCACAAGUUAACGGCUGCCAAACAUUCGAGUCAUUUACAUAACCAAAAGCAACUGCUGCAUGUGGUCUGCCAAACAUUCAGUUCAGAUCAUGUUAUUGUAGUAUAACAUGAAUACAAUGCUUAAACUUUGUCAAGAUUUCACAUCUCCAAAGCAAGUUUUAUCCUUUAUUCCUUUUGACUCUCAAUCAAACCAGCAGUUAGCACCCAAGUCAUCAUAAUUAAAAAUAAAAACACAAAACAGGGGGGGGGGGGGGGGGGGAACAAACGAGGAUCAGAAUUCAGUAUUUUCCACCACCACGCUCCUAAAAAAAUUUUUUUUUUUUAAAUACAAACAAACUUUCCCUCAUAGAGUGACAAGCAACUCGAUAACCAGCUUUUAGACCCACGAUAUAACUUUGAAUCCUUGAACUAUCCUUUAUCCUUCCACACUUCUCAAAGCAAAUAAACACCAAAUCAUUUCCCAAAAAUUACAAAGUAUAAAGAACUCCAGAUCACCAACAUAAAAAAAGUAGCAAGUCAAUAAAAGGAACGGAAUAAAUAAAUAAAUAAACAAAAGUUGUGAUUUUCGCAAUAAAUUUUUUUAAAAAAAAAGUGACGAAAAGAAACACAGUAAGAAUUGUUACCGAGAAUGAGCAUAGCAUCAGGAAGAGCACCAAGAAUAGGAAGAAAGAGUCCGCCGAUAAGACCAGGACCGAGUAUUUCCAGCAGAAGCUCACUCCCGCUGGAAAGAAAAGUUGCCGCGAGAAACAUGAGAUAGCCGUAGAUCACAAUUAAGAAGAGGUUUCCAAGUACAGUGGUGGUGCACGGCAUGAAUCCGUAGGUCUGCUCACACGUCUCCUCCGCAGCUGAAAACAUCCGGAUAACCGGCGAAAACCGCUGCUGCUCCUGCUGACUGUGGACCCCAUCCAACACGAGAUCUGAACCGUCGUCACCGAUGAAACGACCGCACGCUAUACCGCAGAGUAUCAGGCAGAUGAAAAGCGUGAGAGAAAUUGAAGGCCUGUGUUUUCGAGCCAUGGUUUAAGGGAGAACGAAGCCCCUGAUGUCUUUUGACUAUAUAUUAUAUACACAUAAAUAAAUAUUAUUAUUACUCCUACAUAUAAAAAUGUUAGAUAUAUCUAUCCCUAUCUAUCUAUAUAUGGUGGUGUGUAAUUUUGUGAAUGUAUGUGUCGGAAAGUGUGAGUGUGCAUUACUAUUAUUUAGUGUGUGAAAUGUGUGUGAGAUCCGUGUUGGGAAGCGAGGAGUUUACGUGGACGUUGGACUGACUCCUGGGGAAGACGAUUGGCAUUAUCAGGUUUAAUUAAAGAGAGAGCAGUGGGGGUAGGAAUGUUAAUUACUUUCCUAGCAUAUUCAACUUGUGCAAUUUUAUAUGUAUCUCUCCAUAUUUGUCCACUGAGUAUCCUCAAGUAGACAAUUCAGCCUAUUUGUUUAAGUAUUAUUAUUACGAGUAAAUCUUAUAGUGUAGACUGACGAUACAUACAUUAUCACGAUUCUUGUCAUAUAUUAUCACGGUUAGAUAUAUGAUACAUAUGUAAAAUUUGAGUUUCAAAUUCAAAUUCGCAUUAUAUAUCAUGCAUUGAAAAUAUAUACGCUGUCAGUGUAUUGAAAAUUAAUUCUAUUAUUAUAUGGUUCUCUUGAUGGGAUUCUUAAGAGUUGUAUGUAACAUUUGUUAGGCAAAAUUUGAAGAAGAUGCAAAAAAAAAAAAAGAAAACUUUACAUUAAUGUUAAAAUUAAUUUUUAAAAUUUUUUUUUUUGCAGAGAGAUAAAACAAGCAUAUUAUUCAUAGUGUGUGAAAUGAAUUAAAUAUUUCGUUGAUGGUCUCCUCCACCUCCUAUCAGCAGCAGGGAAAAAGAAGAAGAACAAAAGUCAACUAAUAAGCACCUUCUUUGAAUCAUACUGGAAAGUUACCGUCCAUAGAAAAGAUCAAACAAGGAAGUCUCUUGCUCCCAUAGAAAAAAGAAGAAGAAGAAGAAGAAGAAGAAAAGAACGGUGACAGAGACAGGAAAGUCAAUAAUGACGUGAAUUGUUAUUUUGCUUAUUCAUAAAUAAAUGAUUUUAAUUGUCAUCCAAUUUGAGCAAAUGAUGAAAAACGUCAGUUAUAGAUUACUAAGGGCAUGUUUGUUCUCAAAUGUAUAACUAGAAAAACAAUUAUAUAGAUAAUAACAAAAAAAGAUUCUUUUGAAAAGCAAGGCUUCCGUGGUUGUCCUUUUAUGAGGUGGCGAUCCGAUAUUUUCCUUUCCGCGCCGCGUUGUGACAACUCCCCAGAGGAAUCGCAGUCAUUUGUUAUUAUGAUUUCAUGCAAUUCAAUUCAUUUGUUGUGAUUCUCAGUAUAAUUUUCUACGUACAAUUUUAAUAAUAAGAUGAUAAUCGUAAUUUUGUUAAAUGAGUUAAUAAAAUUUAUCUUUACACCAAAAUGAUAGUAAUAUUUUUAUAGUAUUAAAUAUGAAUAUAUAUUAUCGAUGUAUAUAUUAUUAUCAUUAAAUAUAUGAUACAUGUGCAAAAUUUAAAUUUGAAAUUCAAAAUUUGCUCAUGUAUCAUCCGUAAUAAUGCAUACACUGACUGACAAUCUGUAUAAAAUUUACUCAUUAAAUAUUUGUACAAAUAACUCGACUGAAUGAAACAAAAGUCCCUGGAUUGACAAAAAUUAGUCUGACAACGCUGGGAUACUCCCUGGAUUGACAACAAAAAAAAAAAAAAAAGAAAAAGAAACAAAGUUCAACUGGGGAUGACUGAUCCUUUGCCAUGUGGAGCAUGAUGAGGAAGCCAGCAGUUCUUUUCUCAAUAGAAUGAUAGAUUGAUGAAAUCUUCCCCCGUCCUUUUAAGUUUUCCCGUGAGGUCGCGUGCUCGUAAAAGUGUAGUGCUGAGGAGAGGAACCGCGAUGAUGAACACGGCUUAAGGGCUUGGGGCCCAUGGGAGCCUUGAAGCGUUGGACCACCACCCGCGAUUGGGAUGCCCACUCUUGGCGCCAGGACGGCGCAAAGUUUAUCCUUUUCGUUAGUUGUUAGUUGGGAUGCAUGGCCCGGUAAAGUUUAUGCUUUUCGUUAGUUGUUAGUUGCGAUGCAUGGCCCGGUAUAAAGCGCGUCAAAUACUUAAUUGAUCCAUUUAUCUGUCGGCAAAAUCAUGUUUGUUUUUUUUUUCUGCAACGUUAGAUAUUUGUAUUAAGUGGCAAAAGUAAAGGCUCAAAGAAUUCUAUACAAAAGUGUUUGACACAAAAUCAUGUUAUCGCUGUCUAAAGAAUAAACUAUUUAUUUACAAAUUUCCUUUUUGGAUGCAUGAAAAAAAGACUUGCGUCUCAAACUCCAUUCAAAAUUUGAUGAAAAUUCCAAAAAUGGGGCCAACAGUUGGACAUUCUUGAAAGGGCAGUUUUAAAAUGUCCAUCGAUCCAGUAAACACUAAUAAUGCAAUGUAACAUAAGAAGCACAUCCUUUAAUUCAAUUCAGCACUUAAAUUUAAUGAAUUCAAAACUUAAUAUGUUUAGAUGCACUGAAUUUUCUAGACAAAAUUUGCUCCAAAAAAUCAUUGAUAAGCCAUUAUUCACUUGUUGCUAAAAGUGAUAUACACUCAAAUGCAUAUAAUUUAAUACUUAUCAAUUCAAUAACUUAAUAGAUUCAGAUUUUAAAUUUCAAUUUCAUCAAACGCAUCCUAAGUCAAGCACACUAAAUAUUACAUGAACUUUCAGGUUAUGAUUUUCUAGUUUUUGGGUCAAAUGUAUAGGACGUCGAAAUUUAAUACUUUCUUAGCAUAAAUAUGGAUCUUGAAUGAAUUAAAACAAUAAAUAUUCACCAUGGUAAAAUGAAACAACCAAAAGAGUGGGAACUAUUUAGCAAUUUGGUCAAAGGCUUAAGGGGACGUAAAACUAACACUAACUUUUGAUUUUGCGAUAUUUCCUAUGUUCUAAAACACGCAUCGGUUGGUCUAAGGUCGCAUCAGUUGAUUAGGUCACCAAAACAUGCUACCAAGUCCUUUUCCUAAUAAUCCACUCAUUGACCAUAUGGCUGAUUUUGCCUUUGGUGGGUAGAGAGAGAGUACUCGGUGGUGAUGAUUGAUGGAGACGAGUCACGAGAGGAUGCCGCUCGUGCCUGCUAGUACGGUUAAAAGGCAAGAAUCUUAAAAAGCUGAAAAGCCAAAACAAAACAGAUGCAGCCUUUUUUUUUUUUUUUUUCCAAUUUUUCCACUUACAAACAACUCUUUUAGUUCCCUCCUCCCGUUCUUUGAAUUGACGAAAAAGCAAAUUUUGUUGGUUGCUUUGUGGGUCAAGAGCCCAAAGGUUUCAGGCUGUUAGCUCCAAUGGCAGUGGGGGUAUAGCUCAAGACUUUAUCGCGGUCACAGAUUACAAAUUUCGGCUUCUUGGUCCGCAUUCCACGGACGAAUUGGUUAAUUCAGUGAAUAUUGAAUAAUGUGUGGAUUGAUGGGCUUUGCUUUAUCAAAUUUAUUUUCAACAAAUUGAAUAGAAAAUAAUUAUAAGAAGAAUCCUACUACGAUAAUGGUCAGAAAAUUGACCAUUACUCUCGUCACGUGCCUAACUCGCCACUGUUAAGGGAUACUGAUGGUUGUGAGAAAAAAAGAUAAUAAGGAAAUGUGAUUAUUGUAGCGAUUUGAUGUAUGUGAGAAAAAAAUAAUAAUAGGGAAAUGUGAUUACGGAAAACGACGUAAUUUUUCGACGAAAAACAGCAAUCCAAACAAGGCCGAUCUUAUCUUUAAAAAAGUACUUAUAAUUUUUUAUACUUAUUAUUUGACAUUUCACAUCGCUCAUUGUAUCGAAAACGCUCUGCCUGGAACUUAGAAAUUUGCUAUGUAUAAAUAAAAUGCAUGUUAAAUUGUGGAUUCUGCAUAAAAUUGAUAAUCUUUAUACAUUCUACAAAAAUCGAUUAUUUUAAAGGCUAAGUUAUACUUCCUCUAUCACGUGUGAACAUUCAUCUGUCUCCAAGGUCAAAAUCAAGUGUGGUUCGAUGGGAAGGGGAAUGGGAAUAUUUUAGGAGGACGACCGGCAAAUAUUAUGCGUGAAGCAGAUAAACCAGGACCAAAGAUAAUGGAUACAGGAAAUAAGCCACGAGUGAGGUCCAGACUGGGAUGAUGGAGCGGAAACUUCCAAGCAAGCCCAUGAUAGCCGAGACUAUCAGAACUAUCAGUACUUCAGCUGAGAAAAUCCAUGUCAGGCCUCGGAAAUAUAUUAGGGAAAGCAGAACAGAAAAGCCCAGCAUGUUGUUCAUGAAAACUCCGCCAUAAAUCUGCAUUAAUUAUUAAACCUUUAAAAAUGUCAAUCUCUCGUAGGUAAGUGGAUAACUCAUCACUUGAAUGUAAUUUUCUUUCUUUUUUUUGCUACGUUGACAAAACUAUAAUGGACUUGGAAUUAGCAUGACAUAAUUCAUGUUCAUUUAUUUUUAUUAGUUCUGAUUGCAUUAUGUAUUUAAAAACGUCGUAAUGUCAAUUUUUAACCUCGGUCACUAGACCAAUGCCUCGUCGAUCAGCUCCUUAUGUGGUGUUUAGUGUGAAGUUUAGCUUUAAUCAAGCGUCGGAAGGGGAUUAACAAACCUCUGAAAAUGUCAAAGAAGUGGUUCUUGGUUUCUUUCUGCGUGCCUCGCUGAUUGCUGAAAUUGCUACCCUAGCAUUAGUAGCCAGUGGGACUAAGAUAAAAGAGAUGAAAAAUGAUGGCAUAUUUGCGGCUUCCGAAAAAUUCUGAACACUUUCUAUGAGAGGUUCAGCUAGAAUUCCCAGCAUGCCUGUGCCAAGCACCAAAAGAAAUAUGGCCUUGGUCCAUGCAAGUAGAGAUUUGUUAAUGCUCUCCACCUCCAACAGUUGGUCCGUCUGCUCCCAUGAUUUCUGCACAAUUUUAUAGACAGUUUGCCAUUUAUUACCAGCCAAGCCAAAAUUAUAUACACAACCGAAGCAGCUAAAAAGUCCCCUUUUACUUUGCUAAAACUUGGCUGAUUCCAACUUUCCAUUAUGUUUGUUUGGUCAACGUUAAAGCAAAUGUGAUCAAUUCAAAGAUCAGAGCCCCCACAUACUUGAAAAAUUUCAUCCUCGCUUUCUUUUGAGUUGGUAGAUGCAUUGUCAUUCUUUUGCAGCCAUUUUGACAAUCCUGUAGCAAAUUCUUCCUCAUUAAGCAUACGAUCACCAUCUGUAUCGAGUUCUUCCAUCAUCUUGGCCACUGCGUCAUCCACGCUUAGAGAUGUAGGACCAAAUUUGAUCUCUGUCAACAGUGUUUUCAACUCGGAAAAUGAUAUGUGAUUAUCCUUGUCCUCAUCAAUGCUGUCAAACAACCUGGAAUACAAAACAAAGGGGAACAAUGCACAAGUGUUUCAUCAGCACCUAUAAUUCCAGACUUAUUUCCUACGGAAGCGACUGCCUGCAGCAAAAAGGGUCGGGGUGAAAUGAAUGCUUAAUGAAUUGUAUAAUCUGAAACUAAUUGACCUUUUUAUAGCAAUUAUAUCUGGUUCUCCAUCUUCUGUCAAAAGGGUUCCUAGUGCAGAGCUCUGAACGUGUUCCAGAAUUUCUGAUACUAUAUGCUUCAUUAUUUCGCGUUCUUCCCUUUUCUUUUGAAUCCAAGGUUGGAGGACCUGUUAUGUAGCAUAAGUAUUGAACAUGAACGAGGAUGAAUCAAGUAGUUAGUGAAAACUCCUUCAUGAAUAUCUCUGUGAUCUAGCAAAUUAAUCUGGUUUAGCUAGACUCUCGAUGAACUUAAAUCUUGUUUUUAUGGAGGCAAUGAGAAAUAUUUUGAACCAGGUAGCAAAAGAUGGUACCUCGUACAAGUGUUUCAGUGACUUUUUGGAGAGAUAUCGUUUACCCAAUGCUUGUUUUGUGUCAUCAACCCAUUUUGUAACGCCACUGACAAAUUCAUCAAUGCUAAUUUUCUCAUCAGCGUCCAAGUCAAAAUCCCUCAACAUCUCUGCCGUUGCUUCAUUCUUGUCCAGCUCUACAUUCCUAAAUUUGAUUUCCUUGAGCAAUUCUUGUAGCUCAGUAACAGAGAUGAAGUUGUCCCCAUCAUGAUCCGUAUUUCGAAAUAGCCUGCAGCAGAGCAGUACGAGUAUUUUAAUGUUUCUUCAACCAAAAUAGAUGGAAAUUUCAGUUUCCAUCUGAAUUUGACAUCACACCUUCUAAUCGCUGUUACAUUAGGUGCCCCUUUAGGGGUAAGUACCGCGCCUAUUUCAUGAUUCUGCACAUGGUUCAGGAUGUCAACCACCAAAUGUUCAUGUUUUAUGUAUUCUAAUCGUCUUCUUUGGAUCCAUGGCUGAAAGAUCUGCGUAGCAUUCCCAAGUCAAGAUCACCACAAAAAAGUUGACAACAUUGUGGAAGAAAACUAAUCACAAUCAUAAUGUAGCAAAAAUUAAGCACUAAAUAGAUUGGAGAAAUGUGCAUAGUGAAAUGGGGGAAAAAACAAUAAUCUCUGCUUCAAAUGAAUUACCUGAUAGAAGAAGUAUACGAGCAAGGAUGUGACAGAAAUAAGCAGGGAGAUAAUGAUGAAAGCUAGUUCCCCCGAAGAAGAUAGACCAAAGACUACUGGAACUUGGAUGGUAAUAAAGGGUAUCACUGAGAGAACCAUAAUUCUUGCUGUGUGCGAUGUCCUUGUAUCCAUUGUCAAUCCAUAACCUGCGACAGCAACAAUUUAUGCUAAUCUAAGUAUAUGGCACUACUUAAGGUAGAUGUUAAAGGCACUCAGAAGCUAUUCAAGUGGAAAAUGAAAUUAGGAACAAACCCUUCGAUCGGGAAAAUAAUCUCUUGAAUUGGCUUCGAUUGUCGGUACUGGAACUUGCCAAAGAAGUACGUUUCUUGCCAUUGGGGAAUUCUUGACUGGCAACGAUGACACAAGUUCCCCAAACUAUUGUAAGCAGCAAAAUUGUUGAUCCAGCCAGCAGCCCUGCUCCAGUUAGGACAUAUUCUUGGGCAGUUUCUCUGCUGUUCAACAGUCCAGAUGCUGAUAAAAACAGUCAUGAAAAGAAACCAGGACAAAUCAAAGGGGAGCUUAGCUCCUUUCAUCUAGAAUAUUUUGGUCGAGAACUCAGAUGGUUAAGGGUCUGCUUACCAAGAAGGAUGAGAGCUUCUGGAAGAGAUCCUAGAACAUGAAAUGCACUUGCACCAAAAAUGCCAGGGCCUAGAAUUUUGAAAAUUCGUUCCCCUCCAGAAGCAACUAAUGAUUCUCCCCGAAACAGCAGGUAUUCAUACACCACGAUAAGGAAGAGAUGCCCCAAAAGAGUGUUUGAGCAUGGUAAGAAACCAUACAGUUGCUUACAUCCUUCUGAAGAAUCCAUCCCUUUGAAAGCUAUAAAGGAUGAUGACUCCUUUUCACGGAAGUCAUCAACGCCAUCUGAAACCAAUUCAAGAUGGUUGUCGUGGCCUAGUAAUACUCUACCAGCUGCAACGUUGGCUGUCAAUAGCAAUAGAAGAAGAAAACCCACAAGACUUGCAGUUUUUCCCAUUAAUCCGAUCGAUAUCACGAGUACCGUUGAUCCUAAAGAAGCAAGGCAGCUGUUCAAAAAAAAAAAAUUUUUUUUUGAUCUUCAAGAAUUGGCAGCUUGGAAUGCUGAUUAGAAAUGAAGUUUGAUGAGCCAAUGAAUUUGUCAAGUUCUUAUAAUACUACCUACUUUUGGUCAGUUGACCUGGGACAGGAGGAGCUCCUAUUCACAGAAUCCGAGUUUGAAGCUCAUAUGAUAGCAGGAUGUGGAAACAGGUAUUAGAAAAUUGUCUAUAAUGUGUUGAUCUGGCCUUUUUCUUGAAGUUGAAACUUCUACCUAUAUUGCUUCUAGGAAGAUUCCUAAUACUAUCCAUAUACAACACUAGCAGUAUACUUUUCAACGUUCUGUAACUCAUUUUCCCAAACUUAGAAUCGGAGAGUCGUGAAGCUGAUGAAUUUAUCCUCUCCGGCCACCUUAGAUUUUGUCAACACACCUCCACGAACCUUAUUAGGGCCAAGUCUAUAAAACCGAAUCUCUAUCACUUAACUCAAAAAAAAAAAAAAAUUAAUGACAGAGAAUACAAUUUUGUGGGGUUGGGGGAAGAGGUAAUGUAAGGAGGGAGUUUUGGAUUCAAGAUCUCUGGCGUACCAAAAAAAAAAAAAAAAGUGAAGAGAAUUAAUUGAUCAAUUUGUUAAUCAGAUCUAUCAAAUUUAUAUGUAAGUAGACUAAUAUCAUGCUUAUUCGUUAAAUACUAGUAUAUAGGUUAUAUUCCUGUGAUUAAUAACAGCAAUUAUUAUGUAAUGAUCUGUAUCUGUUGACAAAAAUCUUCAAUCCCUUUUCACUUAUUGAUUAAAUUCACACUUGUUCUAAUCACGCAAGUACAUACAAUUUGUUGAUAAUAUUGCCGCUGGGGUGAACUUUUAGCUUUUGGUCCAAAUAUUUGUUGAUAAUAUUGCCAUUGGGGUGAACACGCAAGUAUAUACAAUUUGUUGACAAUUUUAUACGUAUGGCAUGCAUCCAAAUUGAACUCUAAAUUUUACACGCAUGUAUCGCAUCCAAGUCCAUGUGUACACUUAAAAAUAUACGUGCGAUGCUUUGAGGUGUGGAUGGUCAAAUUUUAUUAGCCCACAUGGAACGACGAAACUUGAGAAAUUGAUGGGAAGAUGUGGAACUCUUGAGCGAGCACUGAAUUGCGUAAAAUAGAGAGGUUGUCAUUGUCGAGACGAAAAGUUCAUUUGGGCCACCAAAAGAAUGCACGGUUAAAGAACAGGUGCUGCCAAAUUUUCCUGCGUGGCAGAAGAAUAAAGAAUAGUGAUGGCAACUAGUUAGGAAGAAUAGUGUAUAAACAUGUCAAAUCAUAUAAUCAUAAUUAAAGUACAGUGGCCACUAGAUUACACUCUUGAGAGUUACAUCAGACAAAGAAGCAAGAUUCUUGCCGCUGCUGCACAUUUUCUAAGAUUUUAACAUGGUCAGGCAAGCAACUACAUGCAAUCAAGACAGACUUUGGCUAGCAAACAAGUUGAACUUGGAUUCAAGUGUCAAUGUUGAAGUAUCUGAAUGUAACAGUUUUUCUUGGAAACUCAGUGCAGGAAAGUUUUGAUCCAACAAAGACUGUUGGUGUAUUAUGUAUGGCAUCAAUGACAAGAAUCUAUAAUAUAAAACUCCCAAAAGUCUGGAUUGUGAUCAACGAGUUACUAACCUAGCUAAGUCUACCUAAUGCCAGAAUGAAUUGUGUAUUUGUACCUCUGAUCUGAGCUAGCUAUAUCACAAAAAUGUGCCAUUAAAAAUUCAUAGCUGAUCGAGCUUUCAAAAACAAGCAUACUCACGUACAUGAGUACGUAGAUUGGUUUGCUGACAAUUUUGCUGAUGCAGGAGUGCUGCAUUAUGCCUGCAGCACUGGAUUUUUUGUGGAAAUUUCUCGAGAUCAGGAGAAGUUUCAUUGAUUUGGGAUUGCCAUGAAAGUCCACGUUAUUGGCACUUAUUUCACUAAUCAAUGCCACUCACUUUGAUUGUGGCUUGAUAGUUUAGGAAUUCUGCAUCAGCAGCACUGAAACUGUACAAAAAUGUAUAUAACUCAUCACACCUUCAUCUACGAACUGCUCUCCAGCUUGAACUUUAAUCAGCCGUUUAGGUAAUGUAUUUCCUCAAAAGAUUUUCUUCACCAAAGUUCCCGAGUUACUAAAUUCAUAUGCGCCACAAAAUUGUACCUGUAUGCAUAUUAAUCUCUUAGCAUCCAAAUAACUUCAAAUAUAUUCUCCUUGCGCCUCUUCUCGAUGAGGUAAAUAUUCUAUCCUGGACUGCCUCUUAAUCUGGCAUACAUCACCAACUGGCACUGACACUAAUCCUAGUUUCUUACAACUCUCACAAAUCAACUAUUAAUCCAUUCAAUACCAUGAAUAUAUUUAGUUAUCUAUACAUGGCAUGUGCUCUUACUUUUCAUGAGUUUAAUGGAGUAGUUUAAUAAGUGGAGAUGGCACCUUGUUAGGUACAGUUUUGAAAGUUCAAAGGACUAAGUACGGGGACAAAAUUUUAGUGCAAUUUAAUAACAAGACUUAAAUCUACAGUAGAAUUUCCAGGAAAUUGUCUUCCCUCCAUUCAUUCAAAGUUGAAAAAGCAAUCAUUGUCCGUGCUCUAUAAAUAUAUAGGAGGAAGUGGCGGCUUUAGUUGGAACUUAGAUCCAGCCACCCAAUGGAAAUAUCUCCUUAUCUCCUACUGUUCCUUUCCGCCUUGGCCUUUUCAAAUCUUGAACAAGUUUCAAUGGCCAGCGGAAGUAUGCACGAGGAGAAAACAAAAAAGGAAAAUUUGUCAAAUUGGUCCCUAAUAUUUUCACAAAACACUUUUUUAGUUCCUAAUAUUUAAAAUCAACUAGAAUAGUUCCUAACAUAUAAAUUAUGAGUCAAUUUGGCUCUAAUGCUCGUAUUUGCUCUUUUUUCCACCUAAAAAUAGUACACUGGCAUAAUUUCAAGAACAAAAUUGAAAAAAUUCAUUAAUCUAUAAUUUUGCAUCCCUCAAACUCUUCCACCACUUCUUCAAUUGAUUCUCACCCUUGUGUUGAAACUUUCCAAAGGCUUUGUGGGUUUAAGAAGGUGCAGAGAAUUCUUUGCCAAAUAAGAAGAUAAAAAUAAAUUCUUUGUUGAAAUUGAUAUCGAAUUCAGAGAUUUCCAAACUGAAAAGGGUCUUCUUCUCAAUAACCAUAGCUGCCUGAGAGAACCCAUGUUGCUGAUUCCUUGGUUAAGAGGAGCAAGGACGCAUGAUUUUACGAAGUCAGAAGCAGAAGAAGAGAUUGGGUCAAUGGCUGAAUAGAGACGAAGGAAUACGGGCUCUGUUCAAGCAAAGAUAGCCUGUGGACUUGCCAAAAUGCUCCAACAGCUUUCUUACCAAAUUUGAGCAAUCAAUAUGAGGGAAUUGCAUAUAUUGGUACAGAGUAUUGUGGAAGAAGAUGGUUAUGCAUUGGAAGCCGCUGGUUGUGACAGAUGCAGGCUCUGUCUUGUUUGAAAGAAUUGAAGCUGAAGCUUUCCAACCCACAAAGCCUUUUGCUUAAUUUUCCAUCUCCGGAAUUUAGAUGUCCUCUUUCUGGACAACUCAUGAUUGACCCUGUUGUCAUAGCCUCUAGCCAGGUUAGUAGAUUUCUCAUUAAUCUUCUGUUCGAGAUUGAAACUUUUUUUUUGGUGGCUUUGAUAUUUCUUGAAACUUCUUUUUGGUGUCUUUGAUAUUUCUGUCUUUUCAUUCAAUUAUUCUUGUUUAUUCUCCAUCCUAGUAGCAGUAGGUUGAGAAUCAAUUGAAGAAGCGGUGGAAGAAUUUGAGGGCCGCAAAAUUGUGGAUUAAUGAAUUUUUUCAAUUUUGCCCUUGAAAUUAUGUCGGUGUACUAUUUUUAACCGGAAAAAAGAGUAAAUACGAGCAUUAGAACUAAACUGGCUCAUAAUUUAUAUGUUAGGAACUAUUCUGGCUGAUUUUAAAUAUUAGGGACUAAAAAAGUGUUUUGUGAAAAUGUUAGGGACUAAUUUGACAAGUUUUCCAAUAAAAAAUAUUCAGGCUGUCAAAGGCAUGAUAGGUGCAAUUGUUGAUCACAAUAUCCGCAUAGGUAAAGAAGAGAUAGUAGCAAUGGACAUGGCCGUUGAAGAUGUCUACAACCAGACAAAACAAAAGGUGAUUCUUUGUUGGAAAUUUUUUAAAAUUUGUAUGUUGUACAUACAUGUAAUUAAUGUAUAUUCAUGUUUUUUGGUACAUGUAUAGUAUUGUGAAUAUUUCUACUAUGUACAUUCAUUUAUGAAUGUGUUCAUGUAUAUGAGAAUUCUUGAAUGAAAGGAUAGAUUCAUAUUUUGAUCUUAAGAUCAUGAGGUGCAUGAAUUAAAGUGCAUGAAUUUGUAAACAAUACUUUGAAUCUAUUCAUACAAGUAUUUAAUGAGUUCUUUUGUUUCUCAAACAAUCUUGCUAUAUAAAGAGGUCAAGUAGAGAGUGAUUUAUUGUAGAAAAUCACUUUCUUACUAUUGUAUACUCUCUCGAAAGCACUCAUUAGUUCACAAAGGAUUUGUCUUGCUUUGUGUAAGAGUUUAACACAAACAAAUUUCAUCUUAUCCUAAAAGAUAUUUGUCCAAGAUUAUUGCACGUUAUACCGGACAAAUAAAUCCUAAAGAAAAAUGAUAUCUAUCACGAUUUGAAACCAAUUCUUGUCACCAUAUUUGUCAGUCCUUUACUAUUUACCCAACAUUUUUUAGCUUUUAUUUGAUACUCUACAAUGGCUGGUACCUUGAAAGAGUUGGCAUCCAACAUUGUCAAGCUUGAGAGGUUUGAUGGAGAAAAUUUCAUUCGUUGGCAAAAACGUAUUCGUUUCCUUCUCACUGCACUCAAAGUGGUCUAUGUUUUGACCAUACCAAAAUCAUUGAUCAAUCCUGAGAAAUAAACUCUUGAAGACAUCCGAAAACGUAAAAAAUGGGAGAACGACGAUGAAAUAUGCCGUGGUCACAUCCUCAAUACCAUGAGUGACAGCUUGUUUGAGCUUGUUUGAUAUCUACCAUUCAAUUACUACAACCCAAGAACUUUGGGAUCGUUUGGAAUCCAAGUACAUGCAAGAAGAUGCUACAAGUAAGAAGUUUCUUGUCUCAUCUUUUAAUAAUUAUAAAAUGGUAGAUAGUAAGUCUAUUAUGGAGCAAUUUAGUGAGAUUGAAAGACUUUUUAAUCACUUCACACAACAUAAUCUACACAUGGAUGAAGCCAUAAUUAUUUGCUCUAUGAUAGAUAAGUUACCACCUUCUUGAAAAGAUUUCAAGAGAGACUUCAAACAUAAGAAAGAGGAUAUCUCUCUUGAGAUUCUUGCUAAAUCUCUUUGAAUAGAAGAGAAAAUUCGCAUGCAAGAAAAGAAGGAUACUCAAAUCCCUGAAGAGAACAAAGAUUCUACUUCAAAAGUACAUGUGAUUGAAGAGAGACAAACUGAAAAAUCUCAAGGAUGCAAGAAGAGCCAACAACCCAAGAAUCAGUCCAAGAAAAAAAAGAAAAGACAAUACUUCUAUUGCAAGAAAGAGGGACAUUAUAAGUCCGAGUGCAAGAUUCUUCAAAACAAAAAAAAGAAGCAAGAGUCUUCCCAAAACACAAGCAAAAAUCUUAUGGCAAUGAUCUCUGAAAUCAAUAUGAUUGAAAAUGAUUUUACUUGGUGGGUUGAUUCUGAAGCUACGCGACACGUGUGCAACAAUAGAACGUUCUUCAAAUCCAUAAAAUCGGUGGAUGAGAGCACCGCUGUUUACAAUGCAAAAUUCUGCUACAAUUUCGGUUCAAGGCAUUGGAGAAAUAGAAUUAAAAUUUACUUAUGGCAAUGUUGUAACCUUGACAAAUGUGUAUUAUGUACCGAAAGUUAGGAAAAACUUGGUGUCGGCUGGUUUGUUAAAUAAAUUUGGCUUUAGACUUGUGUUUGAGGCUGACAAAUUUAUUUUGUCUAAAGGUGGUAUGUUUGUAAGCAAGGGUUAUCUUUGCAAAAGAAUGUUUAAGCUGAAUGUACUUGCUAUUAGAAAUAAUAAGAAUGAUAUUGUUUCUUCGUAUUUGGUUGAGUCUUUUUUUGAAUUGUGACAUAAUGGGAUUGGUCAUGUUAAUUAUAAAAGAAUGCAUGAAAUGAUGAGACUUGAUUUGCUGCCAUAUUGUGAUAAGAUUGAAGGAAAAUGCAGAACAUGCAUGCUAGCGAAAAUCACAAAAAAUUCAUUUUCUAAGGUUGAAAGAUCAUUUAAAAUCUUGGAUCUUAUUCAUAGUGAUGUAUGUGAUUUGCAUGGUACUCCUACUUUGGGUGGUAAAAAUUACUUUGUAACUUUUAUUGAUGAUUAUAGUAGAUACUGUCAUGUUUUCUUGUUACAUUCAAAAAGUGAAACAUUGCAAAAAUUUAAGACAUACAAAUCAGAAGUUGAACUUCAUUGUGAAUUCUUUAUCAAAUAUCUAAAAACAGAUAGAGGUGGAGAGUAUUAUGAUAUUACCUAUUUUGAGUCUGUUGGGAUAAAACAUGAGGUGACUACUCCUUAUACACCACAGUAAAAUGGUGUAGCCGAGAGAAAAAAUUGUGUAUUGACAGAAAUGAUUAAUGCACUUUUGUCAAAAUCUGGACUAAGCCAAUAAUUUUGGGGUGAAACCUUGUUAACGGUUUGUCAUAUCCUAAAUAGAGUUUCUAAUAAAAGGAGUUCUAUAACCCCUUAUGAAUUGUGGAAUAAAAAAAAACCCAACCUAAACUAUUUGAAAGUUUGGAAUUGUAGGGCUGUUGUAAAACUCCCAGAACCGAAAAAAAGAAAAUUGGGAGAAAGAGGUGUGGAGUGUAUAUUCUUAGAAUAUGCACAAAAUAGCAAAGCAUAUAGGUUCAUAGUAAUUGAACCUAAUGAUUCAAUUUUGGUUAAUACCAUAAUUGAAUCUAGAGAUGCUAUUUUUGAAGAGAAUAGGUUCACCUCUAUAAAAGAUGUUAUUCCAAAACUAUGUGAAUUAACAAAAGAUGAUGAAAAUGAAACCAUUGAAUUGAGAAGGAGCAAAAGAAUUAGAAAGUCAAAAGACUUCGGUUCGAACUUUUAUAUGUAUCUAGUUGAAGGAACUAGAGAUACAGUUAGCAACCAAAUUUCAUAUUGCUUCAAUAUUGAGGCUGAUUCCAAAAUCUAUGAAGAAGCAAUGAACUCACAAGAUGUUCCUUUUGGAAGGAAGCUAUUAAUGAUGAGAUGGACUCAAUCAUGGAUAAUAAAUCCUGAAAAUUAGUAGACUUACCACCUGGUUCAAAACCAAUCGGUUGUAAGUGGAUCUUCAAGAAGAAAAUGAAAAUCGAUGAAACUAUUGAUAAAUUCAAGACCAGGUUGAUUGCCAAAAGGUUCACACAAAAGUAUGGUGUGGACUAUUUUGACACAUAUUUUCCAGUAGCUAGAAUUGCUACAAUUAGAGUGCUACUUGCUAUAACUUCUAUCCAAAAUCUAGUUAUUCACCAAAUGAAUGUUAAAACAGCAUUUUUGAAUGGUGAUUUGAAUGAAAAAGUAUAUAUGGAGUAACCCGAUGGGUUUGUGAUACCUGAUCAAGAGCAUAAGGUGUGUAAACUUGUAAAGUCUUUAUAUGGACUAAAACAAGCACUGAAGCAAUGGCAUCAGAAAUUUGACCAAGUUAUUCUUGCUAGUGGAUUCAAAAUAAAUGAAUCUGAUAAAUGUAUUUAUAGCAAGUUUAGUGAUGGCAAAAGUGUCAUAAUUUGUUUAUAUGUUGAUGACAUGUUAAUUUUUGGGACUGACUUGGAACAAGUUGAAGUCACAAAAAUUUUGUUUUCAAGCAAAUUUGACAUGAAAGAUAUGGGUGAAGCAGAUGUUAUUCUUGGUAUAAGAAUCUUCAAACAUGGUAACAAUAUAAUGUUGUUUCAAUCACAUUAUAUUGAAAAGGUUCUUAACAAAUUCAAUCAAAGUGAUUGUAUUCCAGCCUCAACACCAUUGGAUCCCAAAAUAAACUUUGUGAAAAAUGAGGGGGAUCCAAAAUCUCAAAUGGAAUAUGCUAAGGUUAUAGGGUGCUUAAUGUAUGCAAUGACUUGUACUAGACCUGAUAUUGCAUAUGUAGUUGGUGUAUUGAGCAGACAUACAAGUAACCCUAGUAGGUUAUAUUGGCAAGGUGUAACCAGAAUUUUAAAAUAUUUAAAGAUCACUAAGGAUUAUUAUAUAUAUUAUACCGGUUAUCCUUCAGUUUUAGAAGGAUUUUCAGAUGCUAGUUGGAUCACCAAUAAAGAUGAUCACUCGUCGACAAGUGGUUGAAUCUUUAUACUUGGUGAAGGUGUAGUUUCUUGGGGUUCUAAGAAACAGACUUGUAUCACCGAUCCAACAAUGGCAGCAGAAUUUGUAGCACUUGCUUCGGCUUGUAAAGAAGUUGAAUGGCUAUGUAAUUUACUUUGUGAUAUACCAUUUUGGCCAACACCUUUAUCGUCUAUCUCAAUCCAUUGUGAUAGUGCAGCUACACUUGCUAAAAUAUAUAGUCAAGUGUAUAAUGGUAAGUCAAGACAUAUACUCUUCUAGUAAAAAACUCUCGAGGGAAAGCUGUCCAGGCGACUCUUUCUGGUAUAUAUGCAUUUUCUUUUCCUUGGAUACUGUUGAAGUGUUUGUCGUGAACAUUGAAUGAUUGCUUGAGCUAAAGCAUCUUAUAAUACGAUUAAAGUAACCGGAAUUUAUAUAAACUACAACGAUGAGAAAAGAACAACUCCAUGCAAUUAAUUAAGUACGAUACUAAUUGUCUUGUUUCCAUCGUAUUGUAGCUAGGGAUCUUAUCAAGAAGAAGAAGGCCCAAGUCAUUUUGGGAUCAAGAUCAUGGGAAGAAACAUCCUCAGUUGCUGAGCUUGGGAAUCAAUAUGGCAUCCCUACUCUUUCUUUUGCUGAUCCAUGCCCUUCAUGGGCCACCGAACGUUGGCCAUUCUUUAUUCAAGCUUCUCCCAGCAAAUAUUUGCAAAUGAAAGCGGUGGCUGCUAUGGUCCAGUCCUGGGGAUGGCGCCGGGUUAAUGUCAUUUAUGAGGAUACAGAUUCUGCUGUAAAUGGAAUAACACCUCAUCUGUAUGACGCCUUGCAGGAAGUUGGAGCUCAAAUUAGUCAUCUUACAGCCCUUCCAUCUUUUCCAAAUGCUUCAAUGUUGUGCGGGGAGCUUGCGAAGCUUAAGGCAGAACAAUGUAGAAUCUUUGUAGUUCAUGCUUCUUUGGCCUUAGCAGAACGCAUAUUUCAAAUGGCCAAGGGGAUGAAGAUGAUGGAACAAUGUUAUGUGUGGAUCACCACAGACAGUGUAACAGGCCUUGUCCAUUCAAUGGACGUCUCCAUGAUGUCAUCGAUGCAAGGUGUACUUGGAGUAGAGAGAUAUUAUCAUGAUAAAGAGCGGAAGUAUCAGGAUUUCUAUGGAAGAUUUCAAUAUGAAUUUGGCUUGAAGUACGCCGAAGAAAAGAACCAUGAGCCUGGAAUUUCUGCACUAGAAGCCUACGAUGCCACCUGGACCGUGGCUUUAGCAAUGAAAGAAGGCAAAAUCAAUCACCAACAUCUUCUUGACAAGCUUUCCAUCACAGAUUUCAGCGGAUUAAGUGGUAAAAUUCAGUUUUCUGAGCAAAUAUUAGCUCCAUCUGUGAAUAUAUUUCGAAUAAUCAACGUUGUUGGAAGGAGUUAUUUAGAACUUGGAAUCUGGUCAGAUGGAAUAGGAUUUUCUGUGGAAGUUGGUGAGAAUGCCAAAAACAAUGUCUCGAUGGAAAUUUUCGGAAAGUUGUUUUGGCCUGGAGGACCUCUGAAUGCUCCAAGAGGGUGGGACAUCGCAACUGUUGCCAAUGCAAUGAGAAUUGGCGUGCCUAAUGCAUCCCUGAUCAAGCGCUUCGUUGAUGUGGAAUAUGAUCCAUUGACAAAGAGUUAUGCUGUGUCUGGAUUUUCAAUUGAUGUAUUCAAAGAAACUGUAAGUUAUUUGCCAUAUUUUCUACCAUACAGUUUCAUUCCAUUUGACGGCACCUAUGAUGCUCUAGUGGAGCAAGUUCGAUUAAAGGUCAGUCUAUUUUUUUUUUAAACUUCGUUCAAUGUUUUGUUUUUUGACCAAUUUAUCUCAAAUUGGACAACUAUAUUUCAUAGUCUCCUAGAGCAAAUUGCAGAGGCAACAUUGAAGGACAUGUUAAUGAACACUUGGGAUCCUCGGUGACAUGUUUUUCUAUGUCAAUUCAAUGCCACCUAUAGUAUUGCGCCAAGUGUCCUGUUAUUAUUUACACUUUAAUUUUCUAAUAAUUCAACUUGGUUUGGUUUAACACAAGUAUAAAUAAUAACAUGACACUUGGCACAAUAUUAUAGGUGGCAUUGGGUUGGCAUAGAAAACAUGUCACCGAGGAUCCCAAGUGGUUAAUGAUUCGGAUCCAUAACUAAUCUUCAGCUCUUUAUAGGCACAGGCAAUCAGCCUAUUACAUUGGUUCUUCGUGAAUAGGAAGAUCAGACAUCAUAAAUGAACUAAUAGUUAUUUAAUGUUCAUAUAAUUGACCUUUGGAUCCAAUUGAACUUGAUAUGCUUCAUGCAGAACUUUGAUGCAGCAGUUGGCGACAUAGCAAUAAUAUCCAAGCGAUGUGUAGAUGCAGAUUUCACGCAUCCUCACAUUGAAUCAGGGCUUGUGUUGAUAGUCCCCAUUCAAUCACAAUCUAACAGGAGUUGGCUGUUCCUGAAGCCGUCCACAAAAGCAAUGUGGUUCCUUAUAGCAUCAAUAAAUGUUUACAAUGGUUUUGUCAUAUGGAUGAUUGAACGAAAUUACUGCUCAGAAUUGAAAGGAUCACCUUUGAAUCAGAUUGGAACUCUGCUCUGGUUGGCUUUUGCUACAUUAUUUUCACCACAAGGUAAACAUUCAAAAUCCAAUUUAGCUAAUUGAAAGAAAAAAGAGAACAUAAGAAAAUGUUAAUACGUAUCUUUUUGCUUUGAGGACAGGUGAAAAAUUGCAUAGCAACCUGUCAAGGGCAGCAACAUUGGUGUGGUUGUUUGUCGCACUAAUCAUAUCACAGAGCUAUACAGCAAGUCUUACAAGGAUGCUCACUGUGCCCAGGCUUGAACCAAAGGUUGCAAACAUUGACACACUGAGAAAUAGCAAUGCAGUGAUUGGGUACUCGAGAAAAACUUUUGUUAAAGAUUACUUGUUGAAUGUCUUACAUUUCAACCCAAACAACAUCAAGAAUUUUUCAUCAUUCAAAGAAUGUGCUGAAGAUCUUAAGAAUGGUAGAAUUGCUGGAGCAUUUCUUGAGGUUCCUACUUCUAAAGUUUUCCUUGCCAAAUACUGCAAGAGCUUUAUGACAACAGGCCCAACAUACAAAUUUGGAGGUUAUGGAUAUGUAAUUCUCUACCCAUUUAGCUUCAUUGAAGUAUAUGUUUGCUAUUUUUCCCAUUCCUUCUCUGCCUACUACAAUUUUUGUUAGCCUAGAAGACUAUGAUCCAUGCCUACUGUACAUAAUAAAAUCUGAAACAAUUAAUCCAAACAAUUCUAGGUGGGAUAUGGGCUCAAUUAUCUGAAUGUUCAAACAUCAACCUUGAAAACCUUACUAGAUCACCUUUUUUUUUUUUUAAUGAGAUGCUCACAUGUACAUUAGCAAAAUUUAGAUCUGCAUCCAGCAUCAUCGUCAUCACGAGAUUAUUCUUGUCUCAGGCAUUCCCAAAAGGAUCUCCACAAAGUCAUGACAUAAAUUGGACUGAAUUUCUGGCUCUCAAGUUGUCCCCGUAAAACUUAUUUCUUGCGCUUCAUUCAAGCAGCUUCCACCUCAUUCUUCUGACCUAGUCUCAUUCCAUACGAAAAUCACACGAGAUUCAUUCAGAUAUCAAAGCGUUGCACACUUUUCUUUUCUUUUCUUUAAAUACCAUUUUGCUUUCUUUUGGCAAGUCUAUGGCUCGGACAUAGCCUACAUAUGGAAAAUAUUCAGAAGAAGGGCUAAUCCCCCAUUCAUGGGAUUGUGAUUAUUUCUUCAUUUUCUCGUAAUGUAUACGGGCUUGAGCCCUCAGCCUAUGAUUUUUGCUUUUCCUGAUCAAAUCUCAUACCCUACUUCAUGCACAUUAUGAACGCGAUUACAAAUGUGUGGAGUGCAUUAAUCUUGUGUCUCCCCCUUCAGUUUUUACUAAGGUACUUGAACAACAGUUAUGAGUUGUUGAGUAUGGAAAGGAGAGGGGAUGACCGUUUUUAUGUUGACUGACUUACUCUUGUAGUUGUAGAAACUCUUGAGGUUGGCCAUAAAUGGGAUAUUCGUUGAGGUGAUUACUUCUCUGCAUAACGCGGACUUUGACCAAUUCUUAUUGUCGAAAGUCCUAGGUCUCUCAAGAGUUUACUGUGUCCCGAUUUUGAAGAAGCUCCUGUCCUCUAAAUUUUUAAAGUUUAACGUCAAAUCUAGCCAGAGAAGCAAACAAAAGGGAACAAAACAACUAAUUUUGGUGGUCCAAAGUGUUUGUUGGGGACUGACCCUCCAAGCAUCUUAAAUUCCUUUUUGCUUUUGUUCAAUUAUUUAGGUUUACCAAAGUAUUCAAUUAAUAAUCUUCUAAAAGCAACAAGAAAGGUGAAAUUUAGCCAAUCUCUCUCUCUCUCUCUCCCUCCCGAGCCAUUUGUAAAUAGUAAAUACUAGAUGAUGAACUGGGAUGAGAAGUUGUGAAACCAGUCUGGAGUGUAGAACGGGGAAGUUUGUCUUUGACAAGACUAAUAAUCUCAUUUCGUCAACUGAACGAAUCCUAUCCCAGGUUGAUAAACAUGAGCUUACGAAUUUUUGUUUCCGCGGCAAAAUAAUACUAUAAAAGAUUGACUGUAAUGGAGACAGAUGAUGCGUGCAUGGUAGUUAGCAGUGAGACUUCAUGACUGUAACAAGAAAAUUGGGAGCUGGUGGAUAGAUAGUCUUGGCUAAACCAGACAAGAUUCUUCAUUCUUGAGUCUGCUCAACAUUUUCCUCGGCCUUCGAUAGGUUCGAGUGUUUACUAUAUAUGUAGAAAUAUUUAUUUUGAAAGCGAAAUAAUAAUGGAAAGCAAAUUGCAGAUGCUGCAUGCUUUGAAAGUUACAACCUAGUUUUUCCAACCAUAUCAUUAUUCUAACCUCUUUCCCCUCUAUUUUAUGAUAUAUUUAUCAUUCCAUCCAUAGGUCGAACCAGAAAUUUUCCUUCCGAGAGGGGUGGCGAACUCUAAUUCAACUAAUACUUAAAUAUGUAACUUGAAAUAUUUUAAAUUUUUUGCAGGGGCAAAAGUUUGGUUUUACGCAGAAUUUUUUCCUUAAAAAAUUUUCAAUUGCUCAAGAGAGAAAAAGAGAAUUUUUCAUCUGUAAAUACUUUCCCGAAUUUUUAAAAUCUGAAAUUAUAUAAAAUAACAACGAAAAGAGAUUUAAUGUGUCUGACUUUUCAAAGUUACAUGGCCUGACUACAACGAAAGACUAGUGGGUUUGUUUGGAUUAGGAGUUUAUUUGGAUGAUUUAUUUGAGAUAAUUACUGUAGCACUUUUUGUGAUGUAAUGUGUGUGAGAUAAAAAGUGAUUGGAAAGAUAAAAAGGUGAUUGGAAUUUGUGAAACAAAUUAUUUUUAUCUGAAAUCAUGUCUAUCCAAACAAACUCAAUUAUGGACUUUGAUUCAAGUAUCUAAGCUUGAUUUUUUAACGGUGUGAUGUUAUUUUGUGUUAUACACCUAAGACAAGCAUCAGAACUACUUUUUUUUUUUUUAUUUAAUUUCCCAAAAUUUUGGAUCAUCAUAUCAAUGAGUAGUAGUACUUACCUAACCAACCCUAUAAAUUAUGCAUCUCACUACGAGCUUCCUGCAGGAACACCAAUAAACAUAUAGUAGGUCAAGGUCACGUCUGGAUAUUAUAUAUGCCCCUCUACAUCAGUCUUCUUCAAGGAAAGCUGCAUGAACCUUACCUGGAAUUUUCUCUACAUCAGUUCUUCCAUUGAGCUUCUGCUUUUUACGAACGUUACAUCUCAUGUAACUUCCCAUGCAUUUGUUUAUGGUCACUGCUAUAUAUUGACUUGGAUCAUUGGAUUAUGCUCAUUUUGUUUCAUCUUUGCAGUAUUGCACACGAUCAGUUACUUCUUCUGGAAGCCGAAGCAGUGAAUUUCUCACACUGGUCAUCUUUGAACUCUUUUCCAAAUUAAGAUCUAGUAGCUUAAAUUAUUGAAAACAGAAAGAAAGAAAAAAAAAACCGAUUUCAUUUCGUCUGAAUUGAAUUUUCUCUUCAACAUUUGCUCAACUGCAGGUCAUGAUCUUUGAAUAUAUAUAUAUAUAUAUAUAUAUAUAUUAUAUUCUCGUGUAAACACAAAUUUUAUUCUGUUCUCUUAGGUAAUUUUUGUCUUAUAUUAUUGUCUCUUAACAUUCUUCGUGUUGCUUGCUUAAUAGUUAAUUCGACGACAAUUUUGCAAUCAAAAUAAUGUAGUAGUAUUCACUAAUUCAACUUGUACACUAGAUAUUACCAAGGUAUAUAUUUUUAGAUUUUCAAAUGUUCUUCCCAGUCUUCGAAAGAAAGUAGGGAUGUUGAGGUGACUAUUUACCUCUCCAAUUUGAUGGGAAUUUCCGCGAAACUGGCAUCCUUUGAACAAUCAACAAACGAAUCAUUCUCCAAUACCUGCGGAUAAAUAUAGGAGAUGUUAAGUGUGGACUGUAGAGUCUGAAGUAAAACCAGCUCUAUUCAAUGGCUCCUACGUAUGCCGAUCUUCUUCUACUCCUCCUUUCCGCCUUGGCCAUUAUCAAUCUUGAUCAAAUUUUCAUGGCCAAUGGAGGUAUGCAUAGUUCGAAAACAGAAAAUGUCGAGGCUGUCAAAGGCAUAGACGUCGGUGCCAUUGUGGACUUGAGUGCUCGAAUAGGUAAAGAAGAAGCAGUAGCAAUGCAGAUGGCUGCUGAAGAUGUAGGCAACCAGACAAGACGACGUUUAACUCUGCUACUGAAAAAUUCUCAAGGAGAAGCUGUACAGGCGGUUCUCGCCGGUAAUACUUUGGAUUAUCUUGAAUUUUUUUUUUUUUGGGUACUAAUUGGUUGGUUCAGCUCAGGCAAAAAGUAAACAAAUUGCAAAACGAACAGCUAUCUAAUAAUUAAAUAGAGUUUUGAUUAACAAUCUUAAGUUUGCAGCUCGACAUCUUAUCAAGAAGAAGCAAGUCCUAGCUAUCUUGGGACCAGGGUCAGGGGAAGAAACAUUCUCAGUUGCCGAGGUUGGCACUCAAUUUGAUGUUCCCAUUCUAUCUUUAGCUGACUCGUGUCCUUCAUGGGGGACAAAACGUUGGCCAUUCCUAGUUCAAGCCUCUCCCAGCAAAAAUUUACAAAUGAAAGCAGUUGCUGCCAUUGUCCAAUCUUGGGGAUGGCGCCGGGUUAAUGUCAUAUAUGAGGACAUAGAUUCUUCUGCAGAUGGAAUUACACCUCAACUCUAUGAUGCCUUGCAAGAAGUUGGAGCUCAAAUCAGCCACUUGACUGCCCUUCCAUCUCUUGCUAAUGCUUCAACACUGUCUGAAGAGCUCCAUAUGCUCAAAAGAGACCAGUGUAGAGUCUUUGUAGUUCAUGUCACUUUGGCCCUUGGGGAACGCUUAUUUAACAUGGCCAAGGAGAAGAAGAUGAUGGAACGAGGCUAUGUAUGGAUCACUACAGACAGUCUAACAAGCCUUGUCCAUUCCAUGGAUGCAUCUACGAUUUCAUCAAUGCAAGGUGUACUUGGAAUAAAAAGCUACUAUGAUGACAAAGGGCAGAAGUAUCAGGAUUUCUGCCAAAGGUUUCAAUACAAAUUUGGCUUGAAGCACCCUAAAGAGAAGAACCAUGAGCCUGGAAAUUCUGCACUGGAAGCCUAUGAUGCCAUCUGGACAGUGGCUUUAGCACUGCAGGAAGGCAACAUCAAUCACCAACUUCUUCUUGACAAAAUUUCAACGGCAAAUUUCACUGGAGUAAGUGGAAAAAUUCACUUUUCUGAGCAAAGAUUAGCUCCGGUAACUGUAUUUCAAAUUAUUAAUGUUAUAGGAAGGAGUUAUCGAGAAGUUGGAUUCUGGUCAUACGGCAAAGGAUUUUCUAUGUCUGUUGAUGAGACAGCCCAAUGGAAUGUCUCUAUGGGAGUUUUGGGACAGUUAUUUUGGCCUGGAGGACCUCCAGAUACUCCUAAAGGAUGGGACAUCCCAACAGUCUCCACUCCAUUAAGAAUUGGCGUGCCCGGUGCACCCCUUGUCAAGUAUUUUGUGAAAGUGGAAAUUGAUCCUAUUACGAAGGGUUACUCUUUCUCAGGUUUUUCAGUUGAUGUAUUCAGAGAAUCUGUCAAGUAUUUGCCGUAUUUUCUACACUAUGAUUUCAUUCCUUUUGAGGGCACCUAUGAUGCUCUGUUGGAGCAAGUUCGACUAAAGGUAAGAAUUUUUUGUUCUUUGUGAUUGAGAACGACCUUUUGUAACGUUAUCCCAAAUGGAACUGUAUUAAAUUUCAAAGUGUCACUGAGGAAAUUGCAGAGUCAGAAUGUAAGGAGCUGUACGGAAUUGGAUACUUGAAUUACUCAGAAUUCUGCACAAAAAUUCAUUAACAUUAGAGUCAUUAAAAAUGAACUGCUCCUAUCUCCAAUAAGGUUCUCUUUUAUUGGUGGCAGAAUCUAACAGUAAUUUCAACACUUGCAUGCAGAACUUUGAUGCAGCAGUCGGUGACAUAGCAAUUGUAUCUGAGCGAUAUGUAGAUGCAGACUUCACUCAACCUCACACUGAAUCAGGCCUAGUGUUGAUAGUCCCUACUCAAUCACAAUCUAAGAAAGGUUGGCUGUUCCUGGAGCCGUUCACAAGAGCAAUGUGGCUGCUUACAGCAUUAGUACAUAUCUAUAAUGGUUUUGUCAUAUGGAUGAUAGAACGAAAUUACUGCCCAGAACUCAAAGGAUCCCCUCUGAAUCAGAUGGGAACACUGCUCUGGUUGGCCUUUGCGACAAUAUUCUCGUUACACGGUAACUUUCUUGAAAUCAAUUGAUUGCAACAAGAAACACAUAACAAUUUCAUGAUAGUAAUAAAUUUUCACCUCAAGCACAGGUGAUAGGCUGCAUAGCAACUUGUCACGGAUGGCAACAGUGGUGUGGUUGUUCGUUGCAGUUAUCAUAUCACAAAGCUACACGGCAAGUCUAACCAGCAUGCUAACUCUCCCUAGGCUUGAACCUAAGGUGGCAAACAUUGAGACACUAAGAAAUAGCAAUGCAGUAAUUGGGCACUCCUCGAAAGCUUUUGUCAGAAGUUAUCUAUUGAAUGUCUUACACUUCAAUCCAAACAACAUCAAGAAUUUUUCAUCAUUCGAAGAAUGUGCUGAAGAUCUUAAGAAUGGUAGAAUUGCUGGAGCAUUUCUUGAGGUUCCUACUUCUAAAGUUUUCCUUGGGAAAUACUGCAAGAGCUUUAUGACAGCAGGUCCAACAUACAAAGCUGGAGGUUAUGGAUUUGUAAUGCUCUUUUCCUAUCUGUCUAUUUAGGUUACAUGGCAUACUAAAGGGCAGAACAUACUUUCAAAAUCUUGACAAUUAGCAUCUUAUAUAAGAUACUAUAAUCUGUACAGUUAAUUCAAAUAAUUUGAGGGCAAUGUUUGUGGACAUAUUUGUCUCAGGCAUUUUCUAAAGGAUCUCCACUGAUUGCGGACAUGGAUGAGGCGUUGCUGAAGGUGUUCGAAAGCGGGAGGCUAAAAGAAUUAGAGGACAAUAUGACAGCUAUUGAGAAAUGUGUGGAGAUUGAAUCAGAGAGUGAAACUCUAAGGCUAAGCCCCAGCAGCUUCUACAUACUAUUCAUGUUUACAGGAGGAACAUCAACAGCAGCCCUGGCAAUAUACUUUGUUCAUUCCAAAUAUGAGGCGGACAACACUGCUAUGCCUGAACAUAAACGAAUCUGGCUGCUAAUGCUGUUGGUGCUGAAACACUGGAGGAAUAAAAGAGCCCAAUUUCCAAGAAAUGUUAGCCUUGCUGAACCCCCCGUGGAUGCUUCAAGUCAUGUUUAGGAAUGAGAACAGGGCAAAUUCCUGUGGGGGUAGAAAUGGGAUGGGAGGAAUGGGAUGGGGAUUAUUUCCCUGCCAAAAAACCGGGUGGGAGAGCAUACGCUCGCCCCAUCCCCAUAUAAAUAAAUGAAAUGUAUAAUAUAUAACCCAAAAAUGUAUUUUGUUAUGCGUUAUGUUAAAGUUUGACAUUGAUUCAGAGACUUUCAUGAUCCCCUAUGAGCAGCUGCUGAAACUUUUGUUGUGAUUGCUAUUCUUACAAUGGUCAGGUAUGAAUAUUGGGUUGACUUUAAAAUAUUGGUUUGAAUUGGCGACAGCAUUGAGAAGAGAAAAUGAUGAUUGUAGUGCAUUAGUAAAUUGAUGAUGAUGAUCACUCUCUAUUUUGUUGCCCUUAUACAUCUUUUGAGUACUCGCACUAAUGUUUUCGUUGGUUUUGUAAAUUGUGCUUUGAUGCUUUUUGAAAGAAAAGGAAGCUACUGCACUUGUUUGAUUCAUAAAGGACAAAGACAAAAUAAAAAGAAUUACAAUGAAGAGAGCAAAAUCUUAAUUGUACUGCCCAGAGCAAGAAACUCCCGUGAGCACCCAUGGCAAAGAUUGGAGGGAGAGGAGACGUGGGGUGCGAGAGAGAGACGAGAAACUAAACUAAUGACUACCACAAUUAAUUAAUUUGAUUAAGUGCAUCAUCAUACAAUAUACACUGUACAAAGUUAUGAAAGUAUUCAUGUACAGAGUUUGUGCUGCUAAUGUAGUAAUUUUAGAUUCCCAAUCAUCAUCAGUCAGUCGUUGAUAUGGUGUAAUUUUCUUUUCAAUAAAAUGAUUAGCACUAAGAACUACUGAUGACAACCUUGCACGUAAAAUUAUAGGAUACUUCACAAAUUAUCCACCGUUGCAACUUGCAAUGAAACAUGACCACAAAGAGACAUAUCGGAUUAAGAUUGGGCCGUAGCAUCAUCAUCCUUGAUUUCAAAGAGGGCCUAAUAGGCGGUUUUGAGGGAUGGGCUAAACCGAGUCAAAGAAACAUGCGGAGAUGGUCCGUUACCUGCAUAAUAAAAUAAUCUGCGGAGAUCCUCAGCACAAUGAAUUAAUGAUAGUAUUAAAAAUGAAAAAGACAUGUACAUUAUUUGGAAAUCGAAGACACCUUGUAAAUUUCACAAGCAAACAAAAGAUUUCUCCAUUCCCCCCUCCCCCAACCUUCUAUUUUCAUGAUACCAGAAGGCAUCCAAGAUUACAACACCAGAAUAAAUUUUUUCUUUAUAAAAAAAAAAAAUCUCCAAAAGCUAAAUUUCUAAUCCUACUCUGACAUUCCCACUUCCUUCUGCAACCCCAUAAUAGUUUACAACCCUACAUAUCCAUCAUCUUUAUCCCCAAAAGUUGCAACAACCGAAAAGGGAAACAGGCGGAUGAUGAACAAUUUAAAAAGGUUAAGGAUCACAAAGGAAGCCAAUCAAAGCUUUCAACACUUUUGUUUUUUUUUUUUUUCUUGCAAUUCAGCAAGCGACCAACUACCCAAAUUAAAUAAAUCCAUACAAAUUUGAGGUAGUGGUGCCCAUUUCCUAAUGUUAUACAUAUAUAUAUAUAACAAAAAAAAAAAAGAACAAAAUCAUUAAUUAUGUGAAAUCAUUUUAUCACCAUGCAUGCCAUCCUAGCUAAGAGCGCACACAUAUAAAUCUCUAGCACAAUCACCCAAAAGUAGGGAAAGAAGGGUGGGAAGAAAAGCAAAAAAAAAAAAAAAAAAAAAAAAUUCCAAUCCCCACUCCAGCAAGCUUUGUCUAAGGGUCCACUUGUUAACACUGGAAGGGUAGAACACAUCACGUGAUUGAGCAGGUUGGCUGAUUGAACCAUGGCCUCUCAUCACUUUGGGUCCUCUACUAAGCUCUAUCAUCUCCUCCUCUUCUCAUCAUCUCCAAUUCUCCAUAAUUACAAGAGGAACUAUUCUUGGUCCGUACCACAAGUCUUGUUAAGGUUUGGUUGUGGUUGUGGUAGCGGUGGUGGGGAUGCUUCAUCAGCGGCUUUCUUAGACAUCAUCUGCAUGUUCUGCUCAUGAUAUAUGUGCCUUAAUCUCUCUAUCUCUUUCCUCAAUGCUUCUUGAUGGGCUGUGUAAGUGCACACAGUAGCAAAUUACUCUUAAUCAACAAUAAAAAGUUGACUAAAACGCUCUUACCAAAACCAAGAAAGGUAAAAACUACACUAAUAGCAAAAUCCUGUUGUAUUGUAUCACCUAUAUGCAUGUAGCCUAGAUCUAUCUUAGUGCGUAAAAAAUGUGUGUGAUGUCUUCACGUCAAAGUUAAGUCACUUAACUACUACUUAUGAUGCAUUAUUCAAUGUUUUCCUCAUUGGAAUUUGAAUUGAAAAUGUGACUAAUUGACUUGUUGUGUCAGUAUAAUAAGAGUAAUCUAUGUUAAUGACGUUAAAAGUGUGAGGGAUUUUUAACUUGGGUACAUGCAAGUCCAUCUGGCUUCUUCACUACAAAAGCAUGGAACGUUCAUCGAUUAUGCAAAAUUUUCUGGGCUCGUAAAAUGAGAAACUAUCAGCUAUCACAUAGCAGAAAACGGGCAAUCAAAUGAUAAAAUUUGAGCUCUUACCAUCUUUGAAUAUUUUAUCUUGAGCUAGAGCAGCAAUGCGUUGCUUAAGAGCACUAUUAUCAACAUUAAGAACCAAUCUCUGAUGAUCCAAGAAUGCAACCCUUGGAGAUAAUGCCGAUACUUCUGUCUGCAUAACCCACCAGAAAUACACAAGAAGACUCGUUAAAGUCGACAAAAGUUAAUCAAUCAGUUACAAGAAGAUAAAAGAACUAAUUUUGAAGAUUUAUUGUAAAGAUAUAUACAUACCUGCAGUGUUGUGACACUCCUUUCAAGCUCUGAAAUGUAUUGUAGCUUCCUUACUCUUGAUCUCUGAGCUGAUUGGCGAUUAGCAAGAAUUCUGAUCAUUAGAAACGCAAACAAAAGCUACUUUAGCUAACAGUAAAAGAAAAUCUGAAAAUAUACAGUCCAUGCACGAUAAAAAAUUACAUCUUGACGUUGGAUAUAGAUGUAUAUACAUAAUUGUGCGAUGACGUUUUGGUAGUUUUAAGAUGAGGGCCCUCAAGAAUUUACCUCUUUAUUCUCUUCGGAUCGACAAUAGCAUCUGCGGAAGGAUUGGCUGGGGAUUCCGUUUGUGUUUCUGUUUCCCGUUUGGUUGAGAUGUCCACUUCCCCUGGCUCAUUUUUUGGCUGCAAAUUUGGGUUUUCUUGAGCUGCUGCAUUCUUCUCAUCAUUUUCGCUGUUUUGAUCAGAUGGGGUGGACGGAUUAGUGCUGGCUGGAUCGGAUGAUGACAAAGGCGGAAGCUCCUUGGUGGCAAUAUCGUCGGAGAACAUGUUCCUGAGUUGCUCAUCAUCCAAUCCAUCAAAAUUAUGACCGUUGCAUGUAACACUGAUGUUUGUUGGAUUAUCAGCGUUUCUGCAUUCUUCGACGAAUGGAGCCUCCACGAAGGCAACGGAAUCGCUCACGGACCUCCGGUGAGAGCUCCUCCGAGCGGACGAGAAGUCUAGGAAUUCAUCAACCCAAGAAUUCUGCUGGGCAGUUGUUGGAGGAGGAGGCAAUGGCAUCAUCUGGAAAGGGAAGGAAGGAUACCAAUUUUGUGUCAUGGAUGGAACUUUUGGCGGAAGCUGCGCCAUGCAUUAAUGUGUAAAAUUUGGCCCAAAAAAAAAGAAAGAAAAGAAUCGAAUUACUACAAUUAGGGACUGAUUUGAUGACACAAGAUCUUGGGUAGAAAUUCAGGGAUUGAGUCCUGAGAAAAUUUAGGAAGGGGUGGUUAUAUGUGGGUUGGGAAUGGGGAUUGGAACGAAGGGGGAGGUCAAAAAGUGGUGCAAUAAUAGAACAUUUUGCGAUGGUUCUGGUUUUUUGUAGGUAACGUUGGUUAACUGUUGGUGGUGGUACUAAUUUGAAGGCCCAGAGAUUUUGGAGGGGGGGGGGGGGGGGGGGGAGGAGGAGGGGGAGGGGAUGGGUAGGGAAGGAGGAGACGGGGGAAAGCACAUGGGAUGGUGGGAUUGGGACAGCUAGCUACAGCUAUUUGGGAGGGAUUUCACAGGAAAGUCGCAGUGGUAAGUUUAAUAACUGGAGGAGGAAUCAGCCACCACGUGCCAAUGUGACCCAUGGGCUUGCUUGACCCUCAGCUCUAUUAAAAUUAUUACUAGCAUGCAAAUUCAAGAUCACAUAUGAUAGGGAGAGGAUCAUUCGUAUAGGAGUUUUUAUUUCUUGGGCGGUUCCAACGCAUCAUCCCUUAGCCUCUCAAUAAUUAGAUGAUAAAUGCAUGCAAUACUACAUCAUCUUAAUCAAUGAAUAACCGAUGGACAUCUGUUAGACUCAGAUCCAUUCAUAACUGUAAUAUUAGCCUUUGAAUAUGCGACGGAGAUAUUUUUUUUAACGAGUAAAUCUUAUAUACACUGACACUAACAGUGUAUACUCUUUCAUCAUUUGGAUUAUGUGCCAUGCAUCCAAUGAUGAAAGUGCAUACACUGUCAGUGUAUUAGAUGAUUAAUCUUUUUUUUUAUAUUAAGUUACUAUUCAUUGAUUAGGAAAGAUGACUUUUGAGCUCUAGAAAUUCGAUUGAAUAUGUUUAGAUUGGAUUAUGAUCGAAGUUAUUACGGUGUACAUUUUGUUAUUAUAUAUAAAAAUGUGGAUUACGUACGUGUAUCCACUUCAAUCUUUUGUUCUCCUCCUUGAUCAAAUGUCAAACUAACGGCCCGUUUGGCAAGCAAGGUUUUUUGUCAAAUUUGUCUGCUACAAGUUUUUUAACAACUUUAGUUACAGUAAUCUCAAAAAAUUUCUCAAAAAUUUUAAACUAUACACUUCAAAAUAUCCAAAAAUUUACACACUGUAAAAAUUUUUCUUACAACUUCUACAAUAAAGUUUUAGACAAACACUCAAAAAACUCAUUUGCCAGACGGGGCCUAAGUCAUACAACUUGGUUUAAAUGCCUUCUCACCUUUUUUUUGCACUAAUAUCUUUGAUGAUGACUGUUACUGGCAAAUUUCGCUUUAGAAUAACUGAACGUGACAAAAAAAAAAAUUCUGCAAAGUUCGUGUAGCUGCCUACAACUAUACAAUUGAAUGGGCUGGUGCAGGAGCCAUCCAUGAGAAGGCCGGAGGAGGAAGUCGGAUAAAAGCAAUGGACGGUGGAAGAGUGGGAGCAUAAGAGCAAUCUAGAGAGGAUGAGCUGUGAAAGAAAAGGAAGGGUGUGAGCGAGCACAAUGUCUUCCUCCCCCAUGUGAACUCUUUUUAAGAACCCCAAAAACAACACCUUUCUUCGCUUUGUCCCCAAAUCAGACUCACAUGGAGGGCAUAGGUCCCAUUUGCUUCUCUCUCUCUCUUCCUUCUUGGUAGCUUCCAUCAAGCCAUUAAUUAAUUAAUGGUGAUUUUUUUUUCUUAAUCAAGUACACUUUGAAGAAUUCUAAUGAUUAGCGAAAAAGUUCCGAGAGAGCUCAAGUACUUCCUAAGUACCGCAGUCUUGCAAUCAUUAUUCUGCUUCAGUCCCUCUGGUUUUGAUUUUUUAUGUUCCUCAUAGAUCAUGCAUUAAUGGAAACAAGGCCUCAAAUAUCAUUGGGUAAUGGGCAUUCCAAUGCUAUUGUAAUUAAUUAGGACGUUUAAGGGUAAUACCAAGCGGACCACAUAUCAUGUCAUUGUUCCUCCCGUAAUAUGUGGAUGCCAAUCCAAUGGGUUAUUAAACAUGUGAAUGCAUUGACACAAUCACAAUCAAGGCAGCACCCAAAAUUUAGCAACAAAGAAUCAAAGAUUCUUACCCAAAAAUCAGCUAAUGUCACUCUCCAUAAUUGUCCUUUUAUCUUAAUUUGGGGAUCCCAAAAAAUUCCAAGGUUCCGUACAGGAAAUAAAGGAGAUUGUAGGACUGACUUUUCUUAAUAUGAGAAGAACUAUUGCACGUGGGAGGGAGGAGCCACGAAAGACCCUACUUGUUUUGCUUUCAAAAACCCACAAUGCAAAUGCCCAGCAAAGGGGACUAGAAGUCUACAACUUAUACAUCACUACUAGUUUGUGGUGGAGGACACAAGGGUCCUCAUCCCUCGGCGUUCUGUCAACUUGCUUUACCAAUAUUUCUUCAUCUUCAUUUCCUGAUGUUUCCCUCAAGUAUAGCAAUCUCAAUCUCAAGAAGACCUUAUCUAAUGGUUGAAAUUGAGAUUCCAAAACUUCCAAGUAUUGAGUUUUAACUCCCCUUCUUUCUUAUCGCUUCUUAAAUUCCGCCCCUCCACUGCUGCUAUCAAGGAGAAAAUUUUACAAUGCUGGCAUAAGGAACUGAACAGUCUUGAUAAAGGAUGACUACGUAGAUUGCAAGUCUCAAUCCCUCACUUACCAAUCCAAAGCACCUGCCUUGAUUCACCAUCUGAACUACCAAAAUUCCUGCAACCGCUUUGGGGCAUCAACCCUUGUUCAGCUGCCAGAUUCCACACGAAACAUCUUUUGAUCACAACUUUGCAGCUAUGUAUUGCUUCUGUAGCCAAUGUUUUCCCUUGCUUCUUUAAAGCCUUCCUCAAGAAUAAGAAAAAUAUAGCUCACAACUACUUAAAGCCACUUACACCCAGUCCGGGUUUCAGCUAUAAAUGGCCUAAAACAUGAAACAAGCUUGUCCCACGUCAAUCACGUAAUUGACAAACCUAUAUCACAAAUUGAUUGAAAAAGGAGAAAAAAGGUAGUCACACGAAAACAUUACAAUAAAAAAAAAAAAACCGCCAAACCCAUCUGACGUCAUAGUGGAUUUUUCUUUACCGACAUCAGUGUGUUGACAAAUCCCAGUAGAACCGACGACAAUUAAACCACCAUUGACAACUGACUAUGAAUCUAUUAUCGAAUACCGCAUUUCAACAAAUUUGGAAAUGAAAAUCACUGUGCAGCAGAUAGUAGUAUUGAAUCAGAAAUAGACAGAAAAACAGCCAGGGGAAAAUAAUAUGGUCAACAUCUAAGCACUAAAAAACAACAUUUAAUCUGUAGGAUUUCUGCGUCAAUCAGGAGAUACAGAUGACUUUGUAGUGUAUUUGCAAGUGUGGGAAGGGAGGGAGAACAAGCAGGACUUGUCAGAAUGUAUCAGCUAUAACUAAAUGCAAGUUAGCUUAAACCUACUAUGAUAUGAUAAAAAACAGCCGAGAUUUUACUGAGAAAAAUGGUAUUAUGUUCUUUGAUAAGUGAUAAAUCUUACAAAGGAAGGCUUCUUUAGCGAAGACCCCUUCCUCUGCCACGUCCCUGCCAACCUCUGUUUCUUCCACCUCUGCCCCCACUAGACAAACCUUCAAAUGCCUUGUUUAGAAGUUGGUUCUGAAAGCCACCAGCUCCUCGACCCUUUUUCAUUGCACUCGUGUUGACUCCAUUAACAGCAGCUGCAGUUCGCUUUUGACUGCCAGUACCAAGUUGAAUUCACCACAAGAUGAAGAAAAGAAUUAGCUUCAGCACAAUCAACAAUGGUAAUGCAAUAGCCACAGUUCCAAGCAGAAUAGUGCGUUAUCUCUUACCCAGCAGCAGCAGCAGUUGGUAAAACUGAUGGUUUAGCUAAUUCCUUCCAUGACAAGUUGAUUUUCUGAUCCCCAAUAAAGGAAGGUGAUUUGGAAUGCAGGGCCUAGAGAGUUGAAAAAAUAAGCUCCAAAGAACACAAUAAUUCAGAAAAGAAAUUGCAGACAAAGGAAUUGCAUUCACCUGAGCCAUUGCCAAUAUGUUAUUGCAACUUUUGAGCCCAGAGGUAGCACUCUGCUUUUGUGUCUUCUGCAGGUAAUGGUCAAGCAGAUGAAUUGAUGUAAGUGAGAAUUUAGAGAGUAUAUGAACCACCGGUAAGUUAAAAAAGCAGUGAACGGUAGCAGUAACAUUUUUAAAGUAAAGAAUGAAGAGCAGACACAAACUCACAAUAUCAUCUUUUUCUUCCUCUGUUUUAGCAGCUUUCAUUGCUUUGUUUUGAUCAUCCAUCCCUUGAGUUAACUUCUUUAUCAUGGAUCUGGUUAAAUCUUCAAUGGUGCUCAAUCUGUCUCAUCAUCAACUCUAGACAUGUCAAUCUCAUGCUUUUUACCAAAAUACAUAAAUAAACCACAAACAUUUAGUUAUAGUAUUAGUCGCUUUCAUGCUUAAAAUAAAUUGUGAGGAUAAUGAUUUAUUGACAAUUAUAACAAGUAAAGAUGACCAAUUUUUGCAUACCAUAUGGAGACCCAAAUAGGAUAAAGACUAAUGAAGCCUAAAUUACCCAUUCAGAUGCCAUGCAGUAAGUGUCAGAUAAAUUAAGAGCAUGAAAUUGACUUCCAAGCAAGACCCCCAUCAACUGACCAAACAUGUAAAAAGCAUCAUACUGUCAUGUUCCCACCUAAUUCUGCAGAGGAUUCAGGAAGUGGGAAGGGGAAUUGAGGGAUAAAGGAGACAACCUACACAGACAGCUAUAUAAGCUAAAAAAACUCUCGAUCUUUUGAAAUUAUCCAUAGGAACUCUAAUAUAAUUCCAAUAUACUUCUCUUAUAACAGUCUAACAGCCAAAACUUUUCAUGUUUAGAUGAACAACAGCAACAGAAUAAUAUAUGGCUAUAACCAUACAGCACCUUUCUGUGAAGUCUUUAAACUGCUCUGAAAAAUCUUCCCCAAGUCUAUCAGAUGGCUGUCCAGUGACUAUCUUGUAGCCACAAAGACUGUUGGUGGCAUUAGGAGUCUACAGAAACCAAAGUAAUAUCAUAAUAAGUUUAACUACAAUUUACCAUUAAAGCAAAAAAAAAAAAAGGCGUCACACAAAAACAAAAUUCAUCUUACCUUGUAAGCUAAAUGGUGAAAAGCAUACAACAGGCACUCAAUAUAUGUGAAAUUCAUCUCUUCAAUCUUCCUCCGAACCAUGUAUUUCUAAGAGGGAAAACCGUAGGGGUGGAGUCAAUAUGUAUGCAAAAAUCUAUGAGUAAUGGUUGGUUCAAAAAGUCCAGUUAUUCAUUUUUAAUCUCUCAAAAGAUAUUAUAUAUUGGGUCUGUUUUAGUAAGCUUUAGCUUUUGUAAAGUGCCUUAUAAAAACAGGUUCACAAAAGAUAGCUAUUUAUAUAUUUCAAAUGGUAUGUUGCCUUCAAGAAAAUUAACAAGUGGGCAUUGUUAUGAAAAAGCACUUUUCAUCUGUAUAAACAUUUUUCAAAAGUGCUUGUCGUGAGAACAAGUAACAGCAAAGCAAUGCUUUCAUACUUCGACUGAUGAAAUUAACCUAGUCAAUGACAAUUACAAGAGGGGUUCUCAUCCAAAAGAGUACCUUAAGAAGUUGAACAACUGAUGGAAGAAAUUGACGAGAAUCUUGUGGUGUCGCAUAAAGUGAGCAUUCGGCCAAGGUCUUGAGCAGGUCCAGCGUCCAUUUUUCUGGAAGCUGACAGGAAUACAAUUGUUUAGUUGCACUGAUAGCUUCAAACUCAUAAUAAUGAAACAGCGAAAAAGAGAACACAAAGCACAAUUAAAUCAUUCUCAAAAUUCAUAGUGAGUGCUGCUAUGGUCCUUAUCCAAAACUUUCAUAAACAAGUAGACGGCAAAAAAAAUAAAAAAUAAAAAGCAGGCUGUCUCGUUUCUAUUGAUGUGAUUGUGAUGUGAUGAGAAAUGAAUAGCCAGAAUCAAGGAAAACAACAAAACAUACAAACCACACAGAGAGAUAAAUGAAUAGACAGAUGCAAAAGAUGCUCUGACAAAUGCAAGAAGAAAGUUGAAGGGAGAGAAAGAGUGCCGUCCAGACAUUCUAGACACAAAAGGCGGAGAAUGACAUGUUAUAAGCUGCUCAUUCAAAGCCAAAAAAAAAAGAUAAGUCUUUGCCAUUGUAUCAUACUGCUUACCUUGUCAAAAAUAGGUACAAUUUGUUUGCUCAGAUAAUUAAUGAACUUGCUGCUUGAUGCACCCCUCUAUUAUAAAAAGUAAGAUUAACACGAUUUGUACUCAUAAUAUGAUAAAGUGGAAUGCAUAUAGAAUAGAGGCACGGUACAUACAACGAAUAAAGGAAGGGCCGUACGAAGGCAAGAUAUGAAUCGUUCUAUAUGAUCAACAUCUGAGCCCUGAGAGAUAGAGAGAGUAGCGAGGACAAAAGGAAGAAACAUGUCAGAUUUAGACCUAAAUAAAAUUCAAGGCAAAAGCUUACAAACACAAAUAAGACAUAUUUCACUCAAAGGGGUGAAUAUGAAAGAGGACAUUAAGUAGUGUGAUCGUCAGACAAUCAAAAUGAAAGCAAAAUCCCAAGGGUAAAAAAAUCAAACAUGCGUGUGAGGCCAUGACAUAUCAAAUUUAUAGCUUCAGUACCAAUACAAACAAUUACCUUUAAUUUAUACUUGCAGCAAAGUAGAUAUCUUUUGCAUUAAAAAAGUAGAAACUUCAAAAAUAGAUAAUUAAUGGAAUUAAAAAAAAAAACUAAAAGAACAGCACAACUUUAAGCAAAAAUUAUUGCAAUAUAAACUCAUGAAACCACAUGAAAGAUAGACCACAUCCAAAAUUACAUAAUGCAAAAACAAAAGAUAAUAGAGCAUGGACCUGAAACAAUCAAUUCAAAACUAAAAAUAAGCACUUACAUCAAAUAUAGCAUCUAGAUCAGCCUGACCCUCGAUGAUCUCAACCAAUUCUUGAACAUGUUCAGCCGAAGCAUUCUGUCCAAAUAAGCUCAAGCUCUUCAAAAAGCCCACGAACAUUUUAAACUCAUCUGCUGUCACAUCUUGCAAGUUCUGCAAAGAAAUAACAUAGUUUCAAGGUCAACAUAAAUAUCCAGUCAAGUUUACAACACCUACAGGAAACACAAUCAAUUUCCUUGAUGAAAAUAACUAAAAUUUGGGGAAUACUCCAAAUGGGACUAAUAAAUGUUGAAUACCUGUUUCACCAAGUUAACUAUAUGCCUCUCCAUUUCUUCCUGUGGUUUUAACAACUCAGCCUUGAGAGGAAAUACCUGGUACAUAAAUUUGAUGUCUCAUUCAGUUUUGAAGAACAUUUAAAAAAAAAAAUUCAUAAUAUCAGAUACUUGGGAUAUGGGAAAUUAAAAAAAUAUCACCUUUUCUUUGAUAAAGCCAAGAACCUUUUCGCGAACAUUCUCCCAUGUGCUAGGCUCCUCAGCACCCCGUUCUUCAGUGCUUCCAACAUGCUUAAACAAAGCUGUCAAGGAUGCUGCAGCAAAGCAUUUGCUUAGAUAUAAAUUAGCCAUCAAAGCAGAACUAAAAUUCAUUCCAGUGCCAACAAUGAGGGCUAUAAAAGGCACAAAAGAGUAAGAUAUAAAGUCCCCAAUUUUGUCUGACUGAAAACAAGCACUAAACUUCAACAUUUCACUAUCUCAUCUCGCCACUAGGUUGAGUACAGUAAAGAUCUUCAUGAAUGCAAAAACGUGCAGAUGGUAUGAAGGCUGUGAAAACAAUUUUAGGAAACACAAAUGCAAGCUUCAAAAUUUUAGAUGCCUUUGCAGUCCAAGAACUUUAUACAAACUUGGCCCAAACUCCAUGAAACAAAGAGCUUCGUACAAGUUGGAGUCUCCAGUAGCAAUAGCAUUAUUAUGAGAAGUCAUAUUGCAAACUCCGAAUCAAAGCAUUAAACAAGUAGCUCAGCUUACAAUUAUCCAACAUAAAGGGUAACAAAUAAUGUUCAUCCAUAUUGACUGAUUUCCAAUAAAGAAAGGCCAGCUCAACUGAAACUCAAAAUGUUGAGAAGCUUCUUGCAAAAUAGAAAUGGUUAAGUCUAACUUCACCCACGACCCCACACUACUGUUUUUUGGGAGUACAGAGUCAACUGCCUAGACUUAAAGGAAAAAAUAAUAAUGUGUGAAAAGCUUGACCAACAUUAUAUAAAACAGAAAGACAUGGUAAAUGAUCUAAGCUAUAAAAAACAACUCAAGGACAAUGUAUGUCAUGAAGAAGUCAAUCAUGUAAUUUAACAUGGGAAUUUUCCACGUCGACAGGCAGCUUGACAUAACUUAAAGAUUGAAACUACAUAAGAAAGGAAAAGAAUAUAAAGGACAGCAAGCAUUCCCCCAACUGAAUUUACAGCCGCAGUUUGAUGUGAGAACCUUAGCAUGAGACCUGGUACAGUAUCAAAACAAAGUAAAGAGCACGUGCGCCAUAAGAGAACCAGAAGAACUGAAUGAACUAUCAGUAUUAUCCUUUAAAUUCUAACGGUUGUGCACUUGGAAAUGUCUUUCUUUUAACAAGUAAGGAACAAGUAAAAUACUAACAGCAAUAAUAAAUUCCAGUGAGUAGUACACAGUAACUAUAAUGCCUUGAAACAAGAAGCAUGAUAACAAACAAGAAAAUUAUAAAAAUAAACUUCACAGCUGAAUUCUUACUUCUUGUAUCCUGCCGCAACAAAGACAUCAGAGCUUUGUUUACUGCAUCACGCUCCACAAUUUCUCCUACGGAACAUAUUUAAGAUACUUUUAUGAGUAACCAGAACAUCCAUUAACAUAAAGAGCUUUGCAAAGACACUUACCGGUCACUAGAAGCUGAGCAAGAAUGUCAACAAUUUUAGACAGAUGUUCAGGUGUAUCUUUGCAAAAAAGAGGUAGCCCACGGAUUGCUUGAACUCGCACCUAUGAAACAAAAAAGUCAUAAACACAAUGUUCAUAGUCACGUAAUCUUUAAGAUAAUCUUCUCGAAGAAGUAAUACAUGUCAUACAAGGAAAAUCAGUAGCACAACAUUAUUCUACAUAAACUCCUGCAUGAGAUUUUACACUUUACUAGUGAAAUGCCAAAGUUCACCAAAAUAAAUGCCAGUCAGCAUGUAAUCUUGAACUGAACUGCACCAGAUGAAUUUGUAACAUGAUAUACCCAUUAUCUCAUUCUAGCGGCAAAAUUGUAGAAUUUCUGCUAUUUUCUCAGUAAUGCUUUUUUCCCCCAAAAAAAGGCAAGAAAUGAUAUCUUUGCCUUCUCCCUCCACCUUUCCACGGAAAUCAAAUUUAGAGAACUACUACCUCUAUAUUGCUUUCCUUUCCCGGCUUCUUGUUCUACAUACAACUCAGAACUCUCUUUAAUUGGUAGUAGUAUUCAAUGCAAAGUCCAUUAGCUGUUUCCGCCCAAAGACAAGAAGAGCUGACUAAAACGUCUAGCCAAAGAGAUACGACCCCCCCCCCCCAACCCCACAAAAAAAAAAUUGCAAACAGGAAAAUAAAAGUAUUUUAUUUACAUUUGCACUCUCGUCCAUAUCUAUCUUUAGCUCCUAUAGGUAAACACGAGUAAUCCGUGCAACUUUCCUUAAAAAAAAUUUCAUUUGACGUUUUAAUUAGUUCCCUUAGCACCUCAGCUCUUCUAAGCUUUUGAACUUAAAUUCAAAUUUUCAAGGAAUUUAAUCCGUGUAAAUUCGAGUGGCUAAGAAAUCUCCUCAGGUGGCAAAAUACAACGAAAAUCACCCAAAUUUUCCACCAACAGCUAAAAGUUAAACAACUAACCCCUAGCUCAUCAUCUUCGCAGAGAUACAAAUACUGAUCGAGUGCUUGCUCGGAAAUCUGAGGAAAAUACUUGAAGAACUUCGGUAUUAGCAUCGCCGCCAAUUGCCUCGCCUUCACUAAGCCGUUCGCUGCCGCGAGAAUGCACUCAUAGUCCUCCUUAUGCUGUUUUUCCCAAAAAAAAAAAACCAAAAUCAAAUUUUUUUCCGCACAAACGAAAAAAAGAAAACCUAGUGAAACAAAACAGGAUGAAAUUGAAAGCGCUGAAGUUGGGAACGAACUUGAGACUUGUCUUUCGCCUCGCUGAGCCGAUGGUCGUACCCGUAGAGCUUCCCUAUAUCGAUGGAAUCAUCAGUAGCCUUGGCCAUUGAUGAUUAUUACAACCAGAAAAUGAAAUUCAAGUUUUUUUUUCCUUUUUUCCUGGUCUGUAGCGUAGGGUUUUGUGAAGGGGGUUUGGAUGGGAUGGAGAGCGAAGAGGGGAUUUUUGAAGGCUGGGAUAGGAGGGGAAGGGUUACAACUUACAAGGAAGCUUUUGAGGCAUGUCGACAAUUGAGACAAAGUAAAGGGGCCUAGUUGUGAAUUGCAAUGCCGGCAGCAAUGUGAGCUAUUCCAUUUUGUUUUCCCUUUCACCUUUAAUUUUUUUCCUUUUCCUUUUUUUCCUUUUAUUAGUCUUUUCUGUCUGUCACGUAGACCACCCCUAUAAUUUGUUGUAGUCUAUUUCAUAAUCAAUAGUACUAAUACAUUUUUUCGCAAAUCUUUUUUCUAUUUUUUUAAUUACCCUUGCCAAAAUUUUGGAUGAAAUUGCUUAUCCAAAGCCUAGGUUUUCAUUGAAUUCACCAUCAUUCAUUGCUUAGUCUGAGAUAGAAGAAGAGGUACAAUUAAUAGUUUCUCAUCAUUUUAGGUAACUAACUAACUAUCUAACUAACUGUAAUAAUUCCUUAAUUGAAUGUGAAUGUCUAGACUUCACAGGGCCACCUGGGCUCCAUGCAUUUAAACGAUUAAAAUGGUAGUGGAUUUUUAGUUUUGUUAACGGGCGUCCAAAUACAUCUAAAAUUAAUUACACUCCUUUGUAUUUAUAUACUUUCUCUAUUUAAUCUUAUCUUUCUUUCCUUAUAUUUAUUUACUUUUUCUAAUUCAUUUUAUAUUUUCAAAAAUAUAUUUUAACAACUAUUCAAUAGGCACUCGUUAGACAAGGUGUUGAAUUUUUUAUGACCUUAUGGACAGGCUCUUGGAUUUUUUAUGACCUUGUGCAGAUGUGUAUCAAACACUGGUAGGAUUUUUAAGCAUUUAAUGUUAAUGCAUAGCCGCUUCCAAGUGUUUUUUUUUUUUGGAAAACGUAAUCUUAUUUUGGUAAAAUUCUAAAAAAAGGUACAUCUUUGUUUAGAUAGAGUACUAUUUAAAAUAAUUAUUGUAGCACUUUUUAUGAUGUGAUGUAUGUGAGAUAAAAAAUUAAUUGAAAAUAUAAAAAGCUGAAUUGAAAAAUGUGUUUAUGAUACAAGCGAAAUAUUAUUUAGAAUAUUACGUAUAUCCAAACAAACCCAUUAAUAUAUUGUAUCUAGUACCUUUGGUAAGUCUUUUUCCCUUACAGGCAGCAUGCUUUGUCCUCUUUGCUUGCAGAAAAAGAUUCAUAUAAGCAUUAAAGAAACCACCGAUAGAUUUCCGCGAAUCUAAACAAAGAAACCACUGAUAGAACCGCGAAUUUAAACAAUCAAUACGUCACGUUUAAUACUUCUAUUAGCUCCGACUUUCGGUAGACUAGCUAAACAUACAUAUAUGCGAAAUACCUUUCCAUCUAAAAGCAUCAAGUAUAUGUACAACAGCUUAUUUAAUAUAUUAUACCACAAGAAGGAGACGGUUCAGAUAUUAUCCUUUAUAGGCGAUGUUCUAUCGGGAUGGCAUUUUCUGCUUCUGCUCUUAAGAAAUCCAUCAAAGGGUAAAAGCCUUCCAUACUUCUCCUAAUUAUGCCCAUUCUGCAAGUCUGUAUUCUCCACCGUUGUAGCUUCACAUGUAAAAUGGGAUUUCAAACCAAUCCAGCAUUGAUAAUAGUCAUGAUCCAUGUUGGGAGAUUCAAGUGCCCAUUGACACACUCGCGGGAUUAAACAUGAUUCAAACAUGAAAGCCAUCGUGUCAGCUAUUUUCUGAGGUCCAGCUUGACUGCCAAGAGCAAUUGUAGCCUGCCAGCCACAUGGGAAAAAAAGUAAGAAAGGGAAGAUGUUGGUAGAAACAGAGCCAUAGAUUUCUUUGAGAAUCAAAAGUGCGUUACCUCAUACGAUUUGGUAUCAGGACCAUGAGGUGUCAUGCAGCUGUGAAGACUAGCACCCCCUGGGAGAAAACCAUCAGCUUUUGCCUGAAACAGCACACUUAAAACUCAAUUUCCCCACGGUAAAAUCUAGCAUUUGGGCUCUUUAAUAUUCAGCUUUUAGUAGAUUCCAGGUGCCGCCUAGAAGUCAAUAGUAGAACCCUGUAAAGUUAAACAUUCCCACCGACUAGAUUUCCCGGACCUAAUGACUCUCUGACAUGUUGGUAUUUAGAUAGUCAGAAAUGGUCACUUCCUAAUUGAUUAAUGUGUAAAUGAGAUCCUCGUUUCCUCAUUAUAAAGAAAGGUAGUAAUUUCAACAUUCUUACCGUAUCAUUCUUUUAAAAGCAAUUACACAAUAAGUAUAAAUGUGCAGAACAGAGCCUUACCUCGUAUCCUCCAUAAAUUAGACCCAUAAAUUCACUCAUACAAUUACGAUGGUAAUAGGGAGGGCGGAAAGUAUGUUCAGCAACGACCCAUCGGGGAGGGAAGAUGACAAAAUCAAGUAAUGCUACACCAGGUUUAUCAGUCGGAGCUGUUAGAACUGCAUUUGCACGUACAAGAAAGAAUUUCAAUGUUUACCCCAGUGCAUAUGAAUAAUAAGGAAAACUGCACCAUUCUGGUAACAAAAGACAGCUAUGGAAAUACAAGCAAAGUAAUCACUUACCAGUGUUUAUUGAUGGAUCACUAUGAUCAAUUAAAACAGUAUUGUAAGGGCAGAACUUGCUUAGAUCAUACUGCAAGCAGCAAGAAUUUGCUUUUUUUAGCCAGGUGAGGCAUUAGAUGGUACUUAACAUGUUACCCACAAACUUAGAUGGAAAGAGAUGGAUGACAAAUUUCUUUCUUAUCGAAGGUGAUUAAUAUCCAGCCUAUUGCUUACCUACCUUAUAAGGAACAUAAUUGCCAUGCCAAGCAACCACAUUGAAUGGAGAGAAAUCCUGCUUUGCAGUGAAAAGUUCACCACCAAACUUCUGUACAAUGGUAUAACCUGGACAGGUGCUCUGUUCAAACCAGGCCACUGGAGCAAGAAAAUCCCUUGGAGCAGCAAGACCAUUGGCACCUAAACAUAAUAACAAUAGACCGUAAUCAAUCAAUACCAAUGAUUGCACAAGAAAUAAUCACUUUCAAAAUUUUUGCUGCACCUAUUGGCCCAAGAUCAGGAAGCUGAAAAUGAGUUCCAAAAAUCUCAGCAACAUAACCACGUGCAGACCCAUCUGGCAGGUCAACAACGAAGCGAAACCCUUGAGGUAUAACGACUAUCUCACCAGGAACCACUUGCAAUCUCCCACAUUCAGUCGUGAUCCAUAACUCUACAUAGACAACAUGCACAAUAUAAAUGAAUGAACAGCAUCUACAACAAAAACGCAUAUCAGCUGGAAAUAUGAAAGUGAAAAUGAUUAUAAUCCAACUAAAAGGCAUAUAAGAGGCAGAAUUGAUGGGGAUGAUUAAGGUUCCAUGAUUCAACUAUACAACUUGAUAAAGCUGCUGAGACCAUUACAAUCUGUCCAUUUGGACCACCUUCCCAGAUGAUUACUACGCACAAAUAACGGUUAACUUGGAGUGUGUUGGGUAACUGCCUAGGCAAUGAAACUACUUUGGCAUCUAUGCAUAUUUAUCAGGAAGUAGAGAUGUAAUAGAAUUUUUCAUGCAUCAAGAGAGGCCCCAUGGUUCUUGUUUGCAAAACACUACAUUUAUUGUGAGGUCUCAUGCUUGUUGCAGAAGAACUAUCCGUAGAUUGCAGGAAAAAUUUGAAGGCUUAAUUCAGCUUAUUUUCUUGUAACUUUUUAACAGGGAAGACAACUUUCUUUAGCUAUACAUUGCUUUCAGGAAGUUAUCCCAACCUUUAGUAUGCGUGAAAACUUAUUUUUAUAAAAACCUGCAGUAUGAAUGAAAAAAAUGUUAAGAAUCAAUCCAUCAAGCAGCAAUUAUAUCUAACCAGAAUAUUAUAAGGUAAAAACAGAUGUUCCUAUGAUAAAAGAAGAUCUUCACUGAUACAAAAUGUAGAAGGCCAUGAAGCACUUAGAAACAUCAUCAUCUGUCAGACAAUCGGUAGAGAAAUAUAAAUUACUCUUACUUGUGAUUCUAGUGAAUAGAAAGGUCUAUGACCAAGUUAAUGUCAGAGAACACAUUCUGUAGUACCCUUCAAUAGGCAUUCAUGUUAAACUAAUACUCAUGUAUUACAAAUGAAAGAUGAUCACAAAUCACCGACAAUUAUAUAAGCAAUUUCUUUAAAGAUAGCACACCAAUUGAACAUCAAAAUAUACAUGGGAGAUAGUUAAAUUAUCACUUACUUCCUUUCUGAGGAACAAUAAGGAAGUCUCCGUCAGCACUGCAGAAUGCACAAUUCUCCAUAGAUUUAUUAGCAGUAUACCUAUAAUACAGGAAUACCGAAGAAACUAUUGAAGAGCAAAUUGUACAUAACAUUAUCUACCUAAAAUAAGUAAUUUGACAGGAUUCAAUAGUUCCACUUUUAUGUACCACACCAGUCCAAAGAGAUAUACUGAUUAUUGGAGCCCAAUUAGACCAAUUAACAGAACAUAUCAGGUUAGGAGAACCAAUUACAUGUGAAUAGCAUAACCAUGUCGGAGAUAUGAACUGCCAGCCCCACAUACGGUGAACAGGCCAUCAAUGAAAUCUGUUGGUGCUUCAGGAAUCUCCACUGGUCUCCACCGUAGUUGAGUUGGUGUAGCCGAGCUAUUUGACUGGUUAAAUUCACUUACAAACUUUCCAUGGGUCGGAACUUUAGGUUUAAAUGGCUCGUGUGUCACAGAUGGCUUAAUCCGAUAUAGCCAACUGUUGCAAAUGAAGCAUCACAACGAUCAGAUUCAUAUGACUUAGAAUACUAAUCUUACAUGUUUCAAACGUCAUAUGCAAAAAAUUUUCGGCAACAGUAAAAUUCAGAAUAAGAGUAGGGAUGCUCCAAAUGUUAAUACUCUUUAAGAGAAUGUGAUAACUUCUCAAAAUCGGAAUUUCAAAUAAAUAAAAAUUUAGGUAUGUCUAUCCCUACUCUUAAAGAUGUAAAGCCAGAGUUUUGGAGUUUGGAUUGCAUGCCACUGGUCGACCGUAUGUAUAUAACACCAAACUUCACUAUCACGCAUAAAACAUUAAUAAGACGAUAAGAAAAUAUAUAUCGACUAAAAAAAAUAGACCGAAUCAUCCAAAUAUUGCCACGCAGAAAAAGAAAAAAAAAUCAUGAAUUUAGAGUGAAGGAGACACAAAUGGAAAGGAAAACGGAUGCCUUCUUUAUAUCCUGCCUCCAAAAAAUUAUUCAAACUCGAAAGCUUCUCCAAAAGAAAAUUCAGAAAUAUGACUCAAAUUCAGUUCAAAUUUUGACACAACAGAAAUGAACAUCAGAAAAGAAAAAGAAAAAAAUAGGCAAGACAACUUUUGCGGUAAAGAAUCAAAUAAAACCUGCGGAGAUUGAGCUUGCGGGGAGCAGUAAAGGAGGUGCCAGAGAUCUGCUCAGCGUAUAGACCAUAAGGACAGAUGAGAGGACUGUUCUGCCCUUGUGGUAAAGCUCCGGCGAUGGCCUCCGACGACACGUGAUUGCCGAAGCCCGAAACGUACUCCAAAUUCUCAAAAUCGGCCGCGGCGCCGGCGUUGGUGGUAGCCUUCUUGCUCUCCAUGACAAAUUCUUGCUAGCCUCUGAUACGUAGUGAUCAGUAGCAGCUAUGAAUUAUGUUUUUGUAGGCGAGACGAGUCUCGAAUGGAGGAGUAGGAAGUGACGUGGCAGUGUCAUCCUGUCAUGGUGAUCUCUUUUGAGCUUGGAGAGACGUAUGCGAGUUUAAUUAUAUCAAUAUGGCCGGAUUCGAGGUGGCCGAGGAAGUGUUCAAAUCGUUUAUUAAACUGAGAUAUAUUGCUUUUUUUUUUUUUUGAGAUACUGUAUUAUAAUAAUUGGAUAUUUAUGAAAUAAAAAUAUAAUAUUUUAAUUUUUAAAAAUAUAGUGCAUCGAUUUAAUGUAAUUAGAAAAGUAUAUUUUUUAGAGUUUUUAUAAAAAUGUAUUUUUUUAAAGCUUUUCCAUAUUCGUGGCCGCAAAUUUUUGUAACAAAAUGGGUCCUCUUUGGUUUCUUUUUUUUUUCGGUAUAAGAUUGCGAUUGAAGCACGCAAUGAUGAUGGUGACCAAAUGAACUGUACUUGAGGAUCAUUUCAAGUAAAACAAUUGACCUUAAGGGUCCGUUUGGUUGGACUAAAAAUAUUUUCUAUCGAAGUUAUUUUCCUGAAAAAUCACUUCCUUCCCCAUAAUUUUUCAAUGUUUGGUUAUUAAGUGAAAAUAUUUUCCAAAUUCCUUUUUUCAUAAUUUUCCGAUGUUUGGUUUGUCAAUGAAAAUAUUUCCUGAUAUGUUUAUUGAUAUGUUGCAAAUAUUUUUCUGCUCUCAAAACAUUCAUUUCAAUAUAGUUAAUUUUAGUUUCUAUCCAUUAUAAUCAUAUUAUCAUUUCUAUAAAAUAUUUAUUCAUUUUACACCAUGAAUUCUUAAAUGAAAUUAUUAAUGAUACUAAUGAAUUGGCUAGGAAAGAAGAGUUAAAAAUCAAAUGAAAACUAGCUGUAUUAUAUAACCUGCAUCAUAAGAUAAUUAGCAAUUCGAGCAUCCAUAAUAAGUCUCACAAUCAUAAUACAAUUCCAAGAAUCCAACCAAAUUUGAUAAUUAGACAAUGAAACAUCAGCCUUGCAUAUCUGAUUACAAGAGAAAGGGACUAAACUACCCAACUAAUUACUCAAACUAAAGUUCACACACAUGCAAUCUCUUUCCUGACUCUAACAACGCAAAACACGAUGAUAGUCAUCUUCAUAAAUACAGCAUCACCCUCUGCAAAAUAUAAAACACAGACGGGUAGGUGACUUUUCAUGCAGUAAGUAGUCUAGGUAUUCUGCACCGUCCUGAGCAUGUUAGUAUGACAUAGUACACUUCGAAGGCAUUCUUAGAGAGCAUUUAUCAUAUACACAUACAUAGCAUGUGGUUAUCCAAACGGAUCAAAGCAUCAAAAUUUCAAACACCAUUCACGGAUUGAUAUAUAAGCUCCUGACAUACUUGUUCCCUAUUGAUAGAUCGAGAAGUUUUAUGUUGGCCUGAAACAACGACCAGCUAUGUUUAACAGUUGGAAUAUCUUAAUACGUGAGAGAAGCAUCAAGUCCAUUCAUGAAGCACAAUUAUUCUGACAAGGCAAUUGCAUAAUUCAGUUCACGUACUUUAUUUGAUGCGCCCAAUCUUUCUUGAACCUCUCAAGAGAAAUCCAAACGAAGUUUUUGACUCUUCGCCAUAAAUGUUUUUCCUAGCUUCUCAUUUUACACAAAAUGAUCGAAUACCAAAUCCAAAAAUUCUUUGUUAUAGCCUUCUAUCUUCAUAAUCUCUUCAUGUAGGUGGUUGCUAUCAAGCUUAGCGAAUGUGUAAGAAGGAGUACAAUUACUUGAACAGAAAUCCAACUGCCGCCCAAAACCAUGACGCCAAUAAGAUUAUUUGCUUGGGUAAUAAACAUUUAAUUCACGUAGUAGUAGACUAUUAGUAAUGUACCAGAAAAAGCCUGAGUGAUGCAGGGGUCUCAAUUACAGAGUGAUGCAGGUUAUACCCAUAGCAGUUAAUGUUCUCCUUAAAUGUGGACGGGCCUAAAAAAAUAAGGGCCCAAGAAAAAUAAGAGGAAACAAACUAGAAGAAUGAAAGAGUAAACAAAAAAAAACAAGCAGGGAAGGUGUGUUAGAGAGGAAAACAAUGGAAAAAUGAUUGGGAGAAGAAAGAGUAGUCAAGACAAAAAAGGCUAGAAGGACCAAAAUUAUUUAGUAAUCUUCAGAACAAGCUGCUAUAGAUAGUGUGACAAAUGUUGGUUGCAGUGUAAUAGCAGCAGCUUUCAAAGGGAGUGCUAAAGCACUAAGGUAAAAUCAGUGGCAGAGCAAUAAAAUGUUUGGAACAUUAUCGGAUGAGAUUGAAGUUAAGGUGCCGACUAGUGAAGCAUGGAAAGUUUAUGGGACGCUGGAACUAGCGGAUGUGGUUCGGGAACAACUCCCAGAUGUGGUGUAGGAGAUCCAGGUGCUGGAAGGCAAUGGGUCUCAAGAGAGUAAACUCAAACUCACUUUCCCCUACUUUAAAUUUAAUCGCACUCAAACGCAGCACCACCAUGCACCCUCCUCCUACUUUAGACACAGCACCACCAUACAUAGAAUGAGAACUAAAAUUCCUCCAGUGGAAAUAUAAACAGAAUGAGUACUAAAAUUCCUAGUGCAUUAAUGCCAGGUUCAAAUAGGAAAAUCCAUUUUCUUUCAAAAUAUGAUUUAUGGGAUCAUGCCUAUGAACUGCUAGCAAUAUACAUACAUAAAAAUAAAACAGGUAACAUAGGGAUAGAAAAGUUGGUUGGUGGAUUGUGGUUGGGGUUAAAGGUGGAAGGAUGGACUGGAGACUGUAGUUGGUAAAUUAGAAAUACAGCAGACAAAAGUGUCUUGGAAUCUCAUGACUUGGGAAGCUGCCCUGCUUGUGUUUCAUUUCGUUUGAGGAAAGGUUUCAGUAUAUUAAGCACUAGAGAUAAUCAUAUUUCCUCCCUAAUCAGAUUUUGUCAAUUAUUUACAAAUGGUCUCACCAGAUUGUAAGAAAAACGCUACCCUACCCUACACUACCCGGAUUCUGAUUCCAAGAAUCAUAAAAUCCCCAAAACUCAGCAGCCAAAUUAAUUAGCAUCAAUUAAAUCAGAUUUAAUCCUAAUCAGGUAAGAACAAACUAAAACAAAAGCAACCCAUAAAAAUUCAUUCAAAUCCAACUUCAAGAAUUUACACCAAUAAUUCUAGACAAUUUUUCAAGGGAAAAGGGAGGAAAAAAAAACUAAUAAGAGACCAUCAUACUUCUGGAAAUACUUAAGGAGUCUUCACCCUUGUUGGAAAUGCUAUUGUAGGAACGGGAAUGAGAUUGUGCUUAGGCCGUCAGACAAGCUUCUGAGGUUGUAUAAGUAAACGCAUCCACAAUGGCGAGCACAGCUCACAAACAAAAAACAGACUGAAGAGAGAGAGAGUGAGAUGGUUACCGGCCGCAAUGGCUAAGUCUAGUUCUGAUGACUAGAGAAAACUUACAUUCACACAAAAGCAUCCACACAUGACUUGAGCCGUUGAUAUUGGCCGCUUUUAAAGCAAAAAAAUGAGAGAGAGAGAGAGAGAUGCCGGAGUAGCUCACCUGAUGAGAUGCCGAAAAGAGAGAUACCGGGAAUGAAAGUUAUUUUCCCUUGGAUUUGUUUGUUGAUGAGAUGUCGCUGGAGAUCGACAAUCUGGAGGUUGUGAAAAGAAGACUGCUUUUACGAAAGGAAAAUAACUUCACAAUGAUAGGCACGGAAGUUAUUUUCCUGCCGUGGGCGUAACUUAUUUUCUGUCAGAAGUUAUUUUUUUAAAUUAAAUGAUAACCAAAAAACAGAAAAUAAGGAAAAUAUUUUCCGAAAAAUCUUUUCCACUCAAACAAACAGACCCUAAAGCUGAACUCUACCUAAUUUAAUUUAAAAUAGAUUUGAAAAUAUGGGUGUGAACGUGUAUAGUUUGAUCAAUGAUGUGCAAUUACUAAAAAUAAUGUGACGGGAUAAGAAUUUACACGCCCAAUCUAAUACAUUUUAUGACGAAAAUGAUUUUUCUUAAAAAAUUCAAUCAUCAAUUUCCAUCCACUAAACUAACUAAAUUGUCAGCCAUGGAUACUUUGCAGUUUUGCAGCCGUUUAAUUCGUGUUAAUCAUGUUCUCUUCUACAGAAUUUAGACUUCACUUACUUUUGCCUUAUUACCAAUACGUUGGAUAAAAUUGUUCUAAAAUUUAAAAUUUGAAUUCAUUAAAUUAUUAAGUAUUAAAUUUGAUAUAUUUGAGUAUAUAUCGCAUUAUAUAAUAAGUGAAUAGUUUAUCAUUUAUUUUUUGAAAUAAAUUUUGUCUAAAAACUUGAGUGACACUUAAUUAAUUCAGAUAUUUAAUUUUUUGUUAUCAUAGAUAUCUGCAUAAGGGACCGAUUGCACCAACAGUUGUUAGCAACAACUGUUCUGAAUGAAAAAAUAUUUUUUGAAUAAGGUUUAACUCUAUAUGAACUACUUGUAAGACUUAACAACAGAGACACAAUUAUUACAUAUGUAACCCACAUAAGCAGUAACAAAAUAUUAUACCACUAUUAUAAGAAUAUACAAGAAGUGUACACAAAGUUACAAAACAUUCAAAAAAUGUUACGAUGUUCGUAGACGGUUAAUAGAUCUGAAUCCAUUAAAAUUAAGUAAUAAAUUGAAUUAUUAAAUAUAACCUAAACUACCUAAAGAUGAAUAGCCAAAUAUGCAUUUGCCUAACAUAAUAAGCCACAUUUGAUAAAAAUAUUUUUUUAGGAGUUUCUAAUAAACAUUCGUUAUAUGCCUAAAUUCUUAUUUGAAUACACAUAAUCGUAAUCAUCCGUUUAGAUUAGCUAAUUUUUGGGGUAUUUUUGAAAAAUUUUACUGUAGUAGUGUAUAUGAAAAUUUUUUACUAUAAAAUUUUUUGAAAUAUUUGAUAUAUUGUAUGGAUGAGAUAUUUUUUAAGUUAUUGUGUAUUACUGUACCACUAUAUUUGAAAAACUUGUUUUUGAAAAAAUGUUCAAUUUAAACGGAGCCCUCUUUCAUUUAAACACCUUUUCUAAAUUAACUGUACUCUUUCGGGGGGAAAAAAAAAAAACAUCUGAUACCACCAUGCCCAAUCCAUUAGCCAAACCAUUAAUAAAAUAUUUGGCUAACAAGUGUUUUUAAGACACACAUAAUAUAAUUUCGAGUGUUUUUUUUUUUAUAAGAGCGAAACUAAUUCAAUAAAGCAUUAAUGUAAGAGAAGACGAUAAGCAUGUGCAUAUGCAUUGAAAUGAUUCAUUAAACGGUAUUUAAGUGUGAGUACCCAGAACACUCAAAUAAAAAAAAAAAUGCAAUAUUUAAAUUUCAAACAACGACGUCAGAGUCCCUCAAAAAAAAAAAAAAAAAAAAAAACCUACUAUCCCAGAGUUAUUGCAACUUCUCUAGCCUUUCAUAGGUGCAUAAACAUAAACUAUUAUUUUGCACACAAGUACUAAAUUAUUUUUCUUCCAUUUCUUUCGUUAGAAAAACAAAUUAACAAGAGUAUAAAUUUUAGUGAAUUUGUAAUCAUGCUCUUAUUCAUAAUUUAUCCCAUUCACCAAUUCGCAAUCUAUAAAUUUCAUUAACUACAAGCAUGUGCAGAAUAAGUACCCAAAGUCAAACAAGGAAAAGAGGGUCAUAGAAUAAGGACCAUAUCGGUAAAAUUCUACUAUGUUAAGAAUAACAUAGGUUAUUUUUAAAAGAUAUAGGAGCUAAAGUAAAAUUUUGAGGAUAUAUAGGGACUUUUCAACAAUACAUUACGCCCCAAUAAAAGCCCAAGUUUUCUCAGGGGUUCUGGCGGGGGCCGUCUAAACGGGGUGCAAGCUCUGCCUCGCUGCCGCUGCUGCUACCGCCUCCGCCGCCCUCCCCGGUUUUCUUAUAUAUGUUGAAGUGGUUCAGCACGCAGUAGUUGAUUAGCAAACAUGUCAGAAAAACCAACUAAAAAACCGCCAAAGAAGACCAAGAAGGGCGCCAAAAAUCAUAACCCAAGGCGUGGUAUAAAGCCGUGGGAUCACGACGAUGAUAUUCCCUCCAUGAAAUCCAAGAACCUCAGGGGCAUUAAGGGAGCUAUACGGGCUGUUACAAACCCCAGUUACUGUUUAGAGAUGGGCAUUGGGAAUUUAAACCGGGAUGGUGAAAGUCUUCGGUACCAUCACCGGAAAAAACUCUGGUUGCUUCUGAAGAAGUUAAUGAGAAUGCAGAAUUGGGCCGAGGCCAGUGGUGUUUUAAGUGUUUUGCUUAGAGGGACUGCUAGAGAAAAAUCAAUUUCGAGAAAUCGAAUAAAAUAUUUUGUACGAAUUCACUACUUGAGCUCUCUCUCUCUCUCUCUCUCUCUCGCGUCAAUUGUAGGCAGAUUUUAAAGUUUCUUUUGUAAAUGUUUAGUCAUGUUGAAUAUACCGAAAUAGUUCUGGUGCUUAGUGAUGAUGUUUUUGAGGCAUUAAUGAGGAAAUAAGAGAAGCUUUAUAUGUCAGAUAAUGUUACAUUGGAAAAGAAACAGUCUUUCUUUUUUUUUUUUUAAUCUUUUCAUAGAGUUUGGACACCUUAACAUGUUUAAUUAAAAGCUCUUUGAUGCCUAGAAAAGUUAGUGAUGGAGGGGGUAAUCAAUUUCCAUUUUAAGCUAUUAUAAGAGUAUAUCGGUUACUUACUGUUGGUGUUAGUGUUCUUGUCCAUUCUGUGAGUUCUUGUUUCUUUGGUAGAUUUCGAGUUGGCUUGUUCUUUUCAGUUCAGUUUAAGGAUAGCAUAAGAAAAUAAUGGAUCAGAGUUGAUGUAAUCUAAUUACAUAUACACAAUCCUUGCAGGCUACACUAGAGCUUCUCCAACGUAUAAAAGGUGAUAACAUUAACAAAAGAAGAAUGCAGGCUGUUUAUGACUUGUGGAUGAUGAGGUUAGGGCCAAUGAGAAUGCGGCCAGCAGAGGUACAGAUAUGAGCAUUGCUUAUCAUUUAUCUGAUUAAGUUGCUUUCUUCUGUUGAAGUGUUCCUUAUCAAUCUGAAAUUUAAUGGUCUCCAUACAAAGGAAAUUUAGGCAACGAGAAGUGCCUCUCUUUGUAGGGAAACCUUUGAAAUUAUUAAACAUGAGUAAUUUUAAGGGGAAAGCCUAAGAGAAAGCCAGGUCCUGAAUUACACUGUCAUUGAUUUCGCUUUCUUUUUUCUACUUUUGUGUGGCUAACUUGCAGUGAGAUCUGUUGCUAAGAGCCAGUGCUUUGAACACAUAAUGGUAGGAUAUUAUUCACUGUUACACAACAUGAGAAGAGAAGCUCAUCUUUUUGGUUAACAACAAUUUCAAGUUAAAUAAUUGUUUCUGUUGCCUUCUUUUGGGACUUCUUUUGACCAUGAUAUUUUGUUUAACAUGCAUUCCUAUAAAGAAUACUUGAAAAUGAACUGCUAGUGCUACUGUAAAAAAUGAUCUAACAUUGAAGAAGUUUAUUCACUUCCUUUUGUAAACAUUCACCGACAAGAAAGAGAUCAAUCAGAAGAAUUUGGAUUGAAAUUUGUAUGUGAAAUAGCUUAAGCGAAUCUUGCUGAAGAGAAUCUGGAAUAAUUAUGUGUUUGGUGUUGACAUGGAAAAUGGAAACCUUUUUUUCUUAAAUAUGGAAUUAGUAGCUACCAAGACUAUAGAGGCGACCAGGCAGAGGCUCGGUUAAUGUGCAUUGAAAUUACUCAUGUGGAAGAACAUUUUACAGAAGAUCCUUCUAAUUACUUAAAUGUUUCUUGGACCGGAAUACCAUUAUUUGCUAGUAUUGUUAUUUUAAUAUGCAUUUUAUUUCAGACUUGGCUUUGUUUGACUAUCUUGGGUAUUGAAUUAUAGCAUCUUCAAAAUUUGGGCAGGACAGGUUUGCUGCUCUAAAGGAAUAUAUACUUUUCUGUCUAACUCGAGGGGAUACAGAGGAUGCACACACGGCUGCUGUUUGGUAUGCAUGUCAUGUUUGUUGGUUCUAUGUUGUUUUCAUUUCUCAAGUAGUAACAUUUUUAUCCAGCAACUUGCGUCCUGUUCUAAAUUGAAAAUUAACCACUUAAAUGGAUCUAAAAAUUGUUUGUUCUAGAUUUUAAAUAAAUGAUUUAGCUUAGGGAUGCCGUGACUGUUCUUAAUCUAAAUCUAAUAUAGUUGGAAAAAGCAACUUGUUUUAUGUUAUCAAACUCCUUAUAACUUUCCACCUUCCUAAUGUCUUCAGCUUUAUCGAGUGUCAAUAUUUAAUCUGUGCUUGCAAGGCCCGGUUGUGUUUUGAAAUCUUUGCUCAGCAUGUUUUCUCUGAUGACAGAGGCAUACGCUUGCAACUUAUUAUUUUUUUUCCAAAGAAUUGUUUUAUUUUGCUUCUAUAAAGUUGAAAAUGGCCACUGUGAAAAUUAGACCCAUAAAUUUGAACUUGGAAUUUCAUUUGGUUCAUAAUUGGAGGCACAACAGGAUAUACACCUUUCCCUUGAGACCUAAUGGGAGGCACAAAAAAGAGCAUGCAGAAAAACCAGUUCAUAUCCCACACGUGCUAUGGAUGGAUAUAACUUUGGCCACAAUUAUCUAUUGUUAUGGUAUUCCAGUAUGUGAAUGUUUGAUGAGUUAAGUCAUGACCACAUUUCUCUGGUCAGUCUCAUGCAGGAAUGUGGUUUUGAUAGUGAUGCGGUCUCAAACUUGGUUGUCGGAUUGACAUUUUCGCAGUUAUGGUAUUCAAGUAUCCCAAAAGAAAUGCAAUUAGGGCGUUUGAGUAAGUGUGCUACUCCCAUGCAAUUGGAGAUCUCUGGAGGUAGAAUCUCUACGUCACUUAAGAAUUCUGAGGAGCACAAUGCUAUUGAAUCUCAAGCAACAAAUGUUCCUUCCAAAUGUGCUUCAAACAUCUCUGUUGGCAACUACAAAGGUUAUUCAAAAAAUGAUGAUGUUGAUCAAAAUGGAGAAGUGUCAAUGAAUUUUGAGGAUAACAUGGGCGGACAAUCUCCCCACCAGUUCCAGGCACUAGGGUUUUACAUGCAUUCUGUGGAAAGAAGUGGAGAUGAAGAAUCUACAUCUCCAUUUCAGGGUGAUGUUGUACCUAGGACCUCCAUUUUCUAUACUUGUGGUGCGCUUUAAUAUUUCUUUCUUUUUGGUGUUAAUAUAACUUAAAAAAAGUUAUUUAAGUACCUUGAUCUUUUGCAAGAGUUUAAGAAAGUAGCUCUAGAUAACUAUUUGCUAUUGCAACUAAUGGCUUGAAAAGUGAAGAAGUUAAUUGAGUACUCUCCAUUUCCCCCAAAACCAGCCCUUCCUCCAUCCAAAUCAAAAUGCAUGCUAUACUAUGAAGAUGAGAAAUUAUUCCAAAGAAACUUCUUUGAAAAUGAUAGUUGUCUUCACAAGUCUAAACUUCCCCAUUUUGUCUGAUCAAAACUUUUAUGUUUGUGAUGCUUCUUAAGAAGUUUGGUAAUUUCAUAAUCAAGAUGUAUACUAUAAUGUUGACCAACCUGCUAGGACCUCCUGAUUUACUCUUCUACUGUUUCAGUUGGUUGCUAGAAGUGCUUCUAAGAAAGAUCUGACUUUAAAUUGUUUCAGUAUCUGUAGUUCCCGCUUUGUUUUGUGCUUGAUGGGGUCAAAAUUAAGAUUGAGCUUUUAUUGAUCUGUUGAAAUAUCAGGUCUACCGCCAUGGCUAUUGCCUUUGCAACUCCCUCAUUCAACUGAAAAUCUGGAGAAUUUCAUUUAUAUGCAUCGAAACUCACUUAAUGACUACUACAAGAAUGCAUUGAAAUAUUUCCGUGCUGCUCUUUACUCAGAGCCACCAGCAUAUGAGGCCUUUCAUCCUCUGAUACAGGUAUUGCAAGUUUGUGCAAUUAUGUGAACUAAAUGCGAAUUCGCAAUUCAUCUAAGUUUUUAAUACAGAUCUAGAUUUGAUAAUAGAAAUCCUUUUACAGAAUUUUGAGUUUCGGAUACCUAUAAACUUUAAUUUUGUGGCACUCUUGUACCAGAUGCUAUUGGUUGGAGAUCAGGUUCAGGAGGCCUUGAAUGAGGUUGAAAAGUUUUCUUGUAAUCCAGAGACAGCACUUCAAUUAAGGUGAUGACUUCUGUAAAACCUUGACAUGGAGUGGUUUCUUUAUGUGGGCAUGCCAUUAAGCGUUUGAAACAAGAAAAAGUAGUCAUAAAAUGCAGAAUUGCUGUUCAAAAAAAAUGCACUUUUUGGGGAUUGAAAAGAUUUUCCGAAUUCUCCAAAAUUUUCAGUGAAACGAAAAUCUGAUAAUCCAUAUUUACUUCUUUUCAUUUUCACCUGUUUUCUGGCGGAAAUAAUGGAGCCUAAGCUUUAAGUUGAGAUCUCUUUAAUUCAAAAAGUCUACCGUUCAUAUUGUGUGUUGAAAAGUCUGGAAUACUUUUUGGCUCCAGUUACUGACUACAUCUUUGUUAGAUAUGGUAAAAUAACCUCUUAAUUGCUGCCUGUUUUCUGUUGCUCUAUAGGGAGCAUGGAUAUCAGUGACUAGUGCUCUAAGAAUCCUGCAAUAAGAAUUCGUGUUUACUUUUGGUUAUUUUGGUUGCAGAUUGAAGACUAGUUUGUUGGAAUACUUUAAUGAUGGCAACUAUGGCAAACUUCCCAUGCAUUUUGAGGACAUCUUGAAGAAGGACCCUACAUGUAGCUACUCAUUGGCUAGACUUGUGAAUAUGCAUCGAAUAGGUAUACUUUUUAGAGUACAACUGAUGAUUUCAUUUGAAUUGACAUCGUGGGAAUUAAAUCUCUAGUGCACUAGCCUAUCUGGUCACCAUUGUCGCACUUGUAAGUUCACGUCCUGGGUUCUUAUUUGGUGUCAAUCUAUUCUAUGCGUCAUACUUGCUCAUUUAAUUCUUUUUAUGUGGUCUGCUCUUCUGGCGGGUUUUUGAGACGGUUUUCACCAUGAAAUUAUAAUGAUGCUGUUUUCUUGAUCUCUCCUCUCAAGUCAUAAACAUUUGCUUUUGUCCCUUCUUUAUAAUGAAGGGAAGGGGGAAAAGGAAUCUAACUGCAUCUUGCAUGCAAAUAACACACACUGAGCAUUAUAUGGUCAAUCCAUUUUUCAGUUCAUUUUUAAUCUAUCGACUUUUGCUUGUUUUUUUCAUCCUUUAUCCAUAUAUCCUUGCGUAUGGGUGCUAUUGCUUAACUUUUCUCAACCUGUUGAUUGUUGACGGCAUGAUAUUGAUAGUGCAGGCAGCCCCCAGGGAGUUCUUCCUUUUGCUGCAAUAUAUUCGAAUUUUAUUUUGUAGACUCUUACUAUCUCAAAGUUGUAUUGUCAGGGUAUUACGGUACUGAAAAGCUUGUUGAGAUGAUAGCAUGGCAUUUGGAUGCUGUGCUUGCAGAGUACAGUACAUGGAAAGAGUUUGCUUCCUGCUUUCUGGAGCUCUCGCAGACUGUGGGAGAUCAAGUAUCAGCAUGUUUUGACAGCAAUGAAGCUGGGAAGAAAGAGAACUUCUCAUGCAAUGUUAUUCAAAUUCCAGCAAUUUUUACCAACCCUGAAUCCCAAUGUACUUGGAGAUUACGGUGCAGGUGGUGGGAGAAACGUCAUUACAGUCGAAAGAUACUUGAAUCGGAAAUUGCAGCAGGUAUCGUAUACAUCAGUUGCAUCUUUCGUUUCUCUCGCUUGAAGCUUCUAAACCUCUUAGUUGCUAGCUUUGCGUUUACUAGCUCCUCUUUUAACUUUCCUCAAAAUGAGACAUGGUAUUCAUCACACGACCAAAUAUUUUCAGCUCUUGGCUGUCAAAAUUAAUCUACUGAUGGAAAAGUCAUGAACCUCUUAACAAGUUGAUUUUAUUACUGAAAGUGCAAGUGUGAAUCUCAGUUAAUGAUUUUCUUCUGGUGACAGGAGACCUGCAACUCAUAACCUACAAGGCAGCGGCUGCAUGUCAUCUCUAUGGACGGGAAUUCAGAUAUGUUGUUAAAGCUAGUGAACAAUUAGGGAGGGAAAAAAAUAUUGAAUCGCUGUCUAUUUUGCGGAUGCAUGAUCGGAAUUCUGUUGGAUUUUAUUCUAGUAUUGGCAAGAAAAGUUUAUGAAUUAAGUGCAAUUGAUUAACUCAAGAAAGAAGCUCUUAUUAUUCUUGUCCGAUUUGAUUUAUCUGGAGAGCUGAUUCUGCCUUUUGAAGAGCUGAUUUUUCCCCUUUGAAACAGAUUCAAGACAAUUGACCGAUUUUUUCAAUUGUUGAUAGACCUAGUCAGAUGCAAUCAGGUGUUCAUUAUAUUAAAUUUUUUUUUUUUUUUAAAAAAAAGAAGCAAAACAACAACUAACUUUAAUUUAAAUAAUUUGUCAAAAUUACAGAGACUAAAACUGCGCAUGUGCUACACAUUAGGGACCAAAUUUGUUUUCAUCGAAACUUUUAAGGACUAUAAUCAAACAGGUACUAAACAUCGGGUAUUAAAGUUCCACUUUGACUCUUCAAUCGUCCCCUAUCUCCCUCCUGUUGAGCCGCAAAAGAAACCAAACUUGAAAAGAAUGGUUGGAACCGAAGCUUGGAUGCUUAAUCAAUAAUCAAAGCUAAUAGGAAAUGGUGAUGCAGGAUAGUCCCAUAAAAUCAGAGGCCACUUAACCUUCCAUUCAUUUUGAACCUACGUUUUAAGAACUUUUUAUUUCGGAAAGCAUCUAAAGUGCUUUUCCAUGAUGAGUUUCCAGUGCUCCAAGAUUAGGGUGGCAAAAAAAGCCUCUCCACAUCUCUCAUUCCCAUGAACUACUUCAUCCAGACAGUUUUAGAAAAGCAAAACUGAAUGGAUAAAUGAACAACAACAAACUGUCCCAUAACCUCUUCUUUUACUUUUUAAUCCAAAGAGUAGUAGCAUUUGAUUGCUCGAAAAGGGUAAAAGCACCCCUCAGUGCCUUUCCAUCCGAGAGGUAUUCAUGCCAGCUCAUGCUUGGAUGUUUCCCUAAAACCAACUAGUGCUUUUCUACCAAAAUCCGUACUACCACUUUGUCCAAAAGGGAAACACUGCUAUCAGCUUAAACAAAGACCAAUUCUGCAAUAACAAGUGAAGUAGCAAAAUCACCACAACAGUAAGAAGGGUAUAAUUCUGUCUUCAAAAUCAGCAGUAAAACAAAGAAUCAAUGAAUUGUCACAUACAAACUACAGCAAUAUUUUACUUUCAGCUAUAAAUAUCCUAUUAAGUACACAUGGGAUAUAUGACCGGAAACUAAUCCAGUGCACAUGCAAGAUUAAACAACAAAAGUUAGGAAGUCUGUACAAUUUUCCAGAGAGACAUAAAGCCAACAGAUAAAUGUUUGGAACAACGUUGACCGUCAGUCUUAUCUCUGCGAGCAUAUACACAUAUAUAUAUAGAAUACAUCAAAAGGAAAAGAUCCCUCUUUUUUGGACAAUAAAUACUGGAUCACAGAGCAAAAGGUGACUUAUUUAACUAGAUCUUCUGAACACCAUCUAGCUAGUGUCGCAGAUCCUUCCUUCCCGCGGUCAAUGCUGCAGAUUUGCAAAUGGGGCAAGUAUUCUUCACAAGUAGCCACUUCUUUAUGCAGUCUACAUGGUACUCAUGACCACAAUCUAGUGUUCCAACCUUUUCUUGAUCCUUGUAAUCAGUCUGAAAAUGGCAAAAAAUAAAAAAUAAAACGAGAACUUAAGUGGACUGCCGAAAGACCAAGACAAUGGCCUUCUUCAUCAGCAAGCAAAGAUGCAAGCCUCAUCCAAGGUAACACCAACAAAAGUCAUAAUACUAAAGGAAUAGCUAGAAUAUGAGAGGUGAGGGAGGAAAUGAUGUGUUCUUCAUGUAAUUACUCAAUAGCCAACUGUAAAUUGCACUAGGGUGUUUCAAUCCAAGUUGGAGACGUUGAUGCAAGGAAAAACCCUUGACAAAUAAGGUUAACGAGUAAUAGUUAACCACACAUUCUCAGUACUCGAAAUAGCAGCCUAUUUACCAAUCACACCUUUCGAGAGCUAACAUUCAAGUUUUGAAGAACCUUUACAACAUUCUCGUGUGCAGGAAGAAGCCAUAGUGUAACGAAAAAGGGUUAUGGGUCUAAUUCUUAUACAAAAAAUAAAACCUUACAGACAGUUACCUGAGGAAGUAAUUUCUUUGAGCAAGACGCGCACAAUACAAGGGUAAAUGCAAUAAUUAUAACAAGUCAUGCCAUAAACAGUGUCAUCCUCGGAACCUUAUUCUACAGAUUCAAGCAUAGCAAAUAAGGGAAUUCUGCUUGAAAUACCUGGCAUAUCACACAGAAAUCUACUUCCUGAUUCAUGCAUGCUGCCACAUCCAGAUCAAGACAGGUUGCUGAUAGAGUAAAUGAUCUUGUUUUUAAGUUGGUUGUAAUGGCGUCUUCUGAUAAGCCAGUACCUACACUGCCAAUCUGUUCCCCCAAUGCAAGCAGCUCCUGGAAUGGAACUCUAAAAUCUCAGUGUGUUUCUUACUACAGCGAAGGUUAAUCCAUUGAGGGUUGCACAACAUAUCAAGCUGCAAAAUAAGCACCCAUAAAAGCUGUAAUUUAUCACACAAAGUGCCACCAAUAAACUUACCUCAUAAGACAUGUGAUCUAUAUCCAAGCGCAUAUCUCUGUGCUGAUCCAUUGGAUCCCCUCCAUCAUGGAAGCCAGGAACUUCCAAUAUGGCAACCCCCUACAUCAUCCAGCCAGAUUUACAAAGCAUAUACAAUACUAAAUAUGACAACCAUAGAGUUAAUCAGAUAACACAAUUAAAAGAGACAAAAGGUGUAAUGUAGUCAAUGAAUUUGAAGAAAAUGUUACAUCUUCUGGCAACAAUCUCAAGUUCGGAAGGUUGCGGUGCCUAGUAUUCAUCUCAGGUGUAACUUCUCUGCGAUGAGGCCUGUACAGCCGAAAGCCAGUUGGCGGAACAGGACCCAUAUAUCGAGGUCCGGCCUCUACAACACCUUGAAAAGGACUUACAGCAGUACUAUUUGCUGAAAAUCGACGGGAAGAGGUUACCACUUGUGAACUGAAAUUUAUAUUCUGGCCUCUCGCCCCUUGCACAGGUGGUAGCGGAUGAUGAAUACCAGGAUGUCCUUGAGGAACAGGAGUAUGCAGAAAUCCAGUGGAACUUCUGUUACUUGGCAGCUGAAAGCCAUGUAAACCCAUGUUACCAAUCUCCAUGGAACCUCCAUUCAUGCUACCUGGAACAAUGAGAGAGGAGAAGGGGGGUAGGGGUGAAGGAGGAAUGGAGGAACAGUCAGUGAGUCUGAAAAAAUGGAUAUGACAAGUCUCAUAGGUUAUGCUCUGUCUUUCCUUUAAUAGCAAAGCACUAUAUUGUAAAAAGAACUAAAGCAAUCAACUAAACAAAAGACAACUUCUCAGCUGUUUUGACUUAAACAAGAGCAUAAGAAAUAUGGAGGGUUUGAUCUUAGGAACUAUAAGGCCACCUGGCAAAGACAUUCAAAAAUUAAAAGAGGUUAUGUCUAAUAACAAACUACCAUGUAGAUAUGGUACAGAGGAUGCUUGAUUCCAGGUUACACUGUUGACAUCCGGGCCCAUCCAAGGAUUGCUAGGUAACUGGAAGGGUUGACUGACAAAAUUCCCUUGAAUCAAAUGAUUAGAAUUAUGUGCUAAUACGGAAUCAGGACCAACAACACCAGAUGUGUUCCUCACACUUCUACUAGAUCCACUUUCAAUGAUGGCUGAAGUCUCGUUCCCUCCAUAUUCAGGUGGUACAAAUGGCAUAGUAUCUGUGAGUGUUACAUCAGAUUCAAGAGGCCUUGCACUCACAGGAGCAACAGAAGAACUAGAGCCUGCUAAGGAGUCACAAUACUGGAUAUUCCAUGGAAGGCCUUCAGCAGUCUUUCUUUUAAACGAGCCUCUGACACCAUCCACAUAUGGAUUGGUCCUCCCAUAGCUGUCUGUAGGAACUCCAACCAUCCUAUGCGUACUUGAGAACGAAAACUGAUCAUGUGUCCCAUGAUUUACUGGGACAGGGAAAUCUCUGGGAGCAGAUGGAGGAAUCAUAAAGGGAUUAUACAGAUUGGAUGAUGAACCACCAGCUAGGUCAACAUUAGCAGCUGGAUAUUGAUUGUACUGUGGCAUGCCAUAGAAGAAAGCAACUUCAUGAUGCUCUGAUGGAUGAUGCAAGUUAAAGCUACUAGCAUUUCCUGGAGGUGGGACUACUGUGUGUACAUUAGGCUGUGGAUAAUUUGUCAUAGCACCAUAAAAGACGCAUGAUUCAGGAUGGAUGUAGUCUUGGCCUCGCUGAUCUGAUUCUAAAUCAAUCAUAUGCAUAUUUCUUUGCCCCAUAUUCGUGAAAAAUAUUGUGUCCUUGAUGCCUGCAACAAGAAAUGAUAAUUGACAUUAGUCAUUUAUCAUAUGCCAACAUUUGAUUCAGAAAGAUCAAAAGCUGUACAAAAGAAGAAAUGACUAAAUUUGUUCAAUUUUCAGCAUAUUAAAAAGCAUCCCAACAGCUAACUGCAAUUCUACCUCAUCCAAAAUUAAAAUCUCAAUCUGAAACACAUCCCACAAAUUGAAUGCAGGAAAAGAAGAACAAAAAUGCAAGCCACUAUGACAUUAGUGAUUGUCUUCUUGAAGCAAAGGAAGAUUGGUGUAACAACAAGAGAAACAAGCUCCCAAAGUCCUAUUUGAGCAAAGGUGUCUGAAACUGAAUAUGAUACUCAAAUUAUCAAAACCUAAAGAGAAACACAGCAUAAAGAGAGCAUAGAACUCAAUCUAAAGUAUCAAAAUUUAGCUCAGAUGAUCCUAUUUGCUAAAUCACACUCAAGUCAGCAAAUACAAGCCCAAAGACAAAUUAUCAAAGGCCUCAUUACUAAUAAAUAAUAAUAAUAAUAAUAAUAAUAAUAAAAUAUAUACAUCAUCACAAUUAAGAAUAAAGACAGAAGCAGCCUUUCUUUGUCGUGAAUCUCAACACUGUAGAACAAACCACCAAAAUCCUAGAUGCGUUUACAAAGGAUUUGACAAUAGAAUAUUCUGGAUAUCCAAUCACAUGCCAUAUUAUUGAAAUAUCAACUUCCCAAAUCUGCAGGUCUCUUUGCUGAAAAGCCAUCCUAAAAGCACGGAGCAACCACUUAACCAUGAAUUCAAGAUUUUCCUUCAAUUGAAUAAAUGAAUUUGCAUAAACAUUUCAUGACUCGUAUCUCCACAACAUGUCUAAAAUAUAAAAUAAAUCUAAUGUAUUUUUAUGAUCCAAAUUUAAAUGCAUAAACCAGCAUAGUUAAUUCCAAAAUGUAAACAUUGAGUCCCACUUCUGCAGCUCUGUUUACAAAAGCUAUCCGCAGCACAUGGAAUAGCCACCCGUCAAUAAUGUAAAGGCUUUCCUUCCAUGGAGCAAGUGAAGUUACGAUCAGUAUUCUCCAUAUAGGUUGCACAUCUGGCAGGUGUCUAAAAAAUAAAACGAACACAUAUCUUCGAAUAAAGCCAAAUCUCAGAUAGGAAACACUUUAUUGGGAAAUACAACUGCCAAAUCGAUGUCUUAACCUUUUUCUGCUGCAUAGUUCCCAAAACAUUUAAAGUUAACUGGAAUUUCCACACACCUUGAAGUCAAGGAGCAAAGCGUCAAGUCAGAAUUAGUACGUUACUAUGUUGACGCCAUCAAAGUCCAAACACGCAUAAUUUUGUGAAAGCACCUAACUGUUGAACCAUCAAAACUUCAAAAAACUCCACAAUCAUAAUAGGCCUAAUAAAAUAACCUUCAAAACUAUGCACAUGCAAUGUAACCAAAACAAUCCAGCAGAUGUCGGACAUUGUUAAAGGAAUUCGACUCAUAAACAGCCUAAGUAGAGUGAAGACUCUAUGACGAACUCACAGAUUUUUCAAGAAGUAAAAAGACAAAAAAAAAAAAAAAAGGAACCAACAAUAGCAAGAGAUGCAUUGAGGCUUUUAAUCAUACUCAAGGAAAAUUGUUCCAUAUAUCAAACAUAUAGGGCAGUUCUUCGGCGUAGAACAUGAAUGCAACAAGCAGUUGAACUUCAAAUAUUUCUACAAAACAAGAUAAAGAGAUAAGCCUCCAUGCAUUCUACUACUAAAGGUCAUUAAAUGUAGACAAAUAUACUAUUCUGCUUACCAACAUUCUUCUCAAACAACAGCUUUAAAAUACUUUAAUUUCCUUAAUUUUGUCCAUCAACACAGGUAAUAAAAUAGGAGAAAAAACUAAACACUCAUUUCUUGAAACACAAUAAAAAACAAUAUUCCACCAGAACUUCUUGGUGGGUCACCUAAAAGCUCAUGCCAAGCUUGCAAAUCCUGGGAAAAAAGAAACAAAUUCAUAAUCAAAAUCUCACCUUUUUAUCAUCAAAAAGAUCCAGGGCUGCCAAGGCUUUCACCUUUAAUAAUUACCACGAAUAGCCUUUCAAUAAAUUAUCUUCACGCCCUGUAUCAUCAGAGAAAAAGGCAAAAAAAAAAAGCAUUAUACAUUCAAUAGAACCCUAAAUUUGAGCCCAACAAAACAACUAACAUUUUGAUCAUCAAAACAAAAACCCACCAAAAAAUUUUUCUUUCCAGGGCAUGUGCAUGCAUUUGCAUUUGCAUGUUUUCAAGUGAAUUAAUAAAUAAAUGUCAAUUGAAAUUCAGAAUUUUGCGACAAUUAAGAAAAAAGUUUCAUCAAAACUAACCCCAAUUAGGCGUUGAUCAGAGUGAGAUCGUGAAAUCAAGUAAAGAAAGAGAAAAGGCAGAGAGAGAGAUAUCUCUGCAAAUAUGGAGAGAGAGAAGGAGAGAGAAUUUGGGAGUUACAAUGGAAAAAAUACUGACCUGUUUGUGUUCUUUGUAUUGUGCACUGGUAACAGUACAGAAAAUAAAAGGAAAAUAAAAUAAUACCCCCCCCCCCAAAAAAAAAGGAAGGAGUGAGUUUCUUUUUCUGUGCUAAAUAAAUCAAUAAGGAUCCGUUUGGCCCGCGUUUGCUAUGUUGGAUUCUUAAGGAUUUGGAAUGGAAAUCAAGCUACGAAUAUCCAUUGCGGUUGUGUACAAUAAUUAUUUCAGAUAUUAUUUUAUUUGCAACAUGAAUAUAUUUUUAAAUAAUUUUUUUAUAUUUUAAAUUAUCUUUUUAUUUCAUGCUUAUUGUAUCAAAAAAAAUGUAAAUAGUAAUUUUUAAAUAAAAUAUUCUAAAUAAUCCCUAUGUAAACCUUUUUAAUAAUCUCUGCCCAAACACGUUGCACUUUGUAUAAGGAUAGAGGAUUAUUUGGACAAGUUUUUAAAAUAAUUACUAUAGGUCUUUUUUGUACAUUGAUAUAUAUAAGAUCAACAAAAAAACUAAAAAAUUUAAUAAAUUAUUGAAAAAGUGCACAUGAUACAAUUAAAUAAUUUUUACUUUUCAAAUAAUGGCUAAUGCAAACACUAGUGGUAUAAAAAAAAGGAAAAGAAAAUAAACUAUUGUUCUAAUUUGGGUUUUUAAUUUUUGAACAUCCAAACACUGAUUAGUUGACAAACUCGUCCGUGCUAUUCUUUGAUAAACAAUUGCAGUAGUAAUAUGCAAAUUUUAUGAAAUUUCCCGAUUAUAGCCAAAAAAAAAUUUCACACUAGAGGAUAUAUUUUGUACUUUGUUGUAUUUUCUGUGUACUUUUUUUUUUUUUUUUUUUUUGCAGAAAGCUACGAGUUUUAUCUGUAAAUUAAUAACUAUUAAGUGCUUCAUGGCAGUUUUGUUUUUCUUAUUUAAUGGCAAGAAUUGCUUCUUUAUUAUUUUUUUUUUUGGGCACUAUAAUGUAAACAAAAGGUGUUUCGUAAAAUAAUCUAUUAAUCAGCAUAGUACACCUAAACUAAAAUAAUUGGUUGUCAUGAAUUGAAAAAAUAAUAAUAAUAGGCUGAUUAAUAAUAUGAGAAAUUCUACCCUCAAUCUACCUAUAAAUCAUCUACUUUGUAAUUAACCUACGACUCUUUUAUACCCAAUAUUCUACCUUACUUCUUGCAUUGCAAACCUGUUUAUUGGCAUAUUAGCGUUGUUUAAACUUACCUACAAACAUAACAAGUGGUGUUGCUUCAACUGGUAUAGGUGUACUUCAUUAUCUAUUUCCAAGAUUUUAAUGGGAGACAAUAAUUGAAUCCAACUAGAUGAGUAUAUGCAAAAAAAAAAGUUAAACAAAUUGAAUAAUUUCUUGUUCAUUUUGUUUGGCUGGACAAACUAAUUAAAUUUCAGAUAAAAUUACUCUAAUCUUUAGAAAAGACAAUUAAAUAAUGGACAAAAUUUACGGCAAUGUUCAGUAUGUUCUUGUAGUAUAUGUUGCUUUAAAUAUGGAUAUUCUUAAAAAAUAUAUAUAUAUAUAUAUUCUGAAGAAUGUUGAUAUCUUAUCCUCAAUUGGUGUAUCUAGGUAUGAUAACAUUUUAGCACAUAGUGGAGGAAGCUCAUUGUUUUAUCAAAACCUUAUCAUAUCUAACUUUCAAAAAAAAAAAAAACCUUAUCAUAUCUAAUGGUUUUAAAUUAUUUGCAUGCGGUAACUUACCAUAUACUGAUUACAGUUUUUUGCCAAUACAUGGUGCUUCUUUUUUUGUUUCGGUGGUGCUUCUUUUUGUUUCAAUGAUUAUUUUUUCAGUAUUUUAGGCUUUGGGAAUUUUUUUUAUUUUCUUUCCUUUUUUUUUUUCUCGCAUCCCCUCUUUUCUCCUUUCUCCCCACACCCCUAAUGCCCCCCAUCCACCGUUGGCCACCACCAUCGCUGACAACCACCUAACCACGUCGAUGGUGGUGGCACCGACCGACGAUGCCAAUGGAAGUUGGGACGACGGUGAUGGCCUGAGGCAGGGGAGGAUAAUGAAGAAGAAUAAAGGAAAGAGAAAAAAACUCUUAAUGUUUUUUGAUAUUUUGGAGUGUAUAUUUUAAAAUUUUUGAAAUACUUUUAGAGAGUUACUAUAAAAAGAAAUUAUAAAGAACUUGUUUACUAAAAACAAGCCAACAAAAUUGGCGUCCAAACAGAACAAGUUGUUAAAAAAAAAUUUGUCUAUUAAAAACAAACAAAACAGAAAACAAGACUCCAAACAGAUUCAUUCUAGUAUGAAGCCAAAACUUUUUUCAGGAUUCAUGUUCUUUUAACGCUAAAUACACAUGUUUGCAGAUUUUUUUUUUGUAAGCACAUAUUUGUAGAUAUUAUUUAAUUUGUAUCAUAAAUACGUUUCUUUAACUAUUUUUAUAAUUUUAAAAUAUUUUUAUCUCAUAUAUAUCACAUCAUAAAAAAAUUUAUAAUAUUAUUCUAAAUUAUUUUUCAAAUAAUUUUCUAUCGAAACAAACUAAUAUUGCAUUAAACUUCUAAGAAGUAAUAUGACGAGUUAGCAAAUUACAAUCAAAGAAGACAAGGAAUCAUUAUCUUGAUAUUGAAAUUUUUUCUAUGUCAUAAUUACUUGUCUAGGAUUUACAUGGAAAAUUAUGAGUGAAGGGAGUGAUAAACACAUUAGUUGUUUGAAUCCAAAACCUUUAGAUUUCCAAAGUUCAAACUUACCCACUAAACCAAAGUUCCUUGGUUUUAAUUUAUUAAAUCUCACACCCGCUCUAGAAAAAAAAAAAUUUUAAAAAAGGUAAAAGCAUGUAAGGCCAUAUUCAAAUGGUUCGAUAAAAAGGAAUACUCUUAACAGGUUCAAUGUAGAUGAGGUGCGCGGUGCACCCAGCCGUCAGCCAGGGAGGUGGGUGGUCCUACUUCCAAAUGUUUUGCGGCCGGGAAAUAGGCUGUCAGGUUCAACGCACUUCGUAAAUUACACGAAUGGUCAACGUGCUCCUCCUAAUUUUCUUGGAAAAAUUGCAGAAACCUCCCCUGAGAUUUCUGACAUUUGCACUGACCUUCCUUAUCAAUUUUGAAAUAGCAUUAACCUCCCCUAGAAAAAGUUGGAGCCAAUUUAAAAGGUAAAAGUGUGUGAAUUUACUAGAGUACCCCCAAUUGUAUUUGACUUUACCAGAUGAAAGGUUUGAGUGCUUUUAUCAAAACCAACGUUUAAUUUGUUAAACUAAUUAAACUAAUCAAACUAUUUCUGCAUGGUUAAAUUAAUUAACUAAUUAACUAAUUUCUAUUUAUCUAAUUAACUAAUUAACUAAUCAAACUAUUUAUGCAUAGUUAAACUAAUUAACUAAUUAUCUAAUUAAUUAAUUAACUAAUUUCUGUUUAUCUAAUUAACUAAUUAACUAAAGCUGUUGUUUGUCCGAACUAACAAACUAUUUGCAUGUUAAACUAAUUAACUAACUGCUUAACUAAUUAACUAACUAAUUAUCUAAUUAAUUAACUAAUUAACUAACUAAUUAUCUAAUUAAUUAAUUAACUAAUUUCUAUUUAUCUAAUUAUCUAAUUAACUAAUUAUUUAAUGCGCUAAUUGGUUAAUUAGCUCCACAGGCCAACGAAAUUGGUUAAGUGGCGCAUUAAAUAUAAAACCUGCCAGUUUCCCAUAAAGAGUUGGUAUGUAAUGGGCAAUUUUUUUAAAAAACUUUCACAUAUUUAAUUUAUGUUAAAUACAAAACAUACUAGUUUUCCUUUUGGGCGCUAUUUAACCAAUUUUUCGCAUAAAUAGCUGGUAUGUUUUCCAUAAAGAGCUGGUAUAAAACAUAUUACAAAACCUGCCAGUUUCCCAUAAAGAGCUGGUAUGUUAUGCGUUAUUUAAGCAAUUUCAUAUUUAAACAAAUUUAUGAAAAUUAAAAUAAUGUAUUUGAAAGUUGCAUUUUUAUUUGGAAGAACGCAUUUCUUUGAUACGUUUUCACCAUUUGGGAAGAGACUAAAAAAUCGCCACCUUUAGAAAGUUAGUUUAAAAACUCUCUCUUUUUGGGAAUUUACUCCUUAUUAAUACAACCGCAUUUUUUUUCUAGUAUUAAUUUUUGUUAUGAUUUAUGAUUUUCUUAUAUUUUAUCAAAAAAGUUAAUAACUAUUGUAGUUACAAUUAUGGAGAUAUUAAUUUGUCGUAUGUGUAAUUCUUUUAUUUUAUAAUAAUUGUUAUAUCAGGGGUAGUUUUGAAAUUUAAUUGCAUUUAAUUUCAAAACACUCAUCAAACCAAGUUAGAUAUUAGAAUGAAAAAUAUGUUGCAUUUAUACCCCCUGAACUUGCUUGAUCCUUAAUGCCUAUGUCUCUCCCUUGUUAAUACUAAUUGUCAAGCAAGAUUAGGGUAAAAUUGGAAGAAAUUUCUUAUCUCAUUUCUACAAAUAUUUUUUUAAUGGGACAUCAAGCCUCAGGGAAGUUUCUACAAUGAAUUAUUCCUGUUCAAGGGUGCUGAAUGCUAUUUUUAAAUCUAGAGGGGAGGUCAGUACAAGUGUUAUAAAUCUCAGGGGAGGUUUCUACAAUUAUACCAAUUUUCUUUUGUGUCCAGUCCACCGUGGCAUAGUUGAAAUAAUUUUUCGAAAUCUCAAAUGGUCGCAGUACUACUAGUACAAAUCUCAUGCUUAUACUCCCGUAAAAUAAAGAACCUGUAGUUGACACUUCCCAUUAUUUUGUCAAUGGCUUAUAAGUUAGGGAUAAUUUCAAAAACCUCCAUUGAGGUUUCAUAAAAUAUCACAUAGCUCCUCUAAACUUUUCAAAAUCUCACUUAACACCCUUAAAAUGAUAGUAGGGCCAUAUACUAAUAUCAAAGGUGAUGAAUUGUCAAUAAUACCUUCACAUUUAAAUUUUCUAAGCUUGUUUUUCUUUCUCUAAAUUUCCUACUUUUCUUUAACAAUGUCUAUACAAACAUACAUACAUACAUAUAUACAUACAUAUACACACAUAUAUAUGUAUGUAUAAUUGAAUUGCAAAUGUCAAUGAAAUAUUCAAUGCAUUUGGAAAAGAAUAGAUACAGGUUCUUUUUAUUUUUUUCCUUUUUUGGUGUUUCACAACUUUAUUUAUUUAUUUAUUUAUUCCUAUUCAUGUAGAGCGCAAGAGAAAUAAAGUAUUUGAAACUCCGAAUAGUUUUUCAAAUUCUAACUUUUUCUAUAAUAAAAUUUUCAUAUUUCAACCCAUAAAAAAAAAGUCUGUCUAUUUUGAGUAAAUUUGUUGUAUGAUAUUGAAGUUAAAUUUAAUUUAUUACUUAGUUUUUUUUCCUCAAAUGCAUGAUUUUUUCAAAUUCUGAUUUUUUUAUAAUAAAAAUUUCAUAUUUCACAUCCAUAAAAAAAGUCUGUCUAUUUUGAGUAAAUUUUUUGUAUGAUAUUGAAGUUGAAUUUCAUCUAUUACUAAGUUUUUUUUCCUCAAAUGCAUGAUUUUACAUGCUAAUUACCUUCAACACUAUAAAGGGUUCUAUUUAUAAAAAUAGUUUAAAAAAUAGUAUUUGCUUUUACUAUCUCUUCCUACUGUAGAAGUGACUAUUGGCUGUAACAUAAAAUCUUACCAAUUUUCAUCUCCUCACUUUUAAGAUGGUUCCAAUUUAGUACUUUUUUUUUUGUUUAUAAAAUGUUCAUUUUUUUAUAGCAUAAGGGUAUUAAAGGCACUAAAAUAAUCUCUCUCCUCAGACAUGAAUUUUUUAAUAUUACUUUUGGUUAGAAGGGCUUCCAAUGUUACCAAAAUGUCAAUUCAAUGGGUGCUAAGUGAGAUUUUGAAAACCUCAAGGAAACUAGAUGAUAUUUCAUAAAACCUCAUGGGAGGUUUAUGAAAUUAUCCCUAUAAGUUAUAACCAAACUCUUUUUUUCCAUAGAAAUUAAAAAAGAGCGAGUGGCACUUCUUCCAAGUUUUUAAGUCCGUCAUAGAGCAAAGCAAAUUGGGUAUUAAUAUAUUACUGUUGCACAAAAAUUAUAGAAUAGCUCAGGUUGGUGAGUUGUCUAACUAAACAAACUACAACUUCCAUCUUUUAAAAUUGUGAUUACUUGUAAAAUAUCUUGUUUUAAUAGAAGUGGAUUAUUUUAUGCUUUAUGCAUUUACAUGGGCCAGUUUGAAAGUGGAUACUACUUGGCAAUUUGGUAUUGAAUGUGGCAAUUUGGUAUUGAAAGUGCCAGUACUUUUGUCUCAUAAUACUGAAAAAAAAAAAGAAAUCUGAUAAUGUGUAUAGUAAUAAUAAGUACAAGUCUUUUUGCAUUUUCAUAGUACUUGUGGUUCCUCAACAAAAAAUUUAGCAACAUUGGAAAUCAAAUAUAAUAUAUACACACACACACACACACACACAAAACAAGUAAAAAAAGAAAUGAGGAAAAAGAGAAUUCAGGAAAAUAUAAAUUUACAAUAAGAUCAAAGAAAUUUAAUAAAUAAAAAAUGUUAAAAGUUAUAUAUGAAAAAUAGUGAGGUUGCAUUUGGAUUGAGAGAUUUAACAAAAUAUUUGAAGUCUUUUCAAAUUCCUCUAAUUGUUUAUAUUAUUUAGAAAAUAUUUGAAUAAGCAAGUCAUAAAUUAUUAUAGUGUUUAAAAUGUAUUUUAAUAAUUUGUGAAUUACAAAUUAGAAUAUUUCUUAAAUAGUAUAAACAACAAGAGCAAUUUGGCAUAGAUGAAAAUGGAAAAAAGGAGUAUCAAAGUGGGACGGAGGGAAUAUUAAUUUUUGUCUAACCGUUAGGUUCAGAAUUCGAAUCUUGUAAUUGGUAAUUCAGGUAGUAAGAAUAUGAAGAGAGAUAGAAGGGUUAAAAUUUUACUUUUAUCUAGCUUAAUUUGUAAACUUUACAUUGCACUCGAACAAUUUUAUUAUUUCUUUCAACAACAAUCCAUGCUGUACAUACUAAUUCUCUAACUAAGCCUAACUAAUGCUUGUGCAAUUAGCAAACCAAAACACAUUUUGUUAUCAGUAAUCAUUCCAUUGGAAGCAUUUCAAACUACUCCCUAAAUUUUUGAAGGUCCUCAAAAAGGGGGGGAAAAAAACUACUCCCUAAAUGUUUUUGAAGGUCCAAUGUUUUAUUUGCUUAAAGCCUUAGGUUGUGUUUGGAUUGCAUUUUCCGUAAUUUUUCAUGAAAAAAAUACUGUAGUGAUUUGAUAUAUGUGAGGGAAAAAGGUGAUAGGGAAAUGUGAUCAGGAAAAACGACAAUAUUUUCCGACGGAAACAAGCAAUCCAAGCAUGGCCUUUGCCUUUUUUGGAUUGUAUUUUUUGUGAAUAUGUGAAAAUAGUAAUACAUUUCCUAAUUGUUAUUUUUUCAUUUUAAAUGCAUCAUAUGUUUAAAAAAGUGCCACACUAUACGCCAAAAUGCUAAAAAAAAUUACAAUCCAAACGGUUUUCUUACAUGGUGACUAGGGCUGCAAACGAAUCGAGCCGCUCGCGAGCGACACGAGUCAAGCUCGAGUCGAACUCGAGCUCGAAAUCGAGUUCAAAAUAUUAAGCUCGUUAGCUCGCGAGCUUGAGUAUAUAUAUAUAUAUAUAUUUAUUUAAUAAUAAAAUUAUGUAUAUUAUAUAUAUAUAUUUUUUAUUUUUUUAUUUUCAUAGUAAAAUUACGUAUAUAUUCUUAAUAUUUUAUUAUUUAUUAAGAAAAAAAUAUUAUUUAUUUUUUUAAAAAUAAAAUAAUUAUUUUUUUAUUUUUUUCGAGCUCGAGCUCGGCUCGACUUGAUUCGAGUCGAGUUCGAGCUCGAAAAUUGCCGGCUUAUCGAGUUCGAAUUUGGUAAAAUUUAGUCGAGAUUCGGAUCGAUUAGUUCAAAACUCGACUCGACUCGGCUCGUUUGCAGCCAUAAUGGUGGUGACAAAUGCUAACUUCCCAACCGGGGCCGGAUUACGAGUGAGAACUGGAAAGUCAUCAUCCCAAGCGACGUCGCUUAACCGGUGCGUUGAAAUAAAUGUGCCUGGGAAGUUGUUGGAAAAAAUAACGAAGAAGAGAAAGAUGAAGGGGAAGCUGCGAAGCCCUAAGCCUAAGGAGCAUCAGCUCAACCCCAACUGGGAGCUGCUCCGUCAAGUAAUCUACAACUCUAUAGUUCCUCCACUUUCACAUUAACUUAUUCAAAUACUAAUUCUUUUCUUCUACCUUUUUUUUUUGCUUGUAUUUCUUUAUUAAUUCACUCGUAUAUGCAGAAGCUGAUAAAGAGCAAUGGCCCAAAGAAACAGUCCACCAGAAGCCAACAACAGAAAUCAGAACCAGAAUCCCAGAAUUCCAUUUUAGGUCAAUCCCACUUUUUUUUUUUUGCUGGUACUUUAAGUGGUUGAUUCUGCUGUAUACUAGUAUUUAAAGUAUGAUUCUACACAAUUUUUUGAUUCACUGGUUUUUUAGGUAUUGCAGUGUCCAUUCACAGUAAUGUUCGAUAAAAGUUUGCAUUUUUCUAUGUUCUCGUGUUGGUUAUAAUCUCAGGGAAGCGUAAAGAGAGGCCAGUGACUGAGACUGAUGGUUCUAAGCCUAACCCAUUGAUCCCAAGCUCCUCUGAUUCCAGGUGCAGGAAAAGCGUUUUACUUUAAGUUGUAGUAUCCGUUUGUGGCGUUUAUUUAUUUAGUUAUUCAUUUAUAAAUUUUUAUUCUUAAAUUUAUGUUUAAAUGAAUUUUUCAGUCGAGGAAGGGAAUUCAGGUCGAGUAUUGACUAAUUUGAGCUUUUAGGCUAAAGUUUCCGUAUUUCAUAAAGAGAAGGAUAAACUUGAAAAAUCCUCCUAAACAGUGCAUGGACUUUUUUGGGCUUGAUAUGUGGUUUUUUUUUUUGUGGGGGGGGGGGGUGGCGGCUAGGGGAUGUGGGGAAGAUGGCUGACUAUAAUCUUUAUGAUGUGGUAAUGUGGGAAAUAGCAGGAUGCUUAACAAGUGACGUGCGGAUGUUUUCUUAAUAUUUAUGCUUAUAGAAGAUGUGAGUGAGCUUAUGUGUUUGAAUUAACGAGUUAUAGCUGUUAUGAUAGUGAAUGAAUUCUCAAUCUUAAAUAAUCCAGAAUAAACAAUAAGGAAAUGUUAGCCCUUUAUGUAGUGGUUCCAAUUUUGGCAUUUGUUCGUGGGUAACAUUUUGUUUUCGCUUCAUUCUUCUUCUUCUUCUUCUUUAUAGUAAUAGGGGAGGGGUGGGAUCUAAGAAGCAUACUGCAUUCAAUGGUAUGCUUAUACUUUAUUUGUCUUGUUCAAAGUUAUUAUUUUUUGACAAUUAUCAACCACAUUGCAGCGUCACAGAUGUUUUAGCCAUGGAUUGCGAAAUGGUCGGCGUCAGUUCUAUGGGAAACAAAAGUGCUCUUGGACGAAUUACACUGGUAUCCCUGGUUACAACUUUUGCGCAUGUCACUGGAUUUUUUUAAAAUUUUUAUUAAGUUUUUCCUUUUGAUCUUUUAUAUGAAUUUUCUUUUUUAAAUUUUCUCUCUUGAGGUUGAUGUAAGAAAUAUUCAUUUUAGCUGUCUGUAAUAGAAAACUACUAUUAAGUUUAUUUUAUAUACUUGAACAAGUUGAAUUAUAGUAAAUACAUAAAUUUUCAGUGAAGCGUGAAAAGGAAAGAAGCUUUGGUUAUCAGAAUUGAAAAUUAGCGACUUGAUGUGUUGUUAUCUUCUUACAUCGUCCAUAUUUCUAAAGGAAAGGUCUGCAUAUGGUACUAGUUAUUUUGUUAAAGUAUCCCUCAUACAUAAUAUAUGGUGUGAAGAUAGAGUUAUCACCAAUUUCUGUUUACAGGCUCCUUGGGAACAUGUGAAAAUAGACUGAAAAUGUGUAAACUGCGCGUGUGAAUUUGGGUGAAAAUCAGUCACUGCUUUCUUGAUCUUAUGCAUGUAUGCUGUGAAUGUGGGGUGACGAGAUGUAUUUGGGUGUUGAUCAAUGCUUGUAAGUGGAGGAAUGGAGUAUUUGGUCAGAUUUUCUUUUCAGAUUAAAACAGAGAUUUUAGCUUGUGCCUGUUUUACUUCUGGCAUGUACAUGUUCUUGUUCUGUCAUGGUCAGAAUCUGAGAGUUGAAGAAGGUUAAGGUAGCAGUAUUAAGCAAGUUUUGUAGUAAAUUUGUUUGGUGAUGAAUGCCAAGGAAAUGCUUUACAUGCUAGGAUUUAGAAGAGGCUAAGUAAUUUCCAUAUCAAUUUAAUGUUGGCCGCUUUGGUUGUAAAUGUUUAUUUAAUGCUUUCCAGUUUCUUACAGGUAAACAAAUGGGGCAAUGUUAUAUAUGAUGAAUAUGUCCGUCCAGUAGAAAAGGUUGUUGACUUCCGUACAAAAAUUAGCGGAAUUCGACCUCGUGAUCUGAGGAAAGGUUUGGCCAAAUUUAAAAUUUUGCUGUAAGAAUCUGGAUUGCAUAUUUCUCAAAAUGGAAUCUAUAGUUACUUUUUAAAAAGCAAAAUAAAUAAUGAUCAAAAUCUUUAUUUUUGAAUUCUGAAGCGUAUGCUUAGUUGCAUUUUUUUUUAUCAGCAAUGUGUUGUUAGAUGUUAUGGACUCCAGAAGCUUUUGGAGUAAUAACUGAAUUCCAAAGAAAGUUUUUUAUUGCAGUGCUCAGCUAAGAGCCUUUUUUUUACUUCAGUUACUAUUGGACAUCCAACUUCUCGAUAUAAAUAUUUCUAACAGUCGUUGAAGUAUGACCUGUAAUUUUAUUCUAAAAAUAUAUUAAUUACUGAUCUUUUCUUUUUUGUCUUUUAUCAAAUAUUUGACACUGAUUUCAUCUGCAGCAAAGGACUUUAUUUCAGUUCAGAGGAAAGUGGCGGAGUUGCUCAAGGGAAGGAUUCUUGUUGGCCAUGCCUUGCACAAUGAUCUUAAGGCUAGUAUCAAAUUCUUCAACACCUUGUAGAUGUAAUAUUUGACCGGUUUGAGUGAAUCUGAAACACCAGGGAGCUUUUGUGUAGGCAUUGCUUUUAAGUCAUCCGAAGAAAGAUAUACGAGAUACAUCAGAGUAUCAACACUUUUUAAAGUAUGAUUUCCUUUUUCCUUCAAUUGCUAUUACAUUCUUCAGGAACGCUGAUCAUUGUUUAAUAUAUGCUGAUACUGAUGAAUCAGAGAAGGGCGUAGCCGGGCACUUCGUUAUCUUGCAGCUGACUAUCUCGGGGUGGAAAUUCAAAAUGGGGAGCAUUGUCCGGUUAGUUUAGUUCCUUUUGCUGUUACAUUUAUUUUUUCUUUUCAGUUAGUUUGUUUACUGAUAAUGGGCUUGAAAUAUAGCAUAAAUUCUCUAUUAGUCCGCAAGAUAUAAAUGCCUCUCGAUUACAGGAGUAAGAUUCUCGUCUUGAUGUUCAUUUUAUCAUAAUGGUAGGAAUUUUAAUAAUAAUAAUAAUAAAAAAAGUAUCUCCCUAACUUCAACAGCAUGCAUCAUGAUGUAUGUAAGAUUUCAAAUGUUGAAAUGUGUAAUUGCAAUGUGCAAAAAGAAAAAGAACACUUUCAAGUCUACUUUUACAUGUGAUUUUCCUAGAUUUCAAAUAACACAGCUCGAGUUAAGCAAUUUCUCCAACAACAUCAGCUGCAUACAUCUCUUGUGUGACUAUUGUUCUAUUGAGGGUAUCUACUGUUCCUGCAAAUUGUUCUACUUCUUUCUACAUUGCACAUUCCUUGGCGCACGCUUCUCUAUAGUUACUGAUGUUGGUAUGUAUGUUCAGGUAGAGGAUGCCAGGGCUGCAAUGCUCCUUUACCAGAAGCACAGGAAACAAUGGGAAAGGAGCAUUAAAGAUUUCAUUAGGCUCAAGAAAAAGCAGAAGAAAAGGAAACAGAAAUGUAAGACGAACGAAGGUGAUUCAGAUGUGUAGAAGUUGCAAGUGCUUCGCAGGCGGCAUCCGUCCUAUGCCAGCUGUAGAAUGUGUUUGAUGAUACUAAGAUGUCGUGACAACAGUUCAAGAAAUUACAAGAUGAGCAAGAGGUAAAAGCAUCAUCAGACACAAGGACUGAACCACCAAAAGGAUCUUUUUUUCGAGUUGUUCCACGCGUGCGUGCAACAAAUGCAGAUUUUUUCUAUGACUAAUAGAAGAUAGGAGUUUGCAUCUUCUUCUGAAUUGAGCUCCAAAGGCAACAGAUGCAGCAGUGUUCUUUUUGGUGAGCAUUUUUUUCCCCUUUCUUGGGGUACUCAUAAUGAGCGGAAGCCCAAUUAGAGUCAUUUUUUUAAAAAAAAAAAAAAAUAACUUUUAAGAAGAAAAUGGUGGCUGAAUUUUCUAUAUAUAGUAUGAGAUAUAGUUGCACCAAUUGACAAAGGCAGGCAUGGUUGUAGUUCCUGUGAACUUUCUGAUAUCCCUCAUAGUUGCAAGUGUAUCCUCUCGAGGCAGCUUGCAGAAACGCUGGUGCGCCUACUCUUCCGGCUUCCUUUGCUUAACGAAAAAAUGAAAUGCAUAGAAUUGGAACCAAUAUAGAAAUUUGAUAUGGCAAAGAAACACUUAUAUGCAAUUCCUAUCCACGCCUAAUCAAGGAAACACAGAAGCAAUUUAAGAAUCCAUUUAUAGUGAACUGGAAAUACCUUUGACAUUGAACAACAUGAAAGCCACAACAAACCCCCAGAGUGGGCCACUGCAAGGCAUUUAAACAAAUUUAAAUUAGAAAAGCUGCUAUGGAAGAUCCAAUUCGAUCAUUUCUCUAAAGAUGCCACUUUACUAGAGUGUUCUCUGAAUUCAGUGCUGUCUGAUUAGCAGCAAAACAAAUUAGGAGGGAAAACUAAGGUUAAAGAAAUCAUGUGCAAUGUGGAAAAAGCAAAUCUGUUCUGCCAAUAGCCCAAAAGGGCCUAUAAAUAGGACCCGUGCCUCUUUGUUCACUCACUUUGUAGCUGCUCUCCUUUGACGAGACCCGAUCGAAAAACGGGAGAAUUCUUCUUGCAAGGUAUGCCUUUUAUCGCUCUUCUUGUAUUUGUUGUUUAUAAUUGGGUAUACUAUUCUGGAUGUGAUUCCGUUUUUCCUUGAUGUUAUUGCAAACCUUGGUCCAAUUUAGUCAUCUUCUUAUAUACGAUCAAUUAUUAGGAAUUCGUAUUUCUAGGGUUAGUGUUUCAAAGAAAAAAAAAAAAAGCUUUACGAGAUUUUUCGCCUCCCGAUUUCUUGUAUUUCUUGGAAUGCAUGCUUUUAGCUUCUGACUUCGAUUCCUGAAGUUUAAGCCCAUCAAUUGCUUUUUUGAGCAAUCUAAUUUCCAGGAUUGUUAUUUUUCGUAGUUCGCAGAUUAGGGAUUUUUUUCUUCAAUCAAAGGGGAAAAAAUUUUGAGGAUGAAGGAAAAGAAUUGUGUGAAGUGACGAUGUUCGUUUACAAUAGCUGAUUCUAAGAUUCAGGCUAAUGGUUGCUAUGAAACCCAUUGUUUGACUACGAGAUACCUGACUUGUAAUGGUUAAAUAGCUACUGAGAAAUGUCAAUUUAAUCGACUUAAAAUGGAUUUUUUGGUGGUAAAGAUGUCCGAUCGUUCAUAUUUUUCCUGAAACAAGAAGUGCUGGUAGUUGAUAUUUGCAAAGAAAGAGGAUUGUUGUGAAGUUUGCAAUGCCUAAUUUCAAGAUUUAAACUAAACUGAUUUGAUUGGUAAAAAUCUAUGUCUUAGCUGUGUGAAUCUACUGCUAAGUAGCUGCUUACAACUAUGGAUUUGAUUGGAGAUUUUGUUUGGAUCACUUUUAACACGAUUCAGCAUGUAUUUCUUUCUGUGUGAUGUGAGGUGCUGAUAGCUAGGUGAUAUUUACAGCACUAAAAGUUAAAAGGAGGUAUCAUUCCAGCACUUGUGAUGACCAAUUCCAAGAUCUGGACAAAGUGGCAAUUGAUGAGAUCUAUAUGACUGUCUGUUUUGAUAAAUUGUUAAGCAGCUGCUAGGGCAUCAAUUUGAUUGGAAUUUGUGUUGGAUGUCUUUUUAUUGUGAUUUUUUAUGUCUGAACUAGUUGCUGACAGUUGAUAUUUUGAACAGUACGUAAAGAAAGGAACAGAAGAGUAGCUUAGAGAAUGGGUAAGAGGAAGUCAAGGGCAAAGCCACCACCAAAGAAGAGAAUGGACAAGCUUGAUACUGUUUUCAGUUGUCCAUUCUGCAACCAUGGCACAAGUGUGGAGUGCCGAAUGUCAGUACUUAGUUAUUUCUUUUUUAGUUUUUGUUCUCUAGCUGAUCUAUCAGUUUUGAUGCAUGGGAUUAUUUUGGAGUUGUGUUGUGAUACUGUUCUGAGUAUUUUGGUAACUUUGGAGCUUUGUUUUGUUUCAGUGACAUGAAGAACUUGAUUGGCGAGGCUGUAUGCAGGAUUUGCCAAGAGAGCUUCAGCACCAGUGUGACAGCAUUAAUCGAGCCUAUAGAUAUUUACAGUGAAUGGAUUGAUGAAUGUGAGCGGGUCAAUAACCUUGAAGAUGAAGGUGCCUAGGGUUGAGUUUAGAGGGUUCCUGAGUUCUGGUGUAAUGUGGGAGGACUUGUAGAAAGGCUUGGAAGUUGUUGUAUUAUCAUGGCAUUCGUGGAGCCUUCUAACUGGGAACUCUGGAUGGCAGGGGGAAUUUAGUGAUGCAAUAUGUACGCAGAUGUUUAUGUAUAUAUAGCAUAAGCGGGGUAGAUUGGUGUCAAGUUGGUCUGUGUGGUUUGUCAAGGAUAAUUUGUUUUGUGUUUUAAUGAAUGAAUUUUAUUUUCGGCUCUGGGUAUUCUGGCCUACUACAAAUGAUUAAAACCGAAAAAACGAAGACAAGAUUGUUGUGGCUUAUUGAGAACCACAAGUGAUUAGCCAUGAGAUGACCGUUUUGGUUUUUCGAUCCAAACUUUGACAGGGAUACGAAUACUGACGAAAGGAUUGUGGGUUAACAUCUCGGUCUUGACGCAGUGAAAAGUUUAAGGAAGUCUUUUAUUCUCUUUUACUAAACGUUGAAAUUUGACAGCUUUAGGAAAACUGAUCGCGCAACUAGACAUUACAUCCACGGCUGCCCUUUGGUCUUUUAACUGAGAAAGAAGAUGGUUUUGAGGUUUGGAGAUGUUAUAGUUUCGAGGUUUAGAGAUGCUAUUGGAUCGGUGUUUGGACGAUAGGCGUGUUGAGAUGAGAGAUUAUUUGAAAAAAAAAAAAAAAAAAAAAUUGAUUGUAUCACAAAUAUAUUUUUCAAAUAUUUCACUUAUAUCACAUCAUAAUAAAAUAUAAUACAAUAAUUAUUCUAAAUAAUAUCUGAAAUAAUACACUCUAUCUAACAACACUCAUUAUUAUUUGUGAAAAAAAAUUGAUUAGUGAUGUCAUAGGCACUUUUUUUUUUUAACUCAAUUUUUAUAUUUCCAACCACAAUUUUAUUUUUGUAUCACCAAAAGUAUAGUAGUGUUAUUCCUAAAUAUCUUUCCAAAUUCCAAAUAAUGCUCUCACUUUGUACAAAAAUAUUUUAAGGUACACGUGAGAUUUAUGGGAAUUUAGCAUCUGACCACAAACUAAAAAAAAAAAAAAAAAUCAGAAACAUCAAAUUUGCAAAUGUCUAUUCUCCUAUGAGGUCUGGGGUUCGAUACUUGUAGCACCCACCUUUCGUGCUAAUAUUUUUGUUUAUUUAUUUGUCUUCGUAACAUAUUUCUUUUUGUUUUGUUGUCUCCUCCUCCCCUCGCGUCUUUUACUUUUCGAGAGGACAAACCAAAAAUUAAACCGAGAUUUGAAUAAGCAGCUGAAAACGCGAGAGGAGAAUAGAAGAGCGGCUCUUCCAUGGGAAGACCACCCAGCAAUGGCGGCCCUUCCUUCCGCUUCAACCCUGCUGAGGUUAAUUAUCAUUCUCCGCCCUUUCUUUUUAGUUUGGGGCACAAUUACACGCCUAAAAGAACCUCUGUAAUUUUUUACACGACGAAUUAAACUUAACUACUAGUCUACUGCCGCUCUUUAUCAUUCUUCUCUCCUAUUUUAGAUAGAAUACCUGAAUUAACCAUAUUGGACCUUAUAACAGCGGGCUAAUGAAAAAUUUGGUUGUGGAUAUAGAAGCUUAAAAGCUGGAAUUCUUCUUCUAAUUAGUUCUAAUAAUUGUAUUCGAUGAAGGGUAUUUGUAGUGUUAGCUUAAUUUUUUUAUGCCUUAUAAUAUAAUUUGUCGUUUGAAACUUGUCAAACACCUUAUUAUCAUCAUCAUCAAUUAUUGGCCCUUCAGAAUAUUUAUGGGUUGUUUCAAGAUGGGUUUUUUUUUACGUAUAUCAGAAAAUUACGCAGGCACGAUUAUACACUUAUACUGAACUAAUUUAACUCAAAUUUUAGUUCCAAAAUAUUUUUGGAAAAGCUUUGACAAAUUGUUUAUGAGUAAGUUCAUUCUUGUUCCAUUAAGAAGACUAAGAAAGUUGUUGCAAAUCUUCCGACAAAUAGGUCGAGGUCGAGGCAUCGUGUUGAGUGAUGGAAUUUCAUUUUAUAACUGGAUUAUCUGUGUACUACCUUGAUUAGGUUUGUUAUGCUUUGGUUGGGAAUGAUUUUAACUAAUUCUGGUCAUUUUGUUGAACAAAAUAGGUGGCGGAAAUGGAAGCUAUCUUGCAAGCACAUAAUAAUACUGCUGUACCGUCACGUGAAAUUCUACUUGCUCUUGCUGAGAAGUUCAGGUAUCUAAUUGGCAUUUGCUUCCAGAUUACUUGGAUGUUCAACAUUUUGAUGAACUUAUUAGCAUCUAAAAGUUGGGUUUUGAUGCAAUUUUUUUUCCCCUUUUUCCUUUCCCAGCAAUUCACCUGAAAGAUCUGGGAAAGUAGUUGUUCAAAUGAAACAGGUAAGACUGCAUUUAUUUACCACAGCUGGAUGUUUCUUCGAUAAAUUAUGACUAUUGAAGCAUCCACUGCAGGUGUGGAAUUGGUUCCAAAACAGGAGAUAUGCUCUUAGAGCCAAAGCAACUAAGGUUCCAGCAAAGGUGGGUCCAUCACCUGUGCCUCGUGAUGAUUUGGCUGCUGCCAGAAAUGUACCUCAAGCCCCUCAACAUAUUUCUGUUCCUCCUGGUACAGUUUAUUUGUCUGCUGGAAGUAGCUUGUAGCUACUUACCUGGACACAUUCGUUCACCUUAUUUGGCUUCGUGCAGUUCCAGCCAUAUUUUGACAUGUAACUUCAUCUCUUGAUUCAGCUAUUGUCAGGAAUGUGCCCCAAGUUUCACAACCUGUAUCUGCUCCUUCAGGUAGAACUGUCAAGCAGAGCAUUAUAAUUCCUUAAUGAAUAUAUUGUUUCACCUUUUGUUUCCAAAGAUUAACGACCAUUGCUUGUUUAAAGGCUUAAUCAUCCUUGAUAAGUGAGUUUAAAAAUUCUGUAUUACAUUUUCUUUAUCUCAUAUAGUCUGCAAAAUUCUGUGUGACAUUUUGUUUAUCUCAUAUUUGGACAAAAAGGUACACAUGCUGUUUUAGCAUCACUAUACAGGCUAUAUGUAUGCAUGAACUUAUAUUUUUCUCCAGCUCUACAUGUGUUUAUUGCCUGGUUGAGAAGACAUUCAUCUUUUUCUCAAGAAAAAUAUGUCUUUUGCUUUAUUUUGCUGAUUGUCUUUAUCUAUCCAGGCUAUAUGUAUGCGUGAACUUACAUUUUUCUUGAGCUCUACAUGUGUUUAUUGCCUGGUUUGAGAAGAUGUUCAUCUUUUUCUCAAGAAAAAUCUGUCCAUAGCUUUAUUUCGCUGAUUGUCUUCUGUGUACCUGAUCACAUGUUUUUAACAGUUCAAAGUGCUGGCAAAAAUGGUUCAGAUAACUCACAGAUGGAGUUUGAAGCGAAAUCUGCAAGAGAUGGUGCUUGGUUAGUAUUCCAUUUACACCAGUUUAGGAAUUACAGGAGCCAACUGGUUUGUUUUGGCCUUUUCUUCCCAACCAAACUGGUUUAUUUUGUGUAUAAAAAUACACAUUGAUAAGUUGCUGUUUCUAUCUUAGGUAUGAUGUGGCAACCUUCAUAUCACAUAGAUCGGUGGAGACUAGUGAUCCGGUAAUUCCUGAAUUUGAACUACCUAGAAACCAGGAGAUAUUUUUGUUUGACAAUUCUUUUCUUGUUGGUCUCUUCCAAGAUGGCCUUGUUUACUUCUGGAAACCUGACUUGUUUUGUUUGUUUUUGCGGCUGUGACUUGACUGUGCAUUAAAUAAAUGGCAUCAUACUGAUGUUUCUGUGACUAGUAUUGUCUAGUGGGUUUCAUGGGAAGUAGCUGGUUCAACUCUGAAUUAUCAAAUCCCAGACCUACUAGGUUCUAGUCUGCAGUACCUGAUUCUGUGGGCAAUUCAGAAUUUAGUGUAUGCUUUUACCAUGCUGCUACUGAUAGAUUAUAGUGGAACUUUUUCUUUGACUGUUAUGCUUCAUUUUUUCUUACACACACACACGUGUAUAUAUAUGUGUGUGUGUGUGUGUACUGUAGAUUUCAUCAGCUUCACCUGCACUAAGCAAUUCUGCUUUCAAGUCUAUUCAUCUUAUGCUGCUGUGUUUUACAUUUUCCACCUUGUGUGAUAUUAGUCCUGCUGAUUCAGGAAGUUCUGGUUCGCUUUGCUGGUUUUGGACCGGAGGAGGAUGAGUGGGUCAAUGUUCGCAAACAUGUGAGGCAACGUUCUCUCCCAUGUGAAUCCUCUGAAUGUGUAGCAGUGCUUCCUGGAGAUUUGAUACUCUGCUUUCAGGUUCAUGCUCUACACUUAUUUUAGAGAAAAAGAAAUAAGGUGCAAGGGGAAGUAAAUAUUUGCUUAGAUAUUGAACUCAUCUUGUGAUGUCUAUUGAACAACUAUUAGGAAGGUAAAGAACAGGCUCUCUACUUUGAUGCGCAUGUUCUUGAUGCACAACGGCGGAGGCAUGAUGUAAGAGGUUGCCGCUGUAGAUUUCUGGUGCGUUAUGAUCAUGAUCAGACUGAGGUACAAUACUCUUACUCCUUAGAACCUAGCUUUGAUAUCAUGCCUGACCAUGUUAUAUGUUAUUUUUCUUAUUGAUGCCAUGGGUCCUUAUCCUGGAACUGUAUCACUAUCUCUGUGCCCAAUCUUUUCUGAAAUGGGACUUCAAAAUAUCUUUUUAAAAACUAGCAGAGCUACUUGAAAAUUGUAAUUUUCCUAUUUUGGCUUGUAUACCUGUCAUUAACUAUAGUGAAGUCCAAAUUCUGUGGAUAGGAUAAUGCUUUCAGCCUCUCAAAUUAAAAGAAAUAUAGAAAUGAGGAACAAUAAGUAAUUACUGGUAAUCUUGGUCCUUUGGCUUUCACUUUGGAAGAUUGGUUCCAUUGGAUCCAAUUAUACAUAAGACUGUUCUUUGCCAAAACUUUUUGCUUCAUACUGGAAGUAUUUGUCAAGAGAAAUUAUUGUUGUUAGAGUUUUCCUUAAGGUUUCUUGGUAGAGUUAUGUUUUUGAGUAUAUUGUCUUCUUCUUUCGGUUAGUAUCUUUUUUUCUACGUGUUGGUACAUUAUUUAGGUAGUUAAGAACAUUUGGUUCUUUUCGCUGUCAGCAGGAAAUUGUUCCAUUGAGAAAGGUUUGUCGUCGGCCAGAAACUGAUUACAGGUUGCAGCAACUUCAUGCUGAAUCUGCAAAUUGGAACCAAAAUAAAGCAGGGAACGAACCUCAUACAGGCAACACUUUGAAGGUCUCUCUUCCAGCUGAGGCAACACAGAAGCAGCACAAGGCAGAGGCUCCAGCUGAAGUAAAAGAACAGCAGCAUAACACUGAGGGGCGUGCUAAUACUGGACCUGCAGCGACACCCAUUUCUGUGGACAAUUUAUCCACAAUAACAGCUGCAGUGUCUCGUGCUCAUGCCAAUAUAACUUCAGCUGCUGUUUUUGCUCCUGUUGCUCAUGUUACUGCUCCUGUUGUCACAACCACUGCUCCAAUUGCUCAGUCCAAUGUUCCAGGGGCCACUAUGCCUGUAGCCAAUAACACAAGUCCAGUUUCUCAUUCCAGUGUGUCUAAGGCCACUGUUUCAACUGACAAUGCUACAGCUCCUGUUACUUAUUCCAAUGUCUCUGGAGCCUCUGUUUCCACCACAACUCCAGUUGCAAAUUCUUCUGUUUCUGGAUACUCUUCUUCAGGAAUGAGUACCACUGUUCCAGUUGACAAUUCUGAUGACUCUAGAGCCACUAUUUCUACCGCAGCUCCAGUUGCAACUUCCCAUGUCUCUGGAGCCACUUCUUCUGUAGUGACUACCACAACUCUGGGGGAUAACAGUAAUGUCUUUGGAGCCAAUACCAUGGAUUCAGCUACAAACUCCAAUGACACUGUAGAUGCUAAUCCUGUAACCUCUACCACUUCCCCUAUUGCAGAUUCUAACUUCUCUGGAGCUCCAGGUGUGGCUCCUAUUGGUCAUUCAAGUGUUCUUCCAGAUACUGAGCCUAAAGGCUUACCAGAGAAUGUUUCUGGGGCUGGUGCAAGUAACAGUGUAGAAAAUACAAGCACCCCACUAGCUACUAUUGCUGUGACAAGAAGCACAACUGACACUGCCACAACAGGUGCGGUUGAAGGGAGCUCUGAUGAAAACACUCUGCAAGGGUAGUUCUGGCAGUUUGUAGUCUUCCAUUUUUUCUUUAACUUAGAGCUGUCAAUCUCCGGCCUUGUGUUUGGGGGCUAUUUCACCAUGCAAGUUCUUCUAGGUGGAUUAGAAGGUGUUAAGAAUUUGUUGUAGUAGUAUGAUUUUUGAGGAGAUAGGAUUGGGGCAGAAGUUGUUCAAACAUACUGCUGCUGAGGGCUGCUUCAGGAGAAAGGCAAACUUGCCUUGAACACAAAGUAGAGGUUACAUUGUUUUAGUUGUCCCCUGGAUGAGAAUGAGGAAAAUAGCUCUUUAGUUUUUUUAUUUUUAUUUUUUAUUGUAUGUAUAGUCAAGGUCCUGAAUUUUAUGAUGCAAAAUUAUCAGAAUUAGCUGGUUAGACUUCACAUUUGAAACACCAUAAAUCUAACAUGAGAAAGGAUAAAAAAGAAACUUCAAUUUGUUAUCCAUUCUUUGAUUCAUUGCUUCGAAGAGCCUCAUGGUUAAUUCCUGCUUUCUACAUUUUAACUGAUUAAAACCCAAACAAUUUUGAAACCGUUUAUUCCUUUCCCAAAUCCCCGAAAAAAAACCCUAAAUGGGCAAAAAGCCAAAACAAGAAAUACUAAUAUCAAUUGGAAACGACGUCGUUGAGCCUCCCUUGUGUGAUGUGUAAAUCUCGGAGAAACUUGGGGGUGUAAAUACCAAAAAUGGAAUGCAAGCCUUCUGCUGAGUCCUCGCAACUGAACUAAGUUGAGAAGCGUCCUCGAAUGACUGCCAUCGUUGCGAAAGCUCUCGCUUCUGCGGACAAUAACACUUACACGUCCUCUUCUCUCUCUAGCUUUCUCUUUCAAACAAACCUUCUCCAAUUUAAACCUACAAUUUCUAUGUUCAUCACGCAUUUCCGCCUGUAAAUUGCAAUUUCUUAGCUUCGUUUAAAAAUUUUAGCUGCAAUAUUAGCGCUUCUCCGAAUUGCGGAGGUGGAGGAUGCGGUUACUACUGCGAAAGCCUGAAAUAACGAAAGUUAGUGAUAGAAUUACUGGAAAUGGAUCAUUACGGAGUAGGCAAGGGUUUAAGACUUGUAAUAGAAGCAUUGUGACCAGCUGUAGAGCGGUGUUGUUGCCGCGAUUCGGCGGUCCCGAUGUUCUCGAGCUCCGUGAUAAUGUUAAUGUUCCUGAUUUGAAGCCUAAUGAGGUUCUCGUCCGCGCUCGCGCCGUCUCUAUUAAUCCGCUCGACACUCGAGUGAGUAUAUGAAUUGCGACUAUCAGUGUUAAAGCUUGAAUUGCUUACGCCUUUUCAUCAGUUUAUUUUUUCUGGAGGCUGAAUGUUAAUUUAUCCUUUAAGCACUGUUUUGUUGUCUGGAUCGUGAGAAAAAGAUGGUGUGUUUUAUACACGUAUAGGUAUAUGAAAUUUUGUGCAUGUAAGAUGACGCGCUUUACUAGUCAGGAAUUUCGCGUCUGUGGAUAAUAAUGUGAAGGGCUGUAUUACGUGUCCUGUUAUGGAUUUGGAGGACGCUAAAACGAUAGUAGAUUGAAAGAGUCGCAAUGUCAUUCAGAAAGAAAAGAGGGGGGCGGGGGGGAGGAACUGUAGCUUACAGCAUCUGGCUGGGUUGAAUAUCAUUGAAUAGACAAAAGAACUCAUAGAGACGAACUUCAUUAAGAUUUUGAAAUUUCAUGGAUGGGUCUAUUAAUGAGAAAAAAAAAACAGAUUCUUGCAGUUAAAUGGUCAAAAAUUUCAAAGAACUGGAGCAAAAGAUAUUUGUCAACACUCUGGAUCUGGCAUGCCACGAAUAUUACCAUGACAACAAUGCAAUGAUGGCUGGAAUCACACUUCAUCUGAUAAGCUUGAGAUUGGCAUUUUAGGCUUUUUGGUGAUUUAGAUUGCGUUUUGGACGAACUUGAUUGUUUAUGUCAUAAAUGUAAUUAGAUUAUGAAUGAAGAAAGACAAAUGAUACAACAUCGAAAUUUAUCUAUUUAUUUACCUGCACAAAGAUCAGUCGGACUUUGUAGCCCGUUGCCAAGUCAUGACUCCCUCAAAGAUGCUUUUAGAGUGCAUAUUAUCUUUCGUGCUGAUUUGUUCGGGUGAAAAUUUGUUGUUUAAAAGGUUAAGUGACUGGUUACAGGAAGAUAUCCACUACAAGUUGUUUAUUCUCAAAAUCAUCUAAUAAACAUUGAUGUUCUGAUUUCUGCUCUAAAGACAUCUGCAAUCUCGCCUCAACAUAUGUUGGGGAAGUUUUAUGUAAAUCCUUGCAUGGUUUAAUUCAUCUAAGAUGUGGAUGUAUUUUGGAGCAACUUUUCUUAAUAGCCAUGUUUCCUCUGAUUCAUUCAUAGGUUAAACAAGAAAUUUUACUCUCUCAGAAUCUUCUAUUUUUCAGAUGCGAGCAGGCUAUGGUCGUUCAAUUUUUGAGCCACUCAUGCCCUUGAUUUUGGGCCGUGAUAUUAGUGGUGAAGUUGCAGCUAUAGGAAACUCUGUACGCUCCCUCGGAAUUGGGCAGGAAGUGUUUGGUGCGUUGCACCCAACCGCUGUUAGGGGUACUUACACUGACUAUGCCAUUCUUGCAGAAGAUGAACUUGCGCCAAAACCAGCUCCUAUUUCACAUGUGGUAUGUCUUGUCUUUUUGUCUGUUUAGUAUGCUACUUAAUCCAUUGAUGGAAAUCUCUUUGUUCCUUUAAGCACUCUGAUCUAUGUGCUCAAACAACAAAAUGAUGCAUAUCUUUCAGCUACCAUGUGUGCUUUCUUUUUUUCUCUUUGAAUUUCCUGAGAGCUUAUAUAGUUUUUGAUAAUUGACUAUUGCUCCAAUCUAAUUGGGCUUCAUCCAGCUUUUCAUUUCUUUUAUUUUUCCCCCAUUUGAUCCCAUCCUAAUUGCCUUCUGUUGUGAUGUUUAUAUUCAUAUUUUUUGUUUCUUAGCAGAAAGUAUUCAUACUCUUUUAAUAUCCCACAGGAAGCAAGUGCAAUUCCUUUUGCAGCUCUGACUGCCUGGCGUGCAUUGAAGAGUACAGCCAGAAUUGCACAGGGGUAAUUAUUUUUCUUUAGACUCUAAGGCAGCAGCCAUUAAUUUUGGAGUGGGAUGUCAGGUCAUUCUCUGAUGAUUUUUUACUUGUGUAUGCCCAAGUUGCCAAUGAAUUUUAAGCUCUUAACUGGUCCCUGUGAUUGUAUUAAUGAUGUAAUAAUCAUCUUCUUUUUGUCUACAUACUUCAUUCCACUUAAAAGCAAAUAAUCAUUGUUUGAAAUUGAAUAAAGCUUAAAUCAUAAGAAAACUAGCCACUAAAUGUUCCUUAAAAUUUUUGUAAUACUAUAUACCUGCAUGACUUGCUUUCUUGUACCAAAUCUUUUAGGCAAAGAGUACUAGUGGUGGGUGGAGGGGGUGCAGUUGGUCUUUCCGCUAUUCAGCUCGCAGUAGCUGCUGGCUGCCAUGUUUCAACCACUUGUGGAGGUGAAAGUAUUGAUCGUGUUCUGGCAGCUGGUGCUGAGGAUGCUGUUGACUAUAACAUGGAGGUGAUGAUGUCAAUUACAUUAUGUAUAUUUCGUCAAUCUCUACUUUGAAUGUAUUUUUCUGAUGGGCUAGAGUAUUUGCACAAUUCCUUAUGUAAAUUGAGAUAUUUUGGUGGUUUCAGGAUCUUGAAGUAGCAAUGAAAGGCUAUUUUGAUGCUGUUCUGGACACAAUUGGUCUGCCUGAGACUGAAAGAAUAGGGAUAAAUCUUCUAAAGAGGGGAGGACAUUACAUGACACUGCAGGUAUUAGAUUUAUGAUACUUUAGUUGUCCUUUGUUUUCCUUAGACAAAAAAAUUUUUCUUUCUUUUCUAAUUGAUUUUGGACAUAAUGAUAUUGAAGUUUUUAUUUUUUAUCUGCAUAGGGGGAAGCUGCAUCACUAACUGAUAGGUAUGGAUUGGCUAUUGGCCUCCCAUUGGCAACAGGAAUUUUGUUAAAGAAACAAAUACAGUAUCGAUAUUCUCAUGGAAUAGGUAAUGUUUUCCAAUAGAUAAGAAUCUGUGUUGAAGAUAUUAUUGCUCAAAUUGAAGUACAGCAAGAUAUAUGUAUUAAUUUUGCUUGCUGACUUGAAAUUUUUUCUAGCAUAAUUAUGUGUGGGUUUACAUUAUAAUGCUGUGUCAAUUUUUGAGCCUAAGCACAAUAUCUAUCAAUUUGUGUGCCUGAGCAUCACCUUAUAUUCAGUUAGUUCUUAUUCACCUUGUAUCAGGGAAACCAGAGUAUGGCUGUUUCUUUUCUACUAAGAACUUCUUUGAUGAGUAUGACAAAAGGCCUAAGAAGCAGGGUGCCAUCAGAAAGUUUUAGAAUAUCUAGUGAUAGAUUUCUGCAUUUUCUGGAAGAGUUACUCCAUAUCACCUGUUGUUCGUUUGGGCAUGAAACUCUUUGAUCAAUGUGUGCCAACUUUCAUGAAUUGUUUUCUAGAAACCACUUUGAGUUUGAGAAGAACUUCUCAUCUACUUGUGGUGAGAUGGUUAUAUCUCAAAUGGACGGUGAGGAUGAAAAUCAUCUUUCAUGCCAGACUUCUUGGUUUUGGAAGACACUCAAUUUCCUAGAAGUGUGUUACACCACAUCAGUAGAGGGAAAACUGGGAUUCUCAUGGUAAAGAGUUCAUAUAUGUGCUCGAUAUCCCAUUGCACAAGGUUCCUAAAAUAUGUGCACUUGGGAUUUUGUCGAUGGAUGAAGUGCAGCUUCCUAUUAUAUGAUGCUUGGGUUUCUGACUGAUGCUUCCCAUAUGAUAAUGAAUUUGAUGAUCAUUUGGAAUUUCAUAGCAUUAACCUGUACGUCUUUCUUUGGUAGUUUAGAUAAAACUACUUUGUGUCAUUGGAACUAACGUUCCCUAGAAUUCAAUUUCCAGAUAACCAUUUGCGGUUACUUGACCAAUUCUUUGGUAUGAUAUGGUACAGAAUACUGGUGGACUUACAUGAGGGCUGAUGCUGAAGGUUUAGAGGAAAUCCGCAGGCUAUCUGAGGCUGGAAGGUUGAAAAUACCAGUUGAAAAAACGUUUUCCAUCACACAGGUUAGAGAGGCCCAUCAAGCAAAGGAUAGAAAAGGGCAUGUUCCUGGUAAAAUUGUGCUGGAGCUUGAAAAAUGAAAGGCCUGCAGAAACUGAGAGUGAGUCUACCCGACUUAAUUGCUCUUGCUGUUAUGUGACAGGAAGAUAUGAUUCGAAGAUUGUUGUUCAGAAAUGCAAGUGUGCAUAUGCUAUAUACGACAUUGUGAAUGGUCAUCCGAAGGCAUAUGUAGAUAAUUGGGAUGUUCUUAAUUUUGUAGUUGUUUAGGCGAAACUAAUAAGUAGGCAUGCGAUUGGGUUGCUAAGUUCGUCAUUUACUUGAGAGCUUAAUUUUUAUUUCGCUAAACUCCAAGUUGUCAAUUUGCCCAAGCUCGAACGGGCACCUUCAGCUUCUAAGAAGAAAAAACUCGGGUCUUUGGGAUAAAAGAGUUUCACAAGCAUCACUUUUAACAUUGGUGAAUCAAAAAUCCAUUGACUAAUUUUUCUUGCUUUCAAGUUUUAAACUCACUUGGCAAUGCCCACUCCCACGUAUCAUUGGAAGUACAUAAGCCAAGGAGAGUGCUUGUGUUAUAUGAUUAAAGGAAAGGCACUGCAAUGUCGCUGUGUGAAUUUAACAAACAGAAAAAAAUUGCAUGCCGGACGGACGUUCACCCAAGUAUGCUCGGUAGCCAUCUGAACAAAAUCAAUUCAGCUUAGAAACCAGCUUCACAGAUUGAAAGCUCGAGUACGGAGGGCAAGCAUCAGCGAAUUACUAGCAAAAGCUUCUCCUAUCUCACCAAAAUGUAGUGAAAAGUUUUCACUUUCACACCAUAGUAAUUGCUAGGAAAAUACGCUUAUCAGUUGCACGCAGAGGGCAACUUGUAAAAUACCGCUUUCAAAGAGCAUGUUUCUUUGGGCGGCAACAUUUGUGGGUCAAUUGUAUCCAAUUGUGCCUAAGUCAGUGCAUGAACUCUCCUGUGUUGCUUGCUUGAGUCUGCUUUCCGAUCUGUAAGCAGUUGUCUGAGCAUUCCAGAACAUGCUGCAUCUUUUGGCAGCCAGCUCCACCUCUUCCAAUUUGCGCUGCAAAUUUCCAACUUCUUCCACCUUAUUCUUUAGAGUUUCAACUUCUUUCGCUAGUUCUUGGUUCUUUUGCUGUAUCGCCUAAUCAAAAAAAAUUACCGAGUUAAUUGCCAUUGACUCAAAUUUCCGGGAGAAAGAGCUGAAAAGUGACCGUCCUUGGCAAGUGAUGCGAGGAUUAGACACAAGAAUUAAAAGACAUCACCUCCAUUUCUUGCUUCCUCUUUUCCUCCUUCCUAGCCUCUGCUCUUGAACUUCUUUGCACCUCAUAGACUAAAGCAAGUCCUGCUACCUAAUAAACGAACUUCAAAAUUGUGAUAACAGUCCGGUGAAAGACACUAAUGAACAAUGCCUGGGAUUUUUUGGGAUCUUAUCUUACCAAGUUACGACUACAAACUAUCAAUCUAUUAGCCAUCUCAUCAAGAGCAUGAUCAAAUUGCGAUUGCAGAACUUACUGCGAAAACGAAGAGUUCUCCAAGAAUAUCUGCGGCUGCUUGUACAGCCCUCUCCUCGUUCAGCGGGCGGAUCAGAAGAUCUGAUGAAUAUCCAUAAAUUAGACCUGAGCAAUGUUGAUGAUGAAAUCACGAAAUUUGGGGUGCAAACCGGCAUCUUUCUUGAGCCUAUUAGCGAUUGGCUUUGAGAUGGUCCUCAGAGCAAGCGUUCCAAGCUUAAUAACUGGUAUGAUCAUUAUUGUUGUUUUGUUAACUGUCCCCAGUUUUGCUUUACUCUACUCAAAUUUCUACGCCGCAAAUCAUUUGAUCACAUGUUCAACUGUUGUGUGCAACUUCCGAUGAUAUUUAGCUCAAAUUUUGGAUUGAGAUAAAAGAGCAACAAAAAAAAAAAGUUUCAUGAGGAAGAAGAAUGGCACAGCGCAGCACAAUACUCAGGCCUCUAUGCCUCUGCGUUAUCGUCUAUUUCAUCAAUGUCAUUAUUUUCGCCCCCCCCCCCCACCCCACCCCACCCUCACGCAGCCCAACCCACACAUAGAAAAAUGCUACUGGACUGGGCCUAACAAUAAUAAUUGUAAUAAAUAAACUUGAGAAUAUGUUUUCGGGUCUUUAAAACUGGGGCCCUGAACCAUAAUUCGAAUGGAGCUAAUCUUAAACAAGUGUUGUCCGAAGUUUUUCUCAAAAGAGCAGAUAGCCAAAAAAGUUUCAACUUAACUUUGAACUUUUGUUCAAAUGCCAAUAUGCAUUGAGAGGCACUGACUAAGACUUUGUUCUCGGUUGCUUUAGUGAUCGGUAAAUAAUUAUUAAAAAUAAUUGGAAUGUGUAAAAAUUACUAUUUUGAUGAUUGUAGAUUUUAACUUUUGUAGUGAUUCAAAAAUCUAUAAUCAAAAUACAGAAGCAGCCGAGAUCAUCAUAAAAAUUUGGUAACUAGAAUCAGAAUCUAAAACUAGUUAAAAUAAUCAACCAAAAACAAGCCGUAAUUGACCAGGCAGGUCUCCAAUUUGACUUUGAAACCCUUCAUUUAUCUCUUAUAAUGCUUCAAGUCCCUCUCCUUGCACCAAAAGGGAAAAAAAAAAAAAAAAAAAAAAAGAUUUUGGCUCUAUUAGUUUAGUGCCAAGAGCCCAAUUUGCUUGCAUGAGCAUUCCAAGGAGCAAUGGGCCUGAGUCUACAUGUUGAGUUAGCAAAGGAAUCGGCCUGGCGAUGAAGUGUUGGGCAUGGAAAUAGGCUGAGAAUUGCUGAAGCCCUCUCUUUUGCAGUUGCUGCCAAUUGGUCCUUAUUCUCCAUCAAGAGUCAUUUCUAAUCUUUAAUGAAGCAAAAUCGUUUAGUGGUGUGAGGACUACCUGAUCCUUUUUUCCAUGUGGGGUGGAAUUGAUCACUCACUUAACUAAUUAAAGUGGAAUAAAACACCCUUUUCACUUACACUUGGGCUUUCUUUAUUAUUAUUAUUUGGUCACAACAAAUUUCUAUAGCCUAAUCUAUUUUAAUUUUAAAAAAAAAAGAAGAGCCGAUGAAAGUAAAAAUUCCGUGAAAGAAAGUCACUGAAGAUAAUAAGAACAUAUAAUGACAAAUCGAUGGAUAAUAAUGUUUGAAUCUUUUGACAUCCCAUCAAAACUUAAGUAAGUGUUUGGCAGUGACCACGAGGCGAGAUGGCUGCUUUGUCCUGGUGGCAGUUGGGCUUUCCUUACAGAGAACCAAAAAUGGCCUUUGCUGUCUACCACUCCUCAUUAGCAGUACUUACCCGCUUAACAAAAAGUAGGAACUUUUGGUCCAUUACUUUGCCCCCUUACUUAAUUCAUAACUGGUCUUGUCAUCUUUCCGUGGUCUUGGUCAAAAGCCCUUUUCUUCAAGGGACACUUGUCCCACAUUAUUAUUUCGGUCAUCAUUUCACUUAGAAGUUUGAACCCAUCACGUUUUACCCUCUUCUUAACCAUUGUUGCUUCAUUUGCCAUCUGCCAGUGCUAAAAAGUAACCUCUAGCUUAAAAAGUAAUAGACCAACUAAUAAGCUAAUGCCACGUCAGAUCAACUUUUCAAAAUGAUUGUUGACGUGGGCAAGUGCUAUUGGUUCAAGUUUGACAAGCAGAGUUGGGCACAGACGUAGAGGAUGAUGAUGGCGCUCGCUUUCUCUACCUCACGCGCUCAUGCCCGCGCAGCUAUCCAUGCCGUGCGUGAAGGGUGAAGCAAACUAGCAGAGCAACAGAUCCCUUCUGCCAACGACGCAUUUGGUCUUGGACACAUCCUCAGACCAAUUCUCCGGUCAAGCGCGUGUCAAAUAUUUAAUUCGCGUAAUGCCAUAUUAACUCGUGUUUAAUAGUCAAGGUCCUCAAGGAAGGAGUAGUAAUUAUUAAACCGUUGCCGCGAUUGUUUCGCACGUGACAUCAGUCGAGUGAGUCCAGGAAGUCAUGGUCUAUGAUUUGGUAAAACAUUUUAGCUUAAUGCAGCUUCUUUCUUCCCAACAGGACUGCAGUCACGUGCACCCUUGGAUUCUUUCCUCUUUCGACCUCGUCCCCAUCGACCAGCCCAUGUGAUUUGACUUCCAAAUUACCCUUUUAUUUAGGGCAUAAUACCAAAAAUGCCAUUCAUCGCGUGAAGACCAGGAGAAUCAGAGGAGGAAUGGAUGAACUCCCCAAACACACACAAUUCUGCUACUAAAUUACUAUAGUAGUACAUUCAAGGAAAGGAUGGAUCAUGGAUGGUGGUGUUGAUUGACAUUCCCAAGAGAGCAGCCGGUUCAGUCGUGAGUGACGAGAGGCCAUUAUCAUCUUUUUGUUGUUUUCGUCCUGUUGCUAAUUGUCCAUACGAGAGACUACCUGGCCACGUUCAUGGAGGAUUUUGCAUCACAUUCCACUUAUCUUACCAGUUGAGUAACAUUUAGGCUGCUCCUUGCUCCUUUUGCAAAGUGCCUCCAUGAUCUUGUCACUCCCUCAACUUGCUUCUCCAUCAUCAUCAUAAUCAUCUAUUGAUCAUUGCUCAACUAUUCUGUGGACUAUGUUGGCUUUACCAAUUGACUACACUACUGUAUUGGACGAUGACCUAAGAAACCAAGGAGGCCUUUAAUCAAUGAUUAGGUAAUACUUAACUUCAAGUUUCAAUUUUUGGUCAUAAAGUAAUGGGUUCGGUAUAUUUUGUUGAAUUUAUUUCACAUCGAUCACGAAAUGAAUAGGAUAAACCUGAUUAUAAAUGUGAAAAAAGUCUCACCACCGAUCUUUUAAUGAACCUUUUGAAAUAAGAAGGCUUGACCAACAGCACCCAAUAAUACUACUGGUAUCAGAAUCCGAUUAUGACAAAUCAUCCCAAUAGACAAUUAAAUGAUCUUAUACUCCUUCCAAUAGACACUUUAUUAAUAUUGCUUGCCCGUCCGAUGAAUCAACCUAGGUCCCAAUGUGUAAGAGGAAUAUUGUCGAAUUUAUCCCGUAGCUGUGAAAGGGGCGGAAUGCCUUAUCUUUUGAGCUAAAUUUUGAGGCGAAAAGGCCAAUGGCACCCGACAUAUUUUUUCAUAACAUGAAAAUUUAUCCAGUGUUUGGCCAAAAAUGCACAGACUCGUGAGUUUUGAAAUAUACCUUAGUGUCAUUUUUUCUUCAGUGUAGCAAAAUGCACGAGAGGGUCUCAAAAUGGAGAAACAUGUAAGCCGCAAAUAAUAAAAAACUUUGCGCAAUCUUGCCACUUCUGUAGUUAACGCAGAUGAUAAUGGAGCUUUACAUGAAACCAUUUGAGUGAACAGCAAUUGAAGAUUCUCAUGCAUAUAAUGAUACCAAGAAUGCAAUAAUAUUAUUAUUAUUGAUAGCAGAGAUAACUGAUAGUCUUUGCAAUUUUGCAUCACAUGCUUUGUUAUUGUAUGCUUUGUGACUUGUCAGCAUGUAUGUAUGCAUCUUCAGAAAGCUCCUUCCCUCCUGCACUGCCCAUUCGCCCCCUCAACCCUCAGAUUUUAGUAGUAGAACUUAGAGGGGAAGACUGGCAACCGAAUUUAUGAGUUGGUUGAAGGGCAUCCAUCACUCGCUCCAUUACAUUUUUGUGAUGAAACCCGAAUGCCCCUUAAAAGGCUCCUUAACGUAAUCUUUACUUUUUAGCUAUAAGACAAAGAGAGCAUAUCGGCAUCCUCAUCAACAGCCUAUCCUGUUCUGUUCUAUUCUAUUCUUUCUCAUUACUCUUUCUCUCGUUCACUCACUCUGAUAGAUUUUCAUGUGUCUAUCUAUCACGAGUCUGUUUCCAACCUUUCACUUCACUAUGCAGUCCACUACAACGCGCACGAAUUCACAGUCUUCCUCACAUCGCUUCUCUGCCUGCUGCUGUGUACUUCUGCCAUCCCACCAUUAAAAUCCCACGCAGCUUUAAUCACUUUCAUUCACAGUUUCAUGCCCCCCGAGACAGCACGAAAACUCUACCUCCUUGCCCCCACCCCCAGCUGCAUGAUAGAUCGGUAAAACCGUAAAAAAAAGAAAAAAAAAAAAAAUUUAACACCCGAAGAAAUGGAGCUAGAUAGACCCCAUCAUAGAACAACUCCAGGCACAGCUAGCACAAGCAGUGAGCUCUUCGUCUGCUUCACAUCUCGCCUUUCUGCUUCAUCUUCAAUGAAAAUAGCCAAAUCUAUUCUAAGCCCAGGUCGGGCUCGUGACCCUCCAAUUUCUCUGCCUACAUCUCUCAGCAGGAGACUCAGGACUAAUGGAAGCAUCAAGGGAGGCCAAGCUUCUCCAAUGUUCCCCACGGGAGGGAAAAAAAGAGGCUGCGCAUUCGAAAACCCGGAACCUUCUUCCCCAAAGGUCACUUGCAUUGGGCAGGUGCGAGUUAAGACCAAGAAGAAAGUAAAGCAAACGAGAAGUUUGUCAAGGAGGCGAAGUGCUGGGGAGGCGAGUUUUAGGAAAGUAGAGCAAUUGUCGAACGAUGACUUGAAAAUUAGUGGUGAAGAAUUAGGUGCUUGUAAUAGGACUCAGCAACAACAGAGGUAUGCACCACCGGCGAACUCGAGCUCCCAUUUUCAGCAGCAAGAAUGUCUACCACAGAGGAAUCAGAGGUGGGUGCAUUUGCCUGUGACGAUUUGUGAGGGCUUAAGGGCAUUUGGAGCUGAAUUUAGCUGCUUGUUUCCUUGCCGGUCAUCUUGUUUUUCGACAAAUGACAGGGAGAAAGAAGAGAAGGCUGGAAACAUUGGGCAGGGAGGGCACGGGGAAGAGGGGAAUAAUGGUAAUGAUAAUAGUGGGCAGAGUUCAUGUGGGGCUGUUUUCGCCAGAUGGUUUGUUGCAUUGCAGGAUUGCGAGGGUGGGAAAAGUAGGGAAAUAGAGUUGGUUGUAGGUGGUGGAGAUGAGGAGGUCGGAACCGAGGCGAGGGAGAGGACGUCGAUGAGGAGUUCAAGAAGGCAUGUUUUCGAGGAUAUAGAGUUCAAGGAAGAAAUGAUUGCAGUGAAGGGAGAGGAAGAAGAAGAGAAAGCUAGAGUGAGCAUUUGUGUCCCUCCCAAGAACGCUCUUUUGUUGAUGAGGUGUAGAUCUGAUCCCAUGAAGGUUGCUACUCUUGCUAAUCGGUUCUGGGAGUCCCCUGCUCCAAAAGAUGAUGAAAAUGAAGCAGAGGAGGAGAAUGGUGAAGGAAAUGGGGAAUUGGUGGAAGUACCUGCACAGGAUCUUGAAAUUGUAAACGAGGAGGCCAAAAUAGAGGUGGAAGUAAGGGAUGAAGUGGUGGAACAGUUGGUUUCAGCUGAGAGCAAUGAAGAGGCAGAGGAGGAGCUGGAAAAAGAAGCAAUCUUGGCAAAUGAUAUGCAAGAAUUUGUUCAAGAAGACGUUGAAGAUGAGAAGCCAGGCAAGCAUAGCAGCAAGGGAUUGGAAGUGAGCAAAGGGAAAAUGCAGAUAUUGAUAGUAAGUGAAGAGGCGGAUGAAGAAGAAGAAGAAGUAGAAACAGGUUUACAUUCAUUUGAAGAUGAUUUAUUAGAUGAGGAAAUGGCAGAAAACAUGCAGAGAAAUCUGAUUCAGGGACAGGCUGUGGAAGAGGAGAAAGAAGAACAGAGCAUGCCAAUUUCUCGUGAUUCAUUGUCCUCUGAAGAAAGCUCAGAUAGACAGGAGGAGGGUUCUGAAGGCGAAGCACUGAAGAAAGAAGCAACGGUAGAAUUCCUUCCUGUAGAAGAAGCUGAUCUGGAAGAAGAAAAUGAAGCAAAAACAGACGAGUCAAACAUCGAAGACGAGGCAGAAAUCCCACAUGAAACAUCUACAUCUUUGGAGGAGCAGGAAACAGAUAAUGAUGAAACAAAACAGUUAACCACUACCUUUUUGUUAUCUGAAGCUGAUGAUGGAGAAAACGGCUCUGAAAGUGAAAAGGUCGAGCAAAUUGAAGCAGCAGAUGGGCAAGAAAGCCAAGAACCGCCACAAGAGGAGAAUGACGAAGAUGUGGAAGUUGAUAAAAAUGAUGAGACCAAAGGCACCACCAUAGAGACAGAGACUAUCCAGGAGGAUGAAGAAAAGGAAAACUCAUCAUCAUCGUCAAAUGCGCUGCCGGAAUGUUUGCUAUUGAUGAUGUGUGAGCCGAAGCUGUCAAUGGAAGUUUCCAAGGAGACAUGGGUCUGCAGUACGGACUUCGUCCGAUGGUUGCCGGAGAGGCGGCCAGCAGCAGCUGUCACCAACAAGAAAUUAGUCAACGCUCCACAGGACCCCAAGAAGGAAGUCAGCUGCGCCAACUCCAAUAAUCCUCCCCCUCCUCCAAUGGGACCACAACCACACCCACCGCCGCAGGAGCUUAUGUCCCAACAGCAAGAGCAACAGCAGGCGGAGAUUUUUCUGCCACCGAGGUCUUCCUGCUCUCUGCCGGCGGCGGCAGCUGUGUCCAUGGCGGCCAUGAUUGAACAGAAGCUGGUGAACGCCGGGGGUUACGAGCCGUUUGUGUUGACCAGGUGUAAGUCCGAGCCCAUGAGGACGGCGGCGGCUAAGCUUAUGCCGGAGGCUUGUUUCUGGAAGAAUAGGAAGCUUGAGCCGCAUCGUAGUGCCACGUUCGGGGUCGGCGCGGCUGGGGUUGGGUUCUGAGCCGAGCCAAGCUGAGGUGGCAAAGGACAGCGAAUCUGUAGUGUGCGGGUUAGCGUGGUAUUGGAAAUUGUAUUAGUGUGUUUUUCUUUCUUUUAGUUUCAUUUUUUGCCCUUUCCUAUGAUAGUCGAAAACUCCAUCUAGUCCAGUAGUGUUGCUUUGCAGUUUGCACAGGUAUCUUGGUAGUGUACUUUAUUUAGCAUGUUUGUACAUGAGAUGAGAUGUGCCCCUUUUAGCAAAUUUUGUUUUUUUUUUUUUUUUCGUUUGUAAUGAAUUUUUGAGUAGUAAUUACUAGUAUAAUUAUAUUAAUCUUUUCACCUUUUCUUUCUCCAAUCGGCCCUUCGGUCUUCAACCGUGGUAAAUGGCCCUUCAACCAUGGCAAUUGCUUACUGGUGGUGUAUGAAGGUUAGAGAAGACUAGCCGAGUUAGAUCCGUGUUUCGAUUGCAUUUUUUUGAAUUUUUUAUAGAAAAAUUUCUGUAACGAUUUAAUAAUAUAUGAAAGGUAAAAAUAUAAUCGAAAAAUAUGUCGACGAAAACAUAGUAAUUGUGUCUUUGAAAACUUGCAAUCCAAACACAGUUGCAUGGUAAGUGAAUUGAGGAUCUCUUUAAAAAAAAAAAAAAAAAAAAACAUUGAGGUUCCCUCAAACUAUAUCGGGAGAUGAGGAUCAAUUAAGUUGGUGUUUUUUGCACUUUGCAGCAGCUUCUUUUACCAGAUAAACCCUGCAUGCCAGGGAAUCUUCUCCGGCAUCUUCCCUGCUCUCUACUUAAAACUACCGGAAAUUGACUAGUACCAUAUGUCGCAACUUCGCUGGCAUGUUCUCCAAUUCCCAAGUUCAGAAUUACAAUAUCUUACUCCAGAGCAGCAUAAAAAAGAGCCCAGAGAAGUAGUACAAGAAAACAAGCCAAGCAUAAUCAUAUUAUACCCCAUCUGCAUUAAGAUUUCUUUAGUGUGAGCUAGCCGUAACAGAGUAAUUAGACGCUGUUAAACUGGUUUCUUGAUUUGCUAAUCAUAUUUAGGCAGGCUUCCUCAGCAGUAUCCCCCACCUACACAGGAGGUCCCGACUGAAAUCUUACCUUAUCAGCCAGUAACGUUUAAGAAAGAGGAAAAGUUUGCAAAAAAACACUAGCCGCCGGGACACAGAGAGAGAGAGAGAGAUCAAGCAGUGUGAUGAAAUAUUUUAGGAGUUACCAUUUGUUCAUACUCAAACGAACGAACACAUCAAUUACAUCAUUCCUCAACCAAACAUUUAAGUAAAGUAUUUGUUUGACUCCUUGGAAAUUACCAAACCCACUAGCUUCGAACUAAACUUAAAAAAAAAAAAAAAAAAAGAAGAAAAAGGCUUCUAAUGUUAAUCAAUGUGUAAAUUAUCAAAUUGAUUGGCACUUCACUCGCAAACUCCACACAGAUUGAGGACUUGGAUUUUUGGAGCAAGACAGGAAGGUUGAUGGGGCUAACAUGGAGAAAGGAAUACUUGGAUUUUGUGCUGGUGCCAGUUGGUUUCUUCAUCUUGUUUGCAUACCACCUCUUCCUUCUCCUCAGGUACCUAAAAUAUCCACACACCACAGUCAUUGGCUAUGAGCAUCACAACAAGAGAGCUUGGGUCGACCGAAUGGUACAGGUCAGGGACAUAAAUCCACCCCCUUCCCCACAACUUUUUCGUUUGUAAUAGCAAGAAAUUUUGAUGUGAUUGUGCCUUUGUUGUAGUAUGUUUUAUACGAUUUGGUGUGUAUUAAUGUUAUUUUAUUUUUAUUAUACGUGUAAAUCAUGUACAAAACCUAACAUAUAUCUUCAAGUGUAUUUCUAAUUUUGAGAUGAAUAUACCGUAUCAAUUUCAUCGAAAGCCAACCGUGUUUGCCCUAAUCACAUUACAUGCCAAAUUGUAACCUGAAGCCAAGAGGAAUUGAUUUUAUGCUAACGACAUACAUAUAUAAAAGAGUAAAUCUUAUAUGAACUAGCACUAUAUAUAUAUUCACGGUUAGAUGCACGACACAUAUGCAAAAUUUGAGUUUUAAAUUCAAAUUCAGAUUAUAUGUCAUGCAUCCAAUGAUGAAAGUGCAUACGCUGUCAAUACAUAAAAGAUUAAUUCUAAAAAAUAACACUGAUCACUUUGGCAAACGAAUUGCAGGUUGAAGGUCGUCACAAAAGCAUGGCAAUAUCUGUGAUCACCAGCCAAGUGUCAGCAGCAACUGCCCUGUCUUCAAUUUCACUGGUUUUAUGCUCUCUUAUUGGAGCAUGGCUUGGGGGCAAUUCCGCCAUCAUCACCAAGAGCAGGAUCGUCUAUGGAGACACGAGCACGUCGACUGCUUCCAUCAAAUACAUAGCUCUUCUUUGCUGCUUCAUGGUGGCUUUUGGAUGCUUUGUUCAGACUGCAGGGUUCUUUGUUCUUGCAAAUUUCCUCAUAACCACGCCCGAUAGUGACAUUCCUGUGCUCCAGAUUGAGAAAGCAGUGAUCAGAGGAAGUACUUUCUGGUCGAUUGGCUUGCGGGCUCUCUAUUUUGCCAUCACUUUUCUCAUGUGGAUUUUUGGUCCGAUUCCAAUGCUGGUUUCUUCGGUGAUCACUGUGGCAGUUUUGCAUCAUUUAGAUACAAAUACCACGCCUUUGCAUCAGUACCAGCCAUCCAAAACUCGCCAUCUCAUGCAGAAGAACGGUCAGGGAUCCUCAGGCAUCAUCGCAUCGGAACGGUAGCCAACUAUACAAAAGUAACCUUAAACUAGAGUCAGAUCAAGAAAGCAACAUACAUUUCAUGCAUAGCCGAUUGGAAAGUGAAUUAGGAACUAAAUGCAAGUCUUGUAUCUGAGUUUGGAUCUUUUGCUACGUUGUGUAGAUGGGCUAUGAAAAUCAUGCUUAGAAUAUAUGUUUUUGUCACACAAGCAUAGGAAAAAAAAAAAGAAAUGUAAUCCUUUGUUUUCGAGUUCGUAAAAUAAUUAGUCCAUUAUGUAGUAUAUGACAUCUCAGGUUUUGUUCACCAAUGUACUACAAAUUUAAAUGUUUUCAUGGAAUAUGUGUUGGAGUGGGUCCGACAAUACACAGAGUCUAAUGUAAAAUUGUGGUGAAAUUUGUUUGUGGAGAAGCUAGCAGGACAGCAGAUUAUUACCUAACCAAAAAGUCUGUUGACAUGAAUAUCUCCAAGCCCCGGAACUUUAAUUUGCUUUGUGAAAAGGAUCAAAGCAUUGUUGUCUUUUCCAAUAUUGCCAGUCUUAUCCACCAAUUCGUCCUAGAUUCUAAAAGGUCUAAAGAUCCUAACUUUACAUUCCCAUGUUACCUUUUUUUCCCCAGGUUACUCACUUUGAUGCUAUGCUUCGGGUCGUUCUCUUUGGAGAAGGCCAUGGAUGAAAAAAGUGAAGAUCCAGCAAAAGCAGAAAGGGACUGUUGCCGGUUUACAAUGCGGAGUGGCCAUCGCUGUACAUACAGUGGCGGGGUUAAAGCCUUAAAAGUUUGAAAGCUGCCUUUUUCUCUUUUUCUCCUCAGUAACGAAUUGGCACCUUCUGCUGUGUAUUAAUGCAUGGCAACAUACGUCCAAACAUAGGAUUGAUGCUUUGGGAAGCCUCACGUGAAGUUUGCAUUAGACUUGCAAUUGGCUUUUCAGUUAUGCACUUUAACUUUUUCUUCUUUUUCUUUUUCUUUUUGGCAAAUUGCUUCAAGUUGGAACGAGGAGAGAUCUUAUCCAAGUGCGUAUUAUCCACAAAACAAUUUAUCAUAUCUAUAUUGGCGUAUACUAAUGCAUAAGAAUUAUGAGAGUAACGUAAAAAUUAUAUGCCACUAGAUCAUCACAUUUGUUGCAAAGAGAGGUGAAUAUUGGAUUACAUUUUUAUAUACUGUUAGUGUAGACGAUUUUUUAUACUAAUAGACGUAGAUGUAUGUUACGUAUGCAUCAAGUGAAUUUUAAAUUUGAAAUCAGAUUAUGUGACAUACAUCUCAUUCACUCGUUCAUUUGUGUGUGUAUAUACUUACUGAUAGUGUAUUAAAAAAUUAUUCAUAGACAAUAACCUACUUUCUCUCAUAAAUAUGAGAAUCAUAACUAUUUGUUCGACACACAAACCAAAUAGGGAAAAAAAAAAAAAAGAGAAAAGGAGGAGGACAGAUUGCAUGUGUUGGAUGAUACACGUGUCUCGCCCAACCCAAUCUUUUUUUUUUUGUCAGCAACGAUACUCUAUCCUAAUCUAGGGAGGAGCGGGAGCCUAAGGAGGCUAGUGGGUAUACAGACCCAACUAGAUCAAAAGGAAUGCUCUAACAUAACUCUUAGAUUUUUUAAACUGCAGAUGAGGUUUGAACCCUCACCCACCGUCCAAGGAGGGACUUAAGCCCCUCCCUGAUGGCCACUGAGCCAUUGGCCCAGUGGCUCGCCCAACCCAAUCUGACUCCAAUAGAUUGUUUAGACGUGAUUCUGGGUCUUUAAAUGGGUUGAGCCACAGCUGAGCUAGCUCGAAUAUAUUUACGUAGAGUUUUGUGUGUAAAAGAAUCAUGGUCCGAAAUUGGACCCAGAGUGCAGACAGGCAAUCCAAAUGAUUAAUGAUUGGCCCAAGAUUACUCCCCCCACACAUAUUCAUAAGGUUUGGAUUAAAGAAGCUUAGGGGCCGUUUAUAUAUUGUAGGACUCCGUUAUACGUGUGCUGCUAUGAAAGAAGUAACAAAAAAAUGUGAUAAAAAUAUUCUCAUGGAAUCUCAAAAGUUUUUUUUUUUUGCGGAAAAACUGCAAUCCAAAAUUUCCAGAGUAUAUAUAUAUAUAUUGCAAAGACUUGUUUUCGGAAUUUCAGAGUAGAUUUAUGACUUCAGUACAUACUCUAAUAUUAUUUGAGUCUUUGCAUCCAAAAUUUCAGUAACAAUUCAAACAUCUUUGCAAUAUUCAUACCCUUUUUCUUUCUUUUUUUUUUGUCAAUACAGGGGUGUUCGAGUCAAUCCUUACGGGGCCCGACUAAUCCCCUGCUGCCCAAGCCCGGCGCCCCAAUCCGACCAAGGCACGAUAAGUGCACAAGCGUUCCCAUAGCGCAAUUUUGAAUCCGAGACCUAAAUGUUCCAAAGGAACGCUGCUACCAUGUGGCUAAACCCGUGGGGGCUCAUACCCUUUUUUCUUGAUUUAUGGGAUUUUGCAUCUCUGAGAUUCAUUAAACUAUUUGCUGUUUUGAAAUUUCAAUGUAAUUAAGACCUUUUUUUCCCUAGUGUUUAAUUGCAUAAUAAGGAUCUCCUGUCAAUUUGGAUUUGGAAAUGGCACCCGUAUUUAUACUAACCAGACUUUUUCUAGCAUUUCCCCACUUAGGCAGGCAAAUGGCGUAUCGUAAUUUGACGUACAUCUGUAUAUCAGUUGGCAUGGUUAGCCGUUGACUUAGUGUUUGCCAGCCUUGUCCACCCCAGUAUAUACAAAACGGGAAUCGAGGUUGACCAAGAAAAAAUUACAAGAGAGAGAGAGAGAGAAUGAAAUGCCAACGAAUGAUUGGCUUCCAGCACAAGGAAGAAAUUUCCUUUUCCAAAAGUCAUAUAUUAUUAUUUUGUAAACUUAUUUGGUUUCCUUUGGGAGUUAACAAAUGGGAAGAAACUUUAAAGAAAAGGAACAAUAAGAAAGUGUCCUGCUCUUACUUGGAAGUUUUAGUAGGCAAGGAUGGAGAGAAAAGAAAAGUAAGUUUUAUCUCCAAAAUUGGAAGAGAAAAUGGAGAUAGGAAACUUUACUAACAUGUCAAGGUACCUAUAUAAUAUUUGCUGUAUAAAAAAGUAAGAAUUUUUUAAUGGUUGCUCUAUGAACACUCGGUGUACUUAAAUUACAUUUUUUAUUAUGUGAUUGUCUAAAUUCAUAUUCAUUGUUCUCCUUGCAGUAAAAAAAUGAGAUGCAUCUUAGUUAAAUGAAUGCUGGUAGGCACUCAUUAAUCAAAUCAAAAAAACAAUGGCUCCGUUAUAGGGGUGUUUUUGAAAUAUUUUACUGUAGCAAUAUAGGUGAUUUUUUUUUUCUAUAAAUGAGGUUGUUUUUGGUGUUUUUGAGGUUAUUUUUGGUAUUUUUGAAGUUUUUUUUUUAUUUUUGUGUUUUUGGUAUUUUUGAAGUUGUUCAAAUUUUAUGUAUUACCGUAGCAUUAAAAAAAUAAGCAAUCCAAACGGAGCCAUAUAAUAAUUCAAUUCCUUGAUGUAAAUACCAUCCUUAUUUCUUGGCUAAGCUUGAAGAAUAGCAUCUCUCUCUCUCAAGAUAGUGAGCAAGAAAGAAAUGACAAUUAGUGGGUAUUUAUACAUGGCAUAUAUAGUCAUAUGGAAUCAUCAUACAUUUACCACUACGGAACUUCUCCAUAAGCACAAGUAAGAACUGUCACAUUUUCUCUUCUUGAAAGUGGGGAGAAAAAAAAAAACACACACACACACACACACACACACACACACACAAAGCAGAAAACAAUAAGUAUCACAUCAUUCAGUUGCUCUAUUACUUGCUUUAAGCUUUUUCAUUUCAGCAUUACAAGUGCAGCACUGGCUCUUACCUCUCACAAUGGCUUUUGAGUGUUGGCCUCUAUCUGUGACUCGUUACAACUUUCUUGCAUUGUGAAUUAUUAUUGAUAUGGUUGAUGCUUAAGUUCUUGGACUCACUCUUAACUUCGCAGUGAGUCCACACCAUUGGCCACGCAUCAAAUUGUACAUACUUAUGCCCAAGAUUUGUACAAAAUGUGGAUUUGAAAGGAAGAGAUAUCAAUUUAGUUCAUCCUUUAUCAAGGAUAUGCUGAUUUUUUGCAUUAGCAACCAGUCAAGAAAAAAAUAGCUUCCCCCCCCCCCCCAUUUGGCCGUUGAAUGGCUUGCUUUUUGUGUUGAAUGAGAACUCAACUUCUGUUUAAUACUUUGAAGCUUUAAAAAUAUGACUUUAUGGCCAUUAUUUCCGGAAAAAACUGGCAGUGGACGCUUGAAAAAUCGCCACACGCAUCACAGGAGAAAUAUUUUGUUGACACGCUAAGGAAUCGUCCAUGCUCCAUAAUAACUUUCCAGCAGCUGGAUUUGGAUACCACGUCGUUUCAUGACUCAUGCAUGAGCAAGCUUGAUCAACUGAAAAAAAAGAACCAAUCAGGUUGGGGUCUACAGCCACUUUGAUAUUUUUUUUUUUAAACCAAAAAGGUACCAUAAGGAAAAGUCUAUCAAUGAUGAAAACAACAACAACCAGUCCUAUAUUCUAUUCACAAAACAUCUGUGAAGGAACGCAUAACAUUUUGAUCCAAUAGCAGUUUUGCAACAUGACAUGAUAAUUUAAUUAGUAGUAUCAUCUCCAGUUGAGUGUAGCUAUAAAAUAAAUGAAAUAAAAUAUAGCCAAAAGCAUGCUCAAACCUUCAAUACCGGGAGGGUGAUACAAGGAACUUAUAAGAGUUGUGUCAUUUUCCAAUUAUACCAUAUUGGAGUGGCGGAGAAUACUACUAGCAGUGAUGGUUGACGUUGAGUGAUAGUUUCUUUGUCUGCAAAAACACUCGUAUUCUUGGAGAAGACAUAGCUGGAAGAAUGUGGGGGCCGUGGAGGAAGGAAUUCUUGGAUGUAAUUCUGGUACCUGCGAGUUUAUUCAUUAUGUUUGGGUACCAUCACUUCCUUCUGUAUAGGUACCUCAGAUAUCCAAGCACCACAACCAUCGGAUAUGAGAAUCACAACAGAAGAGUUUGGGUUGAAAGAAUGAUGGAGGUCAGUAACUUCAAAUCCUUUUUUUCUUUUUCUUGAUUUCUUUGUGCAUGUAGUUUUUACCUUUUUGGUUCUCUGCCGGGAUCUUGAAAAUAAACUGCAGAUUGAUAUGGCACAUUCAUUUAUGAGCACCUUGAAAAUGGUCUGCAGAUUGAAGCCAAAGACAGGCCGGCAUUAUCAGUGAUUGCCAACACCAUGUCAGCAGCAUCUGCGCUGUCUUCAAUUUCUCUAGUGCUGAGCUCUUUAAUUGGAGCAUGGCUGGGGAGUUCUAACAGGACAGUCUUUACGAGCAACCUUAUAUAUGGAGCCACAAGUCCUUCAGUUAUUUCUAUCAAGUAUGUGGCUUUACUCGUCUGCUUCCUGGUGGCCUUUGGCUCAUUUGUACAAACUUCAAGGUGCUUGGUUAAUGCCAGUUUUCUCAUGACCAUGCCAAACGCGGAUGUUCCUAUGAGCCACAUUGAAAAAGAAAUGAUAACAGGAAGUAUUUUCUACGAAUUUGGCAUGAGGGUUCUCUAUUUAGCCACCACUUUUCUGCUGUGGGUCUUUGGUCCAAUUCCAAUGUUUGUUUCCUCUGUCACCAUGGUGGGAUUGUUGCUUAGGCUGGACGCAAAUAGAACAGUUUUGUAUCACUAUCCACGGAUUGGUCAGGACGUGUCUGAAGUCACCAAAGCUGUUGAGCAUCAUGAAAGACGACCACAAGGAAGGAAGUAGACGGUCGGGUGAUUCCCAGUUGGAUAUAUGGUUCCUGACUUAAAGCUUAGUCAACUACAGACGAUGCAGAAUCUCUCAAACGCAAUCAACUCUUCAGUCCUAUACAACAAUAUUACCUAGAGUAAUCACGACCUCUCCUUUUUCUUGCUGAAUUUACCAAAAAAAUUUACAUUGUAACUCACAAUUGUACACAGUUUUUAUCAAAGAUUUUUUUACCUUUAUAAAGAUUGAAGAUCCACAAUGCAUACAAGCAAAUCAGAAGUUUCCUUGUCUCCAGUUCAUUCAUUUCCUUCCAAAUUUGUAACUUACAAGGGAAUCAGUAGUUUCCUUUUGUCUGUUCUAGACGAGGCAAAUUAACUACAACCGCUGGGAUCCCCGUUUCCAUAGACCUUCUCAAAAACACAACAUCUGGGAAAAUUCAUGUGAAACUAAUGUCAGCACACCUAUUUAAGAACAGCAUUUUCCUUCUUCAGCUUGAAUAAAAUCAAUGGCUAACCUCUGCCCUGCUGUUAUAGUCUAAAUUCAAUCUUGUUUACUAGAGGGCUUUGGUGUCUGCAUAUGAAAGAAGAAUUUAGCUUCUUGACAGAUUAGUUUUAAACAGAAGAUAUUCAUCUUAAGGAUAAAUUCUACAAGUUAGGAAAUGGUCACAGAGAAGUAUAAAAAAUAAUGAAGAAAAAUGGCAACAUAAACCAGCUUUGCAGCUUAUAAUUAUUAUUAUUUUAUUUUUGCAAGAAGAAGAUCAUGUACAAUAUGGCAUAUACUGAUCUUUACCAUGAAACUUGUCAUGUAUAUCAGUGUUAAGUUAAUAGGGCAAGGAAAGUUUGCCUUAAUAUUUCUCAUUUGUUUUGGGGGAGGGGGAAGGAAAUAAAGAAGAAAAAAGAAUGAUUGGAAACUCUAGCUACAUAUAUAAACAAGACAGAUGUAAAUUGUACUCAAAAGGAAAAAAAAAGAAAGAAGAAGAAAGAUUGACUACUAAGGUAACCAAAAAUAGAAUUAGGAAUGACUGCAGAGAUAAAAAGCGUCAUUAUACAGAGAUGUAGAUCAUUACCAGAAAAACUAAUACAUAUAUGAGAGCCUGUUGCACACAAAAGGAACUGAAACUGUUCCCACCAACCUGUUAGCUAUAUCUGCAAUUAUUGUGAACUAUCUGAACUUGGAUCCUCAUUAAGACUCCUUAUCCCAGAACUAUCAAUGGGACCUUUCGGUGAUUCAUCUGAUGAUUUUACCUGUGCUUCACCUCCAUUUUUUGACUCGUUUGGUUGAGAAUCUCCCAUAAAGGAGUUGAUCACAAGCUGGCCGGAGUAAAGAAGUAAUCCUACAGAAUUUAUGCUGAAGACAAAUGUAGCAAGGUAACACAAACCGUUGACAAUAGUCCUGCAUGGAGAUGAUAAGAAGAGUUUAUAGAUCUUGCCUCAUUUUUUUCUUUGUGGCUUGGAGAGUUUGUAGAUCUCUCAGCUAAAUGGACAUAGCUGUAUGAGAUAAUACAGAUACAGAGCAUACCUGAUGGUUAUGGUUAUCUGGCGAACCUGGAAUACAUAGAAAGAUAAUCUCAACACCCGAAGAUGAAAAAUAAUCAAGAAAAGAGUCAAGCUACUAAGAAGGUUCAGAAAUAUGAUAAACGAGGUGCUUCUUUCCUUUGGGUCCCAUAAAAGUGCUUAUUAUGGCAGGGAUGGCAAUUUGAGAGUACAUAUAAUUGUAACUUGCAUCUCAACAUGAUUAAUCAGUUUUAAAGCGUCAACAACAAUUCAAGGUUUUAGAAGGCUAGUAAUAAUGCAAUUGCACUAUUACAUUGUGGAGAUGCUUAAUUACAGGACACAAGAUGAACCAAAACUAGUAUCAGACAGAAACAUUCCUGAACAUACAACUAUGUUAGGACAACUUUUAAUGACAAUGUUACACUGCUCUCUAGUUUCAUUUCAAUGAUGACUCAUCAUUUAAACACUUCUGAGCACACAACUAUAUUAGCUUAUAGUAUCAGACAGAAAAUUAGUAUCGCAAACAAUUUUCUCUAAAAAUUGCUGACUCUUGAGUUGGAAAAGUAGUAUCACACAGAAAUUUACCACAACUCUGGACUUGCAUAGGGGAACUUGAGUAGUGAUAAUAGAUUAUGGGUGUGUUAUUUAUUCACAAUAAAAACUGAAACUCCUUCCUUUUUUCUCUCAUUGCACGUAAUGAAACAAAAUGCACUAGCUAAACCAAACUGCUAUCUAUAAAGCAAAUUGUCACAAAAUUCACGUACAAUAGUGUUGAGCAACCAUCUCAUUUGAGACUUUUUUUUAUUUUUAACGCAUCUUAUUUGGGACAUGAAUUCUUACCUUUCAUACCCCUGUUUUUUUUCCCAACACAUAUCAUGUUAAACGUAACCAGGUCAAUAUCACAAGCCUACGUGAAUAUAGCUAAAGCUAAUCAAAGGACUAACUGAGAAGUUAUCUGAAAGUGGUUGCUGAUUGAGAGCAGCCUCAAUAGUGGUGGUGAACUUGUAAAGAAGCAACGCAAUGGCACCCGCUGUUAAACCUCCCAGCAAUGCUUGAACAGGUGAAGGUGAAGACUUAGCAUCAAUCGGUGUUGGCACCAUUACCUUUAAAUUCUCCAAUGCUUCCUCCUUCAACGACUUCUUAGCUCCUGAUGACCUAAGUUUCUAAUCCCACCAAGAGUUAGUCAAAUUUUCCACAUUAAGAACACCCAAAGAUACAAAUAAUCAAACAUUACAUGCCUCUUCUAACUACUCAUCGCAUUACAACUUGCAAUACAAGCUUAUAUAUCGUCCUAUCAGUAUCAGAAAGGCAUCAUCUUCUCAUAAAAGUGCAUGCAUCAAGUCCUCAAUCCUAAAAGUAACAACACUUUAGCUAAAAAACUCCUCUAAAGCUGCAAAAAAAUCCCAACUUUACACCUGAAUAUAUACUCAAGAAACCAAGAACACCCAAAUAAUCAGCUGCUACACAGCGAUAAUCAUCCCACUGGCAAAUUAAAACGUAUGCUAUUCAGAAACAAUUAGAGUUUAAUAUACAGGAUUAGUAAUUAAAGUUAAAGAAUUACCAAAUUCAUCAUACAGAAUGGGGCAUCAAUUAUAGUUGGACUGACAUACCAAUUCUUUGGCGCGUUUAGCUCGUCGGCGGAUGGAGCGAAAGAGGAAGACAGUGAUGGCGCCAGUGAGGAGGACACUGGUGGCAGUUUGGAUGGGAGUAGGCUUGUCGGAGGUGGCGAAAACGGAAGGACUGGAAGAUGGGAUUUCUAUUGGGCCCUCUUCUGGAGGUGCCUCUUCUACAGUGGCGGUGGUGUUGGGUUGUUCUGGGACUUGGGCCAGCCAUGGUUCAGUGGUUGUAUGGUGGUUGUGGGCUGAGACAGAGCGGGAAAUGGUGGCUGUGAGGGACUUACAGAGGAAGUUAAGACAAGAAGGGGAAAUGGGCAGAGGAGAAAAGGUGAGGAGGGAAGAGGAAGAUUGAGGGAAGGGGAAGUAGCAAUGUGGUGGAGUUUGGAAGAUUUGAGCAUGGGGUGAUUUUAGAGUUAGAGUAGGCAUGGUGAGGCCUGGGUGAUAAGGAGGGGUUUAUGGUGAUGCUUCUUGAUUCUGCUUCUGUAUUUUCAGUUUUUUCUUUAUGUGAGAUCUACUACCAAAAUCAUAAUUCAUUCUCUUGAUUUUUUUUUUCUGUGUUUUUUAGGGAAAUAGAAAAGCCCUUGGGUAUUAUCAGGGAUAAAUCUCCGUGGUCCCGUGAUGCCCCACUGGUAGAGGAAGGCAAUGGAAUUGAACAUUGCAAAAGAACAUGAAUGUCUUGAUUCUAACAAUUUCUUGUUUUCUUGAUUUAUUCCUGUUAGUUUUAGUCAGAAUUUACUACAUAAUUCCUUUUAUUUCGUUUGAAGAUAUGAAAGGAAUUGGUUUUCUUAGAAUUUUACUUUCACUUUUCCCCUAAGUUCCAGAAUUUGGAACCCUAAAUUUGACCUUAAAUCAUUUACAACAAAGAAUACAGGGCUUAGAAUAGAAUUAAGAGAGUCACGAGGGUAAUUUUUUUUUCGGAAAUGAUAAAUGAUAUUUUAUAACUAAUCGAAAUGUACAAUAUUUGAACAAAGACUCAAGCAACUUUACAAAGUGUACCAUGAUAUUUAAGAAGAGCCAAAAAAUUUCUCCUCAUCCAUAAGUAUGUUUAGAACAUAAUGGCUAAUUUGAUUACAUAGAAUCAUAUUACUAACAUUCCUAACUUCAAAAAAGCACAUUUGAAACAGAUUAGCUAAAGCAUGUAUGUCUUCAAUCAACGUAGCCGUGUUUGGAUUGUCUCCUUUCCCAUCUCUUAUCAAGGCAAUAAGUUGCUUAUUAGCACUAAUGACUUUGAUUCUUUGCCAACUUUGUUGUCUUGCUUUCAUUAGUUCUAACCUUACUGCUAUAGCUUCAUCUUGAAUAUCCUUUUGCGAGCUUCUAUCCACUAAAGUCCAUUUAGCUCUGAUCCUCCCUUCAAAUUGCUUGGCAACUAUGCCAAUUCCCAGUUUAUGGCUCACUGCUGAUUUCUUGGUAGCAAUCUGAAGUUCCAUCAGCUCACCUUUCUCCCUCCUGUGCUCUCUCAUUUGCUUUAUCUGUUUCUGAUGUACUUUUCUCAUCCUUGCCUUUUCUAACUUGCUCAUACUCCAUCCAUUCUAUACUGGCUUUAUGUAUAAUUUUUAGGUCAUCUCUUUCCUUCCCUUCAAAUUCCUUUUCAUUUCUAUCUUUCCAUAACUGCCAGAGUAUGUUGGCAGUCAGAGCAAUAUACUGUCUUCCUUCUUUCCUACUUGUGGCUUGAACUAAUGCUGCCCACCACUUCUUGAAGCAACCUGUCUGAUUCUGGAUGCCAUCCCAUUGUACUGGUGCAAGCUUUCAUACCUUCUGAGCCUGCCGACAGUGGAAUAGAAUGUGUUCCACAGUUUUCAUUUUAUCUCCAUACCUUGAGCAGAGAGGUGAUCCUUGUUUUGUUCUUCUGAAUAUUGUUUCCCAGGCUGUUAAGGUGUUAGUAAUGCACCUCCAUAUGAAUAGCUUAAUCUUAUGCUUGAUGUUCAGUCCUUAGAGAGUUUUCCAAAUUUGUGUAUUGGAGUCAUCAUAACUCGAUCCAGAUUCUCCUUUUGCUUCUUUUCCCUUACUCCUCUCUUCCUUUAGCAGAACCUGGUAACAGGAUUGAACUGAGUACUCCCCAUGUUUGCUAUGUGCCCAGAAGUGCAUGUCCCCAGACCUUGACAGACUAAUAGGUAUAUUCAUAAUGUUUUUAGUAUCCUCCCUGUUGAACCUCCUGUAAAUCUCAUUCCUAUUACAUUUGAAGUUUGAAAUCAGAUCUUCCACAUUUUGCUCCUCCCCACUGUCUGGCAUCCUUGUAGUUGGUCUUCCAUUUAGAUUGUUUGGAAUUCACUGAUCUUUCCAAAUUCUUAUACUCUUCCCUGAUCUAACUCUUUUCAGAAUGCCCCCUUGACUACCUCUCUGGCUAACAUAAUACUUUGCCAGAACCAAGAUGAGUUUUUGGGAAUCUCACAAUUUAGAAUGGAAUCCUUGGGAUAGUACUUGGACUUUAAUAUUCUGCUAACCAGCAGGUUUGGGUAUUUGAUCAUCCUCCAAAUCUGCUUUCCCAAUAAUGCUUUAUUGAAGCAUAAUAAGUUCCCAAAUCCCAGUCCUCCUUCUAAUUUUGCCUUCAUCAUUUUGUCCCACGAACACUAAUGUAUCUUGUUAUUCCCUUCUGAUUCACUCCACCAGUAUUUGGCCAUUAUGCCUGAGAUUUCCUUGCAUAGUGUAACAGGUAACUUGAAGCAAGACAUAACAUAGUUUGGCAUGGCCAUAGUCACAGCUUUUAACAUCAUUUCCUUCCCUGCUGCACUUAGGAACUUGUUCUUUCAACUGUUAAGUCUGGCCUUAAUGCUAUCUUUUAUAUAGGCAAAUAUUUGUUCUUUUUGUCCUUUUGAUCACUAUUGGGAGGCCCAGAUAUUUGCCAUGGUUCACUGUCCUUACACCAGCUAAUGGCUCGCAAGUUUCCUCAUUGUCUCUUCCUUUGGUGUUCUUGCUAAAACAGAUAGAGGAUUUGUUCAAGUUAAUCACUUGGCCAGACCCUCUUUCAUACUGAUCCAAAAUUUCUCUUAGUUUCCUUGCUUCUGUCCUCACAGCUUUACAGAAAAUCAAUGUGUUAUCAGCAAAGAAUAAGUGAGUUAUAGCAAGUCCUUGUUUGAUGAUCCUUAGUCCACUUAGGAAUCCCUGUCUUGCUGCAUUCCUUAGCAGAAUAGAGAGGCCUUCAUAACAUAAUAAGAACAGGUAAGUGAUAAAGGGUCACAUUGCCUGAUGCCUCUAGAAGGAAUCACAUAUUCCUUGGUCUCUCCAUUAACAUUGAAGGAAUAAGAGACAAAACUAAUGCACUCCAUUAUCCAAGCUACCCACACCUGAUUAAACCCCAUUCUUUCCAUCACAGCUUUCAAAUAACCCCAUUCAACUCUAUCAUAGGCUUUUGACAUGUCCAGUUUGAUUGCAGUAUAGCCAUCCUUACCUUGUCUUGUUUUUAAGAAAAUGAAGGCAUUCAUGGGAAAUGAUUAUGUUAUCCAAAUCUGUCUAUUUGGAACGAAGGCUGAUUGAUUUUUGCUAAUGCAGUGUUCUAGAACAAGCUUCAAUCUAUUUGCUAGGAUUUUGGAGAUUACUUUAUAGAGUACAUUACAGAGGCUGAUUGGCCUAUAUUGUUUCAAGUCAGUGGGCAGAUCCACCUUAGGAAUAAGAGAGAUAAUGGUAUGGUUCAGAGAUUUGAGGAUAUGUCUUGACUGAAAGAAAGAUUUGACUGCUUCCACCACAUCUUCCUUAAUAGUAGGCCAGAAUUUUUAGAAGAAGAGGGAUGUCAUCCCAUCAAGCCCUGGUGCCGUAUUGGGAUUCAUGGCAAAAACUACUAUCUUAAUCUCAUUUUCCUCCACAGGCCUAGUAAGAUUAACAUUAAUCUGGUCAGUAAUUGUUUCUUGAAUACCAUCCAGUAACUCCUCUAGACCAUUUGUUCUAGUAGACUGAAAGAUUUGCUUAUAAUAUCUAGCUAUCUCUUCAGCAAUCUCCUUGUCAUCAGUUGUCCAAGAUCCAUCCUCCAUCUGCAGAUUCCUUAUCUUGUUUUUUUUUUCUUCUCCCCUUUACCAUUGCAUGAAAAUAUUUGGUAUUCUUAUCUCAUUCUUGUAACCAGUUAAUCCUAGCUUUCUGACUCCAAUAUUGUUCCUUCUCUCUGUAAGCUCCCAACAACUGGUUUUUCAGAACUGCAAUUCUUUCUUUCCUACCUUCAAUAUCAGAACUUUUCUCCUCUAUCAGCUGCUGUUUCAGGGUUGAGAUCCUCUUCCUAGAGUCUUCAAUAAAACCAUUUCUCCACUUCAGCAAGGCAACUUUAUAUCUCUUAAUCUUAUGUGUUAUUCUAAACAUUUUAGAUCCCCUUAUAUCCUCCUUCCAAGCCUUUUUUAUCACUUCUCCAAUUCAUUCUCCCUGAAUCCAUCUUUUGUCAAAGUAGAAUUUCCUUCUCUUUUUCCUUUCAUUUGGGAUUGUGUCUAGUAUCAACAUGCUGUGCUCAGUGGCCAAGCUUUCUAGGUGAGUACACUUAGGGUGUUCAAAAAGGUUACUCCAUCCUCCACUGCUAAGCCCCCUAUCAAACCUUUGUCUUAUUUCCCCAUCUUGCCACUGAUUACACCAGGUCUAGGGGUUAUCUUCAAACUCAAUAUCAACCAGUUGGUUCUCCUGAAUGAAGUGUCUGAAAUCAUAGAAACUCCACUCCUCCCUAGCUCUGCCACCCCACUUCUCCUCACUUGAGUAUAAGUCAUUAAAAUUCCUCAUAAUUAACAAAUUUUCCCACCACAGGGCUUUCUUUCUACUGAUAACUUUCCAUUGCCCUUUCCUCAUCUGUUUAUCAUAACUGGCAUAAAUUCCUAUCAGCCACCAUUCCUAUUUCACUUCUUCAUCCUCUAAAAGUUCUUCAAUGGUAAAGGCUGUGUUUGAUAUCUUUAACGUUUGUUUUCUCAUUCCACAUCAAACUCAUCCCUCCAGAUUUGUUCAUAGCCUUUACCACAUAACUAUUAUCAAAGUUCAGAAUCCUUUUCACCUUCUCCAAGUACUUAGCCUUAUCCUUAAUAUCACUCAGAAAGAUCAUGUUCAGGGAGAGGAGGUUGUUAACCUCCUUCAAGUGGGAAAUUGUCAAGGGGCUCCCUGCACCUUGGUAAUUCCACACCAUAGCUCUCAUUGGUCUUUUAAGAACCAGUGCCGGCUGAUUCCUCUCCCUUCAAACAAUUCAUAAUCCUUCCCCUCAUUCUGAUCUCCUCUAGGCCUUUUGUCCGUAUGUUCCUGCUCCACAGCCUCAUCCAUAUCUUCAUCUCUCAGUUGAAACUUUCUCUUUGUACCAUUGAUCUCUGUAAGAGGAAUUCUUAGCUCUCUAGGACCUGAAUGCACUCUCCUAAACCUCUUCCCUUCUUUCCUGAAUCCUCCUUUGUUCUUUUUGUUGGUGGUUUCAUCAGUUUCCAUACUCACUAGUUCGCCCCCAAUGUUAAGUCUUCCUUAUACUCCUUCUUCACCUCAUUCUAACCUCCCAUUCACUUGUGUCCUCUCCCUUCCUAGGACUCAUUGUUCCUCCAUGACUACCUCAGUGCCUACAGACUCAAGUACAACAAUAAUUCUAGCUUCCUCAGAUAUAACUUCUUCCAUUCCUGUGCUAGUGUUCCUAUCAUCUUGCUCCCCUUUCUCCUUCUCUAUCUCUUUCUCAGUACUCUACCUUGGUAUUGUCCUCCCUAUUUUUCCCUUAACUUCAGCAGGUAAGCCAUCCUUCUCCAUUAUUUGUUUCUGUAGCUCUUUUACCAGAACUCCAUCUGAUCUACUUACAUUCCUGUCUUGAGACAAGUCUACUCUUUUGUCCUGUUUCUCUAACUCCUCUAUCCUGAUCAUUUCUCCAUUUCUCACCUUCCAAACCUGUUUAUGUGAUGUCUAAAUCUUUUGACUAUACUCUUUUUGAGGGGAGCUUCUUCCCCCAAACACCCUCAUCCACGAGCUAUAUUGAUUCUGAUAUUGCCCCUUUUUCACCAACACAGGAGACUUGCAAUUCUUUUCACUAUGCCCAAUGACACUACAACUAUAGCAGAAAUCAGGACACUUCUCAUACUUAAAGGAUAACCAUUUAUUCAUUCCAUUAAUCUGAACCGUGGUUCCUCUCAAUAAAUGCUGCUUAAUAUCAACCAGUGCUAAUAGUUUCAUAUGUUUCUCUUCCUUACCUCCCGUUCGAGAAAUUAACACAUCCUUAACCUCAUUAAAAACAGAUCCCACUUUCUUCCCAACUGCCUUAUAUAGGCAGCGAAUGGAAAGAUUCCACACUUGCACCCAAACAGGGGCUAAACUGAAAGCAUCUUCAUUCUCUUCAAUCCCCACCUUCCACUUCCUAAGCACUAAUAUCUGAUUAUCAAUAAUCCACGGACUCCCGUCAAUAAUCCGUUCCUUAUCCUUAGAAUUUGGGAUAGUAAACUGGAAAACAUUAGGUUCUAAUUCUGCUACUUUAAGAUCCUUAGGAUAGCUCCAAACCACAAUAACAAAAUUUUUAACUCCUAUGAAGUUAACUAUUCUCUCCCCUCUUAUUUUUCCUAUGAUGCUACCUUGACAUUCUGUUAUCCCCUUAUCUAGGUCCCCUAGAUCCAGGAGUGUACUUCCCGCUUCCUUCUCUGAAAAAACAAAUUUUUGUAACACCUCUGCCAGCUCCUCCUCUAUCGAACCAUAAGAGGAAGACUGAAGGUAUUCUAAACACUUACCACUAGAGACACGUUACUCUCCUAGUACUAUGGAGAUAAAAGAUAGGUAGCAAAAUUCAAGUUAACACACCAAACUGACACUUCAAACACAGAAAAGACAAGAAAGCAACUAAACAAGAGCAAAAGGCAGUCAGGCUACCUGAAUCGGACUUCUUUCCUUUUAUAGAGUUGUUGGAGUUUCCGACCAACUGCUUAGGAAUUGCGCCUGCAGAUGUACUUUUCUCUUUUUCCUUUUCUUUUCUGUUUUUUUCUCACCAAUCGACCAGCUCCACUUCCAUGACUUCCUUGAAUGCUGCUUCUUAAUGGUGUCUUAUCCAAAUGUGUGUUGAAUGCUUGCCUUUAAGAGCCAGACUUGCACACAAUGUUAGGAUCUAGAAGUUAGCUCAGACUCAAACUUUUGAAUUCUGUUCAUUAGUUGUUUGGAAUUUUCAAAAGCUUGAAGUUUCCACCAAGGAGAAAGAAGCUCUCUUGUCAAGAGAGAGAAAAAGCCUCUACACGUGAGAGGAAAAACCCUGUUGGACCACUAAGUCACGAGGGUAAUAGCAUACGUUACUUUUUCAUGCAUGAUAAUUUAGAUGGUAUGGUCCCAAAGAAUUUUACUCAUUUAGCAGUUCUAAAUGAUGAUGAGAGGAGAAGAGCAUGAAUAAUGUCUAUGCAGGAUAUGUCAACUACUAAAACAUAUGCAUGAUGGUUUCCUCUAUUAUCUCCUUAAUCUUCUGAACAAUUUUUCUUUUCCUUCUGAACAAUAUUAAUCAAAUAAGUGUAUAUCUUCUCAUUUCUCCCUUUUUUCUACUGUAUUCCUAGUUUGAUAUACAAAAAUCGCCUAAAAUGGAGAGAACUUUUCGAUUGAUCCAUUGCCAUGUUUGAUAUGAACCUUUUGAGUUGGAAAAAAACCUUUUUCCUGAAAAGCUCAUUUUAACCUUUUUUUUAAAAAAAAAAAAUCCAUUCCUCGCAAAAUUCUAAGGAAGGUUCUUUUCAUCUUUAUGUUCGAAUGUCUACAAUUACUGGGGUCAAGUUUAUCCUUACAUCUCUAUGUUCUAUUACCAAUUAGUAGGUUGUUUGUUAGUUUAAUCAAUAAUUUACCAUAAUUUUUUAACAAACCAUUCUAGUUGGUUCUAAAAAUUUUUCCUUUGUUAAUUUUAUAAUAUUGUUCUUUUAGACUUUUGUUCAAAUGUAUAUGGAUUUGUUUUGGCCCUUGACAUAAACAGUGAAAAAAAUAAUAAAGAGAGAAAAUGAAUGUUUAACUUCAUGUGAUUUAAUUUUUUUGUAAGUUAGUAAUUAUAUUGUUAUUUAAAAUAAAAAAAAAGUUAAAAUGAAUAUCAUAUUUGAAAGAUAAUAAAAUGUUGUAAUGAAAUUAUUUUAAUAAGUACAUAAUUCAUUCACAAUGCACAAAAAAAAGAAUCAAGGUUCCUCAUAUAAGAUAACAAAUAGCAUAGCAUGAAUAAACAAAAUAUGUAAUGCUCAAUAAUAGAUUUCAAGGUAAUUAAAUCAAUUUUAUACAUAAUUUAUUCCAUUUCGACAUCUAAAAAUUGAUUGUACCAAAUACUGAAAAUGGGAUGGACAUCCCAUUCUCAUAUGCGUACCACCGUACCAGACAUUGGAACGGAAAUGUUUUUUAAUAUCAUUCUGACUCGAAAAACAUUUUUUGGUGAAAAGGCCUUUACAUUCUGAGCAUUCCAAUAUACCAAACCAAGGUUUUUUCUUUCCCUUCCAGACUGCCAACUAGGCCGAAGCCCAAUUUCCCAACAGAGGUUUAACUUUAGUCUUUGGUCCGGGAUACAGCACUUGGAUUAGAACUCCAAUUAUACUCCAUAUGAAGCACACCCACAAAACAAAAAAAAAAAAGAAAAAAAAUUCUUGUUCUAUCCAAUUCCAAUCCUCCCUUUGAACCCUUCUAGUUGACAAGCAACCUGACCAAUAUACCUCUUCAUCCUCAAACAUCUUAGGCCCUCAUGCAUUGCAGUCGCAGCAGUUGGAUCACAAGAUGAAAGAAUGAUUCCUGCAGUUGAAAUGCUCUCAUCUUCACGGGCCAACUUCUUGAAAUCAUUGAAUACAAAGGUACCCUCAACCUCCUGAGGGAUCUGCUUCAAUUUCUUUGCACUUUAAUGUGACAUUGAUGACUCCAUAUCCAAACUCCAGUACUAACUCACCUACUAAAAGAGCAAACCACACACAGAGAAUGUGAAUCUACACAAAAAGAGAGAAGAGAAGAGAAAAAAAAAAAGGGCCAGAUCAUUGGCAAUUGGACUUGCAAUUGUCAUUUUGUCUUUAUCCACUUUCUUUCAUAACUACUGAAUUGACAAAUUAUUGCCUUUGUCGCAGAAAAAGGGAGCAAAUUUAGCCAGACAAGUGGGUGGCAUUGGCAAUCAUGGCUCGUUUGAUUCACAAUUUUUCUACCAUUUUGUAGGGAUGGCAGCCAGUUUCCAGGUCAUUAAUGAGGAUUACAAUAAACUUAGUUAAAAGUCAAGAAAGCAAUCCUCUCAUCACAUGCUGAGUUAUAUUAUAUAGCUUCUCAUACAUCAAUAAUGCCCAGCAACAAUCAUAAGCAUAAAGAUUGACUGAUUGAAUCAGAAUUUAUUGCUAUAAAUGACAAAAGUUUAAUCCUUCUUAACCCAAACCCAAAGAAUGUGUUUAGAUCAAUUACAGCAGUAAUCUGGUAAAUAUAUAUAAUAGCAAUUGCAGAGUCUUACCAAAAUCGAUGAUUCUAUCCAAGGAUCUAACCCAUAUUCUCAAGUUAAAGUUGCACAGAUGAUGAUCAGCAUACAUGUAUGAUUGUAUGGUUAGUUAUCAGCAUUCCUGGCGCACAUUCGAGGCUACAGCUCUAGCCCAAAAUCUGAUCUGUGCUUUCAUAUCUUCUGCCGACUUCUUGCCCAUUGGAGAUGCAGGGUUCUCAGGCUGCCAUGCCUGAUCAGCUGUAUAGGACUUCCUCAACUUACCUUCAUUUAGACAAAACUGUUGCUGCUUCUUUUCUUGCAGACUUGGACCUAAAUCUUUGUCGUCAAAUUUGAUACUCAAGUCCUUGAGACCUUGAAGUUCUACAAUAAGGUCACUCGAGCUUCUUGAUAACUUGGCCUGAUUAAGGGGGUGUUGCCUUCUGAUCAUCACCCCUUCGGGGAUCUCUGUUUUACAGCUUUCCGAAUCUGGUUUUCUUCGCGGCCGCAGCCUAGGUGUGCUUGAACUUUGUGUUAGACCCUGGAAGGCAAUUAUAGUCGUUAGACGGAAUUAUAGUCGUUCAGAGAAGGGGUUUGAUUCUGAACUAUGCAGCAGCAAAAUUCAAUAAACUCAAUCAUGAUAGCGAUUUAAUAUUUCCUAUGAAAUGAUGAACUGCUCAUGCAUGGACCCUUCUAGAGGUUGAACAAGAUUUGCCAUGUAGAUCAAGGUAUAAAUUGAUGAUUAAAAAAAGCAAGAUUUCUACCUUCGGAAUCGGAACCCGGCGCGGGGGCAACAGGUCUGAUUGAUUCAAAGAUGCUUGCCUAAUCAACUUGCUCAUCGAAAAAUCACUUUCUUCAUCUUGAGUUUCUUCUCUUCCUAGAGAAGUUGGAAGAGAAGGUGCACGAAACAGAUUGUUACUAGAUUUUUCUAGUCUUGAUUUGCUUCCCCUGCGCACAGGAUAGGUACCUCCUCCUGCAUGAUAAGUCGAUCCUUCUGGCAAGGACGGCGCUCUCAUCAACCCGGAAGGAGUUAACUCAUCCCCUUGUGGUAGUUUGUUUAACGAUGAGAAGGUUUCUUCAUAUGAUUUUCCAACCAAAAUCUCUUCAUCAGCUAAGCCAGAGGAAGGACAGGGAUCAGAAUACCAUCUACACAUCCUGGUUGUUUUUCUGUCAAGCAAGUUCCCAAAAAACCAAGACUUGUCAAGGAGAUCUCCAGGCUCCUCCUCCGCCAUUUCUUGAUGCUUACAAGUUGAGGAGUCGCAAGAAGAAUCAUCAAUCACCUCCAUACCUGCAGAAACAGAAGUUCUUGCAGCAAGCCCACAUGGGAUUUCUUGAUCUUUCAUCCGACUUCUGUAGAAAAAGCUGCUGUCUGGGCUGACUGGGAAGGCCAUGUGGGAUUGGGCAUAUUAUGCUAUACUAUACCAUAUUAGAUUGUUACGCAAUCAAUAUAAUAUGGACACAAGUCUACGAAGUCUUGGACUAAUAUAAAACUUAUAUGGGAGACAAUAUAAUAUAAUUAUAUUUUGAUGAGAAAGGGGAGGUGUACACAUUUAAUUGGAACAGGUCAGCACAGAUGGAGAGGGUAUAAUUGCUUGAAGGAUGGAAGAAUGGAACACGAGGUCAUGACAGCGCAGACCCCCCAACCCAUGUGCUGGCCCUCUGUUUCUGGAUAACUAACUGAGAAAAUUAUUCAGAUGCCACUAAAUUUUUAGAAUUAUCAAACUUUUACUGUUGAACUAUUAAAACUUUAAUUUUGGUCAUUGAACGAUUUAAAAUUUAGGUUUCGAGUUAUUUCGUUAGAUUUGAUCGUUAAGCAUGCCUUUUUCUUUUAUCUCGUAAAUCAUGCAGACACUCAGAUCUGGCAUCGUUAACGAUCAAAUCUAACGGAAUGACACGGAACCUAAAUUUUAGAUAGUUCAGUGGUCAAAAUUAAAUUUAUAAUAGUUCAGCGGCCAAAACUCAAUGAUUCUAAAAGUUUAGUGGCCAUUCAAAUAAUUUGCUCAUCACUAAUUAUAUACGGACAAAGAAGAUUGUUUGGUUAAAUUUCCUUCAGAUUAUAUAUUUAUGAGACAGCUAACUGAUUUAGAUACGUAAUUACAUGUUGACAACUACCGAUGAUAAUCGAACCCAGGCCUAAUUCCUUGUUUUUUUUUUUGUUUUUGUUUAAUGAGUCCUGAUUAGCGCAAAUGAGGAGCUGUAAAUUGCAACCACCAUCGAAUAUCUGUACCCACCAUCGAAUGUAGCGCAAAUGAAGCCAAUCUGCUCCAGCUUGACUCAAUCUAAGCGUAUUAAUUUGAGUUCCAACUCAAAUGGGAUCAAUAAACUAUCAAUGGGAAGGGAAAAAAAAAAAAAGUAAAAAAACCCCCCACAACAAAUGGAAGGCCAGAUCACUAGAAACACAUUUUUUUUAAUUUCUUUAAAUUGGGAUUAAUUCUAUAAUGCAAACAAAUCUGAUUUGGGAUAGCAGCACAUUUAUCGGGGUGAUUUUUAAGUUUUAACUCUUAAAAGAUAAAUAGAGAAAAAGGACACAAGAAAAUUAAAAAACAAACAAGGACUCCGUUUGGAUUAGUCAUUUUUUUAAAAAUAAAAAUUUCAAAUGCAAUGCUAUAAUAAUACACAAAUAAAAAUAAUUCAAAAAAACAUCUCGUUCAUGCAAUAUAUCAAAUAUUUCAAAAAAUAUUUAUAAUAAAAGUUUUUCAUAUACACUGUUACAGUAAAAUUUUUUAAAAACACCCCAAUGUAAACGGAGUAGUUGCCUAUACGCAGGUAUUUCCAUUCUAAACAGGAAAUCUAGAAGACAAAAAAUAAUAAUAAUAAAAAUACCAACAUAGUCAUAUAAUAGUUUCCUGCAUGAAUUUUCUAUGGGAACGUUUCAUUAAUAAGGACCACCACAAGUUGUCAAUUGGCUAUAGAGACAUUAAUAAGUGCAAGUUGAGAUAUUCAAGUCGAAAUUAAGCCACUGCUACAUAUGCUCUCAUCCACUCUCUGCUUAAACCAUGUCAUCUGCUGCUGUCAUUCAUAGUUAUCUCAACAAAAUAAUAAAUAUGGAAGCCCUUCAAAUGUUACACUGAUAAUUUAGAAUUGAUGAGAAUGACUUUCAGAUUGUAAUAACAAUUCAAACAAUUUGAAUUUACUACUACAAGUUUUGUUGUCACUUGCAAAUAUUUCUCGAAUUGUGGAGCCAUCAUCCCUGCGUGUGCUUUGUGUCGUUUUUUGCAGUGGAAAUAGAGCCGAGCCAAGUCUUCCUUUGUGAACAUCAGCUUCUUCUUCUUCUUAUAAGUGAAAACAUAGACAAAAUAUUUCCAACCAUCUUUGCAAGCUCGUCCGCACAUCGGUUCGACCAGCAUCCUGCAGUCAAACAUCAUCGGCUUGUUUUGUUUUCACUGGAACAGAACAGUGUAUUGUUGAUGUAAUGUACUGAGCAACCCAUUUGUCCUAGGUGAAGGCGGCGUGACAUCGCUCUUGACUCUUCGAAAAGGAUUUUGUUUCCAUUUGGUACUAUUCGAUGAAUCAUCGACAAGAACAUCCAUCGUCCCCGAAAGGGAUGUCCCAUUCGGCCCACUACCUCAUUAUCGGGAUCGAAGGCCGACAAAGUUUGCCUGUUUUUAGAUCCGGACUCAAUCGAUUUGCCAAUCACCACAACGCAGUUGUUUAGCAAGACCUUAACCACCGCGGAAAAAAAAAAACAGAGAUAAAUGAACCAAGAAAACAACUUGUAUAAUUCAACGGACAAAAAAAAAAAAAAAAAAAAAAAACUAUUCAUAGAAGUUUGGCUUCAUGAGAGUGAAGUAUGAUUGUGUGUGGGAAGAAGCCACUGUAGUUUUCUUUGGAUCAGGAACUAGUCAAGUCAAAGAGCCCUAAAAUUUCGUUAUUGGAAAAACACAUGCCAUCAUGGAUUACUAGAAAAAAACUAGUAUUUCACUUGAUUGAAAAUCUGAUAAUUCAUGAAAAAAAUUUUGAAGCCAUAGUUCUCUGAUUACUGACAAGAAACUCUAAUGCAAAAAUGGCUGAUGAAAAUGGGUUUCACAUUGCUAUGUUUCCAUGGUUUGCCACUGGACACAUGACUCCUUUCCUCCACCUCUCCAAUAAACUUGCUGAAAAGGGCCACAGAAUCUCAUUCUUGUUGCCAAACAAGGCUAAACAUCAACUGGAGCACCUCAAUCUUCAUCCUAGUCUCAUCACAUUCUAUACACUAACUGUUCCUCAUGUUGAAGGCCUUCCUCCUGGAACCGAGACAGCUUCUGAUGUUCCCAUUUUCCUCACAAGUCUACUGGCAACUGCCAUGGACAACAUGCGCGAUCGUGUCAGAGACUUGCUGCAAAAAUUGAAGCCCUCCAUCGUCUUCUAUGAUAUGGCACAUUGGAUACCUGAAUUGGCUUCAGAAAUUGGUUUCAAAACUGUGAAUUACAAUGUUGUAUCUGCUGCAUCAAUUGCCAUUGCGUUAGUUCCGUCGCGUAAACCUGUUGAAGACAGGACAAUUACAGGAGCUGAGCUGAUGGAACCGCCACCAGGUUACCCUUCAUCUACAGUUUUAUUGCGCAGGCACGAAGCUCAGGGAUUGUCAUUUAUAUUUCUUGAAUUUGGAAAGGACAUAGCUUUCUAUGACAGGAUCACAAUUGCCAUGAAACGAAGCCAUGCGAUCUCUAUCAGAACUUGUAGAGAAUUGGAAGGAUCUUUGUGCGAUUACAUAGCAAGAGAGUAUCACAAGCCAGUAUUUCUUACAGGGCCUGUUUUGCCCGAGUCUGAGAAGGAAGAUUUACAAGAAAAAUGGGCUAAUUGGCUGAAGGGAUUUGAGCCAGGCACGGUUGUGUUCUGUGCAUUUGGCAGCCAAGUGGUCUUGGAAAAGCAGCAAUUUCAAGAACUUGUUCUGGGAUUUGAGUUAACUGGUUUGCCAUUCUUGAUAGCUUUAAAACCACCAUUUGGGACCACAUCUGUCGAAGAGGCUCUUCCUGAAGGAUUUGAAGGGAGGAUAAGAGGCAGGGGCAUUGUUUAUGGAGGUUGGGUGCAACAGCCGGCUAUCUUGAGCCAUCCAUCAGUGGGAUGCUUUGUGAAUCAUUGUGGGUUUGGAUCAAUGUGGGAGUCUUUGAUGAGCGAUUGCCAGAUUGUGCUCGUACCACACCUGGCUGACCAAAUCUUGAACACUAGGUUGCUAGCUGAAGAGUUGAAGGUUGCAGUUGAGGUAGAGAGGGAUAACAAAAGCACAUGGUUUUCUAGGGAGAGUCUGUGCAGGGCAAUCAAGUCUGCUAUGGAUAGAGACAGUGAAGUUGGUGGCCUAAUUAGGGAGAAUCAUGCAAAGUGGAAGGAAGUCCUUGCAAGUCCAACCUUUAUGGGAGGUUGUAUUGAAAAGUUCAUACAAGAUUUACAAGAACUAUGAUUAAUGAUGGAAAACAAUAGUGCCCUCUACCAAGUAGUUAAAGCAGAAGAAACACAGAGAGGGUAGUUGAAAUGGUACUAUCCUGGAACUAUCCUCUCUUUAAAGCUGAUUGUUCUUGUUCUCUUACAAAUUAGACAUCGAAAAUUCAAAGCAUGUCAGCAGGGUCUCUCGAAUCGAAACCAACCACUAUUUUGGUUGUGCUGUAUUGACAGUAACACGGUAUCUGCAUCAAAGUAAUCUGUUAACACUAGGUAAUCUCCGUAAUCUAAUGUGUACGUUGGGAUCUAAACGGUAGAUAAGCAACUGUUGUAAAAUUAAGAAUGCAAACAGUUUAGUGCAACAAAGCCACGUCAUGAGCAUCUCAAACUCAAUUCUUAUACAACUUAUCUCACCUCUAAGAAUCCUCCCUCACCUUAAUAUGGUAAGAACAGAAUCACCUUUUGUCAUGGUUCGUCAUAUCGGCCGAUACCGAUACGUAUCGGCCGAGUCGUAUCUGGAACGGAAGGGACCGGUACGAUACCGAUCCCCAAAUCGCGGAUAUCGCCAUAUCCGCGACGACUCGCUCUGAUUCGGCCGAUAUUGACCGAUUCGAAUCCGUGAUACAUGAUAUCGGUCGAUAUAUCCGAGUCAACUCGGAGUCGACUCCAAUAUUUUUUUAAAUUGUGUCUUUUUCAGUAUUUUCUAAUUUUAGUAAUUUUUUCAAAAUUUUUGGAAACUUUAAUGUGUUAUAAUGUUCAUAUCACCUGAUAUUCAACCGAUAUGCCGCGACGGAUGUGGAACAACUGAGACCGCUAUGCGACCGCGACCCGCGAUGGCGAUCCAUGCCUUUUGUGCGCCAUGUAAUAUACUAACCUUCAACCAUUUAUACGGUAGGUCACUAGCCAAGAAUUCGAUAACAGGAGAAAAUGAUUUAAGCCAAUUCCUAAACUCAACAAGCAAAAUAUGAAAUUCCUUGACAAGUGUUCCACGUAAAUAGAAACAGCUAGUAAGUUGCUUGCUUGCCACUUGGAAUAAAAAACUACCUACAACGGCUACAAGAAAAGGAGCCAAAGUUUCUAACAAUUAAAUCAUUCAGCAGAAAUAAAAUUACCCUCCAACUAAAGCUCAUACAGGUUUUGAAUGAAACUCUCCACAUAAUUACUCAUGUAUCCAGGACUUGAGAGAAUUUCCUUCACCUUCAAGUGACUCUUCCUGAGCGAACUCCCCACUUCACUGUCUGGACCCAUUACAGCAUUGAUCGCGCUGCUUAGACUCUCCUUAGAGAACCAACCACUUUCGUCUCUCUCCACUUCCACUGCAACCUUAAGAUCACCACAAAGCAAUCUGGAAUUCAAGAUUUGAUCACCUAAAUGUGGUACCAGCACAAUCUGGCAAUCACUCAUCAAAGACUCCCACAUGGAUCCAAAUCCGCAGUGAUUGACAAAGCAUCCAACCGAUGGAUGGCUCAAUAUCUGUGGCUGCUGCACCCAACGACCAUAAACCACUCCUCUUCCUCCAACCCUCUCUUCAAACCCAUCAGGCAAAGAUUCCUCUAUUGAACCGGUCCCCAGAGGUGGCUUCAGGGCAACAAAAAAUGGCAGCCCUGUUAACUCAAAUCCCAGAACAAGUUCUUGAAAUUGCUGCUUCUCAAGAAUUAUCUGGCUUCCAAAUGCACAGAAAACCACUGAUUUUUGCUCAAAUUUUCCAAGCCACUCAGCCCACUUGCCAUCCAGAGGUUGUUUCUCCUGCUCAGGCAAGACAGGGCCUGAUAGGAAAACUGGCUUCUGAUAUUGGCCGCCAAUGUAGUCACAAAAUUGUCCCUCCAGUUCCUGACAUGACCUUAUGGCAAUUGCAUGACAACCUUUUAAGGCGGUUAUGAUUCGAUCAUAGAAAGUCCUGGCACCGAAUUCGGAAGACAUAAAGGCCAAAACCUUUGCCUCGUGUUUUCUCAGCACCACAGAGGAAGAUGGAUAGCCAGGAGGUGGUUCCAUCAAUUCUUCCUCUGUUAAAGGCCUGUCUUUAGGCAUCUGUCGAGCGGGGACAAGUGCAAGUGCAAUGGAUGCCGCAGAAACAACAUUGUAGCACACAGUUUUAAACCCAAUUUUGGGAGCAAAAUCUGUGAUCCGAAAAGCAGUGUCAUAUAACACCACAUCAGGGUUAAGAUCACUCAGCGCAGCUUCAACUUGAUCACUCAUGUUGUCGAAUGCUAAUGCAAAAAGACUGUUCAAGAAAAUUGGGAUUUCAGAAGCGUUUUCCGUUCCUGGAGGAAGCCCUUCAACAUGAGGGACUGGAAGGACAUGAAAGGUGACAACAUCAGGAUAAAGAUUGCCGCAUUCGAGCUGAAUUUUAGCCUUUUUCGUCAACAAGUAAGAGACUUUGUGGCCUCUUUUAGCUAGCUCGUUUGCCAGGUGAAGGAAUGGUGUCAUAUGGCCUGUUGCUAGCCCUGGAAACAUGGCCACAUGCAGCCUUUUUCCCUCAGGACGAGGCAUCUCCUCCCAUGAUGAAGACAUUCUGAUUCUGAUUAUUAAAAAAAAUGAUGUACAUGAGAUUUUUGGCUUAUGUGUGUUGAAGCUCAUGUGCAUAUUUAUUGAUGCAGCAGUCACAUUCACAUUUGGCUCAAUUUAGUGAAGUUGGGUGGCUUUUCUAAAAGGUGGCAGAGAAACGAACGCGUCUAUAACGUUUUCUGCCAACCAAAAUACCGAGAAUCAUACAGUUUGAAUCCCAAAGUAGAUACAGUACUGAAUAACCUACAAGACAUAUAAUUACCCACCGGCAGAAAAUGGAGUAGAAGAUUGCUCAGAUUUACCAUAAAUCCUCACUUUCUGCCUCGGAAGCCAAUGCAGCAGUAAAAUCUUUAAGUAAAGCAAAACAGAAAUCGAAUCCCAAACUUCUUUUUUUUUUUUUUGCAACUCUACAGUAAGGUGUCCAUCCAAAAUUCCGCAAGGAUAAGAUAAAUUCGCAAAGCAGUUCUAUGUUGAUUAUGGUAAUCUGCCUUUCAACCCGAAGGAUCCUUGGUCGUCACUAUGCACUCUAAGAGGGAACAAAGACAUAAUUUCUCAAAUUUACAGUGAAAAGGGACGUUGUAAUCUGUGUCCAUUGUUGUUACCAGUACACCGUCCUUGAAUACAUACUUAAAAUCAAAACCAUGCCGAGAGUUUGGGAAGAAUCUUGCUUUCGUUGUUAUACUCUCGCUUGCUGGAUGACAACCACAUUCCAUUGGCACAACUAACCUCUUUCCUGGGCUUUUUAGUUGGCAAGCACACAUUUCUGUGCUUCGACUGUAUUUACUGUCCUCCAGCUUUUCGUCACCGACGUCGUUAGAACUGUCAGUUGCGAACAAUUUCCUCACUGCUGAUUGAAGACUAACAGAUAAAGAGGCAAUGGAAUCAUGAAAAUCUUCUACAGUUGCAGUGCUUCCUUCAAGUCUCCACUCAUAAUUGAGAAGUUUUAGCAACAACUGGUAAAGAUUGACCAGACACUGGGCGCAACAACGAUAAAUGCACACCAGAACAGCAUCACUUGAACCCGUAGAUAUCCUUGAAGAGCAACCCAAAGAAUUUUCCUUUGCAUUAUCAAAUGGCAAACCAUUUGGAGCCAAGGGCCAGCUUUCCUGGUUGCCAGUUUUCCCAGCAUCAGAGAGCUCCAUACCAUGUUUAUCACCAAAAACACCAAGGCCAUCCUUAAGAAGAACAGAAGAAUCUCUCUCCACAAAUCCAUUAGAAUGCUUAUUGCACUCCUCAUCUUCAACAAUUUCUGUAGGAUUCUUGGCAUCUAUAAGCAUGCAAUGCUCAUUACUAAUCCCAUUUUGCAGAUGACUUUGCAUACGUUCAACAGAGGAAGAAUGAUCUAGGAAACCUUGUAACGAGUCCUCCUUAUGCACAGAUGCAUCAUCCCCGUUCUGCAACCUUAAAUUAUCAUCUGCCAUAGUAUGGGCACCAACAUGGUUUGCUUUGACUUCCUGGGAAAUUUCUCCCGGCCCCACUGGUUCAUGCAAGAUUUCACUGGGAAUAGUUUGUUUGCAACCACUACCUUCAGGAAGACUGUCAUUGCAGGUAACUUGAUUGCUAAAAGAUCCCGCACCAAUUAGACUAGGACUUCCAUUCAAGGACUGAGCAUCCACCUCUAAGCUUAAGAACAAAAAAAAGGACACAAAAGAAAGUAUUUAGUAAAUGAUAAAUGAUGACAAAAUCGGAAAUGAAUCUAGAUACUAAGAUUCAUGACAGGAUUGGAUUACCUCCGUAAUGUAUAUGCCCAGCUAAUAACCAUAUCUUCAAAAUAUGCCACUUGUGAUAGUAGACGGAAGAAUUUAUAUUUAUCUUUACCAGCCUGAAUUUUUGUUUCAACAAGUGCAACCAGAAGCUCCAGAACUUUACGAAUCUCCAAGGAAAAUUCCCUAAGGGAUGCAUAUUCACCUCUAUAUGCUGAUAAACCAACAGCAAUUAGCCCCCUCACUACACCUGACUUAUCUGUAUUUUUAGCAGCAUUGGAACUAGAAGCAACAGCAACCCCUUCAGUUGAGUUCAGAGGACGAAAAAUGCAAGAAUUAAAUGGCCAGCCCUUCCAGGGUCCAUUUAUGUGAGUACAGGGACCUUGUUUCAACUUAGACGUGACCCAACAAAGCUCAGCAAAAUGAGGGUAUCGCAAAAUCUGAUAACCAAAUGUGGAUAUUGCUGCAAGCAAGUUGGAUUUCCCUUUUACAGUAUUGCAAGCUGCGACUGAUGGAACAGGAGCAAUCGGAUGCUUGCUUGAAGAUUCAAAGUUUGACUUUGGACCUGAACAUUGGUGUAUAGCAUUAAGACUAAGUUCACCAACACUGUGAUAUUUCUUCUGACUGGAUGAGUUUGCAUGAAUACUGUGACGACUCAAAUGAAUGAAGUACUGAACUAGAUCCAUCAAUAACUUCGUUGCAGAGGUAUCAAUUAUGGAAUCAUAAUUCAAAUGUUGAUCCACCUCCACUAAGAAUCGGGGCAUUGUAUCUUUCCAGGGAUUGGACAGAGCACAAUCCAACAUCUCAGACCUGAAAAAUUGCUUCACUCUAGAAGGAAGCUCUACAAAUGGUACUUCUGAGGUAGCCUGUUUGAAAACAAUUCAGAAUUUAGAUGAGCUUUUUCCAGCUCUUCAUUAUGCAGAGACUGAAAGUUAGCUGCUAGAAGAGAUUUACUGCAGACUAAGAAAUACACAUAGAAGCUUAACAGACAGUCAAAGUGAAUAGACGACACUAAAUAAAAAACAGACCACUACAUUGCGUGUUCUUUCCUUGUGACAUCCAUGGAGAUAUGGAUUAGGUCCAACUUAUUCUUUGAAAGAUUGCAGUGUAACUACUUUGUUUCACAAGAUCUUAAGCUAGACCAAGACAUUUUGCCUUUAUCAACAUAAAAGAAAUUGAUAUUUACUUAUGAAAGGGAUUCAGCAACUAAAGAACUACAAGCAGACGUACCAGAAUCAUCAAUGGUGUACGUACACAGAUAGAUUCGAACUGCUCAACAAAUGAGUUCCAUAGACAUGAGACAUUUUUGACAGCACCUUGGGACUCUGAAUUCCCCGCAAACUCCACAGUUGCACUCUGGCUAGAGGAAGGGGAAGCAGUUUGUCCGUCACAAGACUGAAUACAUGUCUCUACUGCCCAUAAAUCAAUCCUUGGCAGAAAUAACAUGCAUGAAUCCAAACUGGCACAUCUCACUGCAUCAAGAUGAAUAAGUUCAAAAGACAAAGUUAUACAAGCAUCAAAAUGAAUAAGUUCAUCCCAUUGUUUUCCAGUACAGGCAAUUUGGCCAAAUUUGUUAAAUUUUAUACACCACCACAAGCACAAAAUGGAUCACAGGCAUGUAAACCUCAUCCCUUAAAACAUUAAUAGUUAAAGCUGCAAACUUAAAAAUUAACCAAUAUCAUACAUGAAUGAGAAUAAGGCUAGAUUCAAUCAAGCGCUAGAGGGUCUUUAAACAAUCAGGACAGCUGGUUACUAGAGCUUUGGUUAUAAUUGACCUCCUAAAUUUCCUAUAAAUCAACCAUAAGGCAAACUCAUAAUCAGCUAAUACAAAUAAAAGUAGCAGAUUUGCUUCCUAAUCUAUGUGAAGACACAAGAUGCACAGGCAAGGCAAUUUUCAAUCUAGUAGACCCGAAAAUCUCAUAAUACAGUUCUAUUUACCUAAAUCUCAGUAAAGAUGUCAGUAAAGAAACAUACUCAGUAUUAGUGUUAGCCCAUUAACCACAUCUCCAUGCCCUUCCUGGGACAAAGUAGCCAAGUCAAGCUUUCGUAUUUCAAUAUUGCCAGAAAAACAGUGGAGAACACAAGAAGCAAGAUGCCUCUGGCCACAUCUGGCUUCCCCAGAAAUCAAAAUCCUAAAUCCUGAUUUAGUUCCUGGUUGAUAGGACAUGGUAUGAAGCAGGCCAGGGUGAGCAUAUACACACUGUGCCCUUGAAGGUUUAAACUUUAAGUAUCUGUCAUCAGCAACAUCUUCCAGGGGAUCAGAACAGUUCAUAGCAUCUGUUAGAACGGCAGCACUUGACAGGCUAUCCUGAAUCUUACCAACAAUAUCUGCAUCUUGAAGAAAAUCAUGAAGAUGCGAGCACCAGUUAUCACCCACUACUUUCUUCUCAUCCAAAGCAGAAAGAACCACAUGUUUAAUUACUGUUGCAGCUUUAUAAAGAGGUGGUGGCAACCACACAUGUUCAUCCAAAUAAAGGGAAACAAGCAAUUUGGACAGUGGUUGUAGCAGACAAGGAAUAAGAUGGGCCGGAAGAGGCGAGGUUACCAAAUCAUUUGCAGCAAUUCCAGCUUCUCUGCGGGAACAAGGAGGUGGUGCUGAUGAAAGAGCAUCUAACCAAUCUCUCUCUUCAACAGUGAAAGAUGGGAGACGAGGGAGUCUAUCCAAACAGGCAUUGUCUCCAGCACCAGAUAGAAGUUCAUGCAAAGGAUAGUUCCUCCUCAAAGCAAUAAUGGCAGCUUGAGUGCAAAGAGCCUGCAGAUCAGCACCAGCAAAUCCCACAGUUCUCCUUGCUACCCACUUAAGUAAUGAGCCACUAAUUUGUUUGGGCCAUUUCUGAGUGUGUAGUGCCAGAAUUGCCUCUCUGUCCUCUGUCGAUGGCAGUGGGAAAUAAAUCUCACGGUCAAACCUUCCUGGCCGCCUUAAAGCUGGAUCAAUAGCAUCAGGACGAUUUGUUGCACCUAUUACAACAACUGAACCUCGAGAUUUUAAACCAUCCAUUAAAGCAAGCAAAGUAGAAACAACUGAACUAUGUGUCUGGUCUUGCUGUCUAGUACGGCAAGGGGCCAAGCCAUCUAUUUCAUCAAAGAAAAUAAUUGAAGGCUGAGACUUUUCAGCAACCUGAAAAAGAAGUCUCAGCUGACGCUCAGCAUCCCCAACAUAUUUUCCCAAACAAUCCGCGCCUUUGCGAGCAAAAUAUGCAAUUCUUUUAUCACCACGAGAACAUGAACCAAUUAAUGCCCGUACAACCAACGUUUUGCCUGUCCCAGGAUAUCCAUGCAACAGAACUCCUCUGGGAGGUGUAAGCCCCAGGCUACCAAAAAACUCGGGGUAUAACAGUGGUAGAAUGACCACUUCCUUCAUGCAUCGUAUGACAUCACGAAGACCAGCAACAGAUUCCCAACCCUGAAACUGAAUCUCACUGUCACCGCUUGAGCCCCCAAUAUAUGUGGGUGCAAUUCUCAGCAAAUCCCGAUGAAGUCUCUUGCCCUCACGCUUCAGAAACUCCUCAUCCUCCCCACAUUGCUCUAACCAUUUUUCUUCUGAUUCAAUAUCCUUCCUUAAUGCAUCAUUUGACAUCUUUCUAAUUUCCAACUUCAUUUUUUUUAACUUCAUUUUCUUCAGUCGGAGUAAAUAUUGACUUCCCUGGGGUUGGAAGAUAUGUCGAUGAUCUGUACAAGCAAUCAGAAAUUUGCGAUGAUCAAAGAUGCAACCACUGGCUCGUGCACAUGGCUGCAAAAUGUCACAAUUGAGGCAGAAGAAGAGUUAUAUCGAGGAACAUACAACUAUCAAGGGAAAAAGGACAUAUGACAAUGACUUAGAGAAACAAACAUAAAAGACCACAGAUGGGCCUUAAUUAGAAAAAAGAAGAAAAGAAGGAAAACUGACCAGGUGGUAAGUUUUUGGACAGCGAUCAACACGGCACCCGAUCGUUGCUCCUGGCCUUCCACAGCGGGUGCACUUCAAAACCCUUCCCCUGUAAAGUGCUGCCCUAACAUUUUUCAAGCAACCCAAGCCAGCAAAAUAAACCUGAAAACAGAAACAAGAAUGGGAAUGUACCAUGAUGACAGGCUCAGGAAACGCAUUAAAGGAAUGAAUGAUAAAUACAACAGUAAAUCCACAUAGAAGAAAGUACAUAAAGGCCAGUCAGCAUACAUAUUAAGGAAAAAAGCCAAGUGUACAUAAAAUCAACCAGUUAUUGUUGCUAACUUCCUACAAAAAUUUCCAUCAUAUAGCAAGAACUGAGAUGGUAAAAUGUUGAGUCCUGAUAACCUUAUAAACACACAGUAUCAGUAAAUGAAGUAAAACAAACAAUUUAUAGCCACAAACCAAAGAAGAAAAGGAAAUCAAAUAAGGAAUAAAAAAGACAGAGGGACAUCAGCCACAGAAACAAAACUACAGGAAAGCAUAGAUCGCAGAGUGGCUUACACUCAAGUUAGCAAAUCAAACAAAUUAUACAGCUAACAAAAGGAAGAAAAUGCUAAAGAAACUGAAAUCAACAGUAACUAAUGGGGUGCUUCAGCAAAAUUACAAGCACAAGUGAAUGGAACAAAUUCUACCAGGAAAGUAAAGAGGGGCAAAACUCCCCUACCACUUUAUAUGCUAUGGUUAUUAUUUGUCCGUUCCAAAGUAGUUUUCAUGAUUUAGAAAUUCAAAGAAAAGAACAAAAUUUUUACCAAUCUUAACCUUGUUACAACUUCCUAAGUAAUAAUACUAGUAAUAAGACCAACACCAAACUGAAGGCAACAAUGUAAAAGAAAUGUUGCCAGCUAAUGAGUAUUAGUCAGAACUCAGAACUAAAAUUAAUUCAAUGUAUGUAUAGUUUAGAUAAGAAAAGAUAAAACAUGUUGGAGGGAGUGUACAGUAUAAAUGGAAAUGAAGUUUUUCACCUUCCAAGAUGCUUAUAAUCCAUUACACAUUCAGCUUAGCUGUAACUCAAGGACCUUUAAGCUUUAGUCAAUAAGAAUUACUAUUAGCCUGCUCAUUCAGAAUGUGAAGUAUUCCCAACAUAGUGUCAUGGAAAAAUAAAAACCAAAGGUGUACCUUCAUAGAUCUACCAGCUAAAAAGAUAUCUACUCUUUGUGCAAGUAAAAAAGAGUUCUGUGGUACCUAAGCAGCAUAGUCAGACAUGAACUUUUGUCCUGUUCUCAAAUUCCCUAUGUUGCUCUAGGACCUUUGCAGAUAUAACCUCUUACCUCACUUAAGUGCAUCUGACGCUAGACUCAAGCCAAACUGCCAUGUAGUAAUGGCUGUUAAUGACCAAAGGUUUGAUCACCAUCUCACUUUAAACUGUGGGCACAGUAUUGUCCAUGCUUAUAUAGGCAUUACUGAACAGGAAAGAUUACCAAAGAGGCAAUGUGUGCAUUGAAUCCAUAGCUAACACUUCGUAGUUUUCAAGUAAAUAGUCUCACUGGCAAAUUUUCCAUCUCCAACUUUAUUAAUGAACUCAAAACUAAAAUAAGAUCUUCUAAUAUAUAUGGUGACUAUUAUACAUAUGUCUACACGUAGAUAAACCAGGAAUAGAAAAUAAGGAGAAACUAGGAAAUGAUUCAAAUCUACAUUCAUUAGUAGCAGUAGUGAUCAUAACAUGCAAACAUUCCAAAUAUGAUUAAUUACAAUCUUUUCUGCUUUUUUUUCCAAAGAAACUUCCCCAUUCUCAUAUCUAGAAUAAAGAAUAACUGAACCGAGCAUUUCCAAGUGAGAUAAAUAAACAAGAGUUCUAUUAGGGAGAGAAAAGUUGUGGCCUCAUGAAAAUGGGAAAAGAAACAUGGAAAAUAGACCAUACCUCUGGACUCCAGACAGCACACUGUUGAUGCACCCAAAUUCCAGCUAUACCAUAGCGAUCAUUAACAGGACCCAAGAGUCGUCCAAGCCAGCCAAGUUCAUCACCAAAACCAUCCCAAAUGUCAUAGUUGGGUUCUUCAGAAGCAGAACCCCCACUACUUGCUUCAUCGUCAGUUCCAUUGCCAACUUGUACAAGUUUCUUUGGUGGUUUUCCAUCAGUACCUCCUCCACACAAACCACAAUGCCUUCCCUCUUUUAUACGAAUUGGUUUCAGUUUACUGUUAAGUAAACCAUUGGAAACAUGAUUUUUCGUGCCAAACUUCUCAGAGGAUUCUUCUUCUAGAGGCUUCCAAUUAGCUUCUUCAAGUUUUGUUUGGUCUACCAUGGUUCCAUUUUCUUCUUCUAGAGGUUUCCAAUCAGCUUCUUCAACUUUUGCCUGGUCUGCUGCGGCUCCAUAUGCUUCUUGUAGAGGCUUCCAAUUAGCUUCUUCAACUUUUGCCUGGUCUGUUGUUGCUCCAUCAACUUCCAGAGCAUUAUUUGGGUGCUCUUCCAUAACACAUGCUACCUUAUCAACCUGCAGUUGAACACUGUCAUUGCUAUCAUGCUUCUCUAACUGUGAACCAGUCCGAACUUCUAUCUGCUCUUUUUCAACCGACUUUGAGGAUCCAAGGCCAUCUUUGGUUCCAUCAUCAUUACCACAUCCUUUUUCAGUCUUCAACAGUAAAUCACUUCUGUUAUCACUCAAUUGCGCCCACUCUUCUUCAUCCAACAUUUUCUCAUCCACCAUACCACCACCCAAACCAACUUGUUGCUGCUCACUCUCUAAAAGACUCAAAACUUUAACCUUCCCCUCUGCAGCAGAUGAAUCCGCACCUAGAAAUCCCUCCUUAAUAUCAAUCUCCUUAAUUUCCAAUGCCCCUUCUUCCUUAACACCAUCAAAAUCCUGAAAAAGUUUCCUCCUCCCUUUCAGUGAGAAAUGCCCCUUCUCCCUUCCUCCAUACUCUCCAAAGCUCACAGAUUUACCCCUAGUUCUCAACCGUGACCUCCAACUACCCAAAUUUUCCUCCUCUUCCUCCAACUCCUUUGAAGUAGAACACGUAUUCUCAUUCUUCACCCCAAUUCGGACAACUCUUUUCCCUUUAUGCACACUACUCACCCUUCCCUUCUUAUCAAGUCUCCGUCUCUUCUUUGGUGGCAAAGGCGAAGCAUCGAGCACCUCAGGAGCCCUUCGAACCCGAGUGCUCCGGCGACGCUCCGUUCCAUCCCCAUCCACAUGACCCGCAUUUAACAGUUCCCUCUUCUCCACCCCGCUAUGGUUCCUAGUAUAAACAUUUUCGCAUAUUGCAUCUAAUCUCUUAUGCUUUUUCUUACUCCUAGAACUUCUCAAAACAUUAUCUUCACUCCUUUCCACCACAGAUUCCGACCUCGAAAAUCGCAUGACACUAAUUCCCAAUGUAUAAAAUUUAAGUGGUAUAAAAAUUAAUUGCUCAAAUAUAAGUCAAGGGCAUUUAGAUUCCGAAAAAUUCAGCAAAAGGGUCUUGAAUUUUAUUGUCCCAGAUUAAGAAUCUAAUACGAAUUGGCAAAGGAGGGACUUACCUCUGAUCAGCUGAUCAUCGAAAGCAGAGAAAAAACAAAAACCCAAAAAAAGGCCCCUUGAAAAGAUUAAUUUUCGAGCUAAGUUUUAGCUUAUGGAGCGUGAAUCACAAACGAGAUUUGAUUUUUGGGUUCGAUUUUUCAAACUUUAAAAUGACAGGGUGCGAAGGAAGAGGAGGAGGAAGAAGAAAGGAGAAUGCUAGGGCGGAGGAGUUGAGAGGGUUCAAGGGGUGGAGUGUUAUAUAUGUAUGUGUAUAUAAGAACCGGUGAAGGUAAUUGAUAUUCUGGCAUAUUAAUUUUUUCACGCGCGAAGAAGGAUCGGUGUCAAUUGGGAUUCGUUUGAGGAGGGGAAAAACUUUUGGUCCCGCGAGGAAUUGCUGACGUGGCAGGAGAUGUGCUGAUGUUCACACGCGCUAAUUGGGUGAGGCUGGGGCUUGUGGAGGAAAAUAGGAAUUGAAAUUAAAUUUUAUUUUUUUCCCACCAAAUCUUACCGCCAAAUAGAUGUUAAUUUUCUGAAUUUUUUCUACUGUAUUUUAUUCCAAUGUUAAUUUUUUCUGAAAAUCAGCAAUUUGCUGACCAUAACAAAGUUGAUUCUCCUAAAACAUAUCAUUUAUAUGUUACACGCAAAAUUAUUGCAUAAAUUUUGUAUUCUCUUACCUUUCAUUUUUUUAAACGUCCCCAAAUAAAAAUUCAGAAAAAUCAAAGCAUAUAGUUUUUUUCCGCUCUGUUAUCCCAUUAUGUUUUGGUAGAUGACGCCAUUCAAUUGCAAUUUGAAUGGUAAAAUUGGAAUAAUUUGAACAGCGAUGAACCCAUCAUCAACACACUGGUUGAAUUCUUGAAAUUGUUGUUGGAGAAGGAAAGCUCAUGAAGAGUGUAUGUAUAUAUAUAUAUAUAUGCAAUUAGCACAAAGAAAUUAGUCCGAAAUGAAGAUCAUAACAAGGCAGGUGAACGUAAAGAGAUGUAGAGUGGCAACUAGACGCGAUUUUCAAAUAGAAACUCAACUUUUUCAGGAGAACCACGUAAUCUCCUUGCAGUAAUUUGCAGAAGAGCACCAUCUAUAAGCAUGUGUUGUACCACUCUUGCAAUAUUUUUGGUAUCAUCUAUUCCAAGAUGGUGACUUCCUAGCAGUGGAAUUCGGAGUUCCCUCAUCAUUGAAACCAUUCCUGGAGCCUGACAAUCAAAAAGAAGCCAACUAGUGUAAAACAGGAACUAAGGGCAACCCAAAACUAUGAGAGGUUUGAGGAGGAUGGCAACAAUCUGAGAAGUUUAUCACUAUAACACAAACUUAGUCCAAUCAACAGCAGCAGCUGCAAACGAGCAUUGGGCUGAGAUGAAACACUCUAUAAAAUGCAUAAACUCACAGACACACAGCCAAUCUCACACUAAUGCAACGUUCUCUGAAAGCAAAUUGUACAGUAACAUGGCGGUCACACAACUAAAUCAUGCCAACCUAUGGUUCACUGAGUCAGCUGAAUCCAAAGGGAAUCAUUUCGAAAUCAGAAAUGUGUAAGUACAGCAAACUCACCCUUCUAUUAUAAAAGUUCAAAAAAAUGUCCUUUAGAUUGAUCCAUUCGGUGAAAUAUGAUGGAAGUGCCAUCCUUGAUACUUUGCACUGCGCAGGGAUCUUUGUCUUCAAAUCCCAAUUUCCGCUGGUACAUGUAAACCAACAAUACAUAGUUAAUUAGAAAAAACUAAAGAAUGUUGCUUUGUUUUCAGAACCUAACAAGCAUUGCAACUCCUUUUCAGACUGGAUCAAGUCCUGUUUAUUCUCCAUCUCCAAAAUCCUAGUGGUUUUAUGAGUUUGUUUAGGAUCAUAUUUAUCCUUUCUGAUUAAGUAAUGUAGGCCUCAACAAUAUCAUCAACACUUUAAAACUAAAUGAUAGGGGAAUCAAAAGAGAAAUAGAAUGCUACAAACAAAGUUUUUUUUUCCAAGUUAAAAAGGAGCUUUUGGAGUUCAGCAGAGGACCCAUAUGUUAUUAGGCUCUCACAGUUUCAAACUUUUAACAUCUGAAUGUUCAUAAAAAAAUAACAAGUUAAAGUACAAAAACAAAGUUUAUCCAUUCAACAGAAUUCAUAGGCGUUCAUUCUACACCUCUCAGAAGGCAUUGAUAAAAUAUGACAAUUUGAUCCAGCGAAGUAGGGCAUUGAUAAAAAUGACUCAAGGGUUAUGUCAACAUCACUAAGACAAGCAACUUACCAAGUUAUAAAUGCAGCUCUAUUUAGACGACCACCUGGCUUUUUGACCCAUAAAUGAUGCUUACCCAACCACUCUUCAAAUUGUUGAAUCACUUCAUCAAAUGGGAUGGCAGUAUCGUGCCAAACCCUGCAUAAAUAAAGAACCAUGAAAUGGCUCAAGAUAGUAUACUUGUUCCUUUUUUUUGGUUUUUUUUUUUUUGUGGGUGGGGUAGGGGGGUAGCAUAAUCUCUGGGAAAUGAAAUUCUAAUCUCAUCAAAAAUAGGACAAACAUGCUUUAGGAAAAGAAAAAUUAAGUCCAAGUAAGAUUCAUGGUUGGAAAUUAUAAUGUGAAGAUGAAAUAUUAAAGCUACCAACGUGUGUCCUUGAAAAAGAAAUACCAAUGUGUAAGUGAACAAGUUAUGCAACUGAAUUUUCAAAUUUAUAGCAACCUUUCCUUCAAUUGCAAUAUAGUUUGACAAAUACAUCAAUCCACAAUGAGUAAACUCCGAAAUAAAGCAAAUGGAUAUACAAGUGAAAUCACUAGAUUCACCGGUGAAUCAAGUAUUUAGAUAACAGAGCAUUCAUCUGGUGAAUCAAGUAUAUCAUCAGUCCAAAAAAAAAACUAUCAAGAAUCAAGAUUCACCGGACAAGCCCAGGUAAUAGAUUCAACAGAUAUAAAAUAGCAUCAGCUGAAUCAAACAGGCCAGCAAGUAAACUAAGUUUAGCGACUUGGACAGAGAAUUAGUAAUGUACCUGUCAACUCCUAGUUUUCCGUAUUUUCCGUCAAUGUACUGAUUUAUUCUUUGCUCACCCAUCUGGGAAGGCCUCACAAACCUGUCAAAAGUUUAGGAAAACCAGAAGAAGCAUUAAUCAUUUAAAAUCACACUCAUCACAUAAAAAUUAAACAAAUUUUGCUAACAAGCAAACAAUUAGCACCGUAAGGUGUCAAGAUAAAUUUACUAGCCAUAAUAUACUCCAUCCAUGGUUUACCAUUUACUUUCCCCAAGUCCCCUUUUUGGACGGUGAAGAUAUUACGUCCUUAACUGCAAAGGAAAGUUUUCCAUACCAAAUAUCAAAUCCUACAUCCUCCUAAUUACUUUCACAUGUAUCCCACUCACAUUACCAGCUAUAUCAAGCUAUUGUUACAGUAGAACCCAUUUUAUCAAAAAGACAAACUCCAAGUACGAAAAUAAAUCCAUUUAGAUGCAAACACCCAUAACAUGAAUCCAGUAAUCAUUUCGACGUAUGAAGCAAACUUCUUCACAGUUACACUCAAAGUCAAAUCACUAACCGAAUCAAAUUCCUCAUUAUUGCAGUACAUAAACCAAUGGAUCAUUUUUUUUGGUUUUCAACCAUGUCAACUAUUCUAGUGUUGAUAGACUGCCUUAGAAUGAGCUCAUGUAAAGUUAAUACCUAAAGGGACUAAUGUAAAACAAGAAGGAUAUUUCCACAACAUUACACGGGGUCAUGUUUCCAAAGCAGUAAUUUAAAUUUUUUAUAAUUUUUUUUAACGAAACCUGUGGAAGAAGUCGAUGGAAUUCAUGGUUUUGGCAUUAAGUAAGAGCACAGGAAACUCAAGAAUCUCCACUUUGCCCUCCAAAUCAAGCACAAGAAAGUAAUCGAACUCCUGGGACUUCAGCUUCUCCAACUGACAUGUUUCCAACCCAAGCCCAGAUGAGAGAUUAUGGUUAAACUUCCCCAAAUGAACAGGGUCAUCUGUCUAUCCAAAGAGGGGGAAAAACCAUAAAAUUUACUAAAGUUUUUCCAGAUAAAGCACAAAACAGAAAUACUAUAAAAGACAGAAAAAUCAUAGGGAACUAUUACACUAAAAGCAGCAAAAGGGCAAAAGGGCUCACCUUAGUACACUUACCUUGGGUGUAGUACAAACAUAAGGGCUUCCAGCGGUUGAUUUUGAGGGGAGCAGAAGCUUGGAUUGGUGAAGAGGUGGAUUCUUCUUUUUCCAUGAAAGCAGAGGCUCCGAGGCUAAUGCUGCGUUUGGGGUGAAGAGAAGGGAGUGUUGAGAGAGGUGGAAGUACGGGAGAUAGAAGAGGAGCACGACGGACUAACGAAGAAAAUCUUGGAAACGUCAUCUGGAUGAUGACCCUGUUUUAUCCAAAUUGGGGGGGUUUUAGUACCGGGGAGUGUGGGUUUAGGAAAGGCCCUUUUUUCCUUUUAUUUGACUCUCACAGUCUCACGGUAGAAGUUCCAUGUCAAUUUAGUGUCCGCUGAGCGCCGAGGAAGUCUCAGAAUUCCAGAACAAUUUGACGGCUCCAGGCUCAUGGGGAGGGCCGGGUGGCUCAGGACAUUUUUUGCCUUUUAAUGGUGGCUCAGCUUGUGGACUCCCUCGUAAUAAGGUUCAGGUUCAGGUUCAGGUUCUAAGAGUCUCUCUUCUUCUUCUUCUUCUUUUUUUUUUUUUUGGAAUAAUAUCAGAAACCUUGCUUAAGGUUUCUCCUAAUAUCACUUGACGCCCCUAAUGUUUUUGAAAUAUUACUUACCUUCCCUAAUAAUUAGAAAGAGACUAUAUUAACCCUUAUUUGACACAUAAUUCACAUAUCAAAUAAUUUUUUUUUUUAUUUUUUAGUGUAAGCAAGAGGACUCGAACCCGAGACCUCUCACUUACACUCCCUCCCCCCAUACCACCCAACCUAACCCUUCCCCUCCCUUUUUUUUUAAAAAAUUUUUUUUGUUAUCAGCAACGAUACAUUUGUAUAAUCUAUUCUAUCCUAAUCUAGGAAGAGAGGAAGCCUAAGGAGACUGUGAUAGGGGCUAGUGGGUAUACAUCAUUCUCUUCAAAAAUUUUAUAAAAAAAACUAAAGUCACUUUUUUCACUUUCCCUUUUCUACAUCAUUCUCUAUUACUCAUUUUUUGGAUGAUUAUGCAAUAUUUUAUUUAUAAAUUAUAAUAAAUUCAAUUUUGUUUAUCUUUUAUUUUGUGAUUGUGAUAAAGUGAGGUAUGAUUUAUUUGCUUAUUUUGAGUUGACUUUUAUGAUGAUUAGUACAAUUUAAUAAUUUGGGCAAGGAUUGAGAAGAUGUUGAAAAAAAUAUAAAAGUUCAUAAGAAAUCGAUUUUGACCAUAUAGAAUUAAAUUAGUGCAAGUGCAUUUCUUUUCAAAUAUCUUUUUUUUAUUUUUCAAAUUUAUAUUUUUAUGGGAUAUAGCAUUAUGACGUGAUAGUACCACAAGAGAUUAGUUUUUAGAUGAUGGUUUCUUAAAAUUAACAAAGUAAUUUAGAAAUAUUUUUAUUUAGCAGGUGAAAGGGUCGUUUAGGACUUUUAAAAAUUUAGUAACAGAAGUAAGGAAGGCAAGUGAUCUUUUUAAAACUUUACGAGUGUCAUGUGAUAUUGAGAAAAAUCUCAAGGGAAGUUUCUGAUAUUAUUCCAUUUUUUAGGAUGAAAUAAAUGUUUCAUUUAUUCAAAUCACAUAUUAUAGCUUUCAUCAAUGAAGGUUCGAAUCUCACUACCAACAGUCAAAGACUCCGACCUAUAAUAGUAAUAUAUUAUAAUAACCACUAUAAAUUGCUGAAAAUUGCGCCGAUGACUGCCAUAAUUAUGGUAGCCAAUUUUGAGGUGACCUCAAAUUUAAGUCUUGACACAUAUGUAACCAUUUUAAUCUUUACAUUGAUGUAGUGAGAAAGAUAUUACAUAGUCGUGAAUAAAUCAAUCACUUCUUUUAAAAACACGCAAAAUAAUACUAGUAUCCUUACUUUUAUACUAGUGGGAAUACCCGUGCUAUGCACGGUGCUGACAUUAUUGAAAAAAAAUAAAAUUGUGAACAAAUAAAGGUGAAAAAAUUUUACCAAUAAAAUUAAAAUAUAAUAUCUAUUUAACAAUAAUUUGAAAUAUAAUAGAAUGUAUAUAUCAUUCAAGAACCGUCUUUUUUCGGUUGUAUGAGAAUUUUUUUUAUCAUUGUAUGAGAAUUGUUAACAAAAAAAUACAAUAGUUAAUAUAGAAUAGCAUCAAUAUAAUUUAAUACAAUUGUGUUGUAAUCAAAUGAAAAAUACGCACCAAUUGAAUUGUUAUUAGCACCCAUAGUUAAAGAAGCAAUCCCUAUAUAAAAAUAUUUUGGUACAUGUAGUAAUUGGUAAUUUAUAAAAUAAAAUAAAUUGCUAAUCUAUAAAAUUGUUAAGUUGUCUAUAAAUAGCAUCAAUAGAAUGUAAUAUAAUUGUAUUGUAAUCGAACAAUUGUAAUACAAUUGUAUUGUAUUGUAUCUAUAGUUGAUUUAGCAAGAUAGUGCAGCCAAAAAGUGAGUAUGUAAGAUGAGUAUGACGAUAUAAGAAACUGUAUAUUUACCAUGAUCAUGCAAAAUCAUUGGUGAUGUGGAUGCCUGGCGAUCUCGAGGAUAGUUAGAUUUCUCAUUUCUUUGAUCUAGAAAUAAAAUAUAUAUUAAAUUAAAAAUCAAUAGUUUAUGUAUUUAUUUUAUGUGUAAAUAAUGAUACAUUGUAUGAGAACUGUUAACCAAAAAAAUAUAAUAAUUAAUAUAGAAAUAGCAUCAAUAGAAUUUAAUAGAAUUGCAUUGUAAUCAAAUGAAAACAAUUACAAAGAAGUGGUUACCUGAACUAAGGAAUGUAGUUUUAAAUGCUCAAAAGUGCCUUGACGAUUGCACAUAUGUCAGGGGCUUGGUGAGUUUUUUGCUCCUCUUGAAUCAUUUUCUUUUUUCUAAUUGUAAUAUAUUACUUGCAAGUGUUAAGUAGGACUUGGCUCUAACCUUUCGUUUAAGUACUUUAAGCAAUGAACUAUUUAUUCCAUGAGUUGAAUUGUGCUGUUGCUAGAUAGAUGAAUCACGUAGUUGUAAUUGUCAUUGUUGAUAAAGAAAAGAAAGGCUAGAAUGCAAUUUUGCCAAAAGGAUUUCUGACGAAAUUAAAAAUUAAUCCAAUUUUAAUAAUGGACGUAUAGUGUCUUAGUUAUUAGUAGUAUCUGAAUUGUUUUUCUCCAAUUAUAAACCAUUUUUAAUUAUUUUUUUUAAUUAUCAAAAAAUCUUUUUUUUUUAUUUCAUGCACGAUCAUUUUUGGAAUAAAAUUAUGAAAAUAACUAUCAUAACACCUAUUUUAUGUGAUAAAUGUGCAAUAAAAAUAAUUAAAAAAAUUUCAGUAAUACAAACAAAUAAAUUUUUAUAAUAUACAAUUUAUGUUAGAAAUAGUAGAACCCUUAAUCAUGAACUUAUACCAUCCGCAAUUAUAUAAGCAAGCAAUACCUUUUUAUCUUUGCUUUACAGUGUAACAAUAAGCAAACAACCGUUCAUAAGAUUUUGUAAAAAAUUUUCAGAAAUAAUGGAUGAUCAGAAAAUCAAUGCAAUAUCAUUCAUGACAAAAAACAAAGCAAAAGCAAAACAUACUUAAAAGACAGAGGGGACUGACCUGGAAAAUUAAGCCGGCCGCAAGAAGGUUGAUUUCUGCUGGAGUCUCUGCACAUAAUAUCUUCCACUACUGCUCACAAAAGAAACAAAAUCAAUACAUUUACAAAAUCAAUAGAGAACCCAAAACAAAUAAGAAAUUGAGAGAGAGGGUGAGGGAAUUAACUCGAUAAGUUAAUUAAGUCGAUCAGUAAAAGAAGAAUUUGUAGGAGUAAUUGUAGGAUGAGUUAAGAUAGUGGGAUGGUGGGAGUGAGAUAGUGGGAAUAUUGAUUGAUGAUAAGGUGAUAGUGGGAUAGUGGGAAUAUUGAUUGGUGAUAAGGUGGAUUAUAACCCACUAAUUUUUUACGUAUUAAAAUAAAUACAAAAAUAUGAGUUAAGAUAGUGGGAUGGUGGGAGUGAGAUAGUGGGACUCAGUGGGAGUAUUGAUUAGUGAUAAGGUGAUAGUGGGAUAGUGGGAAUAUUGAUUGGUGAUAGUGGGAUAGUGAGAAUAUUGAUUGGUGAUAAGGUGGGUUAUAACCGACUACUUUUUUAUGUAUUAAAAUAAAUACAAAAAUCUAGAAAAAAGUAUGACAAGUUUAGAAGGCAUUGAGAGGGUUUCUGCUAAAAAUCCCUUCCUGAAUACAUAUAGAUAUAGAUUUGGUUAUGAUUUUUUUUUUUUUUUUGGUUUUUUUAAGAAAAGGAUUGACUUAUACGGAUCUGGUGCACACAAUAUCUUAGAUUAAUAAUGUCUUUAUUAACUAAGAAGUCUGAAUGACGAAUAGAAAGUAGCUUUGAUCUGAGCGGUUACCGAGGCACAAUUAUUCGAGUGUAGGGCUGAAAAUCUAUUCGUGGCAUUUCCUUACCAAACAGCCAACGUACCCCGAUUGCUCGAUCUUGAACGUGCCCGUGAUGGACAGACUCUCUUUUCAAACUGAAGUGCAUGAAGUUGGCAAUAUACAACCAAAGACACUGUCAGUUACCCAUCCUGAAACUGCUAGUCAGAUUUAAAAGCACCAAACAAGAAAAAUAAGGCCUUUUUAAGUUUUUAACACCUCCAUCACUGUCAAAGUGACAGAGGAACAUUCUACGUUACAGUUUCAAAAUUUGAUCGGGAAAUUUCAGGGAGUUUGGAAGAAACAUCUGAAACUAAUAAAUCUUGCUACCAUUACCAAACCUUGAUAGGUCAUUUUGCGUCACCCAGUAAAAUCUUCUAUAACCCCAGGUUGAGCAGCUCCUUUGCUCAUUGUGCGCAUUUCUUCAAUUUCUACUAACAACAGAGGGUCACAUAUCAAUCUCUGCACCUGCAACUCUUUAGGGCAACCUGCAAGAAGAAACAUCCAGGUAAACCCAAGGAAUAUGAAUAAAGAACAAAGGAACGAAGGAACAAAGUAACAUAAUAAUACUUGCAACAUAAGAUAUGGAAGUAAAUACCUGCUACAGGACAAGGGCAGUUGGAUUUCAUGGAUCUCAUGUGAUACAUGAUAGCGUUCUUGUCAUAAACAUGCUUGCAGUCCAUGCUGCCUCAAUGGAUAAAAGAAUGAAGUCAAACAAAUAGAUAGCAGAAUAAACGAUACAAGGAAAAACUAUCAGCCCUCCACGUCUUAUUGCAGCCAAAACAAUUCAGUUUCAGAAAAUAAUAACAAAAACCAUCACUGACGCUUGUUAUGAAUCUGAGGAGCUGAUUUGCAAUCAAGGAGUACUUAUGGCAAUAAGAACCAGACCACUUGCAUGAGAUUCCUAACAAGGCACACACAAAAGAUGGUAAACCUUCAACUUCAAUCUAAAUUUGUAAUCCCAUCUGCCACAGUCUUUUCCUUUUACUCAGUCCAUGUGGGUUCCCUCGGCAUGUAAUUCAAAAAUGAUAUAACAAAAAUAAAAAUGUGCAAUAUACUAGUGCUGUAAUUGGUUGAUACACAUUCAGUUCAUUAACCAUGAAUCAGCAUAUGUAUGGCUUUGGUUUCAAAACUUCUUCCACUACAGAAGCAAUACCAACAGUAUAACUCUCCUCAUCAAGCAAGAAUAGGAAUGCUAUGCCAAUAUUUUGCAACAAUACUGCAGCCUUUAACCGGCAAGGCUGGAUGGAUCAAAUAUUAUGCUGCUUCCAUGAGAUGGUACACAAAGAUAAUGUCUCAUUGCAGAGGAAGAGUAAAAAAUUAGCCAGGUCAUACAAUCAUAGUCAAAAAUAAAUAAAUACAGUUUUUGUUAGAAUACACGUAGAAAUGUAGAGAUGCAUUUGCCCAGACUUCAUAUUCAUCCGACCACAGAUAGCGAGACAAAACAUAGAAAUUUCUAUUAUCUUAGUAUUUAACAAUAAUUAUAUAUAUUUGACCACUCCUAUAGACGGAAAAGAGAGGUAUACUCAGAGACCUUCGCACUGGGUCUGCUAGUUCAGUGACUGGCUUCCCAGUCACUGGGCAAGUUUUGUUGAGAAUAUUGCUUUCAGUACUGGUCAUCACAAUGUCCUCCUGCUCCUCACCUGGCAUUGGGAUGCCUGAAUGAUGAACAUUCUGCCCAGCCAAAAAAAAAAAAAAAAGCUUAUACUAUGACAAGGAAAACAUAUAUACAUAUGUAGGACAUUCCCAAGAGUAUUCAAGAGUUAAAAACUAGAAGAAAAACCUCUGUAACAGACUAACAAUUAGGGGCGCUUUGAAAAACAACAAUGAAGCAAGGCCAAGCGUCAUACAAGACCAAAAAAUGAACAAAAUUUUUUAAGUAAUUUAACUUCAUAAUUUGCAUGUGCUGUAGAGUGAUAGACUGCACAAGUAUACCUUAAUGUCGCAUGAGCAUCAUUUUGCAUAUCACACAGUUGCAGGAAGGGCUGGUAAUCAUGUAAAUUACAAUCAAGUGCAUGACACUUUCGUAAUUGCAGUUAUAUUGAACAAGAGAUGAAGAUAAUAGCACAGAGUGGAUACAAAGCAUGCUUUAAGAUUACAAUUCUAUAGUAAAUAGACAUACCCAGACAGCUUCCCUAAAUUGUCGUAAAAACUGAUGGUUUUGUGAAGUUGAUGAUGAAGUUGCCUUUGAUUUUGUAAUCUCAUCAUCCAGUAACUUCUUAAAAUCCGUUAGCUGCUUCUCAAAGAGCAUGAUAGAUGACCAGUGAAGUGAAAAAAAGUGAACAGAUUUUGUCACUGCAAUGACUUAAAAGGAGAUUUAUGAUUAGAGCAAGAGAUAUACCUCCUGCCUGGGUCGGUACUCAUUUCCAACAGACAGAAUAGCAGUUGAAAGAUGCAUGCAGUCAUCAGAAGCUUCUAACAGUUCUGCUACUCCAUUUUCAAGCUCUUUAACCUGUGUCAAUAUUGAAAACCAAUUCCCUAAGAACUUGUGAGAAGAAAGUUUGUAAAUACCUCUAAGAAGGUUUCAUUUGAUAAAUGACUUCAUCAGAUAUCAAAAAUAAAGGACCACCAUCUUGCACAAAUGCACCUAUCACGUAAUUGGAAUUUGUUCUGCUUCAUCAACUUUUCAGAAUCUUAUGUUUAUAUCCCAUUGUUCAUUGACGCUUAGCCACAUACAUCCUUCAAAAUCAACUGCUCUAAUAUGCAUAAAUUACACCAACAGACCUUUCCAAACACUAGACCUUAAAUCAUGCUUUAUGCAACAACAUUUAAAAUUCGUUCAGCGACCAUGCAUUUGCAUUUAUUGACAAGGUUAACCAGAUCACUAUUGAAGUUCAAAAUCAGCAAACUAAUCCAUCCAACUUAGUGAAUUUGCUAAGGAAAUCUAUAAUGGACCUCCCCAGCAGCUUCAACAUGCUUAAAUGUUAAAAAAACAAAAAAAAAAAAAAACUACUUGAUAUUAAUUUUGGGGACUGUUACAUUUUUUAUUAAACUAUGUAGCUAAACCAUUAACAACGACAUUCACAUUCUAUAUGCAUCAGAAGCAAAAAAAACUAAGGUUUAUAAAAAAGAUGUACCAAAUCGGACUUCUUAUCUUUCUCCAAAUCAACCGCAAUUUCUUUCAUCAUAUUAAAAGCCCUCCUCAUUUCCUGCAACGAAAACAAAAAAAUUGAGAAAAUAUCUUUACGUAUUGGAGAAAAACAGAUAAGAAAAGAAAAAUGGUUUUUUUUGGGGGGAGGGGGGGCGUUGCUGUUGAUAGUAGGGUUCGGAGAAUUUGAGAAGUAAUUACAGCUAUAAGAGAUUGAUUGUCGUUGUAAAGCUUGGAUGCUGCCGACUUCAUUCUGCUAUAGCCGCCGGCGUUGCUCCGAUGAGGAGCUGAGGUCGACGCCAUCUUUUAAUUAAUUCGCACUCAAAAGAUAAUUACUACAUAUAUUUUUUAAUUUGGAUGUGCCAAUUUCCAGGCUUCACCAGCUUCUUUUUUGGAGGGAAAGCAACAGCUGAACGAGGGAGGAGAUGAUAUAUAAAGUAUAAACAAGGGGGUUUUUUAUAAUAAUAAAAAAAAAAAAAAACCCUCACACCUUUCUCGAAUAAAGGUUUUUUUUUUUUUUUUGGAAUCAUCUUCAGACCUUUUUCACCACUAACAGGCCCAGAAUUAAUUUGAACUCUGAAUUUAACGGGAAAAAAAAAACUUUAACAGCCGUUUCCUGAUCAUUAGAGUGACUCCCAUGAUUAAUGAAUUGAUGAUAUGUUACACUUCCAAUAUUUGCCACUUUACUAGACGGUCCAAACCGUUGUCAAAAAAUCGUUGGACUGAUUUUGUUUCAAUUUCGUCGGAUGUAACUCACUUUGUUCAGAAUAUAAUUCAUUUUCAACCACUUGUAAAACUAUAACAAAAUUUCGGAAGUCCCGUACUUGAUAUUAAAGUGGAUGUACAAUAUGUAAUUUGAGUCUUAAAAUUCUUUUUGGGGGUUCAAAUCAUAGCCGUUAACUUUUUCGAACCCCAAUUCCAUUCCUGUAAGACUCUGUUUGAUAACUCCAUUCAGCACUUAAAUUUAAUGGAUACAGAUCUUAACGUGUUUAGAAGCAUUUGAUAACAAAAAAUUGAACAUCCGAAUUAAUUAAAUGGCACUGAAUUUUCUAGGUAAAAAUUGUUCCUAAAAUUAAGUGAUAAUCUAUUCACUUAUUACUGGAUAUGAUAUGCACUCAUAUGUAUUGAAUUUAAUAUUUAACAAUUCAAUAAUUUAAUAAAUUCACAUUUUGAAUUCUAAUUUUCAGACUUCAAUUCUUUCAAACACACCGUAGGCUAAGGUGCAAAUUCUGCAGGCGUACCUGAUGUCAAGUCCGUCGCUUGUGAUGAGGCUUUUCAAUUAUUGGGCUUUUGUCAAAAGCCCAAUCCGCCGAAAUGUGAAGGUCAUGGCGAGCCUACUGCUCUAUGACCUCUGAUAUUGGGCUAACGGACACAUUGGUUGGCCCUUUAAUAGAGGCAGGACAGUUUCUCAUCCUCGAGGUUUAAAUUGAUUUGUAAUAUUAAUCAGGUGACCCCUAAAGUUUGUAAUUUAAUUCCAAAUCUUUCUCCCUUUCUUUUGUUUUACCUUCUUCAAAGCUUGAAAUCUCCCUAGAGCCGAAGAAAAUAAAACUUUGAAUUGCCAAUGAUGAUUCAGCAUCACUCAUUGACUAAGUUAUUUGAAACAGUUUUUUUUCUAUUCAAUUUGAUGGUUAGAAUACAUGCAGAGAUCUACUACAAGGAUACAGCGAUUCAUAGACCUUAAAGAUAUUUUGAAACUUAAAACCUAUUUUUUAUGAUUCUUGCUUUGUCUGCAUUUGGGCUCAAUUCUUGCUUUUGUCUACUUUGAAUUGCCAAUGAUGAUUUAACAUCACCCGCUCGUUAAGCUAUUUGAAACAGUUUUUUUUUUUUUUUUAUUAAUUUUGAUGGUUAGAAUACAUGCAGAGAUCUACAACGAUAUAGCGAUUCAUAGACAUUGAAGAUAUUUUAAAACCUAAAACCUAUUUUUUAUGAUUCUUGCUUUGUCUAGUUUUGGCCUCGAUUUUCGUGUUGACCUAAUAACGUGGUUAAUUACGUCAUAUGUUUGUUGCAACAUGCCAAUGGAGAUCUUGUAUGUCUCCCCCAGUUGUAGCGCCUAUCCAAUGAUAAGGGUUAUUUAUCCAAAUAAUCUAAUCAUAGGAAUGGAUAGAGAAUCCUCCAGCCAGCGUGCAAUUGGGCUGCAUUACAGCAAAACGUAUCACUGAACCAUAAAAUAUUACUUCUAGUGCCAGUGAUACGAGACUCAAGAGCUCCAUAUUUUACAAGGAUAGCUUCUGCUUUCAAUUCUUCUGCACCAACAAGAAGAAAGCAAACUAAGCUGGAUGGCUCUGACUUUGAAAUCUUCAAACCUCAUAAGAGCUACUCUUAGGUAGCAGUUGAGGCUACUGUCAAAUUAAUCAACUUCAUGAGAGCUACUUGCAAUUUGUCUACCCUUUGAUCUUUGCUUACACGUUAAAACUCAAAAUAUAAGAUAGACACAUGCCACACAUGAUAUGCUUUGCAUGUAUGUGAAACAAGAUUAAAUGAAGGCUGGCCAUAGCCAUUUAAUUUGUUGCAUAGCCACCGUGAUUGUGACCCCUUAACCCCCAAAGUCUCCUCCAUCCUCUGUUCAAGGGAAGAAAUCCCCCACUUUAAUGCUAUCUUGUCAUGUACUUGAGACUCAUUUUCUUCCCAACUAGUCGGGCUGUUGACGGUGGACAGGCGGCUACCGGCGACAAAGUUCCAAAUUGGCAUGCCAGGGAGACCAAGUUGCAUCUGCUGGAGCCUCUUAAUCAGUCCUUGUAUUGAACGUCUUUAUUGUCCUAACAUGAGAUAAAAAGUCCCCAGUGAUUUUCAAAUGUCAUAGCAUUUGACUAGGUCGGGUGAUGGUACAACUUUUCCGGGACAGCAGCCUAAAAUGAUCUGGAUCUAUCAAACGAGUGGCUAUUGGGACAAAUUCCAGUUACAAAUACAUCAGUGUCCAAACGAUGAACCCUUUCAAUAUCACGAUAAACUACAAUCCUCCGUGCAUGGUACUAAUGCGUAGGAUCCCGUAAGAGUUGCAAAAAUUGUUGAUUGACGUUUUGAUGAUUAGCGUAGGUGCAAGUGCUUAAUUAAGUCUUCACUACUAUACUAGAAAAGGAAAGUGUUUUACCAUAAUCUAACAUGUUUCCCAUUUUAGCUCUAAUCAAUGCUAAUAAUAAUGCAGACCAAAUCGCUUUUAAAAGACAGUAAGAUAUCAUCGAUAACAGUCGAUGCAUGCCCAAUUGGCAAAUAAAAAUAUUAUCAGAUAUCUUCGUGUUACAUCGUCAAGAAACUGGGAUGGGAUGGGACAACUGACAUGAAAUUAAUUAGUUGCCACCCGAAAGGAGGAGAAAAUUUUUUGCAUGACUUGCAAUCUGCUGGUAGAUAUGCUAAUUAAUAUUGAGAUCCAAAUUAAUUUUAAACAUUGUCAAAUCUCUUCAACAAAAAUUCGGGGCUGCCUAAAGGUUGAGGAACAAGAGAAUGAUCUAGCAGGCAAGAACACCUCUGUUAUACUCUUUUCGCCCUCUUGUUUGAUCUGAAAUGUAUGCUAUCCUAUCCAGCUUUUAUUCCUUUUACCGCGAAAGCAACAAAGUUAAAGAAAAUUUGAUUGGUGCAUCAAGUGAUGAAACAGAACAAGUUUAGCAGACGAAGUUCAGUUUGGAAAUACAUGUUCCAUAUUCUACAGCAUUAGCCACUAGGGGCACCACUUACACGAUUCUACAACCUGCAAAGGCUAAUCCUAUAGUGAUCUAUAUUGUAUUUAAUUAACUUUUAUUUGACCAUUUGAUGAUCAUAACAUAAGAUGCACUUUUUCUGUCUUAUACAAGAAAUAUUUUUUCAUUUCGCCCAACUGAACCGCGGGCCGAUCCUUCUGAUCCCAUCAAACAGGCAUAAAGCUCCUCAAGUUGCAAGCCCUGACGGCCGUCUUGCCAAGAACAGCUAACAUCUUCAUGCAAGCUCAAGCUACUAGAGCCUCCAGCUUCGUCACCACAACUCGAAAAGGAUGAAAAUGGAAGAAUUUCUUGUGCUUGCUUCGUACAAGCAAGUAAAUUUUCUCUGGUCUUCUGCAGCUCAAUUUGAAGUUGCCCCACUUCUUUCUCAAGUUGUCUCUUUUCAGCCAAUGCAGUUUCUAGCCUCAGUUGAAGUGCACCGUAGUCAAGUUCAAGGCUUUGAUUCUUCCACCGGGCUCUCUUGUUUUGAUACCAAAUCGCGAUUUGUCGCGGUGGAACGCCUAGUUGUCGAGCAAGCUGGAGCUUUCUCUCUGGUUCAAGCUUCUUGUUGGAACUGAAAUUUGCUUCUAGCAGCCUAACUUGGUCUUGGCUCAAUCUUUUCUUGCAAUGUUUCAAGGAAUGGGCUUUCAGGUUCUGAGCAGAGCUCAUGUUGAUAGAGGCAAGUUGCUCUAUGUGAUGAAAUCAGAGAAUUUGAGAUGAAAAUGAGGAUUAUUGUGGGCUUAUAUAGGGAUUCAAAGUGUUGAAAGUUUGGUGCUCUGAUAUGUGUUUUCUUCUCUUUUUUUUUUCUUUUUUUUCUUUUUUUCUUUUUUCUUUUUUAAAAAAAUACUUGAUGUGUGUGUUUUUUAUUUUAUGACUUUCUAUUUAUGCCAUUAUUGCGCUGGCUCUGAAAUUUUUGAUGGGGUAAACAAAGGGGAAAAUGGAAAGAUGGGGCCUGCUGACUUCUCAUGCAACUGCAAUUGGUGUUCACGUGGAGUUGGUCCUACCAUGCAAGUACAGAAUAAUGCUUAGUUUUUGGUAAAUAUUCCUGUAUAAAAGAUUAUCUGUUCUGGAUUAAGAAGUUGAAUCACAUAUUCAAUAUUAAUAACGUUAUCCACAAACAAGUACCAAAUUAGGAUCAUGAACUUGGCUAUGUUCCAAAAUAUACUACAUGAAUAUUGUCGUAGAUCUGGAGCUUCCUUCCCGCUUGGAUGGGGAUAAAAUAUAAACAAAGGCGCUGAGUUUUGGAUGUUUAAAAUACAUAUGGACCUGAUUAGAUCCUAAACAACCACCAGGCCACCACAAAAGCAUUAAAGCUUAGUGCGUGGUACACCCAUCUGAUCCGAUGGUGGUUCAGUCCUCUCCGAAUUACCCUUGGGCCUCUUUAGGUCCGCUCCCUCCCCUUAGUGUAGGAUAAAAUAGGUUUAUCGUCUCCGUAAAAAAAAAAGAUCAGAUCCUGAACAAUGACAGGUUACAGACAGAGCAUUUUGCGGAAUCAUCUCUGUUGUUCUACUCUUUUAGUCCUUUCUUAAAUGGUUCUGAGAAAUGAAUUAGUUGAAAUUUGGCUUGCAUGGCCUUGAGGUCAAGCAAGCCAUCAAUUGAGGCGACCUUUUAGCAACUUGGGGAAGAAUGGACGCAGUUAAUCACCUCUGCAGAGAGCACAACUCCAGUGAACUUCAACUUUUGCUCGCAAUGAUCACAGGUUCUGCAUUAGAUGCCAGACCAUUCAAUAUUUGGUGGGAUUAAUAUAAAGAAAAGGAUGCUGCUCUAAUGGAAAAACAGUACUCAUAAGUCUUGAGAAGGCACGAUUAGUUCCCUUAACAAAGUGGAUCAAGUCUAAAAUUUUCAAUCCACCUGCGGAACAAUAGGCACAUCUGAGAGUGGUUGACAGGAUAAUUUAACAACUUCUGAGUUCUGAGUAGUAACUACUGACAAACGACUGUUUGUCAACUUCACCUUUUCUGUUCCCAUUUCAAUCAGUUAAUAAUUAUUAUUUCUUGGUAUGCAAAAGAAAAGAAAAGAAAAAGGGGAAAAGUGAAAUCUACCUAGCACCUUUUUCUCUUUUCCAAUUUUUGGAAUCUAUUAAAAGUUGAAAACAACGCUUGCAUAUAUUCAUAUUCAUUGCUGGAGAAUUUGACAUCUUAGUCUGUACUAUUGUUAUCCUGUUAUAUAUAUCUUAUGAAGCUAUUGUCGAAAUCAACAUCCUUAUUUAUGUCUUGCACAAGCUAAACCCAUAUGCUUGGGGACUGCAUGCUUCUUUACGAGGUGAAGCACACCCCUUCUGCAACAUGAGUAUUUUCUGUUCUAUGUGUUAAUUUUUUAUGCAUGUUCGUGACAUAAAUACAUGGUAAAAGAUAAUAAUAUUAUUAUGCCUUGCCGAAUAAUGUUUUUUUUUUGCUGACGGAGUGGGUGUCCGGAUCAAUCCUUACGGAGCCCGACUAAUCCCACCUCGGUCCGGGAGAAGAGACUCUAUCCCCCCGAAUAUGAUAACCACAGGACUUGGACCCUUGCGGGCACUGGACACCAGCUCCUAAGGAGGCUUGCUGAGAUCAAUCGAGUUGCUCAUAAGGAACAGACAAUUUGAUGGGAGGCAAGGUUGAACCCCUGACCUCCCACCCCAUCAGGAGAGGCGGUGGCCAGUUUUGCUGAAUAAUGAUUACCAGGAUCAUUUCUGUCUAUCAAUAGGAACAUGAUAUUUUAAGUGAAACCCAAAAUACCAGUUUCCAUAAAUUUGAAAAUAUUCUACCUCACACCAAAUUUUCACCCCAAAAAAUGAAAAUCUUUUCCCGAAAGGCACUAGAAAUUUUCAAAUUUGACAGAGCUGUGUCGUUCCAAGAGAAAAGUUUCAAAAGACUUUUGAAUAAAUUUCCAACACUUUUAUUUGGAAUCUUGAUGCAAAUCUUAAUCAGACUUUCACUACUACACUUUCUUUAGCUUCUCAAAUUUCAUAUGUUCCCUUUUUUCACAUGUCAUCAGUUAGCGUAUCCUAUCUUAUGCAAUUGAUUCUAAAAGGGUUUACAAUAUCGUAAAUUUGAUUGUCGUCUUUUAUGACCCUAUUCAAUUUAAGCUAUUAGUGGAAGCAAAGGGGAAUGCAUAUUCUUGCUUUACUAGCAGUAAGAUUUCCUUUUGUAACAUUCACUUUCGUACGAGUUUGUGCCACAGCUGAAAUAGUCCUUCUUUUCCUCCCUUUUUUUUUUUUUUGUGUAAACGGGAGAUACUUAAUCAAAAUCCCCUAUUUACAAUCUCCUACUCCUACUCCUACUGGAGGAGUCUACUCUAAAGGGUGGUCCAACUGAGUCGGAAGAACCUGAUGGGGACUGAACCACCACCAGACGCACGCAACAAGUGCACCACGCACCCGCAUAGAUUUAGAACAAAUUUUAUAUAGAAACAUAUUGAUAGAAGACAAGAUUUGAAUCCUUGACCUCCAACCCCCACAUAGAAUAGAAGAUCCGUUGAGUUAACAAUUCCUCCCACCUGACCGUCCAACCAACCCGAUCCUCCCCUGUCACAUUUGAAAUGGUCAAAGGUAAAUAGUAACGUACCGAUGGCGCAAGGUGUUUGAGUGCUGACUUCAAUAUUUUGGCCAACCAUUGUUCUAAAUUUACAGCCAUCAGUUUUCAAUCUAGAUUUUUCUCCAGUAUGUUGCCGUCGGAGACUAGAAAAAUAGUAAAAUUGAUUCUAAUUUAUUCGUCUUCUUCUUUAUGGCAAAGUAACAUCAAUUUGGUACACCGUUGGAAGGACACAAGGAUCCCACACAUGCAUAAUGAUUUAAGACUCGAAUCUUUGUUCAAUGCACCUGUGAUAAUAAAGUACAAUUAAGCAUCCAAUUAGGUAUUUCGACAAGACAUUCAUAUUUUUGCACUCCUGCUAUAUCAACUAGCCAAUGGUUAAAAUCUUUUCUGGAAACUUUCUAUAAUUUUUUUCAUAACUAGGAACGAGUUUAAACUACUUCAGACAAUGGACUUGCUAUAAACUAGUGCAUGUAAAAAUCUAGGAUCCUCCUUCUCCUACUCUGUAUAAUCAAAAACAUUGCUCCCAUGCCUUCCUAAUUUAUGAGCAAUUGGAUUGGUUUCCCUACUAGUCUGUCGAAUCUUCCUAAUCUGCACUUGGUGUAGGAGCAAUAAAUAUUCUGUAAAUUGUUGAUCAGAUCAAAGUAAAUCAUAGAUUUGAACGGUUAGGACUUCAAUUCAAACCCAUGCUUGGGGCUCUAUUCAACCCUCAGAUUUCACGAAAUGUAUUCACGAAAAACAUAAAAAAUUUUUGGUAGAAAAUCCUCAACUAUACUAACAUUAAUAGAAAGGAAACAAAGUUCAAGUGGUAGGGUCAAAGCAAAAAUAAAAAUGAGACUGCUGAUCACGAGUCUUCUUUUCAUGAAAAAGACAUAUACAUUAAACUUUGGCAGGUACACUACAUGUACCAGAACAAGGCACUAAUAGUGUAUCCAUUAACCAACCUUCAUAAUUUGCAUAGGAUAACGUAAAAUACUAUCAUCAUUUUGUCCAACCACUGGUUAGCUUAUCUGGUUUAUGUUAAGAUUUCUUUUAUCAAAUUUAUUUGACUUUCUACUCUUUAAUUUGAACCUGUUACACAUGACUGAUAGUCUGAUACAGCAGAGGAAAACAGUAGAGAGGCUUCAAUUUUGCGACAGUAAGGGAUGUGAUGCCUACAAUUUAUUUGGUUCUCAUCAAAAGAGUAGUUUCCUUUUCUUUGGUGAACCUUGAUGCCAGCGGUGGACUGAGUUAAUUGCGCCUGGCACCCAUAUGAGAGAUGUAACAAUUUCACCUCCUCUAUGAAGUUUUCUCUUUGGUCCUUGCAUGCCUCCUUGGCACUGGAAAAAAUGGUGAUGCCAAGAGACGAGAUGCCCUAUAUGAAAAUCCUCACUUCAGAAAAACAAGGCCACAGUCUCAUAGAUAGUAUAAAGAUCAAUCAGGAGUUUGGUAGCGAAAACUGAAAAGGACUGGUUAUUAUCACUCCAAGAAGACGAAGGACUGCAUUAGCUGCCGCUGCUACGAGUUCUUGUAGUUCUUCCCUAUACAUUUUUUUGUUCCUUGGUCAUCACCUCAACCUACCUAUUUCUAGAACCAUUCUUCUCAUUAGUCAAAUUCUCAAGAAAGUUUGAAAUUUUCAAAUGCUGUUUAAAGAGACCAAAGAAAUCACAGCUCUCCUCCGUCAAAUUCUCCCACACCAAAAAUUGGCUUGCAUAUUUGUCACAGUGGUUAAAGACAGACCAUUAUGAAUCUAUGAAUUCAAAAGAUAUUUAACAAAAUAAAUUCAUACCAACUUGAUGGCGCUAACACUUUAGAUCUUCAAGUAGAACAUUUAUGCCAUGAAGCAAUUACAAUCAAGUCGCUAAAAGCUGUUUAUUGCUACUGCGGAUAUAUCCAAACAACUCUGAUGCUGUGCAUGAGUGGAUUCAAGGAAUGAAACUCUUAAUAAGAAGAACAGCAUUCUUGGCUCUACCUUAUGCUGAUUUAGCUAAUCAGUAAAUAUAUAUAUAUAUAUAUAUAUAUAUAUAUAAAGUGGUCACACCAAUGUCCCCGUGGUUCCCAAAAUGAGCUAAGGAAAGCGCCAAGAAUACCAAGAAUCAUCAGCAAGGUAUCUGAUCAGUAAACCAUCUGAUGAUCUUCACAGGCAGCUUCACCAGACUUACAGCCAUAUUCACCAAUCCAGUGCAACAAAUGCAACAAGGGCAAAUGCAGCUCAAGAAAGACCUGCCAUUACAAAAAUUAAACGUAUUGUAACAAAAAUUUCCUGAUAUAAAAAUCAAGAUUCAAGAUCAAUAUAAACACUAGAAAGGGAAAAACCAAAGAAAGCUGGAAAAGGACUCCUCUUUUCCUAAAUGUGUACUGGCAAUGCCAUGGAUUCAUCAAAUUUCAAGGAAAGUCAAGGGAGCUGGGUUCCAGCCAUGAACAUGCAGAAACAGAAAACAGCAAUUACAGAUCAAAAUUAUAGCUUGAAACCUAGUUUAAAUACAUUAGAAUGGAAUACAAGAUGCCAUCAAUCAAAUAAAAAUCGUGCAUAAAGAGCAAAAAUGAUUGAACUUUUUAUCAUAUUGAAAUAAUGUGCCAACUGAAGAGAUGGUGCAGAUAAUUCAAGAAACUAACAUGAAAAAAUAAUGUUAAAAACAAUGAAAUAGAGGAAAAAUGGUUAGAGAAAAACGGACCCGAUGACCCAAACAACGGCACCGACAAGGCUUAGAAUCAAUGAAAGCAAUGCAAAAGGCAAGCUAAUCAAGAACCCCAAGGGCCUGCACUUCGCCAUAGCUCUUUCCUUUCUGCAACUUCACCCAAGGAAUGUAGCAAUCGAUGAAGAAAGUAAAGCCCUUUCUGAAACAAAAACAAGACUACUAUCCUUUAACCUAAAAACCCUUCUGGAAAAAAUCAAAAACCGGAUAACAUUUUCUAAGAGAGAGGACUGCGGAGAGACGUGGAGAUAGAGUAAAGGAAGGCAAGAAGAAGGAGAGAAAGGAAUUAAAAAAAAAAAAAGUAACUGUUCUCAUUUAAAAAAUCAAAGCAGGCAGCUUUAAAUCUUUAAUUAUUAACCCGCCUUGGAUUCUGGAAGCUGUACUGUUUAAUGACAAUAAUGCCCUCGGAAGUUUAAAAAGGGGUUCGUUGUAUUAAAGUUGGAAUGGCGCCUAAUUUGGAGAACUGAAAUUUUGAAAGGGGUUUAGCCAUCGAGAUUGAUAUUUGACCAUGGUAAACACUUUUCAAUGUGUUAUCGUUUGGAAAAAAAAAAAACACUUUUCAAUGGGAUGGGUAGUAUCAGUAGGAUUAACUACUGAGUACCUUCACAUAUUAUUGCCUCACACCUGUGCCCAUCGGGAGAGAUCGUUAACUGUUGUUAGUUUUUCAUUUUUGUGAAGAAAACAGCCAAUUCAGUUGCAUUCUUGACAGUUAGCUUUAAGAUUCAAUUUUUUUUUUAUGAACAAAGGAAUAAUAUUCAUUCAUCAGUAAGAACUUUUCAAAUAAGAUUGAGAUCAACUUGUAAUAACAUGACAAGAAUAACAACAAGGUACUCGAGUUUAAACACGAGUUCUUAAUAAGUUAUCGUAUCGCCUUUGCUCCAUAUUACUUAAACCAAAAAAAAAAAAUUUGGGAAGAACUCUGCGCCAUAUUAAAAUUUUUUACAUGUAACUUAUGUUUAUUAUGAUCUUACAAGCCACUUUUACUAGUAAAAUACUAUAGAGUUGAAUUUGAUUUAUGACUAGCCAAUUGCAAAGUUUGGCUCUUAUUGGAUAGGAGUGUUUGUUUUUUGGGAAGUUUCAAAUGUUUUGAGCACUUCAUAAAUGUUUUCAUUGUCUUGGCGUUUAGUAUGUAAUGUAAUUGGAUAGGAGAUUAUUUGAAAUUUUAUUUGAAAUAACACUGUAGUAACCUUUAUAAUGUGAUAUAUGUGAAAAAAAAAUAUGAUUAAAAAUAUUUAAAAAAACAUGUUUACAAUACAAUUAAAGUUUUUUUAGCAAAUAUGAUCAUAUACAAACAAACCUAUACCUAGGAUAUAUGCAUAUUUACUUAUAAUCACUUGAAAGUUGGAUGCACUGUCACAUUCAACUCUUUUUUUUUUUUUUAAUGUAGAUGAAAGGUUUUGAUUCGAGAUCUCUGACUUAUAUUUUUUUCCUUUAUAUCACCCAACCCAAUCCCUCCCCCUUCAACUCUUUCAUUUGGAUGCCAUGAUAAAGAAAUAAGUUUAAGGUGUAAACCGUGUAAUUUUAGAAAACUCUCCUAAAAUUUCUGAUAACUUCACUUAAAUGUUUUCUAAUUUGAAAAUUUUCAAUAACUUCCCUUUGAUUGACAAGUUUAGUAACAAAAUCAGCCCCUAUUAGGAGUAUGCAAAAUCGAAAAAAUUCGAUUUACCGACUGAAUUCGAAAUUUUCGAAAUUGGUAAUUUGGAAUUUGGCACUGAAUUCGGUAAUGGAGUUUUUGAAAUUGGAAAUCGAGAUCGAAAUUUCCGAUUUCAAAUUUGUUUUACAAAAAUAUAUAUAUUAAUAUACAUUUAUUUAUAUAUAAUGAUAUUUUUUUAUUUCAAUUUCGUUUUAUAAAUAUAUAUAAUAAUUAUAAUAAUAUUUUUUUAUUUCAAAUUCGUUUUAUAAUAUAUAGAUUAAUAUAUAUUUAUAUAUAAUAAUAUUUUUAUAAUAUAUGUAAUAUAAAAUUUAUAUUAUAUAACAAUACAUCUAACAAAAAGGAAAAAAGGUUUCCGAAUUCUGAAUUGAAUGCGGAAUCGAAACCGAAAUCAGAACUAUUGAAUUCAAAAUCGAAAUCGGUCGAUAAUUCCUAUUCCAAAAUUCCGAAUUCAAAUUUUCGAAUUACCGAAUUUGAAUUCGUUGCACACCCCUAGCCCCUAUGAGAUAGAGUCGCCUAAAAUGCUGACAUUAAUACUAGCAAAUUUUUAUUCGAGGCUUACCCUUAUAAGUCCAAAAGAAAUUAGAUAACAUUUUUAACUAAAAAAAAUGAACUCAUUCUACUUGUAAAUGCAAACAUCAAAUUCAAAAACUUACCUUUUUUUUUUUACCUGUAUAGCUUGUAUGGAGCCAAGAUUUCACUAAUGAUUCCAGCAACAUUUUACAUGUGAGGAUUUUCAAAUCUUUGCUUUUUGCUCCGUCGAAUCUUCACAAAGGAAUGCGUCGAAUAAAUCUUAAAAUAAGAAGCAGGAUUGGGCUGUGCUAAGUGCUAAAUGGCAUCUUUUGGUUUGUACACCGAACCCAAAGAUGCAAAGUCUUGAUGAUGUUUUAGUAAAAAAUUGUAAAGAACAAAAUGUAAAAUUAGACUUCGCAGGUGACGAUGCUAUUUUUAACAGUUCGUGUCCCCAUUAUGUUAGUGCUCGACAAACAAAUGAUGACAUUCUUCAUCAUUUAAAAGCCAAACUAAAAUUUCCCAAGAAUGACUAAAAAGAGUUUUGUUUUGAUUAAGAAAAGAAGAAGAAUGAGAAGUAUUAAAAUGAUUCUAAAACCCUUAAUUUGUAGCACUUUAGGCAUCCUUUAAUGAGUUUUCAUCUCUUUUUAAAUAGGCCACUCUUCGCUAAUAAACACGUAUUUUAGAAGGUUAUUAGCAGCCAACUAUAACUGCAACUAUUAAGUAUACUAAUAGAAAAAUAACAUUAUUAUGAAAUUCAUAACAAUAAUAAAUAAUAUCAUCAAUUCCGAGGAGCCCAGGUGCCCAUCUUUGACCAUUAAAUUUCAUAUUUAACCAACUAUUGAAAUAUUUAACAAAAGUCAUCCAAAAUAUUGAAAUAUUCCACCAAAACUUUACACCAUCAAAAUUUAAUUGGAUUGGAGUAGAAUUUAAUAAAUGUAUUUCUAAUUUAUUCUAACUUUCUUGCGUGGUAUUCUCAAUUAUGCAUCACUAGCUACACAUAUUAUAUCUAACAAAAGAAUGAAACCCAAUAGCGUGUUUGUUGAUUUAUAGUUUUUCUACAGCUAUUUCUCUUGAGGGUAUUUGUGUCCGUUUAUGCCUUUUGAUGUUGACAUUAAGUCGAAAAGUGAAGUUAGUGUAAUUUUUUAAAUUAGAGGAAAUCCAAGUGAAAUUGUCAAAAACUUCAAGGGAAAUUUGUGAAAUUAUCCCUAACACCGUAGGCUGAGUGGCUGACGAGCAGAGCAGGAGAGGGAGACCAUUCUAUCACUUGAUUCAUGCAUAUAAACUUUUUAUCUAUUCAUUUAUACGUUGAUUUUGAUAACAUCCGUUUAAACUCUCUAGACUUUAAACUAACAAAAGAUAUCCAUUACUCGUCAACCUUUAUCCACUGCCACCACAAUCAAAUAAUUCUUUGGAAAGUAGACGCAUUUUUCUCCUCCACCAGGAAAUCUGAAUAGAGUAUUCAGUGGUGCAGUGCCUCAGCCUGGGGUAUUUCUUUUAACAUUUUUCUUUUGGGUACCAUUUCCCGUCAUCUUGUCUUGAGUUUUAUAAUCAUUUAACAUGCCAAAGGUGUAACACUGAAACUGCCAUACGAGCUUAAAGAUUGAAGCACUAAAAGACCAGUACAUUUUACAGCAAGCCGAGCGAUGGAAGCGUACUUUUAUAUCAUUUACAAUCCAAGAACUGUCGUCCUUGAUGGCUCUCUUCAAUGAGUUAGACCCAUAAAGAGCAACUAUAUCGUCCAAACUGAACACCAACAGCGCCACUUCCUACUCAAACAAUCUCUUUUCGGCUUUCAAAUUCAGCCCCCCCCCCCCCUUCUCCUCUUUUCCCUCCUCUCUUCCCGGGCCCCCAGCCCAAAAAAAAAAAAAAACAACCGUCGUUAAAGAUAGGUCAUGCAAAAACCAAGUUUAGAUAACACAAAUGUAUUUUAAGAGAGCAUAAUAUAACAACAAAAUAUUUCUUUUCUACAGUUCCAUAUCCACAGAAAAAAAGUUUGCCUGCCAAACUCCCAGCUACGACAGCCAUACUCAUAAAGGAGGAAGAUGGUUCACCAAAGAUUCCCAGAAACUUUUUGCCACCUUGAAACUGUCAUAUCCAGAUAAGGAUGUAACUGUAUUGUAUUAAACUAGAUAAGAAAAUGACUCCUACUAUGUAACCUUAACAUGUUUAAGAUUGACUCUUGAAAGAUCUCUGUUACUCCUCAUCAACAACAUUCACCAGCUCAUACUCAAUAAGAGAGAGAUUGUUGUCCUCUUUCACAUCAAAUUCAGCGGGCUGGGUGACCUCAAUUCGGCCCCAUUUGUCAACAGCUAGCCUCAUGGUUCCCUUGAACAUGUCAAUCUUUGCAUUUCGCAGGAUGACAGUUGUACCAGGUUUCAUCACAUCAACUGAGCAGUGCAGAUGAAGGAUAGCCGCAGCCAAGUACAGAAAUCACAACAUUAGGAAGAGCGAAGAUAAUUGCCAUCUCAAACAACAAUAAAGAACUCAAGGUCAUACUAAACUUGAAAGCACAUCAACCACAAAACUUGUCACAUCUUCAAUCAAUCAAUGAGAGUACUGCAAUAAGAUUAUCAUAAUUUACAACAUAAAGAAUGCUGUACAUCUUCAAUCAAUAAAUGAGAGUAAUGCCAUAAGAUUCACGCAAGUUACUCUAUAAAGAACGCUGUAACCAGAAACAACUCAUUAUGAUCACGCAUGUGUAAGGAAACUCAUCAAACAGUGAAAAGGAUAUCAUAGGACAGUAUCAAGUUUUAUUCUUGAAGACACAGGCAUUACCACUAAAAAACAAACUCUACCAGUAGGAAUUUGUUCUUUCCAAUGCACAUCUUAUUUUUCAGGUAACUCUUAGAUCUCCUUCAAGCAUCACAUAUGGUGACCCAAUGAACCGUACUGUGUUGGCUAGUCAAUCUGAUUUACUGGCCAAGUAGUCCACAAAAUGAUCCACAAUGAAAAGAAAAAGCAAUCUUGACAUUUUCCUGGAUUACUGAUACAUAAUGAUAUAGAUGUAUUGAUCAUAUCCUGGUACCUCUUCAAGUUAAGGAUGAAGGAUACAAUGAGGCAUAAUUGGUUUGAACACUUCAUGCAUGCCAAACUUGGAAAAUUUUACUGCUGAGUACACAUCGAGAAUGAGAAAUUUCUUAUAUUCUACAACAUUUUUUUAACAAUUUUUCCAAGAAUCAACUCAAAUAAGAGUUGCUUAAUAUAAAUCUACCAUUUCUCUCCCACAGCCCCACAGAAAGAGGAUAGGCAUGAUUAGUUUAAUGAUGAUGAGUAGGAUAACUUCAUGAAAUAUAUCAUUUUCUAUACAGUUUACCAAAGCACAUUGUCAAAACAAAGAACAUGCUUAAGAUUUAUAAAUAAAUUGGGGAAGAUAUAAAAUAAUAAAAUUUUAACAUUCAUAAUAUCAGGGUUAAUCACAAUAAAAAUUUGGUUGGCUAAAGAUGUUCCAGGCUAAGUCCAUGCAACAGCCAAAGAAACUCAAGCCCUGGUAACAUGGUAAUGAAUGCUGGCUGCCAAUAAUGCAUUCAUAGGAUCCUUAGCAGGCAUGCAAAACUUUGACUUUGAAAUCUCUUUGAUGUUUUCAUCUAGAUGUAUCAACAACAUUCCAAACUACAAAGCUUGCAGUUUCUUAAUGGUCCUCGUUUCAAAGGAAGGGGCUAAAUAGGUGACAGGUAGCGUAGACACAAACGCUUGGAAAGUUGCACUUUUAAGUCUCAUAAAAGACUAUCGUUAAUUCAGACAAGUGGGGUGGCAAACAAAUGAGAGAAACUUCUUUCAAACUAAAAGAAGAAAAAAAGAGAGAUAUUCAGGCAACCAUAUUACUCUUCGCUUCUUAUCCUACUUCAUGUAAAGUGGCUGCAUCCGAAUAGCUGGAAUAUGCUUCAAAAAGUUUGGAUGGACUUACCUUCUUAUUGGGUAUUAUUACAGUCUACAUAACUGGGAAUAUCAUAAACUGCAAAAGUUACCUACAUGUUGAUAUCAUGUCAUCACAGAAAAACAAAAAAAAAAAAAAAAUUGUUGCAUGUAAUCCAAAUAGGUAUCACUACGUGUGUGUAAAGCGUUAUGCAUUUUCAUGCCCUAAAUUGCAACUGAUCAAUAGUGUUUCCAUCUAAGAAACAACUAGAGAAUGAUUACGGUAUUGAAUCUCCCCUCCUCUCCACCCCUUGCUUACUGAACUCCUUCCCACUUUAUAUCUCUUUCAUCUCUCCUCCUCCUGGUCUUGUUCUGCUUCAACAUACACAAACCUGUCUGUCAUCCUCCUCCAUUUUUUUGUCCCUAUAUCUCCACUCUCACUCGAGCAUGCUUUUACAUUAAAACACUUUCUAAACACGAUGAAAUGAAUGAUCAGAGGCACAUAUUUCCUCAAAAUCUAAGCAAAGAAGGAAUAGAAAUAAACCACCCAGUAAGUGAUUAAGCAAAAGAUGGCACCAGCCAACAGGAUAACAAGUGAUGCAGCCACGUCUAAUAUAAAACGCUUCCUACUUGUUUCCAGGUUCUAAGGGAUUUCAAGCAGAAUAUUCUACUGAAUAGAACUUUCUGACCCUGAAAGCAUAAUAAUAGAUGAAGCUUGUAUCAACUCGCAUUAACACCUGUAUUCCGUGAUGAUUUAUGAAAGGCACCUUUCAACCAGAUCAUGUGCUAUCUAACCACAAUACCAUAAAUUUGUACUCAAUCAAAGACCUUUCUGCAAUUAGCAUCAAUUGAUAAGGAGCUUUCGAUUAAAGCAUCUGGAACUCCAGUAACAUUAAUAGCAUGCUUCAAAUAGAAAAACGCAAAAACAACAACAAAUCAGAGUUGUCGGAUUGAUGGGGACAAACACAUACGAGAAAAAGUUUGGGAGACACCGGUAUUUCCUAAAUAUUUAAAACCAAAAAUAUCAACCUCAAUCAAAAGGUCACAUUGUACCUUUCUAGUAUUUUCGCAAAAAUUUGAAGGAAAAAAAAUCAUAUAAUAUGUCUCAGAUAUAUUUGUACAAAAAUUUCCAUAUCACAUUAUCCAAACAAAAAAAAAAAAUCUUUAAAAAGAUGCGAGUGAAAAGAAAACAAGAGAUUAACACAUAUCAGCCUGAAUAAAAAGGGCCACAUAGUCAAAUUUCCAAAGCAUGCUUACUAGUAUUUCAGCCAAUAUGGAAGGAGAAAAAAAGAAAAAGAAGAAGAAAUCAUAUAACAUACCUCAGACAUAUUCGGACACAACAAUUUCCAUAUCGCAUUAUCCCAAAAAGAGAAAAAAGUCGAAUGCAUUUUUCUAAACAUAAAUCCAGACGUGAAUAUACCUUGAUCGUUGCGGGCGGUGAAAAGGAUGCAAGCAGUCUCAUCGCCAACAAGGCACUCAGCAAUGUUAGUAUUCCUGAGGUGCGGAGACACCGACUUACCUCUUUGCAAAACGGUUUUGGAACUGAGGACCCUGACGACGAGAGUGUGGCCGUUAGUCCCGGGCUUGAGAUUCUCCACCUUAACAAACACCGGCUUCCUCAAACCCCCAGCCACAGCAGCCGGUUGGUCUUCCGUCUUGGAACUAGUCGCCGCCAUUCCUAACAAAAUCGAAAACUCAAAACCCUAGUAACCCUAAUAUAUAGGUAGAAGACGGAAAUGGGGGAAAUCAAAAGCCUUUUUCGGUGCCUGGUUUGGGUUUGGGUUUGAUUUGUGAAGUGUGUGGGUGUGUGUAGCUUUGUAUGGAAGGCGUGAGUCUUGCUCUUGUUUCUGUUGUAGUAGCCGUAAGUAGUGUAGGAGCAGUAGCAGCUAAAUAGAGAGUGAGAAUGAGAUAAUUUCAGAAACCUCCCCUCCCCUGAGGUUUCCCAAUAUUUCACUAGCCUCCCUCCACAUUUUAAAAUUUAUACUAACCUCUCUUGAGGUUAAUUAUCUUGUAGCAUUUAUGUUCAUUCAAUAAUUAAAAAGUGAUAUUAUGAGAAAGAAAAUAGUAUGAUUUUAUCAUUACCUCUCAUCUAUACAUUAUUUAAUUAAUUAAUUUAAUAUCAACCCAUACAUUAAAGAAAAAUACUAAAAUUUGCUAUUUAUCAUUAGUUAGCUAUUUAUCAUUAGUUAGAAAUCAAGUUACAUAUAACGUCAAAAAAUAUUAUAUUAUUUUAUAUUUUUCACUUAACAUAAGAUUUAAAUUACUCUUUUCGAUUACAUAUCCAUUGUCAAAUAUGAUCGAUAACAAAUAAUCAAAAAAUUUGCAAUCAAAAUAUUACAUAGAAUAAACUUCAACAUCAUAAAGAUUCUUAUCAAUAUAUUAAGAUUAGUUGAUGAGAUUUUUAUGGUAUUAAAGUUCGCUCUUUGUAAUAUUUUGAUUAUAGAUGUUUUUUAUUGUUUGUUAUUAAUCACGUUUGAUAAUGGAUUUGUAAUUGAAAAAAAAAAUAAUUUAAAUCUCGCAUUAAGUGAAAUAUAUGGAAUGAUAUACUAUUUUUGAUGCCAUAUGUGAUUUAAUCCCUGAUGAUAAACAGUAAAUCUGAGUUUUUUUUCCUUUAAUAUUUAAGCUAGUGUAAGAUUAAUUAAACAAUUUAAUAGAUGAGGGGCAAUUAUGAAAUCAUAUUAUCUUUUUUUUUUAAUUUUACUUUUUAAUUAUUAAUUGAACCUGAAUAUUACUAUAAGAUAAUAAACCUCCUUUGGGAUUAGUGUAAUUUUCAAAAUAUGGAGAGCGACCAGUAAUAUAAUCAGAAACCUCCUUGUACCUUUUGCAAUUUAGUAAAACUGUGGGUAAAUUGGGCAUGGCCCGCAGGGUGGGGAGUUUUGCUCGUUUUGGGAAAAGUUUUUUGUUUUUCUUUGAAAGCGUUCUGAAUUUCUGGGAUGGCAACAUGUACUUGUGUGGUGGGUUCACGAGGUAAUUAUGGGGAUAUGGAUGAGUUGGUGGGGGCUUCAUUUAAUUUUUACCUAGGAUCUGACCUUUCCACCAUGUGGCGUCAUCUCAUUGGUCCAGGUGUUUCUUCAAUUUUUUUUUUCUGCUGCAUGGUGGUCAAUAUUCCAAUCCUACUGUGCAUUAGUAGAUAAGCUUCACACUUCCGUGUCAUUAAUUGUAAUAUAUAUAUUUUUUUUGUCAGCAACGAUACAUUUGUAUAACAUACUCUAUUAUAAUCUAGGGGAAAGGGAAGCCUAAGAAGCCUGUGAUAGGGGUUAAUAGGUAUACAGAUCUAACUAGAUCAAGAGAGUGUUAUGACACAACCCUUAGAUUUUUUUCGCUGCAGAUGAGAUUUGAACUCUCAUCUACAGCUUAAGGAGGGACUUAAACCCCUCCCUGGCCACUGAGCCAUUGGCCCAGUGGUUCCGUGUCAUUAAUUGUUCAAUUUUCCUGUUUUUUUUUUUUCGGUUGUCAUUUAAGGGAAAAUACCAGGAAGAAGUGGAAAAGAAUUAUUUUAUUAUUUUUGUCUCUACCAAUUGAAUUGAGUCUAUACAAUUAUUAACUGGACUUUCUUUUUGGAAACUUGGAGAUAACAAAUGAAUGAUGCAUGGUCACAAUAACUCGUAACAUAAAGGGGCCGGGCAACAUAAGAAUGGAAAAGUUAUAAUUACAACUUUGAAGUUAAUAUUGAAUUUGAAAGGGUUACUCAGAAAGAAAAUACUACUAUUAUGUUUGUUGUGGAAAAUUGUGGCCUGCGACGCAAUAAUAAGAUACAGUACAUUAACAAAUUUUGCAACUGUCAUUUCUAUCAUUCUUUGAGAAACCUCCAUCUUCUUUUUCGUAUUCUUGCAGGUCAGUUUUGGACCUCAAUAAUGGCUGCCAACAAGCGAGCUGUUAGCGACAAUACAUAAAUGGAGGAGGACAGGAGGGACUGCUGGCUUGAAGGUAACUCUCGUAGCUGAUUGGUUAUUCAGUCUCUCAGCAUUUGAUCACCUUUUGCUUUCAUAAGAACAAUUAAUGGUUGCCUUCCUUUCAGGGACAGUUACAUGGUGAUCAAUUUUCAGAUGUUUGAUUCUCUAAGAGAAUGAGAUUACAUAAUCUAAUUACAAAUACAGCAUAAAAGUUAUAUUGAAAAAAAAAAAAAACAUGGAUGGUUUAAUAAUGGACAUAUAUAAGAUAGUGUAGUAGAGUAUUUCAUCUUGCUGCAAUUGGUUGUGUGAACUGAGGAAAAAUGCGAUAUCAUAGAUGCACUAAUGGGUUAUUUCAUAAGUUUGUAGUCAAAAUUAAAAGGGGCAACAAAUCUAGAUGGCAUCAAAUUAUUAAGUUUGUAGAAUUUUAGCCCUCCAACUAUUACGUGUAUAUUUUUGCCCCCUCAAACUUGUAAAAGGGUAUAUUUCUCACUCUUUUGGCUAGAGAUAAUUUUAGAAUUAACAUCACUUGAUAGUCCUAAAAUUUUAAAAAUAUUACUAACAUCUCCUGCAAUCAUACUUUUUGUAACGAUCUCAACCUUGUACCACUAAAAUAUUAUCAUAAUAAUCAUUUAAUGAGAGAGCAUAUAUUUUUCUCCUAAUUUCGCCUUUUUUUUUGUUUGUUGUCUUAUAUUGAAUUUUCUACCAAAUUGACUAUAUAAUAUAAGACUUGUAUGUUUUGCCUAAAAAUUUUCUGUCCCAUAAAUUUUUGCCUAAAAAUUGUUAUAGCAGCAAAGGUAACUUUGUCAAUUGGUAUGCUAUAAUAGUGAUUAAUGGUCUCAUCUCGCUAAUAUGGGUGCUGAAUAAUAUAUUUCUGAAACUUCAAAUGUGUCGAGUGAUAUUACCAUAAAUUUCAAAAGAGGUUUCUGAAAGUAGUAUUUUUAGUCAAAAGGUUGGAAAGUAUAUCCUUCUACAAGUUCUGAGUAACAAAAGUAUGCAGUUAAUUAAUAGUUAAAACGUGACAUGCAGGGUUAAAAGUUGACAAACCAUUCAGAUACUUUGAGAGCCAUUCAGAUGUUUUACCCAAAAUUAAUAGUGGGCUUUCUUUCUUACAUUGCCAUGGAUGGAUACCAUAACAAUGGCAAGUGAAAAGCCAAUGAAAUUAAUGAGGAAAAUUGGUCUUAGCAGCGAGCCCAAGUGUAGUGAUUUUAAUAGCGACAAUAAAUUAUUUGAAACACAACUAUCCAAGUAUCAAAUCGACAAGGGAAUCCAAAACACGUUACAUUAUAAACUAACGCAGUAAUGUAGUUCACGGUGACAUGGUGAACUCCUAUUAGUUUGAUCUGAUCGUGAUGGUUACAAACAACAAUCCCAGCAUACAAAAAAGCAGCAGCCACUCUCUGUAAAUUUCAGCAAUCUAACAUGUUGAACAUAAUAUCUGAAGCAUUCUUUAACUGCUUCUUUUGAUUAGAAUAACACAGUAAGCUUUCCUACAGGUAAGGAACUGGAAUCCUUCGUGUUUUUGGACCAGCAACCAUGUCUUCCCAGACCAAGUCUGAGAGAGCCAUGGUCAGUUCUCCCACUUUUCCUGUUACAAACAUAAAAAAGCACCUUAGAUGAGAUGGCAUAAGGCAAUGCUUUUAACUAAAAGAAAUGAUAGGAAGUUGAAAGGAAUUACCAUCUCCGAUGGGCUUUUCAUCCCACGCAAUAAUAGGUAGAACUGGGAGGGUGCUUCCAAUGUACAUCAUUUCAGCAGCAUUUUUUGCCUCCUCUAUUGUUAGAUUGUCAGUUCUGACGCUUUUAAGACGGUGUUGCUCAACCAAUUUGGGUGCCAGUUCAAGAAGCCUAGCUGCUGUGCAGCCACGCAAUAUCUUAUCAAAUUCAGGCAAGAUAAGCUCUUUGUCAUGGGUUAUAAAUCCCACAUUCACAUUUGGACCCUCAGCAAUAUAUCCUUCCUCAUCAACCCAGAUCGAUGCAAAAGCUCCCUGCUCUUCAGCUUCCAUUUUGGAAAGAACAUUCGGCAUGUAGUUUACAUUCUUCAUUGUGGCAAAGAGGGGUGUCUUCAUGGGGAUUGUGGAUGUUAUAACCUUAACCCCCUCUUUGCACUGUUCAAAGUCUUCGUCAAUUACAAUAGCAUAGAAUGCUGAUUUCGGGCAUCCUGCAGGAGAAAGUAAGAAAUCUCCUGGCCCUGCACUUAGCCAAUAUCUUAGAGUACCUUUUCUGCACUGUGAUGCAGCUGCAAGUUGAAUAAGAAUGCUUCUGAGAGUGGACUUAGGAAAUGGGGACACUAUUUUAGCUUUUGAAGCUGAUUUAAGAAAACGAGUCAGGUGUACAUCCAACUCGUAUAGAUGCCUGUUCAUGAUCAAAAACAAUAAAUUUAAAACAUAGCAAAAAGUGCAUAAAUCAAAAUCUCAGUCCAAAGCAUUCACUCUUUCACAUGUAUAAUUUACAUUGACAACUCCUAAACUGCACAAUUCACUGAUAAAUCUAAUUCGGACCAUAGCAUAAAGUUCAACCAAUGCAUUUGUAGAUCAAAUAGUAAAACAAUAGCAUUGCCACUUGAAGCACUCUGCAAGUUUAACUGGAAGCAAUCAUAGAAGGAUAAGAAAUCCGUGGCACAUCACUGUGUACAAACUUUUAAGGUGUAAUGUUCAAAUUCAGCUAUAAGAAAGUACAAAUAUGAUGUUGAAGUAAAUCAUGCCUACCCGCCAAGAAUAAUUGCUGUAUCAAAGACACCAUGCCCUCGAUGAACCAUGUGGUCAUCCAUCGGGAUAACCAUCAAUGCUGGAUCAAGAAUAAUUCCACCAAAUACACUCGAAUACAUUGCCGGAUAGGGCUGUGGUUUCACUGACCUCCAUUUGUCUUGCAGCUUCUCAAGUAACUGGUUAAUGCAAAAACAGACAUGGAAAAACCAAUGUAGCAUUAGUAGAAAUGACAUCCAAGUGAAAGAGAAUAUAGAUUGCCAAUUUUUCAAGCUCAUCCGUUUUUAUAAAGGUUAAAUAGCAGGUCAAACAAUGACCAAUUUGAGGACAAUUUUUUUUGUCAUCUUCAUAUUGUAACUUGAUGAUUGACAUAUGACCCACCCUUGAAGGAUGACUAUAAGGAAAAUAAUGAAAGAAGCAGGAAAGGAAAGAAGAAAAUCUAAAACAUAGUUUGCCAAACUUUCACUGUUCAUGGCUUAUCAGAGAUUGUUCAAAAUUUUCAUCCAACAUAUUGUUAAAACCGGGCAAUUUGUGAUAAGUAGCAUCAUCAUCAACAACUAGGGCGGAACAAAUACAACUAACAAUACCUUGAAAAGUUUAGUACUUAAUUAGCAAAUCUGACAAGUAUCUUAUACAGGUCAGAAUAUGAACCUGAAGUCCUAUUGCUUUUUCCUAAUUAUUCACCAGUCUCAUCCAUUUAUUUCAUCACCCUCAUCUUUCACCCGAGAAUGCAACCUUGGUAGGUUCGAGGUCCUUACAACGGUAAUCAUGCCAAGAUUCACAACAAGCAACAAACUACACCAAAAACAUCGUAAUUAGUUUUGGCAUGCCACUUUAUAACAAGCUUAAAAAUACAUUGCCCGUAAAUGAUCAAAACUGUUUUGGACGAUACAGUGAAAGACUGAAGAGCAUUGCCCAAACAUAAAAUACAAAAAUUAUCUAAAUCAGCAGAACCAAUCCAAAAAUCAAGAAAAGGGCUUUCAUAAUAUUCACCUCUGCCUCUGAUGAAAAUACAUGAACUUCGAACUCUUCACCGUUCUCAACCUCUGAUACAGAAGACAGAAAACACACAAUCAGCAAUACAGAUGAAGCUUAGUACGACAGUGAUAUCAAGAAAUUUUACAAAAAAAAGAAUCAAUCACCUGGGUUCUGGUCAGAAGAAGGGGCAGUAGUAGCCAUGGUGAAAAGAAAAGAAGAUUGCGAAAUGGGAGGAAGAGAUAAAGAGUGGAUAGCUGAGUCAGCGAUUGAGAGUUUGAGACUGAGAAAAGUAGCCACUGAUUUUGCGGCGUUUUAUGGAGAAAGAAAUGAUAGAAACAGACAAUAAAAGGUGUACUUUUAUUAUGUUGUGAAAGCAGGGAAAGGACUCCGAAGUUGUCUUAAGUUUGAACAGUUUGUUGCGAGGAGUGAAGCGUUUGGAUUUUGUUCUUUUGGAUGUGGAGAGGUCCAACGAGAAAGACGAAGGAGCUGGUGAACGACCAUUGUCUUGACGUCCGUGUCCCACUUGCCCAUUUUGGGAUGUCCUGGAAUCAUCAUUGUCAUGGUGCUAAAAUAGUGACUGAUUAUUCGGACCAAAAAAGAGAGAAACUUUUUCCUUUGUUUUUCACUCUCUUUUUUCAUUCUAUAGUUUACACAUCCGAGCUCGUGAAAGAUGGCCAGCUGGUACUUGUAUAAUCCAAGCUGAAACGACGUUGGGGUUCUUCUCCGGGCUUCAAUCAUCGUCAGUUUCCACUAUCAAGUUGGUAAUGUAUAUUAAAUUUGCCCUUAUUUUGCAUUUGCACACAACUAACUACAGGAAGCAAGACAAAACCACAAACGGCAACCAAUUGCUAGGAUCAGUUGGAUGGUUCCUGAUUUUGCUAUUCAAUAAACUAAAGAUUUACAUUUUUGGCAUUAAUUUGAAAAUUGUACUUUUGCAUCAUUGCAUCGUACCAUUGAGCCACUUUUCCGGAGGAAAUGGGACAGGAGCGAUUGUCUAACAGCCAUGAUUUGACCAAAAAAAAUUAUGCGAUUCAGAUCACAUCUUGUAAUUCGAUUUUCACGUCACGUGUGAGAUCCACAAAAAAUUUGUUCUAAAGUUACGUUAUUUACAAAGAAAGUUACAUCGUGUGCAAUAAAAGUUACGUACAGUGAAAAAUGCACAUAAUCGGUAGAAACGGUUGCACCUGCAACCGUUUGUGCCCCUUGUCCCUUUUCUGGAGGAUCUGCAUUUCAAGGAGUCAUAGUCCAGUAACAGAUGAUUAGCAUCAGUAACUCAUCAAAGAAAAACGAAUAGAUAACCAAUCACUUGCUUACAAAGCAUGCCCUUCUAUUGUCUCUUUGUCAGUUUUUACACUUGGGCGUGCGCACAAAUAUACAAGAAUAAUGUCAUAUGGCAUUUGUGUUAUACAAAUUGGAGCUCUUAAAAUGGGCAAGGGAUAUAAAGCAGAAUAGGACUAUAGGAGUGUCUUUGAUCCAAUCGAGCGGUAAGCAGAAAACAUGUCAAUAUCCGUUUUGUUGCUUGGAAUAUCUGUCGCAGAAAGACUUCAGCCUUCCGAAUGCUUCUUCAAGAGCAGCUGGCUCUGCAGCAAAUGUGAUUCGCAGCCAGUUCUUUAGACCUACAGCAAGUCCUGCAGAAUUUUUUCUUGUUGUCAAGGAUGCAUGUAUAGCAUGUAAUUAGGUUCUGAAAAUUCAAUCUUUAAUGAUUGUAGCUGGUUCAUUACUUUUUAAAAUGCUAAUUUCCUUUCAAGCGACUUACUCAACUCUUAAUGAAGUGUUCACAUGUUAACACGUUUCAAGUAGUUGGAAAUUUAUCAAGAGCAAGACUCUAGUUACUUCAAGAAUAGCCAGAAAUCUAAGUCCAAAUCAGAAAAAGCAGUAAAGUUUGAAUGUUGAAAGAGUCACAGAUCAUCCUAAUAGAGGGACAAAUGAACUAGGAAGACUUGUGUUGAAGAAAGGUUAUAAGUGGUGUUCUUCCGGGAGGCUAGCCAGAAAUCUAAGUCCAAAUCAGAAAAAGCAGCAAAGUUUGAAUGUUGAAAGAGUCGCAGAUCAUCCUAAUAGAGGGACAAAUGAACUAGGAAGACUUGUGUUGAAGAAAGGUUACACGUGGUGUUAUUCCGGGAGGCUACGAUCUGUUUCUAGUAACCGCAGAAGUCAUUCUGAAUCAACUCGAAAAUUUUACAGUUGAGUUGCACGCAUGUUCGCUGAUUUCUAUAUGGUUGCACUCUGCAAAUAUUCAUUUCACAUUCCAUUUGACUGAGGAAGUGCGCACUAAGUGAACUAUGUACAAGUUUUUUCCAACAUAAAUAAAAUACAAAAGCACUUGGGCCUGGGGCUUUUCUUCAUUUAACUAACUGCAUUUCAUAUUACUUAUUUCCAUAUUCUAGGAAGUAGGAACUUGUUUAUCUGCUUACCCGGAAGGAUGAUGACAGACUCCUCUUUGGCCAGCUUAAAACAGAAGUCCAUGUCGUCACUAAUGUCUUUCAGUAAGGACAGAUUAAGUUUCACCUACAUUGUGCAAGGAAAUAAAAUCAACUGAAAAAGAUGCAAAUUUCUAUUGCCUAGGUUGCAGGCUUUACAAAUUUGUUAAUCACUUACCAUUAGAGCCAUUGAUCCUUCAGCGUUAGAAGGGCAACUAAUGAAGGGUAUCUCCUUUAUCUUUUUGUAACAAAUUUCUGCACUCUGCUUGAGCAUAUUAAUGGUCUUGCCAAAAAAAGCCUCCUUAGUUUGCUCAAUAAUGAGAGGAACUGCUGCCUAAUAUUUUAAAUUUUUAGUUAGAAGUGAGUAAGCUAAAACCACUGGUGACAUUUAAAGUAAAUCCAUGAAGGAGUAUGUUCAAAUCCCUGACAAUUAUACAAUUUAAUGAUCAAAAGGCAACUAAGUUGAUGAUUGCAAAUUUGACCGGAAAAUCACACGAUGGCUUGAUGCCCAGAGAUAUGGAUGCUUAACAACUCCUAAACAAAGGAAGAAGUUAUCUUUGUUGUAUCAUGUAUGGUAGCAACAUGAACACUUAAAUCCGAGAAAGGACUUCCAGUGCCUCAAACCAUAUCUGGAGAGUGAUAACUAAUGCUAAUAAUUUGAAUAUCAUUAAGGUGUGAAAAUUGGCAAUCAUACUCUGAAUAUGCCAUUGACUGAAAUGGGACUGACUCUCUUUGUGUAAUAAAACAGGCAAACAGAGAGCUCAAACAAGGACAAGCUAAAUAGCCACAUUCAUGAAUACCAAUGGCAAAAUUUGAAGAGAUUUACAAGUCUGAGAUGUUGCAUUGAGGAGCCUCUAGGUUUUGAAAGAUGUACUCCACAAUCACAUACUAUUAUGCAGAAGAGGGUCACAUAGACUUGACAGAAACUUUCGUUCAGAUGAGUUUGCACUGAUGUCUAUACUGCUUUUAUUGUAAGCAUUCAUUUCUUAUUGCUUUGGCCAGUCUGUUGAUAAAACCACACACUUGAUUCAAACUAAAUGCCGAAGUAAACCUAUAAGAAAAGAGUUUGUAACAUGGCAAAGGAAUAGAAACAUACUCCACUUGCAAUUCUGAUCUAAGAUGGAAUUAAGAAGUCUCAAAAGAAAACCUGUGUAGUUUUUUAACAUGGCCCUGAUUUAAGAGAAGAUUAAGAAGUCUUUAAGUUCAAACCUGUAUAAAAGUUGCUGGACCUCCACAAAUAUCACAGUACUUCUUGAUACGCUCUACAAACUGAUAAUAUCAAAGAAAAUCAAUUCAGAAAUAGUCAGAACCUGGGACUAAUCCCAUGGAGCAAAUGACAGUAAAUAUGAUAUCACUAUUUAUAUCCUUCACCCUUUGACCUUUGAUUCUGACUUCAAAAUAAAGAUGGCAAGAACACACACAAAGGGUAAAACAAUGCACAGAUGAAAAGCUAAUCUGUGUCUUUCCAAAUAAGAAAACCAUCUACCCAACUAACAUGCAGUGCAAAUGAAUGUGCAGCCAUUGAUUUUAGGAAAACAUACUUUGCUGUAGCAGAAGUUAAUCCUGUAGAUAGAACAGUACUGAAGGAUAAUUGCAAAUAAAAACUCAAAAAAGGAUGGAAAAGACCUUAGGGUUUUUGUAUACGCCAUUAGGAUCAUUUGUUACAAGCCAACCAAGGCGCCAACCAGGCACUAACCAUCUCUUUGACAGAGAUCCAAGCGUGAAAACUGGAGCCACUGAUCCAAAAACUCCCAUUGGCACAAAUGGUUUAUCCCCAAAAGCUAGGUGCCCGUAAACUUCAUCGGCAAUUACGGCAAUACCUAGCUGUUUGGCAGUUUCUGCAAUCUAACAGCAGAUACUAUUAUCACGGAGCUAAAUGUAAUCAGAAACAUUCAAACAAGCCUGUGAUAUAGCAGAGGGAAAAGACUUAUACUAACCUUCUCUAGAUGCUGACGUGUGUAGACAUUGCCACAAGGAUUUCCCGGGUUAAUAAUUACCACUGCAAUGGUUUUAUGAUCUGCAAGAGCUUCAACAGCAUUGAGAUUGACCUCCCAGCCAUUGUCAGGUAGCAGGUCAUAGUAACGAAUCUCAAGAUUUCUGAAAGUGGCGCACAAUCCGUAAAUUGGGAAACCUGGUCUUGGUAGUAAAACGUUAGCGCCCGGGCGAGCCAAAAUGGAUAACACCAUUUCUAUAGCUUGUGUACAUCCAGCCGUAACAUAAACAUCAUCAGAUGAUAACUCGUACGGAAGAUCAGACGACAAAUAUUUUGCAAUUGCCCUGUUUAGGAGAACAGGCAUGGUAGAAUUAGAGAUGACAACAUAGACGGUUGCAAAAUACAAAACUAUACUUUUAAAAAUUAAGUAUAAUAGUUGUAAAUAACUAAUCACCAAGGAUGAAUCACGGUCGAAUUUUUGUACAGAAUUAAUUUUGGUGUUUCACGAAAUCUAUUCAGUAUCAAAUCUGACUCAUUAGGAUUAGCAUCUGUGCAGGUAGAUUAGUUGCAACCAUAACACUCCCCUUGUCAUAGUUCACUAUAAUACUGAUGUGGAUUAGCCAGUAUGGAAUUGAGUUUACCACUUCAUAAGAAUGUAAUUACAUAAUUUGCUUAUUUUGCAGGUAAAAAAUGCAGAAUGCGCACUAUGAAUGUCGUCAUACAAACUAGAACUACUCAAACAAACCUGUGGCCGGUAAUAUAACUGGUCCUGUUUGGCUGUUUCUGUCAUCAGGUUGCCUGAUAACUCCAGUGUCAAUACUCUCAGAAUAGUGAGAGCUAAACGAAAUUUUUCAGGAAGAACUUAUCACAUGACAAAUAAAUUAAGAAAACAUGCGAAAUUGAUUUUUUUUUUAAUCCAAAAUUCAAUAUCUCGAUUAAUUUAACAUGCAGCUGCUACGAUAAAAGGAUUCAAAUUCCAGAAGAGAGUGUUCGGGGGAAAAAUAGAACAUUCCAAUUCAAGUCACAACUUUAACUGAACCGAACAGUAAUCUCAAGAACAAUUUUGAUAAUCAAAGGACCCUGUUUGUCGGGAAAAAAACAAAGCCAAAAUUUUAAAACCCAGAUAAAACAGAGCUCAAAUUACUGCACUCCAAUUAAUUCUGACUCCAAAAGCUAGCCAAGAAAAUUGGGACUGCAACCUGAAAAACCCAGCAAUCUAGACACCAAAAAUUUUGAUAAAAAGAAAGCUUCAUGCAUAAAUUGACUGAAAGAAGAAAGCACCUACUUUCUGGUCUGGGGUAGUCCAACAGUGGGAGAAUAUCCAUUGAACUUGUAGGAACGAAGGGUGUCAACCACAGCGUCUUGAGCAGCAGCAGUGGUCCGGAAGCAAGAAUAAGCGGUGGGGUCCCCAAUGCCCAAAGAAAUCACUCUUUUCUUGUCAUCACCAUUGGUAUUAGCCAUCAACAAGCUAAGAGUGCCUUUAAUAGUGAUAUUUGCCGGUGCUUCAAUUCCUUGGCCACUAUCAAGAUUUUGAUACACCCCGUUUUCCAUGCUUCCACGCUCUGCUUUUGUUUUUUCAAGAAUUAUGAUGGUUUUCUAAUAUUUCGGAGUUUGUUUAAAGUUUAAAUGGAAGAUAGAAGAAACGUAAGAGAUAGGCACAGGUCGAAGUCUUCUAAGACCACACACACUCACACAAUUCUGACAAGCGUAUCUGUGCAUGGCUGACGAGCGAUGUCAAGCAAGUAAGGCUCGCCAUCGUGAAGACAAAUUUCCUCGUCUUCAUGAACCACAAAUUUUCCAGGAAGGAGAAAAACUACUUAAAAACCAGCUCUUUUUUUUUUUUUUUCUUCUUUCUUUUAUUAUUUUUUUUUUUUUUGGGCCCCAGCGAUCAAUAUUAUUUUAACGUACUUGUAUUUGCAAAUUACUUGUGAGGGCAGGUUAUAAAAAUAUCUAACUUAUAGAGAUAAGGUGAUAGGAUAAUAUUACUCCCUCCGUCCCGUUUUGUUAGUUUUGAUUUUUUUUUUCACACAGAUUAAGAAAGUGUAAUUAAUUUGGUUGGAAACAUAAAUUUAGAUUAAUAAUUUCCUAAAAUACCCUUAUGCUAAUUACGAAGAGUGCCAAUUAAUAUCAGUUACAGCUAAUGGAUUAGUAUUGGAAAAACUCAAUGUAUUCAAUGUAGUGGGUUAGUAUUUAAUAACAAUGUAUUAAUAACAAGAUAUUUAAUAAGGGUAUUUUAGACAAUUUGAAAGAUUAUUAUAUUUCUUAGUGGGAAAGUGGACUAUAAUUUGGGACAGAUGAAAAAGGAAAAUAAGACUAUUAAAGUGGAACGGAGGAGUAAUAUUUUUAACAAUAAGAGUGAUUUGGCACUUUCAUGUCCGUGAAAGUUGUGACAUUGAGAGUUACAAUCAUCAAUGUUUUCAAACACUUUUAUGAAUUUUCAAACGAUACAAAAUUCAAAUAAUAGGGGUUUUCUUAUAAAUUUAUAACUUUUAGAAUUAGUGAUGUUACUAGAGUCAUUUUAAUUUUGUCCUUUAGGUCAACCGGUGCUCCUAGAGUACGAGAGAAAUGAAGUUUCAAUUCAUACGAACUUUUAGAAACGUGUUAAUCAAAUAUGUGAAAAUCUAUUUAUCGUUUUCUCCGCACAAUCAAAAUCAGAUUCUUGAGUCUUGAAUGCCGUGUACCUACGCCCCACAACUUUUGUCUAACUUUUCAAACUUGCGACAUGCAAGAGGAUGGCGACGUCUUAUGAGCCAAAUGAGGCGAUGUUGUUGAAAAGUUCAUGUGACUGUGCAUAUGGCACGAUGCAAAAAUUAGCGGUCAGCAAAAUUAUUAUUUGGUAAUUCGAAAAUUCAGCGUAUCCGAUUCGAAAAUUAUAAUACUUGUUUGUAUUAUUUGAUCGGGGAUAAAAAAAGUGUCAUAUCUUCUUAAAUGCGGAACGGAUUAGGAUCACAUAUUUAAAAAUUUACGGGUACCCGACUCGUCCUACUUAUAUAUAUUUUCUAUUUUUUAUUUUUAUACAUAUAUAUUAUAAAAUAAUAUUUUUAGAACUAAAUAAAAUUUAUUGAAUAAAUUGCAUUACAAAUAUAAGAUAUUCUAUUAUUUGUAAGAUUUAUUUGUAGAAGUUAUGUUCUAUAUUAUCUAAAAAAGACUUUAAUUAAUGUGGACCAUAUAUUUUAAAAAAUGUGCUUCUUAUUUCAAACUUUUAUUCAUUUUGAAUUAUUUUAAUUUAUUUCCUUUUUCUUGUAUGAUCUUCGCAUGCUUGUUUCUUGGUGAAAGGCUUUUUUGAGAAAAUUUUUUUACUAAAUCUUAGAUGAAUGUGUAAAGUAUAAAAUUAAAUUAGUAUGAUUCAUUUUUUUGAAAAAAAAAAUUAAAUGAUAAGUGGGACGGGGACAGACACCCAUUGAUUGGAUCCUAUCUCAACAGGUACUUUGUAACUAGGUACCCGCUAAUAUGCAAAGUGGAUAAGAACCAGGAAACGACUAACUUGCAAGGUGCACCAGAUAGAAUCAGCCAAAUAAUGAAUAAAACGGCCACCUAAAUUACGGCCACCCCUAGUAAAAAUAUAACAAAUAUAGAGAAUGGCCCCCAAACAGGACUGUCAGUGCAAGUGUGCCAACUCUAGCCUGACCCAUUUGAUCAAAAACAGUGCACUAGACUUGAGCUUUAUUUAGACGUGGCAGAGUUUGGACUCGAAUUAGAUAUGAACCGAAUUUGGAUUAUAGUAUGUUCAAAUCCUAUUAAGACUCGACCUAUAAAAUACAUAAACUAAUAUUUAUAAUUCAUAAUUAUGUUAAUAAUUUAUGAAUUAAUCUUAUAUAUACUGUCAGUGUAUACAUUAUCACCAUUAGAUAUAUAACACAGGUGUAAAAUUUAUAUUUAAAAUUCAAAAUUUGCUCGUGUGUAUAUGCAGUGACCGCGUAUAUAAAAUUUAUUCAUAAUUUAUAUAUAAAUUUAUAAUAAUUCAUAAUUAUAAAAUAUAUAUUAAAUGAGCUUGGAUCAAGUCAGAGUUGAAUUUGAGCUCGAAGUAUGAAAGUCCAAAACUCAAAAAUCCGCAUACGCAUAAUUUAUAAGCAGAGGCUGAUCUUACCAAAAUUGAAGUUCAGAAACUCCAAAUUGACACUCCUAACCCCCAAGUACUAGUACUAGAAAGUCAAAGCUAGAGUCAUCCACGGAAGUCGGAAGAGAAGGGUAGAAGGGAAGAGAAAAAGUCUGGCUCGCAUAAGCUGACGCUGGAAAGACAUAUCCAUGUAAAAGUUCAAAGAUUUAUUUCCAGUCUUGUAAAUCUCAUAGUCUCGUGUAAAAGUUUCGGAAAAAUUAUGCACGAUCACAUAUGAUCGAUCUGUAGGAAUCCAAAUGUGACCUUUUGCUUUCAGAAUCUCAAUUUUGAUUCUUCCAAAUACCAGUAAAAAUAACAAGUCUACAGCAAGAAUCCCAAGAAGAUUGCAUGUAAUGAUUAAUAUAUCCAAACAAGAAUCCCAGAAGAAUGAAUCAUACCGGCAAUUCGUAAAUGCUUGAAGAGAAUCAGAGGUGCUGGGAAUGACGUUCUUGCAACUUGAUGAUUCUCCGCCUGGGAUAAAACUGGUGCUAAACUGCUAACUGCCUCCAGCCACUAUGCUUUCUGGCGUUUUGGCGCAGCAACUGAUCUUCUUUUGUAUAGGCGAAGUUUGACAGCUGGGUACGGGAGACUAGGGAGCUGGGUUGGGUUGGGUUGGGAGCCUAUAAGCACUGGAGACUGGAGAAAAUAUAGGAAGAUUGCCUCGCGGCUUGUUAGUAUUAAUAACCUGUGGAAAAUUGAUUUUUAAGAAACAAAAUCAAAACGGUUCAUCUCCUGUGUGAGUCAGCAUUUUGUGUUUCCAUAUAUCUUUUCGGGAUGAGAUCAAAAGGAAAGAAGGUCUCAUUUGGACUUCUCUAUCUACUACUCAGAUUUUGAUGGUUGGGACGUUUCGCCCUGUUGGCAAUCCAAUCCCAAACACCCUUUGAGUCUCGUGCUCUUUUGCUUUUUUUGUUUCUUUGUGUUUUUCGAUUCUCAUUUAUUUUGAUCUCUGUCCCACCACCGGCAAUCCUGUGAAUUUAAUAACUUGAGUAGUAAUUUUUUUUUUUUGCAGAUUCUGAAGCUCUUCUUUUUGCACAGUAAUAACAAAUUGCCUUCUCUCAAACAAGACACUGCACAGAGCACCUGCUGAAAAAUUAGCACAGUGAGGAGGAGUUUUCUCUCAUGAAUUAGCCACAUAAAUCUCAUCCUUAAUGCUUAGAAAACACGAGGAUUAUGAAUGUCAGCUAUUAGAUUUUUCUUUUUUUUUUUCCAAGAAAAAUUCAUAACUCUGUUUGGAUAGUGGAUUAUUUGUCAAAAUUUAUUUGGUCACAUCAUCAUUACAAUUUUCAACACACAUUUUUAUCUUUCCAAUUAUCUUUUUAUCUCACAUACAUUACAUCACAAAAAGUGCUACAGUAAAAAUAUCUCAAAUAAUUUACAAUCCAAACAGAGCACUAAGUUCAGUAAAAUCUGAUUGUUAACUAAGUUCACAAUGAAAAAUUGAAAAUUCAUAUAUCACCCAUCACACGGGCCCAAAAAUCUCCAAACCCAUGAAAUUUUAGGAGGAAAACUUUCGAUAUCAAUAGAAAUUAGGAGAAUUGGGCAAGGAUAAUUAUUUUUAUCGUACAAUAGUGCAGAUUUAUAGUUGCAAAAAUAUGAGAAGGAAACCAUUAAAUAUUGAGGGCCUUCCAAUUCUUGUCACGGCCAGUACAUUAUGCUUCUAUUCUAUGGUCUUGGGAGUAGUAAUUACAUGCAUUGCCCCCAGGAUAAGAAACCCGGGAACAAGUGGCAGUCCCUCCUGAUUUAUUUCGGUUGUGUUUGGAUUGUAUUUUUCGUCAUUUUUCAUAAAAAAAUUACUGUAGCGAUUUGAUAUAUGUGAGGGAAAAAUGUGAUAGGAAAAUGUGAUCACGAAAAAUGACAAUAUUUUUCGACGGAAACAAGCAAUCCAAGCAAGGCAUUCGUUUUUCUGUUCUUGGGCGUGGACUUGGGGCGAUGGUGAAAUGUGAGUUAUGUUAGCGGCGUACAAGAAUGGUGGAGCUGUCAAAAGAAAAUGAAAGGAGAAUGGUGAUUCAUCACGGCAGGCAAGCCUCAGAAACCUUUCCUGGUUGGUUCAUGAAUCAAACAAGAAGUAUAUUUUGAUGGCUACUAAAAUACAGCGAAUUCAACCAAGCGAUAAGGAUACAGGAGAAAUUCCACCAACCCCGCAUCACAUAAGUAAGUGUUUUCUAAAAAUGGAGCCUUGACAUGCAUGCUUUUAUUUUCUUCUAAUCUUAUAUAAAAAAAUUUUUUUUUUUAUGGCUCAAAAAACAUGUGCGAUGUUUGGACUGCAAUUUUUCAUCAAUAAACUUUUACUAUUUUUUUGUGAAUAUAUUUGCUUUUAUUUUCUUCUGCCAGUUUUUUUUUUUUUUUUUCUGGACAUUAUUGAAAUUUCCAUGGCAUCCUUCUUCUCGAGCAUGACUAUCUCGUCUACUCGUAGUUGGACCCAAUAUAUUGAGAGCUGCAAAUCCAACAGAUAUUUCAAUUUCCUUUAGCAGCGACUGCGAGGCCAUCCAUCUUCCCUGAUUGGUCAUCAGCCCACGUUGGAACUGGACAAGAUGGACGAACCAGAACGAAUUAGUUUAAAGUCUCCGGACAUAGAUUGGAACAUUAGUCAAGUGACGGUAAUCCAGGUUUUAGUGAACUAAUGAUCUUGAUUCUACUUUAAAGAAUCUCUCUUGAGCAAAAGACAUUUACAAAAAAAAAAAAAAAAAGGUUUUAAUUCUAAUUUAGGAAUCAAUUUUGGUUUGAAGAUGAGUGAGAGGCUAUGGAACUGCAAAGAAUCCAACCGCCUUAAAUCUUUAAGACCCCCACAACAACUGAAUUCAUUCAUCGCAUUUGAUUCUGGAUUUCCUGGACCAAUAAAUAGUCUCAUCAUGUUCUUUGUACAGUACAUUUCGUUUUCUGCUACGAUGACGACGGUGGACGGUGGUGGGUGUGUCUGAAGUACAAAAGGCACAAAUGUGCGCCUUUAAUUCAUUUUGCUUACAUGAGCCCACUACAAGGGUAAAUUUUUAGAUUGAGAUUUUGGAACAUUUCACAGUAACAAUAAUAAUAAAACCUUUUGGGUCAUACAAUUUAUCCUCUACAUUUUCCCCUACACCCAAAAAUUGCCAUUUUGAAUCUAUUAAUCAAAGUAUAGCGCAAUCACUAAUCUAAAAACAUCAAAUUCCUACUUCCUAAUCUAAAAACCAGUUUUUUUUUUUCAGUUGAAUCAAGCGUUAUGUCUCCUCUAAAUUGGGGGAAAAAAAAAAAAGAUCAAAAGUGUUAUCCUCUUACGAACUAACUUCGUUAUUUGAGAAUGUUGUCUGCAGCUUUUGCUAGAGAGAAGCUUAAGUGACCACAUUUUGGCACGCCGGUGGGAGUUCAAAAAGUCUUUUUUUUUUUUUUUUUUCAGUUGGAGGUGUCCGAGCCUAGACCCCGACUAGAGGAGAGCGGGCCCAUCAAUCCUCAAGAAAUUACGCCGGAUUGCUGAGUUCGGAAUCGAAUCCAGGCCGUCUCAUCCUAAUAAGGGCUACACGACCACCCGAGCAACCUAUCGGGGCAGGAGUCCAAAAAGUUUGGAUUUUGAAUUUUUUAGCAUAGCUUGUUCACAUACCAAAAAUGUCAAAUUCUGGAACCGACUCCUAACGGUAGCUUUAUUUCGGGCUGGAAACAGUGGAAUCUAUGCAAGGAUUGAUAACAAUUCUUAGCCAACGUCAUGGCAAAGACUUUUUUUGUUUUCCCCUUUUUAAAUGUCACCGGCAGAAGGGGAAAAGGAAAAGUUUAGCAUCAUUAUCAACUUCUUUAGGUACGGAAGAUCGUUAGGAUUAAAAAGCAAACUAAGUUACUUGAUACUCGAAUUGAAUUUAAUUCAAUAAGAGUUUGUUUUAAAUUUGGUCCGUUAAUCAAUCAAACAAAGGUAAAAUAUCAUUUCGUGUUCAAUAAAUUUUCAAAUUAGACUUAAACCCGACUUGAAUGGUAUAAAAUUGAAAUUUGUAAAACAAAAACUGAAGGUACUUGAGUUCAACUCGAGUUUCAUUCAAUAAAAAAUGCUAAUUUGAAUUCAAUUCGACAGUUCAAUUUCAAAAUUGACAAAAUAAUGAAAUGGAUUUAAAUAUUAGAAUAUUCAAUUUAAUUAAACUUAUUUAUAGCUGUAGAGAGAUUGAUGAUAAGGACAUGAUGCUCAUGCCAGAGGCACUCGACUCUCAAUUCUCCUCUUCUCUUCUCUUCUCUGUCAAUUAAAAGCGCGAUUGGGUGCACCGGUGUCCUACCCUUGGGACGAUGUGAAUCUCUACGCCAAAACAACUUUUUUUUUUUUUUUUAAAAAAAAGAAAGAAAAGAAAUUUUUGUACAGCACAAGUGCAAACACAAGUCCUUAGCUGACACUUGCACAUCUUUAAACGGUUCGUUGUAGGGAAAGCCUGCAUCCUAUUGAGUUCUUAGACGAGCUAUUUUUGGCGUAUUGGCACGUCCUCGUGACCAAACAUGCAACAACCCAGACAACCAUAGGAUACACCGGAUAAAAUUCGGCAUGAAAAUCGAACGGCUCAAAUCGUCCAGAGGGUGCUGCCAAUGAUCAACGAUUUUUUUGGGGAGGGUGGGGGAGCAUUUAAUGCUUCUCUCCCCGGCGGAACCCGAACGGGGUUAUCCAAGUGCUCACGCUAAGGCAAAAUAAUAGUGGGGCCAGGUGCUAUAAAGCGCCGUAGGGUGGAGGGCGGCGGCUGACUUCAGAUUGUCGUCAUCUGCGAUCCACACGGUGAUACCUGUUCUCUUCUCUGAGAGUCUGAAAUUCUGAAUAUAUAUAAAUUGAAUAAUUGAGACCACUCCUUCAUUUAUUGACGAUACGCCCAAAAUACCAAAAACUAAAAUAUAAAUAAUUCUACCAACUCUGCAUUCCUAGUGAACUUUUAUAUAUACUACUUUUUUUUUUUCUUUUUUACUAUGACUUCAAAAGUCAACUGCUACCUAUUCAGGCCAGAACAACUAGAAAAGGACACAGAAAUAAUAAUGCCAACUCGGAAUAAAAAAACAGUAGUGUGGGAAUGAAAAACAGCAAAAAGCUUCAGGUGCAGUUUUUCAUUUGUCAAACCGGCCGGUUUGCUAACCUUAUAACAUGCCGCGGGGCAAGAAGAAUUUCUAGCAGUAAUAGGCGAUGGAUUUGAUGCAAAUUUUGAAUGCUGCUACGAUACAUAAACAAGGUUCCAAUGUAGUAGUGCUAGGGUUUCUUGAGUAUUGCUGCCUUCGAUUAUGUUAACCAUCAACCAUCCAAGUUUGGAUCAUCUUUUUUCUUUUUUCAGGCUGCAACACUAGACGCACGUACGCAUGGGGAUGGCUUUUGAGCAGCAGCCUUAAAGCUGGGAAACAACAAAAUUGGCAGGCCAUUAUUAGAAUUUUCAUGAAAAAGAGAACAUUAAUUAUUGCUUGUCAAUUUUAUCAUUAACUUUGUAGUAGCAGUACUUUUCACAUCCCACGUACUUGUUUUUAAGUACGCCAUGAACAGAACCCUACCAUGACCUCCUUGGCACUCCAUUAUUACUAUCAUCAUGGUACUAUUUUCAUGGGCAGUUGUGUCUCUGUCGACACAAGAAAUUAAACCAACAAAAACCCGGAUUGUUGAAUGUGGAAAAGAAGUGCGAGAAAUGAGAGCGGCUGAGCCGGACGAAUAAUUAAACCGGAUUGCAAUUAGUGGUAGGAGAAGGAAAUGAGAAAACUUCUAGGAUCGCUGGAAAAUGCCAACAAGUGUGCGAGGGCCCUGAAAUAGUAGAAGCCGGAAAAUGCCAAGAAGUUUGCGAGGAACCCGAAAUAGUAGAAGAUCAAGGGAGAUUUUUUCGCCUUUUAUGGUAACUCCUGUAUGGCUUGAGCUUUGACAAGCUGAAAGGAUGGACGGAAUUAAUGAGAGAGAGAGAUAAAGUAAAAGAGGGCAAUCUUUUCUUUCUUUCUUUCUUUCCUUUACUUCAUCCGUCCAUCGGGGUCGGGGGGCUUACUUAAUACCGGAUGCCGCUCACCAGCAUGCAGAUUGAUGAGAGAUGAUGAUUUGAUGUAAAGCCUGGCAAGAGUUAGUAGGGAGCCUAUGUAGAUAUAUCUUUGCAUCUCAAAAUCCGAGCAUGACGCGUCAAAAUCUUAGAAGAGCAUCAAUCUCCCUUCUGCUGAUUGUGAUGGAUGGAUGGAUGGAAUGGAAGGAGACGUGUUUCUCUGUGUGUGUGUGUGUGUGGUGUGUGCAUUUUUUUAGAUCGAUGGAUGGGAUUGAUGAAGAGAUACAUGCAUGGCCUGAAAAAUCAAAAAUAUUGAAAUCAUUUCCUCUGUUGAAUCUAAUUUUAAGUCACCCCAUGUCACUUCUCCAAUUCCAACUACUCUGGUUCCCUUUUUUUUUUUUUUUUGUUGUUUAAAGAGGGGGGGGGGGGGAGGUCGUGCGGGAGUCCUAGCAUGGGAUUUCAACUGAAAAAAACAAAAAGAGGACCUCAUAAUAGAAAAUUUUUUGGGACAUAAGCCACGUUUGUUUUCAUACCCUAUAAGACCUAAUUAGAGUUUUGCGUGUUGUAGAACUCAAAAGAAGGGUCUAAUUUCGUACGGUUGUUACAAAUUGCCUGUUCAAAACAUGCAAAACCAUUUAUCUUCAUGUUAGUACGUGAGUUCUAUUACAGCAUGCAUAGUGUUACAACACGAGCAGCACCAUAAAAAUUGCAAUCGUCUAAGAUCAUCUGAUCAUAUCUUUUAGGAGUUGAAACUUGAAAUGUCGACACCUAACUUUAACUGCUAUUAUCAGCUUUUCUCCUGCUAUCCAUUCCUACCGUUUUCUCCCCGUUUAUCAGAAUCAAAUUUCUUGUCUCCAUCCAUCGGUAGUGUGUGCUGAGUGCAACUGGGACUGAACAUAACUGCUGCAGUUAAUAAUAGAAAUAAAUCAGGUUUGGUUGUUGAUGAGACAGAAGUAUUGGUUGCUAAAAGAUUUUGUUUCAGGAUUUGAAGGUAAUUGUUUAAGUUUGAGGAAUCCAUCAUGUUGCUGGUCAGCUGAUCACUCGAAUGAAUAUAUCUUUAAGUUCUACCAGGGAUGAAAGCUACCUAAGAUACCUCAACUGUUGUCUCAGUCGACAGUGAACAGUCUCUACUAUUCAUCAAAUAGUAACUCACACGAAUAAUAGAUUACAGCAUGAUAAAAGCUUGUUAUAUGAUUCAGGUGCUGCUCCAGAACGUCAAGCCUAUUAGACUAAAGUUUCAAACAUGUACUCAUGUUUUUGAUAAGAUAUGAAGACCAUUAAUCUUAUGAAACAAAAUAUUUAUUCUCUAAAAGAUGCUAAAAUCAACAAUAAUAUCGUUUUGUUUACUUAUUUAGGGGAUGUGUGUUCCAUAAAUAGGCCUUGAAACAUGCCUAAUUUCUAACGCAUCAUCCCAGUAUUGUACAAAUUCAAAGCCAGUGCAUGACGAAGUAUGGGCCUAUAAAUGUAGAGGCUGCAUGCAUCUUUGUUCUGGCUUUGGCAAUUUAGCUUUAAAUUUUUGGGCAACAAGUGUACAAUAAAUAAUGUCGUAGAAACUUUAGAAACAGUAGUAAAAUCGGCAAAAAUUAUGAGCAAACAUGCCAAAAGUUUCUACAACAAAAGCAUGUGAUGACGAGUAAAUCGCUUGGGUAACUGAUGAGGAGAUAGGAGAUGGAAAAAGAAACCUUAGGACAGAAAAGAAAAACAAAGAAGAGAGGGAAGGGCAAGUGCACGUAUUUACCUUGUCUCUUUCCAUCCGAUUUAUUUAAUCUUGUACUGUGCUGACAGAUGAGAUAUGGAACAGCUUUAUCGAUCCAUGGUGAAAUCUCUCUCCCCUCCAUCAUCUCUCUCUCCCUCGCCCAUCUCUCUCAUUUUUUUUCUCCCAAAAGAGAGCCUCUCUCUUUAAAACUACUUCCUGUUCCCUCCCUUUCAUUUUCUUCACUGACAAGGGAAUACCUGCACACUUCCUCACGCACGCACGCAUACUCAAAACAGAACCAUUGCAGUGCAGUGCCCGGUGCCCACUCCUUCAGAUAACAUACAUCACCCUCCCCUAUUCUCCCCCCUCAUCCCUCUCUAUUUCCUACUACUAUCUUUCCAUCUCUCUCUAGCUAUUUGUAUUUGUAUUUGGUGAGUGAGUGAGAGCGUCGCAGUAGUAGACUGCAGAGUAAUCAGAGAAAAAAGCAGAACAGGACAGCCCAGAAGCAUCCCCCGCCUCACCCAGCAUUUUUCCAGCCAUAUCAUACCUUAUUAUUUCUUUCACCUUUUUCUCCUGUCACUGGAUUCAUCAAACCCCAUGAACUCCCCCUUAUAAUACUCCCAUUCGGUUCCCUAGCGAGCACCUCAAUACGGCACCAUGCAUUCUCUCCAAUUCACAAUGUGCUGUAUCCUUUUCUAAGAGAAAUUAUAGUCUUCUGCAUCCCCUUGUUUUCUUGAUCAAAACCCUGAAAUUUCAUCUAGAGGUACACACUUCUUGUAGUCCAUUAGUGUUUUAGCUACUAGUGUUGGGCUCAAUGGCAAACUACCACUACUAUGAAAGCAGUGAUGCACAUUUGCCUCCGGGGUUCAGAUUUCAUCCAACGGAUGAAGAGCUCAUAACUUACUACCUUCUGAAAAAGGUUCUUGACAGCAAUUUCACUGGAAAAGCCAUUGCUGAAGUUGAUCUCAACAAGUGCGAGCCCUGGGAGCUUCCUGGUACUUUAAAAUUUUCGAAGAUCAAACUUACCCUAUUAUUUGUCCGAUAUGAGCUUGUGAAUUUGGCCUUGUCUAAACUUCAAUGUUUUGUGCAGAGAAAGCCAAGAUGGGGGAGAAAGAAUGGUACUUUUUCAGCUUGAGGGAUAGGAAGUACCCGACAGGAUUGAGGACUAACAGGGCAACAGAAGCUGGUUACUGGAAGGCUACAGGAAAAGACAGGGAAAUAUACAGCUCCAAGACUUGCUCCCUUGUUGGCAUGAAGAAAACCCUGGUUUUCUACCGUGGCAGGGCUCCAAAAGGAGAGAAGAGCAACUGGGUAAUGCAUGAAUAUCGGCUUGAAGGCAAAUUUGCCUACCAUUACCUCUCUAGAAGUUCCAAGGUAAGCAAAAUUGCAAAGAUCGCCCCUUUUUGCAAGUGCAUGAUUAGGCUAAUUCAGUGUUCAUUUUGCUCAGUAAGAAACCCAAAAAAAAUGCAUAGAGCCGUAAAGGCUAGACCUAGGUUUCUAUUCCCAAGUCAUAAACUUCGCAUAGAUUAACUGUUUACAUCGAUACUACAGAUAAAUGUACUGUUCUAUGUCCUACAUGGACCAUUUCUACGCAUAUUUCGCUACGUGUACUUCUUCUAGUUCAAGUUUAUCCAUGCUAGGUUACACUGAUCCAAUUUUGAAUUUAUAUUUAAAGCAAAAAGUCAUCUGCUAAAGCAAAGUACAUUCUUGUCCACGCAUUAAAUUUUAUGAUUCUCGAGGAAUGCUCAACGUUGAAUGCCUACAGUGAUAGAUCAUUAACCCUUUUAAUGCUAACUCGCAUGCAAAAGCAGUUGCUGCAAGGACAAAUCAGAUAAUGAGAUGGAUAGAGAGAGACAGAUAAUUAAUAGAAAAUUACUGUCGAUUCUGGAGUUGGAAUUAUGUGAUGUUGCUUUCUGGGUAAUUGUCAAUUCUUGGAUUUGUCACAUUUCGCAACUUUUUCGAUAAUGUCACAGAAAAGAUGCGCUCUUUUGAUUUGCAUGCAAUCAUGAAUCUACUUCAUUUUCAUGGUUUGAUGUUACCUUAGAGCUACAGAAGUUGUCACAAAAAGGUGACCAUGAAAUUUGUCGCACUCAUUUUGACCUUUUCCUGAUAAUAUUCUAGGAUGAGUGGGUGAUUUCAAGGGUGUUUCAAAAAUGCGGUGCCGGAGCCGGCCCCGGCUCCGGCGGAGGCAAGAAGAGGUUGGCCCCUGGAAUCAACCUUUACCCUGAAGCUAGCUCUCCAUCUUCAGUUUCUCUUCCGCCGCUGCUCGACUCUUCUACUUACACCGCCACCAGUGCCACCUCUGCUUCCACCACUGACCAUGAGAGCUGCUCGUAUGAUUGCAACUCCGCAAAAGAGCAUGUGCCCUGUUUCUCCAAUUCUGCUGCUGCAUCUUUCAACCAUAAUUCUCUAUUUGAGCUGCCUCCACCGCCAUUGCCGCCGCCAGCUCCCGCAGCAACAUUGCUGUCUUCUCUAUUUGAUCCAUCACCAUCAUCUGGAGCCCGUUUCCCAAGGAUUAAUGCUGGCCUGUCUGCUUUUCCUAACUUGAGGUCCUUGCAGGAGAACCUACACUGCCCUUUCUUCUUCCCCACGGCUGCGGCUGCUGCACCACCACCUCAGCCCAUUAACGGCAGCGAUGAGAAUGGAAUUCAUUAUGGCUCUGUCACCAACUGGGCUGCGCCGGAUAAUCAGAAAGUGGGGCCAACUGAGCUUGAUUGCUUGUGGAGCUUCUGAAUCACCUAGACCUUUCCUUUGAGGCUUGAGAUUAAUCUAGUAGUAUUUGCUAAUCUAAUCAGAGAAUAAUAUCUCUGUAGUGUAAUGUUAGUUCUCUCUCAUAGGAGAAACUUAUCUCGGUAAUUAUAGUAGUAUUGUUGCUUUAGGAUUAUAAUAAUUAAUGUCCCGUAUUAGGUCGUGGUACCUGAAUCCUGAUGCAGCCCUAGUUGUCCUGGUAUGAAGCUGCUUUAUUAGUACUUAGUAGUAGCAUUUUCGCAUGUUACUACUCUAUUUCCUCCUAGGUGAUAAAUAUGCCAGUAAUUAUUCGAAUGUUGUUCUCUAGUAUUAAAUGUUUGGAAUGUAGUAGGUUGUACGUGGUACAGCUUUAUCAGUCCGUAAUAUGACGUUCCUUUCUCAGUGGUAUGGAGUAGCAUGUUGCUGUUAUUAAAAAUUCAGCUAUACAUACAUACAUAUAUAUAUACUCACCGUCCGAUUUUGAUCGGACAAACCCAGAAACAUUCCUCUUAUUGUUAUGAUCACCGUUACCAUCGUCACAACCAAUUUUAUGAUCAUCGUUAAUAUAACUAUUUGAUAGAGUUUUAGAAAAACCCUCACCAGGGUUCCUAUGAUUCAAGUGAUCCGACAACAUCGAUCUGCCGAAUAAAUCCGGUAAGCCACCGCUGUCAAAGACGGCGGAGGACGUCGGUCUGUGGCGCACGAGUGAGGGAUCACGGCUGAGACCCAUCUGGCUGAGGAGACGGAGACGGCGUUCUUGAACGGAGGAGGGCUGAGAGAUCCAAACAUCGUAAUUAUUCGAGAGGCCCAUCGGAAAUUUAGGGACAACGCGGACAGGGUCAGACAAGCCGUCGGCUGCAUAAUUAGGAGAACCCGGGUUGGAAAAAGGGUUUGGAUCCUCGGAUUCGGAAGAAGAAGGAGAACAAGAACAGGAGGUGUUGGUCGAGGAGAGGAGCCGGUCCAAUGAGUCGUGGAAACGCUCGUCCUCUUCUUCUUCUUCUCCGGCUUUGCUCAUCGUCUUCGUUUUUCAGUUCCUCCCAUUUGCAGUACCCGUCACAUUGACCCGCUGGCCCGCCCCGGUAUUAAACGGGUCGGACCCUCCCCCCCCCCCCAAAGAGCCAGACGGAAGAGGCCUUUUCCCACCCCCUUUGUAUGCGUGCCUGCGUUUUUCCAAGUGGGUUUUCAGAGAAACGAAGUGGUGGAGAGAGAGUGUGUGGUCGUGUGGGGAAAUGGGAAGAUCGGACAAAAUAUAGAAGAUGAGGGGAUUGGUUUUAAGGUUAAGGUUUUAGCGUUGGGAACUCAGAUCCGAUGAUGGGUUUUGUGAGAGAGAUAGAGAGAUGGGGGGGGAGCAAAAAAAGGGACUGUGUAUUGAGAUGUGAGAGAACAAAAGAAGUAACCGCAGUUCUAUGCAAGUUUGCAGGCAACGGAGGAGAGAAGGGAACGGUGUCGUCUCGUGCGAUGGUGUACUUUACUAUGAGGGGCAAUUAAUUUGGAAAUGACCGCGGGGUUUGAGAAAGAAAGAAGAAAGUAUUGGGACAUGAAAAAUUGGAUUUUGGAUUGAAUAUUCUAAGUUGAUGACUUUUGAUCUAGCGUUGGGGUGGAGAUUAGAAGAAUUGUACUUAAAAAUAGGCCUGGGGCUCCGUUUGUGGAGUUUUGGAAUUUUAACCGUUUGAAUUGCUAUUUUAGGAGUUUUUGUCAAAAAAAAUAUUAUAAUAAUUUUAUGUAUAUAAAAUAAAAAGUUAAUUAAAAAAUAUAAGGGUUAAAUACCAAAAACCCCUGUGAUUUGCCUAAUGUUUACUUUACCUCCCUAUGGUUUAGAAACCUACAAUUUGACUCCCUGUCGUUUCAACUAAAGUGUAUUUAACGGAAUUUCUGUUAGAUUUUCACUUUAGGUUAAAGGACAGGGAAUUAAAUUGUAUAUUUUCAAACCAUAGAGAAGUAAAGUGUACAUUUAACAAACCACAUGGGGGUUUUGGUACUUAACCCAAAACCCUUAUAGAGGGGCAAUUUUGACAUUUUCCUUUCAAAUGUUAGUUUACAUGUUUUUCGUUAGACUUUUACUUUAGUUGAAAUGACAGGGAGUCAAAUUGUAGGUUUCCAAAUCAUAGGGAAGUAAAGUGAACAUUAGACAAACUACAUGGGGAUUUUUGGUAUUUAACCCAAAAUAUAAUGAUGAAAAACCACAGUCAAGCUUAGUGCCUGAAAACACAGAGAGUUUUUAAUCGGAAGAGGGUUUGGACUUUGGAUUGAUGACACCUUGUUUGGAUUGCGGUUUUCGUCGAAAAAUUACAUCGUUUUCUGUGAUCACAUUUCUCUAUUAUCUUUUUUCCUCACAUACAUCAAAUCGCUACAGUAAUUUUUCCAUGAAAAAUACAAUCCAAACACAACCUUGAGCAUUCGGACCUCUGAGACUUCUAUUGUUAAAAUUGAGGUUUUGAUCCGGCAAUGCUUUUUACAUUUUGUUUUUUCUUUUCUUUUGUCAAUUAAGUUCAUGGAUUUACUUGGACAAGAGAAUGUCACGUUUUAAUUUGCAAAACGCUCGACGAUAAAGACAAGGUGCGUUCCUCAAAACAAAAACAGAGGGAGUGACUGGAAACAGGGAAUAUUUGUUGCUUGAUUUUUAGUGCUAUAGCGGCAGAAAAUUCCCAAAAGCCAAAGAUUAGGUCCAAGAAUUCAAGAAGCAAAGAAAAACUGUUUGAAUGAAUCCAGCCAGCAGGUAAGGUCCUUUGAAUGAUGUGCAGUACCAGUACCAAGAGAGUAGGAUUCAUGAGUUAAGUUUACAACAUCACCAUCAUCUGCCUACUUCCGCUUGGAUAAUCUAGUUGCAGUUCUCUACCAAAAUGAAAUCAAUCCAAUGAGUUUCUUUUGUUGGCUAGUUGGUAUAGCAUCUAAUAGCAAAGUUGUAUCAAGAUAUUUGAACAAAUCAGAGUAAAAUUCUUAUCUGACAGCAAAUUCUUAUUGUCAGAGUUCAGCGGGGCAAUUGAAGCAAGGAUACAAUAUCACUUUUAGUAAUAAAAUAAACAAAUAACCUUGAAUACUAGCUGUGUUUUUGGGGUGGUUUUAAAAUAUUUUACUAGAGUAAUGUUUACUAUAAAUACGUUUUUUAUGAUGUUUUUGAAAGGAUUUUUGGAAUAUAUUUUGGAGAAUCUUUUAAAAUUAAAAUAUUUUUAGGAUACUUUUUAAAAAUUAAUACUACUACCUACAACCACCACCCCUUCCCUCUUUCUCCUCCCUUUCCCUAUCCUGCACCCCGCACCCCCCGACCCUCUCCUCUCCCCCUCGAUCAGGUCGAGUCCUCUAGUCGCAACUAGAUCACAAUCAGAAAGUUGCGACCUUUUGGACGCGAUUCGGCCGCAACCAGAUUGAGGGUGGGGAGGGGGGGGAGGAAGAGGGAAUGGGAAAAGAGUAGUACGAAGAGGGUAGGAAAGGGAGGAUGAGGGAGGGGUUGGUAGCGGUGGUGGGUGAUAGUGAUAGAUGAAAAAUAUUAUAGAAUUUAUUUUUUAUAUAUAUAAUUGUGAGUUAUUUUUGAUAUAUUGUAUAGAUGAGAUUUUUUUUUGAAUUAUUUUUAUUUAUGUAUUGAUGUAAUAUUGUAUUUAAAAAAUUAGUUUUUAAAAAAAGGCCAAUCCAAAUGGAGACACUAAAAUGUUGGAUUUAAUUAAAUUUAUUUACAUUCCUAGUUGAUUAAGUUAGUAUGUUUGCACCCUAGCUAAUUUUCCACAACUAUGUUUGACGCGAAUGGAGCAUUCUCAAAUUUAGAAACGAGUACAUUUGCAAGGGAUUUGAGCAGUUUAGAGGUAUCUAAUACCUCAUGAGUGAGUAAGAAUCAUAAUAAAGUCAUUCAUGUGUUAGUUAAAAAUGCAAAAUUCACAUGUGAUCAUAUCUUUUGGAGGAAAGAUCCUCACAACUUUGUUGUGCCAUUUCUAAUAUGGAAGAUUUGUUAGAAAGUUAGUGAAGUUUCAAUAUUUCUACCAAAGAAACAAUGAAGAGUAAACAAAUGUUAACCAGGCCAUUUGUGACAAGAUUAAUUAAAUAUCACACAGAAUUUGGACCAGGCAGCUGCUAGAUCCUGGCACUUGCUUUUUAACUUUAUGCAUGAGUGAGUUGGAUCAGACAUGAAUCAAGCUGCACGCGGUUCACCUUUGAGAUCGAUCCAGCUGUUAGCAGUGGCAGAUUAAAUUAGGAAUUUAGGAUCCUUCCAAAUCAGAAGUUAAGUAAGAUUGAGUUGUCUCGGCCGAUUGGAGACACCUUAUGAGUCUUGCUCUGCUUUGUUUAAAUUCCAUGUGUAAAUACAGUAGAUUUGGGGAAACAAAGGGAGGGAGCAAGAAUUCUGCUCAGCCAACCCCAAAUCCCGAAUACACAAGCGUAAAUUUAUAAACGGUCAAACUAAUGCUAGUUCAAUGGGAAUGUCGGAAGGUGAAACUUUUUGUGGUCCAUGAAGUUCUGCAAUUGUUCAUUGUCGCUUUGUCCCACUCAUAAUGUUGCACCAAUUGAUAGUGUCACUUAAAAAGUCCAACAAAGUGGAUUUAUUAACCUGAAUAGAAACUCUUGAAUGUACACAAACACUUGCCAGCUGCCGCUAGGUCGAACGACGAAAAGGCUUGGAAUGAGCUAAUCUUAGACAUUUCCUAAUUUACUCAAAUUUGUAAAAGAGUAUAAGAAGAUGGAAAGAGUGCUGAAGUGAUCCCAAAACAAAACAAUAGGGUAAAAUCCGACUAUGUAGAUCACUUGGCUUAAAAUUUGUCACACUAGAAUUGAUAGUGUGGCAAAAUUUGGAUCGCAUGAUGUACAGCACCGGAUCUACUCAAGUUUUUGUCAACAAUUAAGUAGUUUUCCUUUGAGACUUAGCUCGAAUUCGUGGAAAUAAAAAAUCCAUAUCGGCAUUAAAGGACCAGUUCAAGGACAAAUCAUAUUUUUGUGGAUGAAAGAGAAUUUGAGAUUUCAUAAAAAAAAAAAAAACUGAUUAGCAAAGAGUAGACGGUAGAGUGAUUCAAAAUCUUGUUAAUUUGAUUGGAAAUUCUCGAGGAGUUAAUCCGAGGCGUUCAUUCUCUUAACAGUUAACACUGUAGAUUAGAAAAAGGAUAAAGGAAGCUAAUGAAGUAGCCCCAAAUCAGAGUACCCCAGAAUUAUAUUCUUUUCUUCGCAUUGUUUCGAGACUCGACACGAAUCAACCAGACCAGUUCAUUUUCCUCAAGGUAAAAACACUUUCCUAAGCUUCUUUAUUGCUCCCUGAAAGUUGUACGCUUUGUACUACGAGGAUGUGGACGUUGAAGUGUAGUAGUUGGGCUUUGAAACUACGGAGUAUAGAAUGGGCCUAAACCUACUAACCUUUAAUCAAAAAAGAAAUGUACAUUUUCCACAUGCUUUCAGCCCAUUACUGUUAAAUCGACCGUGACAUCAGUCCUCAACUGCUUUCGGGACCAUCUCUCAUGAAUGCGGAGUUUGUCUUGGCUUAGCUGCAGCACUGCCCUCUCAAAUCUCUCCUAGGUUGGUGGCGAAGAUAUAAGGAACGAUUUAAUAUACGUGAAAUAAAAAUGUGACUGAAAAAUAAAUUUAUAAAAGUAUAUUUUUUUAUUCUAUUGAAAGUGUCAUAUUUUUUUAUCUUAAAACGUCCUAAAAUAAUUGUUAUGUUAAAAAAGUCAAAACACUUUUUAGUCUCUCUUUCUAAUAUGUCCAAUUUUUCUAAUCAUAUGCAUAUUACCAUUCAAAUUUAAAUUUUAAAUGUGUGGGGAUAAAAUUGAUAAAAAGGUACAAGCUUUACGAUGAAACUACUAUUCUUAAAAAAUUAAAUUUUCCAAACAUGACUAAAUAAAUGUAACACUCACUCACGUGCUGGAGUGUGAUUGAAUAUUAUUCUUUUUUUUUAAAUAGUUAUUUGCUUGAAUUACAAAAUGGUCCUUUCAUGGCCGUUUGACUUUUGGAUCAAACAAAAGCUGUAAUGAGGCGUGGUCUAUAGUGUGCUACUCUAUAGCAUAUAGGUAAGACUUUGAGAAUCCGAACCGUGGAAGAAAGUAGAGGCCAACAUGUUGAGAUUGUGGGGUUAGUGGGACGUAGGUAGGUCUCAAAAGCAGUGUAAAUGUCCCGCAUUUUGCCUCAAUUUUCAACAGUGGACUUAACUGCCACCGCAUACUCCAAUUAGUGGAAAAUUUUCGCGUAAGAUUUUGAUGCUUCGAAGCUCUGGGUCCGGGGAACAACAAGUCAAAUGAUACACCAUUGCCCAGAUUUUCUUGAUUCGUUUUGUGAAGCAACUAUCUUGAUUCGUUUGUUCGCGCUAAAUAUUUGCUUAAAUACAUUACAAGGUUACAGAUAGGCCUGUCAACGGGUCGGGGUCUAGACCCGGAUCCGGACCAAAUUCGUGAAAUUAUUGCGGGUAUGGGUAGGGAUUUAAUUCCGUUUUCCGGAUCCGGAUCCGUUUUGUCAAACAAAAAAACGGGUUGGAUACGGAAUAUAGUAUUCCGACCCGUAUUAGUCCCGGAUCCGAAUAUAAAUGAAUUAAUAAUUUAAAAAAUAUAUAUUUAUCAAUAUAAUUUGAUUAGGGUAAUGUAUUUGAGUAAAGUCAAUUUGAUUUCUUUUCUUAUUUGAUUUUUUCUUUGCAUUAGUUAGAAAUUAGUUUACAAAUAUAUUUUUUUCUCAUUUUUAUUAGAAAUUAUAAAUUUUGCUAAAUUUGUGCGGGUAGACCCGACCCGGAUCCGGGACCGCCGGAUCCGGAUCCGGAUCCGGAACAUAGAAUAAAAGAUCCGUCGGGUAAACGGGUCGGAUCCGGUUCCGGUAUAGUGAUUCAGGUCCGGGUCCGGAAUAAUGAAUUCCGGCCCGGACCCAACCCGUUGACAACCCUAGUUACAGAGACGGAUAAUGCACAUAUGACAUACAUGCGUUUGGAUUCAUUUAUACAUACACUAUUAAUGUAGGAAAAAUUUACUUUUAUGUCCGAUAUAAGAUGUUAUCAAAAUUAUUUUAAUAAAUGUAAGUAUAAUUUAGGAAAAAGAUUACUACACUUUAAGAUAAGUUUGAUCAUCUAAAGCAAACCUAAGAGCAUUGUUUGGAAAGUAAUUUUUCUUUUUCGCUACGUUUUUUAUAGACACAUUUUUCAAUCACCUUUGUACCUUACAUAUAUCAAAUCGCUAUAGUGAUUUUUCUAUAAAAACUUUAAGAUAAGUUUGAUCAUCUAGAGCAAACCAAUGCCUUGUUCGGACAGUAAUUUUUCAAAGAAAAAUUGUUAUAUUUUUUCGUAAAUAUAUUUUUUAAUCACCUUUUUACGUCACAUAUACUCAAUCGCUAUAAUAAUUUUUGUAUAAAAAAAAUUCAGAAAAAUGCAAUCCAAAUGAGGCAUGGAAGCAGAGACGUAGUGGUGCAGUGCAGCAUCAUACUAGUUCACAACUCAUUAACUACUACUACUCAUCAAAAAAAUAUUUUUUUUUUGGGUUAUAAACAUGGGGAUACAUACAACUCAUUCGAUCGUGGGCAUUUUAAAAAGGACAGAACGGCCUAGCUCGUCUGCAAGUGUACCACUGUAAACAGACAGCAGGAACGCGGGGCAGACGGUAUAAUGGUGAAGAGGUUCAACAGAAAAGGAUUAAUAAGGAAGGACGGUGGCUGCUGGCGCUCAUCCUCUUAUCUAAUCAUCUAAACACAGCGUUGGCGCACAUGCUGAUCACUAAUCAUCAUAAUUGGCAGCGAUAAUAAUAUUCUACAGUAUUUGUUUUGUUGCUCCUUUCUUCACAGCUCUCCAUUGGAAACUUCAUGUUGUACUUGUCAGCGUUAAUUAUUCUGGCAAUAUGCAUAUAAAGAAGGACCAAUCCACGAGCCAUCUCAAUUAUUUUUCUUUGUUAAUAAUAAUAAAUGUUAUUUCUCAGAUUAGUACACACUAAUUUGUCUCCCAGACCCAGAAUUUAUUUAUGAGUUUUCGAGCAAGUACGUAUGCCACCAAUUUCGUUAACAUCGGCACCGGAAAACGUAUAUUCAGGGAGUGAAUGGUAAAUUUAAAACUUUAAUAAUCAUGAUUGUACCUUCCUUUUGUGUGUGUGUUCAAGUUCAAGCACCAAAAAAAACAAAAAUCACAAAAUGUACUCAAAAUGAACUUAAAAUCAUCAAGGAAUGUUCAGUAAAAGUUUGAAAAAAAAAUUAACAGUUUUUUUUUUUAACACCCUCAUCUAAGUGGACUCUGUGAAUCGGCCUGAAAACGAAAUGCGGGUUGUACACAAUUAUAGCUUGGGAUUCCAUUCAAGUAUUUUGUAACCCCACCACAUUUGGGCUCCAUGGAUGGGAUUUUGGAAUACUGAAAGGACCAAAUGAUGAGAUAUUUGGUGGACGAUUGCACGAGAUCCAUGAAUUGGAAGAUGCCACAGCCAAGCACUGUCAUUAACCACAUAAAUCAUACACUGGUAAUUAACCAAGUUUGUGUGGUUUUGCUUCGCCUUGCAUUAUUAUAAUUGCACCAUUAUUUUCUGAUUUAUCACGCAAGUAAACUGGUGGAAAAUGCUACCAUCAUUAGUAGUACAUUGCAUAGUGCCAGACAGACAGCGCGGCCUGAUUCCCUUGAAAGGAAUCUUAAUCAGCAGCAAUGCAAAGAUGUGAGAGAGACUCAAGUUGAGGCUUAAUUUAGUGGUCUAGAUUUUACUACUAUUUGGAGUAGUUUUUACCGAUGCCAUUAAGACUAUGAUGUUUUACUAUUUUAUUGUUAAUCAAAAGUUACAACCUGACUUCCUCAAUCAUCAGUGGUCCGAUUAAUGAAUCCAUAGAAUAUAAGUUCGUUCUUAUAUAUUUAUAAAGCUUAUUACCAAUUCAACUAUAAUUAAUGGGUAGACAUCAACAUUUGAUUUGAGACCACACGUUCAAAAGGACUCCAUUUUAUGCUUUUAUCUUUGAUUAGAUGGCUUUUGAUUUUGGCGCAUCAUAUCACCAAUCACAGCUGCUUGAGGAAUGGCAAGUGACAAUUAUGCGAUUUAAUUAAGCUCUUCCCGAUCGCAGGUGUGUUUCAGACGUUGAGAAUAGCCCCCACCGGAGACUUUUAAGUCUUGGUGGUGGGGUGGGAGAUCAAGGAUUCAAACCUCUUGUCUCCUGUCAUUUACUCAUUUAUACAGUUUUUUCAAAUUCAUAAGGGUGCUCGUCUGAUCCGAAGAUGGUUCAGUUCUCGUCGACUCCCCCUUAUGGGCCUCUCCCAUAAGUGACGAAUGACAAAAAAAAAAAAAAAAAAGAAAACACGAUGCCACUCCAAUUUUCUUUUUCCUUUUUUCGAACGACCCACCCUUAGAACAACAUUAAUCUUUUACAUGCAUAGCUUGGAGCAAUAAAUUUAAAAAGAAUUUCAAGACGUUAAUGUCAGAAAGAAUCAUUUCUCCAACGUUUUAAUUUAAAUGUGGCCCCAACCCAAAACCAAAAGGAAUGAUUUUUGGCAAAAAUCUAAAUAAAAAACAACCCAAGAGAGAACAUCAAAGGAACGAUCAACAAGAUAAGCUUUAGAUUACAGAAUAGUAUCAUUGCUUAGAUCACAAUUAGAUGGUCAAGAAAGUUGUGAGACCAAAUUGUAUAUGGCAAUCUCGUACCAACCUCCAAUGAAAAGCAGCAUACAUGCGAGAACACUUCCUUGAUGCAUGUAUUUAGCAGAUUUGAUAAAAGGAAAAAGAAAGGUCAUUGGUGAAGGCAGACAUGCUUGAGAUACUACGUACUACUGCUCCACAACCAACAACGACUAGAGGGCAUGCAUGUGCAUUGCACUAACUUUGGGUUUUAUUAAACAUUAAUAUCAGAAUAUGAUAGAUCAAUGAAAAGCCAGUUGAGAUUAGGCCAAUCAAUGGAACGUUUUGGCAGAAACAUGGCAACAUGAUAUAUCAUAAAUUAUAUAUAUAUGGCAGAGACAGCGUGUCGUCAGUAACAUACUAAUAAUUAUAGAUUUAGUAUAAGAUUCAGGUAUAACACUACUGUUUCUUCAAGUACUACUAAGCAUCUUAGAGUUUAACUUUCACAGCUGCUCAGCUUCUGAAACAUGAUAUAAGACCAAACCGCUUGUGAAAAAGUCUACCCAUAUGCCUGAUCUGUGUCAAGCCCCCUCCUUGUACUCAACUUCAAUUUUGUAGUUUUUUUUUUAGCUCAAACUUCGAUUUUGUAGUUUAAAUGCAAAAUAUGAUGGUAUUUUCGAGGGAGGUUGGUCGGGCACAAAUCCAAGGUUAGGCGUAAAAAAAAAAAUUUUUUUUUUUAAAAAAGGCUUAACAAUGGGCCGAGAGAAAUUUUAUGUUGCACUCUCAAGGUUUUGGGUGCCCCAUAUUUUUAGUGACUCAAUAUAGCUCAAUCCUCGUAUUUCCCGUCGUACCAGCUAACAGUUUUGUUUCUGGGCCUAACGGGGAUUUGGGUCUCAAUGUGCUAGACUACUUGUGUUCCACUGUCUCCCUUCACAUCCUCGCUAUGUUGUGCAAAACCUAAUGCCUCAGACAGUAAAACCAAUAAACACCUAAGGAAAAGUCCAAGGUAGGAAUUGGGAAGCCAACGGUCAACUUUUCCCUUAUACUCCCUCCGUCCCACUUUGUUAGUCUUGUUUUCCUUUUCGUCCGUCCCAAAUUGUAGUCCACUUUCCCAUUAAGAAGUGUAGUAAUCUUUCAAAUUGUCUAAAAUACCCUUAUUAAAUAUCUUGUUAUUAAUACAUUGUUAUUAAAUACUAACUCACUACAUUGAAUACAUUGAACUUUUCCAAUACAUUGACUGCAUUGAUUAGCAUAAGGGUAUUUUAGGAAAUUAUUAAUCUAAAUUUAUAUUUUCAAAAAUUAAUUACACUUUCUUAAUCUGUGUGAAAAAAAAAACCAAAACUAACAAAACGGGACGGAGGGAGUAUAAUCUUUCUUCGUCCACAACUCUAAGAAGAAUGGCGGAGUUUGACUUCCACUGAUUUUUCACCCUCACACUACAAGAAUAUUUGAGCCACUCCUCAUUCUUAUUUCGAACCUUUCCUCCUAAAGAAUUUCAAACCUUGAACAAUAUUAUAUAAUAGUAGUAUUUUUUUUUUCUAAACUUGUACUUUGGUAAUGUUUUUGUAAUUUGCGGUUCAAUUACUUUUUUAAUAAAUAAAAAAUCUUAAAUUUAGAAUUUCCUAUUUACUAUUUCUCCGACCAACUCAACCCUCUCCCCGAUUACUGGUUCAGUUAUUCAGUUUAUUCUAACCCUGGGGCGAUGAAUUCAACGGUAUCGCUUAGAAGAUAAGAUAGGCGGCGCUACACUACAGUGUAAGCUGACUCCGACCUUCGAAUUUAGAAGACUAAAUUGAAAGCUCAGUUAUUUCUUUUAAGCUCAGUAACUCUUUCAGAAACACGUUAGCUAUAUUACAUGCAUAUCCAUCUCCGACGAUCCACGGCGAAAAAUGUUUAUUUCUGUUAAGGUAGAAGAAUAUGCAGUUGAUCUUCGUGCAGUUACAACGUUAACGUUUAUACUGUAAUUCUAUAACAUCACUAACACCUAAUCAUCAAUUAGGCUUAAUGAGUAAUGACUGACUAUUUAGUUUAGAAAACUCUGCGAUGGUUAGGCAUGCGUUGGGACGGAGCCAAAAAUUUUAAUUUGAGUACAUGUGCAUAUAAACUUUAUAAUAAAUCCAAUUUUUUUUAGGGAGAGGGAGAAAUAGUUCAAAAUACAUAAAAAAAAAAUUAAAUAUCUCAAAGAAAGAAAAUCUGGAUAUCAAGAACUUUGGGUUGCAGUGGCCCUUCCUGCCCCUCCCCAGUUCUGUCCUUCCCAUGCGAAGCUCUCAAACUUAAUAUGUCAAAAAAAAAAAAAUAAAUGUAGUUCCACCGCCUCGCCCACAAAGGAAAAAAAAAACCAAUCCAGAAGAAAAGAUGCAAUCCAAACAACAACCAUCAUAUGCAUGUUUGUAGAAUAAUAAGUUUAAAGUCACAUAGAGGAGCUAGGGAACCGUGGUCCAUGCCACCAACUCCGUGCGUGCUUCAAUUCGAUAAGCAUUAUAGCUCAAUUUGCUAUAUGUCUGGUUGAGAAAAGGUUAGUUUACCUGUCAGAUCAAAAGUGGAAAUUCAUGCUGAGGCCGAGGGACAGCCUACUUUUGAGAGCCAGAAGAGUGCAAGUCUACAAAGUACAAAGAUCACAUUCGUCUUUCUGAUGCAACAGCGUAUGCAAGGAAUGACUAAAACGAUUGUGUAACUAAUUAAUGGAUCGUCUUGGAAAAGAAGCCAACGUGAAGCAAAAUCUGGAUGCAGGAAGUUGAUUGUGGGCUAAGAAAAAGAAUUACUCCCACUACAUCAAAAAGAGCAUGUAAACAAUCACUUCAGGAAAAUUAAUGGGAAACAAAUUCAGCCAAAUAUAUCGAGAGACUACAUUGAAUAUAACGUAUCGGGAUUCAAGAACCAGACUAGGAUUGUGUGUGUGUGUGUCUGUACUUGGUUAAGAAUUAAGAUUUUCGUGCAUGCCUAUUAUGACGGUAUUCUCCGAUGGUAAAAACUCGUGCCUUUCUGACCUACCCUUUGUUUAAGGGAUUGAAGGCAUUUGAACAUCAAGAACGGCGCAUGAAUUUUCAGUCAAGCAAUAUCCAUCAGAUUGUUGCAGCAAAUCUGCCAUGGUAAUGUUUUCCCACAUUGGACUACUUGGAAUGGGAAAACCACUACUACUACCCUGGAUUGUAGUGGUCAAAACUUCUGUCAUGCUCCUCCCCCACAUAAUUGGAUCAGAAAAACCCUGAAGACCUUGUUCUGGUGGAAUACUCAUUCUACCUGCCUGAUUAUCAGCAGCGAGAAUAAUAUCCUCUGAUCUUGAUUCAUGAAAACUGCUUUUGUACUCAAAGCCCUUUUCAGUGUACUCCGUGAUUAUGCUAGUUUUGUUUCCAUUGGUUGAAGGAACUACAACUCCCUGUUUAUUGGGCAUUUGGAACUUGUUGAGUUUAGAGGUCUCAUUGGCGAUGCUAGAUGAAGAUAGGGAGCUUGUACCUGAGACUUCUUGUGCCUCCAUCUGGCAUGCUGCUUCGCUGCCACGGAAAAGAUGAGGAAAAUUGAGUCUCGCAUUCUCUCCUCUCAACCUGAAGGCUUCGCGAUCAUAAGCCAAAGCAGCUUCUUCUGCGGUAUCGAAUGUGCCUAACCACAAACGCUUCCUGUUUCGAGGGAGACGAAUCUCCGCAACCCAUUUCCCCAGUGCCGUUGCCUAACGCCCCUGUAAAUUUUAGGGGGCGAAACAGAAAGGUUAUGGGGAAGAACAAGUCCUAAUCUAUUCAUCAUCACUGUUGCAGCUGAUCUUCCUCCAGGACUCAAAGCUAGGGUGUCUUUCCAGUCCUGAAGAAGCUCCUGAUGAUUAUGUUCAGGUCCAAAAGAAAUCAUAUGGUGCUUCUCGGAUGGUAUCGAUGAUGUUGAAUGAAACCCAGCUGGAGAUUGAGUUGUAACUCCUAUUUGUCUAGAUCUUGUAAUUGUUUGAGGUUCAUGGUCUAGAGCGAAAGGGAAAACAAACCUUGAAGAUGGAGAACGCAUGGGUGUUCUUGGGUAUGUUUGAUGAUGAUUGGAAAUUGCUGCGGGGCUUCGGAUCUUCUUGAGAGGCCUGUCCAAUGUAACUGUCUUUUGGUGAACUUCUUUCGCAUGUUCCUUCUCUUUUGCUGAAAUUCAGAUUAUCUCGAUCAUCUGCAUAAUGAUCCCCCUCAGGCAAGCUGGCGUCUUCCAUUAAUUAUAACCUAUUUCCAGGGUGCAGUGCAGCAUCAAAAUUGACUCAAGAGCAAAGGCCUGGAAGUCUGGAAUGUGAACAAAGGCCUGAUCACAAUUGACUCGAGCAUCAUGACGAAAGAUGAGAAACAGAAGCAUUGUGUGUAAGCCUUACAUGAGAGUCAAGAGUUCAAGGGGCGCAGACUUUGAGAUAUGAUAUACUUUGCUUGCAGGGAAAGACAAUGUCCUUAUAAGUGGUGGAUUGUGAUUUUUCUCACCCACCUCAUGGCGCUGUUUUUCAAACUUGUGCAAAUCUUUCCGCCACUGGAAUAGAAGCUAACGCUUCCCACAACUGUCCUCAGUGCAAGCCAUCAGGAACUUAACUGACUCUUACAGUUCUAGACGAGCCAGUCUUGACAUGCUUGUAAACUUUAUGCUCUUCCAAGGGGCUAAAAGAAUAGUAGCAUACGGCCAUAAUAGCACAACGGAUCUUCUGUCUACAUCCUGUGCCACACUCUAUCCUACUUUUUAUUAUAUUGCUAUUUCUCCUUCAUAAACAUCAUGUUUUAGUUCUUUUUUGUUUCCUUAAAAUCCAAUAACUAUUAAUUCAGUAAUAAAGAAAUACAACAGCUUCAAAAAAGUAAUAUAUAAUAGAAAAAUAAAAAUACAGCAGAAAAUUCAUAAAAAAUCUCAUUUUUUUAUGCAUUUUGAUUUUUUGAGUUUGUUAAAUUUUGUGUAUUACUGAAUUAAUAGUUAUUGGAUCUUAAGGAAACAAAAACGAAUUAAAACAUGAUGUUUAUGAAGGAGAGAUAGCAAUAUAAUAAAAAGUGGGACAGAAAGUGACAUAGGGUAUGGGACAGAAGAUCCGUUGCGCCAUAAUAGAUGCAUGACAGAUGCUUAUUCUUUAAUUUAGGCCAAAAUUUCUGGUGGCCCUCAAACUAUUACAAAUUUUAAUUUUGGCCUUCAAUUAUUGACUGAUAAAUUUUUGCCCUCAACUAAUUAAAACGUAUAAUUUUAGCCCUUCCAUCAACUUCAACUACAUAAUUCAUGAUUCUCUAGUGGUUCUCAAACUAUUAAAAAGUUCAACUUUUGGUCCUCUAACUAUUAACUUAUAAGUUUAACCUUCCAACGAAUUAAAACAUAAUCCUAACUUUUCCGUUAGUUUGAGUUGUCAUGUCGAAUAGAAACGUCUCCACAUGCGCUAUAAGGGAAUAACCGAGCACGUUUUCAUCUUGAUAGUGAUGUUUCUAUUAGAUACAACGACACAAGUUGAUAGAAAAAACUAGGAUUAUGUAUUUUAAUUAGUUGAAGGGUUAAAAUUUAUCAGUUAAUAGUUAGAUGGCUACUGGAACACGUACACAUCGUGCUAUUUCUAUUAGAUAUAACACUCAAAUUGAUGGAACUGUUAGGGUUAUAUUUUUUUUAAUUAAUUACAAGACUAAAACUUCUUAGUUAAUAAUUGGAGGGCCAAAAAUUAAAUUUCAUUACAAUUUGAGGGCCAUUGGGACAUUCGAUCCUUUAAUUUAAUACUGAGAGUGAGAAGAAGUUAGAUGGCCUUGACAUUUAAAAAAAAAAAAAUUUUUUUUUUUUAACAUUCCACCCAGCUUCGUGCCCUUUUCACCCAACUGCCGCCGUGCAUAAACCUAAGACAAGUUAGUUGUAUAUCAAGCCAUUGACGACGUCUGCUUUGCUCGUGUACACCGGGCAUGCUCAAACCUAAGACAAGUUGGUUUUUCAAGGAAUAACAACCGGCAUGCUCCUCAGCAUACAAAAGAUUAAUCAGCACCAAAUCUCACAAAUUAUCUUACUCGGCAUGUAUGCUAAACUGCCAAUUCAUCAUUCAACACCAAAUUUUACCCUUUUUUUAUUUUUUAUUUUUUUGAGUAACAAUAGCUUAAUCGGGUCCUAUUUAUUUGAACUUGAUUACUAAAGUUACAACGGUCUGAAAAUUCAUAAAUAAUUUUAGAUUAUGUUCAUAUAAAUCACCAGUCGUUCAUUACUUUUGACAUAGAGUCUACUUCACUAGCCCAGUGACAGUAAACCUGCCCAGGUGGUAGAUUGCGAAGUCGAGGAAUCAGGAUUCAAUGGAGCACUCAACCAUUGAUGAUAGAAAUGGUGAAAUGACGAAGGAGGCAUGCAGCUGCCGGUUUCGUUUGGGGGCAAAAUGGAGUAGAGGAUGAGAGGAGGACCCUUUGCUUUUGCAAUCUUCGGUGUCAAGUAUAUCAUCAUAUAACAGUAAUCUGUAUCGUAUAAAGUGUAGUGUGUUGUAACGCAAAAAAUUAUACUUAAUAUAAAUAAUAACAAAUUUUUGUUACUCAAAUAAAUUUCAUCCACCAUCUAAAUUUUGCUUAAACUUCUCUGGCCAUCAAUUUCAAUAUUAGGGCACAUAAUUAUUUAAGCAAAGUUAAUGUGGAUUUCAAUGUUUAAGCAGAAUUAUGCAGCAUGCCAUUUGUGGAAAGAAGCUCAAUCUAGUGUUGAUCCACUUAAACAACCCCUUUUUAACCAAAUCGGGCCCCGUGGACGAGAAUUAAUCGUCAUUAGAGAUAUACUGCAAAUAAAAUAGGUAUUUUGAAAAGUCAAAACACUGAACUUAAUGAUGGCCACAAAGUCAAACCAGCGACCAGGCGUGCAGAUUUGAUGCCACCAGCACGCUUAAUGGUUAAUAAUUCUUUUUGUCCCUCAAAUUCUGAUGCAGAGAAGUAAAGUUCAAUCCAUUAAUUUGGCCUGUGGAUUAUAUUAAUUGAGGCGUGAUUUGCCAUUGUCGUCACUCAUCGUAGACUACAGUAUGUGGAAAAUCUUUUAAGUCAGAGUCAAAAACGAAUCCAGUCAUAUUCCUCUUUGUACAACAAUAUUUUAACACUAAUAUUUUUCAUUUAAAUAGAGAAUGCUAUUUUUAGGAUUCAUCGUUGUCCCAACACUAUUUUUUUUUAAAAAAAAACUCCUUUUAGCCAAUAAAGUAAACCAACAAAAGCUCUAUAGAGACUGGAGUUUUAAGGGUGGAAAAAAAACAAAUUUUGUAUAUCUAAAUACAAGCCUAAAAUAACAUGCUUUCAAAUUACUCACAAUACAUCCUCAAUGCACCAAAUAAAAAUAUAGGAAAAACUCCAUCAUUUUCUUCGUCCAUAUAGGGAAAAAACCCCCGACCUUGCUCCUCCACUUCUCCUUCUCCCCAGGAGAAAGAAGGAAAAGGGAAAGAGGAAAAAAGGCAGAAAGAGGGGGUUUUUUUGGGAAGAGGGGAGGGGCGAGGGGAAAGGAGAGAAAGGAAGGAGAAAGGUGGCCGAUAGGAGAGGGAGGGAGGGGCGGCGACAGUGAGAUGGUGUCGGGCGAGGGAGGACUAGAGGUGGUGCGAGGUUGGAGAAGGGGGAAGGAGAAUAAAUUUUAAAAUUUCAGAAAUAUUCCAAAAAAAGUCAAAAUUUUAAAAGUACCUCAAAACAUACCAUACAAACAGAAAUUUUCUGUGAAUACAUCUACAAAUUUUUUUGAAAAAAAAAAAACCCUUAAAAGCACCCAAUCCAUACGCGGAUUCAAACGCUUUUGCAAGAACUCUUCUAAAAAACUACCGUUUACACGGACAAGUUAAGGAAAUGACUCCCACAGUUCCCUGCCGGCAACAUGUAGCCGUCCCUUCUUGAAGUAGGAUCACCUUUAAGGAGACAGUUGUUUAUCACCUUGAAAUUGGUAAAAAGAUCAAAGCUGCCAAAAUCCAAUGCCGCUUUAAUAAGUAUUACACCUUACUUAAACCUUGAAUUCGAGAUUUCGAUGUAUUGCAAUUCAACUCAGACUCUCACACUAGAAACAUACAUGCAUCUAAGAUAUUUGCAAUGACAGGCAUGAAAGAAUGAAAAACUCAAUUAAGACUCCUGUGACAUCAAUAGAAGUAGAAAGGGGAAAUACAAGUCAAUCACAGACUCCAGUCCACACUACGACUUCUCUAUCAACAAGAUGUAGUUCACCUAUCAGCUUAACAAGCUUUACUUGUAGGCUCCCAUGCCCACAGCAGAUUCUCCACCAUAAGGUUCAAAGCUGGCUCCGGCGUUAGAAAAGGAAACGUAGUAGAACUCGGAAAACUAUGCCAGUGAAGAAUACGAAAGCUGCUCCUGCGGCAAAAACUCCCUUCCUAACUGUCUCACAGGAGGAGGAUCCUCACCACCAAAGAUCGUCCUGUAUUUGGUGUGAUAAGCAUUCCUAACUGAACCAGCUAGCAAGCAUGCCUCGGCAAUCAGGAAGAACAACCUGAAUCAUAGCAAUUUUUUGCAGAAGAUAAUAAAACCAUCAAUCUUUCAAGCACCAACUUGUGUUGUAAGUAGUAUUGAUAAUGGAGAAAAGCAUUUCUCAUCAUGCCAAUUAGAUUAUAACAAUUACAUUAAACGGAACAUACAGAGAAUAAUAAAGAGGAGGACUGCACAAGCUCUUGAACCUCCAGGUUUGAGAGGCCUUGCCGCAGCAAAAACAUUUGCUUGCCAACAUUAUGAUCACUUGACUAGCCAUGAGGAAGAAAAAUGCCCCAACACCGAACCCCGUUGCGAUAUCAGAGUCAUAGACACAAUAAUUAUAAUCUUUCUCAUUAUCCGAUGUAACUUUGGCCUGCCAACAAGCACAUUAUAGGACCAUUAGUAAGGGCUUGCUUAUUGAAAAAAAGACAGAGAAGAGCUCAUAAUUCAAACGAAAGUUUAGCAUAUUAAGUUUAUGUGCAUGAUAGAAAACAUUUUUUCAGAAUAACUCGAAAGUCUGCAAAAUAAGAUCCAUCUCGAGCAGCAAAAAUAAACUCUAUUUCAAACAGCAGACGAUAACGAUAAUGUCCACCAGCUUACGUUUUGGUUGAACCCAAAGGAGCAUAUUGGGUGAUUCCAACAGAUCAGGUGUACUGAAGCAACAAUCUAAAGCAUGCAUGUACAACACGCCAGCAGUGGGAGUCGGAUUACGGCGACACAUCAACUAGAUUUCAAACUACUACUCGCGCUAGAAAUAAUCGUGGAAGUAAUAUGUAAGCAUUUAGAGAUGAAACAAGUCAAAAGUAGAGACUGGCUGAAUUUCAGAGAACUUCAGAGCAGGAAUCUUGAGAUGAUGUGCAUGUGUAGGUCAGACAAUGGUAUUUAACAGGGCAAAUUAAGCUGACUUUUCUAUGCAAAGCAUCGUCUUCUAGUGAUUGGUUUCUGUGAACCUUGACAAGAAGUCGGACGCAAAAUGAUUUAUCUUUUCCAUCCAGUUUCUCAAUUAUCAUGAACAAAGCGGAACUGCUAAAGUUUGAAUGGCUGCACAGAGUAUGAUAUAGUUCUGCAGGCAUCAUAGACCAUUCCAAUCUCAAUAUCUGGAUCUUGAUUAUGUGAUAAACAGGAUGAAUCAAAUGAUCAAAAAUGGUAGAUAACUUACCACUUAGACUUCGAAGCCACUCCGAAUCUAGACAUGUACUUGAUACUUCACACAACUCUUAUAUUUCUUGAUAUUAAUUAAACUAUCAAACAAAUCCAAGAGGUGGAAAGUCCCUACUAUGCAGUAAUUACAAAGUAAAUCAAACUCAGCAACAAUCUGAUUCGUAACAUAUGAGCAGUGAAUAAACAGCGUUCCGUUCCAGUCUCCAUCAGUUCCAGUGAAUAAACAUUACUCGUAGCCAUUUUCUUCGGAUCAAUAUUUGCAGAGUUCAGAUCUUUGUUACUUUUUGCAUUGCAAAAUGGGCAAUGUGGACUCGAAAAAAAAAAAAAAAGGUAGAAGAGUCACAAACAAUCACAACUUACAGUGCUUCUUCUUUGCUCAGCAGCAACAGCCAAACCAAAGCAAUCAGAUCAAAUAUGAAGAUAGUAACCAUCAACAAUUUUGAAGCCAUGGGAGUAAGGCUUCUUCAGUUCACACUCUCCAGAUCUCCUCCUCACUCUUUUGUUCUAAAUGUACAACUCCCCCGCUACGUACCUAGCUAUCUAAAUAUACAACAAAAUUCAAUAUUUGAGUAAACAAGAAGAAGAGAAACCAACUGCUAAAAUAUCAUCUUACAGAGAGGAGAGAGACUUUUUACCAAAAAAUAAUGACAACCAACAGUUCGCCAGCAGCCCCUCUAUGUUAGCUUACUAACCACCAAAAACAACAGCCAAAAUUCUCCCUGAUAAUUUUAAUUAAUUUAUUUAUAUUUUAAUUUAUGGUGGAAAAGUAAUUGCUUCGGUCCGACGGUUACUGCUCCCUCGAGUAGUAACUGUAAUUGGCGGGGGAUGAUUGUGAUAGACAUUGAGUGUCGGUGACGCAAAACCUUUUUUGUGAAAGAUAAUCGGAUCGGACGGCUGAUGUAGCGGUGCGGUGUAAGUUGGAUCACAUGAUCUGCUCGUUGAUGGAGCCACCUGGCAGGCGGUUGACAGCGAAGCAUACUCUUCCUGUCGGUGGCCUUCUAUCCUUUGUCUUCUGCAUUUUGAGUGAUUUAGUAAUCUCUCUUUCUGUCAAUGUUCACUUGAGCUCUUUGAUAUAGAUGGUCUCUUUUUGGGGGAAAAUGAACGAUAUCAUACUACUGCUUGAAUGGAUGGAAUUCAAAAUGCAGGGGUCAUUACUGACUUCCAGUUUGAUUGGUGACAGAGAGACCUUUGCUCAUUAUUGGGAUAUUAUUUUUUAACCCAUGGAUAUCGUUCUUGAAGGAUCACAUUUGCUCCAUUCGAAGAGAAAGACGAAGCAAAAAAGAAAGGGGAAAAAAAAAUUUGCUGCCAAUAGAAUAAGAUUUACAGAGUAUACGAUAGGACGGCUCUUUCUUUCACUUUUCUAGUCGGCAAAAAUGUAAAAUCCUCUCAAACUAGGAAUUGUAGUAUAUUUUCUUAUUGAAAAAUAUUAUUUGUACUUCUAUUUUUGUUAAUUAUGCUUUUACUAUCAUUCUGAUCAUAUAGUUUUCAUUUAUGAGACUGUAUGAUAAAAUAAUGAUAGGAGUGUAAAUAACAAAAGAUGGAAUGCGGAUAACUUUUCCCUUCUUAUUUAAUAUAAUAAUCAACAUUUUUCAAAUGCAUCUUUUUCUUUUAUGCAAGAAUCUUUGAAGUGCUAAUGCUUUUGAAAGGUAUGUACUUUGUGGUUCAAAUUAAAUGUUUUUGUUGGGCUCUUUUUUUUUUUUGCCCCUGAUGAAGAUUCGUCCAUGGACUGAUGGACCUCCUUCAUUUUUUUUUUUAAAUCACCUAAAAGAAAUGUUAAACAAAUACUCCUAUUACUUGAAAUCUUUCUUUUUUUUAAUAAGGACUAAUAAUGAUUUUCUACUUAUCCUGUAAUUAUUCAAGCUUUAUCUCCUUGAUGAGUUGAAUCCAUACCUUUCAAUUACACUUGAAGUAUUUUACCAAGUACAACUAGUCCAUCCUUAGUUAUCCCUAUUACAUGAAAUUAGCUAUCCAAACGAAAGUGCCUCUACCAGCUACCAGUCUGCUACACAAAAUAAAUAAUAUAUCUAUAUUGAUUGUUUAACAAGAAAAUAUGGAAGGUCAAUAUCCUUGGAAAAAAUUAUUCAUCUUUUAAUGGAUUUCAAUCCUUAAAUUCCACUCCCCUUCAUCUACCAAAAAAAAAUAAAAAAAUAAAAAAUAAAAUCUAAAAAUUAGAUGAGUGUGUUUAUAUUUUAGGGAAAUUUGUCAAAUUGGUCCCUAACAUUUGCCAAAAAAAUUUUUUAGCCCCUAACAUUUAAAAUCAGCCAAAUUUGUCCCUAAUAUUUAAAUUAUGAUCCAUUUUGGUCUUAAUGCUCGUAUUUGCUCAUUUCUCCGACUGAAAAUAGCACGCCUCUCUCAUGUGGGUAUAUUUUCAAAGUCAAAAUCGGAAAACACACUUAAUUUCCUGUUGAGUAAAGUCAUUUUCCCUUCAUAUUUUCUCAUUGAAAAUUUGAAGAAAAAGCUGACAUAUAAAACACAUUGGUAAAAAAAAACUUAUUACAUAACUCUCAGUUCGGGGCAAAAGAGGGGAAAGAGGGCGGCACUGUUGUUGCAGCUAGUAAUGUGAGUCAGGCUCAAUUAGAGCCCUAGGAGGCAGAGACAAAUCUAGCCAAGGCUCCAAAGCUUGGAUUUUUUAUGACAGUGGCUGUAUUGGUGGUUAGAUGGAGCCCUAUGAAGUGAUAAGGGGGUGGCCAUGUUGAUUGAGAAGAUGGGGCCAAAUGAAGUUGGAAAGUUGGUUGAGGAAACAUCUAACAUCCCUGGCCGAUAUUGUCUCACAGUUAGCCGUCCCAUGGGGCCGUAGGUUUUGUUCCUAGCGGUGUUGAAUAACACAACAAGCUAAUGCCUUACCAAAAGGCCUCGACCAAGUGGGGGACAUCACAACAGGUUAUUAAAGCAGCCCAGGACUUCCUCCCUUAGCCGAUGUGGGAUCAUUACAAAACAAGGGCUGGGUCAAUUGCAUGCUAGUGGGGACGGAACGAGAAUUGCGAGUGGAAAGGGAGAGGGAAGGGAGGAAGAUGAGGAUAGAGGUGUGGGAAGUGAUGCGGCGAGGCUAGAGGUGGUAGGAGGUGAGGGGGGUAGCGGCUAUCGAUGCUGGUGGUUAUUUUGCGGUGGCAGUGGAGAAAGUUUUGAACAUUGUCUCUACUACUGGCUUGGCAAGUGUGACAUAUUUGACCAACAAGUACUUGGAUCAAAAUGUCAGCUUCUUCUUCACAUUUUCUUGUUAUUCUUCCUCCAUUACACAGCUGUCUAGUUGCAGCUGCGUUUUUCCUCUUCAAUUUCAUUCUUUUAGUGAGGCAAUUAGGACACAAAUAGGUAAAUAUGAAGGAAAGAUGGCUUUACUCAACUAGAAAUAAAGUGUAUUUUUCGGUUUUGCCCUUGAAAAUAUACCCACGUAAGAGAGCGCGUGCGCCUUUCGAGGUUAAAUUACCUGGUCUUGGAACAGCCAUUCAGGUCCCAAGAUCCAGGGUUCGAACCUCUCUUAACGCUUGGGUGCUCUUGGGGGGCGGAGCACUUCAGGUGCAGGGUGAUUAGUCUGGCAAAGUUGAGAUGCACCCUGUAUUGACAAAAAAAAAAAAAAAAGAGGCAUACUAUUUUUAGUCGGAGAAAUAAACAAAUACGAGCAUUAGGACCAAAAUGGAUCAUAAUUUAAAUAUUAGGGACAAUUCUGACUGAUUUUAAAUGUUAGGGACUAAAAAAGUUUUUUUGAAAAAUGUUAGAGACCAAUUUGGCAAAUUCCCCUAUAUUUUAAUAUCGUAAUCAACUUACGGAUGAUAAGUAAACUUCAACCACCACUUAAAGCUACACCACAUUCUUGCCAACACAGCCUUUUUUCUUCUUCAUUUUUUGUUUUUUUUUUCCGGCAACACACUUUACAUUAGAUUAAAAAAGUAAAUUGCUGUUUAACUGGAGAAAAGGGUCAUGGUAAAGCAGUUGGAAGAAUUCCUUGUUGAUAGUUGAUGAGCGAAAUCUGAUGCAAAUUUCUCAAAAUCUGAAAAGCAAGAGAAAACCCCUUCGACGUCCAAACUCCCAGUCUCCCACGCUGCACCCCUCCCUUCCCCCUCUUCUUGUCGGCCAAUUUGGAUGCUACUACAAUUUUGCCGAAUCCCAUUAACCCCUUAAUUUCUUUUCUUUUUCUUUGUUGUUGGAUUUUUCUUUUUCUUUUUCCUUUUCAUUUUUAUCAAUUGCAGGUAGAAGGAGGAGGAGAAGGAUUCGAGCCCCUGAUUGGAGACAUGGGUUCUUCCUCUAAGAGGAAAUCUGCCAAAAAGAAAAGUUCCAAACUUUCUUCUCAGGUAGCAGUAUCGAGAAUCUGCUAUGUGACUUUUAUUUGUUUCUGAUAAAUUUUUUGCUAUAUUUGUGCUGGAUUCUCUAUUUAUUUCAUGUAUUGUGUUGGGUUUAUCUUGGUUGUUCUUCAAUGUUGUUUCAAUAAACAGGCCUGCUCAGACAUAUUGAGAAUAAUUAAUGGAAAAAAUUGGAACUUUAAGCCAUUAGCUUAGCUUAGGGCGCAUUUAAAGUGGCCAUUCUGAAAGUGCGAUAUGAACAAUUGAAACUUUAAGGCAUUAAUUUGGUUUCUGUAUUGAACUUGAAAUGGCUGUUAUUUCCUGUCAAUUGACUUUAGUAUCUGUAUUCUGAUUAUUAAAAGCAAUCAAAUACUUUUUAUAAUCUUCUUGUUUACUUGCAACAAAUACUUCUAAACGUCGUAAACAUGUCUCAGUUUCUUGCCUUUCUGUAUAUCUUAUGUGGUUAGGCUCGCAAGAUGAAGAAGAGUGGGAGGACUAAAUCCAAGAAACUUGGUCGCCGUCAUGAUUCCAGUACUGAUGAUUCCAUGAGUUCAGAUUCCAUUUCCUCACCUGGUAAUGAUUCUUAUGCUUCAAAUUCUGAUGAUGACUCCAUGAGUUCCGCAUCUAUAUCUCGGUCCAGUUCAAAGGAUUCUUACAGGAGAAGGAAAAACAAAUCGCGCUCACGAGGUAAACUAAAGAAGACCAGAAAGCGAGCUCGAAGGAGAUCUUCCAGCAGAGACAAUCGUAAGAAAUUAGCUCCCAUGAAAAAAAGAAAAAGGUCAAGAAAGGAUAGUGAUUCUAAGACAAGAAAGAAAUACGGCAGAAAGAAACGUAGGAGGGAUUCAAGUGCUAGUCCCACAAGCAGCAAUUCACACAGCUGCUCUACUUGCAAAGGUGGUAAUAGUGACAGUGAGGAGAGCGAACGUGAGAGCGUUUGGAGCAGGCCUAGAGAAAAUAAGAGAGAUUUAAGCAAGGACAAACGUAGAACCAAACUUAGCUUCCGUAGGUCCCCAAGUCAUUCUUCACACAGUAGGUCUAAGGAUCAAAGUGGUAGUGUUAGUUACAGUGAGGAAAAGUUUCUGAAUGAGAACAAUUCCCGGCGUUUGAGAUCUGUUAUAACAUUUGUUGAGCAGAGGAGUGAGGGAGAAGGGAACGAAUGGAAGAAGGAUCUACAGAAUGAAGAAAUUGUCUAUGAUAAUGACGAUUAUCCUUCCAGAAGCAGUAGUGGUGGGGGAAGCAAAAAGGAAUCAACUCCUCGUUCACCUAUUGCAUUUGAUGUUGAGAAACGGACAGAAAGUCCUAUAUUUGUUUCUGAACAUGAGGUGACUGAACUUUCAGGAAGUGUAAAUGAUGCGCAUGACAUGAAUGAGUUUGCGACACGCAGUUCUGCAAAGGAAAAUGGGAAUUACACUCCCCUUGUGGGUGCUGGUUCAGGGGGUGAUGAUCUGGAAGCAAUUUUGAGGCAGAAAGCUUUGCAGAAUUUGAACAAGUUCCGAGGAGGACAUAAAAGUAAUACAAAGCCUACUUUGGAUCAGAAAAAUAAGGAUGAUGGCAAUGUUAAUGCAUCAUCCACUUCCACAGCAGCGGUUGAAAGGGUUGUCCUUGACAGCGGACACACUGAAAAGGUUUAUGGAAUUGUGAAACAGAAUAAUGAUCAUCCAGCUGAUGGGUCGGGACUCUCUGGGAAUCCCAAGGAGGACGGCCUGAAUAGUGGAAAUCCUGUUGUUGGUAAAUCUGUAUCUGGAACCUCACCAUUUAGGGGAAGAUCUUCAGGCUUGGACAUGCGGCAUCAAGCCACAGCAUCAGGAGCAUCUCCAGAUAAAAUUCUGAGAGAAAUUAAGAGUGAAGGGAAGACUACAGCUACAGUACAAACUACAUCCGUGGCUGGAAACUCGUCAUUUUGGGAAAGUUCUUCAGGCUUGGACACACCCAAUAAAACUACGACAUCAGUUGCAUCUCCAGAAAAAUUUCUGAUGGAAACUGAAAGCGACAGGAAGACUGAGCUUAAAAUAACUCAACCAUUGUCUCCUAGCGUGGGCAUUAAUAAAGGUUCUGCUUGUAGCUCUGCGACUGUAGAACCAGCUUUAUCUGCUACUUCAGGAGGGCAAAGUUUGAACAAUCAGAAAGAUGAAGCUAAGGAUGGCGGACAGUAUCAGCAGAAGACGAUGUCUGUGAUGAGAGGCGGGGAAAUGGUACAGGUAGGAGCUUUCUAAAGUAUCAUUAAUAACGUAUUUACUGAAAUUUCCAAUUUGUAAAUGUUGUGUCGAGUUCUGCUUUACUUGCUAGGGAGUUUGACAUUUGGAACCAUGUUCCCAGGUAAACUACAAGGUCUACAUUCCUCAAAGAGCUCCCGCUCUUGCCAGGAGACAACUCAAGCGGUGAUUUUGGAGGGCAGGGGACUUGGUGUGGACAACUGGGAUUUUGGUAGUAGUUGGAUCCAGAAUCUGUAAUUGAUUGCUAGUUGAAAGGAACCUUGACUGGUUAUAAAGUGAAGGCCGAUGGAUGCCAUAUCAGUUGAUCAUACUCUUUGAAUAACUGGAUGUUUAUCAACACCUGACAGCUCAUUAAUAAGUUCUAAAAUUCAGUACAAUUUUGCAUUUGAAUUGGAAUACACCUGUCUUGGUAAAAUGAUGUCAAGAGAUUGGUUGGCCAUUGUUUGACAAGGUAAUUGCUUCCGCAGAUAAUAUAAUAGCCACCUUUUUCCUUUAAAAGAAUUAGCUAAAUUUUAUAUAUGUAUGUAUGUAUAUAAUCACUUGCUCAUCAUGUCCACUGUGCUUAAUUAUUCUGGAUGGGCUGCAUUUUGAACAUGACAUUAACCAAGAUUUAUUUUCUUAAAACCAGCUAGGCAAGCCCAAUCAUCCAUCUUUGACACUUUAAUAUCUUCCAAGAAUGGUGAGUACCGUUGGAUGAUGCGCGGAACCUGCAUCAAGAAUUUUAAAUAAUUUAAUCAGGGAAACUUUUGAAAUGUGGUUCUUCAUCGAAGAACGGUAAUAUGGUAGACAAGGAUGAUAAACCAUUAAUAGAUUUAUUAGUUUGAUAAUCUUCUGGAAUACCAGCGUACUGUAUGUGGACAUGACACAGCUUUACUUACAAUUUGCUUUAGAAUACGUUGGUCACUGCACUACUUGGACAACAUUUAGGAUAAUAGCCUCUCUUAGUCAUGUUAAGCUAAUCAUCUAGCAAGGUAUUAUCUACAAUCAGUUGCAUCCUAAGACGUACCUGCUCAGAUAUGAUACCCGAUAGACCCACUGUGGCUCCAGGCUUUGCAUGGGAGACAAUUUGGUCAGCCAAAUCUAGCAGAGGAUUCAGCAGUAUAUUUGCAAUAACAACAUGAAACUUCUCUGUCUCGGUGAAAACUCCUUUAUCAUUUAAAUGCUGCCUGUCUGUAGGUUUACUUACAAUUUCGUGUGUAAAAGUAGCACUGCCUGUACUAGGAACCAGACUUAAAAACAGUUUUUCAGGCUGUAUGUUAUUCAAAGCAGCAUUGUGUUGAGCAGCUGUAAUUGCUUGGGGGUCUAUAUCCAGCCCAGCUGAAAAAGCUGCACCAAACUGCAUUCAUGAUCAAAAUUUAAAGAUCAGAACCCAGAAUCAAGUCAACAUAGAAGCAAGGUCGGAUUUAAGAAGUACUGCAAAUAAGAAUCCAAUGAAUUGCUCAAGAUGAUACUGUCAUGAACUUUGAUACCUGGACUACCAAUUCAGUUGCAACAGAACACAACAAAUUCAAGUACUAACUUCGAUAUUCAUCUUAGGUUCAGCACCAUCCUCCUAUGUAAGCAUUAAACAGAAAGAUUUGAGUACCUUAAUUGCUGCAAUAGCGAGGAUACCAGACCCUGUCCCAUAAUCCAAGAAAACUUCUCCUCCUUUUAUUACAUCAUAGAGCAGCAUUAGGCAUAACUUAGUUGUAGGAUGAUCCCCGGUCCCAAAUGCUAAUCCAGGGUUUAGAAUUAUAUUAGUUGCUUGAAGAUCCUGCAAAUUUAAGCAUUCAAAAUUUCGAGCGAGUAUGCAAGUGUAGAUCAAUAGUUCUUAGUCAGACUUGGGGGGAGAAUAAGACAAUUUGAGAGUCUUGCUUCAACCAGAAAAUUCAUCUUUUUAGACCAAAGUCAACACCACAAAAAUCAUAUAGUGAAUCCUCAUAUGCAGAAAGAAUAGCUCAAUGGACAUUAAAUUAGCGGCUGAGUAAGAAAUAUGAUUGGAACUUGUAACUAUGAUUAACCAUUUUAAGGUCUCAGUAAACAACACUAAUUCCACAAAGACGAAAUGCUAGUUCCUGAAAGAUGUUAAUGUUAAUGGAACCUCAAAAGGGAACAGAAUAAUCAUACUGGGGGCUUUCUCCACUCAGGCACGAUCCAAAUUCCUUCAAUAACUUCUACAGGAUGAAAUGAUUCCUGCAAGACAGACAAUAUCCAAGAAAUUAUUGUGUUAGAAAUUCAGCUAUAAACUGGGUAAAACAAACUGGUAUACAGACCACCAAAAUCCACAUUAACCCUCUAAAAUGUAGGGUAAAAGUAGGAUAAAAAGGCCUCUCAGAUACAUUACACAUGCAGAAUCAACAACUCCUCAUUCUCCCGGAAUUUAGCUAUCCUAGGUAAAACUGCGAGAUGCUGUUUAAUCUUGACAUUAUUGUCAUUUCACUUGUCUUUAUAAAGCAAAGAAGCAUUAACCUGACUUUCCUUAAUCCAAUCAGUGUGGUCAUGCAUCACUACAUCAUAACUUGGUAUCUCUUUCAAGCCUAUGGAGUCAACAGCAAGUGAUAUGCUUUCCUUCACAUCCUGACUUACAGAGAAUAUGGAACUGAUGCAAAUCUGCAGAAAUUUUAAGGAGAUACCAUUGAGCUACAGUUAGAGCAUAUUAGUGAACAAGCUGCAUCAGAAAAAUAUCAAAUGAGCUAACUCUUACAAAAUCAGUAAGAUAAUACAAUCAAACCUACCCAAGUAAUCGUAAAUUCCAAGUAGAACUGGCUAACAGUUGAGACAUGGUCUCCAAAAAAGGAACCUUUCAAAGAACAUGGUUAGCAUUUUGUAGCUCUAUUUGUUCAAUUACUUUAAGAGCAUAGAAACAAUUUACAUAGUAACCACUUUCGUGUUUCUGAUGCUCUUCUACACAAUCUAGAACACAAUACAAAAAGUAAAAUAUUACAUUUCAAAACCAAAUAAAGCAUGAGAGAAUGAAGAAAUUGGCUUUCUACCUCAUCACCAACUUCACUAUCAUCAUCAUGUUCAUCAAUGCUGGUAGAGUUGGCUCCAAAACAUAAAAGGGCUUCUGAAAGCAUAUCCUGACCAAAGAACAGAAGCCAUGUAUAUUGAAGUAAUUCUUUCAACAAAACUUAUCCAAAUAGGGCAAUUAUAACUACAAGUUUUUUUGUUUUUUAUCAUCCUGCCUCGUAAAAGCUUGCGUUGCAUUAUUAAUCAUUUUCCUGUAAUGAAAAAUAGCUGUAACCUGCAAAAUUAAUCAAAUUAAUUACGAAAAAAGAAACCCAUAAAACCCAAAGCAGUUAAUUCUACUAGCAUGCAUCUGAUAUCUAACUAUACAGCAAUAAAAACAGACACACACACACACAGUGUUACUGAGUUUAGCUAAAAGUAUGGGCUAAAAAUUAGAACUUAUUAGCCUUUGAAAGUAAACGUCUCAUUUUUUGCCGCAGCACAUAUACAUGCACACGUAUAGGUAAGGGGAAAGAGCUCACUGCAACAUUUUUCUGGCAGCAAAUGGUCACAGAAAGGUAAGGAGAAGUAUAAGAAUCGGUCGGUAAAGUCUCCAGAGAAGAAGAAGAGCGUGAGGUUGAAAAAGUAGCAGUCUUUGAAGCCAGCUGGCUUAAAAGUUUGUAUCUUUCUGAGAAAAAGAACACUGAGUCUGAGAAGCGGCUUUGCCCAACGAUACCCCGGGUUCGGUGGCCGAAAAUAAGGGCAGUGGCGGUGGAGGCGGCGGCGGCAGCUGUGGAGGUGCAGAGGAGGUGCUUGAAGAAAUGACUGCGCAGAGAAUUGAUUACCAGUGACAUUUUUUUUUGUUAUGUUUUCUUAGGAAUUAGCAGUUUCCUUACAUUCUUAGGAAUUACGUGACAUUUUUAGUUGAAGAAGUGUACGGGAAACAACAAAUAAAUAAAAGAGUAGAACUUUUUGGCAGAUUUCUUUAUUUAUUUAUUUUUUUUAGAGUUUAUAUCUUACCACAAUUUUCACAAACGCUCUUCUCUUUGGUGGGUGAACCCUUUUUUUUUUUUUUCUUUUUUCUGUCUUCUCCUUCUUCUUUGUGAGGUUAGAAAAGCUAUAUGAUCCCAAUUUAGUAGUAUUACAUUAUCAAAAUUUUGCUAUGGUUCGAAUUUAUUGUACAAAAUGAUUGGUAAAACUAGAUAAGGUUCUCAUAAUAAGUCUUUAAUAACCGUGCUCAUAAACAAAAGUCAACUGAAGUUUCCUUAGGGAAGUAGACUAAAAAAAAACUUUAGGCAAAAGGGCAAAAGUCCAAUAGAUAAUUUGUUUUCUCAUGUAUUUUCACAGAUUUUAGUAAUACGAAUUUAUUGCUUUUCCGUCUUUUACUUCGCAAUAACUUUCAACAAAAGAAAAGAAAUAGUCAUUGUAAUUCUACUUCAAUAUAAUUUCACCAUCAAAAUCUACGUUAUAGGAGCAUUUUUUUUAAUGUUAUAACAGAAAUAAUGCAAAUUAUUUGUUCAAGAAAAGAAUAAUGCAAACAAAUUUGAGAUUUCUUGAAAACCAAUUUUACAAAUACCAACUGAAUUUAAAACCAAAAAUUGAGAAACAUAUUUUGAGAAAAGUGGGGGAAAAAGAAAGGGAUAAUUUCAGAAAUCUCCCCUGAGAUUUUUAAUAAUUUCACUUGGCUCCCUUAAGACUUCAAAAAUUAUACUUACCUCCCUUGUCCAUUUAAAAUGAUAAUACUAAUCUUAAUAUUUUUAAUAAAACUCUCUUGUUGCCAUGUUUAUGCAAAUGAUGGAUUUUAUAAUUUUUUACCAUUUUCCUUGUUAUUCAUUUCUCUUAUGUUUCAUUAGAAGUAUAAAAAAACUAUCAAUAUUAUUCCUAAUAUCUAUCCAAAUUAAACGUUAAACUAGUAAUAUUUUUUUAUAACUUUUAAUAUCCUCCAAUUUUUUUGUAGCUCUUUUUUUUGGGUAUCAAAAUCAAGGAUAAGUCAAUAAUGAUUAAAAACAAAUACCCCAAAAUCAUUACCAAAUUAUGAUAGUUCCACCACUAAACUAGUCCAUAAAUUUUUAUUAAAAAAGAAAUCCUUAAACUUUAAAAGAAACAAAAUAGCACUUUCUUCUCUAUCUUAAAAAGAAUUUAUAUUUUCAAUAAAGUCCUAUGAAAAAUACCCUAUUAUAGCAAAAGAUUUAUUGUUAUAGUUGAUUAUUAAAUAACAAAUAUUAGCAUGAAAAUCUUGAUACUUUUUUCCUUUAGAAGAACAGAUUGAACUUUAUAAGAUAAGGGCAUUUUAGGGUAUUCAUUAAAAUUUUUGCUCUAUUUUAAAGUGUGGUUACUAAAGUGUCAAAUUAAGGGAGAUAAAUGUAAUUUUUAAAACAUCAAGAGAACUAAGUAAAAUAGUAAGAAACCUCAAGGGAGGUUCCUGAAAUUAUCCCAAAAAGAAAAGAACGAGUGACCAUCGAGAGAAUGGGUCAAUCCUGUCUGAUUUGUUUCCCACCAACCAAAUCACAAGAUACAAAUUCCCUCGAGGAAAGAGAGAGAUAAAGAAAAUGGUAUUCUCCUCCAACCCAUUAGCUCUGAGCGUACCCGACCCGGAUUUUGAGUCUUGGCUCCGAAACAAAGGCUACCUCGAAAUCCUCGACCAACGCACCUCCGACCUCCACCGUCUUUCCACCUCCACUUCCGCCGCCGCCGCCGUACGAUCCUCCCCCUCUUCCUCCUCCUCCAUCACCAUCGCCACCACCACCACCAUCAUCCCCUAUGGCCUCUUUAUCUCCCUCUUUUCCCACUUAAAAACUCUUUUCUCUCUCCUCACUCUCAACCCCUUCUCUAAGCUCACCUCCGACGACUUUUCCGGCGACACCCCUUCUUGGACCAACGCUUUUAUUGGCUCCUUCAACUCCUACUCCUUCCCCACCUCGCCUGCCCAGGCCCGCCUUCGAGCCCACGAGAAUGUUAAACGCUUUGCUCGCAAUUAUGCCUCCCUCUUCAUCCUCUUCUUCGCUUGCUCUCUGUAAAUUUCUGAACUCACCCGCUAUCUUCAUUAGCUUACUUUUUUCUUUCUUUGUCUCAAAACUCAAAAAAAAAUUUCCAAUUUAAGUUGUUAGUUUUGAUUAUUUCUUAUAGUUAUUCUUUGCAUGGGGAUAAUGAUUUUGUCUUUGCUGUUUGUUGGAAACGGAGGAAUUCAUUCUUUUCCCGUUUAGUCACUGAUAUUUUGUUUACUCGAAGCUAAUGAACAAAUCAAAGCUCGUUAGUUGUGGAAAGAUAUGAGGUGAACUUCAUCAAACUAGGAAGAAUUCUUUAGACAACUCAAUAUGACUAAUUGAUUUUUGGAGGAAUAGGAUAACGUAGUAGAAUGUUGAGUUAGAUCAAAAAAUGUGGAAAAUGUGUAAAUUUUAAGGUUGUUUGUGCUGUUAGUGGAUUGAUGGAUUUCAAGAUGCUUUUGUAUUUUCUCCCGGUUGACAUUUCUAGGUGACCUGUUACCUAUGUGUGUGAUUUUGGGGUAGUAUUUUAUUCCUUUUAUGAUUUUGUUUCGGUAAUAGGUAUCAGAUGCCGCUUGCUCUUGUGGGGUUGAUAGCGUGCUUGGCACUUUGGGAUGUGUUCAGAUAUUGUGGUGAUCGAUGGCAACUAGACCAAUAUCCUGUUUUUAGACAGACCUUGGUUCGCAUUGCACAAUGUAGUAAGUUUUGACCUUAUUAAAUUCAAUUCUGUGUUUUUCUUCUUGUGGCAUUUUUUGCUUGGAGAUGCAUAAGUAUCUUGUUGCAUAUUUCGUUAGGAGAUGAUAAGCAUAAUGCAGGAACGAAUAAUUGACUAAUGUUUGGCAAUUGAGGAAUAUGUAUUGAAAUGUUCAUGACUAAUUAAGCAGAAUUGAUUGGUUUGGAAACCGUUCUUUUCUUAAUGAAGUUCAGUGAGUUCAUGAUGCCUCCUUAAAGCAUAUCAUUCUUAGGCUCUCUCUGCAAGUCAAAGUAUGCCUUCUUAAUUUUGUUAGUUUCUAGCUCCUUGGAUUAUUUCGUCUUCCAGAAUAUUUUAAAGCCUUUUUAGCUAGACACCCGCCCCUGGGGGGGAGGGAGGGGGGGCAAGGAAUAUCUAAUGCAUCAUCCUCUCUGGACAUUGUGGGGCUUGAUGGACAGCAUUAGUGGUGGAUGCCAAACCUUAACUCGGCUCAUUCUCAUCUUACCUCUUUUUAUCUCUCAUUAGUCAGUGGGCUCAUGAUAAUUAUCCUAUUCCUGAGAAAAUUGUUUCUUGGGAUUAGGAUAAGUCAUAAGUAAACAGGCUAAUUACAUUAGGUAAACAGCUUGUAGGGCUCUUCCUUUUUGACCCUCUAAUUCUUCCCCCUCAACUUCUUCAUGAUCCCGCAGUUCUUGCUCUUGCUGAGGCCUUUGGGAAGUUCAAUGAAGUUUUUUCUCCUUGUCUGUGUCUCCAAAUCUACUUUUACUGCUUGAUAAUGUCCCCAGUUAGCGCAAGAUUUGCUACACGUUUUGCAGAUUGCAGGACUUAAUUGAGAUUGAGCCUUUUUGUAUAAUUUGCUUUGUCUUGACUGGAGGAGGACAAAACAAUUACUGUUCUUAAGAAAUGCUGAGUUGAUUAACUAAUUUUUGACAAAAGUCUUGCACUGUUCUACGUGGUAUAGAUCAUUUCCCAGUUUGUCAUGUUUCAAGGCUCUUAGUAUUUCAGGUCACAUUUGCUCUAGUUGAUGAUUCUUAGCAAUUUUACAUUCAUGUAACUACUAACUCUCUCGGAUGCUUAUCAACUUAACUGUGCCUUCAAAACGUUAACGUUCCAUUGACUUUUGCAGCAACUGCAGUUAUUCUAUUCUUCUCCAAUGUUCAAGUAACCCUCCUAUGCGCUCUUAGUGUAAGUUAUGCAGGUAAGGCAUUAGUUCUUCUGCUUAGCAAUUUUUAUAUUCAAACUGCUUUUUCCUUUCAUGAAACAGAACUUUGUAGCGACUCCAAAAUCUGAUCCCCUCCUUAACAUGAUUGCAGUCUUGGUUUUGCAUGCUUCGUUAAGAAAACUUACCCCAGGAAAACAAUCUACGCCAAGUGACAGAAACAGGAGCAGCAGUAAAAGAUGAGGAGAAACGAUGAAGUGUUGAAGAUUAUUGUCUGUACAUUGUAGCUGGCCAGACUGCCCGGAUCAUAUCUGCUUGCUGAACCUAUUAGCUAUAUGUCCCACAGAUACUAGCGUCCAAUUUUAUCAAAUCACAGACUAGGUUCAGUUCAUCUGUUCUUUUCUGCCUUUCUCUUCCCACGGGUACUUAGUUAUUGACUAGUUUAUCGUAGAAAGACGAAAAUGGAGCCUUUUGUCAGUCAUUUCCAUUCCCAUUAUAACAACUUCUUUUAGGGGGUGCUUGUUUUAUAAAUUGGAAUAGGAAAUGGAAAUGAAAUCAUAGACUCCGGUUUUGGAAUUAAACUUUUUAUUCAAAUAUCUAGUUUGGUUCACAUAUUGGAAUUAGCAUCAUUCCAAUUCCCGAUGCUUGGUUUGAUAAGUGUUUCGGAAUUAAAUGCAAUCAAAUUCCAAAUUUACCUUUGAUAUAACAAUUCUUAUAAAAUAAAGAGAUAAUUGCAGGAACCUCCCUUAUAAGAACAGAGUACUCAUUUUUUCAUAAACAAAUUUAUUUAUCGGAUAAAAUAAAAAUAAACUUGUUUUUCAAUAAAACACCAGCUCUUUAUGGCUUUCUUUCAUUAUAAGAACAGAGUUUUCAUUUUUUCAUAAAUAAAUUUAUUUAUCGGAUAAAAUAAAAAUAAAUCCGUUCUCCAAUAAAAUACUAGCUUCUUAUGGCUUUUCUUUAUAAGUUGUCCAUUUUUCCAUUUUUUCAUAAGCUAAUUUAUUAGUUGGAUAAAAUCAGAAUAAUGUUAAAUCACAAAACCUACAAAGUCUUGGAUUUGCGUUUCCAAUCUGUAAUUACAGAUUUAUUGCAGAUUUGGGUUUCCUAUUCUCAUCUAAUGACAUAACCCACAGCUCAAACGACUGCUUCAUAUUAUUCCAACUAUGUCACAUCAUCCAAUCGGCGAAAAAAUCCAUCAAUCCUUGAACAUCCAGGGUCUGCGAUAGUGCUUGCAAUCGAGAACCCGCCCAUUGGUUGAAAAUCCCAAGCGGCAUUAGGGAGGAGGAAUUCUCACUGAGGGAUGGCGGGCAAGGGUUCCGCUGGUUCUGAUUGUAAAGCGGAUUGCCGGAGGCCGAGUUAGGAGGCAACGACAUCGCAGUGGAGGUGAUAGUGGUGGUGGUUUGCGAUGGAGAUAUUGGCGGAGGUGUUUCGGCGAGUUGAGCUUUCUGGAAAAGAAACGAAAAAGUGGAAUUGGAUUUGAAUACGGUGAAGUCAUGGUGGUGGAGAGAAAGAGCGGAUAGAAUAGUCAAUGUUGUCCAAAACCUCCCAAUUUGCUCGGGAAUAAUUUUUUAGAAAUGAUUCCAAAAAUUGCAUUCCACUAGACUUAACCCAAGUAAUAAAUAAGUACUUUAUUCCAUUCUUUGAUUCCCAAACCCUUUUAACCAAGUAGCCCCUUACUGAUUUAAAGUACAGCAAGUCUGGUACAGGGUUCUUGCCGCUCGGCUUGACUGCUGAGAUAAAACCAACGAGAAGAUGUUCCUUAAAUAGUUUCACAUGUACAGUUGUUGCCAGCCUCGAGAUGAGUAAGAAGCAUCAGGCUUAUGACAGCCACAUUUCUCCAAUUCCAAUUGCCAUUACAGACUAUAUCAAUCACUAAGAAUCAGCAUAGAAAAAGCACUUGAGAACCAAGACAAUCAUCAAUCUACUUUAAAGCAGAACAAAAAAGACCAUAGCAGAAUUUUAAGACCAAUUAUAACUUCACGCAUCAUAUGUACAUAUAAGCCAUUUCCAGAGCUUGUCUUAGAUUUGUUCUCCAUUCUGGAAAAGAAAUAUAACGUAAAUAAGCCUAUCUCAGAUUUCUCCACCAUUCUGGAAAAGGAAAUAUAAUGUGGAUAGGUAGCUUCGGCAAAUUCACUAGCAGCACCGUGAAAAAUCAUCAAGCUUGUUAAUGGCCAUGACAUCCAACGGCCAUUGGUGAAGGCCAUUAAUGACCUGGACGUCCAAAGGCCAUCAAUGGUGGCAGGUAUUUAAUUGCUUUCUUAGUAAUAGCACUGUCAAAAGAUACAUCACAAAAUGUGUACCAAAUGAUUGUCUCAAUAAAUACAAAAUUUACUAAUGUUACAUCUAUAUGGACACCUCAACCUUCGCUCAAAACAAACUAAGAAAAGAACACCAAAAGUUUGUUGAACAGGGAAAGGAAAACAUGAAUAGGACACUAUAAAUAAUGAGUUUCUCUAAAUCCUAUGUACAUUGAAUUAAAACUAAUCCAAAUACAAGCACAGAAGUACAGACACAAACUAUCUGGCCCUGGCCCUCAUCUUUAAUUACUUAAAUCCCGGGAGACAUGGCCUUGCCAUCUGCAAUUGAAAAGGUACAUUUCGAAUCAGACGAGUAUUAUGACGACGACGAUGAUGAUGAUGAUCUACAACGACAGUAAAAACCAUUGCAAUCUUUUAUAUUGCUGUGGUGCAAAUCCUCACCAUCAUGCAAAAGGACGGUUUUACAAAAAUUGCAGCUCACAAACCGCACUUACAUUUCCAUAUUGUUGUUUAAGCUCAUUGCUCAAUGAUUGUAAUCAUUGUUGUCACUCAAAUCAAAAAUAUUUUGUGGAUAAUCCCAUUUUACAGUAGCCAUGGAAAUCCAAAAACAUGUGCCGCAUUGUUUGAAUCAUAAAAAACACGCACCUAGUCUUCUAUUCAAUCGCGAUGAUAAAUUCUUAUAGGCCAAAAAAUUUCACUGACCAACCUUGAGAGCAAGAACCGUGCAAGGGGGCUCAAAUUACUGUUUGAAUGCAUGUCCUUGCUUUGAGGCUUUUUCUUGCUGUCAGCUUCUGCCUUCGUACUCUCUGCUUCUGCCUUUCCCUUGCUAAAUAUUCGAGCUGCAAGGUCUUGCAGGUCUUUCAGUGAAGAAUCUUUUGAACUACAAAGAUAUAUCUUGAUCUUUAAACCAAACAUCACAAAAUGAAGAUUUUAUUCUAAGCAAAAAGAUGAAAAGAAAAUAUAUGAACCUUGCCAGUCGCUGUAGUAAUCUUGUCACAAGAAGUUCGCAAGACCCAGGCUUGGAGCGUUCAAUAUCCAUAAAAGAGUUGGCCAAUGUCCGCAUCAUCAACCUUUCCGAAUCAUCAGUAAUCACCUACAUAGGAUCAUACAUAUGUUAAUAUAAAUGUUUCACUCAGUAAUAAAUUUAUUUCAUGCUCAUGUUCUCACCAUGUGGCAGAGAAAACAAAAAAGAACUAAAAAAAAAUUACACUCUUACAAUACAUAGUCAAAGGCAUGUGGUGAUGAACACUCCCAAGUGGGAAAAAAAGCAUGCAGAUAAUGUUUCCCCAUUUCAGCAUCACGUACACUCAAAUGACUCAUCAAGGUCAAAAACUAGGUUUCCACAGAAUGGCCUUUUGGGUUGAAUUCCCAGAAAUAAAACAGAGAUAAAGAGAAGAAAUGCAGUUUGGCCAGAAAAGAGGUUUUGCCAAAUUAUAAAUCAAAUUUUGAUGGUGAGCACUACAGAAUUAAAUUUCUUAUUGAUGCAAAUUUUCUGGAGUAUGAGAUAUUGUAUGACAUGAGCACCAGAUAACUCUGUGAUCACGUUGUUGGUUCAGCUUUGACAGAAAAUUUAGGCUAAUCCUGUAACAAAGAUGUUUGUCCUUAAAAAACUAAAUCCAUGAGGACCUAGGAAUGUUGGAAACCAUUUAGAUAUGCCCAAAACCAAUUUCGUAACUACAUUAUUUUCUCAAUGGCUAUAUGACUAGAAAGAAAUUUUGCAAGAAAAAUAUAACACCAAAGCAUAAUGCUUAAAAAAAUUAAUUGAGUUUGCACAAGACUUCAGAUCUCUCAAUCAGAAGACAAGAUUUUAUGUCUAAACAUCCACUGAGAAUAUACAAAAAUGUGGAGUCGUAUAUGUUCAAAUAAUAAACACCAAGUUAAUAGAAUUAAUUUGAUUUUCAAAGUUAAACAGCAUAUCAAAAAGCCUCACAAAUGAUCAUUAAAGUAUAUUCUAAUCGAUGAAGAUCUGGCAUGUCCUGUAAUUAUCUUAAAAAUGCAAACCUCUUUUAAUGAAGGAAUGAGUAGAAUUGACAAUGGGGCAGAAGAAGAUGCAGCAGAACUACGUGCAGCAUCUUCUUCGUCACUUGUUUGGUGUGACCUGGGAAGUGCUUUCUGUGCAUCAAGGUAUUCUUCGGUAUGUCUGCAAGUUGAUGUUCAAGUUCCAAGUAGCAACACAAACACACAGUAGGAACAAGAUUAGUCAGGCACAAUAUUUCAGCCAGUGUCAAAACCAAAAGAUUGUACCCAAUAUGGAAGGAGCAGACCAAACAUACGAUGUACCUAGAUAAAUCAGAACUAGAUUGUUCUCUUCUUUUACUUUCUUGUUCAUCUCUGUUGGCCUUGCCUAACAUGGACCUUUCUCUCAUAUUUCCCUUCUUUAACCCCGCUUGAAUAGCAGCUUUGGCCUAAAUAACAUAACAGACAAUUAAGCUUUGGCAUACAACUCAUGAAGAUGAUGAUGCAACAGACAUUAGGCAAAUAAUUCUGGCAAUCAAGAUACCUUGAAACUGUAUAUCAGAAAAUAUUUUAUGCAAUAAAACUGAGGAAGCAUUGAAUACACCAAUAGCAAGAAAUGGAUAAAACCACCAAGUGGAAGGAGGAAUUGACAUUUUCAAAGAUAUCUGAAGAAAAUAAAAGACAUUUAGAUCCCUACCAAUUCAUGCCAACAACCAAGUUUGUAACCUUAACAUUAUACCAUUCCAGUAGUUUACCCAAAUCUAGUAUCUCAGUGUCAUCAAGUAGGAAAAUUGUUGCAGAUAAAUAACCUCGGCAAGGUUUAUUGAACUGUCCUCAACUGAUGCACUUGAAGUUCUCUCUUGGAUCCCAAGUCUGGAUUUACGCGGAGAAUCUGAAUCAUCAUGCUGUCCACGAUAAACCACAGUGCCGCUGGUAGAUGAAUCCUCUACUGAAUUGUACGUGCUGCUAGACUGAAAGGCAGUAGAAAUUCUAUGAAGAUAGUAUCCAACACAGCAAAAAAGAAAAUCAAAGCAACUAUUUUCCAUCUCAAUCAGAAGGUAGACGCACCAAGGAGCUUUGGUCACUAAACAAAGAGGAAGGUGAAACUCGUCUUGGAGACCGAACAACAACCGUUCCUGUCCCACCCACUGACAAUUCUUCCUGAAUAAGGCAAAGAUGAAAAUUUUUCAGGGGAACAUGUGGGCAGGGAAAACUUAAACGUGUAAUUGAUGAGUAUAAAGUAGCAAGAACUAUAACAGAAUUUGUUGUCAAAACAUAAGAUCACAAUUUUCUGUACUUUCAAUUAGGUAUAAGCAUAACAACACUGAAUGUUAAUCUUAUAUAGAAGGGAAUAUAUAUGCACAUUUCUAAUUUCACCCCUGGUUAUGGAGCACUGAGAGCAAUAGCUUCAGGGAAAAAAGUGAUUGUGAACUUAAUCCAACCAACUUCAAGUUGCAAAUGUUUGAUAAGUUGACUAGCACGAUUUACAACCAAUAUCAUCUAAAACAAUGUUGAUAGCAAGAGCCUAAAUUAAAACCCAUCAUGCAGACAAAAAGCAUGUUACUUAAGCAAGAAAGGCCUCAUCCUAUGGCUAUUAAUUUAAAGUUUCAAUAAGCUAUCCAGCAAUUAUAGUUCAGGAUAAACUUAAGGAAAGAGUUAGCAAAUAUACACGACAAACAGGCAUAUCACAUGCAUAUAUACACAAGCAACACAUGCACAGGUACAGGCGCGUGUGCAUAGGGAGAGAGAGAGCGAGAGCGAGAGAGAGAGAGAGAGAGAGAGGGAGAGUGAGAGAGAGAGAGAGAGAGAGAGAGAGAGAGACAUCUUCAUGAUAGUAAUCCUGCUUGUCAUCCUGGUAAGCAUCUCUAGCAUCUUUUCCAGAAGCAGAAGACCACUGGUUACCACUAUCUAGAAUUUUUCUUGAAGAAGCUUGACUUAAAAAAGCCUCUGGUUUUCUAUCCCUAACCUGAGGUGGCCUCACAGCACUUCGCACUGUCCCAGUGCCAGGGGUUGCACCAAGGCUGAAGUCCCAUCCAGCAUUUCUCAAAGUUUUUCCUUGGCCGCUGCAAGUACAACUCACCAAUGAGUACAAAAGUGACUAAUGUGGCAGCCCAAAAAAAUUAAAAACAAUGAAAGAGAGAUUCAUCUAACCUGAUUCGUACAGUAUCUUCUACGCCAGCAUCUCUUGUCACCUUCAUGGUACCAGAUGCCUCGCCAAAAGGUUUUAUACCAUUUCUGGGGGUUUCAACAUCUUCCUUGGCUUGGAACUUGUGGCGCUCUCUACAAGAUAAAACAAAAGGACAUCCAUCACAGAAUAAAACAAUUUCUUCUCUCGAGAUAGAAAGAUUAUGUUGAUCUAUCAAGUAACAUCUUCAUUGUAUUCCAUACUUUCUUCAAUUUUUAAACAGUCAUCUUGUCUCCAAACAUAAGCAUAGAGCAAUAAAUUCAGGUCUGUUGAUAGCUAACUAAAAGCCUUAAAAUUCAACUAUAUUACUGUACUUUUGAAUCAAAAACAUAAUUUUAAUUUAAAACUGCUUUUUCAAAGAAAAAGUGCUAAUAUUAAAAAAAAAUGUGAUUUCUAGCAUUGACUGAAUCAAGGCUCCAACUGUCUUGACCCAAGCAGACACGCAUGGCUUCAAUUUCGAGUCAAGCAAAAAAACAGAACCUACAGCUAGAAAAGUGGUAAAAGAAGGGUCUAUAUAGUACUUAAAAUCCAUUUAGGGAGAGAAUAGUGUACCACAGAAACUGUUAAUUUAUUGCAUAGUAGAAGUAGCAAGGAAAAACUGGGAUGCUAAUUAAGCCUCUCUAUCUAAAAAAAGUUGACAAUGUUCUGGCAAAACCCAAUUAAUGAAGAACAAAAUUCAUUUUCAGGGUUGAGAGAUUUAAAGAUAUAAUGCAGGGUUGGCUGGUUGCAGCAGGAUCACCUGAUUCUCUCCAAAAGCCUUGGACUCUUCCUAGCAUUCCUGAUAAAACGAUGCUUCAAAAGUUCCUUUGCACUUGGCCUCUAUAAUUAAACCAUAAAAGAAACAUUAGAUAGAAAAAUAUUCACAAUGCAAAACAUAUCCAAUAAAAUCAAUUCAAAAGUUUGGAUCAGUUUACGUGUUAUCUAAAAAUCUGAAAUUUAAAGUAUAGAUGCUCAGCUCAUUACUGAAUAUUUGAAGCUAUUAAACUUGAAACAUGAUCAAAGUUGUAUCACCACAAAGUCUUUCAUAUUUGCACACAACAGAUUGGAUACGCAUCAUUAUAAUACCUUAUAAUUCCGUGAUAUAGCACUUGGGGCAUAUUAUCAUAAAACUAAUAAAAAAAAUGAUCUGCUUAUGUCCGUGAUUACAAGAAGAGAGAGAGCACGGUAACAAGGAAGUGAAGGAAAUUGAACCUACUUCAGCAGGAUUCUUCUUCAAACACAAUGAUACGAAUUCUUUCAUAAGACGAGAAAAGUGAUCAUCCAGCUGCAAGGUGUACAAUAAACUGUCAACUUCUAGUAUAGAUGAUUAUAGAUGCAGGAAUAAAUUCAUAGAGCACAUAAAACAGCAAAAAAGUAAGGCUAAAGGAUGUUGACAAUGCCAAAUAUUCAUCAAAGAAUAGAAGUAUACUUGAGGAGGAUUUUCCCGAGGAAUAAUGAAAAGAACUCUCAUUGGGUGGAGAUCUGCAAGAGGAGGUUCCCCCUUUGCCAUUUCAAUUACAGUUAUCCCUAGAGACCAAAUAUCUGCCUGCAUCAAACAGAGACUUUAGCAUAUGGCCCUGGCUCAAAAUUUCAAAAGUGGUGUCCUAACUCAGAGUGCACACAAUUACAUGCAUAUUGUGUAUAUAUUAAUAAAUAUGGUGACAAAUUCAUGCAAAAAUAAAGAGGAAAUUAAUCCCAAAAUUAUAAGUAUAAAAGAAAGUGCAAAGCAAAACAUGAGAGAAAGCGAAGAAAUGAUCAAAUCAGAAGAUACAUGAAACAUUUCUCAAAGACGUGCCUUCUCAUUGUAUCCUUCUGAAUUCUGGAUUACUUCUGGAGCCAUCCAAAAUGGAGUUCCUACAAAUGUCUGCCAUAUUUAAUUGCAUUAGCCUGAACAUCUCACAAUUCAUGGAAACCAAUGAUUCUCAUAAAUUGAAAAAGGUAAAGACUAUGACCAAAAUAAAAAAUAAAACUCAACCAAAUAACUAGGAAAUUUUGUUGAAUAACUUCACAAGACACAAAAAAAUUAAAGAGGACACACCCCAGGAGACUGCCAUCUCCAUAGUAACUAAGCAAAAGCACUAUCCCUACAUUAACCCAGAGUAGUUUCUCUGUAACAGACUGCAAAAGCCAGAAAGUAGCAACAAGUAACUGUUGAUCCACUGCCUCAUCCAACAGCCAAUAAUGUUAAAGAGGAGUAUAACCUAUUUAUCUACGCAAUUCUAGCAUGCCCCCUACAUAUAAAUUGAUUCUUUAUAACUGGAUGACAAUGUAAAUUGAACAUAGGACCCUCUGCCUGCUAAGAUAUAACGUCGCCCUCCUCUAAAAGCUUAACUAUACAUGGAAUCAGCAACCUUGAAGAAACAGACACCAAUUGAGCAACUGUGAAGAAACACCAGGUCAGAAAAUUUCUCAUUCGUAAAAUCUAUAAAUAUGAAAAAGAUUGUAUUGCACGUAUUCUCAGAUGUCAUAAAUGCAGCUAGAGAAAAAUUAGUGCUGUCAUUCAAAAAGGAUCUAACAUGGACCAUGCUUGGAGGAUUAAAGAACAAACCAGCCAAUGAAACUGAAUGUGAAAGAAAACAAGAAGGAAACAUAUGAUAACUGCUACAUCAAUGGUUAGGGUAGUUACCAGAUUGCAAGAAUAACCUCAUGGUCUAUCAAACGGAAAACAAAAGAGAAAUGCUUGUCCAUAAAUAAUUUUCAUAACGAGCCUAAACAGAAAAAACUCAGAGACCAUUACGAUCUACAAGCAACAUUUCCUAUAGAGGCUCAAAAGCUGGGUUAAAUAAUCAUAUGAAAGUAAAAACAACACGAGUACCUUUCUCCUUGAAAUUGUUCUUGUUAAUUGUGCAGAAACACCAAAGUCAGCAACCUGAAGUCAAUGUCCGAAUGCUUGAGGAAACAUAGAACAGAUAGCUUGCUCUAUUGAACACAAAGAAUCUCUCCUAAGAGACCACAUCAAAGAGAAACAUUGGAACUAGGAGCAUAAAACACUUACCUUAACGUCACCAUUUUCUGUCAACAAAAUAUUGGCAGCUGCAAAGGAUAUACAUCAGUCAUCAUUCAACAGAAAAAAGAAAGAGAAACUGCCAUCUGAAAACUUAUGUUUGUGAUACAGAGAAAAAUGUAUCCAGGAUAUCCAAGGUUAAAGUUUUUCCAGAAUUUUGCUCAAGCUUCAAUUAGACAUGCCUCCAAAGAUAAAGAGCUCAUAUACUCUUUUUAAGUCUCAAACCAACUCCCAAAUAAAGCUCUUUAUCUUUGAAGAUGAGCCUAAUUGAAGCUUGAGCAAAGUUCUGGAAAUCCUUAGCCUUGGAUUUCCUGGAGCCAUUUGUUGUCUACAUCAAUAUGAAUGAAAAAGGCAGGUAACCUUUUAAAUAGCAACAGUAGCCAACUAAUACUAAGGUAUGUAUUGCACUAGGCACAUAGAAAACCAUGAUAUCAACAGUGUAACAUGAAGACAAAGCAUGAAUAGAAAUGAAAUCCACAUCCUUAAGUUAUUAAUCCACAUUUCUAAUUGACCAAAUGAUCUUUGUUCAAGAAUAAAAUACUAAUUUAGGUUAGUCAUUAAGGUAUUAGGGACAUGAUAAAAAAACCUUUAAUAUCACGAUGAAUUUUCCCUUCGUUGUGGAGGUAUUCAACUGCAUGAAGCAAGUCACGUAAAAUGCAAGCUAUGGACAUCUCAUCCAAAGGCUGAUUUGGUUGAAUCUGCAGAAAAAAUAUCCAAGAACCAUCAACACAGAAUAAACACAUUCACAGACUUCUUUCACAAAUUUAUAAACAUAAUUGUGCUGAGCAAAGUCAACGUCUUGAAGAAAACAAAGCAUAUCUGUUCCUUUUUAAAAGAGGCAAAAGAGUUAGGCCUCACAGGUUCUGAUUCUAGAUGUUCCAGAUAAAGAGGCAAUUUCAAAUCUUUGAAGUGAGAGUUACAAAUCUUUAACAACCACGAUAUCUGCAGACAGCACAUAUACCACAUUUUAGUUUUGGUCUAUUUUCCUUUCAGAAGGUAAAGGGUAAGGACCUCUUAGCAUAUGCUGUAGCAUCAUCACUGAUGUACCCAUGCCAUACCAAAACAGAAACUACAUAUGAGAAAUGACCAGCCUGAAACCCCUAAACAGAAAAGAGAGCCAUCAAUGUGAAAACUGAGAAGUCCUAAACAAUAAAAGAAUUAAGUCAUUCCUCUUUCAGGACCAAGUAUUGCAAUUUAUGUCUCUUGGAUUCAUGCUUUGGUAUUCUGUAACACACUUUACAGCAUAAAAGUAUCACAUAGAAGAGGGCAGACUGUUGAAUUGGAGGGUGAAAAAACAGUCCUUUUUCUGCUGAUAAUUUUCUAAGGUUUGGGAGAUGAAAAGACAUUUCAUGGUAAUAAGAAAACCUCCCAGCAAUCCAGAUUGGUGAUUUUGAAAAUUUUUGUAUUGCUAGCGGAGGACGCAAAAAUGGAUGAAAAACCAAAAAAGACAAUGCAAAUGUUGGAUACUGUCUUCAAGCAAGAGAUCCAAAACAGUUUACUCAUAGCGAUCAUGGCAAUCACCAAUUUACAAGUCAAAUCUAGAGUCAAUCACAUUAAAAGCUUCCAUUAAUUGAUUAUGGCACCAUUGGUUAAAUGACCUGACCUGGACAUCUAGAUAAAAUUGACCUUAAUAUUCCACAUCAGGACUUUGUUAGUCGGGCCUUUUCUAAUCCAGUACUAUAAAUACGACAGUAAAAUAAUGUAACAAAAGGCAUCAAUGCAGAACAGUCUCCAACUACUAGAUUUCAAUCUUGUUCCAUCAUAAAGCAAGAAAGCUUGCUCCUAAUUUGGAGAAAGCAUUUCAUCACAAAGCCAAGACAAUUACUUUCUCAAAAAAUCAAGUUACCUACCAGGUCAGCAACAGAACCACCAGCCAUGUAUUCCAUUAUUAUCCAAAGCUUAGUUUGGUGCAGAUAGGAUCCAUAGUAUUCUGUAAUAUAUGGAGAUCGACAUUGUGACAAAACUGCAAUUUCCUGAAAAAAUAUAUAAUUCAAAUAAAACACCUAUUCCAUUACUUUUUGUACUCAAUCCAUAAUAUCUAAAUGAAAAAGUGGAAGAUACCUUUUGAAUGUCCUCAAUUUCAUCCUCCCUGUAUUGCAGAUAAAUCCAGUCACAUUUAAAUAAGUUCAAUUGUUAAAAUACAUGUACAUGAUGCCAAAAGAAAUUAGAUGAUGCAGUACAUAUCCUAAAGAGUAUUCAUGUGGAAAACAAGAAGAAAGCACAAUGGAGAUGAGAUUGCAAUCAAGUCAGCUUUGAUAAAUGAAAAGAAAACAGGAGUCACUUAAGUUGCAACUAGCAAUAUAAUUGGCCUUAAGAAUUUUCACAUUCUCAUAUCGAAAUAAAAUUAUCAAAAGCAUCUUGGUUGUUGCAAAAAGAGUAAAGCAUUCAUCGUAAAACAAUUAACUAAUCAGAAAAAUGAGAGCGAUGCAAUAUUCCACUUGUUAGGUGAUAAAGUAACUACACCAAAUAACUAAUCCAAAAUGAACUGCAUAAUCUUUCCUUUCUGUUUGAGUCAAUAAGAAGAGGAUAAAAAAAGUAGGAAUUGUCAAACGGUGGAUUGCGACUCCUAAACCAUCCUUUUCUGAUAAUAAAUGUCACGAUCUCAAUCAAGAAAAAGUCCUCAAAGCAUUUCAAAGUCAAAAUGAGAAAAUAAAUAACCAAAGUCCACUACUUACGAUUCUUCGAGAUCAAUAACUUUAAUAGCAACCUCCUUGUUAAGAUCCUUAUCAAACCUGCAAUUCAGGAAACACAUAAGAACAUCUAGCUAACUCAGAGGAAUCUUCCAAUUAAUCAGAAUAGAUAAUUUAAAACAUGCAUGGAAAUCAGAUACAGAGGACUGGUUAUAUACUCGAGUUAGAUGGAUUUGAAUGGCACUUCCACCUCAUGACAUGGACCUUUAUGAAGGCUCCACCAUAUAAAGAAGAUGGGCCUAUCACACGCAUAGGAUAGAUACACAUUCACUAUCCUGCUAGUCCUCCUUUCCUUUCCAAAAGAUUCGAAAAACAUCACUUGCUUAUAUAUAUAUUUUUAAUGGUCCUGUAAGCUUAUAACUCCCAAAACAAAGAUGCUACUAUUUCUGGUGUGGGAGACACAACUUUAAAGUCACCUAACCUUAAGGAAAUAAGCUGAACUCCAAAAUAAUCAAAUAGUAAUCUCCUUACAACUACAUACAAUACCCCUAUCUGACACUAUUAGAAAACAUCCAUCUCCUGCCAUGUUUGAUACCAGUGGGUAUUUCUAUCCCUCCGAUCUCUGCUGAAGGUGAAAUAUUGAUUGUUGAACUGGCCAAAAAAGAACCAAAUUUCCAAAUGCCCGAUAAAGCAAUUGCAUUAAAAAACAUAAUUUGCAACUUUCUUAAAUCAGCCUAGCUCUACAUCUCUCAACAACAUCAAGAAGCAAAUUGCUGCCAAGGUCCCUCAUGAUUGUUUAUUUUCCCCCCUAGAACUUUGACAGCACCAUCCAGAGAUGCAAUUGAGCCCAUAGUGUAAUCAAUAACAUAUAACUUCAUAAACCAGUAGCAACUUUCUGUGAAAUCCAAACGGAAAUUGCUGAAAAUUUUCUAAAAUCUCAAUCAGGCCCAAAAGGAAGUUGAAAUUUGUAAUGAGAGGUUCCCAUGGCCCAAAGCUAUUAGACCUUCCCGUACUCUGUCCAAUAGGCAAACAAGAUCAACUGCUAACUGCAAUUCUUUGGUGUUCAAUUAAAGAGGCGAAAAGACUUUGGACAAAGAGAGAGAGGGGAUAAGAUGUAUACAAGGCAUGAGUGGGUAAAAUUGUCAGUUUUUAUAGUGUUACCUUUACCACAUGGGAUGCCUGCAUGUGCCAAUGACUAUGAAAAGCAGCUUCAGAUAAAGACGGCGCGAUAGUGGUGACGGCAUGUCUGAUUUGUAAGGUGGCCAGACCCAAAUUUUGGACCUCAGAGCGUGCACCGAAGCACACUCCACCAACAAAUCUUAAAUGAUAUCGACAUUUAACUAGCACAAUCUUUUGGAUCACUGGAUCACAACCUUUCUAUCACUCCAUUUGUCUUUCGUAUAAUCAUUACUAUAUAGAAUGCCCACGUGGCAGUAACAUCAAAUGCGGCAAUGAUGUUUAUAACCAAUCAAAUCAAAUUAACUGUGCAAGAAAAAGAUUCUAACUAAACUCCUACAAAAAGAUCCAUCUAAUAGCAUUCACAAAACUCCGUGUCUGCAGACACUUGUUCAAUUAUGAAUAGCUCUUUCUUUACCAAAUUCAUUUACGUACUUUCCAUUUUCAAGCAGAAUGGACAAAGAAAUAUCCACCUUCUUCGAUCUUAGAUUCUCAAAAGUUUGGAUGCAUAUAAACUCUCACUAAUUUGUACCAUUAGACUAUACUUCUCACUUAAAAGUAAAAAAACUACAUGUGUAGCAGAACCAAGCCAUGCAUAUAUCCCACAUCUCUAAUUUGACUGCCGUUUUUACCUUGUGUGAUCUAGUAGAUAUAUGUAGACCAUAGAAGCAUAGACCAUUACAAAGCCUACAUGAUGUCGUCACAUAGUACCAUCUGAUCCAUCCAUCAUGGCAAAAAUCCUGAGCUUUGUCAAAUCACUUGGUAGACUUAAACUGGACAUGCAGCAUGCAGUGUGCUUCAAUAACAACAAGCCAGUUUGGGAAACUUAAACCACAAAUUGAUCAAGUAAAAGCUGAAAAUUAAUCAUCCUAAACUAUGCAGCCAUUGAUUGAAGCCCAUUACCAAAUUAGCCCAGCAAUUAAUUUUGUAUCAGAUCUCUUUAUUACGAUGACGCAACAUUUGAAAAUACUUCCUAAACAACUCUCUGAAUUUAGUAAGAGACAGGAUUCAUCCUUUCGAUAUCAGUAAACAACUAUUUGACAAUAUCAAUAUAGAGGACAAUACACAAGCAAAAUUAACAAAAGCCAAUCCAGAUUUCCAACAUCACUGAUGAGUUAAAGCUUGCAAGCAAAAGCAAAAUGAGACAGAUAUCACCUUGAAUAGAAAAAUCAAAAGGCAUAUUAAAAACAAAUAAAGAUAACAUAUUCUGUUUCAAUCCUUACCCUUUAUAGACAUCCCCGAACGACCCCCUACCAAUGAGCUCCAAAUCACUAAAUCUGGAGCCCGAAGCCUCAAUGAGAGCCGCAGCAUCAGCCAUCUCAGACAAAAAAAUACUCUCUUUUACUUACAGCCUCAGCCUACAAACCAAAUGCACCGCCAAUCUUCCAACCAUUCUGCUCCACAACGACAGAUUUCACAAAUUUACCGAAGGGUUCCCCUGAUUUCACUCGAUCUUUUCAAAAACUAUCUGAAGAGGUCAUGAAAACACACUGAAAUCAAUCAUAAGAAAAUAUUAACAUCAAGCAUUCUAGUACAAGUACAAGAGUGUAAUGUAGGAUCCUUUGGGGCUAAAAUAUAAUGGGAAAAAGUCGUUAGGUGAAGUGGGGAAUUCUGAAGUGACAGCCUAACAAAUUCAAAGUUUUCUCAUAUGCCCACUAAUUUUAAACUGUUUUAGACAGUGAAACAAUAGCGGAACCGCAAAGGGCUAUCAUCAGUACCUUCAUUUCUAUGCAAAAAACACUCACUGAUAUGGGAAAAAAAAAACUUUCUUGAUCCUAAAAAUCGAAACGAUGAAACAACACUUUCUCAAUGACCAAUUAGCAAAAAAUCAAAAAGGGUUGCUGAAGAUUUUAGAUUUUCAGCAGUAAAUAUGAAGAAUUACUCUGAUAAAUGUCGCCAAGAAGCCGUGGAUCUCGUCGUGGUUCCCCGCUUUUUCUCUCCAGACAAAUGUAUAUGGACGCAAAAUGAAUGUGAAUUCUUUCUCCUCUGUCUUUAAUCAGCGCUUUCUCGGCGGAGGCUUUGGCUUUUUGUAGAGGGUGGAUCGAGGAAGAACGCGAUUGCUAGUUGCUACCAUGUUUGUAUCGUUUUUGCUGUUUUCUUCACUGGGUUAUUAUUUUGCAGGACCGGCCCGACCGGAUAACUGAACUGGGGAAUUCACUAAUUGCUAACCGUUUUCAUGAUACCCAACUAUCGGGUUUUUUGAUGAGUAAACCGAAAAAAAUACAAUGCCCAAGGUCAAUAAUAACUCGUGAACAAAAAAUGAUUUAAAAAUUCUUGUACGCUUGGAUGUGUUCUUGACGAAUGACCCCAAAAGAAAUAGAAAAAUUAAAACUUUUGCAAGUAGGAGACAAAUUUAUACACAAGACAAGAAGUGGACAUGAGAAAUGGUUAGUGGUGUUCAUGGCAACUGCACGCCUGUAUAGUACUAAAAGGUCUCAUGUUUGAAUAAAAUCAUUGUUAGAAAUUAGUUUUAUAUCGAAAAAGUUGCAGAGUUUUAUGUUUUUUCUUUUCAUAGUUUUGGCUCAAUGGAAGAAAAAAUAUUUUUCAUGCAAUUGUGAACUCGAAAUCUUUCGCUUAAACUCUCUCGUCCCAAAAUUAUCCAAUCCAUCCCCCAAGAAAAUAGUGCACCUAGGUAUGUCAAUGGAUAGAGUCUGGAUUGAAUUUCUUUAAUUCAAAUCCAGAUUUAGACCCAUUAAAUUUAGUUAAACCCAAACUUAGACCUAAACCUUUAUAGGUCUAAACAAUAAGUCCAAACCCAAACUUUCCUGCAUUUGGAUAUCCAAUGGAAAUCCGCUGUAUAUUUCUAAAUACACUAAAGUAAAAAUGUAUAGAUUUCAAAAAAAUAAACACCAUCCAAUUUUUAUUUUCAAAUAAUAAAAUUAAUAUUCAAGAAGUUGAAUGCAAUAUUAUGAACUCAAAAAAAUAACUAUUAUGGACUGUUUCUACAUAUUUUUAAAAUUUUAAUUGUAAGUACUUUCAAUUUUUUAUUUAUUUGCCUUUACUUUUUCUCAUUUUUUUUUAAAGUUUGUACUAAUUACAAUUACAACUAGAAUUAGUUUUUAAAAAAAAAUCAUGAAGUCUUACUGCAUUCGAUCCAAUGACCAUAGAAAUUUUAUAAAUUUAUUAAUAUAUAUAUUUAUUUAAAUUAUAUAUAGUUGGAUCUGGAUAGAAUCUAGUAUGUGUUCGAAUUUGUAUAUGGAUCACAAAAAAUCAGACUAUAUCCAGACUCAUAAUUCUUUUACAAGGUCUGAGUCUGAAUAGGAUUUGGGUUUGAGAAAUUAAAUCAAAACCUUAUCCAAGUACAUUGGAUCUGAGUUGGAUAUAGAUAAGAUCCGAUCUAUUAACAUGUCUAAAUUCACCUUGUUCUACUCAAACUACAAUUUUUUGAUAUAUAAUAUACUAGGGGGAGUGCCAACGCAUCGCGCGAGUAUUUGGUGCCUAUGGUUAAAAAAGUGUUUUCGUUGAACUAAAAAUAGUACACUGUGUGAUAUAAUUAGAGGCAGGUACAAUUAUGAGACAAACAACAUAAGAGCCACCCAAUAUUAGAAUCAGCAAGUUCCCAAAGACAAAUAAGUAGAUGCAGCAAAUUUCCAAAAAUAUACGACAAAUAGGUUUUUCAUGAUCCAGAUAGAUAAUAGAGUAGUUCAAAAGGACAUUAUGUAUGUCCACUUAUUUAGUGAUAGUAAUAGUAGUAAAAUCUUUUAAAUACUGUAAUAGGCAGCAUUUAGAUACGUUACGUCUUGGUGGUUUGGUCAUUUUGUUUUGCAGGGAUUGUACCACUGGUUCCUUCAUUGGACUUUGUAGACGGUGAUGGUGCUAAAGUGGUUGAGCUGUCUCUUUUUUUUGUCUCCACUACUUGUAUUGCAACAUUCAUUUGUGUUCCUUUAGAGUUGAGAUCUAGGUUGUCGGCUACUUCAGUUGCGCUUAUUGCACUUUCGGUAUUCCAGGAUGCAGAUGUUGUUCCGUAGUGACAAAUAUUAGAAAAUCACACAAAUGACUUGAUACCCAAAAAGCUAACUUUAUUCCAGAAACCCCAUUGAGAGCUUUUUCUUGCUGUUAUCCCGAACAUAUAACAUUAUAAGCAAACCAGUCAACUUUCAGAUGCCUUCUAAAUUUGUGAAAAAAUCUGUAUGUUGUAGCUAAAUUACAAGGGCCAAGUGUCAAAUUUUAGGAAUUAAACACACAUCGAUGCCACACACGGCCCAAACCACCCACAUAAACGACAAAAUUGCGAGAAAAAUCUUACUUCAAACUGAACCACCAGAAAUAGUUGCAGCUAAAAAACAUUUUGAGAUGCUCGGUAGAAAGGCAUAAAAAAUAGCUCCAAUCCCAGAAUAUUAAAAGGGUGAAACCGAAGAAGACGAAAGAGGAGGCAUUGAAAUAAGCAUAAUCAAUGCGCAGCCGUUUGGACAUUAACAUACAAUCGCUUGACUAUUUAAUUGAGGCUAUAAUGUCAAAGAAAUGGGGUCUUUUAGACAUGAGCUCGGAUGAGAGGGGAAAGGAAGAGGCAUGAAAAAUUUCAAUCCCCGAAUCUGAAAGAGAGGAAACAGACCCAAUCCCAAAGUCCAGACAUGGAGUCAUUAAUAAACCCAUGUUUAUGGCCGUUAAAUUUAGGCAUAAAUAACAGCAAAACAGUGGAGUUCACACUUGAGAGAGGAUGAAAAGACAAGCUGGGAAUCAGGACGGUAAAGCUAACAAUAUCAUGAGACAACAUCAAAAAAAUACAAAAACUAAUACCCAGAUGCAAACAUGAAACUAUCUAGAAAGCUCAUGAAACAUUAGGCAACAGUGGCCAAGAACAGCGGGGAAAAAGGCUGUUCAAUUACAGACACAAACGGUUGUCUGUGAAAGCGGCCAAAACUCAUUUUAGGCAAUUUCAGCCAAAGCGCAAGUCCCAAACGGCUGUCUGCGGUUCAAGAGCUGAACGUGUGUUGUGUAAAGGCCAUUUCAGUAAUUACACAAACCCACAUGCUUAUAUGAGUUGUACCAAAAGCAACAAAUGGUUCCAAAUUAAUUGCACAUACCAUAAAUACCCAAACACGCAACCACAUUUAAAGUUUUAAAUGUCUAUAAAUGAGGCCAUUUCGGUUAAUAUACCCAAUUACAGGCUUUCCUAACUUGUACCUUCAGCUUGCAAAACACUUCAUAAUAUAAGGAAUUCCAAAAAGUCCCUUCCUAUGCGGUUGAAAUUCAACCUCCUCUUUGACCAAAACUCAAUCUCAUAUAGUAUAAAGAAAGUAGAAGGAUUCGAAUAUAAGGAUUCGAGACCUUUCACUUAUGGCCCCUCCCCCUUUAAUUUGCAAUUUAAAUGGUGACAAAACUAGAAGGAUCAUGAAAUUUGGCUUCUUUCUCGAUAAUAAAGAGAGCAAUCCAAUUUCAAGCUACUGCAUGUGAUCAUGUUAUCUUGGAGAGUUCAUUUUAGUUUUUUUUUUCAAAAUCUAAAUCACUAACAUAUUUCACACGAUUGAAUUGAGAGUAGAAUAAAUCAACAAAAAUUAAAACAAAAAACAAAAUAACUAUUAAAAAAAACUAAACCGACUAUGAAGAUCAUAAACAUGGUUGAUGGUGGCUAGAUAAUAAAGAUGAAGAUGGUUGAUGGUGGUCAGAUGAUGAAGAUAGUUGGUAUCGAUGCAAGUUGUGAUGCAUGUGUGGAAGACCGGUUGUCAUCUUGACAGGAAAAGAGGGUUACAUUAUAGUAGUUCAUAUUAACAAAGCCAAUUUCCUUGCGAAUUUUUUUUUUGUGUAUUUUUUGAGUUUGAUUUUUUGAGUUUGAUUAGAAUGUUAGAAUGGUGGCAAGUUGGCUCCUUAUAUAUGCCUUAUAAUUAGCGUAGUCAUCUAGAUAGGUUGCAUAAAAGGAUUGGCUCAAUCAACCCCAACAUAUUUUGUUAAUUAUGUUAUGACACUUAACCUCGCUCAUGUUUAAUUGUAGAAUUAAACCUCUGUAAUUUGAUAUUUGAUAAAUUAAUAAUCUCUAUUAAAUAAUAAUUUUUUAGGUCUUGAUUUGGACUAUCAAGUUAAAAUCAAUUUUAACAAAGAUAUGAUAAUAAUUUUUUUAAAACCUUACCUAACCCUUUGGUUCCAAUCAUAUUAUAAAUUAAUAAUUCACUAAAAUUAGAUAUGCUAUGCUCAUAUAAUGCUUGAUGCAUUUGGUCAGUUAUUUAUGAACAUCUUUUAAAUAAGAAGCCAUAGUUUAACCAUGAGAUAUGAAAGAAAAUUUGCAUUUGUUUAUUAUAAAAAGAUUUAUUUGUUAUUUAUGUACAUAUUAGUGUCAUACAUUGUAUGCAUUUAAAAUUGGAAGUGGACAUCUAUCAUUUAGUAUUUCUAAAUCUUUUUCAUUUCUUAAUGUUAGAAAAAUGAUAUCGGUUACGUACAUUAAUAAAAUUAAACUGUACUUGUAAAUCAAAUAGAUGUAGGUUGGUUUAUAUUCUAUAGACUUUUAGCCUCCUUUUAUUAAUAGAAUAUAUUUUUAUAAAUAAAAUAAAACUUUAGUUGAUCAGAUGAGUUUUUUUAAUUGUAAAUACACUUGAUAAAUUAAUAAAUUAUUAAUUUAUCGAUGAAUUAAUACCUCUUUAAACUAAUACGAUUUAUUUAGUUCCAAAACUAUUAAUUUAUAAAGGUUUUACUAUAUUGUUCAUUAUGUACUAUUUUGCUGAAAAUGUGUUUCAGAUUAUCUAAAAUUUGGCUGCAUUUUAAAUUGUAAUCUAGGAAAAUAUUUUACAAUAAGCACCAUUUUUUGAGUUAUUUUUAAGAUUUUGAGUACUCUUCUUUUUUUGUUUAUGAAGUAUGUAAAUGGAAUCUUUUCUUUUCUUUGCUUUUUUUUUUAUAACUUAGAGUGUUAUUUAGAAUUGAAAUGACAAAUAUUCUUUGAACUCUACAUUAGGUAAUUCAAAAUUCUUAGCAAUGACGUGUAGUUCACUUGGAUUAAGUAAAGGUUAAAAGAAAUAAAAAAGAGAACGAUAUGUGUUACAAUAAUAUUCAAUGAAAUUUAUAAAUUUGCUCUUACACAUGUGAAAUAAACUUAUUCAUAUUUUUCUUAAAGUUAAUUACAUGAAUAAUCAAGAAAAUGCAAAAUGCAAAAAAAAAAAAAAAAAACUUCUUUUAAGAGUCAAUAUGUAAUCAAACAAUUUCUUCCUUAUAUUUGCUGUAGUUAUGUCUUUGUUCAUUUGAUUUAUGCACGAAAAAUACAAAAAGUAAUCGAUGACGAAGCCAUACACGAAACUUAUCUACUCGAGUGAAAAAAAUCAAUGUUGAAUUUAUUUACCUGAGCAAAAAAAUUAAAUCUGUAAAUUUUCACAUAAUGUGCUUUGAAUAAAAUCCCAUCAAAAUUUCAUACAAUUAGUUACAUGCAUGAUCUGAAAAGGAAGUGGGCGCAAGGUAGAAUAUAAUUAAUUACUUUGCAUGUGAUAUCGGAUGGAGUUGCAUUCUUUUUCCUUUUUUCUUUUUUUUUUAAGUUAACUUUAUUGCAUUAGGGUACAAUAGACAAAUUUCAGAAGCCAAAUUCAUUACAAUUAGAAGGUCAAAUUGGUUAGAAAAAUAAAAUCAAGAAGUAAUAUUGCUACAAUUCACCAAAACUCACAAUUCUUUUAAGGACCUAUUUGUUUUGAAGAAAGUAAUAUCACUUUGUCCCCCUCUCCCAACCCUAUGAUAAGUUAUUUUUUAGAAUAAAUUUUAUACACACUGAUAGUGUAUACACUAUCACGGUUAGAUUUCAAAUUUAAAUUUAGAUGAAUUGUAAUGCAUUCAAUGGUGAUGGUAUGUACAUCGUCAGUAUAUAAAAAAUUAAUUCUAUUUUUUAUUCCUUUCAAGAUAAAAUUUUUUAUAAAAAAUAUUCUGUAACAAUCUAACUUUGAUGAGAUCAUAUUGAGAAAGGAAUAAUUCUAAAAAAAAAUAUGAAAUUAUGGCCGGACCACAUCACAUCUUGGUGAUCUUUCAUGAGUUUGGGCAAAAGUGCAUUGCAGGUUUUUCUUUCAAUUCAUUGGUUGGUCUGCAUGAAUUUCUGUUCACAUUUUGUAUUUUGUCUUGAGUUAAAUUGGACGUACUUUCAUAUUAGGUCAUCUUGACAGAGUGAACCAGUACACGACAGCAUCCAGCUUCAUCUCCAGUUACAAAUUCACCAUUAGUACUAAGGAAAGUAACUGACACCUUAAUCCCAAAUUUGCUGUGAUGCAACUUUUGAUUAAUUAAUAGUCAUUCUUGUUCUUUUAGAGUUAUCCAGUAGUCUACAGAGCAAUAUGUAGUAGUAUUCUUAUUGCUCUAAAUAUUGCUUCAAGAAAUCAAUUGAGCAGCAUAGUUUAGCUUCUAGGGGAAUUAUUAGCCAGGUGAUUAAGACGGUUUUAGUUUGAAUUAAGUCCUUUCCUUCAUCAUUUUUUUUUUCUCUUACAAGAUUUAUAAUUUCUUCAAAAUCAAAAAGAAAAUAGAAUUAAGAUGACUUGGUACAAUUUCGUAUGAGGAGGUUAAUUUCCUGAAACAAUUACACUAGUUAAGGGUUUAUUAAAGGGCGUUCUUGCUCAUGUUAAAUCCAUCGUUCAAUUUUUCAUCAUUCCUAUUCCAAAAAGUUCAAAAACAAAAAAUUGAAAUUGCACUUUAUCUUUUUAUUUAAAAAAAAAAAAAAAUUUCAUGUGAUAGAGGAAGUCGUGAUAUGCAAUCUUUUUGUCUUCCCCCUUGUUAUCGUGAAUAGGGGAAUACAAAAAGAAAAGAAAAAAUAUAAUAAAUUUAUGGGCCCUAAACAGGCUAUUUAUGUAUUGCAGCCCUCAUGAUAUAGCCCAUAAAGAUACACGUUUUUCACAAAAGCAGGCGUUGCAAUCCAUCGACAGGAUUGGGCCUCAUUUAGAAUUUCGCUAUGGUGGUAUUUAAAUUUAGUUUCAAAGAAUAUUUUCAUUGAAAGCAUCCCUCCAUUUUACUCUUAGGCCAAUAGUACACUACUGUAAUAAAAGAUUUUGUUUCCUUGAUGGAAUUUAAAAUUUUAGAUUGGUAGAGGACUUAAGGCUUACAUGAUGCUCCGCUGAGUGAAUCGUUUGUCGCAUUGUUCGAUCUAGUUUCUGCUCAAAUUCAAGUCGAACUCAAUUUAAUUAAGCCAAAAAAAAAAAAGAAAAAAACUCGACGUAUUUGGAUUCGUUCGCAGCAUUUACUUCGCUCGAUUGUUGCCUUCUCUUAAUUAACUUCUUUGAACUAUAUGGGUUUUAUUUUUUAAUUCAAUCGUUACACCGUACUAGCAAAGAUGUUCUAAAUGGUACAAAUUUCGACGAGCAGGCCAAUAUGGACCAUCAACACCGAAGGCCUACAACUGGUCAGAGGAAGAAAGCCCAAAGGUCUUGAAUUCCCCUCCUUCGGCUGCUACAAAAGCAAAGGUGAGCGGGGACUGUAGGGCUGUAAAUCCAACUAAUCAACUUCACACUCCAUUUGAAUUCGACUUGAAUCUAAUUCGUUCAAACAAAUUUAUUUAAGUAUCAAUCCAAGUUUUGACACAGUUUUAAAUUCGAAAAUAUUAACAAAUCAAUCAUGAUAUUCGUGUUGUCCGAUUCGAUAUGUUCAGAAACAUAUAAGAUAAGUAAAUUUCAUAAAAAUAUACUUAAAGUCCCCUGACUUGACUUUUUUCCUUCAUAUAUAUUACUUAAUUUAUAAAAUGGCAAACAUAUAAUACUCUUAUCUCUUGAAUAGGCAUAAUUGGUUUUAAUCACAUCCGUAAUUCAUCGUAAUAGAUUUAUUGAAUAAGCAUAAUUGACUUUAAUCAUAUUCCUAAUUCAUCGUAAUAGAUUUCUUGAAUAUCAAAUAGCAAAAUUUAAGGAAAAAAAAAAGCAAUAAAUUAAGUUGAAAAUCUCUAUAUAAUAUAACAUGAAAUUUCAAAUCAAAUCAAUCCAAAUUUUGAUUGUAUGUGCUUGAACUCAAUACUAAAACAAGCUAAACCAAACUUUUCAUGAACAUAUAUAUCAAAAAUUUCAAACCAAAUUCAAUCAAUUUCUUUCAAAAAAAUCAUCAAAUACAAAGUUAGACAUUUUGUUUAAUAUUCAAACCAAUUCGGAGCACAAUUUUGUCGGCCUAGCGAGGAGGACUUGUUUAGGUAUGAUUUUAAGGUUAAUGGAUUUCCGGGGGUGCCGGUAAGAGUGUGGGACCCAUAAAAGAUACGGUCGUGGGGGGUUGUGGCCGAGCCCUGGGCCGGUCAAUGCGGAGGGAUGUACCAAAGAUAGAUUAGAUUGACGUACCACAUAUUUUUUUACUCGCACAAAAUCCCCGAUUUUCAUAUGUCAAAUCUCACGCGCCGACUGCGUUUCAUAUCCAAUCGCAGCGUAGAAUGACUAGAUGCGGACUCUCACCUUGCUGCCCGUGGUGCGUGUGUGUUUCUGCGCGUGGGGGCUGAUGAGGAAGAGAAAGGAUACAGUGCUCCGCAAUUCGUGCGCUCCGAGUUCUUUAUGACUAACGAUGCACCGACUCACUGCCAUGUCACGUGCGCACGUGACUCCUUAAUCUCUUAUUCUCCUCCCACUUUGUUCACUCACUAAAAUAUACAAACAAUUAUCCUUGCUUUUACCCCGGUUCUUUUUUUUUUUUUUUUUUUUACACCUUUUUCUUUGGAAAGAUGCUUUUACCCUACCGGUAGAAGCUGAACAGUUGUCCUUUCAGGGGGAAGCAAAUAAACUACCCCAACAGUUGAUUGGAGCACUCACCAUUUUACUAGUGCCACCUUCAUUUCCUCCUUCUUUACUUGUUUGGACGGUAGAUUAUUUGGUCAAAUAUAUUUGCUGAUAUUACCAUUACAAUUUUCAAUACAAUUUUUUAUCUUUUUAAUUAUUUUUUUAUCUCACAUACAUCACAUCAUAAAAAAUGCUAUAGUAAUUAUUCCAAAUAAUAUUUUCAAAUAAUACCCUAUCAAAACAAUAGUACGUGAAAGAAAGAUAGAUACCAGACUUUGGAGCAUUGGAGGACAUGUUUACUUCAAUAUGGGAAAACUCCAAAUUUUUGUUCAACUUAAGAUGUGUACAUCUUAAUUUUAUUCAAUUAUUCGCACCAAGAAUUUGUCAACAUAAUCUAUUGCUAACCUUCUUUUUUCCCUUCAUUAUAAAAGUGUUGCAUUUUAGCUGCAGCGCUGAGUGUGUUUGGAUUGUAAGUUAUUUGAGAUAUUUUUACUGUAGCACUUUUUGUGAUGUAAUGUAUGUGAGAUAAAAAGUAAUUGAGAAGAUAAAAAGAUGUAUUGAAAAUUGUAAUGGUGAUGUAAGCAAAUAUAUUUGAGCAAAUAACUUACAAUCCAAACACACUAUCACUUCUUUAUUUCCGUUGUCAAUUGAUGUUUAUCCAUGAAUUUUUAGCUUCAAAAUUAUCAUCUCAUCAUAAUCUAGAGAAACUAAUGUGAAGACAAUAUGAAAAAAAUGCAAGCAUAAUAUGCGUACUGUUUUGUGUGUAAAUGUAAUUUAAACACCAUUACAGAUCAGAUAAAAAGAUAAUUUUCUUUGAAAAAUAAUUAAGUACUCUGUUUUUUUUUUUUCUGACAAAUCAUAAAACUCACGCAGAUGCACUACUCAGGAAGAGCAUCAAAACAAACUACUAUCUCUUGAUAAUUUGAGGUGACCAUACUUCCUUUUGGGAGUGUUCUUUUUCUUUUUAUUCAUUCAAGAAAAUUUCACAAAAGCAUUUUAUAUUCUCUUCAAGGACGGGAGGAGGCACGGGCUGAGCUUUGAAGGUCUUCCCGUCCAAUGUCUUUGAACCCACAAAAGGAGUGCCUAAAUCACAAGCCAUUAUUUUAAGUAUGACGGUACAAUAGGAGGAGGAUCGACUGACAUUUCUAAUACUUUAUAACAUUGCAGUUUAGAAUAUAUUAGUUCAAAUCUAACCCAGCUGCUUUUGACUGGAAAAAGAUUCUGUAACUCAACUAAAAAGUCCAUACUAGCCCCAUCUGCUUAUGAGUAAACAUCAUGCUGGAGAGACCUCGCAUUAUGAAUAAACAAUUGGGCUUUUUUUUGGCAAGAAAGUGAAGAAUCUCAUCAUUUUGUAAAAGCCAUUUGAGCACCUACAAGGUUGACUCCGCUGUUUGUAAAGCUAGAAGAUUAACAAAACAGAACGCCAAUAAUGGGGAGCCAUUGACGUGUUAAAUAGUAGUUUGGUAAGCUUUUGAAGAGACCUGCAUGGUGACACUUUUAUGGCUACUGCAAUCAUGGCGAUGGAGGCCGCUUUUAUUGCAAAGGGCCUUAGGUUGAACAGGAUGCAGCAAAUGGACCGCGAAAAUAAAUAGCCUAUUCUUCUAGUUGGGUGAACCCUGAGUGGAUUUUCUGAUAAACGUUUAGGAUGCUAGAGAAACAUAAAUCUGUGAAGUUAAUGAACAUUUUCUGUUUAAAACUCUCAAUAACCAAUACUUAAUUGAUGGAUAUCUUAACUAGAAUGUUUAUUAUGUCAAGUGUUGUUUUUUUUUUCCAGCCUUUUUCAGGGUCAAAUGUUUAGUUCAAUGCGAAUUAGUUCACCUUGGAUAGAGUAUUAUUUGAAACAAUUACUGUAGUACUUUUUAUGAUGUGAUGCGAUGUGAUGAUCGUGACAUAAAAAGUUAGUUGAAAAUGAAAAAAAACGUGGGUUGAAGAAUAUGUUUAUAAUAUAAGUAAAAUGGUUGUGUGAAAUAAUUUGACUAUCCAAACACUCUCGUCGGACGUCAUUUUGCUGCUUUUAUGUGCCGACUGCUUCUUUAGUUCAAAAUACAAAAUUUGCUAAAUAUUAUCAUGAUGAUGGUUGACAGUUUUAGAACCAAUUUUUAUGAAGGGCAAAAGUUAAAGACAAAGCUAAAUGAUGAAUUUCAUUGCUAUGGUGUUCAAAUAAAGCACUCGUGAUGCAAGGGUUUCUCUCCCUUUUUAUUCCCUUAAUUUUUGGGAUAAAAGCAAAAGCAUUUCUUUAAAGAAAUGUCAUUGUCAAAUUUGAGUUCUUGGUAUCAAUAAUGUUGCUCAUGAAUUAAUAAACUCAUCCAUGCUUUUAGAAAACGCCUUUGCUGGCGAAGUACGCUACUUUAUGCGUCUUGUUCGCAAUUUUAUUGAGAGAGCAAGAGGAAAAGCAAAAAAAUAAAAAUAAAAAAUUGAUCCGAUAUGUUCUUUAUCAUCACUCAAUGAAUGUGUUUGGAUUGCAUUUUUGCAGAGUUUUUCCUUUUAUAAGAACACACUUUAUGAUGUGUUGUACAUAAUAUAAAAAGAUAAUUGCAGAACAUGUUUAAGAAAAUUUUCAAAAUUAUUUUCCAAGUAUCGUAUGAAGGCAGUUUUUGGUAUUUCCAUAGCAAAAAUACGGCCUUUAUCAUCAAAAAAUAAAGGCCGAUAUGUUUUUGGUAUUGAGAGAGCAAGAGGAAAAGCAAAAAAAUAAAAAUAAAAAAUUGAUCCGAUAUGUUCUUUAUCAUCACUCAAUGAAUGUGUUUGGAUUGCAUUUUUGCAGAGUUUUUCCUUUUAUAAGAACACACUUUAUGAUGUGCUGUACAUAAUAUAAAAAGAUAAUUGCAGAACAUGUUUAAGAAAAUUUUCAAAAUUAUUUUCCAAGUAUCGUAUGAAGGCAGUUUUUGGUAUUUCCAUAGCAAAAAUACGGCCUUAAUAUACUGAAACAGAACACUAAAUCUUCCAAGUACCAUUUUCACAGUUUUGAUGAAGUACUUUCUUUAUUUGUUACAGAAAGUAUCUCCAUGGUAUAUCUUAAAGUACAUGAGGCAAUCCGGGAAGCUGCAUAUUGUUAAAUAUUUUGUAGUUGACAUGAUGGCACAAAUUGAUUUCAUGAUAUGGAAUAUAGAAUCCAAGGCAUUAUAAAUGUGUGCUGUUACAUUUUUGUUUCGAUACUCAUGAUAACAUUGAUGUAAAGAAGAAAAAAAAAAGAAAAUUAUUGAUGGUGUAAAGAUGUCAAAAUAGAUAAUUCCAAUUCGGAUUACUCUAUGCAUCUAAAUGCUUGGCUUAAAUCAGAUUACCCUGCGCAUGCACCCGACAUCUAGGACAUAAAAGCUCUAUUGAAUAAUUAGUUAUAUUUGUAAAUGCAAUUUAAAACAGUAAUGUUGGAUAAUAUUUGUUCCGUUGGAUUAGCUGUUUCUGAAGAUAUUUUUGAAAUAUUUUACUGUAACAAUGUAUAUGAAAAUUUUUACUGUAGAUAUGUUUUUUAGAGGGAUUUUUGAAAUAUAUUUUGGGGUAAAUUUUAAAAUUAAAAUAAUUUUAUGGUACUUUUUAAAAAUUAAUACUACCACCCACAAUUAGGGAUGGCAACGGGGGCGGGUGCCCGCGGGGGGCUCUCGGGACGGGGGUUGGGGCGGGGGAGUAUACCCCCGCCCCGCCACCCGCAAAACAAAAAAUAUAUAUAAUUAUAUAUAAUAUGUAAGUUAAUUAGUUAUAAACUUAUGAUAAUGAUAUUCUUAGUUAGAUGUAUUAUCUAAUGUAUAUUAGUUUAUGUAAUAUAAUUGAUAUUAUACAUGUCUACUAAUAGAAUUUAUUAAUUAGUUAUACUAAAUUUACUAAUACAUUUAUACAAAAUUUCUAAUUACACUUAAUAGAAUAACACUUUUUUCUCAAAAAAAAGUACAAACACAAUAAUGAAUUAGUGAUUGCAUUUGUACUAAAAGUGAAAACUUGAUUAUUUUAGUUAUAUUUAUUUCAUCAUAUUGGAUUGUAUUCAAAUAACUUCUGUUUGAUUGUUUUUAUGAGUUUCAAUUGUAAAAUUACAAUGAAUAAUAAUUUAAUGAUGUGUUGAUAUUUUAAUACUUAAUUAUUUAUUAAAAUUUAAUUAUAAUAAAAUCAUAUAAUAAAAUUUUAUUAACCCCGCGGGGGAAGCCGGACAAGGCGGGGCGGGGGCGGGACGGGGCAGGGGACGGGGGGAACUAAUAGGCAACGGGGCGGGGGCGGGGGACCAACCCCGCCCCGUUGCUAUUCCUACCCACAAUCACCACCGUCACUAUCUCCACCCACCACCACCACCACUACUGUCACUACCAUCCCUUCAUCUUCCUCUUCUCUCCCCCUUCCUCUUCCCCUUUCCUUUUCCUCCUCCCCUUCGUUUUCCCUUAUUCUCCGGUCCUUCCCUCCCUCUCGAUCUGGUCUCGACAAGAUCGAGGCCUUUGGUCUCUAGAUUGCAACCAGAAAAUUGUGACCUUCUGGUCGCGAUUUGGUCGUGACUAGAGGCCUCGAUUUGGAUUGGGGGAAGAAGGAGAAGAGAGGAGAAAGAGGAUGAGGGAAGGAGGAAGGAGGAGGAGAAGAAAGAGAGAAGGGAUCGUGACGGUGAUGAGUGAUGGUGAGUAUUGGUGAUAGAUGAAAAAUAUUUUAAAAUUUAUUUUUUAAUCUUUUUUAUGUAUAUUUGUGAGUUAUUUUUGAUAUAUUGUAUGAGUCAUAUGUUUUUUUAAAUUAUUUUUAUUUGUAUAUUACUGUAUUAUUGUAUUUGAAAAACAAAUCAAUCCAAACUGAGCCACUAUAGUAUUAGCAUUUCACAUUUGUUACUCCCAAGUUGUACUAGUAACCUUUCCUUCAAAACAGGCACAUAACGAGCUUCAUUCAUCAAAGUAAACACUAGUACAUUUAUCUAUUGUAGCGUGGAAAUGAGAAUAAGGGUUUACGUCUAUUGAUCAUGUUUUAAAUACAUAACAACAACUAGAGUAAAUCCAAUAAUUAGAGGAAGGCUCUUAGAGUUUUUUCCGCACUGGAGAGGAUCAUUGCCUUGCUAAAUUUCAAAAAAUUCACAUUUGCACCAAAAGUAAAAUUAAAAAAUUUUAAAUGUGUUAUUUAAAAAUUUGAACCUUUUUGUCCCAACAACAACUGUAGAAUACUCUAUGUUGCAUACUCAAGUUCAAAUAUGUUUAUAUUAGCCCUCUCUCUUUCAAAGCCCAAAGGACUUACGUCAGUUUUUACAAACCUAAACCCCGAGGGAACCCCAAAAGCCGGUAUCUCUUGAGGUCCCACAGGAGACUUAUAACUACCAAUCCAAACCCUCUCAACCCCGAUGUGGGAUACAUCUCAGGGAAGAAUCCCCAAACCUCCACAACGGGGGAGCCUGCUGCAAAGCCCAAGCGCGUACCCAAGCCCAACCCCCUCAGAGGCGAUGUUUCUUUCUUUCAAAGCCCAAAGGACUUACGUCAGUUUUUACAAAUCUAAACCCCGAGAGAACCCCAAAAGCCGGUAUCUCUUGAGGUCCCAUAGGAGACUUAUAACUACCAACCCAAACCCUCCCAACCCCGAUGUGGGAUACAUCUCAGGGAAGAAUCCCCAAACCUCCACAACGGGGGAUAUAUUAGCCCUCUCAAGGUACAUGUUUUUGGCACUGCGUCCAUGUGUAGUCUGUCAUCUGGUGAAAAUGAAGAAAGUUCGGUGUUUUACACAAAUUAAAUACUAAUGAAAUAUCCAAUUUUAUUCUCUUAAUACUACUAGUAAAUAAAUUAGAUUAUCAUACGAUUGUACAAAAAUAGACGAGGGGUACACAAGUAAAUUGCAUGGGCAGCUCAGCUCUCCUUAGUCCCCUAGUCCUUCCCCUCCACUGUUUGUGCAUUGUCUGGGGCUGGGGAGAGAGAUAAAAGCCGUCCCCACCAACCAAUUUUCAUGGUAAAAACUAAAAUCCACAAGCGACGAAACAAAAAACAAACAAAAGAAAACUUCAAACCAACAACAUCUUCUUCGCACAGACACACGCCCGCACACAGACUUUCACUCCCCUCACUUUCUCUGUCAAUUAUUCUCUCUUUUUGCUUCCCCCAGGAGGAGUAAUCAAUCAGGUUGGGUAAGUAAGAAUCUGGUAAGAGAAGAAGGUGAAAAAAAUGUCAAAGAAAGAAAGAAAGAGACUGGUAGACCGGUAGUAGUAAUAAAAGCGAGGAAGAAAGAAAAAGAAGGGACUUCUUGUAGUUGUGGGGGGGAAGAUGGGACGAAGAAAGACUACUACUCUUCCUUUUCCUCGUGGUUGAUAAGCACUGUUGUAGAGUUUCUCGUUGCUAAACAAGAUAAAAAUACUCUCCCUACAAGCUCAUUUACACUCUCCAUAGCAAGUCAAGAAAAGGGGUUUUACUAGGAAGAAAAAGUAAAGGAAGAGAGAGAGAGAGAGAGAUAGAUAGAGAGAGGAGAGAUGGUGGGCUCAGGAGCAUCAGAUAGGAGCAAAGAAGCAGUUGGGAUGAUGGCCCUUCAUGAGGCCCUCAGAAGCGUCUGUCUCAACACAGACUGGACUUACUCAGUCUUCUGGACCAUUCGUCCUCGCCCGUAUGUCACUUACUCUCACUUUCUCUCUUUUGUCUUCCUUUCUUUCUGUGUCAACCAACUCUGUUUUCCUCCGUCCUUUUUGGGAUUAAUCCGCCCCUUAGUAUUAUUGCUGCCAUCCCUUUUGCUUUUGAUUUUCUUUUUUGAUGUUUUCUUUAAUCUCUCAUUUGGGUUUCCUCCAUUCCUUUCAGGAGGGUCAGAGGCGGCAAUGGUUGCAAAGUUGGUGAUGACAAUGGUAGCUUGUAAGUGUACAUAACACUAGAGUACAACAUUUUGCUUGCUUUUUAGUUUUUUUCAAAAAAAGUUUUCUUGAGAGCAUGGAAGCGAGAAAAACGUUGUACUGACCAUAUUGUUAAAGAAUAACUUGCUUUAGCAUGGUACUAAGGAGGACUCUUACUGGCAGAAUAGAUGUGUGUGUCUCUUUUUUCUCGUGAUUUGUUGGUAUUAUUCACUAGCGGACUGGUUUUUGUGGAAUUGAAGGUUACUUGGUUAAAUUUUCUGCAGGAUGUUGAUGUGGGAAGAUGGAUUCUGCAGAGGAAGAGUUGGGGAGUGUUUGGAUGAAAUUGAAGGCGAGGAUCCUGUCAGAAAAGCCUUCAGCAAAAUGUCUAUUCAACUAUAUAAUUAUGGAGAAGGGUGGGUACUGGGUAGGUGCUUUGGUAUUGGAUUUCAAUUUUGUCUCACUCGCACAACUCACUUCCUCCACCAGCUGGAUGCUUAGAGUUAAUAUUAGUUCGCAGGCUUAAAGCAAUUUAGGAGAUUUUUAUUUUAGCUCUUGUAGGUUAGUAUCUGGUACUAUGCGGAUUCUGAUUGUAUGAAUUGGCUGCAGGUUGAUGGGGAAGGUGGCUUCUGAUAAGUGCCAUAAAUGGGUUUUCAAAGAGCCUACGGAAUGUGAACCGAAUAUCUCCAAUUAUUGGCAGAGUUCAUUUGAUGCUGUAUGUAUACAUCAAAACAGAACACUCAACUGUGAUUAUCUUCUCUGGUAGAAAGUAAAUACCGUGUUUAACCAUCUGGCAAAAUAAUGAAUCCCGUUUUGGGCGUAGGGUAUUAUGGUAGUAUGCCAAAAGUGGGCUUAAUCUUGUAGUUCAAUUAUUUUUGUCUCGUAAAACAUGAAAACCAUGAUCUAGACUGAUGAAUCCUAAGUACUUUGGUUUAUUAAUUGCAGCUUCCUCCCGAGUGGACUGAUCAGUUUGAGUCAGGUAUUCAGGUCAGAAAUCAAAGUCCAGCACUAUUAUUGCUUCUGUCCUGCCUUUUCCUUUCUAUAUUUGGGUGUUUUGUUCAAGUUUCCUUCAUUAUUUACUCUUUUUCUUGCUUAUUCAAGUCUUGAUUUGUUUUCACCAGACUAUUGCUGUAAUUCAAGCUGGCCAUGGCCUCUUGCAGCUCGGUUCCUGCAAGAUUGUGAGUUUUGAUUACUGAUUCUUUUGCCCUUUUCUUGAACUUGAAUACUUAGCAUAGCCCGUGAAAGAAAAAGUAACUGGAGAUGAAAAUCUUUUUAUACUUCUCAGAUACCUGAAGACCUCCACUUUGUGCUGAGAAUGAGGCACACAUUCGAAUCUUUAGGCUAUCAAUCAGGGUUUUACCUAUCUCAGUUGUUCUCUUCCACAAGGAAUAGUUCAUCUCAAUCUGGAGUUCCUAUGAAGCAGCCUACCAUGCCUAUUCGCUCUCCCCCUCCCCUCUUCAGUUGGGGUCCCAGGCCGAUUCCUUCAGCAAACGCAGUCCUUGCAUCUCCCAGCUUUCAAAACUCUGCCAGGCUAGGAAUACCGCCGUCCAAAGAUGAGACUCAUAUGUUCCUUCUUCCUCAUUCAUCUGAAGCAAGAAUGGAAGAUAUGAUGGGAGAUCAUGAAAAUGACAUCAAGUGGCCUAAUGGAUUGACGUUCUUCAAUGCUCUCACCGGACGAAGUGACGAUGCUAAGCUUUUGUUCAAUCCUGAUGGUUUAGGUAGCAAGGCAGAGCAAAAUCAUCAUCCAAAUCCAAAUUCAGAUGCUUCAAGUUUGCAUAACAAUAGCGGUGCAAAUCCAAACGAGUUCUUGAGCUUGGAUAGCCAUCCGGAUAGCGUUAGGAAGAUGGAGAAUAAGUUCAAGAGGAGCUUUACAUUGCCUGCAAGAAUGAAUUCAUCUUCCUCAUCCACCUCACUAGAUCACCAUCAACAUAAUCCUGGAGAGUAUAGGAAUGAAGCAGGGAUGUACUCUGAUGUCAUGGAAACUUUCCUGGAGUAAUUUGGCAAGGAUUAUAUGAGGGCAUUAAGGGUGCAAACUUGUAUUUAGGCAGCCCUUGAGCUCCGCCUUUGUCUCGGAAUUAUGUUUGUUUUAGACUUCUAGUGCUCUUGGUGUCUUGUUCUUUCAUCCAAUGGACAGUUUUCCAUGUUGUUUUACAUUCUCACGUUCAUCUUAGCGAAACAUCUAACCCCCAAAUGGCCUGUAAAAUCGGCCAUUAUGUAGACUACAUAUAUGCUCAAAAAACCUAAAUGGAGAGCUCAAUGCUUUGUUACUUGGAAACGUUCAUCAAAGACCUAACCUCCGACUGAUAAGAAAUGGGUUGGUUUUUGUUUUACUCCAGGGUGUGGAAGGUCGCGAGUUCAAUUCAGUCUACUGACCGCCCUUCCCCUCCCACGGUGACGAGUUUCGCAAUGUAGAGCAGGGUAUGCUGGUCCAGAUUUGAACGUGCAAAGUUACCAUAUUUACAUUUCCUGUUUCCUGUUCUAGAUUCCACUGGUGGCCAAUGAGGCGAGAAUUUCUCUGUUACUUUUUUUUUCUCCAUUCAUCUAUCUAUUUUUAAAAUUUAUACAAUUAAGUUUGUCUACAAUAAUUUGUUUAUGUUAAUAAUUUUAUUUUUCACAGGCAGAUCAACAUACUCAAAAAUCAAACUCAUCUAUGAAUGCUUUGUGAUUCAAUUUGCCCAGAACAUUUUGAUAGUGCAAAAUGGGCUAAAAUUAUGAUGAAAGUUGUAAAGUUUUAUCCAUCCAAAAGUAAAAUUUAUUCAAUUUAGUUUCAUUUUUUUGCAUAUGCUUUAAACAAAAAUAAUAUUAUAAUCAUGCUCAUUUAGGUGUAAUUGGCAGAAAAUUCUAUCCCUAACAAUAAUAGCCUGCCUCUCGACUUAAUUUGUGUGUUUCACAGAUGUUCAAAGUCCACGUCUUCCAUGUAACAUCAAUUCAAGAACUGGGAUGAGGGGCCUAUUUACGACCCCUCCCAAUUGGCAUCAUCCUUGAUCAUGUAAUGGUGAAUCCUUUAUUCUGCAUGAUUUUGUCUCAAGUGUCCUAAGGAACAAUGGAUUGACCCUUGUCGACUUAUGGUCCUACACUCCUAUAGAGAUAAGCCAUUCACUGGGGUGAUCCUUUUUUUGAGUGCCGUAAUUCUUUAAAUGAAUUCCAAGAUUAGAUACCUGACUUCACCCGUCGAGGAAGACUAUAUGUAUAUAUGGCUAUGUAGUGUUAGUGGGUUGAAUAAACAAGACAAAAAACUGCCGUCUUGUCUUCAGUGUACUGUAUCUGGGGUUUCCAUCAAUCCUGAUCUCAGGGCCGGGUGACUGCCAUGCGAAAUAUAAUUAGGCAAGAGGCAACCCAUAUAGGUCAUAUUUGUCUCUUUCUAGUUACUGCAACAUCCCACUUCAACCACUGAAUGGCUGAGGGGGAAGAUUUCUAACUUGUUUCUAUUCGAGUUGAUGUGACAAAUGCACCUUCCUUGACAUUUUGGCCCUCACUCUCGACUGGAUUUGGAGCAGACGAACUUGAUUUUGCCAUGGAAAGAUUCUUGUCUGUUUGGUUUAUCCCACUUCAUUGUUGUUCUUGUAAUAUCUACUGAUGAGGAAGUGGUAAUUCUUGGCUAGGAUUGCUCGAUCCCAUUUUGAGUCCACGAGAUGUGCUUACAAGUUAAAAAUAGAGGAUCCGCAUCUUUCAGCACAUCCAAGGGCAGCAAAAGUCUGUGCAGACUUGCUCGGUUGGGGCAUCAAGGAAACUGUUGCCGUUGGGUUCUUCCUUUUAUCAUUCUCCGGCGGCUUGUCUAUGUUGCACCACCGGAAAGUUUCCACAAAGUUAUUGUUUAUCCAACCAUUUCAUAUUUGCACAUUGAGCCACACUCGUAGAGAAAAAACAACAAUGUUGUGUACUGCUACUUUGUCUGGUAAAGAUGUACAAUUGUUAGAAGACAAAAUGCUUCAAUUUUGCACAACCUAAUACUUCUAGUAUGUAAAAUAUAAUAAUAUGUUUACAAGCGACUGCGAAACAUUUGGGCCAAUUCUUACUUCAACAUUGUCGUGGAUGCUGUGUUGUGCAGUAAUUUUUAGGGAGGAAGCGUCGAGUAUGGAAAAGGAAUUAACAAUGGAAUGCAGGCGAAUGAGUCCUAGUUUCUUAUAAAUGCUCUAAAAGAUAAAUUUGGUCUUUAACAUCAACAUCUUCAUUAUGAUGAAAUGAUGAUUCUGAACUAUCAAUAACGGGGCUUACAAGCCAAACCCCAAUAGCUUUAACUUCCUGAUUUUAGUUGCACGCAGUUUUUCUUUCAGAGUCAAAAUCAGUUUUCUAAGAUUAGCUCGCAGAUGCCAAGUAAUUAAGUGAUGGAUUAUGUCCAGCAGCAGUGAACCUGAGGCAGGAAAUGGAAAAAAGGGAAAAAAGGAAAACCAUUCAACCAAUGAUUCACUAUCACUAUUAUCACUUGUCUCAACCUUCAAGCCUCUUAUUUCUUUUCAAAACACUUCCGCGAAGAUGGUUUCACAGCAUGACAUUCUUUGCAUGCGGACGCAACAGCCCUCAAGAAUUUCAGGCCAAACCACGUUCUUCUAGCAAUUGUCCAAUCCUGGCCUUGCUUCUUUGACUUGCAUACUUGAUCUCUUACAGAAAUUUUAGCCUUCCUUGCGCGUGAAACUUGAUGCAUCAUAGCUGGCGCCGGUGCAAUGAAUUGCCACCUUUGAGAAGAGCCGUAAUGUGGAGUCAAAACAGGCUUCCUUGUUGCUUGGUACAAGUCUUUUUCAACAGGGUUUUUGCCAGCAAUUUUUGUCUGAUUAUUGCUGAAUAAUUUGCUGUCCGAUGUAUACGGUCCUGCAGCCUCACUUGUGCUCGUUCUUGCACUGCUGCAGCUACUACUUCUGCUGCUAUUCGUACUGUUGCUUCGUGACGACAUCAAUGAAUCUUUGCUGCAUACGCUGCUGGUUCUACUAGUUGAUCUUGAGAAACUGAUGACGUUGUUUGUAGGCUGACAUGGGAAAGCAUGAGGUAAAAGUAUGCCAUUGAAGAACAAACGAUCUGCUGUAGAAUUUGGUGAACCUGGUGUGACACAACCAAACUCAAAAUCUUGAUCUUGAACUGGGAUGAUUGGAAAUGAAAAUUUGUCCCCGGAACUGCUUUUUCGCCUGUGGAUUUCCAUGGAAUUUGAUCAGUUCUAGACUGAUGAAUUCAAGUGAGAUAUAGAGUGCUGGAGAAUGAUUUAUACAGAAUUAAAGUUCGGUGAUAUGAACAAGGUAAGAGGAAUGGCUUUAUGCCUAAAUGUGGGAUCACUGAACAAGCAAUGGACCCCUUGUUGGGGCAUCUUGAUUAGACCUGGUGGUCAAUAUCAUGUAUUAGAACCUGCCAACUUAAGCCUUAAUUAAACUAUCUGAUUUGUAAUGAUACUGGGGAGCGUGUGGCUUAAUCCAAUGAAAUUUGUUCUGAAUUGGUUAAAGAAUGGUAACAAAGAAUGUAAUGCCUUUUGAUAUAUCAGUGGCUUCUUGUAGAAUAGUUUACUGGCUUUCUUCAACUUCUCAGCCAAAACAUAAGGAUACAUUUAAACUAUAACACACUCUUGAUCAAAUCCCUAGCUUCCUACCAUGAUAAGUAAUAUAUUGGAGAUGUGCCUAGUGGAACUAGGUAAGUCUGCAAAUCACCCGGGUGAAGUUUCAGCAUGAUUAACCAUCACUAGAGUAGUUAGCCACCACGUCUUAUGGAAUGUCAAGAGUUCAAACUUUGCCUCCCAUCAUGUUGUUAUUAAUCUGAUUUCUCUUAGAUUCACGUAGGUGCAUAGUGCAUCCGUAUUGUCCGAUGGUGAUUCAAUCUCUGUCGAUUCCCCUUGACUCAGUUAGGUUACCGCCUUAGAAUAGGUUAGAGUAGGAGUAGGAGUAAACGGUGACAAUUGACAAAAGCUAAAAAAAAAAAAAAUUCACCAAGAUUCUUUAUCUGGUAGAGAUUUACAGCAUUGAUGGAUAGCAAGGUUUCAAUAAACUUUACAUUUUGAUUAUAUGGUUGACAGACGAUUAGACGAUCAACUUUGAAUAGAAAAAUAAUUUUCCACAUAGGUGAAACAUUGAAGUACCCAUUCUUUUUAUUUUAGCCGAAGUGCCAUAAAAAGACACCAAAGCAGGAGUAUAAUUUUUGCUGAUCCUUGUUUUGUUAAUAGCUAUUGAAUGGAUAUGCAUGCGUCUCUGUCCAUUUGCUUUUGUAACUUUAUCCCUUGGAACAACACAACUUCCAAGAAUACUUUGAUGAAAAGCAAAAGAGGAUUAGAAGUGUGAGAAAAAUUAUGGAGUAGCAGUAAAAAGUAUUCAAGUGUUGGCAUAUUGGGUUGUCUGGGCUGUCCCAAGAAGCUGCAAUCAUGGGUUCAACGUAGCUUUCUCCUGUGUAUGGGAGCAAAGGCAAGAAUUAGGACUUCUUUUAGAGAAGAAAUCAAUCCCCAUCGCACUUUUUCCAAUUUUAUUAUAGACCAAAAAAAAAUUCUCUGUCAACCUCAAACAUGGCGACAACUGACGUCUGCAGAAAAUUAUAUUGUCUCCUAUUGGGUUUCCUUAGAGGAUCAUUGGGCCCAUUGGUCCCUAAUAUUGCCUGAGGGACCACAGGUCCGCCAACAUGCCGCCACCCAGAAAUUCAAUUGUUAAGCUUCAUUGUUGGGCCUCCCAGGUGAUGCUGAAAAGUUUGAGGCUACUAUGUGUCCAUCUAAGCAUUUCUUUCGGCUGAAUUGCUCAUUCCACAAUUGGUUCUAUCAGCACUACUCCGACCCAAUAAACCCACCCACUUCUUUCCAGCAUUUAUCUUGACCAAAUCCAGCUACUACUAUUUUCUUUUCUGCUGAUCACAAUUAAGUAACAUUUUCCAUUUUGUAUUUUAUGAUUUUAUCUUUGGUCUGAUGUCAUUUUUUGUAUACGUUCUCUUUUGUUACCAUUACAACUAUUUGACUUAGGGGAAGGGAAACGAGUGGCUGAUAAAGGAGAAUUCAUAUCUUAUUUUGCACUGUUCUAAUUGUGGAACAUAAAUUAUUAUGACAAAAUUGAUAUAGGCUGUAAUGAGCCCUUAGCUUUACCAUGCCAGUUUUCUGAACCUCAGUUUCUUCUGCUUUUUUCUACAGUUUUCUGAACUUCGUUUGGCAUGAAAUACCAAUUCUCAAUCCAAGAAACUGUAACCAAGUGAGCUAUCUUGGUUGGCCAUUAGCAAAGGGCUUUUAUUUGGGGUGUAAAUAAGGGGUUUGAAACAUUUAUCUGUAUUUUUCAUCUAGGAUUUCGUGAAAUUUUUUUUGGAGGUAAUUUAGCUCAGAUGAAUUUUGAUCGUGAAUUUGGAUGAUAGUAUACAUGUUUGUGAUAACUAAUGACUGAAGAAAGAAUACGCGGUUGGUAGAAUACAUGUUUGAUUGUCACAAUUGGAAAUCUAUAAAGGAGGAGUUUGUGUUUGGAUAGGAGUUUAUUUGACAUAAUUAUUGUAAUAUUUUUUGUGAUGUGAUGUAUGUGAGAUAAAAAGGUGAUUGGACAGAUAAAAAGAUGUAUUGAAAUUUGUAUUUAUGAUGCAAGCAAAUUAUUUUUUCUCAAAUCAUCCCAAUCCAAACACACUAGAAUCUAAUUUCAAACUUCUUGCACAUAUAUCAAUAGUUAAAUGUUCACAAAUACAUAAUAUUUAUAAAAGAUGAAAGGGUGAAAAUUUAACGAUUUCACAAAAAAAAAAAGGUUUGAACAUAAGUAAAAAAAUAAAAAGGUUUUGAGAGUGAUUUGAUAUCACUAAAACUUUAACACAACUGAGACGGGAAAAAAAAUGACAUAUAACAAGGGGAUGAAAAUUGAAGCAGCCUGAUAGGUUAUAAUUUGUUACUACAUUUAUAAUUAUUUUUCCCCUUUAUUUUAGCCAAAUAUUAUUUUAAUUGUCGGAUUCUACUUAUAUUUGAUUAAUGGUGCCAAUUGUAGGAAAAGGAGCAAAACGUGAUUAAAAGUGGCAUUUUUCCAAUUCAUUUGAUGGUGGCACGUUUGGGGUUGGUUUCCAAGCCCGAGUCGAAUUCAAGGCAAUUUCUGAAGGAAGAUUUUGAAGAUUUUAAUCUUCAUUAUUAGUUUUAAUAUUGGAUUAGAAAACUUGGGAUAUUUUCUUUUAUGGUUUCUUUUCCUAUUUAGGAGAUUAGUUUUAUUUGCUAGUAGACUUUAAUUAGGAAACAAAAAAUAAUAAGGGAAGCUAGAUUCCCAUUUGAUUAGGACUUCAGCCAAAAAACAAGAAAAAGAGCCGUGACUCUUUGGGAAAAGGAGAAGGCCGGAUCCCGCGUGAUUGAGAGUUGAAGGCAGCAACAAAUUCGGGAGGAACAAUUCGGCUGGGACUUAGGUCUUUGUACUUUUCCUUUUUAGCCGACCUUGGGGAGGACAAUUGCUUGGAUUUUGAUUUUCGUCUUUUACUUUUCUUCCUUGGCCGAUUUGGCCAGGAACAAUUUGGUAAGAUUCAGAUGGCUUUUUCGCAUGGUUGUUCUCCAUUAAUGGAGGACUAACCUCCUACUGCUAGUCAAGGGGAUAACUGAAGAUUUGAUUCAAUAAUUUCUGUGAGAUCUAAUUUAUUUUAAUUGUUUCCUCCAUUUAUUAGUAUUCAUAUGUUUCCUGCUUUUAACUGUUAUAACUCUUGUGUAUGAUUGAUUAAUGCGCAAUGAUUAAUUAUUCAUAUACGCUAUUUUGCUAAAUAGGGAUAAUUGAAUCCGUAAUUGUUCGUUAUCUCUAUCCCACUAGCAACUGGCAUAAUUGGAUUUGUGUCAGGGGAACAUGUGAUCUAACUUAAACAAACCCUCGUAGCGUGUUUGUUAGUUAGGAUUGGAUCUUUCUAAUUAUUAAUGCAAUCUAGAAAUUAAAUCCUACGGUCGUACCUAGGGUUGUUUUUGGGUUAGAGAAAUAGUUAACAGUCGUAUCUUAACUAUCGAGAAAUUAAGGAAAGGUUGGUUGUUUAUCGCGUGCAUGACAACUAUAACUGGUCUAUUAAUAAAUGUUGGAAUUAUAUUUGAAUCGAUGAUCAGUUACAUGCACCAUUUCUGAAGUGUACCCUUGGUUAGAGUUUCUCUUAGUUAUUUCUUUUAAUUAAUUAUUUUCUGCAGUUAAUUUAUUUAGUUAGCAUUUAAACCAAAACCCCCCAUACCUUGGACUCUAGAAGAAACGAAUUAUCCCCAAUCCCUGUGGAUUCGACCCUACUCACCGCUAUAUACAAAAUCUGUAUUUUUCUCGAGUAGGUACUUAUUAUUGCACAGGUUCGGCACCUGUAUCUUCAAUGGAAUUGCGUGAGUUACUCUCAAUGGAGAACUAACCUCCUACUGCUAGUCAAGGGGACAACUGAAGAUUUGGUUCAAUAAUUUCUGUGAGAUCUAAUUUAUUUUAAUUGUUUCCUCCAUUUAUUGGUAUUCAUAUGUUUCCUGCUUUUAACUGUUAUAGCUCUUGUGUAUGAUUGAUUAAUGCGCAAUGAUUAAUUGUUCAUAUAGGCUAUUUUGCUAAAUAGGGAUAAUUGAAUCCGUAAUUGUUCGUUAUCUCUAUCCCAGUAGCAACUGGCAUAUUUGGAUUUGUGUCAGGGGAACAUGUGAUCUAACUUAAACAAACCCUCGUAGCGUGUUUGUUAGUUAGGAUUGGGUCUUUCUAAUUAUUAAUACAAUCUAUAAAUUAAAUCCUACAGUCGUAUCUAUGGUUGUUUUUGGGUUAGAGAAAUAGUUAACGGUCGUACCUUAACUAUCGAGAAAUUAAGAAAAGGUUGGUUGUUUAUCGCGUGCAUGACAACUAUAACUGGUCUAUUAAUAAAUGUUGGAAUUAUAUUUGAAUCGAUGAUCAGUUGCAUGAACCAUUUCUGAAGUGUACCCUUGGCUAGAGUUUCUCUUAGUUAUUUCUUUUAAUUAAUUAUUUUCUGCAGUUAAUUUAUUUAGUUAGCAUUUAAUCCAAAACCCCUCCAUACUUUAGACUCUAGAAGAAACGAAUUAUCCCCAGUCCCUAUGAAUUCGACCCUACUCACCGCUAUAUACAAAAUCUGUAUUUUUCUCGAGUAGGUACUUAUUAUUGCACAAGUUCGCCACCUGUCAAUUUUUGGUAUUUUAAAUCAAUAGACUUGAGUUGACAAAACAAAUAAAAGGUAAAAAUAUAAAGGAACACGCAAUUUGUAGUAAGAAUUUCAAACAUAUUACUUGAUACCUUGAAUGUCAUUUACUAAUUUAUUUAAAAUUUCUUGCAGGAUUUAAGAAUCGAAUUAUAAAUCUCAGGGAUAAUUUCAUAAAUUUCCCCUAAGGUUUCUGACAGUCUCACACCUCUCUCCUAAGGUUUUUAAAAUAUCAGAAACUUUCCCUAAAACUAAGUAGGCAAUCUCAAAUCCAACCCAAUUAAAAAAUACAAACAACUAAAAAUGGGGAGCUGGAGAGAGACAACAAUUUGAUACCACAAAUGCCCUUAUUGUCUUGCAUUUGUGAGAUAAUAUCAUAUGAAAAAUAUCCAGAGAAUUUAACAAGAAUGAAACCUCAAGGGGGUGCAAGUGAAACUAAUGACUGAAUGAAGGUUUUAACUUCAGUUUCACACCUAGAAAGCAAUGGCUCUUUUCUGGUCAUUAUUUGCAACGUCUGUAUGCAAUGACCAGUUCACAAGACUAUUUGUAAGAGCAAAAUGCAGCAGCAAAGGUUAGAAUCUAGAGCAUUCUAUGCCAUGUAUCAAGUUUUCUUUGCCAUAUAUCAACAAUAGCUUAAAGAGACUAAUUGAAAUGACUUGCUGUACCCGAAACUUUCUAGGCCAUAUAUCAAUUAUCAACUGGCGCCUAAUUUUGGCGUCAUUUUUUCAUGGCAUCUUAUAUAUUCAUUAAAGGAAUCUAAAUAAUCGUUGAUUAUAUUAACCGUAUUCAUAACUAACUUAACUAAAUUUGUCUAGAUAAUUGCAAAAAUAUCUAUUAACUAUGCAGGUAUUUAAGUAUUUUUGCUCACGAUGACGUAAGAAAUAGGAUCCAAAAUUUUGUCUGGGGAGGUAUCUAAUAUUUUGGAAACCUCAAGGGAGGGGAGUGAGACUGCUAGAAAUCUUAGGAGAGGUAUAUGAAAAUUUCCCUAAAUCUUAUGAUGAUCUAAUUAAUGUUCUUAUCAGCGAAAUUGGGUCAUUUGGUAAAUUAUUGGGAAAAUUGCAGAAACCUCUCCUGAGGUUUCUAACACUCACACUCACCUCCCCUGUGGUUUAAGAAAUAGCAUUUGACCGCUCUUGAACUUUGCUAAUUCUUUGCAUAUUUAGUCUAAGCUGAAAAAAGUGACAUUAAAGUAUUGUUUUAGAAAGUGAGAUGAGAAAUUUAUACCAAAUUUGUCCUUUGUGCUACGUACCAAAUUUGUUCUUUGUGCUACAUACGAAAUAGGUUGUAUUAGCAAAGGAAUGACAAAAUAUUACAAAUCAAUUAACAAUUAAUAAAUUUUAAAGGUUGUAGUCUUUGGACAAAUGGGCAUUACCUAUUCAAAGUACCCAUUUUUUAUGGGCAUCUUAUUCUCAAACAUUUAAUUUAUGAUAAAUAUAUCAAUGUUUGUAAAUAAAAUUCAAAAAAUGUUACAGUAAUAUUCUUACAAAAAGGAAUCUAUAGGUUAUCUAUUUAAUAUAGUUUUUUUUCCAUUACAUGAACAAAGUAUCGGCUCUUUAUGGGUAUUUUAUUUUGAAUCAUUAAAUUUAUGUUAAAUACAUAAAUGUUUGUAAUUAAAAUUGAAAAAGUGUUACACUAAUAUUUUUAUAAAAGGAAAACUGAUAGGUUUUGUAUUUAAUAAAAAUUAAAUAUAUGAAAGUAAAAAAAAAAGAAAUUACUCAUAACAUACCAACUCUUUAUGGGUUUCCUCAAUUAUAUGAACAAAGUACUAGCUAUUUAUGAGCAUUUUACUCUGAAUCAUUUAAUUUAUGUUAAAUACAUAAAUGUUUGUAAGUAAAAUUCAAAAAGUGUUACUCUAAUAUUUUUACGAAAGAAAAACUGAUAGGUUUUGUAUUUAACAUAAAUUAAAUAUGUGAAGGUAACACUUACAGGUGGUUUAAUUAGUAACUUAAUUUAUUGACAAGAAACAAGGUUUCUUUUGCAAAAUUUGUUCAUUAGGUUUCUCCAAAUAAUUAGGGUAUAAAGGUAAAUUUUUACAAUCUUUUGUUGCAAAUCUGACACAAAUUUCUCAUUUCACUCCUUAAAAUGAUAUUUUAAUGGCACUUUUUCUAGCCCGGAUUAAAUAUGCAAAGAAUCAGUAAGUUUAAGGGAGGUCAGUGCUAUUUCUUAAAUUACAUGAAGAUGAGUGCUAAUAUUAGAAACCUCAGGGGAGGUUUCCACAAUUAUCCCCAAAUUAUUUUACCUUGAUUCGUCAUGUAAAUAUUUUACUGUAUCGUUCUUAACCCAAAACGACUUCCCCAAAAAAGAAAAAGAAAAAAGAAAAAAGAAAAAGAAAAAGAAAAAGCAAAAGAAAAAGAAAGAGAGAAUCAGAAUCAAUAGGAAAAAGGAGAAAUUUUAGCAGGGCAUUAAAAAAAAAAAGGAAAAAUCAAUAAAUGAAAAAGCCAAAAAAGAAAAAGAAAAGAAAGAAAAAGAAAACUCCAAGCUGAUGGAGCCAACACGUCAUCAUCGAUAAUUGCAAAAAGGGUCGGGAUUGGACUGGAGUGCAUAGGGCGCAGGAGGAGGAACAGAAAAAUGUUGCGUGUCAAAUGGUUGGAGGGGAAUGGGAGGCUCGUCAGCCCUUUCCAUCCACAGUUGUCUCUCAUUAACUCAGCUCCCCUUUCUCUCUCAAUUCUUGCUGACAAUUUCUUCAUUUGUCUUCCUCGUCUGGCCUCACCCCAAUAUCAAACUAUUUUCCAAUAAUCAUCCAUUACAUCUACAAACAAGAUCCCCGGGAAUUAGUCUAAUUUCUCACCAUGGCUGGCAAAGAAAUGUUGCAAAAAAUGAAGGUACCUACAAACUUCUCCUACCCUAGUAUUGGUCGGGAUAUUGAUACCUUUUUUUUUAUUUUUUAUUUUUAAUCGGAGUCCGAAAAUUGCAUCCAUUUUUCAAUUUACAAAAGGCCCACGUGCACAAUAAUGCGGUUUGUACUUCUCUGAUCAUGUAUUACCUGCAUUCUUGUGCGUUGUAACACCAUAUUGAGGGAACCUGGUACUCAUUUUGGUGGAAUUUUACCAUAGUUACAUGUUCAAAUGUUGACUUUGCUUAGGAAGAAAUGCUUCAUGAACCGUACUGUUAAUGUUUUACUUCGUUAAGGGGUUUUAGUUGGGUAGACUGUAGAUAAGUAGUCUGAAGUAAAUGACUUUGUUUUGGAUAGGGUUGUUUAUGCUUAACCAAAUUAAUGAAAGUUUAAAAAUAUUUAAUCUUUAUCACAGUAUUAGAUAGUCGAGGGAUUUAAAAGGAAGUUUUCUUGAAUCAAAUGCAUAUUAGCAGGGAUGUUACCUGACUUAGUUUCCCAUCUAACUGACCAUAAAAAUGCAAUCUUGAAUUUCCCCGGCUCUUCUACUUUCUUCGGGAUCAGUAGCAUUUCUUUAAGCCAUCCUUUAGCAGGGGCCGUCUGGUGCCCAAUAGAUGCUGUAAAACAAGGCAUACUAGCGUUCAGUGCAUAUCUUAGCGUAGUUUUGUUAAAUUGACGCCUCGCCCACAGUAGUUUAUGUCAGUCUAUUAGCAUCUAGCCACUUGAAUCUCAGACUAUUAUGAUGGCUUCUGCACUACUUGUGGGAAGACAGUAUAUUCACAACCUAAGAUGUAACUAAAGCUUAACUGAAUGAUAAUGCUUCCCAUUUUUGCAGACCUUAACAUGUAUACUUUGUUGUGCUUAUAGUAUAUAGCAUGGUCUUUUAUUCAUUACAUUCAUGAAACAAGUUCAACUUUAGUAGGAUAUGACCAUGUUCCUAAAACUGACAUUCUGGAUAUUAUUACGGUCUUACAUUCUCCCCAUUUCUAAAAAUAUCUUUAUUGGGCAGAUUCGAAUUCAGUAUAUGACCUUCUCCCCAAAAAUAAAAAGUAAAACAAAAGGAGGAAAAGAAUUUAGUGAAUGUUAAAAUAAUGCUCUUCCAUUGCAUAAUGCUUCAAUAUUCCAAUACUCUGUUAAGAUACAUAGUACAGUUUUGGUGCAAUCCUGGAAACUGCUGCUGAAUUCUCUUUUGUUUCUCUACAGUAAAUCAGGGACAAAAUACCAUCUCAGGAAAUAAUUGCUUUGCAUUUUGCAGGAAAAAGUGGGUUUAGGUUCAUCUGCAUCUGAAACAGGAAAAGGUAAGAGUAAAAUGGACAAACAUGUUACUCAUGGUUAUCACACAGUUGCCGGGAAAGGACAUCAUGCUAUGGAGGAUUAUCUUUUUGCACAAUUUAAGCAAGUUGGUGACAAUGAGCUUGGUCUGUUUGCGAUAUUUGAUGGUCAUCUUGGUCAUGAAAUUCCCGACUACUUGCGGUCUCAUUUGUUUGACAACAUUUUGAAUGAGGUAAUGUAAACUUCUGUAAAACAGAUUAUCUUAUUUGCUUAAUAGUUAUUACCUCCAAAAAAGAUCGUCUUAUUCCUUUUUAAAUUUCUUCUCCUUCAAGAGAAUGGCUGUCCUGUAAAAGUUCUGUACUUUUUUCACUGCUGUGGGGGUCUUAUUCUUGGUUGAUUGAUUGCAGUAUGAUGAUUCUCAAUCUUAAGAAUCUAAACAUGCUUUUCUCCUCUUCUGUGUAGCCUGACUUCUGGACUCAAACUGAAAAUGCUAUUCGAAGAGCAUAUCGGAUCACUGAUGCUACAAUACUAGAGAAAGCAGUUGAUUUGGGUAAAGGCGGCUCAACUGCAGUAACGGCAAUAUUAAUUAAUUGUCAAAAACUUGUUGUGGCUAAUGUUGGGGACUCUCGUGCUGUCCUCUGCAAGAAUGGGGUAGCAAAGCAGCUUUCAGUUGAUCAUGAACCUAAUAAAGAGAGGCAAAACAUUGAGAAUAGAGGUGGAUUUGUUUCAAACUUUCCAGGUAUGGAACUCUAUAAGUAAGCAGAAAUGAAAUGCUAGUUACAGUUUUUGGAGGCUGUUGCACUUGCAGCUUCUUGUGCCUCUCUCAAUGAAAUUACAACAUUUAACCAAGGUGACUUUGACUUGUCAUGCUUUGUAACAUGAGAAUCUUGAAGCUUAGUAAACUGUGGUUUCUAAGAAUGGGAAGCCUUGCUACUAGACUCUUCUUCUCGGUAUCAUAGGUUGGCUUUGGACCUUCGAUGAUACUUGUAUCUCUUUGUGUUUGAUUAUUUUUAAAUUUCAAACUUUAGUGGUAUGCAAGAGUUAUUUUGGUAGAAUGCUUUAUGAAAGAGUAUCCUAUGCACAUGCUGCAGUCUUUUCAUAGGACCAAGGUCAUGCCUUACCAAUAGUAGAAUUAGUUGGGUUCUCAAGAUCUAAGAGAUCUUUUAGUACUUUUGACUGAACAUAGACCUGGCGGUAGUACGAAGCUCUUAUCAAUUGACUUACAUUUGUUGAUGAUUCUUAUCAUUCAGGUGAUGUUGCACGUGUUGAUGGACAGUUAGCAGUUGCAAGAGCAUUUGGUGAUAAGAGCCUGAAGCAACACCUCAGUUCUGAACCGGAUGUUGCUGUAGAGAUCAUAGAUGACGAUACAGAGUUUGUUAUCUUAGCUAGUGAUGGCAUAUGGAAGGUCAAACUUCUCAUCUUUAAAAUUAAACUCAUAUUUGUGAUUUUCUAUAUUUAUUAGCUGUUAAUAUAGGAUAUUACUUUGCUGAAUCUUAUCUGCAAUCAAGUGACAUGGUGGACUGUGUCCAUUCAUGGAUGAAAUGAUGGGAUGUUUAGUUAUGCGUGUUCGUGGUAUUGAAGUUAUUGUGGUGCAUGCUUAAAAUGGAUAAGAGUGAACAUACUCUGAAGCUGCCAUAGACAAUUAAUUUCAGGAAGAAUACUUCCUAAAAAUCUUUUCUAUUCUAGGAUGAUUAAAAACAGGGGAUUUUAAGCAUCAAACAGAAUUGAAAUGCUGAACAUAACUAGACGAGGGAAGAUGGGUAUCCUGCAUAAGAAUAAGUGAAGAGAUAUGUUCACCAUCCUAUGCUAAACAAUGUAUUAGGUGAUGUUGUAUUUCGGUGGUUCUUUUGGACUGGAGAUAUUUGAUUGAAUUGUAAGCACUGCAGCUACUUGUUAAAUUAGCGCUCUGGUUUUGGUGAAAAAUGUGCUAGAAGUUGCAAUUCUCUUGGCAGGUAAUGUCAAAUCAAGAGGCAGUCGACUGUGUGAAAGACAAAAAGGAAGCUCGGGCUGCAGCAAAGCACCUUACUGAGGAAGCUGUAGCAAGGAAAAGUAGUGAUGAUAUAUCAUGUAUAGUCAUCAAGUUCAAAUGAUAAUUCUGGCCUACUAUUCUCAUUCUGUAGUUUUCUGAUCUGUUCCCUCAAUUGUCCAGUCAAUUGGCCUUGGACCUCUUGGUUUUUGUACGGGUUUUUAAAGUGCUUGUUGUCUUGGAAAAAAAAUGUGCAGAGAAAGUACAGUGGCGUAUGUAUAAGCUCCCAAGUAAAUUGAACUCUGUUCAUCAUUUGUCUGUCUCAGCAUGUUGAUUAUUCGUGAUGGUUUACAACACAAUCCCCCCCUCCUUUUUUUGUCUCUGUACUUGCCAUCGUCUCGAAAGCUUAAAUGUACAAUAUACUGGUUAAGGUUGCUGUCGUGCUGUUGUACACAGCAGUAAAGUUUUGCCGUUAGCACAUUUGUUCUCUGAAAUGUAGCUGUCUGGAAUUUCGCUGAAUUUUUACUGAUUGUUCUUUCAUAUAUGAAACAUCCCUCGUCUUUGUUCACUUUCUGAGCAAUCACUCAUACUGAUUCAGAUUCUUCAUAUGUCCAUCUUAAAGUGAUUUUUGAGAUUGAGAAGACAAAUUUGGGAAAGAACCGUGGUCUUAUUUUUCAAGCAAAUACACUAUGCGAGUCCCAAGAGUCCAGGACUCUGCUAGUUCCUCGUUCCCUAGGGGCUUUCAUUUGAAAGGUGCAGAACAUAGCUUCUUCCUAAAUGAGGACCGUAAUUGCCAUGAUUGUAUUUAUGCGCUGAGAGUGUAUGUAAGAGCGAAGAGAGACCGCUUAAGGUAUGCAAUAGGGAUAAUCAACAAACUGCCCCUUUGGAGCAUCUCAUAAAAGAAUUCAGAGUGCAAUUUCAGAGGGUAGUCUCCAUGCAAGUUGGUACGCUCGAAACUAUAAGCUAAAAACCAAAGGUGAUGAAACUGUAAAAGAAAUCCUUGUUCGGAUUUGCAGUUUUCUAAAGUAAUUUUUUUUUUUGUUUUUCGUGAACACAUUUUCUAAUAAUCUUUUUAUAUCUUUUCUUUUCACACAUAUUAAAUUGAUACGAUACAUUUUUUUUUACAAAAAUUCUUAAAAAUAACAAUCCAAACGGGAUGUUUCUUUUUCAUUUUCCCUUUUUUUUGCUCUCUCUCUCUCUCUCUAAUAGAAGCUCUAAUUCAUAAUAUCUUGAAAAGAUAUUUCAACUUAUGAACCAGCUUCCGCUCAUCACUAGACAGAUCUUCCCAAAAAUAUGUCUUAAGAAUGUCAAUUGACUCCCUAGUGAUAUGGUUGACAAGCUCAUCUUCAAUACCAAAAUGCCUUCCAAACUACUUCUGCUGCUCCUCAGGACAACGAUCAAUGAUCUUAAUGGUCACCCUUUGACCUUUCUUGGCAUCAUCAACUGGUAUGUCACUGCUAUUGAUUAAUUCAAUAUGGCCAAUAUCAAUGAACUCCUUUCGAGGAAUACAUAGUGGAGUUCCAAUCUUUGCAACGCCAUCAAGACGUCCAUCCCCAAAAGAAUGGGACCCUUCUUUUUGAAAACGGUGUUUGGUAUGGUCUCAAGAACACGGGGGAAUGCUGCAUCUCCAGCAGUUCUCUUCUACUCCUCCUCCUUGAGAUAAUCAAUAUGAGGCUUAAACUGAUCAAACAGCUGAUAAAUAACAUCUGCGCAGAACAAUUCGAUACCCAGUUUAUCUGCAAGUUCCCAAAUUUCCAGCGUGACCUCGACAUCAAAAGGCAAAAUGGAAGCAUAUUCUCUCUUCUUCUCAAGCAUGAUGCUCCUUUCUUUGCAUCUUUUUCAUCCACAGGGCCAAUGCUUAUAAUGCUGAAAGGUAUAUUAACUGCAGGAUUCUUCAAGAAUUCCAAGAGGGCUUCCAAGGAGCCAAGAGAGGCAGCUUUAACAUAUACUCCCUCCCCUUUUUUCCAAUCCUAUUCAUGGCUGAUGUGAUAUCCUCCAUUGCUUCUUUCUUAAUACGUUUCACAUCGUCAUUUGGCUUCACAACAAAAAUCCCAGAGCGAGCAAUAGCAUUCUCAAGACCUUGUGCUGCAAUUUUGAUACUCUAUGCAGCAUUGAUUUCUAUACAAACACAAACAAUUGUCCUUCACUCGGAGCUCUUUCAGUGGGUGGGGUGUCAGACUCAAUACUAUUCGAAUUCCAUUAACAAUAGGACCCUGCGUGCCACAAAUAACUAUUUGAUCUCCUUCAUGGAGCAGACUAUUUACUAAGACCACUGCAAUGGUUGUCCCAAGUCCUUUAACAACCUUAACCUCCAAAACAAAUGCACUGCACUUGGUUCUGAUAAGUAAGUUCCCGAACCAAGGUCCUUUGAGCCCCCUGCACCAGUAAGAGUAACAAGUCUGGGACCCCUUCACCACUAAUUGCACUAGUAGGCACAAUGUUGAAUGUCUCCCCCAUAUAAUUGUUUUCGUAGUACAAUGCAGCGUUUAUUCCUUGCUCCUGGAACUGUAUGAUAACCUGAGUCAGCCUCUUGUUGAAUUCAUUUUGCACACCUUCGGACUGUUGCUUCAUUGCCUUCACCAUGGGUGCAUUGUAGCAUAUUUUCCAUCCAUAAGGUUUGUCAACCUUGUUGAGCGCGACUAUGAAUUGCGUGCCCAUCAAGUUCAAAAUAAUGAGGGAUUCGCCUGUUUGGGGCUUCAAGCCAUGCACGAUAUCAACAAAGAGAACUGGAAUGUCACACAAACCUGACAAUUUGUUGAGUAAUGCCUCCUACAUGAUCUUCCUGAACAUUAGUGGCACGAGGUUAAUGAAGUAACAUGGUUUUCCCAGCAUCAACAUGACCCAUAACGCAGCAGAUUGGAGAACGGAGAUGACAUUCUAAUUUUCCUACUUCUUUAAAGGAAUUACCUUUUAGUUCUACAACCUCAGCUUCCGGAUGAAUCUGAGAUUUCAAAUGUGGGAUUGCCUUGAACUCCUUAAUGGCCAUUGGAGGUUUAGGCUCCUGAUCACCAGAAUCAACAUCUACUUCAGCAUCUGGACUUCUCCUGAGCAGUUUAAGAUCAGCACCAUCAUCCCAAGUAGUAUGCGUUCUCUAUGUGCCUCCAAUCUACGAGAUUCUACCUUUUGCUUACUCGUCAAGAGUUUCCGUUCUUGCUUUUUCUUCAACCGUUUUUCUUUUUCCCUUUCCUUCUUCAAACUUUUCUGCUCUUGUGCCAAUCUUUCAAGCUCUUCUUCGCUGAUCCUCUCCUCUUCUUCUUCCCUCAAUCUCUCCUCCUCUUCCCUUUUUCUCCACUCUUCAGCUUGUGUUAAAGUAAAGCGAGCUUCUCAUGGAUCUCCGUCACAUGCUUUGGAACUUUCCAUCUUUUCAUUCUUGUUCUUACAUCCUUGCUCUCUCCUUGUGCAGUGCUACUACAAUUCUUCAUACAAGGCUUGGACGGCUUCUUCUUCUUGUCUAUCUGAUUUAUUAUGCAAAAAUAACAAGGGGAUACUACUGCUAUUCGUUUUUUGGUUUAUGAAAGAGUUUAAAUCUGACAAGAAGAAACCUGAGUGUCAAGGUCUACUGAUUAAUGUCCUUAAUUACCACUUGGCCUUUUUUUUUUGGGACAGUAAAUGAGGCUGUAAUUAAUCCAGAUAACAACAUUUGUGUUUCCAGUUAAUCAGAAGUAUCUUUCAUCUUCUCCUACUCUUCCUACGUCUAUCAUCAUUUUUGCUAUCGCUUUCACUUUCUUCCAAGCUCGAGGAUGAUUCAGACGAAUCUGAAUCAUGAGAACUAGAAGUACCUGAUUCAUCAGAUUCAGAAAGAGGCUUCUGCUGUUGCAUGAUAAGGCGAGGCAUGUUCUUCGCGACCGUGACUUUGAACCAUGAUACCAAGGUGCACAGACGAUUCCUGGAAGAGAAUCUGGAUGAAAUACGGGAAGAAGAUGUUGUCUCCUCUCCGUCAAUCGUAUGUAAGACAAAACGUGCCAAGGUGCUAAGCAAGUAGGCAAAAAAUUUGGCCACAUUACGUAGGUUACUUGUCUCGAGUCGAUGGAUCAUAGAGUACUGUUAGACAAAGCAUUUUUCAAAAUUUUCUUGAUGAAUCUUGUUGAUCAUGCAAAACCGUUGGCCAAGAAGUCCAUAUUACUGAAGGUUAGUCCUCUUCUGGCUGCAGCACUCCAACGACAUAAUACACAAUUCCAUCUCCUGACCAGGCUCUAGCUUGAUUUUCAGUAGGUUAUGACCAGCUUCUUCAUAAUGGGCCAACACAAAACCACAAUGUGUGUCAAAACUAUGUGUGUCAAAACAAUUCCAUAGUACACAUUAUGGGUUUGUUUUGGAAAGAAAAAGGAAUAAAAGAAAAGAAAAUAACAAGGUGUGGCAGAGGCAAGGGAACAAGAUUAGGAGAAGAAUCAGUAUCUCAUAGUAAUAGUAGCUGAUGGCAAAAGAAGUCCAUGGAUUCUGAGUAUAAUCUUCUGAUCUUGCAGGCAAUUUUGGCUGAAUUUCGAACAUGCUGUUAUUUACACUACUUCCCAGCCCCUAGAUAGGCAGAGCUUUCCAAAGCAUUUAUAUUUAGGGUACAAAACUGACGUGCAGCCUUGGUUUCUUACGUUUUAUUGAAAUAGUGAAACGCUGAAUCUAUUGUUGUUCCGUUUAUGAUCGUAUUUUAAGUCUGGUCUUAACGAAGGAAGCACUGUAGAGAGCAGGUAAAUUUCUUUGCAGAAAAUGAUGGAUUAUCCAUGACAAAUGUUAAUAGGCCUUGGAGAAAGAAAUGACGAGAUUCUAAUAUACUCAACUGAUUAAUCUGCUGAAUUUAAAAUUAACCAUGCCCCUUUGUUUUGAUGAUAAGGUCCGUGGAGCAGGUAAGUGGUGAAAUCAUGAAUCAUGGAUCCGGCCAUCCUGGAAAGCCGACAAGAGAAAUGGUAAUCCAUUUCGUGUUCAAGUUCAGAAUGUUACUGCUAUUACCAAAAUUGUCUCUCCGCUUUGGAAAUUGAAGAGCGUUCUUCAGCUGCACACAAGCUGGAAACAGAAACCUUUGCAUGUAAGUUUCAUAAUUGUUUUGAUAUUGCAUCUUAGUGCUUUAUAAUGUAAUGAAUAAUGAAUCCACAUUGCUUAGAUUUUAAUCAAAGAAACAGAAAAAGAGGGAAAACAAGAUUCCCUGGACAGUACAUUUGCCACACAAUUGGAGUAAACAAUGUAGAUCUGUGCGCUAGAACUUAAGAGACAAAGAACUGGGGUGUAAAUGAGCAUAAUCAAACUGAAUAUCCUAAUAUUCAAACUUAUUGAAUUAUUUUAACGAAUUUCAAAUUUUAUUUAAAUUUGACUUGUUAUUUGCCGAAAAUAACUUGAAUGAGUUUUUAAUCAAAUUUAAAAAUUGCCGAACAUAAAAUGUUGUUCAACCUUGGGUUGACUAAUUGACAAAUCAAGCUCAACCAAGUUCAAGCGAGCUCUUACCAAGCCAAGCUCGAUUUGAGUAUUGAGAAGCAUGGUUCAUCUUUCAGCCAUACGAAGAACAAAAAUUUACGCCUCACAGGGGAGUUGAAGGCAGAUUCAACACUGAAAUAGUCUGGACUAACUGCUAAAGUUAGGCCAAUACUACCCAUUACAGACCGCAUGGAGGUGAAAAGUGAAACAAUUGCGAGUAAAAGUUAUCAAAAGUUGUGCAAACUAACUAGGCUCGAAGCUAUGUCAUAAAUGGCAUAAAUAUUCCAUAGGAUGACAGAAGAGAGUAAGCAACUAAUGAAUGCCUAAUGGAUGUGGAGUUUUUGGUGGUUCUCUGGUAAAACAAUUGGGGUUCUUCCUCUUUCAUCAACCUGCCUGCAUUGAUCUUUCUUGGUACCCGGAUUCGAUCCUCGUCGUCCUGAUCCUUCUCCACGAGAUUCAGUAAAGUGCUUGCGGCGUCGCUCAUUGUGUCCUGCUAAGCGUCGGCGACAACUUCUCUUUGCCUCAUCAAAUUCUGAGAGGUCGUGGAAUCUGGAUAGACAAUAUAACCAAGUCUUGGACCUUGCAAAUUUGAGAACUUACGCGAUAACAAAAGCAAAAGAUUGUCAAGAGGAAGAUAACUGGCAGAAAAUAGCCAAAAGUCCAUCAACUGGCAUUUGUUUUUCCUAAUAAAGAUCAAAUAAGAUAGAAGCUAUCAUGAUAGGAUAAAUUUGCGAAGAAAAAAGCCCGGAGAUACUAGGACUUCUAAAGAAUAUUUAUGAUCUGAACUAACUGAAGUACCAGAGUAUGGUCAAAUUUCUGCAUCACCGCAAAUGGAAAUUGUUUAGGGCUUGCUUGAUCCAUUUUUAGUCAGGAGUUCCUUGUACACAGCUUUUGUCAAACAUGAUUCUCAGAAAGCUAAAGUUCUCCAUUACGUAUCACUGGAAGUGAUGUUUAGACCAGCUGGAAUUUUAGUUUGGAAGACUUAACAGUUAUCUAAAGAAGCUACACCAUAUAAUUUUCCCAACUUGUUCAGUAAUGCACAAGUAUAGUGAUACAAAUCAAGAUGCUCUUUAAACAUUAUCUGAAGGAUUGUUCUUUAAUCUUCAUCUGAAGCAUUUUAGGAUGUAGUAUUCCUAGUUGAUAAUCAGUAGUUCAUUCGAGCCCUGAAGGACACUUGAUCUAUCGACAAAGAAGGCCACGGUUGCGUACUUCAUUGCAUGUUUAGUCACAGCUUUGACACAUUUGCGUAUCUUAUUUCCUAAUUAUGGGUUUGUUUUUUCCCAUUUUUUCCCUGUGACAAGACAACAGAAACUUAAUUUAUGAAUUUAAUCACAUUAAUAUUUUCCUAAUCAUGGUUAAUUCUUCCAGAGGAGGUACGAUGAGAUAAACAGCUCGUAACUAUGUUUCUAUUAAUUCGGAAAUAAGCAUAGAGGAUUUGGGAAAGCAGGAAAAGAAAAAAUUGUCUUAAUGAGUCGAGUUCUACAAACCUGCUGCACUGCUGACAGAACCUCUGCUUCAGUCCUUCAACCACGACAACUUCAGCCUUAGCAUGAUACUCACACACCUUGUGCCUCUUGUGGUAGCUCUUUGAAUCAGUAAGAUCAGCCUUACAAUUCUCCGCCCGGCAGCCCGGCGGUGGUGCCACUGCCACCCCUCCACCACCACCACCACCACCACCAGCACCUUCAGCAGCAGCAGCAGCAGUUCUUGAACCCCUCUUCCUUGGACCCUCAUCAAAAUUCAUUCUUUUCUUCUUAAGCCCAGGCUCCACCUCAAUUUCUGCUCCAAAACCACCAUUACCAUCUUCUUCUUCCUCCUCCUCCUCGUCCACCUCUUCCUCUUCCUCCUCCUCCUCCUCCUCUGUGUCAGUCUCUGCCUCUUCCGUCACUUUCUUGGUUGGAGCAAACGGGGAAUGCACGGCUGAUGAUGAUUGCCUAAGGUGGUGCAUGUGAGGCUCCAUGAUGAUAGCGACCUUGUGGAGGGCUCUUUCUUUCUUAUAAUUCAAUUCAAGAAACUAGAGUGAGAAGACUACAAGAGGAGGAUGAGAAAGACUUGAAAGAUAUGGGGUGUGGGAAGAGUAAUCAAUGGAACUGAAGGCAUGCUGAGAGAAAGCUUAAAAAGUAGUACUAGUACAAUACUACAACAUUAGAGAAAGAGAGUGAGAUGGAGAAAAGAGAACUGAGGGAGUGAGGACCACUACAAUUUCUCCGCACUCUUCUUAGCUCCUUUUGUCUGCAUCCUUCUUCUUCUUUUCAUUUUUUUCUUUUUGGGGUUACAAGGCCCCUUUGUCUGCUUGUAUAGUUGCUCUUGUAUUUGUAUAGGCAAUAUGCAAUCAUGCAUGCCCUUCUGCGAUUGUUAGUGUGUGUGAGUUUUUUUUUUCUUUUUUUUUUGGGAAUAAUGAAUUGGGAUAAGUACUUGGGUAGUUUGAGAAAUAUGUAGCUUAACAGAUGGAGGAGGGGAAGGCUUUGGCUUGCUCUUAUAGACUUAGGCUGAGGCUGAGGCUGAGGCUGAGGCUAACAGUAGUUGGCGUAGGUGGUCAAAUUAUAGUUAUUUGUGUUAUAAAUUGUAUUGCCUUGUUCUAGUUGAACAGGGUAAAUCCCCAUUCUCAGUCUUGUCGCGUGGAUACACGCUCAAUGAUUGGAUUACUUGGUGGAUUCAGGUGACAUGUGGUGAGCGGGGAAGGAUCAUUUGCAACUGCAAUGGGAUAUUUUUCAGGGGUGAGCACAGUUCGGGUGCCGUCCUGACUAACCCGACUCUAAAAUAUUGGAUCAGUUAUUUUGUGACUCUAACCUGCUUUUAAUAUUUUUGAGUACCCGAAAAAAAGGAGCGGGUCAUAGGAUACUCGUCCCUAAAAAAAAAUUAUUUUUCAAUAAAAAAAUAUUUUUUACUUAAUAUCAAUAUGUUUUUCAAUAAAAAAAAAAGUAUGCUUUCCAAUUAACAUUGGUAGAUAUAUUAUAAUCAAAAUUCAUGCAUCACCAUUCUCAUACAUUUCAUCCAAUAAUCAAACCAAUUUCAUAAAUUUAGUACAUAUUAGAAUUAUAAUAUCUAAUAGAUAAAACGAAAUUUUAUAAUAAUUUUGAGUACAUCACCAUUCUCACAUAUUUCAUCCUUCUAUAACAUAACAAACACAAGGAUAAUAAGUAUAUGGCAACUUUUUCAAGUAUAACAAAUACAAGGAUAAAACGAAAUUUUAUAAUAAUUUUGAAUACAUCACCAUUCUCACGCAUUUUAUCUUUUUACAACAUAACAAACACAAGAAUAAUAAGUAUAUGACAAUUUUUCCAACUUCCUUAAGGAUAUUAUGGUACAAGAUUGCAUCCAAAAUGAGUCAAUUGUGGAAUCAAGUUCGGAAAAGAAUUGAACAGAGUUAAUAAUUUUUGAAGAAAGUAUAACCAAAGUAAUUUUGAAAAAUUUUCCCCAACUUUCUUACAUCUUUGGAAUAGACCUUGUUGCAUUAAAGGUGAUGAAAAAGAAAAAUAAAUUUCUUGCACUAAAAUAAAGGAAACAAAUUUAAGAGACACAAUUGCAAUAAAAUAAAUAAAUAAAUGUAAGACACAAAUGUUUUAAUUAUCCAACUAACAGAAAAUUGGAGCUCCAAACACAAAUUUUUGAUUGAAUUGAUCAAAAUUUUGCAGAAAAGAUCGAUGGAAGUAGAAUAGAAAGAAAAUGAUGAAAGGGAUGAACAAUUUUUAUGAUAGAAUUUCACAAAUGUUUCUUUGUUUUAUUCAUUCGGUUCAGGUUUCACCAAGAAUAUUCACUUUUUUUAGACAAGAUGAGGAGAGGCGAAUCAUAUGAGAUUAAAAUAUGAGGUUGUAAACCACUUUACUUACACUUAGGAUUAAAAAUUAUAAAAUUAUAUAAUGAACCCUUAUUUUUUAAUAUUUAUAUAAUAUACCCUGCGGGUCAAGUACCCGUGGGUUUUUAUUUUGUUAAUCUGUAUCCGUAUCCAUUUUUACGGGUACCCAACCCGCAUCUGCCCUCGCCAAGAAAAAUCGGAUCGGAUCAGAUCGGAUUUUUUGCCCUCCCCUAAUAUUUUUAGAUAUAUCCCCCCCUAUUUUUUUCCUCCCAGUCUUUCCUAAUCAGACUAUAAUUUGUUAAAUUUUUACUUAGUUGAUGCAUGUUUUUCAUCUGCACACUUCAUACAUUAGCAUCUUGUGCAUGAAAUUUCUUCAUAAAGAAACGAACGGCCAAUAUAAUUGCAAUUCAAUUGCAGCAACUAGCGCCCUUGCGGGUAGUUCGACCGAUUCCGUCGUCUAGUAGUUGCUAGCAGGUCUCAUGAUCGAUACCCGUGUAUUACCUCGCUUGGUAUCCUUGGGGCCAAAGUCUAUACCGUUUCAGGGGAUUAAUCUGGUUGAAAAGUUGAAAUACUCCUAAAUGGAAAAUAAUAAUAAUAAUUUUGCAGCAACUAGCGACUAGCAAGGUACUAUAAAUGCAGAUGCGGCUGCAUGAAAACGUCCGUCGAGUGUAUCAGAGUUGUGCUCUAAUUAUAAAGAGGUUAGAUUUUGAGAUAGGCAUGACUGUUAAGGGUUUCAAUUCUUUAAAAUUCUGCUAAGUUUUGCUUCCCUAGAUCUCACACUAUUUGAGUAUUUUUCCCUUUUAGCAUUAAAACAAACAAGGGGAAACUUGAAGCAGAUGGCAUUCAAGUUUUAACUGAAUUUGAUGUCAUUGUUUUCAUUUUGGAGUUGUAUCAUCUCUCGGGAACAGGGGGCCAUUAUGUUGGUUAACAAACAGCCAAUCAAGUCCCAUGUGUUCGAAUUGCAACUAGCAAAGAGUCAGCAAAAAUCAAGAGGGAAAUUGUGUUCCGUGAAAAUUUACAGUUGAAUAUAAGGAUUAUUUUGUCUUGAAUAACUAGGGUAGCACACAGGUUUCUCUUGAGAUUUUUCCAGAGUUGCAAAACUAUAUGUAGUCUUAUCAUUUUCUUGCAGAGGUAACCUUGGAAUAAGGUGUUGUAACUAUAACAAGUUUCCCUAAAAUCCAGUGCUUAAUUUAUCAUAAUAUUUUCUUUGGCUGGCGUCUCAAUAUUACUAAAGAAACAAUGAAAUUAAACUAUGGUUAAGAUUCUAGAUGCAAAAGCCAACAGCCAUAAAAGCUUUUAAGCACAGCGCUCGGUUAAUGCAGGUGUGCAUUAUUCAACUGCACAAAUGACAGUUGAGAAUCUCCAGCCAGAACCCAGAAUGAUAAACUAGUGUGACUAAAUAUUUCACCAGCCAGAGCCCAGAAUGAUAAAUUGGCUGGUGGCCAGGCAAACUGAGGAAAGCCUGCCUGUUCUUCUGCUGCUUCUCCCUUUUGGAGGACUUGUUGCAUCCCUUUCCAACUCAUUAUGCAGCGCAGGAAUUGAAACAAGGUUGAAGUGUCCGGUCUCUCCAGCCUGCGUACAAUUUCUGUACAAGUUGUUCGUAAUCAGCUAAACAAUUUCUGGCUGCAUUCGGGAAUCUGUACGUGCCUCACUACAACCAGAGAUUCAAAGUUGAUACUUUAUUACUUCCAAAUUCAAUGACAUGCGCAAUAAUUCAAUGAUCCUUGUUUGUUUACGAGAAGCAAAACGUUUCCCAUCGCUUUCGUAUUCAUGUAUCAGAUAUGGCCCUCAAGCCCUGAACAACAAUAAUGCUUUCUUACAAAAAAAAGUUAAAAAAUAAUAAUAAUGCUUCUUUUUUCUUUCUUUUUUUUCAUGAAUAUAUGUUUAUAUGUAUCUAUCUAUGCAUACACGUUAUAUAUGUCAAAAUUUAUUUUUACUGAUAAGGAGUGGAAGUGGAUUUUCUUGAAGAUUACUAUGACCUGACCUCUUGAGAUGAACGUGUCGCUAAUUGCACUUAUUUCCUUAAAUUUUGUCAUAAUCGUGGGACCACCUUUGUGCUUUAAUUUUAAUUGGUAUUCAAUACAAAUACACAGUCUCUCUCAAACAUAUAAAUUUUUUAUUACUCCAUAAAUUUCUAGGAAAAAAAAAAGAGAAAAGCAAACGUUUAAAGCUAUGUACAAAAAAUCUUUUCACUAAAUGGGAAGUCAAAAAAUUCAUCCAGCUAAUUCUGUCUCCACUUUCGCGGUUCGGGGCUGUGUUUGGUCAGAUCUGAUGCGGCUAACUGAUAUAUAUAUAUAUAUGAAAUUAACUAUUUUAAUCAGAGUUGUUUCUCACUCCUCUGUGUCAUGCCUAAUUGAAGAAAAUUAAUGGGUAUGGGUCAUUUGGAUUUUACCCAUAUUGAAUCCUAUUUGGAUUGUAGUAUAUGUUUCAAAAUUAUCUAUAAUUUUAAAAUAACUUUAAAAAAUAACUAAUCUUGUUAAUGAUAUUUCUUUAAAAACAACUAAUCUUAUCUUAAUGAUUUUGCUUUCUAUCAAAUUAUUACAUAUAGAACUAUAGUAAAAUUUUUUUCAAACCACAAUUAUUGAAAUCUUACAUAUUCCAAAUUACUUCCUUAAUCAUAAUUACUAAAAUCUUACAUACCCAAAUUACUUCCUUUUACCACCAUUUCGUUGAUUAGUAUUCAUAUUGUUUAUCAUUUCUUCCCUUAAUUUUGAAUUAAUUUAGUGUAAAAAAGAGAAUUAACUAUUAUACCGAUAGAUUUACCAAUAUUGUUAGAAACUGAAUAUUUAUUGAUAAAGAAAAAUGAAUUGUUGGGUUUUUUCUACUUAAUUAAAUAUAAAUAUAUAGUUCUAGAUUCAUGAUCAUUAUAAAAAUUUAAAUUGUCUAAAAGAACAUUUGUAAAAGAAAAAGAUCUACCAAAUUUUUGAUAUAUAUAUAUAUAUAUAUAUAUAUAUCUGUGUGUGUGUGUGUGUGUGUGUGUAAAAAGUAGAUAUUUUAACAAGAGUUGUUUUUCACCCCUAUUUGGCAUGCUAAAUUAGGAAUGGCAAUGGGGCAGAGCCCGCCGGCUCCCACCCAGCCCCGCUUCCCCCGCAUAACUAAUAAAAAGUUGUCAUAUAAUUUUUUAUAGUUAAAUUUUAGCAAAUAAUUAAGUACUAAAAUAUCAACACAUCACCAAGUUGUUAUUCAUUGUAAUUUCACAAUUGAAACCCAAAAAAACAAUCAAACAAGAGUUAUUCGAAUACAAUCCAACAUUAUGAAACAAAUAUAACUAAAGUAGUCAAGUUUUCACUUUUGAUACAAAUAUAAUUAUUAAGUCAUUAUUGAGUUUUUUUUUGAGAAAAAAAGUGUUAUUGUGUUAAGUAUAAUUAAUAAUUUAGUAUAAAUUUAUUAGUUAAUUUAAUAUAACUAAUCAAUAAUUUCUAUUAGUAGACAUGCAUAAUUAUUAGUAUAAUUGAUAAUAUCAAUUAUAUUACAUAUACUAAAAUCCAUUUUAUAAACAUAUAAUUAAUAAUAUCAUUAUUAUAAAUUUAUAACUAAUUAAAUUAAAUAUUAUAUAUAAUUAUACAUAUAUAUUUAUUAUUUUUUAACGGGUGGCGGGGUGGGGAAUGAGGCAGGGGUAUACUCUCGCCCUUGCCCCAUUUCUAAACAGGGGAAAAAAUUACCCUUGCCCCGCCCCACCACCUGCCCCAUUAGCCCCCAUGACACCUAUCCCAAUUGCCAUCCCUAAUGCUAAUUAAAGAUAAUUAACGGGUUAUAAGUCACUUGGAUUUUACCAAUAUUGAAUCCUAUUUGGAUUAUAUUAUUUGUUUAAAAAUUGUCUCUAAUUUUAAACUAACUUUAAAAAUUGGAUUUUACCAAUAUUGAAUCCUAUUUGGAUUAUAUUAUUUGUUUAAAAAUUAUCUCUAAUUUUGAACUAACUUUAAAAAUAACUAAUUUUAUCUUAGUGAUAUGGCUUUGAAAACAACUAAUCUUAUUUUAAUGAUUCUGCUUUCUGUCAAAUUAUUACAUAUAGAACUAUAGUAAAAAAAUUUUCAAAUCACAAUUAUUGAAAUCUUACAUAUUUCAAAUUACUUUCUUAAUCGCAAUUAUUGAAAUCGUAUAUAGCCAAAUUACUUCCUUUCACUACAAUUCUGCUGAUUAGUAUUCAAAUUGUUCAUUAUUUCUUUCCUUAAUUUUGAAUGAACUUAGUGUUAAAAAAAGAAUUGACUAUUACAAUGACAGAUUUACUAAUAUUGUUGGAAACUGAAUAUUUAUUGAUGAAGAAAAAUGAAUUGCUAGAUUUUUUCUACUUAAUUAAUAUGAAUGUAUAGUUCUAGGUUUAAGGUCAUUAUAAAAAUUUAAAUUGUGUAAAAGAACAUUUGUAAAAAAAAAAAGAAGAAAAUCUACCAAAAUUUUGAUAUGAGGUACAUUAUUUGAAGUAUACCAUCAUAUUAUUGUGAAAGUAUGUAUACAAAAUUUUAAAAAUUAGUAAAUAAUUGAACAUUUAGAAUGCAUUAAUUUUUUUAAAGUUAGUGGAUGAACAUAUAGGAUUGUUGUUAAUUUUUGCAUCUAAAUUAUUUAUAUUUGUAUAAAUUCACAAUAAAUAAAAAAAAAGACCUUAAGGCAUGGAAAAAAUUCAAGUAAUACUUGAAAAUUAUCUGCAGUCUUUUGACUGCAAGUACAGAAAUCUCCCGAAAUUAAUCAAUCUAAUCAUGCAAUUCAUAAGAAAGAUGAAUAGAGCCUGCUAUUAAACCUUGACCACCAAAAAGAUCUUUAAAAAAAAAAAAAAGAUUCUUGUUACUGGUCUCAUUAUUUCUUAAUGUUUGAAUAAAUCUUUUCUAGCUAGAACUAAUUUAACAACUACCAACUGCUUGUAACUAAACUCGCUAUUUGCAGAGACGCUAAUACUAAACCCCACCUGCCCAGAUUGCUAGUGCUGUAAAUCGUGACCUGGAACGCGUUUCCUCAACCUUCCAACAUCACUGUCAGUUGGUGCAUUAGGUUCGUGUGGUGUCCUGCCUUUAGCAUCAUGAUGUCGAUCGCCAGCCACGACACCUUUGACAUUCUUGGCAGUCUCCUUAGCAGCAUCCCCAUGCAAUCAAUAUACAUCCUCUGCUUCGCCUUUUCUCCCAAGCCCAGCCCCGUCUCCACUGCCUUUGCUGGAGCUUCUCUUGCCAUAUCCGCCACAGCAUCCGCCGGGGCCCUCGUCCUUUCCUUUGCCCUGUCCACGCCAUCUUUCGUUGUAUACUUUGCUCUAUCAGAAACUCUUGCCGUCUCAUCUGCACCUGCCCUUAUAUCAUCCCUCCAGUUCCUAGUUCCUACUACCCUGUGGAGUACAUAUAUAAAUAAUUUGUUGCACUUGAUUCCGUCUUUCUUCUUCCUUUUAUUUUCCCCCUAAACCAUUGCCAUGUCAAGUACUUAAUCAUAGCGUUUUUGGAUAGUAAGUUCAUUUGAAAAAAAAAAACCUUUCUUACAUUACAACUCUAUACAUUUUUUUAAAUUAUCUUUUUAUUUCACAUAUAUCAGGUAACGAAAAUGCUACGCUAUUAUUCUAAAUAUUCUUCCAAUUAAUCUUCAAUAAGAACAACUAAUAUUUGCCUAACCUACGAAAUAGUAUUCAAACACCAUGUAAGGACUUCCCUUUUCAUUUUAAUUUUUUGGGUGGGGGUGGCUAGGGUGGUAGUCCAGCUACAAGAUUAAUGAUUAGUACCUGGGAAUUGUGCAAAGAGGAAAAGCAAUACUUGAUCCCGGACGACCUGAAAUGGCAAUAAGAUGGAGGAUGGGGGGGCAAGAAGUCCAUUACGGAAAGUGAGAAUAAGCUCUUCUGCCUGCAGACGUGGUUGCCAAUGUGUGUCGAUCAACUCCACUAGUGAACCAACGGUAUGCUAGGCUGUUGGUCACCAUAAAAAUCUGAAAUGCUUUUGUGGAUUGGGAGAUUAAGAAUUCGAACUUAACCUCCUAUAAAUUAUCACUUAAUGUGUGGAUUCUUCUAACCCUGAUGCGUGUUUAAUGAAUCAGUACAUCCAUUUGAUCCGAUAAUAGUUCCGUCACCGUCGGUCUCAUUAGUCCGCUUGAACGUGCCCCGUUCUCAUACCUGCCGGUGUAAUGUCAAAAACUCCACUAGUGCUGCUGUUCUAAAUUCCAAUGAAAUGGGGUAAUCCCUUUAGUUCGGCAAACUUUUUGGGUAAAAUCAUAGUAAUCAUGACUUUAAACUUACGAGACGCAUAUGUAAAAUGUAGUGCAUAAUUCCAGGACCAUCCAUACACAGCAGAUCGAGUGACAAGUCUUGACACUUUGUUAAUUAAAGGUCGCGUGCCUAAGUCCAGCUGCUGCUACAUUCCUACGCUUCGUUCAUCCUUUAGGCUUUUCUUUAGCCACGCAUGGCGUUUCAUACCUUGCAUCAUAUCAAACCCACUCCUUUUUGUGUGUCCACUCCAAGAUCAUACCAUGCUCCUGCUGUCACUGCUAUACUUCCAAUCUCAGUCCUCGUAAACCAUUAGCCCCUUCUUGGUGUGUCGAAUAUUGAACAUUUCAUAUAUACAAGUCUUUGAAUGAAAUGGACGUUGCCAAAGGAACAAGGUUAUGAUAAAACACAUGUCGCAAUCCAUAGUGUUUCAAAUCUUAAAUCAUCCAAUCAGAAUAUCCUGGCAGGCAUUGGUGCUCAUAAGUUGUCAGAAUUGAUUUAUUUUCGGAUGGGAUUCGAACUUUAUCCCAUUCAUUCGUAGUGAGUCUCAAAAUCAGCCAGUCAUGUCUGUGUUCUUUGUGAAAGGACAGGACCAAGACAUAACGAUUGGUGAGUCUCCCUUUCAAAUGCCACUUAGGAAGUUGAGAAUGGAUAAUGGUUUGCCAUUUCCACCCUAAAAUGAAACAGAAACAGUCGUCGAAGUGCAAUAAAGGAAUUAAUCAACCCAGAAACAUGCCACGAUUCCAACACGCCUUAAAGAAAGCAUAUAUCCCCAGUCAACUUGACAAACAUGUCCGCUUCAACAGAGCCAAAGGUUACGUAACAUCCACUAAUCUGGAAAUCGAAAAGGCAGAAAAAGAACUGUUGCAUGGAACUCAUUAAAGAGCAAGAAGAAGAAAAAAAAUCUUGCAGGAUUGCUUGUACGUUCUACCCAUUUCUCCAAUUCAAUCUAGCAUGUCCUCAUUUAAUGAAAAAGAAUGAGAAUCCAAGAAAGCACAUGAAGCGUAUUGUGUUCAGGAACAGCAUCGAAUAACCGUAUGUAUGAGCAAGAAAGUGAUUUUAAGGUCUAAAAUCAUUUAAUUUGCGCAUUUCAUGCGAAAGACCAUGCGAGCGAGGCUAAAAGCGCUAUACGUUAAUAGUAUUAUAUUUAUGUAAAAGAGACAGAAAUAUUCAAGACUAGAAGGCACAUUAAAUUUCUUUAUUUUCUAGCUCUUCCAGUCUCAAUUGCAUCAAGCCAAGAAACAACUUGAUCGAUGGAGGGUCUGCGUCUAGGCUCCUGGUCUAUACAUUUACAGGCUAUAGCAAGCACCUCUAAUAGCUGCUUUUCAAAAUCUUUAUCCCAUAUAGAUGAAUCAAAUAUCUCCUCCUCUCUCCUCUCAGAUUUCAUCUGAAACACCCAUGAAACCAAGUCUCUGCAAUUCUUCCCCUUGCAAACUUCAACAGGUCUCCUUCCGGUAAGAAGCUCAAGCAGAACAACACCAAAACUGUAAACAUCUCCCCUGAAAGUUGCCGUCAAUGUUUGGCUGUACUCCGGAGGUAUAUACCCCAGGGUGCCGACCAAAUCGGUAGUGACAUGGGUGUCAUAAGGAUGAAGUAACCUAGACAACCCAAAAUCAGCUAAAUGAGCUUCAAACCUCUCAUCCAGAAGAAUGUUGCUAGUUUUAAUGUCUCGAUGAAUUAUAUUUGGCUCCUUAUGCAGAUAAGCUAAUCCACGAGCAGCCCCUUGAGCAAUCUUUAGCCUUGUUUCCCAUCUAAGAAAGGAACUCCCAUCGAUCCUUUCAUGCAACCAAUAAUCUAAGCUUCCAUUCUCCAUGUAGGAGUAAAUGAGAAGCCUGUCAUUUCCAUGCCUGCAGUACCCUUGCAGAGAAACAAGGUUCUUGUGCUGAGCUCUUGAGAGUGCUUCUACUUCAGCUUGGAAUUCACGUUCCAUCUGCCCGCAAUCACCAGAUAGUCUCUUGAUUGCAGCUUUUGUGCCAUUAGGUAGGUCAGCCUUGAAAACAAGACCAAAACCUCCACAGCCAACAAUAUUUGUUUGGCCGAAAUUGCUCGUUCCCUUCAGAAUGUCUGCAACUGUGAGAUCCUUGCAGUCAGCAUUCUGGAAGAGCACCAACUUUGAAGGUCCAAAUGCAUCAGACAAUCUCGGGGGCCUACUGAUUUCAUCCUCCAGGUCAUCAAUUGGAUUUCCCAUAUCUCUUCUUGAAAUUUUAAGCAGAACUAGGGCCAGGAGAAUGGCAAUUCCCACCCCUAUACUAAUUGUCAAUCCAAGGAUACUGCUCCGACCAAACUUGUUGUUUGAAGUUGCAGGAAUAACAGGUUGAAGCCCAACAUUAUUAACUGCACAAGGAGAGAUGAUUUUCCCACAAAGUCCAGGGUUACCAUCAAAGCUUGAGCUGGGGAAACUAAAAAACUGGCCACCAAUUGGGAUUGCUCCCUGCAAGUGAUUAUAAGCCACACUAAACUUUGAUAGGAAUGUUAGCUUAUUGAAUGAUGAAGGAAUUGAUCCGUAGAGAUCAUUGAACGACAAAUCCAGGACCUCCAGAUUUCCCAUAUCAGAAAUGGAUGGAGGGAUGGUUCCAGUAAUAUUAUUCCUGCUGAGAUCAAGGACAUGGACUUGCUUCAACCGUCCAAUUUCAGGCCAAAUUGUUCCAUUUAGUUUAUUGUUGCUCAAUAAUAUUGAUGGAGGGAAACUUGAAGCUUGAUUAUACUGUAAACCACUAGAACUCUGAUUUCGUUUGACAAAGAGAGGAAUGCUGGUUGAUGAGUUGAGACUUGGUGGAUUGCUUUUUGCAGUUAUGUGUCCCUUCAGCUCUGUUAUACUUUUUGGAAUUUCUCCCGUCAAUGAGUUAUUAGAAAAAUCCAAGUAGAAUAAGUUGUCCAUCUGGCCAAUCCAUGGAGGAAUACUUCCGUUCAAAUGAUUCCAGGACAAGUCAAGAACUUCCAACUUGCUGCAAUUCAAUAACCAACUUGGAAUUUGGCCAUUCAGGCCACAGUUCCCAAGUGCAAAAACCAUCAAGUUCUGAAAACCACCUACAUUUGUUGGAAUUUUUUCACCAUGGAAAUUCUUGGUGAGGAUGAGGGUAGUGAGGUUUCUGCAAUUCUGCAGAACUGACAAUGCUCCAGAUAAACUUGUAAGACUGUUGUUGGACAAAGAUAAGAACACAAGAGAUGUGAGAUUUGCAUAACACUCAGGUACGUGGCCAGUUAGUUCAUUCUUGGCAAGACUCAAAAUUUUCAGCUCCUGGGAAGUAGAUAGUGAGUCUGGUAGGGGACCGUAAAAGUGAUUACUAGCAAGAUCAAGAGUAUACAGAUUCGGUAAUCCAGUGAAGUUAAGAUCAAUGACACCAGAUAAAGAAUUUUUUCCAAGAUCAAGCACUCUUAGCUUAGAGCAUUGGGCCAGGCUAGAAGGCAAUGGCCCAGAGAACGAAUUAGAAUGUGCAACCAACUGCUCUAGUUUUGUCAAAUUGCCAAAUACAUUAGGAAGUGUACCAGAAAACACGUUCCCGGAUAAAACCAAAGAUUUCAGAUUGGAAAGCUUACUGAGUUGAGGGCUAAGCUGGCCAGAGAAAUUGUUGGCAGAAAAUGAUAGCUGCUCCAAGGAAGUCACUGAAUACAGGGACUCGGGAAGGGGGCCUGAAAAAGAAUUUUCAUCUAGAUGUAGCUGCUGAAGAGAAGUGCUGCAAUUGUCCAAGCCUUCAAGUCCACCAGAGAAACGGUUCAACGAUAAAUCAACAACCUGAAUUUUCCUCGAGAUACUGCAGAGCUGAGAGUCCAACUCCCCAGAAAAGGAGUUGUUGCUAAUGAUAAAUUCAACAAGAUUGGGAAAUUUACCAAAAUCAGUGAAGUUUCCAGUGAAUAGAUUGCUAGACAGAUUCAGUGAUUGGAUUGACCUUAAUAUAAUAAGUGCUGCCACCACUUGUCCAGAUAACUUGUUAUGGCUAAGAUCAAGAGAUUCCAGCAGCUGCAAAUUGGAAAGAUCAGAAGGCAAUCCACCUUCGAGAUCAUUGUGUGAAAGAUCAAGCAGCCUCAACUGAUCCAAAUUUCCCAAAGACUCUGAAAUCACCCCUUUCAGCCCGUUUCUUGACAAAUUUAACAUGAUCACUCUGCUUCCACCACAGACAACACCAUCCCAGUUACAGCAACUGAGAUCAUUCGACCAUGCUGAGAUAAUGGAGCCGUUUGUUAGAUUUCCUGCAAAUUCCUUCAAUGCCGCAAGGUCAUUUGGAUGACAACCCUGGCUUUGGGCUUCAAGUCCCGAAAGCAAGCACAUAAAACAAGCCAAUAAUAGUAAAUUCAUGAUAGUCAUGGGGAAAAGUUCCCUGACCACCAUUAGUGAAACAACAGAACUUCACUGAGUAAUCAAAGCCAACAUCACCAUCUAUCCACUUAGUUCGAGCUGCCCAUUAUUGCUGGUGCAUCGCUUUUCAGAUUUUCGAAGGUAAAAGAACCAAUCAGUACCACAAAGAUCAAAUGAAAUCCUAAGGUAGUACGACAACGGAUAACUAUCUGAGAGCAACAAAUUGCCCAAUUUACAGGGGGAUUGAUAGACAGAAGUGAGGAAACCCAGAUACAGAUAUAUAAGUACACUUCAUGCCUCUAGAAAAAGGUACUGAGCUACCAUCCCCGGCCCCAAAAAAACUGGACUUUCAUUGCAUUGAUUUCCCAAAUGAAGAGAAAUUCAACAUCUCAAUCCCAAAAAGAACCCAAAGAUCACAAAAAAAAAAAAGGGGGUUUAAGAAACAAAAACCAACAACACCAACUUAGUGCUGAAGCAAGAAAUGUCACUACUUGGACAAAAAUAAAAAAUGUCACUACAAUUUAGGAACCCCACUUGGUUUCAGAUCCCUAGAUCAGAAACUAACAAGCAAACAUUAAAAUUCAAGUCAAAUCAAUAGGUUGAAAUGGGGAGAGAACCUUCUUUUGCUCCAAAAGGGCACCGAUAUUUCAACGCUCCAUCACUUCAGAGUGAAGCAAUUGUCACUUGUGAACACAACCCUCGACAGUGAAGAGGCACAGUUCCUUCUUUUAGAAGUACAAUCAAGCAAUGAAUCAGGGGGAAGAGGGACAAUGAAAAAGAACAGAGCCCCACUUUGUCUCUUGAGUCAGUAAAUAGUGAAAUUGAGAAAUCUCAACUCAAGCGAAGAAAAAAUAGGGAAAGUACACUGUAGUUUUAUAAGGGUGAGAAAAUCCAAGUUAAUAAAUGGACAGAAAACUGGUGGACUGAUUUGAAACGAUGACACGGGAGCUGACUUUUAAUGCAGCACGGCAAAUUUGUUUAAGUACCCCAUGGUUCAGAGUUUCCACAGAUCACAAGUCUGAGUCAAUUGUCAAUACCCACAUUUGUCCCCAGUCCACAGUCUCACAUAAGAAAAUGCGUGUGAUUGUGUGGGAGUUCUGAGUGGGAGAUUUGAUUGAUGGAUGGAUGGAUGGAUGAGGUUGGAAUUAAUUGGUGCAUUCUUACGAGGACAGGCGUGAGAUUUUAGUACGACUUAUUUUUCGUCCUCUCCCCCACAGCCCGCACUGCGCGUGUACCGUAAAACUGGCAACCAAAUCAUGAAAGGUGUUUUUUUACCUUGAUUUUCUCCUCCUUCUUCCUUUUUCCCUCUAUAGAAUCACCAAAUUUUCUUUAAAAUUGUGAGAUUUGAAGAAGAUAGUCCAGCUAAGUAAAGUUUCAACGUACUCUGCAUGGUUUUUUUUAACAAUAAGGCUUAAUUCGAUGGUCAAGUUAUAAUUAACUUUUAUGAAUCCGUUAAGAUUAAAAUCCUCAGGUGUAAUUUUUUUUUUUUUAAAAAAUGUUGCAGCACGCGCGUUGAGGUAGAGACUAGAGAGUGCGAAUGUUUUAUAAACAGCUGGCAGCGAGACCGAAAAGUCAAAGAAGUGAGAUUCGAUGAUGACCGGGAAGCAGGAAAGGAUGGGCGGCAGUAGCCGGUAGCAUGGAGCGGCGGGGCUGGCGGAAGUCACGGGGUUUGGGAGGUGAUUUGUUUGUGAAGUUAAGGAGAUCCAUUCCCAAAGGGGUUGUCGGGUCAACUACUCAAAACCUACUUCUUAUGUAUGAUGCGAGAGUAGGACAUGUGAACGUACCAUAAAUGUAAGACUCGGUUGCUGAUUGCUGGAUUGGAUUGCGACAAUAAUAAUACUCCGUCCUCUUCCAACUUUAGUGGUUAGUCAAGAAGGGCUUUUGCCAGCAUUGAUUGAUGAUUUGAUUCUGGUAAGGUGCAAGAAUUUUUGUGGGAAGUAAUUGCCUAAAUUGGUAAUGACCAUACAAAUCAAUUCGUCCAAUUGCAUACCGAAUACGAGUAAUUAUUUAUGUAGAUUAGGUAGGUUCACAUGUUUAAUCACGUCCAAGUGUUUUAACUUUUUUAUGGAACUUUGUGAUAAACAAACAUCCUUCAUUCAUUAUCCACUGCAUUAAAAAAAAAAAAAAAUCUAUAGCAUAUUGCAUGGUGCUUAUCGUGUUGUGGAAUAAAGAUUUUCAAGAAUAUAAUGAUAUUAUUGUGUCCUUACUUAGGAGCCAUAGGGUGUUUGUUAUCGUAGUAGAGUGGUCAAUAGUAAUAACUUUUGAUGAAAAUUUAUAGUGUGUGUGUUUUUAACGUGGAAUGGAUUUUACAAUUUAUUAUUUCUUUUCUUUUCUUUUCCAUUUGUUGAAACCAACUGAAACGGUGGUGGCAUUUUGUUUUCUUAUUUUUACAUUUAAGGAGAAUAAGAUGGGGUGAUUAAGAUGAUUUCCUAAUAGCAAGUAAUUAAUCAGAAAACCCAUCCAUAGAAGAGACCUAUCAUUCCUCUUGAUUUAUUUCCAUUGGCCCCAAGAAAAUAUCAUGUAUGGAUAUAAUUGAAUUUGAAACCCCGCCGUAGGGUUGAAAUCCAUUUAAUUACAAGGCUGAGGACAAUUGCUUUCCUGAAACCUUCUUUAGUCGUGGUUAGAGGUGUUAUCGAGUCGAAUCGAGCUCGAGUAGCACCAUACUCGAGUUCGAGCUCAAUCAAAAUUUGUGCUACUCGAUCGAGUAAAAAAAUUUGGACUCGAGCUCGACUCGAUAAAAUAAAACUAAACUUGAGCUCGACUCGUUUGAGCUCGAAUAAGCUCAAGUAAAUAUCAAGCCCGAGCUACUCGAGCUCGAGCUCGAGUUUUGAAAUAAAUCUAUAAUUUUUUUUAAAUAUAUAAUAUAUAAUAUAAUAUAAAUAUAUAAUAUAAAUAAAAUAUGAAAGUUCGAUUAAGCUCGACGAGCACUUGAGCUACUCGCGAGCAGCUUGACUUGCUAGCACCCCUAGUCGUGGUAGAAUGGUUAACAAUUUUGGGAAGUGUUAAUAGCACUUUACUUUCUAUUAUUCACAUUCUCAUCAUUUGUAUUAUCACAUAGUCUAAUAAAUGAAAAAGUAUAUGAUAAAAAUAAUGGCAGAAUUGCGAUAAACAAAAAGGGGAUUACAAUUAACAAUUCCCCAUAACUUUCAUGUUCCAUCAUUCUAUUGCUCUCUGUGUUUGAUCCAUCGAAUUAGAGCAGCACACCAUGUUAAAAGGAUAGAAGGAAGCUUGCUUUUAAUUAAGGCCAAGAAAUUAAGUAGCUGCUUUCAUAUUUCGAGGGAUUAAGAGUCCGUCUCGAUUACUACUAUUUUUAGGAGUUAUCGUAAAAAAACAAAAAAGUAUUAUAACAAUUUAAUAUAUAAAUAUAUAUGUACGAGGUAAUAAGUGAUACCGGCGUUCCUAAAAAAAAAACCCGAGGUACUGUCACCGAACAUUUUUUCUCUCCGUUUCCUCUUUCUCAUUUCUUGCUUGAUAAUGAUGUAAGAAAACAAAUAGUUCAGCAGCAGGUAAGCGAAGUUUUGACAUAAUAAGGUGCUAUCGUUGUCAUUCGAUCAAAAGCAGAAAAAAAAAAUUGGGUAUGCUACUAUAAAAAGAAUAAUAACUAAUGUCCUCCCAUGACAUUGAGGUCCACUCGUCAAAACAAAUUUUUAUUAGUGUGUUCGAAUGCGUGUGGGCAUAUAUGACAUGAUUGCAUUAUUAAGCUUGCUUGGCAAGCUUUUUAGAGUGCUACAAAGUAGUAGUGUAAUUAGUGGGACUGCCAAUUUACAAUGAUGAUAUCAACUCUAUCAUCAGUGACAGUUGUGAGUUUUGCUGGGAAGCUUUCUGCUUUCUGACUUUUUGGGCGCUGAACUGUUGAACCAGAACUUUUUCAUAGAGUACAGCAAUGGACACCUGCACUUUUUUUUUUUUUUUUUUUUUUUUUUUAGUGGCACCCAAUAAAAAAAAUUAUUUAACACUAACACAGAUUGAGUCAGUUUAAUGUGGGCUAGCAAUUGGUCCUCUUCCUGUACGACUUAGCAUAUUAUUAUUAUUUGCCAAUGCUGGCCUCUAGUGGCGUGUUGUCGAUGCUCGACAGCAACCUUUGACAAGAUUUAGUCCUAAAUUAAGCAUUAUUGAUGCCAAAAGUAGCAGGCUUUGAGUUCUGCUCAAGAGUCAAACCAAUUAGAAGUGAGAGAAACUUUUUAGCCUCGAAAAUUUCGGGAGUAACACAAAGAAGGGCCGGGGUAGGGUAACACAAAUUUUAUUCCUCGAGUAAAAUUUACGACAUCAUCCCCAGUUCAAAAAUUCACCGAGCCAUUGCUCCUCAACAUACUAACGAUAACAAAGUUCAUUCGUAUUCGGUUCUAUUGACUUUGAUGAAUAUAUUUAAAAUAAAUAAAAUCCAAGAACUAUUACUAAAGGUUAUUAUUCGAAACAACCCCAUCAAAUGAAUAUUGGGACAUGCUUGUCUCUUUUUCUCUUUAAGAAAAAAAAAAAAAACUUAAAGAGAGAGAGACUCUAAGCAUGCCCAUGUCAAAGGGUCAUUGAAAUGCUAUCACAUUUCUGCUUGGGCUCAUUGGGUGGGUCUUCUUUCUAUACGUCUACUUCAAUCUGGAAAACCAUAGACAGACCAGGGCUAUAUCGGGCUGGUCCAUGAACUACCAACACUUGCCUUUGGGCUGGAAGCAGGUAGUUGGGUGGAUAAAAUCCAGUCGAACAUUUAUUCCUCGUUUGGAUUGUAGGGAAUGGUGGGAGCGGAUCAAUUAUCAAGUACGCCUGAGAAGAAUCAAGCCUGAGCUCGUCAAUUGUCAGGGGAGUCGAAAGAGUUGCUGACAUGGCUGAAAUCAAGUGCAUAGGAGUGGUUGGAGCCGGCCAAAUGGGUUCCGGAAUCGCCCAACUAGCUGUCGUCAACGGCGUCGACGUCUGGCUUCAUGAUACCGAGGCUGAAGCUCUCUCCAGAGCCCACAAUUCAAUUUCUAAAAACAUUGAACGCCUGGUCUCGAAGGGUCACCUUUCUCAGGUUCCCACCACCCAUAUAUCUAUUUCUUUUGGUGUAAAAAAUGAACUUUCCAUCUUCGUUUUUCGUUUUUUGAAGUUCUUUGUAGAAAACUCGGCAUCUUUAUGUAAUUCGAUGCUUAAUUUAAGUGGAGUUAGAGCAACACUAAUGUCUCAUUCGUAACGAGCUUGCAUGUUUUCCCCCUCUUCUAAUUGUUGUUGGCGGGGUGUAUUUGUCCUUAUAGUAUUAGAUUCUGUGCUGCAACGAUAGAAGGCCGGAGAUACUAAUCCCUUUAAGAGAAUAACCCAUGUGACAAACUUAAUUGAAUAAUUAAAUCGAAACGGGGUUCAUAAUCAUGGCUUGGAACUGGUUAGUACUAGCAUUUUGGAAUAAUACCUGGAUUAGCUGUUGCAGAUUAAUCAAAGUCAACUACUUAAAUACUGUGUUUGGUUAUCUAUCAGAAUUGGAAUUCAAUGGGGAAUUGGAAUUGCAUCCUAGGGCCAUGUAGCGAAACAAGCAAGUAGGAAGCACUUCUAAUUUCAAUUGGAAUCCUUAUGGAGAACCGAAGACAGCCCAAGUGUUUAAAAAGUAAGCUAUAAUGUCUCUUCUUCCCCCUGCUGUAACUUUUUAACAGGCUGUAGAGGCUGAUGCUGCAAGGCGUUUACGCUGUACUUCCAAUCUGGAUGAUCUUAUUUCAGUUGAUAUGGUGAUUGAGGCUGUUGUUGAGUCUGAGGAUGUGAAGAAGAAGUUAUUUGUUCAAUUGGAUACAAUUCUAAAAGGCUCUGCAAUCUUGGCAUCAAAUACAAGUUCCAUUUCCAUUACUCGUUUAGCAUCAGCAACAAGCAGACCCAGCCAGGUUACCUUUGAAGUGCUUGAUACUUGAUGAAUCAAUUUGCAUUUGUGUCAUUGUUUACAGUUAUAGGUUUAGGUAAGAGUGAAAAAUGAAGGUCCAGAUAACUUCUGAGUAUUUGUGCUUGGUUGCCUUUAAUCUUGCGUUGUUGGUCAGGUUGGUUAUAUGAGCUCCCCUCAUUUACUUUAUCAUGUUGCAGGUGAUUGGCAUGCAUUUUAUGAACCCUCCACCUAUUAUGAAACUAGUUGAGAUUAUCAAGGGGGCAGAUACAUCAGAUGAUACUUAUAAUGCCACUAGAUGCUUGGCUGAGAGGUGAUUUAAUGUUAAAUCUUAUAUUUAUCAACACUAAAACAAACAUACUCCGUGCCUUUUACACACUUUGAUUGAUUUCAAUGUUCAUCUGUCAUCGAUAUGCUAGUGACGUUAGCAAAAUUUGCAUCCUUUCUGCCUCAAAAAAUUUUUAAGUACUAUAAAAAUUAAUAUAAAAACUUAAUCCAAAAAUUUUGAACCCCUAACAUUUUUUUCAUAUAUAAAUUUAAAAUUUCAUUUUAUAAAGAUAAGAAAAUAGGCUAAAAUUUAUCAUAAAUUGGUAAUGCUAAAAAAUAAGCAAGUUAACAAAUUAAGAAAAAAUAAAAUAAUAAGAUAAAACCAACAAAUAAUAAUAAUAAUGUUAACAUCAUGACAAAAUGAAAAAUUUAAAAAAAAAACAAGUAGGGGAAAAGAAGAGACUUGGGGAGAAGAGAAUUUUAAAUGGGUUAAUUGGGUUUGAUGGGUUACCCAAUAAUACUCAUUUAUUAAAUGGGUAUUAUUGGGUAACCCAUUUAUACCCAUAUACAAAAAUUUAAGAUACCCAUACCCAUCUAUUCAUGGACGGGUAUGGGUAAAUCUAGUUAAGUGGGUUGAUUUGCCGCCUCUACUUCUAGCAUUGGAAUACAUUUUUGGUUGUGGCAUAGUGCUAGAGUUAUGUGAGUUCAACUUCUUGCCAAAGUAUGCACAUUUGGGAGUGAAUUCGGUCUGUAUGAUAGAGAUGGGUGGAAGUAUAGGGCUAUAUUACAAAUCCUGAAACUCUUAACAGUAACCCUGCACAAAGGCUUGUCAACUAUUGAAGUUUGAAAUAUAAUUUUCUGACAUGUCUAUUGUAGAUGAAUAGAUAUGUACUUGUAUAAUUUCGUAUAUGUGCUUUUACAUAAUAAAGUCAUUGGAGCCACUGGAUUUGUAGGAUGGGAAAGACAGUCAUUUGCUCCAAUGACUAUCCUGGCUUCAUUGUAAACCGAAUUCUGAUGCCAAUGAUAAACGAAGCAUUUCAUGCACUGCAUACUGGAGUAGCAACAAAGGAAGACAUCGAUACGGGAAUGAAGCUGGGGACAAACCAUCCAAUGGGUCCUCUAGAGCUUGCUGAUUUGAUUGGGCUCGAUGUUUGCUUGUCAAUAAUGAAAGUUCUUCAGGCUGGCCUUGGUGACAGUAAAUAUGCUCCGUGUCCUCUUCUUGUGCAGUAUGUUGAUGCUGGUCGACUUGGCAGAAAACGCGGUGUUGGGGUUUAUGACUAUAAUACGAGGCCCAAAGAAAAAAAACCAUUGGCUCAACUUUAAUAUUCUUCAAGUAUGAAAAUAACGAGAAUCUCAAUUAUGCAUUUUCCACAUGACAUGUCUGAAACAUGACUUUGACUGUUGAGGUAAGAUUAAGAGUGCUCUACUACGGAGUCCUGGAAGCUUGAAAGUUCCAUAAUCUUGUUGUAGCGUCUUCCUGGAGCCCAAGCUGUGGUAGAUUUAGUCUGGUUGUUCAUUUCAAAAUAAACAUGUAAGUUACUGAAAUAGGAUUAUGCAUGUUUGUAAAAUUGAUAAAUAGAAGAGAAAAUGAAACUCUCUUAUCUGGCAUACAGCAGGAAAGAUGGCUUGUGAAAGUUUAUGAAUACUGUGAAGAUCCAGUGAUUAUGCUUUUACCUGUUUGCCUCCUUUUGCUACUAGAUACAAGUGUGUGAAUACUACUAUAAUCUGUUGAAUUGAAUACCAUAAUAAUGGUUGGUGAUGGAAAUCCUUUAUCUCUUUGGUAAGAAUCAAUCGAGAAUGCUAAUCAGCACUUGGACAUCAGGUCAAUCUAUUGCAUUCUAGACUGCCAUGUAAUUGUCGCGCGCAUCGUUGUUCACAGGGUAAAUAAUAGAGGAUUUUACAGAUGAACUACUCUAGGCUUUCCCUAUAUAUGAUGAUCUUCCAAAAGGGUUUUGGUUUUCUGAUAGUCACGGGUGAUCUAAGCUAUCGGGUCCUUCAAGCUCUGUGCAAUCAACCAGGCAUAUGCAAAGACUCUAGCUGCCCUUAUCAGUUAUCACAACCGACACACUUCUCAGGAAUCUGUUAACCAUCCGCUAGUAGGAGAAAGGAGUGAUUUGAGUUUGCUUUAAUAGCUAUUGAGCGCUGUUAUACUUCUUAUUGCUCCUUCAAUGAUGGAUUUACCCACCGCUCGUUUACAUGUUCUGUUGUUGAAUGAUGUCUUUCAACAGUAGUUGGUAUGGUGUUCAAGAAAGCUCUCUUAUAGAAGUCUGUUCUCUAUAAUGCUUGCCAGUUGCCUGCCCAAAAUAUCUUAUAUUGAGUUGAUUAAACCACAAAGUAGUCCCUUCUUUUCAAAGUUGAUGGCCCACCAAAGUUCCCUAUUUGUAGGGUACCCCAAAUUCCCUCAUUGUCAUUGCCCACCCAAAGCAAUUUCAUGCCAGCAUAUAGUUGUCUUAUUGAUAGCAUGGCCACUCAUCAUGAAAGCGAUUGAAAUGGAAUCCAACAGUAAAAGGUGUACUAUUCUCCAAAAGAAUUCUAGUGAAAACGGAAGAUAAAAAGAAACAAGAAGGGCUAAAGCACAAAAACUUUCCCGUGUGCACCAUUUGGGAUAGUGGGGAAGAGAGAAGCAUGAAGUUCUUAUUCCAGUGCCCCUGUUGCUCCUGUUUCUGCUUCAUGAAACCCAAGGCAGGCAAACCAAAGCCAAAAGAGGAGCCAAAGCCAAAGGAGCAGCCAAAGCCGAAGGAAGAGAAGAAGGAAGCCAAGGGAGAGUAACCUUAUCGAGCAACGACUCUUUUUAAGUAAUUUAUUCUCUUUAUUUACCCUUAUGAUUUUAUUUGCGACCAUUCAACAGGCGAAUGGUGGUAGAAGCAAUUGUAUGUUUUUCCUAAAUCUGUAUCGAGUUACGACGUACUCGGGUUACCAGGCAUGUUGCUUGUCCAAGUGUACUCAAAUGGGAAUUAAUUCUCGCAUAACCAUUUCAGCAUUGUAAAUUGUUCUGCUAGUUCUCUUUUCUGCUUGAGUUUGCUUUCUCUGGAUGCUUUAAAAUUUGUUGUUUUUUGUGUGGG
rnacentral:lncRNA from 1 species